rnacentral:lncRNA from 1 species
GAAUGCAAUGCAAGGGUUAGCAUAGACAGUUAUUUCAACAGCAACACUGGCUCGCCUGAGCCCAGAAACUUGCGACAAAGAGCAGGAGGGUGGGGAGGUUCAAGAGAGCUGGUGAUGAUCAAGAGGCAAGGGUAAGAAAGGAAACUGAUGAUCUGAUCCUUGAUAUAGAGGAUGUGGUAUUUUAGGAAGCCUCCGACGCAAGCGCUGAAGGGUUCCUAAAUUUACACAUACACCCUCGGGUGGAAGGAAAGAUCACAGCCGAACCCUCGGGCGAGGCUUAUAAGGGUCGGCGGAACAGACAGGGUCGGGCGAGACGGAACCGGGGUCGGGCGGAUAGGAGGGGUCGGGCGAGGCGGACUGGGGUCGGCAACUCACCUUCUUCCUGAAAGGAAAGCUUGGGGUCGGGAAGAAGCAGACUUGGGCGGAGGGACUAAAGCUUCGAACAAGGGCUAAGACUGGGAAUGCUACGGCGGAGGCGGUGCUUCUUGCAGAUCACAAGAGAGCUUUUACGCAGCACGGAGGAGCAAGCUGCGGGGUGACUUGGAGAAAACUGAGAGAGAAUCUGAGAGAAGAACUCCUCAAGAACUUGGUGGGUGGCGCUAGGAGCUUGAGCAGGGAGCGAGAGAAUGGCUAAGGCAACUAUGGCGGAGGGAACUCCGGCGAUGGGAGCAUUCCUUUUAUAGCUGCUGGAACGGAGAAAGGAAGCGGCGCGGGAGAGAGAGAAGGGGAGCGGCGCGAAGGCCGGGGAGAGGCAAUGGAGUGCUCUGCCGCGGCGGCGAUUGAGCAAAGAGGGCGGUGGUGCAGGGCUCCGGGGGUGACACCAGCGAUCAUUGGGUUCUGCCGUCAGGGCGGCGUAGGGGCGGGUAGACCGGUGGUUGAGAUUUGGUGGAAAGCGGGCGUCGCCGUGCGGAAGAUUUGAUAGAAGCGACCGGUUUAACGGCGCUACAAUCAAGGGCGCACAGGUGAGAAGACAGGCAGCUGCGGGCGCGCGGGCGAGCGCGGAGCAACAGAUUGUCGGGCGGCUUUUUACAGGGCGGGGAAAGGAGCUGUCGCGGCCGCGGUCGGGGUUGGCGGUGGAGGAAUUGUCGUGUAGCGGAGACCAGGCGGCGCGACUGUGGCUGAAGGGACGGAAAAGACGGGCGACAUCGGGCUCUGGGGCCGGGAUCUGGCGGCGUGAUGAUGGGCGCGGGAGGCGAGGCUCUGCAGAAAGGGGUGCAGAGGGGCUUCCGCUGCCAUUGGGGAAAAGGGCGCGAGAACCCACUUGGUCGCUUGCCAGAGACAAAACUGAGCGGCAGGCGUCGGAGAAGACGAGCCAUGCGGCAGGGAGACUCUGAAGCGGGCAUGCAACUUGAGUGCGCCUGUCGCGGAGGAUCUGGGGAAAAGAUCUCGCGGGUCCACCGGUGGAUAGAACGGACGUUUGUGGAGGAUUAGAAGGAUCCGACGGUGGGCUGAGCUCGCUGGGGUCGGGAGAAAAGCGAAGCAGGGAGGGGUCGGAUCUCCGGGGUCGGAACCAGGCGGAAGGCCGAGCACUCGGCGCGGUAAAACAAGACAGAUGACUCUGAUCAAGGGCUCUGAUCAAGACUAACUAGGAAGGUUUAGGGGUCGGUCGUUACAGCCUACCCCUCUUAAAAAUAAAUCUCGUCCCGAGAUUCAGACAUCAAAAAGCGAGGUGACGUUUUUACCUCCUUGACGAGAUAGAAAACCUGGGAAGCGCUUGUUCAGAUAUUCGUCCGUUUGCCAUGUUGCUUCAUCUUCGGUGUGGUUUCUCUAGAGGAUCUUGUACAUCUUUACCACUUGGCAUCGGGUGUGCCUUUCCUUCUGGUCAAGAACUCGAUCUGGGUACUCGGCGUAGGUCAGGUCGGGCUCUACUUGAAGCUGUUCUUGCUCUAAGAUCUCUGCUGGAACUCGGACAUAUUUCUUCAGUUGAGAUACAUGGAACACAUCGUGUACGGCCGAUAGCUGUUCUGGGAGUUGGAUCCGGUAAGCAACGGGUCCACAUAUCUCCACAAUCUCAUAAGGGCCAACAUAGCGGGGAGCUAACUUGCCUUUGACUCCAAACCGUUGCACUCCUUUGGUCGGGGAGACUCGAAGGUACACGUGAUCACCAAGGUCGAACUGCAGGGGUCUUCUUUGCCGGUCGGAGUAACUCUUCUGUCGGGAUUGGGCAGCCUUGAGAUUAGCUUGAAUUACCUUUACUUGUUCUUCGGCUUCUGCCACCAAGUCAGGGCCAUAGACCCGUCUUUCUCCUGGUUGGGACCAGUUCAAGGGUGUCCUGCAUCUCCGGCCAUACAGGGCUUCGAACGGUGCCAUCUUCAAACUGGCCUGGUAGCUGUUAUUGUAGGAGAAUUCUGCUAAGGGCAGACACUUGUCCCAAUUCUUGUCAUAGUGGAUAACACAAGCUCUUAACAUGUCUUCGAGGAUCUGGUUGACUCUCUCGGUUUGACCAUCGGUUUGACCAUCGGUUUGAGGAUGAUAGGUUGAGCUUCGGAUGAGAUUGGUGCCCAUGGAUGCUUGUAGUUGCUCCCAAAAGCGUGCCACAAACUGAACUCCUCGAUCAGAGAUGAUGGUCUUGGGCACACCAUGUAGGGAAACUAUGCGGUCGAGGUACAACUCUGCAUACUGCUUGACGGUGUAGGUGGUGCGAACAGGAAGGAAGUGGGCGGUCUUGGUCAGACGGUCCAUUAUAACCCAGAUGGAAUCAUAUCAUUGCGAUGUAAGGGGCAAUCCAACUAUGAAAUCCAUGCUGAUGUCUUCCCAUUUCCAAGAGGGAAUAGGUAGCGGUUGUAGGGUUCCUGCUACCUCCAAAUGACUGGCUUUGACACGUUGGCAGGUGUCACAUUCUGAAACAUACCGGGCAAUUUCCGGCUUCAUUCCACUCCACCAAAAGGUUCGACGGAGAUCAUGGUACAUCUUAUUGCUGCCAGGAUGGAUCGAGAACUUGGAGAGAUGAGCUUCAUCUAGGAUUUGCUUUCUCAGCUCGGGGUCGGCGGGUACAACUAGUCGGGUUCCGUAAUGCACGCCUCCUGUUUCGUCCUGUCGGAAUUGCUUAUAUCCCUCAUCCUUUACUGAGAUCUUACUGAGGAUCCGUUGUAUUUCCUUAUCUCUUACUUGUGCUGACCGGAUUUGGUCUUCCAAAACUGAGUCAAGGAUGAUGUGACCAAGGGUUCCAUGAGGAAUAAGCUCCAGACUGAGGUUUCCCAUCUCGUGACACAGAGUCUUGGUGAAGGCUGUUGACAACAAGCAGCUGCAAUGGUGCUUGCGACUAAGGGCAUCGGCUACCACAUUGGCCUUGCCGGGAUGAUAGUGCACUUCUAAUUCAUAAUCCUUUAUCAACUCCAGCCAUCUUCUCUGGUGCAUGUUGAGGUCGGCUUGAGUGAAGAUGUACUUGAGGCUCUUGUGGUCGGUGUAGAUGUUGCAGUGGGUUCCCAUCAGGUAGUGUCUCCAUAUCUUCAAGGCAUGUACCACUGCUGCUAGCUCCAGGUCAUGGGUUGGGUAGCUUAGCUCAUGAGGUCGUAACGCCCAUGAGGCAUAGGCAAUGACUCGAUUGUCUUGCAUAAGAACACAUCCGAGUCCAGUGCCAGAGGCGUCACAGUAUACGUCAUACGGCCUAGAGGGGUCGGGCUGAGCCAAAAUUGGGGCUGUGGUCAGCAAGUGCUUCAGGGUCUUGAAGGCCUCUUCACACUUGUUGUCCCACACAAAUUUGACCUCUUUCUUCAACAACUCGGUCAUCGGCUUAGCUAUCUUAGAGAAAUCCGGUAUGAAAAGCCGAUAGUAACCAGCCAGUCCAAGAAAACUUCUGAUCUGGUGCACUGAGGCAGGGGGCUUCCAUUCCAUGACUUCCUGCACCUUACUGGGGUCAACGGCGAUACCAUCCUUGGAGAUAGUGUGUCCCAAGAACUUGACACUAUCCAACCAAAACUCACAGUUGGAGAACUUGGCAUAGAGUUGGUGAUCUCUUAGCCGUUGGAGAACUAUAGGAAGAUGGUCGGCAUGCUCUUCUUCGUUCUUCGAGUACACUAGAAUAUCAUCAAUGAACACCACUACAAACUUGUCCAGCUCGGGCAUGAAUACCGAGUUCAUGAGGUACAUGAAAUAGGCGGGUGCAUUGGUGAGUCCAAAGGACAUGACUAGGUACUCGUAUAGUCCAUAUCUGGUAGAGAAAGCUGUCUUGGGUAUGUCGCAGGGUCGAAUCUUGAUUUGGUGAUAACCAGAACGAAGAUCGAUCUUGGAGAACACCUUUGCUCCGGCUAACUGAUCAAACAAGACAUCAAUGCGGGGUAGUGGGUACUUGUUCUUGACCGUCACAGCAUUGAGGGGUCGGUAAUCCACACACAUACGUAGACUGCCAUCCUUCUUUUUCACAAACAGGGCAGGGCAACCCCAAGAUGAUGUACUGGGUCGGAUGAAGCCUUUUUCCAACAGAUCAUGCAACUGGGUCUUCAACUCGGCUAACUCAGCGGGUGGCAUCCGAUAGGGUCUCUUAGAUAUAGGGGCUGUGCCAGGGAUCAACUCUAUGGAAAACUCCACUUCUCUAUCAGGUGGCAUACCUGGCAAGUCUUCUGGAAACACGUCAGGGUACUCACAGAUAACAGGGAGGUCUUCUAGACGGGCUCCCGAUAGAGGGUAGGCACAAGGAAGCGAAGACUCAGGAUGGGUCAAGGAUAGGGUAGAACUGCCAUGGGAGGGUGAGCUGAUGCAGAGAGAUCGGGCUACUGCAUCUAGAACCACAUGAUGUCGGGCCAUCCAAUCCAUACCAAGGAUGACAUCUAUACCUUCUAGGUCAAGGAUGAUAAGGUUUUCCUUGAAGAGGGUGGGGCCUAGCUGGAGAGGUACAAGAAUAACAAUCUGAUCCGAUGUUAUCCUUCCUCCAGGAGUGGCGAUCACAUAAGGUUCCUUAGUGUGACCGACACUUAGCCCACAUCUUUCCCUAGCCUUACUCCCGAUAAAGCUAUGAGAGGCUCCCGAAUCAAACAACACAACAACAGCUUGAUUUAAAACAAGGAAAGUACCCGUCAUUACUGGCGCACCUUCGGGAAGCUCGGUCAAGCUGGUGUAGUUGAGUCGGCCUUGUCGGACUUGUACCUUGGGCCUUCUUCCUCUGGCUGCCAUGGGGUUCUGACCUUGCGGUUGAUUCUUGUUCCUGGGGCAGUCCUUUGCAAAAUGUCCUUCAUUGCCGCCGGUAAAACAACGGUUAUUGGCUGCCGGGCGGGGUGGCGUUGGCAGGGUCGGCCGGGGCACCUGCGGUUGGAAGCCUGGAAAACGAGGCGCUGUUACUGGCGGGGGUCGGGCAAUCCAUCUUCCUGACUGUUGGGGUCGGCCAGGGGCUUGUGGAGGAACCAUCUGGAACUUUCGAGUCGGCUGACUCGGAAAUGCCACAGAAGCUUUCCUCUUCUGGUCGGCCUUGAGAGCUUGCAUGCAAUCUUCUUGGGAAAUGGCCAGAUUGACCAACUCAUUGUAGGUAUCCACCUUGAUGGGGUUCAACCUUUCCCUGAGCUCCAAGCUCAGUCCUCGGCGGAAUCUGUCCCGCUUCUUCUCGUCUGUGUCCGCAUGAUAGCCAGCAUAACGGCACAGGUCAUUGAAAGCUUGAGCGUAAUGCAGCACAUCCCGAGUUCCUUGGGUGAGGGCCAGAAACUCGUUGAGCUUGCGCUCCAAGAGACCUUCUGGAAUGUGAUGCGCCUUGAACGCCGUCUUGAACUCAUUCCAACUGACCACGUGGCCAGCCGGCAGCAUGGCAUGGUAGUGAUCCCACCAAAGCCGUGCGGAGCCACGCAGCUGUUGGGCUGCAAACCGAGCCUUGUUGUUGUCGGGGCAUGGAGCGGUGAGAAGCUCAAACUUGGAUUCGAUCGUACGAACCCAGGCGUCAGCAUCGAGCGGUUCUUGUGUCUUUUGGAACAAAGGGAGCUGUGUCCCUAGAAAGUCCUCAUACCGAGCGAUAUGCGGCUGCUGCUGGGCUCUUCCACCAUGUGGUUGUUGCUGUUGCCCUUGUACCAGAUGCCUUAGCAGCUCGGUUUGAGUUGCUAGGAUUGCCUCCAGUGGCGAUGAGGGCGGGGGUGGGGGAAGAUCCUGUCGCUGAUCGCUACUGCCGGGCACAGAACCAGACCUGGUGCGAUGCGCCAUCUGCAAGAGUUAACGCUCCAUCAAUUUCAUAACCUUAGGUGUACCCCAACAAAUGGAACGUAUAAAUUAAAUCCUGCAAUGCGACUCUUGCCAUUGGUGCAAUCACACGUCCUCAUAGAGAAAACAUACUUUUUUCGUUCUCAGAGUAGAUAACAUCUAUCUUGACCUGGUACUCAAUCUUCAGGCAAAAACAGGUCAUAUACAGACUCCUAUGAUCCCACUCAAGCCAAGGGGUCGGGCUAGGCGAUCCUUCCGAGAGAACAAGGGGUCGGCAACGAUCCCUACUUAAAAAGGUCGGACGGGGCGGAAACUGCCUCAAGGGUCGGCGCACUCUGCCUCACAAACUGGGGUGGGCCAACUGAACAGGCUCCCCGAAAACAGCAUAUGGUCAUGGCGCAACUUACUUAACCUAGCAUCCACACCAUACGAAGAUGAAAAAGCCAGGCACCAGAAUCGACUUUAUAUACAACGAUGUUCCAAACACAGGGAGUACUCAACUCUAGGCUAACCUAUUACAACCUUUCCAAAACUAGGCUGCCAAGGAGUACAACAAAAGAAUGAUCCCCUGAGAACCCGCAAUCUACCAAUGGACACUAUGCGUCGGAGAAGGGGCGCCAUCUUCCUCGAUAUCCAUGCUGGACGCUCCCUCGUCUUCCUCAGGGUCCUCCUGAGCUUCGAGCUGCAUGUUGAGGGCAUGCAUAUCCUCGAGCUCAGCUUGAUGCUCCUCCAGAUAGGCAUUGGCAACUGCCAACUCCAUUUCCACCUCCAUCUUCUCCUCCGAUAGCUCUAUCAUGCCGUCCACGAGGUCGGCGACUUCUCCCUCAAGCUCGGAGAUCCGGUCUUGCAUGUCGUGGAUCUGGAUACCCCGUUGAAUAAGCUGGUAGGUUUGGCCUACCAUAUCUCUUCGGGCCGCUUGGAGGUACCCGUGAACAUCUGCUGCUGUCCGGGCGAAGAGGGUCAUGGCUCUCCCUUGAAGCUCUAUCAACCGGUAUAGAGCGGCCAUGCACCUGAUGUUGGUGGAGAUGGUGACCAUGGAGCAUGUGGUGGCUAGCACUUCGAUGUUCCCGACACGGUCAAGCCAUGCCGGGUCCAGCCGGUUCCUGACGGGGAAGAGGCCGAUCGGGUCGAGCGUGAUCUCCAAGGGGUGCAGCUAACAGAACUGGGUGAGCAACUGGAGGGCUGCAGACUCCCAUGUAUCCUCAGGACCAAGGCCAUAGGCUAUUAUGCCGAAGGAGGGCCAAUCGGGCCGUGCAGGGGGAGGAGGUACCAACGCCUGCACUUGGCACGUCUGGAUACCCUGCUCCAGAUAUAACCAUCCGGCAUACAAGGGUGGGGACUGGUACCCAAACCACUUCAACGUAUCCCACAGAAUCGCAGGGAAUCCCUCGAAAUGUAGACAUGUCGACUGGAAAGUACCGUCCGCUCCAAAAAGAACAUGUCCGGGAACAGCCAUCUGGAACCAAGAAACCGAAACCACGUGAGAUAGACUCCAAGGAUCAGGGGUCGGAUAGAGAAGCAUUCGGUUUUAACCGAGAGCAACUAAAAGAAACUAGAAAUCCUUAGAUCCAAAAGAACUCUUCCGAAAAAGGUUGCUGUUGAGAGGGAAACAUUACAGCAUUUUUAGACAUGACGCAUGCACGGCCUACCUUACACAUAACCAAAGCAACUGCCCGAACUCGGGUCUUACGUGGUCAGUGCCGGUGACAAGGCAACAAUUACGUCUCUCCCUAUAAUAACUAGUCGAUUCGACAACGUCUCCUAAACGAACGCGGUUAGCAUACCUGCAGAAAAACACCAACACACGAACCUUUCAUGCCAGCACCCACGAAAGCGUUCCCAAACAUUACCGCUCACUAUAGGAACGGCACCCAUGCGUUUAAGGCUGCAUGGACAGCACUCAACCGUGGAAAUAGGUUCCUUUUGAAUGGAACCAUAUAACCCUUCGCAUACUCGUGAUGCGGAAUCGGCACACGUAUGACAAACGUGGCGAACCAACCGUGCUGAUAGGUUCGUUGGAAUCGAACCGUACCAACCUUCGUAUGGAUCACAUACGGAACCUGCGCACGUGUGAUAGACAUGGGCGAAAACAACCGCGAAGAUAGGGUCCUUUGAAUGGAACUCCCUAUCAACCCUCGCAUCCUCGCGAUGUGGAACUCGGCACACGUAUGACAGACGUGGCGAAGUGCUGGAAGGGUUAGCAAAAUAACCAAGUACUUAUUAGUCACCUAAAACAACCCCCAAAAUCCCCUAGGGCCUCUCGCACUAAAGCCAUCCUUAGCGGUCGUACGAGAUUUUUCAAAAAGUUUCUUGCAACUUUUAUCUUUUCCAAAGAAGUGUGUAGGGCUUGUUGUGUUCUCUGAAAUGCUAAACACGGCUCUGAUACCAGCUGUGGCGGAUUCACUUCGGAUUAGCUUGAUUUAGAUAGGGUUAAGCCGCCUAACAUGCGACACUCCUGCCUAAGCCGAGUUAACACGAAGUGCCAUCGGAUUUCAUCCGAUUUAAGCACUUGAACAGGAUCGAGUUUAGCAACUCACACGAAGGUGAGUGGUUCCAGAGAAUACAACGAGUCCAAAGAGUUAGACCAAAUUACCGAUUUAGUUCGACCAUAAAAUCCAACAUCAGAGUUUUACAAGAUUCCAAGAAACAACAGAGAAAAACACUAGCGGAAGACUUCGACGGGGUCGGACAUCCCUGGUGAGGCCAACCGGGACAUCACUGGAUCCUCUCCUCGCCGUCCGAGGAAGGAUCCCACUCGACCGUCCAGCCUGGCGGAAGCUGGGGCGGCCAAGCACCAACCAGAGAGGGGUCGGGAGCAGCAACUCCACCUGAAAAACAGGAGCCACAACAAGGCUGAGCUACUAAGCUCAACAAGGCUUAACCGAUUGGAGUAAAACUACUCCUUCUUCUAGACAUGCAGGGCUUUUUGGCUGAGGGGUUUGUUUGCCAAAAGCACUAAGUAACCCUAUUUUCAAGUUUUAGCUCCGGUUCUAGGUUCAUUUACCAGUCUAGGUUAUGCCACCUAUUCUAAGCAUUCAUAGAACCAAACAAGAGGUAUAGAUACAUCAAUAAACAUGUCAUCAUCAGAUUCCUCAUUUACUCAGGGUGACAUAGCGAUCAAGCAAUCUCAAACUGUGAGAGGCAGACGAAUCGAUUCGAGUUCUUUAACCAUGCAUGGUGAACCUAGCCUCACGACAUCCGCGCACCCGGAGGUCGCUUCCUGUGUCGGCCUUCCCCAUCGAUCCCCUAACCCGUGUCGGGCCCAUUUCCUUUGGUGCAAGGUUCCACAGACCCGGCCUCUGCCGUUCUAUGACCACGCUUGCCACCACGUGCGACAACCAGCAGGGGAAACUCCGUUCCAAGAACAAUGGGGCGACCGCUCACGUCUAGGUUCAAUCUGGUACUAGGCUUCCUCAUCCCAUACUAAGUAUGAGGCUAGUACUUUCAAACACUUGAUCAUGAACACCACCACUGUCGGGCCUUAGCAAGUUUUCAUAGACAGACGGGGCUAACAUCCGACCACCAAAGAGUUACCAAAACCCUGCCCCGUCCAUCGUCCUUAUAGUUGUAACAGAAAGAUAGACAUCCAACUCCUACAACUCGCGAGUGACAGGAGAUCACUCGACUUUUACCGUCUCCUAGUUAAGCAAGGCGACUACACGGUCCAACAGCUAGUGCUCAGAUCAUGGGGACAACUAAGUCAUGCAUCUAGGGUUUCACACAACUCCUAUACGUAAAUGCACAAGCAUGUUACAGAAGGCAUGCACAAGUCUGGUAAAACACUCAAGGUUUUCAUGCAACCGGGGCUUGCCUUCAAGCAAGGAGGACGGGAACUGCUUGACUUCGGGGGCGACUUCGACUUCAGCGGGCAGGAACUUAGCUACAACUUCUUCUUCUGGUGCCGGGUGAAGCUCGUAGAAGCCAUCGGUGAGGUGCAGCUCUACACGAAUGCAAUGCAAGGGUUAGCAUAGACAGUUAUUUCAACAGCAACACUAGCUCGCCUGAGCCCAGAAACUUGCGACAAAGAGCAGGAGGGUGGGGAGGUUCAAGAGAGCUGGUGAUGAUCAAGAGGCAAGGGUAGGAAAGGAAACUGAUGAUCUGAUCCUUGAUCUAGAGGAUGUGGUAUUUUAGGAAGCCUCCGACGCAAGCGCUGAAGGGUUCCUAAAUUUACACAUACACCCUCGGGUGGAAGGAAAGAUCACAGCCGAACCCUCGGGCGAGGCGGAUAAGGGUCGGCGGAACAGACAGGGUCGGGCGAGACGGAACCGGGGUCGGGCGGAUAGGAGGGGUCGGGCGAGGCGGACUGGGGUCGGCAACUCACCUUCUUCCUGAAAGGAAAGCUUGGGGUCAGGAAGAAGCAGACUUGGGCGGAGGGACUAAAGCUUCGAACAAGGGCUAAGACUGGGAAUGCUACGGCGGAGGCGGUGCUUCUUGCAGAUCACAAGAGAGCUUUUACGCAGCAUGGAGGAGCAAGCUGCGGGGUGACUUGGAGAAAACUGAGAGAGAAUCUGAGAGAAGAACUCCUCAAGAACUUGGUGGGUGGCGCUAGGAGCUUGAGCAGGGAGCGAGAGAAUGGCUAAGGCAACAAUGGCGGAGGGAACUCCGGCGAUGGGGGCAUUCCUUUUAUAGCUGCUGGAACGGGGAAAGGAAGCGACACGGGAGAGAGAGAAGGGGAGCAGCGCGAAGGCCGGGGAGAGGCAAUGGAGUGCUCUGCCGGGGCGGCGAUUGAGCGAAGAGGGCGGUGGUGCAGGGCUCCGGGGGUGACGCCAGCGAUCAUUGGGUUCUGCCGUCAGGGCGGCGUAAGGGCGGGUAGACCGGUGGUUGAGAUUUGGCGGAAAGCGGGCGUCGCCGUGCGGAACAUUUGAUAGAAGCGACCGGUUUAACGGUGCUAGAAUCGAGGGCGCACAGGUGAGAAGACAGGCAGCUGCGGGCGCGCGGGCGAGCGCGGAGCAACAGAUUGUCGGGCGGCUUCUGAUAGGGCGGGGAAAGGAGCUGUCGCGGCCGCGGUCGGGGUUGGCGGUGGAGGAAUCGUCGUGUAGCGGAGACCAGGCGGCGCGACUGUGGCUGAAGGGACGGAAAAGACGGGCGACAUCGGGCUCUGGGCCGGGAUCUGGCGGCGUGAUGAUGGGCGCGGGAGGCGAGGCUCUGCAGAAAGGGGUGCAGAGGGGCUUCCGCUGCCAUUGGGGAAAAGGGCGCGAGAACCCACUUGGUCGCUUGCCAGAGACAAAACUGAGCGGCAGGCGUCGGAGAAGACGAGCCACGCGGCAGGGAGACUCUGAAGCGGGCAUGCAACUCGAGUGCGCCUGUCGUGGAGGAUCUGGGGAAAAGAUCUCGCGGGUCCACCGGUGGAUAGAACGGACGUUUGAGGAGGAUUAGAAGGAUCCGACGGUGGGCUGAGCUCGCCGGGGUCGGGAGAAAAGCGAAGCACGGAGGGGUCGGAUCUCCGGGGUCGGAACCAGGCGGAAGGCCGAGCACUCGGCGCGGUAAAACAAGACAGAUGACUCUGAUCAAGGGCUCUGAUCAAGACUAACUGGGAAGGUUUAGGGGUCGGUCGUUACAUAGCCACAUCAUCAAGAAGGCCGUAUAUUCUCUAUCUUGAAUUGUCCCGAUCCUCUUUUUCAUGUUGAUGAACCCUUUCCACCUGCCGAUUCCUUUUGUUUCCAGCCGAUGGGUCGGCUUGACCAGAUAAUUGAAAGGAGUAUCGGGGGAAGAGAUGUCAAGACCGGUCAACAUCACAACAUCGGCCAGAGUUGGGGUCAUGGGUCCGUGCCCGAAAAGAAAUGCGUUGAGAGAGUCAAACCAGAAGUAGGAGUCUGCUAUCACCAAGGGUUCGUUUCUCUCCAUCUGGGACAAGGAAAGGUUGAUGCACUAGCUGAUUUUCUUUUCAUCCCAUUGAACUCUCUUGGAGUUGGCCAUUCUUUGGUACCACUCUUUCCAGCCGGGGUUUUCAUUCGGCCAAGAUCUAAAGGUGCCCAACCACUAGUCCAAAUCCAUGGGUGAUUGUUUAAAUGGAAUCCUCUGGGUCUCUAAAUUAAUCAUAUCGGUUGGGUCCGGGUUCCCCAUAGGUCCUAAACAGAUGAGACCAGGAGCUUUGGAAAGGCAAAUAGUAAUUUGGUGUCUGACUGCCUAAAAAAGGAAAAAAAGGGAAGAACUAAGAACGGAUCUAAAAAGAUGCAUGGACGGUAAAAGUAAAAAGGAAAAAGUUCCGAAUGAGUACCUCUGGAAUGAAAGUCAUCGUUGCCGAUGGGGCUGCUGGUGGAGCUGCGACCACUGAUGAAGCCGCUGGUGGAGCCUCUAUCGCCGAUGGAGCUGUUGCCGCCGCUGAUGGAGCUGCCGGUGGAGCCUCCGUUGCUAGUGGAGUUGCUGAUGGUGCUGCCAUUGGGGCGAUGAAGCGGAAUGCAGAUGAAAGGGGGAUCACCGGAGAAUGCGGUUGGAAGCCAAAAGGGCGCCAGAAGAAGAUGGAAACUAGUGUGCCAGGAAGGAAGUUACUGGCUUGUGAAGAAGAAGUGCAAGGCAUGCCAGUAUUUAAAGGUGGUCCGAGGGGGGUAAAGGCUGGAUUUUUAUUGCGCCGUCUACAUGAAUUUCGGGGGGAGCGGUUGUCUCAAGCACCUGUUUCGAAAGGAUUGCAAUCAUCAUGUAGAAGACUGCGAAAUAGAAGGAGUUUUUUGCCGCGUUUAUUUCGGAGGAGAGGUUAAAAAAGAAUUUCGAAGUAAAAGUCAUGUUUUAUUCCGAAACUGGGGGGCAUGUGUUGACGCUAGAUUUUAACACGUAUGGGAUCGGCGUCAAGAGAAGAAAGGAUUGGCUGAUGUGAUGGAUUAAAAGGUUAUGAUUGGGAAUCGGCCAAUUGGUGCUACAGUAGAGAAUCGGCCGAUUGGCGCUACAGUGUUUUGGUGGAUGGAGAUCGGCUGAUUGGAGGGCUGGAGCGAUUGGGCCAAUGUGGGCUUAAAGUGGCUCCGAGAAAGGAAAGAGAGAAAGAUUGGCCCGUGGGAGUACAAUAACCAACUCCGAUACGAGUUGCGUUUCUAAAUAUUCAUUUUCAUUUAAAAUUAGAGAUAGAUCCUAGUCGGUUAGGAAAUUGGUUGUAACAGGCUAUAAAUAGUCAUCUUUAGAGAUUUGUAAACACACAUCAAUCAAUACAACAAUCUACUUUUUCAUCGUACUUUACUUUUAAGUCGGUGACUUCACCAAUACAUCUUUUUCUUUCACGAGUUCGUACGGGUUGGCAGGGCUGCAUAGACACGAUCUCGGCUGAUUCUGUAAGUUCCGUCUAUCGAGUAAUAUCUAAGCUUUAUUGGAGGUAUGCCCUAGAGGCAAUCAUAGAGAUGAUGAUAUUCCAUUUGUAUCCAUGAUGUAUGUUGUGUUCAUUGAAUAUCCAUUGAAGGCUACUAGAAUUGAUUUGCAAUUAUGUGAAUUGUGUGUGAAACUCUUUACUUGUAUGGGUAUUCUAAAGUUGUCCCUAGUCGGAGUUCAUGUGAGGACACAUAUGAAUAUUAGACUAGCACAUGUAUUAGUUGAUGACUAUGUUUCACAAGUCAUGGACAUGGAGAUGUUGAACUAAUAAUGUGGGCACAUGUGGAGACAUGUGCUAGGACUGACCCAACACGAGAAGUAGUUCUCUCUUUAUACAACAUAUAUGCUUUGUCCUUAGACCUGAGAUUGUCGCAUGUAAUCAAGAUGUGGAUCGACUUACAUAGGGGCUAUCAAAUGCUACGCCGUAACAGGGUAGUUAUAAAGGUAGCUUUCGGGUUUGUCAAGAAGCAUGCUAUGAGACAUGGUCAAUCAAGAUGGGAUUUUCCCCUCUCUGAUUGAGAGUGAUAUCUCUGGGCCCCUUGUGAUCGGAUCCGAAAAUGCAUGGCCAUGUACGUACGGUUAAGAGUUAACCUACAAAGGAAUUCUGAAUCACAGGAUCGAGAAAGAGCGGUCGGCUUGAAGCUAGACCAAAUAUCGUGAGGCAAAGGGAAUAGCAUGUAUAUAAUGUUGUGAUGGUUCGUCUGAUAUGAUCUUCGUGUGCAUAUAGGAGUUGGCACGUCUUGCUAGAGACCGCUACCGACUAUUGGGCCGAGUAGGAGUACUCGGGCCAUGUCUAUACGUAUCCGAACCCAUAGGGUCACACACUUAAGGGGCUGGAAGCCCAAUUCGGAUGUGAUCCGAGUUGGAUUAGGUUUAGAAGUACUAAUGGGCCUCGGACCCAGAGGCCCGUUAGGAACCUCUAUAAAUAGAGGGGUGGGGUCGCCCUAGGUUUUACACCUUUUGGUGAAACACAUCUGCCGCGCCUCCCACGCCGUCGCCUGUUGCAACUCACGGAUCUAGCAGUCCGGGUUGCGACGCUUCCUCCCUGCACGUGUGGAUACCUUGGAGGUGUUGCGCCUGCAGCACUUGGACGAGCCACCGACGAGCCAUGACAAGCCGCCGACGAGCCACAACGAGCCGUCGACAAGCCACGACGAGCCGCCGCCGAGCCGCGGCACGAGGGUGAUCUUGCUGCACGUGGACGAGCUGCUGAGGAGCUGCUGGACAUCGACGUGAUUGACUACGUACGACUACGUUGAUUAACUUCGCUGCAUCGACGCGAAUCUAUAUCUUCCGCACCAGUAGUGCGUCGAGUGGUAAUCCCGUGAUCCUUAUACAGCAGUUUUCCUGGUUUACGCGGUAGAAAUUUUAAUUUGCGCUAGUGUAGCCUACCUUAUAUCCAAACAGUGGUAUCAGAGCCGUAGCUGUUUAGUUUUGGAUUCGGGAUGUGUGCAUAUGGAGAUAUGCGAGUUUUCAGUUUGAUCUAUGUCCUGGUUUCGUGUUCUUGCUGCAAUGGUAGUGUAACGACAUACUCCUAAUGGUAGUGAUACACAUAAUUCCAGUUGCAGUGAGCGAAGAUCAAUGUGAUUGGUCGAAUCGAAAUCCAGGUUCAUACGGUAGGCGCAUGAGAUGUGCAAUAGUAGAUGGGAUCUACUACCGGGGUCGGCAUUUUGCCGUGUGCGUAUGCUUCGGUAAAUCAGUUGUAACUUUUCGGUACGAUCUCGGAUCAUGGCGAAUUUUAUAUGAAAAUUGAUCUAUAGAAAAAGUUACACAUGAAAUUCAAUGGUAAUGCCAUUUUUGGCGAAAUUAGAUUUCCCAAAUUCGGCUUGGAAGAUGGAGUUUCGGGCCUCCGAAGUUUGGAACGUUAGGACGCUUAACUCUGUUUUGCAGGAUGUAUGUAUCUUGUGAUCAGUAUGACCCCUUUGUGUAUGUGAUGCAUGUGUGUAACUCAUUCGUGACCUGCGUGUCAUGCGUACGGCAACACGGCAGGAGCCAUAUGUGUUGUCACUUUAAUGUAUUUAAUGGUCUGCGUACCAAUCUGUGAUGAUCCAAGCAACUAUGUAAUCUUCAUUACUAGCUUUUUACUAGCUAUUAGGCAUAAUAGCAUGUUCUAAUUCUUGGAGGACUCAUCACCAGGAGGAUGGUGCACAUGGAACAUGGAGAUGGAGAUCACCAUGGUGAACAGGUUCUAUGGAGAUGGAGAUCACUAUAAGAAAACGGGCCAUAUUGUGUCACAACUAUGUGAAUGCUAUUCUGUUUAUGUUUUACUUUCUGCAUGCUGUGAUGUUAGAAGUAGAACGAUCCCUCACAAAGUUUAAGUUAGUAUGCCCUCCCAACUAACACUUGCACCGUCCCAUGUCUUGUACAUUUAGUGGUGGGUCUAUGAAAUUAGGAUGCCACUAGUUUUCCUUGACUAGACGGGUUUGCGUCGGACACUUACAUGCAUAAGGGUUGGUUUGCUUAACAAGGUUAUCUUAACGGUUAAGGACCUUGGGGCAUAAGGUUGGGUGCCGAGACAUGGAGAUGUCACCCAACAACAGGAGUCAUAUGUGAUAUGAUUAGCAAAAGUUGCUUACCGAUCUACCUUGUUUGCUAGCGGUGAUGCUAAAGCUCACUAGUAGACUUGUUAGUUGUGGAUCCUGAAUCACUAAGUAUCAAUAGAGGGAUAUUGAUUUUAGUGGGAGUAGAUUCUGUUAAAAUAGUUUAAUGUGAUUUGCUCUAUCAUGGAUACGUUUGUCUUAGUGUAUUUUGCAUUACUUUUGUUGUAGAUUAAAUGGCACCAAGCAGCACUACACCGUUUGCUUUGCGUUCGGUCCUUGAGAAGGACAAGUUGAAUGGAACAAAUUACUCGGAUUAGAUCCGUAACCUAAGAAUUGUUCUUAGGGCUGAGAAAAAGGAAGAUGUUCUAGACAACCCACUACCAGAAGAACCUGCUAAUGAUGCACCUGCUGCUGCUAAGAAUGCUUACAAGAAAGCAUGUGAUGCUAACCUCGAAGUAAGCUGCCCUUUGCUUGCUUGCAUGGAACCCGAGCUGUAGAUGCAGUUCGAAACAAACCAUGAGGUGCACGAUAUGAUCAUGGCGCUUAGAGACAUGUUCCAAACACAGGCCAGGACUGAAAGGUUCAAUGUGUCUAAGGCCUUUGUGGAGAGCAAGCUAGCAGAAGGCGCAGCAGUAGGACCACACAUAAUCAAGAUGGUUGGUUACACUCAACGGUUGGAGAAGCUGGGGGCUUCCCACUGGGCCAAGUUGGCCACUGAUUUCAUUCUUUCGUCUCUUCCGCCUAGCUAUGGGAACUUCAUCUCGAACUACCAUAUGCAUGGGACGGAGAAGGGUCUGAAUGAGCUGUGUGACAUGCUUAAAAUAGCAGAGGCUGACAUCAAGAAAAGCGCUAGUAGCAGCCAUGUGAUGGCUAUACAGAACAAGCCUAGCUUUAAGAAGAAGGGCAAUUCUUGGAAGAAGAAGGGCAAGGCUGGAACGUCCAAGCCAAACCCAGCGCCCAAGGUUAAAGCUAGACCUGGACCUGCUCCAGACAAAGAGUGCUUUUACUGUCAUGAUUUUGGUCACUAGAAGAGAAAUUGCAAGCAGUACCUAGCUUCGUUGAAGAAUGGCGGAAGUAAGAGUACUUCCACCUCAGGUACGCUUGUUAUUAAUGUUAUAGACAACAUAUUUCUUGCUGAUACAAUUAUUAAUUCUUGGGUAUUUGAUACCAGAUCGGUUGCUCAUAUUUGCAAUUCGAUGCAGGGAAUGAUAAGAAGUAGAAGCGUGGAAAGAGGAGAAGUUGAUUUCCGCGUGGGCAAUAAUGCAAGAGUUGCUGCAUUGACCGUCGGGACGAUGCAACUCCACCUCCCGUCAGGAUUUAUUAUGGAGUUGAAUAAUUGUUAUUUCGUUCCUAGUUUAAGUCGAAACAUUUUGUCUCCUUCAUGCUUGAUGAAGGAUGGUUAUUUAUUUGCGAGUGAAAACAAUGGUUGUGUGAUCUUUAAGAAUGAUAUGUUUAUGGCUUUUGCACCCAUUGUGAAUGGAUUAUUUGUUUUAAAUCUUGAUGGUUCACCUGUUUGUAACGUAAGUGCUAAAAGGCCUCGGCCUAAUGAUUUGAGUCCUACCUACUUGUGACAUUGUCGUUUGGGUCAUAUAAGUGAAAAGCACAUGAAGAAGCUCCAUUCUGAUGGACUUCUAACUUCGUUUGAUUUAGAAUCAUACGAGACAUGUGUGAGGCUUGCUUGCUAGGCAAGAUGACCAAGACGCCUUUCACAGGAUUUCCUAAGAGAGCAGUAGACUUGUUGGAACUCGUACAUAGUGAUGUAUGCGGACCAAUGAGCACGACAGCUAGAGGAGGAUUCCAAUACUUCAUAACUUUCACUGAUGAUUUUAGUAGAUAUGGCUAUGUCUACUUGAUGAGGCACAAGUCUGAAACCUUUGAAAAGUUCAAGGAAUUUCAGAAUGAAGUUGAAAAUCAGCGUGGCAAGAAAAUUAAGGCCUUACGAUCUGAUCGUGGAGGCGAGUAUUUGAGCCACGAGUUUAGCAAUCAUCUAAAGAGUUGCGGAAUUAUUCCACAACUUACUCCGCCUGGAACACCUCAGAGAAACGGUGUGUCUGAGCGACGUAAUCGUACUUUGUUAGACAUGGUUUGAUCAAUGAUGAGCCAGUCUGACCUACCGUUGUCAUUUUGGGGAUACGCUCUAGAAACAGCAGCUUUCACACUUAAUAGGGUACCAUCUAAAUCCGUAGUUAAGACACCAUAUGAGAUGUGGACUGGAAAGGUUCCCAGUUUGUCUUUUCUAAAGAUUUGGGGAUGUAAAGUGUUUGUCAAGCGACUUUAGUCGAACAAGAUCACACCCAAGUCGGAUAAGUGCAUUUUCAUGGGAUAUCCAUGCAAUCCGAAAUAGAGUCCAUGGGAGACAAUCAAGUUUGGAACUUGGUUGACCCGCCUGAUGGUGUUAAAGCCAUAGAGUGCAAGUAGAUCUAUAAGAAGAAAAAGGACAUGGAUGGAAAUGUUCACAUCUAUAACGCACGACUUGUCGCAAAAGGUUUUCGACAAGUUCAAGGAGUUGACUACGAUGAGACUUUCUCGCCCGUAGUGAUGCUUAAGUCCAUUCGGAUUACUCUAGCUAUAGCUGCAUAUUUCGAUUAAUGAGAUAUGACAGAUGGAUGUCAAGACAGCUUUCCUAAAUGGAAACCUAGCUGAGGAUGUGUAUAUGAUACAGCCUAAGGGUUUUGUCGAUCCAAAAAAUGCUGGAAAGGUAUGCAAGCUUCAAAGAUCCAUUUAUGGAUUGAAGCAAGCAUCUAGGAGUUGGAACAUUCGUUUUGAUGAAGUGGUCAAAGGGUUUGACUUCACCAAGAACGAAGAAGAGUCUUGUGUUUACAAGAAGGUUAGUGGGAGCUCUGUAGUAUUUCUAAUCUUAUAUGUGGAUGACAUAUUGCUGAUUGGAAAUAACAUUCGUAUGCUUGAGUCUGUAAAGACUUCACUGAAAAAUAGUUUUUCGAUGAAGGACUUAGGGGAAGCGGCAUAUAUUCUGGGCAUUAAGAUCUAUAGAGAUAGAUCAAGAAGGCUUAUAGGAUUAAGUCAAGAUACUUACAUUGAAAAAGUGUUGAAGCGGUUCAGCAUGGAAGAGGCAAAGAAAGGGUUCUUGCCUAUGUCACAUGGCAUACAUCUUAGCAAGACUCAGUGUCCUUCGACUGCUGAUGAGCGGGAUCGCAUGAGUAGAGUGUUAUAUGCCUCGGCUAUUGGAUCUAUCAUGUAUGCAAUGAUAAGUACUUGCCCAGAUGUUUCAUAUGCGCUAAGUGUGACAAGCAGACACCAGUCUGAUCCAGGUGAGAGUCACUGGACAGCGGUGAAAAACAUUGUUAAGUACUUGAGAAGGACUAAAGAUAUGUUCCUCAUCUAUGGAGGUGAGGAGGAGCUCGUUGUAAUAGGUUACUCCGAUGCUAGUUUCCAAACCGAUAGAGACGAUUCAAAGCCACAAUCAGGAUUUGUGUUCACGCUAAAUGGUGGUGCUGUUAGUUGGAAGAGUUCCAAGUAGGAGAUGGUGGCCGAUUCUACGACAAAAGCCAAGUACAUCGCGGCUUCGGAAGCCGCGAAGGAGGGUGUUUGGAUAAGGAAUUUCCUCAUUGAGCUUGGUGUGUUCCCGAAUGCGUCCAGCCCAUUGAAUCUCUACUGUGAUAACAAUGGGGCAAUUGCGCAAGCAAAGGAGCCAAGGAACCACCAGAAGAACAAACACGUAAUGCGGCGAUUUCAUCUCUUUCGAGACUUCGUUAACUGGGGUUAGAUCAAGAUAUGCAAAAUACACACGGAUCUGAACAUUUCUGAUCCGUUGACAAAACCACUCCCGCAGGCUAAGCAUGAUGCGCAUGUAAGAGCUAUGGGUAUUAGGUACCUUCUAGAUUGACUCUAGUGCAAGUGGGAGACUAUUGGAGGUAUGCCCUAGAGGCAAUCAUAGAGAUGAUGAUAUUCCAUUUGUAUCCAUGAUUUAUAUUGUGUUCCUUGAAUAUCCAUUAAAGGCUACUUGAAUUGAUUUGCAAUUAUGUGAAUUGUGUGUGAAACUCUUUACUUGUAUGGGUAUUCUAAAGUUGUCCCUAUUCGGAGUUCAUGUGAGGACACAUAUGAAUAUUAGACUAGCACAUGUAUUAGUUGAUGACUAUGUUUCACAAGUCAUGGACAUGGAGAUGUUGAACUAAUAAUGUGGGCACAUGUGGAGACAUGUGCUAGGACUGACCCAACACGAGAAGUAGUUCUCUCUUUAUACAACAUAUACGCUUUGUCCUUAGACCUGAGAUUGUCGCAUGUAGUCAAGAUGUGGAUCGACUUACAUAGGGGCUAUCAAAUGCUACGCCGUAACAGGGUAGUUAUAAAGGUAGCUUUCGGGUUUGUCAAGAAGCAUGCUAUGAGACAUGGUCAAUCAAGAUGGGAUUUUCCCCUCUCUGAUUGAGAGUGAUAUCUCUGGGCCCCUUGUGAUCGGAUCCGAAAAUGCAUGGCCAUGCUACGUACGGUUAAGAGUUAACCUACAAAGGAAUUCCGAAUCACAGGAUCGAGAAAGAGCGGUCGGCUUGAAGUUAGACCAAAUAUCGUGAGGCAAAGGGAAUAUCAUGUAUAUAAUGUUGUGAUGGUUCGUCUGAUAUGAUCUUCGUGUGCAUAUAGGAGUUGGCACGUCUUGCUAGAGGCCGCUACCGACUAUUGGACCGAGUAGGAGUACUCGAGCCAUGUCUAUACGUAUCCGAACCCAUAGGGUCACACACUUAAGGGGCUGGAAGCCCAAUUCGGAUGUGAUCCGAGUUGGAUUAGGUUUACAAGUACUAAUGGGCCUCGGACCUAGAGGCCCGUUAGGAACCUCUAUAAAUAGAGGGGUGGGGGCGUCCUAGGGUUUACACCUUUUGGUGAAACACAUCUGCCGCGCCUCCCACACCCUCGCCUGUUGCAACUCACGGAUCUAGCAGUCCAGCUUGCGACCCUUCCUCCCUGCACGUGUGGAUACCUGGGAGGUGUUGCGCCUGCAGCACUUGGACGAGCUGCCAACGAGCCAUGACGAGCCGCCGACGAGCCACAACGAGCCGCCGACAAGCCACGACGAGCCGCCGCCGAGCCGCGGCACGAGGGUGAUCUUGCUGCACGUGGACGAGCUGCUGAGGAGCUGCUGGACAUCGACGUGAUCGACUACGUACGACUACGUUGAUUAACUUUGCUGCAUCGACGCGAAUCUACAUCUUCCGCACCAGUAGUGCGUCGAGUGGUAAUCCCGUGAUCCUUAUACGGCAGUUUUCCUGGUUUACGCGGUAGAAAUUUUGAUUUGCGCUAGUGUAGCCUACCUUGUAUCCCAACAAGCUUUAACUUCGGGUGCAUCGCUGUCGUUUCAUUUAGAUUUAUUCACCAGUUAUCGAUAUUUACUAGAAUUAUAAGUUUUAUAUACUGUUCUAGUUUUAUCACCAGUUAUCCAGCUUGAGAUUUGAACUAUCGACUCUAUUGUUGUUAUUUUUCAUUCAUCAUUAUCGCAUGGCUGAUUAGAUCUAUUUCGAGUGUUGCUUUUGUAGCUUUAUCUAGUUUACUCUACUAGUUUUCUUUGUGAUCGCUACAUGAUUGUCGGCUGUAUCAUAGCCAAUUAUCUUUAUAUAGCAAAUCGGCCAAUUUGCUGAUACGCUUUUCGAGAUCAGAACCUUAGCCGAUCGAAGCCCCUGGAAUUUGACAUGUUUUCUUCCUUGCCAAUCAACAGGUUAGAUUGGCUAGCACGCUGCGCGAACCGCACCAGGAAGAUUAUCCGAACAGGAGCUAAGCAGAUUCUCCCGGGUCGUGUGUCCGACGCUGAAGGUCAAUCAGCUGAUUUUUAGCGCCAACAGACGUAAGCCUAGAUAGCACUGGUGUCUUCCUAAGGUUUGUUUUACCAUAAAAAUAAUUCCUUAUCCUUGACCUCUGUGAUGACUAUUCUCGCUCCUUAUACAUUUUAUCUACGCCUUGAUUGCUUAUUUUUGAACAACCUUAGCUCCUGAUUGUUUACCCCCACCUUGUUUUGCUAUCGCUAAACCCUCAAUCCUUGUCUAUUGACUCAUUCUCUCCUUGAAAAAAAAAUUAUUUUUGCUACUCGCACCUUCAAUUACCUUUCUUGUUUUUGCUAAAACCUUAACCCUUGUCUGUUUAUUCUUUCUCGUUGAUGCCUUUUUGAUCUUCAUCAUACGUCUCGUUUGAUGAAUUUCCCUAUCUGGAUGCAUAUCAUCUCCUUAAUUUAAUUGUGAUAUUGUUACCCCCUCAUCCUUGCUCAUUUAUCUCCUUGGUAUUUUCCUUGUCGACCUAUUUAUCCUUGUAAACCAAUCUCCUCCUUGAUUUUAAUUUGAAUAUAUCCAUCUUUUCCCGUUGUACCUCUCCUUGCUUUUCAAAUACCUUGGAAUCUUUCCCUUGAAUUUUGAUUCCAAAGUAUCUUUUCUAAUUUAAAAAAAAUGUUUGGAUGAUCCACGCCUCCUAUUCUAAAGCCUGUUUAAGUCAUCUGAAGAAUGAAGCUAUCGGUUUAUCACAAGAAGUCAAACCUCAACGACUGAAGAAGUAAUCCCUUCAUAGGAGUACCCCUUUACAGCUUUACUAACAACGAUUAGCAUCGUUCCUUGCCUGUGUUGAUUGGUGAAGUUCUGUGUGUUGCUUGAUGAUGCUUGUCUUUAUGACCUUGAUUGAGUUGGUUCUUUGUAUUGAUUGUUGGUGUAUUGUGGGUCUUCUACCUACAAUGACAUUAGUUUUCUAGCUGGGUUCUUCUUUUGACCUCCCACCUCAUUGUUAUCCUCCUUUCUUUCUACUCAAUCCAAUGAAGAAGGUCGAAAGAAGGAAACUGAAGGCAACACCAACACAUCAACAAGCAGAUGUUAACAUCACCACCACCAUCUCGAUGGAAGCAAGUUGAAGAUUUGAAGGCUUUACUUUGAUCUCCCUAAUCUUACUCCAAUGAAGAUUUCAAGAAUCAAGAAGAUGAAGAAAGCAGAAAUUCUACUCGCAACAAGCAAGGAUGAAAGACUAUCCACUCUACUAGAAGAAUCUUGUUGUCUACCUCCUCUUCAUUUCUUUAUCUCUCUUUUCAAAUAUGUAUGUGCUUCCCACCUCCUUGUUACCUUUAUUUCUAUCUAUCAACUCUGAUGGACAUCAAGAAAGCAAGUAAAGGCAACAUCAAUGUCAACAAGCAGAUGUUAUCGCCAUCACAACCGUCGAAAUAGAAGCAAGUCGAAGAAAAGAAGUUCCUACUCUAGUUUCUUUGCUAUCCUGUUGCUUUCUAUCCUCCCAUCUAUCUCACUCUGAAGACAAUUCAAGAACAGAUGAGGAUAUCAUCAAGUACUCUAUCCUGUUCUGCAAUUUUAUCCAUUUCUAUUCUCUAUUCUAAUCUUAUCUUUAUCACCCAACCAGAUGGCGAGUCCUAGUGGAAAUCAUGAAGAUAGCGCCAAUGAAGGUGACCUCAACAUUCCACCCGAAGCCUCAUCGUUUGAAUGCAAGAUGUUAGAGUAUAUGGCAACACAAAAUCGGACUUUACAAGCAGUGGCUCAAAGCUUGGUCACUACCCAUCAAUAUAUCACAGAGCAAGCCUCACUUACUCGAAACAACAACUCUAUCACCAGUGGUGACAAUCAAGUUUAGCCUGUUCCACCACCGUUUGACAAAGGGAAGCUAUUAGCCAUGCAAGCUCAAGACUUACAAGGAAUGAUGCAGACUAACAUGGAGACGAUGAAGGCUGGAAUUCCCACUGAACCAGUGAAGAGGCAAGUUGCUGAAGCAGGGAACCGUCAAAGGAACAAGACAAGCCAUGAAGCGCCAGAGCCAGAAAUGGAGAGACAACAUGAGGAUGUUAAGAUUCCAGGAAAAUGUCAAUGUUGUGAACACCAUGGACUUCCAUGUCUCCAAGAAGAAGAUAGUCUAAUGACAGUUGAAGCCAGACAAUGUUAUUAUUUAGACAUUAAUAAGAAGAGAAAGUUGUAUUCCCAAGGACCGAUGCUAGAGGAAGUUACUCAAGAUGAAGAUAGUACUCAGACUAUGCACCUUGAGGGUUGGAGUAUCUCUUUCAAAGAAUUUCAGCCCAGUCGAAGUAGACAAGUCAAGAAGCCAACUAGUAAAACAAGCAAAGCGCAGGGAUCGAACCCACAACCUCAGACCACAAAGAGUGCAAGCAAUACCACAACUAGUAAAGCAAGUCAAGAAAAGGAUGAUCGACCCCAGGACCAAGGACCCAAUAGCCCCGCAUUCAGUCCGACAACAUCAGUUGGUCUCUUAAUCAAGACGAACGAUCGGAAUGCCUCAGUUAGGAAAGAAUGCCCUCACAUUCCGAUGCUCAAUUGUCAUACCACAUGCAGUUGCCAAGGUUUCAAAACAAGAAAAACAUGUUACUAUUGCAAAGAAGGACAUUUCAAAAAUCAGUGCCCUAAGAAGCGUCUGGACCAAAAGGAGAAGAAGACUAAAGGAUGUGUAUGAAGAGUUGAGUAUGAUUCAAGACAAACAAGUCAAAGAGAAGACAUCAAGCUCUAUUCAAAUCACUUUAUCAAGAUAUGAGUGAAGAAUCUUCAAAGAUGGAGUAAUGAAGGAAAAAAAGAAAUGGAUAGUUAAAAGAUGAAUUAGACUACAUAUCCCUGAAGUGUUUCUGUCUUUAUGUGAGUUGUGGAGAAUAAAGAAGUAUGAUUGAGAAGCUUAUGUAAGGAUGAACGAUCUGGAAGAAAAGCUAAUACGUGUUGGAUGCUACCCACCUAAACCUUUGUCUCUUGCUAGCCUUUGCGAAUCUUGGGACGAGAUUCUUGUUAAGGGGGGUACUGUUAUCACACCCUGAUAUUUGGAUGUGAUUAAAAAGAAAUAAUUAAACAACGAUUUUCUAUAAUUUAAAAUUUUUGCCAACAUUUAUUUUCUUUUCAGGAAAUUUAGUAUAGGAAAAAUAAUUAUUUGUUUUCAAAAUUAAAUAAGGUUGUUGUUCUCUGUCUCUGCAUUCAUGCUGAUGUAUUUUGGAGUUUUAUGAGUGAAAAAGUUUCAAAAAUACGUUUAGACGUUGUCCAAGUUCUUCUUUUCCUUGAGCCUAAUCCAAUUUUUUUUGGAUGGUUCUAAAAUCCUUUUCAUGAGCUCUAAAUAUUUUAUUUGGAUUUCUUGUGUCCCGAUCUAUCUCUGGGAUUUUUCCUAGAUUUUUUGGGAUUUUUAGACUAUUUUUCGUUGUUCAAAGUAUUUAUCUAGAAUUUUCUGGAUUUAUAUUCCCAUGUAAAAUAAUUUCUAAAAAAUAAUCUAAUCUUUCUUUUUUAAAUGGGCCGACCCGCGAACCCGGCCCGCCUCACACCAGCCCAGCAUGCUGCCAACCUUUUUCUUCUGCCGACCCGGCCCAGCUCUCGGCCCAGCUCCUCCUCUCUCAGGCCGGCCUCGCCUUCCUCUUCCACCGGCCUGGCCCACCACCUGUCCCUCUCUCCCCCUCACUGCCAGGCAGGCCCUGCCUGUCCCUCUCUCCCCCUCACUGCCAGGCAGGCCCUGCCUGUUCGAUCCACCUUCCUCCUCUAGCCGCGCCACCAGGCCAAGUUGCGCCGCCAUCCCAGUGUCCCUCCACCUCUCGGAGUCGCUCCGACUCUCCACGCCCCACGCCCCCUCAGCUUCCCGUGCCCGCUCGCCUCCCGCACGAGCGCCGCCUGCCCCUCCAUUUCCUCUCCCCCACCGGAAACCGUCGCCCCCACCGCCGGUUGCCAUUAAUGGUUGCCGCCGCCCUUUCCUGUCCACCAGCGCCCCCUCCGCUCCCCUGUCCCUUCGCCCUAUAAAACGAGCACCUAAGCCCCGGGAGUCCUUGCUGCUGCUCGCCUGCCACCUCGCUGCUUCGCCAAGCGCCGCCGCACCAAGCCUCCGAGCCGCCGCUGCUUACCCGCGCCCGCCGCCGCCUGUGUUGCCCCUGCGCUGAGCUGCCGGGCUACCUGCGCUGUUGUCCUGGCCGCCCGCUGCACCGGUGCGCCACCACUGCCGCAACUGUGCACGCUCUGCCCCCUUUGGCCCGGCCAGCAGCCGCCGCCGAUAAUCUGACCGGCCACACGAGCGGAGCAAGCAGGAAUUGGAGGUAGAAGUGUUGACGCCAGAUUUCGUCACUAGUAAAAUCGGCGCCAAGAAGAGAGGGAAUCGGAGAAGCACAGUUGGGAAUUGGUCGAGUGGUGCUACAGUGUGAGAUCGGCCAGUGACUUCUGUCUUGCUUCGGAUCGGACGUGCCGGGGUCCCAAUCGGUUGCCUUUUGCCGAUAAGGAUUCGGCCGAUUAGGAGGUUGGUUUAAUUGGGCCUGUAUGGGCUUGGAAAGGAAUAAAAGGAUAAGGGGGAGAUCAGCCCAUGAAGCAUAGAGUAACCAACCUAGCACGAAUCGUGCUUCUAAAUAUUCGUUUUUUGUUUGAAUUAGGGAUAGAAUUCUAGUCGGUUAAGAAGUCAUCUGUACGGGGCUAUAAAUAGCUACCUUUGUAAAUCUGUAAUCAUCAACAAAUCAAUACAACAAGCUACUUUUUCCUCGUACUUACUUUCAAGCAGGCGACUUCGCCAAUACUUUUCUCUCUUUCACGAGUUCGUGCGGGUUGGCAGGGCUGCAUCAGCUUGAUCUCCGGCCGAUUCUGUAAGUUCCGCUUAUCGAGUAAUAUCUAAGCUUUAACUUCGGGCGUAUCGCUGUUGUUUCGUUUAGAUUUAUUCACUAGUUAUCGAUAUUUGCUAGAAUCAUAGGUUUUACCUGUCUUUCUAGUUUUACCACCUGUUACCCAGCUAGGAAUCGGUAGUUUCGGCUCUCUUCACAUUCUGCUAUUAGAUUCAUCUAUUGCCGAUUAGACCUAUUCCUGGUGUUGUUAUCAUAGCUUUGUAUCGAUUACUCUAGUGGUUUUCUGUCUACAAGGCUACAGUGAUCGGCUGUUUUAUAGCCGAUUCCUUUAUUACGGCAAAUCGGCCGAUUCGCUGAUAAGCUCCCUCGAGAUCGGAAACUUAGCCGAUCGUGAUUUCCGGACCUGACACGCAUUCUUCCUUGCCAAUCAACAGGUCAGAUUGGCUGGCACGCCGCGCGAACCGCACCAGGGCAAUCACCUGAACAGGAGUUAAGCAGAUUCUCCCGGGUCGUGUGUCGAACGCUGGGAUUCGGUUGACCGAUUUCUAGCGCCAACACACUUUUGGCACGCCUGGUGGGACAAAUACAACCGCCAUCAUGUCGAAAGCUGCUGAAGUCUCCGAAGAUAACGUCAUUGAGGUGACGGAAGCAGAUUUGAAGGACGACCAGAAGGAAGAAUUGGAUAAGUAUACGGCGCAGUUCCGGAAAGCUUGCCUAAAGUCUUUCAGUCACUCCAGAAGCGGGGAGACUAUCAAGAAAAAUCCGUUCCCUGCUCCCCGCCAAAUCACAAUUUCUGAGGAUUUGGACAAAAUGUCCAAUAUGAUUCAACAGUCUAUUUAUCACGCCUUCGUUGAUCAGUCCCCAGUACUUUCAAAUAUGGUGCACAACGCCGUUGUCAACUCCUUCGCUGGUGGGAUACCUCAAGGAUACAGGGGACCGGCAUAUUUUCAGCCGAUUCCACCAAACUAGAAUCAUUCGAAUUCGGUUUCACAGCCGAUCCAAUUUUCUGUCGGGGUUUUAGGUGCUUCUUCGUCAUCAGCUCCUAUGGGGUAUAACUCCAUCCAACUGUCCUCUGCACCAUUCCCUCCAGUUAGCCCAUCACCCUGGGGGGCACCUUCAGCCACGGCCGGUCAGAAUCAAUCGGCCAGUCAAGGAAACCCUCCAUUCCAGGCAUCUUUCCAGGCGGCCAUUCGGCCGACCGUACCGCCAUACCAGCCUGUCGCUCCAGAGGUCAACAAGACAGCAGAGCUCAUGCUAUAUGAUGAAACGACUGGCUCAUUCAAACAACCGACCUUUACUACACAGCCAGCUUUCACUCAGAUACCACCUGCUUUCAAUCAGCCUCCGUUUGUUCCGCCUCCGGUUUACCAGCGCGUGCCAAUACCUCAGCCAACGGUUCACCAGCAACAGCCAGAUUGGUCGGCACGUAUUGCGGAGGUGAUGCAAGAAAAAUUCGGCUUGAAGCCGAAAGUACAAACUUAUACCUACAGGACACCAUACCCGUCUACAUAUGACCUAUUGCCGUUCCCCCAUCGGUAUAAAGUUCCUGACUUCACUAAAUUUUCGGGGAUGGAUGACACUUCGACCGUAGAGCACGUGAACAGAUUCAUCAUCCAAUGCGGAGAGGCAGCCACGCAGGAUGCCCUACGGGUACGGUUGUUCUCAUCAUCCUUGUCUGGUUCGGCCUUUCAAUGGUUCACGACAUUGCCGCCAAACUCGAUUAUCACAUGGGCCGAUUUAGAAAGACAGUUCCACAAAUACUUCUACGCCGGGGUGCAUGAGAUGAAGCUGUCCGAUUUGACCAGCCUCAGGCAAAGAAGUGACGAGCCGAUAUCCUCGUAUAUACAGAGGUUUCGGGAAAUCAGGAACAAGUGCUACUCCCUGGCUCUAAACGACGCGCAGUUGGCCGAUAUAGCUUUUCAAGGCCUUCUGCCCCACAUCAAAGAAAGAUAUGCCUCACAGGAGUUCGAGAGUUUGAGCCAGAUUGUCCACCGAUUGUCUGGACAGGAGGUACGUGCCUUCGAUCCACGGAGGAAUUUCCAGAAGAAAGUGGCGUUCCUGGAAGAAUUAGAGGACGAAGAAGACGUUGAAGUCGGACUUGCGGAGUGGAUCAAGGGAAAGAAGCCGAUAUCAUGCCCUUUCGGAAAAAAGGAACCGGAAGUGUUCGGCUUUGACACAACUAAGGCCGAUAAGAUCUUCGACCUUCUCCUCCAGGAAGGACAGAUUAAACUCUCGCCAUAUCAUACAAUACCUUCUGCCGAACAACUAAAAAAGAUGAAGUACUGCAAGUGGCACAACGCCACAUCCCAUGAUACUAAUGAGUGCAAAAUCUUCAGGCAGCAGAUACAGUCGGCCAUUGAGCAGGGCAGACUUAAAUUUGAAGUGCUGACAAAAUUGGCCAAGCCAAUGAAGAUCGACCAACACCCCUUCCCCACCAACAUGGUUGAUACGGGAAAGAAUUCACUACAAACAAAAGUGCUGACGUCCGAAUCGGCUAAAAAGAGUGGCGUCGUCGACCCCAGAAAUCAAGUUACGCCUGAAGACGUCAAAGGGAAGCGGCGGAUGGAGGAUGACGAUGGCGAAUCAGAAGAGCCACGCAUUACUUCCCAGUUCCUGCUCCAGAAGUACCAACGUCAGCAUGAACGCUCAAGGUCCCGGGAAGAAGCGAUGCGACGGCACGAAGAUCAUUGGAGGUGCCCGUUCUUCAUCCACUGUUGGGAAAACAACCUCAGGCUACCUUCGGCCAAUAAUUGCCCAGAAUGCAAUGGUCCAUAUCGUGGCAAUCGGCCGUUCAACAGGUCUCGCUCCAGAGACGGAAGGCCAGAACCGAUCAGCAGGAAUUGGCGCAACCAAGAUGACCAACGCCCUCCCGUGCGUGAUCGGUUGGGGGGCAGAAGUGACCGAUAUGAUUGGUCGGAAGAUAGACGCCAUGAUAGGCAGGGGGGCAGGACUGAUCGGCAUGACCGGUCAGAAAACAAGGCCAACAUUCACAGCCGGCUCGAAGAGAUGGCCGAUGCUCGGGUGACAGACGAAAACCCGUUAGGACGCGAACCGGAGUGGGAAUGCGCCAAGUCAGGUGGCAGACCAAUAAACCCUAGGUGGUGUCCCGAUGGAUUGACCAAGUCCCAAAAACGAAGAAUCCAACGUCUCCGCCAAUAGGAACAGCAAGAAGAGGAAAGCACGACGGACAAGAAGGAAGGAAGGCCUCGGGUGUGGCGCCCCAAAAGAAACGAUGAAGGAGACGACGAAUCGGCGGGUGGCGAAUCGGCAGCCGAGAUCGGCAUGGUUUUCAUACUGCCGAUGGAAUUCAUGACUCCCGCCGAUCAGCAGGAUAUAUCAGCGAUAGAAGACCAAACGGCACAGUUGGCUUUGGAGCCAAUGAUGGCCAUGUUCGAGAAGCCCGAAGAUGACGAACGACAACACAUGAAGGCACUGUUCCUUAAAGGGCAUGUCGACGGCCGCCCCCUCACUAGACUGAUGGUAGACGGAGGAGCUGCAGUCAACAUCAUGCCGUACGCCGUGCUCCGGAAGCUUGGGAAAAGCGACGACGACUUGACCAAGACAGACAUGAUGCUCAAGGACUUCGAGGGCAACGUGUCAAACGCUCGCGGCGCUCUCUGCGUCGACCUCACCAUCGGCAGUAAGACCCUUCCUACCACCUUCUUUAUUAUUAAUGGGAAGGGAUCCUACAACAUGCUACUCGGCCGGGACUGGAUACAUGCAAACUGCUGCAUCCCGUCAACAAUGCAUCAAUGCCUCGUGCAAUGGGUCGGCGAUAACAUCGAGGUGGUCAACGCCGAUUCCGCGUACAGCAUCGCGGCAGCCGACACGCAGCAGUGGAGCUGCGAAACCGUCAGGUGCAUAUCCGGCAGAGUAUGGGAGACUGAUUUCCUGAAGGUCACCGAUUUUGGCCUACAGCCGAUCCGAGCAGUCGGCUCCGAAGACUCAGAGUAGAUGGAUCAGUUCGCCCGAGAAGAUGGGAAGCUAGGGCACGGGUUCACGUCGGCCGAUUCAUUAGAAAUGGUAGACUUAGGCGAUGGUACCAAACCAAGGCCGACUUAUAUUAGUGCAAAUUUAGACCCAGAAUACAAAUGUAAAUUGACAAAUUUGUUAAAAGAAUUUAAGGAUUGUUUUGCUUGGGAGUAUCACGAGAUGCCCGAUUUGGACCGAUCUAUUGUUGAACAUCGGCUACCCAUAAAACCAGGGUAUCGGCCGUACCAACAGCCUGCACGGCGCUGCAAUCCUAAGAUUCUACCAGAUAUUAAAGCUGAAAUAACUCGGCUAAUCGAAGCAAAAUUUAUUCGGCAAUGCCAUUAUGCCGAAUGGAUCUCCAACAUUGUACCAGUAUACAAGAAAAAUGGAAAGCUACGCGUUUGCAUUGAUUUCAGGAAUCUCAAUCAGGCCACACCGAUGGAUGGUUACCCCAUGCCAACGGCCGAUGUACUGAUCGACGCUGCCGCGGGGCACAAGAUUAUUAGCUUCAUGGACAGAAACGCUGGGUACAAUCAAAUACUUAUGGCCGAAGAGGACAUACCCAAAACGGCCUUCAGAUGCCCAGCACACCUUGGCUUGUUCGAGUGGGUGGUGAUGACUUUUGGCUUGAAGAACGCUGGUGCUACAUAUCAGAGAGCCAUGAAUUACAUAUUUCACAAACUCAUUGGCAUUCUGGUAGAGAUCUACAUCGAUGAUGUCGUAGUCAAGUCCAAAGGUCACGAAGAGCAUCUGGCCGAUUUACGAAGAGUGCUAGAGUGUACCAAAAAACACGGUCUUAAGAUGAAUCCCAAUAAAUGUGCUUUCGGCGUGUCCGCCGGACAGUUCUUAGGAUUCAUGGUACACGAACGAGGGAUAGAGAUCAAUCGGAAGACCAUAGCGGCCAUCAACAAGGUCGUGGCCCCGCAGAACAAAACCGAACUGCAGUCUUUAAUCGGCAAGGUGAAUUUCAUCAGAAGAUUCAUAUCUAAUCUAUCUGGGCGGAUUCAGGCGUUCGCACCACUGUUGAAGUUAAAGCCUGACCAGGAAUUCAUAUGGGGGGAGGAGCAGCGCAAAGCAUUGGAAGAUAUCAAGCAAUACUUGAUCUCGCCACCAGUAUUGGUUCCUCCUCAAACUGGUAAGCUGUUUAAACUAUACUUAUCAGCCGAUGAAAAAGCUAUUGGGUCGGCUCUAGUCCAGGAGUACGAAGGCAAGGAACGAGUAAUUUAUUAUGUCAGUAGAAGACUUCUGGACGCUGAAACAAGAUACCCUCCGGUGGAGCGUUUGUGCCUAUGUCUUUACUUCUCAUGCACCAAACUCAGGCACUAUCUACUGUCGGCAGAAUGCGUGGUCGUAUGCAAAGACGACGUAGUAAAAUACAUGCUAUCACUGCUGAUCUUGAAAGGCCAAAUCGGCAAAUGGAUCUUAGCUUUGUCAGAGUUUGACCUGCGGUAUGAAUCGGCAAAAGCCGUCAAGGGUCAGGUCAUGGCCGAUUUUGUCGCCCAGCACUGCGGACCGGAGAUUGCCCUCGUAGAGCUGGCACCUUGGAUAUUAUAUUUCGAUGGGUCAUCAUGUGGGGUCGGAUCAAGAAUCGGCAUCGUUCUCAUAUCGCCUCGGGGGGGCAAGCUAUGAUUUUUCUCUGCCGAUAGAAACCGCCGCUACUAACAAUCAAGCGGAGUACCGAGCUGUAUUGAAGGGCCUACAACUAUUAAGGGAAGUCAAGGCCGAUUCUGUCGAAAUCUUCGAAGACUCCAUGCUUAUUGUGGAUCAACUGACCGGAAGGUCCGAAUGCAAAGACGACGUAUUAAGAAUUUAUUACGAAGAUUGCUUACAGCUCUUAAAAGAAUUUAGAUCGGCAGUAAUCGAGCACAUCCCAAGGGACCGCAACGAAGAUGCCAACAAACUCGCCCAGCACGCAUCUGGAUAUCGGCCAAUUCUAGGCGCUAUGGCUCUAGAACUCACGGCCGAUGACUGGCGUAAAGAAAUUGCUGACUACCUGAAGGAUCCGUCUAAAAAGGUGGAACGACGAGUACGUUUUCAUGCUACUAAAUACGUACUGCUUGAAGACGACCUGUUCUACCAAACGAUCGACGAAGUUCUUCUCAAAUGCCUUGGGACAGAGGAGGCCAAGACUCUAAUGGGAGAAAUCCAUGAAGGGGUAUGUGGAGCACACCAAUCGGCCCAUAAGAUGAAAUGGAUGAUCAGGAAUAAUGGGUACUACUGGCCAAUGAUCCUCGAAGACUAUUUCAAAUAUUAUAAGGGUUGUCAGGAUUGUCAAAAGUUCGGAAAUGUCCAACGUGCAUCCGCAUCGGCCAUGAAUCCUAUCAUUAAGCCAUGGCCGUUCAGGGGAUGGGGAAUAGACCUUAUCGGCCAAAUUUACCCACCAUCAAGCAAAGGGCACAAAUUUAUUCUGGUGGCUACUGAUUACUUUACAAAAUGGGUAGAGGCAAUUCCGUUAAGAGCUGUGACAUCGGCUAUCAUGGCCGACUUCGUAAGGGAUCACAUCGUCUACCGAUUCGGCAUUCCUCAGACUAUAACGACCGAUCAAGGAACAAUGUUCACAUCGGGGGAAUUUGAGGAAUUUACGACCGAUAUGGGGAUCAAAUUGUUGAAUUCUUCUCCGUAUUACGCCCAAGCCAAUGGCCAGAACGAAUCCUCCAACAAAGGGAUAAUCAAGUUAAUCAAAAGGAAAAUCGAAGAACAGCCAAAAAAGUGGCAUCUGUGUUUGACUGAAGCCUUAUGGGCGUACAGGAUGGCUUGUCAUGGGGCUACCAAGUUAUCUCCCUAUCAGUUGGUGUACGGUCACGAUGCAGUACUACCAUGGGAAUCGAGGGCGGGGUCGAGGCGUAUUUCGCUCCAGGACCAGUUAACGGCCGAUGACUACUCGUCACUUAUGAAAAGGGAACUUGAUGAUUUGGCUGGCCAACGAUUGAGAGCUCUGAUAAGCAUUGAAGAAAAGAAAAAGAAAGUAGCCAGGUGGUACGAUAAGAAGGUCAAAGUCAAACAAUUCUCCCCUGGGACUUAGUAUGGAAGUUAGUAUUGCCGAUUGGGUCGAAAGAUCCUAAAUUCGGAAAGUGGUCCCCUACAUGGGAAGGGCCGUAUAAAAUCGGCAGAUGUGCUCCAGGGAAUGCUUACAUUUUGGAAACAAUAGAGGGAGAAGAAUUUACUAGAGCUCUAAACGGAAGGUACUUAAAAAGAUACUACCCCAGUAUAUAGGUCGGAGCAUAAGAGAUUAACCGUAAUACGAUCACACACAGCCGAUACAAAACGGUUCAAACACAUAGUCGUCCAAAUCGGCCGAUGAAUUCAUUCGGUACGGGCGAUGGGUUACACGGCCGACAGAACACAAGUCACCCUUAGAACAAAAAAUACAAAUAACUAAUUAUUUUUCUUCUUGCGCUCCCUCCCAGUCCGAUCCAACUCGUUCAUAAUACGGAGGUAUUCUUCUUCUAUUUCUUUCAUUGAAGCCUCCGCUUCAACUUGACGAGGGAGAGGAUGGCUCCAAUCCGUGGCCGGGCACGAAGUUCCCGCCGUCGCGUCUUGAAGAACGACUCGCGGAGGAUGCGGAUGGCUCCUGUCGGUUGGAGAGCGUCGGCUACCAUUGCUCUCCACAAACUCCAGGACCACACGAGCUUCCGCGGUGACGUGGUCUCGAAGUUCGUCAUGGUGAGCCCUGAUCAGCUCCAUAUCCUCUGACGACAAUGGGUCCUCAGAGUGUAUGAGCUCAAUGGCGCGUAUGAGCUCAGGGCUAAGACAUUGGGGCUGAAACAAAGAAAGAUUAAAAAAGGGCAUCCUCUUCCUAAGAUCUAAAAGGAGAAAGAGGAGUCGAGGCCAAAGUUUCACCUGGUUGACAGAGGAGGAGGAAGCCGACGAAGACAUGACAGAAAGCCGCGCCGACGAGAGGAGUAAGGAAAUAAAAACCGAAAGCCGAACUGGUACGUUCGGAAGGAAGUGCCUAGGCCGGUACUUAUAAGAAGAAGAGGCGUGGAAAUUUGGUAAGGAUACGUCCCAUCGGAAAUAAGGAAGGCAAUAAAUAGAAAGGGCGUCGCGAAGGGCGGUCAAAGCAGAUAGUAAAUGUUCGUACAAAACAGUUAGUGUUUUACAGAUUACCCAGAAGGGUAUCGAUAGCCGUGAUUGCCCGACGUCGGAUCUGAUCGGCAGAGUCCAGGACCCGUUGGUCUUCAUCCGCCGAUCUGGGGACUUCUGAAGCGCUGCGGUGGAGUUUUAGGGCCUCGUGGGCCAAGCGCUGCCUCUCCCGUGUCAAAUCGGCAAUGACAGAAGGGAGUUCUUGGAGCCUUUUCUCUUCGGCACUGAUUGCCUUGGUCACUUGCUCCAUCUCCUUAGCAAGUUCUUUGAGGCGGUCUAUCUCACCGAUGAUCCCCGGGCGGGAGUCCUCCAGAAAAUGGAUACGCGGAUGUGCCUCUUGAGCUUGACGCUUGAACGCGUCCUCCUCUUCACGAGUCUUGGCCAGCUUGGCGCGAUCGGCCAUGUGGCGAAGGGCUCUGAAGACCGGGAUCCUCAUAGACUCGAUGAAUGCCACCGACGCCAAGGCUUCCUCCGCCUCUUCUGGUACUCGUCCGCUGACGUCACCGAAGAGCUGCCGAAUCGGUGAAGCAUCUUCUACUAGUCGGCCGAUGUCCCCUUGAAGGAGGGAUCGGAUACUAGCCAGUUUGGCUCAGACGUCAUCAGGAAUGGAACUUAAGGCGACUUGGCGGGAAGCGACUUCUUCAUCGUCGGAGAGGGCAACCGCAAAAGAGAAGAGGCUGUUGUCGGGGGUGUCUUGUUCCUGGAGACAAUAAAAAGGAAAAAAAAUGAAUCGGCUGGGAGUAAAAGCAAAUCGGCUGAGUAAAGCCGGAAUAUAACUUACCACUUUGAAGCGAAUUUCUUCAUGUUGCAUUUGGGAAGCCGUCACGCCUUGCUCAGGGGCUUGCACCAUGGGUUCAUCAGAAGAGGAAGACUCCACAACGAUCGGCGCGGUGCUUGGACCAGCUCCCUGAGAAAAGACCGGUGGUUGAGGAGCGCUUGGUGUGCCGAUGACCUGUAUUAAUGAAUUGAAUAAGUAUAUUAUACAAAUAUCAGGAGAAAUUGGCGGAAUAGUGCUAUACCUCAACGGACGGGAGCGGGGGCGUGUCGAUGGCUGAUUGGGCUGCUGCCGAUUGUUGUGUAUCCAUGGGAAUGUUCUGUGCAGUCUAAGAUAAGAAGGGUUAAUAUCGGAACAACAAUCGGGAGGAAUAAAACUUAGGUCUACCUGAACGGCCUCCAAUAACAAUGACGCGGCGGCUGCCCCAGCUUGUGCGAUGACUUGGGUAUCGUCAUCUCUGGUGGCCUGAGAGGGUGGCGCGGCCGGAGUCUCUGCCGAUACAAGCAUAGGAGGAUCCGCCGAUUCUAUACAGGCUCGGACUCGGCGACUGGUCUUCUUGGUGAUCCUCUUCUGAACUUGUUUCGAUCGGCCAAUGAUCACGUCCACGGAUGGAGCAUCAUAGCCGAUGAGAGGAUAAGUGGUGUAUGGAUGAUGACUCUCUAUUAGCUGACCACUUCGGCUAUGUGUUGGAGGUGUACGGUUCUCGGCCUGAAGAAAUAACAAAACCAUUAGUAUUCAAUCACGUUAAGAGGAAUAAAAAUCGGCUAAGGAAAAUACCUCGGCGUUCGGGUCAAUGUUGGCUGGAUCCAGGAGGUUGCAGUAUGCCGAUGCCGAAUUGCAGAAGAGAAAUUGCUUCCAAUCGGCCCACCAGAGUUUGAACGGCUGGACAGCAAAGGGAGCUACUAACCAGUUGUUCAGGUCAAUGGUACUGGAGUCCGGAAUCCGGUCUCGUAACCGACUGUAAUCCAGACCGGAUGUGAGCUCAUCUCUAAACUUGAUUCGGCCAGCAAAAUACACUUGAAUCGGCAGCUGACCCAUGCCGAAUUGACGUGCUGCAACAGAAGGGUUGUAGAACUCAUACGUGGGGGCAUCUUUCCCCGAAAAGAAGUUGGCUGGCAAGAUUCCUGGCUUGAUUAACUCUUCGUUAAGCUCUUCGUCAAAAUGGCCAGUGGUCGAAUCGAAGCAGGUUGGGAGUUCAAAGACCGGGUCAUCCCGCUGAUAAGGAAACCAAAUGGUUGCAUCUUCAUUAAAGCCGUUAUAGAAGCAUCGGAAUACUCGGCUACCUUCAUGGCGGAAUAUGUGCAACCUGGAAAGGCUGAUGCCACUUCACCAAAGGACAUGCAUCGGCGACGUUUGGUAGGGUCUUCUGCCGAUUCGAUGUUGGGGAACAUCAUACGGUCCACCCUCUGCUGAGUGAUCUCGCUCAUGUAAAGGUUCAGCCACAAGUUGAUGAACCACCAGGGUCCGCCUGGAUUUCCGAUCAGCUCUCCCUUGGAUAGUCUGAUGCCGAUUUGGUGGAGCAUGUGGUACGCCGCCCCUAGUAAAUGUUUCCCAAGGGGAACAUGGUUUCCUCUGGACAGCGCUUCGGCUAAAGCCUGGGUGUUGGUUGAUGGGCCGGCGGCUCUUCCACAAAAGAAGUGUUUUUCUAGCCACAUCAUUAAGAAGGCUGUAUGCUCCCUAUUUUCAACAGACCCGGUUCUUUUAUUGCUUCUGAUGAAUCCCUUCCACCCGCCGAUUCCCCUUGUGUCCAGCCGAUGUGAUGUUGCGGCUAAAAGGUGGAAAGGUGUGUCCGGGGAAGAAAUGUCAAGGCCGGUCAACAAGACCACAUCGGCCAGUGUUGGGGUCAUAGGUCCGUGCCCAAAUAAGAAGGCAUUAAGUGCAUCAGACCAAAAAUAAGAAGCCGCUAUUACCAACGGCUCAUUUUUCUCCAUCUGAGACAAGGACAGGUUGAUGCACUGGCCGAUUUUGAGCUCCUCCCAUGAGACACUCUUCGACGCGGCUACCCGUUGGUACCAUUCCCUCCAACCUGGGGUUUCAUUCGGCCAGGACCUAAAAGUACCCAACCAUUGAUCUAAGUCCAUGUCGGACAGUUUGAAGGGUAUCCUGUGGGUUUCCAAAUUGAUAAGCUCUAUUGGAUCUGGGUUCCCCAUAGGUCCGAGACAAACAAGGCCGGGAUUUCCCGUAAGAUGGAUGGUAAUGCGAUGCCUAACUGCUUAAAAAAGGAAAGGGGGGUGUAAAAAAGUAAGAAACAGAUCUAAAGUAAAUGCAUUGCCGAUAGAAGAAGGAUUCGGUAUUAACCUCUGGGAUGAAGUUCUGAGUGGUCGGCGUGGUCGCCGGUGCAGAUGCGGACGAUGAGGCCGUGAUGGGGAUCGCCAUUGGGAUCUCCGAUGAAGCUCCUUCUUCUAUGGAUGGAGCAACGGCCGUCGCCACUACCGCCGGAGGUGCUACCUCUGGAACAUCGCACGUUGGAGAGCUGCCGGAGGGAGCCGCCAUUGGAGGAGAAGGGGAAAAGUAACAGGAGGAUGGCGCUAGAAAGCUUCGGCAGCAAGGGAAAGGUGCUCAAGAAAGAAGACGGCGCGCGCGCUGAGAAAGAGAGACGUGAGCUUGAAGAUGAAGUGCGGGGUGAGCCGCUAUUUAAAGGGUGCCUGAAGGAGGGUAAAAAUGGAAUUUUCACCGCGCCGGCGUUUCGAGUUUUUCGGGAGUAGUGGCUGUCGUGGGCGCCCGUUUCGAAAAGAUUGCAAUCAUCAGCUGGAAGACCGCGAAAUGGAAGGAUAUUUUCAUUGCGGCCGUUUCGGAGGGGAGGUUAUAAAGAAUUUCGAAGUAAAAGACUAUGUUUUACUCCGAAACUGGGGGGCAUGUGUUAACGCCAGAUUUCGUCACUAGUAAAAUCGGCGCCAAGAAGAGAGGGAAUCGGAGAAGCACAGUUGGGAAUCGGUCGAGUGGUGCUACAGUGCGAGAUUGGCCGGUGACUUCUGUCUCGCUUCGGAUCGGACGUGCCGGGGUCCCAAUCGGUUGCCUUUUGCCGAUAAGGAUUCGGCCGAUUAGGAGGUUGGUUUAAUUGGGCCUGUAUGGGCUUGGAAAGGAAUAAAAGGAUAAGGGGGAGAUCAGCCCAUGAAGCAUAGAGUAACCAACCUAGCACGAAUCGUGCUUCUAAAUAUUCGUUUUCUGUUUGAAUUAGGGAUAGAAUUCUAGUCGGUUAAGAAGUCAUCUGUACGGGGCUAUAAAUAGCUACCUUUGUAAAUCUGUAAUCAUCAACAAAUCAAUACAACAAGCUACUUUUUCCUCGUACUUACUUUCAAGCAGGCGACUUCGCCAAUACUUUUCUCUCUUUCACGAGUUCGUGCGGGUUGGCAGGGCUGCAUCAGCUUGAUCUCCGGCCGAUUCUGUAAGUUCCGCUUAUCGAGUAAUAUCUAAGCUUUAACUUCGGGCGUAUCGCUGUUGUUUCGUUUAGAUUUAUUCACUAGUUAUCGAUAUUUGCUAGAAUCAUAGGUUUUACCUGUCUUUCUAGUUUUACCACCAGUUACCCAGCUAGGAAUCGGUAGUUUCGGCUCUCUUCACAUUCUGCUAUUAGAUUCAUCUAUUGCCGAUUAGACCUAUUCCUGGUGUUGUUAUCAUAGCUUUGUAUCGAUUACUCUAGUGGUUUUCUGUCUACAAGGCUACAGUGAUCGGCUGUUUUAUAGCCGAUUCCUUUAUUACGGCAAAUCGGCCGAUUCGCUGAUAAGCUCCCUCGAGAUCGGAAACUUAGCCGAUCGUGAUUUCCGGACCUGACACGCAUUCUUCCUUGCCAAUCAAUAGGUCAGAUUGGCUGGCACGCCAUGCGAACCGCACCAGGGCAAUCACCCGAACAGGAGUUAAGCAGAUUCUCUCGGGUCGUGUGUCGGACGCUGGGAUUCGGUUGACCGAUUUCUAGCGCCAACAAGAAGAUAAGGUGCUGUUUUGUAGUGAAGUCACUGAAAAACUUGUAAAUUGUUAUCUCUUUUCUUAUGUCUUGUACCUUUCACAUAAAACCCCCUAGAUCUUUUAGUAUCUCUCAAUCUUAUCCUUGUCAUGUUUUUUUGCAGAUCUAACCUCGAUCUUUCAGCUUUUCAAGUGUCCUGUUCUAUGAGUCUAGGUAAACUUCUCUACUAACCAUUGUAGUUUACGGUUAAUCGUGUUUAGGUCCCUAGAUCUUGUUUAGCUCGUAGAUUUCACGUUUUAGCUCUGUUUUAAUGCGUUCAAGUUGCAUUCGGUUCAUCACAGCAUAAAGUACACGUUAGUGUUGUUGGCAUCCUAUAUUUCGUGUAUUUAAAAAAUAAAUUUAAUAUCAAUUUGAAUAAUGCCUAAUGAACAUGUGUUUCUCUAGAUAAAAGUUACCAAGAGUUAUCCAUCACUUUUCAUAAUAAAUAUCAAUAUGAUUAAUGACUACUUCAUAAUCUUUCUAAAUAAAAGCCAAUUAGGAUAUACACCGAUUUUUCAUAAACCAAAGAUAAUUUGAUUAACACUUAUUUGAGUAGGUUUCUACCUCGGUCUUUGCAAAUAAAGUAUAAUCUGUCUUAAUUCUAACUUAGGGUAUUUUCUUUCUGAAAUAUCCUUUACAUAUGUUUUGCUAAAUAAAAUAAACCUAGCUUAUAGUUUUUUUAUUUCUUUCAUGAAUCAAAUCUCUCGAUAGUUCCAUUCUCAACGUUUCCCUAAAUCGAACCCUCAUCCUUUAGUACACUCUUUUAAGCCUUUCUUUUGUUUUGGUGUUUUGUUCUUAGUUGCUGUUGUUGUUUGUUUGUUGCUGAUGUUUGUUUCAAUUAGAAGGAUCGCCAUCCGAAGCUUUGAAGGUUAAGAGUUUCAAGAAAGCAAGGACUGAUGAGCAAUAAGAGUAACUUGUCGUUGGAGAAAGGCAAGUGUCCCUAACCAUCCUUCUACCUAUGCUUUAUUCACAAUACCAUGAGAAUGUUAAUUAGAACAUGGAGAACCACCCAAGAAAACAGUACAACCACAACAUCACAUGGCUCUAAUCUUAGCUGACUAAUUAGGCAUGUGGUUGACUAGUGGCCUUACCGAAAGGGCAAAGAGGGGGAAGGUGUCAGGGGUAUGACCCGGAGCGGUAGCCUUCUAAGGUGUUGAAUCAUUACAACAGGUUGUGACCUACACCGCUACUAAAACUCUAGCGGGCUACUAGUUGUCUAUAUGUCUUUGUAAAGGCUUUGUAGUGGACCCCCUAGCCACUCACUGAAGGAAGUGUUGAAGGGCUUUGCAAACCCGGGUGACACGGGAAACCACGAGUUGUGGGUAAAGUGUACAACCUCUGUAGAGUGUAAACUGAUAUAUCAGCCGUGCUCACGGUUAUGAGCGGCUUGGACCCUCACAUGAUUAAUUAAACUUGAAGUUGGACUUAAAUCGUUAAUUAUGGUUAGCUCCUGUGGUCUUGCUAAGUACCAACCAUAAGUGUACUCACCCUUGCUUACCGCUUUUCAGAAGAAGAAGCUGCUAUGAAGAUGAUGCUGAGUUCUAGGCAUACGCAACCCCCAGUCGAGUGCCUGUGAUGUUUCAAGCCUUCGUUUCCGGAGUUUAAGUUGUGUUUCUCUGAUAGUCUUGUAAGUCUUUUUUGUAUCUUGUCGCGUGAUACUGUUGCUAUUAUUCACUAAUGAUGUCACUAUAUGUAUGUAAUUAGAUCCUGGCAUACAUAUAGAUAGUACUUGGUUUUGUUUUAAAAACUGGGUGUGACAGAUUUAAACCAUCAGGCAAAUUCUUUCUGAAUUCUACGAUUAAUAACCUGGUCUGACACACCUUCCAGUUUUAACUGAUCCUUGUAUAUCCUGCAAAAACACAUCCAUCUGAAAAUUAGACCGAAAUAAUUACAGUAGAAUCAACUCAUGAAGGAUCACGUACCUAAUAUAUGGCUCAACAUCUUUGCAAUCAUUUAGCACAUACCAAACCAACUUGUCGUAAUCCAAAUCAAGGAAUGAAGUCUUCACUGCUCCAAGUACAUCAACAUUGUGCUGGAAAUAAGAUAAAUCAGCAUUCUCUCUGUUCCUGCCCUCCUAAUUGAAUCAUGUGCCAAUAUCAUCAUCCGCAAAGUACCUUGAGCAAAAUGUCAAGGCCUCAUUAGCAAUAUAUGCUUCUACAAUGGAUCCUUCAAGCCUAGCCAUGUUUCUCACCGAACGCUUCAAUAUGCAUAGCCUUCUUUCGACGGGAUACAUCCAUCCAUAUUGUAUUAGGCCUCUUCGGAUUGCUUCCUCAAGCAAAUGGAUAGCCAGCACCAUAACAUAAAAAAAAGCAGGUGGGAAAAUUUUCUCAAGCUUGCACAAAACUAUUGGGAUAUUUGUUUUCAGUUUCUUCAAAACAUCCAACUUCAAAGUUUUGCAACAUAGUUGCUGAAAGAAGUUUCCUAAUUUUGAAAUAGUUGAUAAUGUCUGUUUAUCCAUUGAACCUCGAAGGGAAGCAGGCAAUAUCCUUUGAAGUAGGAUAUGACAAUCAUGAGUUUUCAGUCUUUGGAGUUUGCAUCCAUCAGCGGCAAUACAUCUUGAUAAGUUAGAAGCACUAGUCGAGAUUCCAUGCAUUUGCACGGUCUAGUUUAUAGAAUUUUAAUUUAGCUGCUAUAUUAACUCAAAUAACAUUUCCGGUAAACUCGCUAAACAAAUGAGGAUGUUCCAAAUUUAAAUUUAUUUUACAGGAAUUUUGUACAAUAUAUGUAUGUUCUCUACAUUGUCCGUGACCUAUUUUAUGCUAGAACUUUUGCCAUGAGUGUGGUAUAUGUCCAAAUAUAGCCUCUUUGGUAUCAGCUGUAUAUUUUUUAUGAAACAUAAACAUGUGCAUAUUCUCACUCAUGCACACACGUGUGCUAUCCCUAUGAUCAGCCUGGAGAGAUUGAGCCGGCAGUUGUUGAGAUUGAUAUAGCCGUCUUCGUUAUCUAUGGAUCCAUCACGUACCAUUGAAUGGAUAGUUAGCUGCAAAUGUGAGCAACUGUAUUGCAUCAGAGGCUCAAAUAACACUAUAAGAAAUAUGACCUCUCAUCCCGAGGCUUUGUGCCGGUUAGGUUUGGACCCGGUACUAAUGUUAGCAUUAGCGGCUUUGUACAACGUGUUUCGAUAAUGUUAUCGCAUUAAUAACUCUGAUUUUCCUGUGCAGCUAGUAUUUUCUAGCUAGAUAUGAUUGCCCUUUUGCAUAGAAAUAAGUUGUAUCCAUCUGAGUUCAUAUAAAAAACUAUAAAUCUCCAAACACUUAGAUUUUAUUCCUAGUACUCCUAAAUCUCGUCUAGCAAAUAAAUUAGAAUUGAUUUCUCCCAUGAAUUGAAAUACUUAGAAAUUACCGAGAACUUUUAUGAUGUUGUCAUUUAUUGUAACAAAAUUCAUCAAAUAGUUCAAUCAAUUAUAGAAAUGUGCAAAUCACUAUAAAUAUUUUUGUUCUCAAUUAUUGUGUAAGUGUUUCAUUCUAUUUUUGUUGUCAUUUUCUAUUUUUUAUUUCUGCAGUAUAUGAAUUACCUAGAAAUAUUUGGAAAAGCUUAUUAAUUGUAAAUUGUAUGCCAUACCAUGUUACAUAUAUGUCAUUCUUAUCAUAAGUUUAAUUCCUUUAAUUUAUUGUUACAAAUUGUUAUUUAUUUAGUCAUUUAUUUAUUGUUAGAAAUUGUCAUUUAUUUAGCCAUGUUACAUACUAGAAAAGCAUUUUUAGUCAAUUAUUUAUUGUUACAAAUUGUAUAAGUGUUAUAUUCUUUUUGUAGUCACCCUUUUAUUUUAUACUAGUUACAAUGGCACAAUCGGAGGACGAGCAUGACGUACAAAUGGCAGAGGAGCUCAUCUUUCUGAUGAUUGCUGAAGGCGGCAAUCAACCAAAUGAAGAGAUCGAUCACAGCCAGGCUGACAUCUACCUCAACAUGGCUGGUGAUAGCAACGAGGAGCGACCAAUUGUCGAGGGAGGCAAUGAGGAGCAACCAGUUGUCGAGGGAGGCAAUGAUGGGCAACAAGGCAAGGUAUAGCAAGUAUUAUACAUAUACAUUAUUUGAAUUCUCUUCUUAUCAAAAGAAACAUCAUCACGCAACAUUCCAAUCACGCAACAUUUCAAUUGUCAUUUUUCAGCCAUCUGGAUCGAGCAGGAGGCAUCAAAAGAAAUGAGACAAGAACAAGAACUUAGAUGGUUGUAUCAUCGUCACAGAAAUUGCUGAAGAUGGUGAACUGAUUGCUCCUGCCAAUGCUAAGACAAUGUUGGUGAAUUAGAUUGGAUUUCUUGUCAAAGAUAACAUCACAAUCAGCUUUCAGAAUUGGAAAAAACCUAACAAUUGUUGGAGGUAUGCCCUAGAGGUAAUCAUAGAGAUGAUGAUAUUAUAUUUGUAUCCAUGAUUUAUAUAUUGUGUUCAUUGAAUAUCCAUUAAAGGCUACUUGAAUUGAUUUGCAAUUAUGUGAAUUGUAUGUGAAAAUCUUUACUUGUAUGGUUAUUCUAAAGUUGUCCCUAGUCGGAGUUCAUGUGAGGACACACAUGAAUAUUAGACUAGCACAUGUAUUAGUUGAUGACUAUGUUUCACAAGUCAUAGACAUGGAGAUGUUAAACUAAUAAUGUGGGCACAUGUGAAGACAUGUGCUAGGACUGACCCAACACGAGAAGUAGUUCUCGCUUUACACAACAAGUAUGCUGUAUCCUUAGACCUGAGAUUGUCGCAUGUACUCGAGAUGUGAAUCAACUUACUUAGGGGCUAUCAAACGCUACACCGUGAUAGGGUAGUUAAAAAGGUAGCUUUCGGGUUUGUCAGGAAGCAUCAUGUGAGACAUGGUUAAUCAAGAUGGGAUUUGCCCCUCUCUGAUAGAGAGUAAUAUCUCUGGGCCCCUCGAGUGAUCAGAUCCGAAAAUUCAUGGCCAUGCUACGUACAGUUAAGAGUUAACCUACAAAGGGAUUCCGAAUCACAGGAUCGAGAAAGAGCGGUCGGCUUGGAGCUAGACCAAAUAUCUUGAGGCAAAAGGAAUAGCAUGUACAUAAUGUUUUGACGGUUCGUCUAAUAUGAUCUUCGUGUGUGUAUACGAGUUGGCACGUCUUGCUAGAGGCCGCUACCGACUAUUGGGCUGAGUAGGAGUACUCGGACCAUGUCUAUACGUAUCCGAACCCAUAGGGUCACACACUUAAGGGGCUGGAAGCCCAAUUCGGAUGUGAUCCGAGUUGGAUUAGGUUUCGAAUUACUAAUGGGCCUCAGACCCAGAGGCCCAUCAAGAACGUUUAUAAAUAGAGGGGUGGGGGCGCCCUAGGGUUUACACCUUUUUGGCGAAACACAUCUACCGCGCCUGCCAUGCUCUCGCCUAUUGCAACUUGUGGAUCUAGCAGUCCGGCUUGCGACGCUUCCUCCCUGCACGUGUGGAUACCUUGGAGGUGUUGCGACUGUAGCACUUGGACGAGCCACCGACGAGCUAUGACGAGCCACCGACGAGCCACGACGAGCCGACAACGAGCCGCAACACGAAGACGAUCUUGCUGCACGUGGACGAGCUGCUGAGGAGCUGCUAGACGUCGACGUGAUCGACUAUGUUCGACUACGCUGAUCGACUUCGCUGCAUCGACGCGGAUCUACAUCUUCCGCAUUAGUGCGUCGAGUGGUAAUCCUGUGAUCCUUAUAUGGCAGUUUUCCAGGUUUACGCGGUAGAAAAUUUUUGAUUUGCGCUAGUGUAGCCUACCUCGUAUCCCAACAACAAUGUCCUGGUCGCCACAAACCCGGUCCUUUACGUACUUGACCUGGAAAAGGCUAUGUUAUGGCAACAAGUAAAAGAAAACUUCACGUUCGAAGAUGUAGAUGAAAACAAAUUGAAAGAAUGGGGCUUAAAGAAGGCUGCAAUUGUGUUUCAGACAUACAAGAAAAACUUGAACAAAGAGUACAUAAAGAAGGGCUUACACCUGAUUUCAAUAAGCACCCAAAGUUAAGGGAUCAUUGGGAUUCCUUUGUAUAGUUCAAGGAGUCGGACAAGAGCCAGUCAUCAACUCAAACCAACAUCAACAAUACCUAGAAGAAGUCGGGGGUCAUGAAAUGACAAAGGAUGGACGAUGACCUAAUUGCCAGGGGAAUAGUACCAUAUAAUAUCGAAUGGCCUAAGCGAGGAAAGAAUUGGUUUUAAGAAUUGGUUUUAUGCUCAUGGCAGCGAGCUCAAUCCCGAAGAUGGAUCAAUUGUGUUCAGCAAUGAAAUAAGAGAAGUGGCUAUGAGACUUGAUGACUUAGUAAAGAAAAUGGCUGAUGGAUCCUUCGUGAAUGAUCAAGAGAGGGACGAGCUGACAAUGUCACUUGGAAAUCCCGAACACCCUGAAUGAUGUGGAGGCAAAGGAGUCAUUCUGUGGAAGUUUUCCUUUUGUGAGCACACUGAAUUAUAUAGAAGUCGCCAAAGAAGUGUUGACGCUAAAAAUCGGACAAAGACUCCGGCCUCUGCGUCGGACACACGACCCGGGAGAAUCUGCUUAACUCCUGUUCGAGAUGUCGCCCUGGUAUGGUUCGUGUGGCGUGCUAGUCAAUCUGACAUGUUGAUUGACAAGGAAAGCGUUAAAUUCCAAGGUUUUGAUCGGCUAAAGUUCCAAUAAGUUCAGAGGAUGUAUUAGCGAAUCGGCCGAAUUACUGUAGAGACGACCGGCUAUAGCACAACUGAUGAUCACGUGGCAAUUGCAAAAGAAACUGCUAGAGUAACCUAAACAAUGCUACAAAGGCAACACUUGAAACAGAUCUAAUCGGCUAUAUAAUAAUAAACAAAGAAUAUUGAUAAAAAACCGACAAUUCGUGUCUCAAGCUAGAUAACUGGUGAUAAAAACUAAAAUAAUAGGUAAAACCUAUAAUUCUAGUAAUAUCAAUAACUGGUGAAUAAAUCUAAACAAAACAACAGCGAUGUGCCCAAAGUUAAAGCUUAGAUACUACUCGAUACGUGGAACUUACAAGUUGAUGCAGCCUUGCCAACUCACACGAACUCGUGAAAGAGAAAAGUAUUUGGCGAAGUCGCCGACUUGGAAGUAAAGUAUGUGGAAAAGUAGAUCUGUAUUGAUUGAUUGUUGUGUUGUUUACAAGCCUUACGAGACACCUAUUUAUACCAUGUUACAACUAAUUUCCUAACCGACUAGGAUUUAUCUCUAAUUUAAAGAUAACAAAUAUUUACAUAUGAACACAACCCGCAUCGGAGUCAGUAACUAUUUUCUUACAGGCCAAUCUUCAUCUUCGGCUAAUCACCAUCCUGGCCCACUUUAGGCCCACAUCGGCCAAGCCAUUCUGCUCCCAAUCGGCUAGUCUUCAUUGAUUCCCUCAGCCAAUCGACCGAAACACUGUAGCUCUAUCGACCGAUUCCUCAUCUGUAGCUUCUUGCUUACCGCAUCAGCCACUGUUUCCUCUUUGACACCAACCUUAACACAUGUCAAAAUCCAGCGUCAACACAUGCCCCCCAGUUUCGAAGUGAAACAUAUCUUUUGCUCCGAAAUUUUCUCAACUCUGACUCCUUCCUCCAGAGAAAGUGCAACAGUAAACGCAGCAAAACUCCUUUUUGCUCUGGAGUCUUUUCUUUGGUGAUUGCAAUUUUUUUGAACAGAGCGCCCGCGGGCAACCGCUCCUUUCAAAAUUUGCACGGACGGCACAGUAAAAAUUCCACAUUUACCCUUCUCUUCAACCGUCCUUUAAAUGCCCAUUUCCUCUGCCGGUUCUUCUUCUCUGAGCAAAACAGCUUCCUUCCCGGCGAAUCAUCUUCCGACGCACUCCGGCGCCCCUGCUUUCUCUGUUUCCAGGUGCACUCCGGCGACCUCCUCCCAUUCUUUGAUUAAUCGCUCCAAUCUUUCAAAUCCCAAUGGCGGUCCCCUCGGCCACCAUGGCUUCCGUCCCGGAGGUAAAUCCCCUGAAAUUCUCCCCUUUUUACUUUUCACUGUUUCACGAUUCUAAGAUCUACUCUUCUUCCUCAUAUCUUCUUAGGAACUCAGACAAAGAAUCACCGUCCCCAUAGCUGACACACCCGGCCUCAUCGGACUUGGCCCUAUGGGGAAUCCUGAUCCAACCCAACUGAUUAAUCUGAAAACUCAUAGAAUCUCGUUCAAGAAAUCAACUAUGGAUCUGGAUAACUAAACAGGUACAUUCAGGUCUUGGCCGAACGAAACCCCUGGCUGGAGAGAAUGGUUCUUGAGAAUGUCAAACUCCAAGAGAGUUUUUUGGGACGAGGGAAAAAUCGGCCACUAUAUAAAUUUGUCUUAUUUCUGGUCUGACGCCCUCAACGCGUUCCUUUUCGGCCAUGGACUGAUGACUCCCACUCUGGCCAAUGUUUUGAUGUGACCGGCCUUGACAUCUCCUCCGCUGUUACGCCCUUUGAUCUUCUAAUCAAGCCCACUCACCGGCUGGAAACAAAAGGCAUGGGCGGGUGGAAAGGUUUCAUCGAGAAGACCAUGAAGACCGGACCCAUCACUAACAGAGAGUAUAUGGCCUUCUUGAUGAUGUGGUUGGAGAAACAUCUAUUCUGUGGCAAAUCAGUUGGUCCCACAUCCAACACGCAAGCCCUGGCCGAAGCGCUAGCAAGAUGUGCCACCUAUCCCUUUGGGAAAACAUUUGUUGGGGUCGGUUUAUUAUACGACGCAUCAGAUCGCCAUGAAGCUAUCAUCUGGAUAGCCUAUCGGGAACCCUGGUGGUCCCUGAUGGUUUAUCACCCUUUGGCUUAACUUAUACAUGAGCAAAAUCUUUAGAGAACGGGUUGAAGCCAAGACCUUCCCCAAUAUUGAGUCAGAGAUCGAUCCAACAUCACGGCGCCGCUGCACCUCUUUCAGCGAAGUUGUAUCGUCCUUCCAAAGCAGUAAACUCACUCCCUCAAGAAUAGCCGAAUAUUUCCGAUGUUUUUAUAUCAGCUUCAGUGAAGAAACCACGAGUUCGUACCCGUACCAGAGAGAAGACCCACUUUUUGAGAAUCCUGAUUGCUUUGACUCAGACACUAAUUCUUUUGAAAAUAGGGUUAUGGACAUCUUGAUCAAGCUUGGGAUCUUGCCAACAAACUUCUUCUCUGGAAAGGACUCUCCGACAUAUGAAUUCUACAACCCAUCGGUGGCAGCCCGGUAAUUUGGCCUAGGACAGGUGCCUAUUGGAAUUUACUUCGUCGGCCGGGUGAAGUUCCGAGAGUCGCUUUCAAGAGGGUUUGAAUAUAAUCGGCUAUGCCGCUUGAUACAAGACUCUAGCACUAUUGACUUGAGCAAUUGGCUGGUAGCACCCUUCUCCACUCAACAAUUCAAAUUAUGGUGGGCCGAGUGGAAACAACACCUUUUUUGCGCAGCCCCUGCGGUAUAUUGCAACCAGUUGGACCUUGCUCACAUCGACCCAAACGCAGAGGUAACAAAACCUUCUCGGCCGAUUUCUCAUUUUCAUCUCCUUAUACCACAAAGUUCUCACUAUUGACUCUCCCUCUUUGCACAGUCCGAUAUCCAGGCACCUCCAACACGCAGCCGAAGUGGUAGGCCGAUAGAGAACUGUCAUCCGUACACACCAUACCCUCUCAUCGGCUAUCACACCCCAUCGAUGGAGGACAUAGCUACCGGCCGAUUGAAGCACAAGUUGAAGAUGUCCAUUUCAAAGAAAACGAGCCGCCGAGUACGAGCCCGUACUAAAUCAGCGGCAACUCUUACGGCCAAUCAAUCGGCCAUGACACCGGCCGAGCCUUCAGCUGCGCCGAUCCCAACAGAUGUUCUGCCACCGAUCCAAAAUAUUGAUCCCCAAACGGCCUUAGAAGUUGGAUUAGCGGCUGCAUCUCUUCUAGUGGAAGCAGUACAGGUAAUCUUAUAAGCUUUUUAGCUCCUUUGAGUAUAUUGCAAAUAUUAAAUCCACCCCUUCUUAUGAAGCUGCACAACUAACUUCGGAGCCUCCUCAAUCGGCCGAUCCUUGAGCAGAAACUGUACUACCAGCAAGCCUCCCAAUUGAGGUAAAGAAUGUGCUUUUCACUUAAUCUCCCCAAUUUCCAACUAAAACUAGCUGAUUCUUGGCACAGGACGCUCCAGGCACAUCGGUCAUCCCUUUUGAGCAACCAUUAGUUGCGCGGUUUUCCGAGGUAAAAUAACUAAGACCUAUACCCAGAUCCAAUAGCCUUUCAUACUCAUAAACAUUUCUCCUCCCAUUCGCCAGGAGGCUGGCCUAAGUACUGCACUGAUCGUUGUUGAAUCCUCCUCUUCUGAUGAGUUGCCGCCACCAAUUCUUGAAACGGGAGCAGCAAUCCUGCCAACCUAGGCAGAGGAAAUCCGUUUCAAAGAAGUAAGGACCCUCUACGUCCACCAGCCGAUUUCUUACUACUGACGGCUAAAGCAUUUCUUACCUUUUUUUAUAUUUCUUACAGGAACAAGACACGCCCAACAAUAGCCUUUUCUCCUUCGCGGUUGCAGUCUCUGAUGAUGAGGAAGUUGCUUCACGCCAGAUAGCUUUGGGCUCAAUACCAAAAGAGGUCUACGCCAAGCUCCAGAACAUAUGAGCCCUUCUCUAGGACGACAUCAGCUGAUUGGUGGAAGACGCUUCUCCGAUUCUAUAACACAUGGUGUUUUAAGUCAUCAAAGGUGAUUAAGAAAAGCUAAAGGUGAAUUAUGGAGAAAAAGAGAAGAAAUUGACUAAAAGUCAAAUUUGAGUCAAAUUUGACCGGAAUUUGAAUUUUGAAUUUUGAAUUCGAAAUUCAGAAAAAUUGGGCAAAAAUAUGGAAUGGAAGGAUAAGAGUGUUUAGAACUUGGAGAUCAAGAUUGGGGACAAAAAUCUGGUCCUAAAUAUCUCAAGAAAACCAAAGGAAGAAAUCAAAAUAGAAGUGUACUAUUCACCGUCCGAUAAUAGGAUUUCAGAAAAACAGCAUAAGUGUCCAUUUUGGAAUUUGAUUUCUGCCAAAUUUUUCAAAUAAAUGGAUCAAGACAACUAUACAAUAUUGAAGUAUAGACUUUGGACAAGAAUACCAGGAUGUUGUUGAUCAAGAACCACAAAGGGAACCAAUUUAAUUUGAGGCCUAAAGUUGGCACUCUGCCAUUUUCGGUUAAGACACUGAACCAGCAAUUUCUCUAAGUAUGAAAACCGUGACAAAUAGCCAUCUUUGGAUCUGAAUUCAGAAAAAUGGAGUGCAAAAGGCAUGGGUGUUCAUGUGCAAAAUGGAAUCCCUGAUGAUUAUAGAGCAUAAAUGAUUAGUCGUUGGACUGAGAAGUAUAAGUUUGGGCCACUGAAAAUAAUCCCAAAGAUAGGCAAAUAACCAUGAUAAGAUAACUGACGAACUGAAUUGGAAGUUCAUAAGGAUUCAGUUACCCAAGAGAGAAAAACUUAAAUUUGAUAACCUUUGGAUGUUUAUCUCGGGUAGAAGCUUAAAUAAAAGUUGAAGGAUUCGAGUUUAUCUACAACUUUGCUUAAGUGACAUGUGGACCGUCGGAUUCAAAACCGGCCGUGGAGAAGCUCUGAAUUUUUUGGGUGAUAGAGAAGCUAAUGGAAGGGGAGGGGGGUGACAGAGCAAGCACGACGUGUCGUCGCCGGCGUCUUCGGUCGCCCGCCAGUGCAGCAGCUAAGCCACCUCCUCACCACACAAGCCUAGCACUAGGCCACGGUGUCGCCCAUGCGCGCGGUAAGUCCCUUGAAUAUCUACCGCUCCCACCGCCGUUUCUACCGUGCCGCCUUUUUACCGCCGCCGCCCUCUCUGUCAAGCCAUCACCAACGACCCAAAAUUCCACUGCCACAACUCAUCUCCCGUCGAUUCCUCUCGCCCACUCCUCCACGGAUACCCCAACUACAUCCCAGUUAACUUGUUGUCUAGCCUUUCCGCCGGAGUACCCGUAACCAUCGUCGCUCUCGUCCGCCACCGCCGCACCUCCUGCUCACGGUGAGCACCUCCUUGCCCUCGUUCUCUUUCCUUAUGGGUAGCCGUAGGUCAGUCCUUGGGGUACUAGGAAGCCAUAGGGGUAGUCGUCGAGGUAGGCCGAGCCGUCGUCGUGCGUAGUCACGGCUGGCCGUAAGCGCCGCCACCCGCCGCCGUGGAGGGUAUGGCUCCGGCCACCUCCCGGGGAGCUACCGCUGCGCACAGGUGCGCUAGGGCAUGGGGAUGCUUCCCCAGCCUAGCCCCGUCGCCGGUAGGGUGCCGGCCGGCGAGCUGCACCGCCCCCUGCCGCGCUCGAGUUUUGGCGCGAGAAGGAAGAAGGGUCUGGCAUCGGUGGGCCCGCGCGUCAGAGGGAAAAGGGGAGAAGGGAGGCUGGCCAGGCAAGGGCGCCGGAUGGGCCGCAGUCUCGGAGGCCCAGGUGCCGGUAUGGGCGGCCGUUGGAGAAAAGAGACCGGGGGCCCGGGUGGUCUAGCAGGCCGGUUUCGCGAAAAGAAAAGGAGGAGGAAUAACGGGCCGUUGGGCCGGUGCCGUGUGAAGAAAGGAAAAAGAAAAAGGAAAUCGGCCCAAUGAGCCCAGCAGAGGAGGAAGUACGCCUGCGGGUAGAGUGAAUAGGAGAAGGGUGGGCUCGAGCCGGGGGGGCCCAGCACGCAAGAGAGGGGGUAGAAAGGGGGUGCGUGAGAAAAGUGGCCAGGGGUUGUUCGGGAGAAAUUUAGAUUUCCUUUUGUAGAAUAAUAGAUUAAAUCCGAAUCUCACCAUUUAAAUCAUAGAAAUUUUUAGGGGUGUCCAAAAUUACUGAAACCAAUUUUGUUAGGAUUGUUUUAUUUUCCUUUAUGCAUUAAAAUUUAUACACCCUAGGAAAAAUAAUAAAAAUUUAGGUAUUUUCUUAAUGCCUUUUCUUUAAGGUAUUUAAAUAAAUACUUAAUCUUAAUUAUAUGCAUAAAAUAUCGAAUAUCAUUUCAUAAUCACAAAUUAUUGUUAACUCAUAGGAAAUUAGGUUUUAAGGCUAGAAAAUAAUUAUAACGUUUUCUAAAAAUAAAAGAAAGAGCCUUAGGUAAGGUUAAUAAAGGAAAUAAAAAUGGGGGGUUAAUCUUUUCGGGUUUUUGUGUGUUGGGUUGCAACUUUAUCAUGAUAAAUUGUAUAGUCCCUUGUUGGCUUGCAACUUUUGUUGGGAUACGAGGUAGGCUACACUAGCGCAAAUUAAAAUUUUCUACCGCGUAAACCAAGAAAACUGCCGUAUAAGGAUGACGGGAUUACCACUCGACGCACUCCUGGUGCGGAAGAUGUAGAUUCACAUCGAUGCAGCGAAGUCGAUCAGCGUAGUCGUACGUAGUCGAUCACGUCGACGUCCAGCAGCUCCUCAGCAGCUCAUCCACGUGUAGCAAGAUCGCCCUCGAGCCGCGGCUCGUCGUCGGCUCGUCGUGGCUUGUCGGCGGCUCGUCCAAGUGCUGCAGGCGCAACACCUCCAAGGUAUCCACCCGUGCAGGGAGGAAGCGUCGCAAGCCGGACUGCUAGAUCCGUGAGUUGCAACAGGCGAGGGCGUGGGAAGCGUGGUAGAUGUGUUUCGCCAAAAGGUGUAAACCCUAGGGCGCCCCCACCCCUCUAUUUAUAGAGGUUCCUAAUGGGCCUCUGGGUCCGAGGCCCAUUAGUACUUCUAAACCUAAUCCGACUCGGAUCACAUCCGAAUUGGGCUUCCAGCCCCUUAAGUGUGUGACCCUGUGGGUUCGGAUACAUAUAGACAUGGCCCGAGUACUCCUACUUGGCCUAAUAGUCGGUAGCAGCCUCUAGCAAGACGUGCCAACUCCUAUAUGCACACGAAGAUCAUAUCAGACGAACCAUCACAACAUUAUAUACAUGCUAUUCCCUUUGCCUCACGAUAUUUGGUCUAGCUUCAAGCCGACCGCUCUUUCUCGAUCCUGUGAUUCGGAAUCCCUUUGUAGGUUAACUCUUAACCGUACGUAGCAUGGCCAUGCAUUUUCGGAUCCGAUCACUCGAGGGGCCUAGAGAUAUCACUCUCAAUCAGAGAGGGGAAAAUCCCAUCUUGAUUGACCAUGUCUCACAGCAUGCUUCUUGACAAACCCGAAAGCUACCUUUAUAACUACCCUGUUAUGGCGUAGCGUUUGAUAGCCCCUAAGUAAGUCGAUCCACAUCUUGAAUACAUGCGACAAUCUCAGGUCUAAGGACAAAGCGUAUAUGUUGUUUAAAAAAGAGAACUACUUCUCGUGUUGGGUCAGUCCUAGCACAUGUCUCCACAUGUGCCCACAUUAUUAGUUCAACAUCUCCAUGUCCAUGACUUGGAAAACAUAGUCAUCAACUAAUACAUGUGCUAGUCUAAUAUUCAUGUGUGUCCUCACAUGAACUCUGACUAGGGACAACUUUAGAAUAACCAUACAAGUAAAGAGUUUCACACACAAUUCACAUAAUUGCAAAUCAAUUCAAGUAGCCUUUAAUGGAUAUUCAAGGAACACAACAUAAAUCAUGGAUACAAAUGGAAUAUCAUCAUCUCUAUGAUUGCCUCUAGGGCAUACCUCCAACAACUUUAUCAUGAAGGAAAGUUGUAUAGUCUUGUAUUCAAAAAGUUGCAUCACUAACCCCUGCAUAUGCUUUAUCAUAGACACCGAAGCACCGGAAGGGGAUUUCUCGGAAUUUUCAGAAGGAUCUCCAGAGUUCGAAGAGAUCAUUGAGUUGGUCCCCUGCGAAGCCGAUCGUUCAGACCGUGCUAACUUUUUUAUAGAACAAGGCAAGCCCUGGGGCAUUUACCUAUUUAUUUUAGUAGUAUUAUUUCAUAUGUCCAAUUAUUGGUUAUUUGCUAUGUGAAUGCACUAAGUCUAGGAAUUGAUUGAAACCCAUUCUUGUGCAUGAUCCUACCUUGUUAUAAGGACAUCUUUGCCACUUGUUCAAUGAUUAGUAAUUAACCCAUGCUUAGCAAUGCUUAAGUGCUUAAAGUAAUUGGUUUACCAAACCUUAAGGUAAAUGUUGGGUCAUACAUGCUAAAUAUGGAAAGGUAGCUUAAAGGUUAAAAGGCGGACAGAAGCUAGGAGUGUAGUUCUGUCUGCUAGAUUAAAUUGGUUAUGGUCCGAUCGUUGUCUUAACCUUUGAUCAAGUGAAUGACAUCUGAUCACUUACUGGGUAUGGGACCAGUAAAGCCCGGUAGAUUAGUAAACCCUCUGAUCGGGAAUACUUCGUACCCGUGCUUGACGUGCUGGAGAUUGGCAGGGGCGUAGCUUGAAACUCAAAUGGUGAUCAGGCCAGACGUGGGGUCCCAUGUGGGUGUGCGUCCCUUGGUCCGGGUAGUCUUAUUCCCAAUCAUUGGAUUUGCUAAUCGAAAGGUCGUUACGUACGAGCUGGACAGUCGUAUAUAACUGGUGAUCAGGGUACUCUCCUGCAGGAUGUAUUUUGAUCCGGAUCGCCGCAAUUCUCGGUUAUGAAUGCACUUGAUCACUGUUGAGCAUCGUAGUAUAAAUUCAUGAAUGCUAUAUCUUUCCACUAAUGUUUUGGUGUAUGGAAACUAGCAUCGGUGUAACCUGUUACAACGAGCUCCUCCUCACCUCCAUAGACGAGGAACAUAUCUUUAGUCCUUCUCAUGUACUUAAGAAUGUUUUUCACCGCUGUCCAGUGACUCUCACCUGGAUCAGAUUGGUGUCUGCUUGUCAUACUUAGUGCAUAUGAAACAUCUGGGCGAGUACUUAUCAUUGCAUACAUGAUAGAUCCAAUAGCCGAGGCAUAUGGCACUCUACUCAUGCGAUCCCGCUCAUCAGCAGUCGAAGGACAUUGAGUCUUGCUGAGAUGUAUGCCAUGUGACAUAGGCAAGAACCCUUUCUUUGCCUCUUCCAUGCUGAACCGCUUCAACACUUUGUCAAUGUAAGUAUCUUGGCUUAAACCUAUAAGCCUUCUCGAUCUAUCUCUAUAGAUCUUAAUGCCCAGAAUAUAUGCCGCUUCCCCUAAGUCCUUCAUCGAAAAACUAUUUUUCAGUGAAGUCUUUACAGACUCAAGCAUAGGAAUGUUAUUUCCAAUCAGCAAUAUGUCAUCUACAUAUAAGAUUAGAAAUACUACAGAGCUCCCACUAACCUUCUUGUAAACACAAGACUCUUCCUCGUUCUUGGUGAAGUCAAACCCUUUGACCACUUCAUCAAAACGAAUGUUCAAACUCCUAGAUGCUUGCUUCAAUCCAUACAUGGAUCUUUGAAGCUUGCAUACCUUUCUAGCAUUUUUCGGAUCGACAAAACCCUCAGGCUGUAUCAUAUACACGUCCUCAGCUAGGUUUUCAUUCAGGAAAGCUGUCUUGACAUCCAUCUGCCAUAUCUCAUAAUCGAAAUAUGCAGCUAUAGCUAGAAUAAUCAGAAUGGACUUAAGCAUCACUACGGGUGAGAAAGUCUCGUCGUAGUCAACUCCUUGAACUUGUCGAAAACCUUUUGCGACAAGUCGUGCCUUAUAGAUGCGAAUAUUUCCAUCCAUGUCCUUUUUCUUCUUAUAGAUCCACUUGCACUCUAUGGCUUUAACACCAUCAGGCGGGUCAACCAAGUUCCAAACUUGAUUGUCUCCCAUGGACUCUAUUUUGGAUUGCAUGGCACUCUGCCAUUUUUCGGAGUCUGGGUCCAUCAUUGCUUCUGCAUAUGUCGCAGGCUCAUCAUUGUCCAACAAUAAUAUUUCCCGCAUUUCGCGGAGCCUUGCCGACCUUCGUGGUUGUGGCGGUGCUUCUCUUGCCAUGGGUAUCUCAACUUGUUCUGCUACAUUAGCAUCACUCAUUGAUUCUUGCCCAAUCGGCUCAUCUUGAACUUCUUCAAGAUGCACUGUCUUUCCAUUCUUUUCUCCUUUGAGAAACUCUUUCUCUAGGAAAACCCCGUUCUGAGCGACAAACACUUUGCCCUUUGACCGGUUGUAGAAACAAUAUCCCAAAGUUUCCUUUGGAUAUCCCACGAAAAUGCACUUAUCCAACUUGGGUGUGAUCUUGUCCAACUGAAGUUGCUUGACAAACACUUCACAUCCCCAAAUCUUUAGAAAAGACAAACUAGGAACCUUUCCAGUCCACAUCUCAUACGGUGUCUUAACUACGGAUUUAGAUGGUACCCUAUUAAGUGUGAAAGCUGCUGUUUCUAGAGCGUAUCCCCAAAAUGACAAUGGUAGGUCCGACUGGCUCAUCAUUGAUCGAACCAUGUCUCACAAUGUUCGAUUAUGUCACUCGGAUACACCGUUUCUCUAAGGUGUUCCAGGCGGCGUAAGUUGUGGAACAAUUCACAACUCUUUAGAUGAUUGCUAAACUCGUGGCUCAAAUACUUGCUUCCACGAUCAGAUCGUAAGGCCUUAAUUUUCUUGCCACGCUGAUUUUCAUCUUCAUUCUGAAAUUCCUUGAACUUUUCAAAGGUUUCAGACUUGUGCCUCAUCAAGUAGACAUAGCCAUAUCUACUAAAAUCAUCAGUGAAAGUUAUGAAGUAUUGGAAUCCUCCUCUAGCCGUCAUGCUCAUUGGUCCGCAUGCAUCGCUAUGUACGAGGUCCAAAAGUCUACUACUCUCUCAGGAAAACCUGUGAAAGGUGUCUUGGUCAUCUUGCCUAGCAAGCAAGCCUCACAUGUCUCGUAUGAUUCAAAAUCAACGAAGUUAGAAGUCCAUCAGAAUGGAGCUUCUUCAUGCGUUUUUCACUUAUAUGACCCAAACGACAAUGCCACAAGUAGGUAGGAAUCAAAUCAUUAGGCUGAGGCCUUUUAGCACUUACGUUACAGACAAGUGAACCAUCAAUAUUUAAAACAAACAAUCCAUUCACAAUGGAUGCAAAAGCCAUAAACAUAUCAUUCUUAGAGAUCAGACAACCAUUAUUUUCACUCGCAAAUGAAUAACCAUCCUUAAUCAAGCAUGAAGGGGACAAAAUGUUUCGACUUAAACUAGGAACGAAAUAACAAUUAUUCAACUCCAUAAUAAAUCCUAACGGGAGGUGGAGUUGCAUCAUCCCGACGGUCAACGCAGCAACUCUUGCAUUAUUGCCCACGCGGAAAUCAACUUCUCCUCUUUCCACGCUUCUACUUCUUAUCAUUUCCUGCAUCGAAUUGCAAAUAUGAGCAACUGAUCCGGUAUCAAAUACCCAAGAAUUAAUAAUUGUAUCAGCGAGAAAUAUGUUGUUUAUAACAUUAACAACAAGCGUACCUGAGGUAGAAGUACUCUUACUCCCGCCAUUCUUCAAUGAAGCUAGGUACUGCUUGCAGUUUCUCUUCCAGUGACCAGGUUCGUGAUAAUAAAAGCACUCUUUAUCUGGAGCAGGUCCAGCUUUAGCCUUGGGCGCUGGGUUUGGCUUAGACACUCCAGCCUUACUCAUCUUCUUCCAAGAAUUGCCCUUCUUCUUGAAGGUAGGCUUGUUCUGUACAGCCAUCACAUGGCUGCUGCUAGCACUUUUCUUAAUGUCAACCUCUGCUAUCUUGAGUAUACCACACAGUUCAUUCAGACCCUUCUCCAUCCCAUGCAUAUGGUAGUUCAAGAUGAAGUUCCCAUAGCUAGGCGGAAGAGAUGAAAGAAUGAAGUCAGUGGCCAACUCUUUGCCCAUUGGGAAGCCCAGCUUCUCCAAUCGCUGAGUGUAACCAACCAUCUUGAUUACAUGUGGUCCUACUGUUGCGCCUUCUGCUAGCUUGCACUCCAGAAAGGCUUUGGACACAUUGAACCUUUCAGUCCUAGCCUGUGUCUGGAACAUGUCCUUGAGCGCCAUGAUCAUAUCGUGUGCCUCAUGAUUUGUUUCGAACUGCAUCUGCAGCUCGGGUUCCAUGCAAGCAAGCAUAAGGCAGCUUACCUCAAGAUUAGCAUCAAAUGUCUUCUUGUAAGCAGCCUUAAUGGCAGUAGAUGCAUCAUCAGUAGGUACUGGUGGUAGUGGGGUGUCUAGAACAUCUUCCUUUUAAUCGGCCCUGAGAACAAUUCUCAGGUUACGGAUCCAAUCCGAGUAGUUUGUUCCAUUCAACUUGUCCUUCUCAAGGAUCGAACGCAAAGCAAAGGAUGUGGUGUUGCUAGGUGCCAUUUAAUCUACAACAAAAGUAACGCAAAAUACACUAAGACAAACGUAUCCAUGAUAGAGUAAAUCAUAUUAAACUAUUUUAACAGAAUCUACUCCCACUAAAAUCAAUAUCCCUCUAUUGAUACUUAGUGAUUCAGGAUCCACAACUAACAAGUCUACUAGUGAGAUUUAGCAUCACCGCUAGCAAACAAGGUAGAUCGGUAAGCAACUUUUGCUAAUCAUAUCACAUAUGACUCCUAUUGUUGGGUGACAUCUCCAUGUCUCAGCACCCAACCUUUAUGCCCCAAGGUCCUUAACCGUUAAUAUAACCUUGUUAAGCAAACCAACCCUUAUGCAUGUAAGUGUCCGACACAAACCCGUCUAGUCAAGGAAAACUAGUGGCAUCCUAAUUUCAUAGACCCACCACUAAUUGUACAAGACAUGGGACGGUGCAAGUUUUAGUUGGGAGGGCAUACUAACUUAAACUUUGUGAGGGAUCGUUCUACUUCUAACAUCACAGCAUGCAGAAAGUAAAACAUAAACAGAAUAGCAUUCACACAGUUGUGACACAGUAUGGCCCGUUUUCUUAUGGUGAUCUCCAUCUCCACAGAACCUAUUCACCAUAGUGAUCUCCAUCUCCAUGCUCCAUGUGCGCCAUCCUCCUGGUGAUGAGUCCUCCAAGAACUAGAACAUGAUAUUACGCCUAAUAGCUAGUAAACAAGCUAGUAAUGAAGAUUACAUAGUUGUUUGGAUCAUCACAGAUUGGUACGCAGACCAUUAAAUACAUUAAAGUGACAACACAUAUGGCUCCUGCCGUGUUACCAUACGCGCGACACGCAGGUCACGAAUGAGUUACACACAUGCAUCACAUACACAAAGGGCCAUACUGAUCACAAGAUACAUACAUCCUGCAAAACAGAGUUAAGCGUCCUAAUGUUCCAAACUUCGGAGGCCCGAAACUCUAUCUUCCAAGCCAAAUUUGGGAAAUCAAAUUUCGCCAAAAACCGACAAAGCCAUUGAACUUCAUGUGUAACAUUUUUUGUAGAUCAAUUUUCAUGUAAAUUUCGCCCCGAUCCAAGAUCGUACCGAAAAGUUACAGCUGAUUUACCGAAGCACACACACACGGCAAAAUCCCGGCCCGGUAGUAGAUCCAAUCUACUAUUGCACAUCUCAUGCGCCUGGCAUAUAAACCUGGAUUUCGAUUCGACCAAUCACAUUGAUCUUCGCUCACUGCAACUAGAAUUAUGUGUAUCACUUAACUCCGAUGGCGGAAACCCGACCGGUAGGAGUAUGUCGUUACACUACCAUUGCAGCAAGAACACGAAACCAGGACAUAGAUCAAAUUGAAAACUCGCAUAUCUCCAUAUGCACACAUCCCAAAUCCAAAACUAAACAGCUACGGCUCUGAUACCACUGUUGGGAUACGAGGUAGGCUACACUAGCGCAAAUCAAAAUUUUCUACCGCGUAAACCAAGAAAACUGUCGUAUAAGGAUCACGGGAUUACCACUCGACGCACUACUGGUGCUGAAGAUGUAGAUUCACGUCGAUGCAACAAAGUCGAUCAGCGUAGUCGUACGUAGUCAAUCACGUUGACGUCCAGCAGCUCCUCAGCAGCUCAUCCACGUGCAGCAAGAUCGCCCUCGUGCCGCGGCUCGUCGUGGCUCGUCGGCGGCUCGUCCAAGUGCUGCAGGCGCAACACCUCCAAGAUAUCCACCCGUGCAGGGAGGAAGCGUCGCAAGCCGGACUGCUAGAUCUGUGAGUUGCAACAGGCGAGGGCGUGGGAAGUGUGGUAGAUGUGUUUCGCCAAAAGGUGUAAACCCUAGGGCGCCCCCACCCCUCUAUUUAUAGAGGUUCCAAACGGGCCUCUGGGUCCGAGGCCCAUUAGUACUUCUAAACCUAAUCCGACUCGGAUCACAUCCGAAUUGGGCUUCCAGCCCCUUAAGUGUGUGACCCUGUGGGUUUGGAUACAUAUAGACAUGGCCCGAGUACUCCUACUUGGCCUAAUAGUCGGUAGCAGCCUCUAGCAAGACGUGCCAACUCCUAUAUGCACACGAAGAUCAUAUCAGACGAACCAUCACAACAUUAUAUACAUGCUAUUCCCUUUGCCUCACGAUAUUUGAUCUAGCUUCAAGCCGACCGCUCUUUCUCGAUCCUGUGAUUCGGAAUCCCUUUGUAGGUUAACUCUUAACCGUACGUAGCAUGGUCAUGCAUUUUUGGAUCCGAUCACUCAAGGGGCCUAGAGAUAUCACUCUCAAUCAGAGAGGGGCAAAUCCCAUCUUGAUUGACCAUGUCUCACAGCAUGCUUCUUGACAAACCCGAAAGCUACCUUUAUAACUACCCUGUUACGGCGUAGCGUUUGAUAGCCCCUAAGUAAGUCGAUCCACAUCUUGAAUACAUGCGACAAUCUCAGGUCUAAGGACAAAGCGUAUAUGUUGUUUAAAAAAGAGAACUACUUCUCGUGUUGGGUCAGUCCUAGCACAUGUCUCCACAUGUGCCCACAUUAUUAGUUCAACAUCUCCAUGUCCAUGACUUGUGAAACAAAGUCAUCAACUAAUACAUGUGCUAGUCUAAUAUUCAUGUGUGUCCUCACAUGAACUCCGACUAGGGACAACUUUAGAAUAACCAUACAAAUAAAGAGUUUUACACACAAUUCACAUAAUUGCAAAUCAAUUCAAGUAGCCUUUAAUGGAUAUUCAAGGAACACAACAUAAAUCAUGGAUACAAAUGGAAUAUCAUCAUCUCUAUGAUUGCCUCUAGGGCAUACCUCCAACAACUUUAUCAUGAAGGAUAGUUGUAUAGUCUUGUAUUCAAAAAGUUGCAUCACUAACCCCUGCAUAUGCUUUAUCAUAGACACCGAAGCACCAGAAGGGGAUUUCUCGGAAUUUUCAGAAGGAUCUCCGGAGUUCGAAGAGAUCAUUGAGUUUGUCCCCUGCGAAGCCGAUCCUUUAGACCGUGCGAACUUUUUUAUAGAACAAGGCAAGCCCCGGUGCAUUUACCUAUUUAUUUUAGUAGUAUUAUUUCAUAUGUCCAAUUAUUGGUUAUUUGCUAUGUGAAUGCACUAAGUCUAGGAAUUGAUUGAAACCCAUUCUUGUGCAUGAUCCUACCUUGUUAUAAGGACAUCUUUGCCACUUGUUCAAUGAUUAGUAAUUAACCCAUGCUUAGCAAUGCUUAAGUGCUUAAUGUAAUUUGUUUACCAAACCUUAAGGUAAAUGUUGGGUCAUACAUGCUAAAUAUGGAAAGGUAGCUUAAAGGUUAAAAGGCGGACGGAAGCUAGGAGUGUAGUUCUGUCUGCUAGAUUAAAUUGGUUAAGGUCCGAUCAUUGUCUUAACCUUUGAUCAAGUGAAUGACAUCUGAUCACUUACUGGGUAUGGGACCAGUAAAGCCCGGUAGAUUAGUAAACCCUCUAAUCGGGAAUACUUCGUACCCGUGCUUGACGUGCUGGAGAUUGGCAGGGGCGUAGCUUGAAACUCACAUGGUGAUCAGGCCAGACGUGGGGUCCCAUGUGGGGGUGCGUCCCUGGGUCCGGGUAGUCUUAUUCCCAAUCAUUGGAUUCGCUAAGUGAUCAAGGUACUCUCCUGCAGGAUGUAUUUUGAUCCGGAUCGCCGCAAUUCUCGGUUAUGAAUGCACUUGAUCACUGUUGAGCAUCGUAGUAUAAAUUCAUGAAUGCUAUAUCUUUCCACUAAUGUUUUGGUGUAUGACUUUAAUACCUUGUUGUUUGCAAAUAAUCUUUUUAUCAUCAUUUAGAAUGGUUAGGUAAUAACUUAAUCAAAAUAAAAGAUAAAGCUAAGGUCUCACUUUUAGUAAGCUCUUUGGCAAAAAAAUGUGUCAGCCAAGUACACCGAAAAAGCUAUCAUAUAGUUCCAGGAAAAGUUAUUAUAUUGGUUAGUCAGGUAAGCCUUGCUGAGUACCCCGUACUCAGGGUUAUCCCUUGUGGCUGUUUUCAGAGGCACCGCAGGAAUCCACCGAGGAGGAAGCCCUGAAAAACUAGGGUAUUGUUAUGAGUCUCGCAAUACCCUUAGAAGAAAUCUUGAAUGCUCCUCUCCCACCUGAACCCGUUUAUGUUUAAUUCCUAGAACCUCUAUCUGACCUGCACUGUUAAGUUUAUUUCAAACUACGUCUUGUAAUAACUCGUACCUUAUGUAUGUAUGUAAAAAUGUAAUAUUUGUUGAUGCUUUCCCAUCGCGGAAACAAUCCUGGUGAAUGGCUAUGAGACGUGACGUGGAUCAUUCGAGGAGUCCCAGGGACACUUGACGGACGACCGGACUUAUACUGUUUUAAGUGCGUUUCGGAUAAUUGCUGUAUUGGCAGCGAUUAGGCGCAUUUAAACAAGUUUAAGUUAGACGGUUCCUACAAAAGCACAUGAAGAAGAGGAAUCCUACAAACACCAUGCUCAAGAGGUACACGACCGGAUCAGCGCCCUUGAACAUUCCCAUCCAAGCAUUGUCAGCACCAUAGAUCGGCUGAAACGGCACAGAGAAGAACUCGCCAAGGAGAUCGCUGCUGAAGAAAAGAAGCUUCAAGAUCUCCCGGCUGUCAUCACCGAUUUAAAAUAGGAAAGGCAAAACCUUGCCCACGAGGCCAACCAAAUUCACCGCAAUAUUCCAGAAGUUCCCAAAUCGGCCGGUGACAACCAGCGAGUACUAGAUUCAGCAGAUCAAAUCCACCUACGGGUGAUUGAGGCCAUAAAUAUUCUCCUCGGAUAGUCGCACUUGAACGUAAAGUGCCUUUUGAGUGUAUCGUACUGAAUUCAAAUGACAUUUCGGAUGUCCUGCAUAGCAUCGACACUUUUCAACGUUUCCUUCUUGAAUGCAAAUUUGAAUGGCUCUCUCCGCAGCUUUUUAACUCAACGAUCGCUUGCUUUGAAUGCAUUCUUCUACUAACCGUUGCCUGUCACCCCCUCGUCCUAUAAAUACGAGACCUUCGCAUCCUCUCCAGAGGCAUUCGCAUAGCACCCAUACGCACGCCCUCUGCUAGACGUUUCCAGACUCUAGUCAGGCACCCGGAUGGCUUCCUCCUCCUCCGUCAAUUAGGUACGAAAUUGACCUUUACGCACCUUGACUGAUUUUUGCCAUCAAUUGACUGCCUAUUGUCCCUUCAGCCAAACCGGCUUAGCCCCGGUCUCGAACAGGCUAUUGAGAUUAUGCACUCUGAUGAACCGCUGACCUAGGCGGACAAAGAUCUGAUCCAAGCCCAUCGUGAAGAACUCAAGGACCACCUCCCCGCGCAUAUCAAGAAGAUUGUAGACAACAUUGAAGCCAACGCCUCUAGGAGGCCAACCUAGCCACCGGCCGAAAGGAGCCACUAACUGCCUCGUCAAGUCACCCUUGAAGACGCAAUGGUGGAAGUGGAAGAGAAGAGUACCUGCAUUCUAAUCAAAUUAGGCCAGCUUCAUAGAAGAACCGAACUGAGUCAAGUCCAACCGAAACACCAUUGAAUUACUACGACUUCUGAAUAUAUUGAUACUUUUUAUUCUCAGGGUGACUUGUACCAUGUCGGCCAUGUAUCCAGUUAAUGUACCGAACGGUAAUCGGCUUAUUUGUAUGAAUGCUUUAUUGCCUUAUUCAUCCUCAAGGCGAUGCCUUUCACAUCGGCUAUAUGAAUGCGAGUCAAUAGGUAUCGGCCGUGAGAACCUGAUAUGCCAUAUUAUCGGCUAAGCGUCUACCCAUAUGCUGGGAUAGUAUCUUUUUAAAUAUCUUCCAUUUAGAGCCCUUGUAAAUUCUUCUCCCUCAAUGGUCUCCAAUAUGUAUGCAUCGCCCGGCGCACAUCGACUAAUCCUGUACGGCCCUUCCCAAGUAGGUGACCAUUUUCCAUAUUUAGGAUCUUUAGAUCCUAUCGGCAAGAUCAAUUUCCAGACCAAGUCCCCUUGGGAAAACUGUUUGACCUUGACCUUCUUGUCAUACCAUCUGGUGACUCUUUUCUUAUUUUCCUCAAUACUAAUCAAGGCACUCAAUCGUUGAUUUGCCAAAUCUUCCAGCUCUCCCUUCAUGAGCCUGGAAUAGUCAUCGGCUGUUAACUGAUCCUGAAGCGAUGUCCGUCUAGACCCAGUUUUCAACUCCCAAGGCAAUACUGCUUCGUGCCCAUACACUAACUAGUAAGGAGACACCUUGGUGGCACCGUGGAAAGCCAUCUUGUAGGCGCACAAGGACUCGUUCAGCGUCAUAUGCCACCGCCUUGGUUGUUCUUCAAUCUUUCUCUUAAUCAAUUUAAUCACCCCCUUGUUGGAUGAUUUAGCCUAACCAUUGGCCUGAGCAUAAUACAGAGAAGAAUUUAACAACUUAAUUCCCAUGUUGGCAGUGAACUCUUCAAAUUCUCCCGAGGUAAACAUUGACCCCUAGUCAGUCGUAAUAGUCUGAGGAGUACCAAACUGAUAAAUAAUGUGCUCCUUCACAAAUUCAAUCAUGUUGGCCGACAUCACAAUUUUUAAAGGAACUGCCUCCACCCACUUGGUGAAAUAAUCAGUAGCCACCAAUAUGAACUUAUGCCCUUUACUCGAUGGUGGAUAAAUCUGUCCAAUGAGGUUAAUUCCCAACCUCUAAAUGGCUACGGCUUUAUUAUUGGGUUCAUAGCCGAGGCUGGUGCUCGUUGUACGUUGCCGAAUUUCUGACAAUCCUGACACCCUUUAUAAUAUUUGAAACAAUCCUCGAGUAUCGUCGGCCAAUAAUACCCAUUAUUUCUAAUCAUCCACUUCAUUUUGAAGGAAGAUUGAUGGGCCCCACAUACACCUUCAUGAAUUUCUCCCAUUAGAGUUUUUGCUUCCUCCACUCCAAGGCAUUUGAGUAGCACCCCAUCAAUCGUCCGGUAAAACAAAUCAUCCUCAAGCAGUAUGUACUUUGUAGCCUGAAAGCGUAUUUGCCAAUCGACCUUCUUGGAUGGAUCUUUUAGAUAGUCGGCAAUUUCCUUCCUCCAGUCAUCGGCCACAAGCUCCAGAGACAUAGCGCCUUGAAUCGAUCGGUAACCAGAAGCAUGUUGGGCAAGCCUAUUAGCUUCCUCAUUGUUAUCUCUGGGAAUAUGUUCAAUAAGUGUGGUCUUGAACUCUUUCAGUAACUGGAGGCAUUCUUCAUAACAAAUUCUUAGAAUAUCAUCCUUGCACUCGCAUUUUCUAGUUAACUGAUCCACAAUGAAAAUGGAAUCCCCAAAUAUCUCUACCGCUUCAGCCUUGACCUCUCUCAAUAGCUGGAUACCUUUCAAGAUGGCCCGAUACUCUGCUUGAUUAUUAUUAGCAGAAGCCUCAAUCGGCAGAGAUAAAUCAUAACUUGCCUCCCGAGGCGAUAUCAGGAUGAUGCCGAUUCCUGAUCCGGCCCCGCACAAAGAUCCAUCAAAGUAUAGUGUCCACGGAGCUAGUUCGAUAACAGUAAUUUUUGAUCCACAAUGCUAGGCUACGAAGUCGGCCAUUACUUGACCCUUGACAGCUUUGGUUGAUUCGUACCUCAGAUCGAAUUCCGAGAGGGCCAGAAUCCACUUUCCAAUUCUCCCUUUCAAGAUCGGUAGUGAUAACAUAUACUUGACGACAUCAUCAUUGGACAUGACUACGCACUCUGCCGAUAACAGGUAGUGCCUGAGUUUGGUACAAGAAAAAUAUAGGCAAAGGCACAACCGUUCCACCGGAGGCUAUCUGGUUUCAGCAUCGAAAAGUCUUCCGCUAACGUAAUAAAUUACCCUUUCUUUCCCCUCAAACUCCUGGACCAGCACUGAGCCAAUAGCUCGCUCGUCGGCCAAUAGAUACAGUCUGAAAGGCUUAUCGGGCUAUGGAGGAACCAACACCGGAGGGGACACCAAGUAUUAUUUGAUAUCAUCUAAUGCCUUCUGCUACUCCUUGCCCCAAAUGAACUCUUAGUCGGGUUUUAAUUUCAGCAAUGGGGUGAAAUCUUGAAUGUGUCCAGACAAGUUUGAUAUGAACCUUCGGAUGAAGUUGAGCUUGCGGAUUAAGAACAAUAGCUCAGUCUUGUCUUGUGGGGCCACAACUUUGUUGAUGGCAGCUAUAAACUUUCGAUUGAUCUCAAUGCCGCGUUCAUGGACCAUGAAACCCAGAAAUUUACUAGCCGAAAUGCCAAAAGCACACUUGUUUGGAUUCAUUUUCAACCCAUGCUUUCUUGUGCACUCCAAUACCUUGCGCAAAUCGGCCAGAUGUUGUUGAUGCCCCUUUGACUUGAUGACAACAUCAUCAAUAUAAAUCUCCACCAGGACACCAAUAAGCUUAUGAAAUAUAUAAUUCAUGGCCCAUUGAUAUGUAGCUCCAACAUUCUUCAAACCGAAAGUCAUGACUACCCACUCGAACAAACCAAGAUGACCAGGGCACCUGAAGGCCAUUUUUGAGAUAUCUUCUUCGACUAUUAGUAUCUGAUUAUACUCGGCGUUACCAUCCAUGAAGCUGAUGACUUUGUGCCCUGCGGCCGCGUCUAUCAAAACAUCGGCCGUCGUCAUCGGGUAUCCGUCCAUCGGCGUAGCUUGGUUAAGAUUUCUGAAGUCAAUGCAAACACGUAUCUUUCCAUUUUUCUUGUAUACAGGAACAAUAUCAGAAAUCCACUCGGCAUAUCGACACUGCCGAAUAAACCCUGCUUCAAUCAAUCUUGUGAUUUCAGCCUUUAUAUCAGGUAGAAUUUUAGGAUUACAAUGUCGUGCAGACUGCUGAUAUGGCCGAUACCCCAGUUUUAUAGGCAGCCGAUGUUUGACUAUGGACCAGUCUAGACCAGGCAUUUCAUGAUACUCCCAAGCAAAGUAAUCUUUAAACUCUCUUAACAAAUCUAUUAACUCACGCUUGUAUUCGGGGUCUAACCUAGCACUGAUAUACGUAGGCCUUGGCUUGCUACUAUCUCCAAGGUCUACCAUCUCUAAUGAAUCGGCCUACAUAAAUCAGUGCCCAAUUUUUCCAUCUUCUCGGAUGAACUAAUCAAUCUAAUCUGAUUCUUCUGAGCCGACUGCUUGGAUCAGCUGUAGAUCGAAAUCGGACACCUUCAAGAACUCAGUGUUGGAGGUAUGCCCUAGAGGCAAUCAUAGAGAUGAUGAUAUUCCAUUUGUAUCCAUGAUUUAUAUUGUGUUCCUUGAAUAUCCAUUAAAGGCUACUUGAAUUGAUUUGCAAUUAUGUGAAUUGUGUGUGAAACUCUUUACUUAUAUGGUUAUUCUAAAGUUGUCCCUAGUCGGAGUUCAUGUGAGGACACACAUGAAUAUUAGACUAGCACAUGUAUUAGUUGAUGACUAUGUUUCACAAGUCAUGGACAUGGAGAUGUUGAACUAAUAAUGUGGGCACAUGUGGAGACAUGUGCUAGGACUGACCCAACACGAGAAGUAGUUCUCUCUUUAUAUAACAUAUGCGCUUUGUCCUUAGACCUGAGAUUGUCGCAUAUAUUCAAGAUGUGGAUCGACCUACUUACGGGCUAUCAAACGCUACGCCGUAACAGGGUAGUUAUAAAGGUAGCUUUCGGGUUUGUCAAGAAGCAUGCUGUGAGACAUGGUCAAUCAAGAUGGGAUUUGCCCCUCUCUGAUUGAGAGUGAUAUCUCUGGGCCCCUCGAGUGAUCGGAUCCGAAAAUGCAUGGCCAUGCUACGUACAGUUAAGAGUUAACCUACAAAGGGACUCCGAAUCACAGGAUCGAGAAAGAGCGGUCGGCUUGAAGCUAGACCAAAUAUCGUGAGGCAAAGGGAAUAGUAUGUAUAUAAUGUUGUGAUGGUUCGUCUGAUAUGAUCUUCGUGUGCAUAUAGGAGUUGGCACGUCUUGCUAGAGGCCGCUACAAACUAUUGGGCCGAGUAGGAGUACUCGGGCCAUGUCUAUAUGUAUCUGAACCCAUAGGGUCACACACUUAAGGGGCUGGAAGCCCAAUUCGGAUGUGAUCCGAGUUGGAUUAGGUUUAGAAGUACUAAUGGGCCUCGGACCCAGAGGCCUGUUAGGAACCUCUAUAAAUAGAGGGGUGGGGGCGCCCUAGGGUUUACACCUUUUGGCGAAACACAUCUGCCGUGCCUCCCACGCCUUCUCCUGUUGCAACUCACGGAUCUAGCAGUCCGGCUUGCGACGCUUCCUCCCUGCCCGUGUGGAUACCUUGGAGGUGUUGCGCCUGCAGCACUUGGACGAGCCGCCGACGAGCCACGACGAGCCGACGACGAGCCGCGGCACGAGGGCGAUCUUGCUGCACGUGGAUGAGCUGCUGAGGAGCUGCUGGACGUCACCGUGAUCGACUACGUAUGACUACGCUGAUCGAGCAAGAAUCGAUGAGUGAUGCUAACGUAGUAGAACAAGUUGAGAUACCCAUGGCAAGAGAAGCACUGCCACAACCACGAAGGUCGGCAAGGCUCCACGAAAUGCGGGAAAUAUUAUUGUUGGACAGUGAUUAGCCUACGACAUAUGCAGAAGUAAUGAUGGACCCAGACUCCGAAAAAUGGCAGAGUGCCAUGCAAUCCGAAAUAGUGUCCAUGGGAAACAAUCAAGUUUGGAACUUGGUUGACCCGCCGAUGGUGUUAAAGCCAGAGAGUGCAAGUGGAUCUAUAAGAAGAAAAAGGACAUGGAUGGAAAUGUUCACAUCUAUAAAGCACGACUUGUCGCAAAAGGUUUUCGACAAGUUCAAGGAGUUGACUACGACGAGACUUUCUCGCCCGUAGUGAUGCUUAAGUCCAUUCUGAUUAUUCUAGCUAUAGAUGCAUAUUUUGAUUAUGAGAUAUGGCAGAUGGAUGUCAAGAUAGCUUUCCUGAAUGAAAACCUAGCUGAGGACGUGUAUAUGAUACAGCCUGAGGGUUUUGUCGAUCCGAAAAAUGCUGGAAAGGUAUGCAAGCUUCAAAGAUCCAUGUAUGGAUUGAAGCAAGCAUCUAGGAGUUGGAACAUUCGUUUUGAUGAAGUGGUCAAAGGGUUUGACUUCACCAAGAACGAGGAAGAGUCUUGUAUUUACAAGAAGGUUAGUGGGAGCUCUAUAGUAUUUCUAAUCUUAUAUGUAGAUGACAUAUCGCUGAUUGGAAAUAACAUUCCUAUGCUUGAGUCUGUAAAGACUUCACUGAAAAAUAGUUUUUCGACGAAGGACUUAGGGGAAGCGGCAUAUAUUUUGGGCAUUAAGAUCUAUAGAGAUAGAUCGAGAAGGCUUAUAGGAUUAAGCCAAGAUACUUACAUUGACAAAGUGUUGAAGCGGUUCAGCAUGGAAGAGGCAAAGAAAGGGUUCUUGCCUAUGUCACAUGGCAUACAUCUCAGCAAGACUCAGUGUCCUUCGACUGCUGAUGAGCAGGAUCGCAUGAGUAGAGUGCCAUAUGCCUCGGCUAUUGGAUCUAUCAUGUAUGCAAUGAUAAGUACUGGCCCAGAUGUUUCAUAUGCGCUAAGUAUGACAAGCAGACACCAGUCUGAUCCAGGUGAGAGUCACUGGACAGCGGUGAAAAACAUUCUUAAGUACUUGAGAAGGACUAAAGAUAUGUUCCUCAUCUAUGGAGGUGAGGAGGAGCUCGUUGUAACAGGUUACACCGAUGCUAGUUUCCAAACCGACAGAGAUGAUUCAAAGUCACAAUCAGGAUUUGUGUUCACUCUAAAUGGUGGUGCUGUUAGUUGGAAGAAUUCCAAGCAGGAGAUAGUGGCCGAUUCUAUGACAGAAGCCGAGUACAUCGCGGCUUCGGAAGCCGCGAAGGAGGGUGUUUGGAUAAGGAAUUUCCUCAUUGAGCUUGGUGUGUUCCCGAAUGCGUCCAGCCCAUUGAAUCUCUACUGUGAUAACAAUGGGGCAAUUGUGCAAGCAAAGGAGCCAAGGAACCACCAGAAGAACAAACACGUAAUGCGGCGAUUUCAUCUCAUUCGAGACUUCAUUAACCAGGGUGAGAUCAAGAUAUGCAAAAUACACACGGAUCUGAACAUUUCUGAUCCGUUGACAAAACCACUCCCGCAAGCUAAGCAUGAUGCGCAUGUAAGAGCUAUGGGUAUUAGGUACCUUCUAGAUUGACUCUAGUGCAAGUGGGAGACUGUUGGAGGUAUGCCCUAGAGGCAAUCAUCGAGAUGAUGAUAUUCCAUUUGUAUCCAUGAUUUAUAUUGUGUUCCUUGAAUAUCCAUUAAAGGCUACUUGAAUUGAUUUGCAAUUAUGUGAAUUAUGUGUGAAACUCUUUACUUGUAUGGUUAUUCUAAAGUUGUCCCUAGUCGGAGUUCAUGUGAGGACACACAUGAAUAUUAGACUAGCACAUGUAUUAAUUGAUGACUAUGUUUCACAAGUCAUGGAUAUGGAGAUGUUGAACUAAUAAUGUGGGCACAUGUGGAGACAUGUGCUAGGACUGACCCAAUACGAGAAGUAGUUCUCUCUUUAAACAACAUAUGCGCUUUGUCCUUAGACCUGAGAUUGUCGCAUGUAUUCAAGAUGUGGAUCGACCUACUUAGGGGCUAUCAAACGCUACGCCAUAAUAGGGUAGUUAUAAAGGUAGCUUUCAGGUUUGUCAAGAAGCAUGUUGUGAGACAUGGUCAAUCAAGAUGGGAUUUGCCCCUCUCUGAUUGAGAGUGAUAUCUCUGGGCCCCUCGAGUGAUCGGAUUUGAAAAUGCAUGGCCAUGCUACGUACGGUUAAGAGUUAACCUACAAAGGGAUUCCGAAUCACAGGAUCGAGAAAGAGCGGUCGGCUUGAAGCUAGAACAAAUAUCGUGAGGCAAAGGGAAUAGCAUGUAUAUAAUUGUGUGAUGGUUCAUCUGAUAUGAUCUUCGUGUGCAUAUAGGAGUUGGCACGUCUUGCUAGAGGCCGCUACCGACUAUUGGGCCGAGUAGGAGUACUCGGGCCAUGUCUAUAUGUAUCCGAACCCAUAGAGUCACACACUUAAGGGGCUGGAAACCCAAUUUUGAUGUGAUCCGAGUUGGAUUAGGUUUAUAAGUACUAAUGGGCCUUGGACCCAGAGGCCCGUUAGGAACCUCUAUAAAUAGAGGGGUGGGGGCGCCCUAGGGUUUACACCUUUUGGCGAAACACAUCUGUCGCGCCUCCCACACCCUCGCUUAUUGCAACUCACGGAUCUAGCAGUCCGGCUUGCGACGCUUCCUCCCUGCACAUGUGGAUACCUUGGAGGUGUUGUGCCUGCAGCACUUGGACGAGCCGCCGACGAGCCACGACGAACCACGACGAGCCGACGACGAGCCGCGGCACGAGGGCGAUCUUGCUGCAUGUGGACGAGCUGCUGAGGAGCUGCUGGACGUCGACGUGAUCGACUACGUACGACUACGCUAAUCGACUUCGCUGCAUCGACGCGAAUCUACAUCUUCCGCACCAGUAGUGCGUCGAGUGGUAAUCCCGUGAUCCUUAUACGGCAGUUUUCCUGGUUUACGCGGUAGAAAUUUUUUGAUUUGCGCUAGUGUAGCCUACCUCGUAUCCCUACACUCAGUGUCCUAGGUCCUGCCAGAUAUGCAUCUGACGUGUUCGUAACUCCAUUGGUGCACGUCAGCUAUGGUGACACUGUAGGCAGAGUCAGUGGUGACUACUUCAAUGGUGUCGCUGAUCCACUGGACGAGGCAUUUGUGCAUCGUAGACGGGAUGCAGCAGUUUGCGUGGAUCCAGUCUCGCUCGAGCAACAUAUUAUAGGACACUUUACCAUUAAUUAUAAAGAAAGUGGUGGGUAGGGUCUUACUACCAAUGGUGAGGUCGACGCAGAGUGCCCCCCGGACCAGAGAUCUGUUGCCUUCGAAAUCCUUGAGCAUCAUGUCCAUCUUGAUCAAAUCUUGUUCCCUUUUUCCUAGUUUGCGGAACAUAGCAUACGACAUGAUGUUCACGGCAGCACCUCCAUCGACCAACAGCUUAGUGACCGGUCGUCCGUUGACUUGCCCCUUGAGUAAGAGAGCCUUGAGAUGCUGGCAUUUUUCAUCCUCGGGUUUCUCAAAAGUGGUGGUUAUUGGCUCCAGAGCCAAUUGUGUCAUCUGCUCCUCUAUUUCUGUUGCAUUUUUGCGGUCAACAGGAGCCAUGAACUCCAUCGGCAAGGUGAACACCAUGUUGACGUCAGCAGCCGAAUCUUGGUCGUUGUUUUCUCCAUCAGCUUUUCUUCUGGGGUGCCAAACUUGAGACUUGACCCCUUUUUUGUCUGCCGCCCGCCUUUGUGCUUCUUCUUGCUAUUCCCAUUGGCACAGAUGUUGGACCCUUUUUUUCUGGGACUUUGUCAGACCAUCUGGGCACCAUCUGGGGUUCACUAGUUUACUUGGCGGCUUAGCGUGUUCCCAGUCUGGCUCUCGGCCCAUAUCUCCCAGCCGAUCAUGCGCGCUAAUUCUGCCCCCAGCCGAUUACGCUCGUAUACUCUACCCCCUAGCCGAUCACGCAUUGAAACGCGCCAAUCCUCUUGCUCGAGCCUAUUUCUGCUGAUCGGCUCUCGUCCUCGAUCUCCGGAACAUGAUCUCUUGAACGGGCGACUGCUGCAAUACCGACCGUUGCAUUCAGGGCAGUUAUUGGCUGACGGCAAUCUGAGAUUACUUUCCCAACAAUGGAUGAAGAAUGGGCAUCUCCAAUGAUCUUCAUGUCAGCGCGUCAUCUCUUCACGAUGCCUCGUGUCCUCCCACUGCCUCUGGUACUUGUUGAGUAAGUCCCGGGAUGUGAUAGGUCGAGGGAGCCUCUCCGAGCUUUCGCCUUCCGUCUCUACGCAGCCUUUUCCCCUAACAUCCUCGACUGAGGUCUGAUUUCUGGGGUCCACUGCGUCGCUCCGUCUGGCCGAUUCUGAUGUCAGCACCUUGGUCUGGAGCGCAUUCCUUCUGACGUCGACCAUGUUGGCAGGGAAGGGGUGCUGGUCGAUCUUCAUCGGCUUUGCUGGCUUCGUGGGGACCUCGAAUUUAAGUCUUCCUUGCUCAAUGGCCGACUGUAUCUGUUGACGGAAGACUUUGCACUCAUUCGUGUUGUGAGACGUGGCAUUGUGCCACUGGCAAUGCUUCAUCUUCUUAAGCUGCUCGACUGAUGGAAUCAUGUGGUAGGGUGAGAGCUUGAUUUGUCCCUCUUGUAGCAGCAAAUCAAAGAUCUUAUCAGCCUUAGAUGUGUCGAAGCCAAACGUUUCCAGUUCCUUUUUACCGAACGGGCAUGAUAUUCACUUUUUCCCUUUUACCCAUUCUACCAGGCUGAUUUCUGCUUCUUCUUCUGAAUCGGACCCCAUCACAUACACCACCUUUUUCUGGAAGUUUCUUCAUUGGUCAAAGGGGCGUACUUCCUGACCGGAUAGCCGGUGUACGAUUUGGCUCAAAAUUUUGAACUCCUGGGAAGCGUAUUUCUCUCUAAUGUGUGGCAGGAGUCCCUGAAAAGCGGUAUCGGCUAGCUAGGUGUCGGUCAGAACCAGACUGUAGCAUUUUUUCAUGACCUCUCUGAAUCUCUGUAUGUAACUGGCCACCGACUCAUCGCUCCUCUGCUUGAGGCUAGUUAAAUCUGAAAGUUUCAACUUGUGGAACCCUGCAAAGAAGUAUCUUGUGGAAUUGUUUCUCCAAAUUGGCCCAAGUGAUGAUGGAGUUAGGCGGUAGUGUCGUAAACCAUUGAAAGGCCAACUCGGACAGGGAUGAUGAGAACAGACAUACCCUCAGAGCGUCUUGUGCAACAGCUUCUCCACACUGGAUGAUGAACCUGUUAACGUGCUCCACCGUGAAUGUGUCAUCUUGGCCCAAGAACUUGGUGAAGUCGGGCACUUUGUACCGAUGAGGGAACGGUAGCAGAUCGUAAGCGGGUGGGUACAGUGUCCUGUAUGUAUAAGUCUGCACCCUUGGCUUUAACCCAAACUGAUCUUGCAUUAUAUCAGUUAUCCGUGCGGUGCGGUCCACUUGAUGCUGAUGCUGCUGUUGCUGAUGUACAACUGGCUGAGGAAUCAGCAUGUGCUGUUGAACUUGCGGCACCGCGAUUGUACGAUAGGCUGGUACGUGCUGCAGAUCUUGCAGCUGGACUGUCAGCUGAGGAACCAACGGCUGCUAUCGUAUGGGGUAAACAUGACGUAGUGCGUCCGCCUCCUCAUCGUACAAUACUAUUGGUGCCGCAGUUCUGAGGGGAUCUGGAGCGCUUGCCCCCCUGUUGAUUUCCGGGGUAGUCUGCUGGUAUUGCGGGGCGGUCGGCCGAGAGGUCGAUGGAAAUGAUGCCUACACUGGAGAUUUUUCGUAACUAGUGGAUGGAUCUAGAUCGGCAGGUAGUCCCGCCAUUCCCCACUACGCCGAAGCUGCAAACGGCGGUUGCGCGGAGGGAACCGGUGCAGGGUAAAACGGUGCUUGUGAUUGAUAGGGUGUUGCACUAUUAUAUCCUAGGGGUAUUGUGGUGUUGUAUCCCCCACUCUGCAUCUGCAUCGGCUGAGGAGCCGACUGCGACAUAUUUGGCGCCUCCAAGAAGCCUCUGACUGGUGCGACGAUAGGAGGGGCGUAGGCUGGUCCCUGAUACCCCUGAGCUACGCUGUUGACCAUGGAGCUAACGACGGCGUUGUACACUGUGUGAGUCAUCACCUUGGAUUGAUCGAUCAUAGCCUGAUAAACAGACUGCUAGAUCAUCUCAGACAUCUUCCCCGAGCCUUCGACAAUGGUGAUCUGGCGAAGAAUUGGAACAGCAGUCUUUCUGACGAUCUCCUAGCUUCUAGUACAACUGUAGGAUUGCAGGCAUGCCUUCUUGUAGUUUUCCAUAGCUUUUGCCAGCUCAUCCCUCUGGUCAUCCUUGAGAUCCACCUCGGUGACUUCAAUGACGUUAUCCUCCGAGAUCUCAGCAGCCUUUGACAUGUUGGAUCUUGCUUCGGUCCCACCAGGCAUGCCAAAAGUGUGUUGACACUAAAAAUUGGACAAAGACUCCAGCCUCUGCGUCGGACACACAACCUGGGAGAAUCUGCUUAACUCCUGUUCGGGUUGUCGCCUUGGUACGGUUCGCGCGGCGUGCCAGUCAAUCUGACCUGUUGAUUGACAAGGAAAGCAUUAAAUUCCAAGGUUUCGAUCGGCUAAAGUUCCGAUCUAUUCAGAGGAUGUAUCCGUGAAUCAGUCGAAUUAAUGUAGAGACGACCGGCUAUAGCACAGCCGAUGAUCACGUGGUAAUUGCAAAAGAAACUGCUAGAGUAACCUAAACAAAGCUACAAAAGCAACACUUGAAACAGAUCUAAUCGGCUAUAUAUAAUAAACAAAGAAUAUUGAUAAAAAGCCGACAGUUCGUGUCUCAAGCUGGAUAACGUGCGAUAAAAACUAAACUAACAGGUAAAACCUAUAAUUCUAGUAAAUAUCGAUAACUGGUGAAUAAAUCUAAACGAAACAACAGCGAUGCGCCCGUAGUUAAAGCUUAGAUAUUACUCGAUACGCUGAACUUACAAGUUGGCUGGAGGUCAUCUUGACACAGCCCUGCCAACUCGCACAAACUCGUGAAACUAUAAAAGUAUUUGGCGAAGUCACCGACUUGGAAGUAAAGUACGUGGAAAAGUAGAUAUGUAUUGAUUGAUUGUUGUGUUGUUUACAAGCCUUACGAGGCACCUAUUUAUACCCUGUUACAACUAAUUUUCUAACCGACUAGGAUUUAUCUCUAAUUUAAAGAUGACAAAUAUUUACAAAUGAACACUGUUGGGAUACGAGGUAGGCUACGCUAGCGCAAAACAAAUUUUUCUACCGCAUAAACCAAGAAAACUGCCGUAUAUGGAUCACGAGAUUAUCACUCGACGCACCGGUGCGGAAGAUGUAGAAUCCCGUUGGGGCAGCGAAGUCGAUCAGCAUAGUCGAACACGUAGUCGAUCACGUCGACGUCGAGCAGCUCCUCUGUAGCUCGUCCACGUGUAGCAAGGUCGUCCUCGUGCCGCAGCUUGUCGUCGGCUCGUCGGGCGUGGGAGGCGCGGCAGAUGUGUUUCAGCCAAAAGGGAUGAAACCCUAGGGCACCCCACCCCUCUAUUUAUAGAGGUUCCUGACGGCCCUCAUGGUCCGAGGCCCAUUAGUACUUCUAAACCUAAUCCAACUUGGAUCAUAUCUGAAUUGGGCUUCCAGCCCCUUAAGUGUGUGAUCCUAUGGGUUCGGAUACAUAUAGACAUGGCCCGAGUACUCCUACUCGGCCCAAUAGUUCGUAGAGGCCUCUAGCAAGAUGUGCUAACUCCUAUACGCACACGAAGAUCAUAUCAGACGAACCGUCACAACAUCAUGUACAUGCUAUUCCCUUUGCCUCACAAUAUUUGGUCUAGCUUCAAGCUGACCGCUCUUUCUCGAUCCUGUGAAUCGGAAUCCCUUUGUAGGUUAACUCCUAACCAUACAUAGCAUGGCCAUGCAUUUUCGGAUCUGAUCACUCGAGGGGCCCAGAGAUAUCACUCUCAAUCAGAGAGGGGCAAAUCCCAUCUUGAUUGACCAUGUCACACAGCAUGCUUCCUGACAAACUCGAAAGCUACCUUUUUAACUACCCUGACACGGUGUAGUGUUUGAUAGCCCCUAAGUAAGUCGAUCCACAUCUUGAGUACAUGUGACAAUCUCAGGUCUAAGGACAAAGCUUACAUGUUGUGUAAAGAGAGAACUACUUCUCGUGUUGGGUCAGUCCUAGCAUAUGUCUCUACAUGUGCCUACAUUAUUAGUUUGACAUCUCCAUGUCCAUGAGUUGUGAAACAUAGUCAUCAACUAAUAUAUGUACUAGUCUAAUAUUCAUGUGUGUCGACACAUGAACUCUGACUAGGGACAAUUUUUAGAAUAACCAUGCAAGUAAAGAGUUCCACAUACAAUUCACAUAAUUGCAGAUCAAUUCAAGUAGCAUUUAAUGGAUAUUCAAUGAACAUAAUAUAAAUCAUGGAUACAAAUGGAAUAUCAUCAUCUCUAUGAUUGCUCUAGGGCAUACCUCCAACAGUCUCCCACUUGCACUUGAGUCAAUCUAGAAGAUAUCUAAUACCCAUAGCUCUUAUGUGUGCAUCAUGCUUAGCUUGCAAAAGAGGCUUUGUCAAAGGAUCAGAAAUAUUCAGAUCCAUGUGUAUUUUGCAUAUCUUGAUCUCACCCUGAUUAAUGAAGUCUAUAAUGAGAUGAAGUCGCCGCAUAACGUGUUUGUUCUUCUGGUGAUUCCUUGGCUCCUUGGCUUGCGCAAUUGCCCCAUUGUUAUCACAGUAGAGAUUCAAUGGGCUGGACGUAUUUGGGAACACACCAAGAUCAAUAAGGAAAUUCCUUAUCCAAACACCCUCCUUCGCGGCUUCCGAAGCCGCGAUGUACUCGGCUUCUGUUGUAGAAUCGGCGACCGUCUCCUGCUUGGAACUCUUCGAACUAACAGCACCACCAUUUAGCGUGGACACAAAUCCUAAUUGUGACUUUGAAUCAUCUCUGUCAGUUUGGAAACUAGCAUCGGUGUAACCCAUUACCACGAGCUCCUCCUCACCUCCAUAGACGAGGAACAUAUCUUUAGUCCUUCUUUAAGUACUUAAGAAUGUUUUUCACCAUUGUCUAGUGACUCUCACCCGGAUCAGAAUGGUGUCUGCUUGUCAUACUUAGCGCAUAUGAAACAUCUGGUGAGUACUUAUCAUUACAUACAUGAUAGAUCCAAUAGCCGAGGCAUAUGGCACUCUACUCAUGCGAUCCCGCUCAUCAGCAGUCGAAGGACACUGAGUCUUGCUGAGAUGUAUGCCAUGUGACAUAGGCAAGAACCCUUUCUUCACCUCUUCCAUGCUGAACCGCUUCAACACUUUGUCAAUGUAAGUAUCUUGGCUUAAUCCUAUAAGCCUUCUUGAUCUAUCUCUGUAGAUCUUAGUGCCUAGAAUAUAUGCCGCUUCCCCUAAGUCCUUCAUCGAAAAACUAUUUUUCAGUGAAGUCUUUACGGACUCAAGCAUAGGAAUGUUAUUUCCAAUCAGCAAUAUGUCAUCCACAUAUAAGAUUAGAAAUACUACAGAGCUCCCACUAACCUUCUUGUAAACACAAGACUUUUCUUCGUUCUUGGUGAAGCCAAACCCUUUGACCACUUCAUCAAAACGAAUGUUCCAACUCCUAGAUGCUUGCUUCAAUCCAUAAAUGGAUCUUUGAAGCUUGCAUACCUUUCUAGCAUUUUUCGGAUCGACAAAACCCUCAGGCUGUAUCAUAUACAUGUCCUCAGCUAGGUUUCCAUUCAGGAAAGCUGUCUUGACAUCCAUCUGCCAUAUCUCAUAAUCGAAAUAUGCAGCUAUAGCUAGAAUAAUCCGAAUGGACUUAAGCAUCACUACGGGCGAGAAGGUCUCGUCGUAGUCAACUCCUUGAACUUGUCGAAAACCUUUUGCGACAAGUCGUGCUUUAUAGAUGUGAACAUUUCCAUCCAUGUCCUUUUUCUUCUUAUAGAUCCACUUGCACUCUCUGGCUUUAACACCAUCGGCGGGUCAACCAAGUUCCAAACUUGAUUGUUUCCCAUGGACACUAUUUCGGAUUGCAUGGCACUCUGCCAUUUUUCGGAGUCUGGGUCCAUCAUUACUUCUGCAUAUGUCGUAGGCUAAUCACUGUCCAACAAUAAUAUUUCCCGCAUUUCGUGGAGCCUUGCCGACCUUCGUGGUUGUGGCAGUGCUUCUCUUGCCAUGGGUAUCUCAACUUGUUCUACUACGUUAGCAUCACUCAUCGAUUCUUGCUCGAUCGGCUCAUCUUGAACUUCUUCAAGAUGCACUGUCUUUCCACUCUUUUCUCCUUUGAGAAACUCUUUCUCUAGGAAAACCCCAUUCUGAGCGACAAACACUUUGCCCUCUGACCGGUUGUAGAAAUAAUAUCCUAAAGUUUUCCUUUGGAUAUCCCAUGAAAAUGCACUUAUCCGACUUGGGUGUGAUCUUGUCCGACUGAAGUCGCUUGACAAACACCUCACAUCCCCAAAUAUUUAGAAAAGACAAACUGGAAGUCUUUCCAGUCCACAUCUCAUAUGGUGUCUUAACUACGGAUUUAGACGGUACCCUAUUUAGUGCGAAAGCUGUUGUUUCUAGAGCGUAUCCCCAAAAUGAUAACGGUACAUCCGACUAGCUCAUCAUUGAUCGAACCAUGUGUAACAAAGUUCGAUUACAUCGCUCGGAUACACCGUUUCUCUGAGGUGUUCCAGGCGGCAUAAGCUGUGGAACAAUUCCGCAGCUCUUCAGAUGAUUGCUAAAAUCAUGACUCAAAUACUCACCUCCACGAUCAGAUCGCAAGGCCUUAAUUUUCUUGCCACGCUGAUUUUCAACUUCAUUCUGAAAUUCCUUGAACUUUUCAAAGGUUUCAGACUUGUGCCUCAUCAAGUAGACAUAGCCAUAUCUACUAAAAUCAUCAGUAAAAGUUAUGAAGUAUUGGUACCCUCCUCUGGCUGUUGUGCUCAUUGGUCUGCAUACAUCGGUAUUUACAAGUUCCAACAAGUCUAAUGCUCUUUCAGGAAAACCUGUGAAAGGUGCCUUGGUCAUCUUGCCUAGUAAGCAAGCCUCACAUGUCUCGUAUGAUUCAAAAUCAAACAAAGUUAAAAGUCCAUCAGUAUGGAGCUUCUUCAUGCAUUUCUCACUUAUAUGACCCAAACGACAAUGCCACAUGUAGGUAGUACUCAAAUCAUUAGGCCGAGACCUUUUAGCAUUUAUGUUACAGACAGGUGAACCAUCAAGAUUUAAAACAAACAAUCCAUUCACAAUAGGUGCAAAAGCCAUAAACAUAUCAUUCUUAGAGAUCACACAACCAUUGUUUUCACUCGCAAAUGAAUAACCAUCCUUCAUCAAACAUGAAGGAGACAUAAUGUUUUGACUUAAACUAGGGACAAAAUAACAAUUAUUCAAUUCCAUAACAAAUCCUGACGGGAGGUGGAGUUGCAUCGUCCCGACGGUCAAUGCUGCAACUCUUGCAUUAUUACCCACGCGGAAAUCAACUUCUCCCUUUUCAACGCUUCUACUUCUUAUCAUUCCCUGCAUCGAAUUGCAAAUAUGAGCAACCGAUCCGGUAUCAAAUACCCAAGAAUUAAUAAUUGUAUCAGCGAGAAAUAUGUUGUCUAUAACAUUAACAACAAGCGUACCUAAGGUGGAAGUACUCUUACUUCCGCCAUUCUUCAAUGAAGGUAGGUACUGCUUGCAAUUUCUCUUCCAGUGACCAAGUUCGUGAUAAUAAAAGCCCUCUUUGUCUAGAGCAGGUCCAGGUCCAGCUUUAACCUUGGGCGCUGGGUUUGGCUUAGCAGCCUUGCCCUUCUUCUUCCAAGAAUUGCCCUUCUUCUUAAAGCUAGGCUUGUUCUGUAUAGCCACCACAUGGCUGCUAGUAGCACUUUUCUUAAUGUCAGCCUUUGCUGUUUUAAGCAUGCCACACAGUUCAUUUCGACCCUUCUCCAUCCCAUGCAUAUGGUAGUUCGAGAUGAGGUUCCCAUAGUUAGACGGAAGAGACGAAAGAAUGAAAUCAGUGGCCAACUCUUGGCCCAGUGGGAAGCCUAGCUUCUCCAACUAUUGAGUGUAACCAACCAUCUUGAUUACGUGUGGUCCUACUGCUGCACCUUCUGCUAGCUUGCUCUCCACAAAGGCCUUAGACACAUUGAACCUUUCAGUCCUGGUCUGUGUUUGGAACAUGUCUCUAAGCGCCACGAUCAUAUCGUGCACCUCAUGGUUUGUUUUGAACUGCAUCUGCAGCUCGGGUUCCAUGCAAGCAAGCAUAAGGCAGCCUACUUCAAGGUUAGCAUCACAUGCUUUCUUGUAAGCAUUCUUAAUAGCAGCAGGCGCAUCGGCAGCAGGUUCUUCUGGUAAUGGCUUGUCUAGAACAUCUUCCUUUUUCAGCCCUAAGAACAAUUCUCAGGUUACGGAUCCAAUUCGAGUAGUUUGUUCCAUUCAACUUGUCCUUCUGAAGGACCGAACGCAAAGCAAAUGGUGUGGUGUUGUUAGGUGCCAUUUAAUCUACAACAAAAGUAAUGCAAAAUACACUAAGACAAACAUAUCCAUGAUAGAGCAAAUCAUAUUAAACUAUUUAACAUAAUCUACUCCCACUAAAAUCAAUAUCCCUCUAUUGAUACUUAGUGAUUCAGGAUCCACAACUAACAAGUCUACUAGUGAGCUUUAGCAUCACCGCUAGAAAACAAGGUAGAUCGGUAAGCAACUUCUUGCUAAUCAUAUCACGUAUGAUUCCUGUUGUUGGGUGACAUUUCCACAUCUCGGCGCCCAACCUUUAUGCCCCAAGGUCCUUAACCAUUAAGAUAACCUUGUUAAGCAAACCAACCCUUAUGCGUGUAAGUGUCCGACACGAACCCGUCUAGUCAAGGAAAACUAGUGGCACCCUAAUUUCAUAGACCCACCACCAAUUGUACAAGACAUGGGAUGGUACAAGUUUUAGUUGGGAGGACAUACAAACUUAAACUUUGCGAGGGAUCGUUCUACUUCUAACAUCACAUAAUGCAGAAAGUAAAAUAUAAAGAAUAGCAUUCACACAGUUGUGACACAGUAUGGCUUGUUUUCUUAUGGUGAUCUCCAUCUCCAUAGAACCUGUUCACCAUGGUGAUCUCCAUCUCCAUGUCCCAUGUGCGCCAUCCUCCUAGUGAUGAGUCCUCCAAGAACUAGAACAUGCUAUUACACCUAACAGCUAGUAAUGAAGAUUACAUAGUUGCUUGGAUCAUCACAGAUUGGUACGCAGACCAUUAAAUUCAUUAAAGUGACAACACAUAUGGCUCCAGCCUUGUUGCCGUAUGCGUGACACGCAGGUCACGAAUGAGUUACACACAUGCAUCACAUACACAAAGGGGUCAUACUGGUCACAAGAUCCAUCCAUCCUGCAAAACAGAGUUAGGCGUUCUAAUGUUCCAAACUUUAGAGGUUCGUAAAUCCAUCUUCCAAGCUGAAUUUGGGAAAUCUAAUUUCGCCAAAAAUGGCAUAGCCAUUGAAUUUUAUGUGUAACUUUUUCUGUAGAUCAAUUUUCAUAUAAAAUUUGCCUCAAUCUGAGAUCGUACCGAAAAGUUACGGCUGUUUUACCGAAGCACACGCAUACGGCAAAAUUCCGACCCGGUAGUAGAUCCAAUCUACUACUGCACAUCUCACGCGCCUAGCGUAUGAACCUUGAUUUUAAUUCGACCAAUCACAUUGAUCUUCACUUGCUGCAACUGGCAUUAUGUGUAUCACUUAACUCCGAUGGCGGAAAUCCGACCGUUAGGAGUAUGUCGUUACACGAUCAUUGCAGCAAGAACACGAAAACAGGCCAUAGAUCAAUCUGAAAACUCGCAUAUCUCCAUAUGCACACAUCCCGAAUCCAUAACAAAACAGCUACGGCUCUGAUACCACUGCUGGGAUACGAGGUAGGCUACGCUAGCGCAAAACAAAAUUUUUCUACCGCGAAACUGGAAAACUGUCGUAUAUGGAUCACGAGAUUACCACUCGACACACUGGUGCAGAAGAUGUAGAAUCGCGUUGGGGCAGCAAAGUAGAUCAGCGUAGUCAAACACGUAGUUGAUCACAUUGAUGUCGAGCAGCUCCUCAGCAGCUCAUCCACAUGCAGCAAGGUCAUCCUCGUGCCGCGGCUCAUCGUCGGCUCGUCGGGCGUGGGAGGUGCGGCAGAUGUGUUUUAGCCAAAAGGGAUGAAACCCUAGGGCGCCCCACCCCUCUAUUUAUCGAGGUUACUGACAGGCCUCUAGGUCCGAGGCCCAUUAGUACUUCUAAACCUGAUCAAACUCGGAUCAUAUCCGAAUUGGGCUUCCAGACCCUUAAGUGUGUGACCCUAUGGGUUCGGAUACGUAUAGUCAUGGCCCGAGUACUCCUACUCGGCCCAAUAGUCGGUUGCGGCUUCUAGCUUCAAGCCGACCGCUCUUUCUCGAUCCUGUGAAUUGGAAUCCCUUUGUAGGUUAACUCUUAACCGUAUGUAGCAUGGUCAUGCAUUUUCGUUCCAAUCACUCGAGGGGCCCAUAGAUAUCACUCUUAAUUAGAGAGGGGAAAAUCCCAUCUUGAUUGACCAUGUCUCACAGCAUGCUUCUUGACAAACCCGAAAGCUACCUUUUUAACUACCCUAUCACGUUGUAGCAUUUGAUAGCCCCUAAGUAAGUCGAUCCACAUCUUGAGUACAUGCGACAAUCUCAGGUCCGAGGACAAAGUGUACAUGUUGUGUAAAGAGAGAACUACUUCUCAUGUUGGGUCAGUCCUAGCACAUGUCUCCACAUGUGUCCACAUUAUUAGUUCAACAUCUCCAUGUCCAUGACUUGUGAAACAUAGUCAUCAACUAAUAUAUGUACUUGUUUAAUAUUCAUGUGUGUCCACACAUGAACUUUAACUAGGGACAACUUUUAGAAUAACCAUACAAGUAAAGAGUUCCACAUACAAUUCACAUAAUUGCAGAUCAAUUCAAGUAGCCUUUAAUGGAUAUUCAAUGAACACAAUAUAAAUCAUAGAUACAAAUGGAAUAUCAUCAUCUCUAUGAUUGCCUCUAGGGCAUACCUCCAACAAACACAACCCGCAUCGGAGUCGGUUACUAUUUUCUUACAAGCCAAUCUUCAUCUUUGGCUAAUCACCAUGCUGGCCCACUUUAGGCCCACAUCAGCCAAGCCAUUCUGGCUCCCAAUCGGCUAGUCUUCAUUGACUCCCUCAGCCAAUCGGUCGAAACAUUGUAGCUCUAUCGACCGAUUCCUCAACUGUAGCUUCUUGCUUGCUGCAUCGGCCACUUUCUCCUCUUUGACGCCGACCUUAACACGUAUCAAAAUCCGCGUCAACAAGAAGCAAGGCCGACCAAGCACGACAGCUACGAGAGCUACAAGAACAAGUAGCAGCAUCAAAGGCUAGAAUGGAGGAAAUAACAGACCGGCAUAUGGCGCUAGCUCGGAGCAAACAAGGUAGUGAACAAGCAGCUGUUGCAACAUCAGGGCCACAUGUCGACAUGCCCGACUCAGCAUCAAAGCAGUGUUGCUUCCACGGAAGCCCUAGCAGGAGGAUCCACUAAGAUACUUGAGGAAUGCCACCCUGUGGACAACAUCACUGGGAGAGCCCCUUGUGAUCUUGUUACUCCUGUGAAAAACAAGCUCAUAGUGGUGGCUUAUGGUGUGGCUGAGCAACCGACCCAAGGCCAAACACUACAUGGCGUGGAGAUUCUAGCUCGCGGUUAUGCCAAAGUUGGGGUGGACCUAGUGGUUGACGGUUGGGAUGACCUGGAACUAGAGAUCCCUGGAGGUGAUGGGGAAACGAAUCUAGGAGAAGCUAUCCAUGUUUGGAUUCUAUGGCCCAAGCACUACAUAAGGAUUACGCAGCCGAAUCCCUCGACCUUGGGAUCAUCUCCUCAAGGCUGAAGGGCAAGAUCACCUAUGCCAUCUACCAGGACACCCUUUCCACUACCAAACAGGUCUCCUAGCAUGAGUCUAGUACUAGAAAGGGGUCCAAGCAUGAGUCCACCUCCCUUUCCUAUGAAGAAGCGUUCAGUUCCUCCUCCACCUCCUAAGAAGAAGGAGAAGAAGCAAAAGGAGAAGCAACUAGCUGAGAAAUUACCAUAUGAUAUGACAAAUGAGGAGCUAAAGGAAGCAGUGGAAGCUGAGUACAAAGCAUGGAGUGAGGCUCAAAAAGAAGCAUGGAGGCAGAAACAGAAUCAGAAGCCACCACUUGAUAAGCAUGAACUUCGGUCUUCAUCAGAAGAAUGGAGGUAGAGCAAAGGAAACAACUAGAGAAACCUCCGCUAACUUAGAAAGAAAAGUGGGACAACUAUUCCUCAACUCAGAACCCAAUCCAACCAAUCAGUUGCCCCGCUUGUGGUGCUUUCUGAGUUUGAGAAAAACCUACUACAAUUUAGUAAAGAUACAAGUCUGAGAGCAGCACAACUUCAAGGGGAGGAUCACAUCCCAACGCACCCUGUGCCUACUAAAUGGAAAUAUGAGUAUGGUAAACCGCUCGUGUGGCCGCAGUUGGUGAAACGUCUCCCAACGAAGAUGUACAAGUUGCAUGAAUGGUACAUGGACGCUACAACAUAGGGUUUGGCCGUGAUGGAAGUUUAGAUUAGUGAUGAACAUUAUUUUCGUGGGGAUGACACAAUAAAUGUGUUGCUGGAGGAACUGUAUAUGCUAUUCAAUCAAGACGCACUAGACAAGUCACUGAUCAAUUGCUGGGUCCUGUAAGUCUUUAGUAUAUUCCUCUACUUCAAAAUCCCCGCUCUAGUCAAUUUGCAAUGUCUUAACUCCUAUUCAAUUUUGUAUCAUGCAGGAUGGAGAUUCAAACUUGUUGCAGGAACGGAUACCAUGAUGCAUGCUUCAUGGACCCCCAAGUUAUACACCAAGCAAAUCUAAGGAAUAAACCAAAUCGGACCUUAAAGAAUAUAUUUACGUUCCUAAACAAGCAUUUUUACAAGAAGUACACAUUACUAUCGUACAACUUCAAGUGCGCGUGUUUACCAUCUCUUUCUUUUUCGAACUUGCAGUUAAACAUAAUACUAACUAGCUUUAAUUUGGCUGUAGAGCUUCCAUUGGAUACUCCUUGUUACUAUGCCCGAUAUGAGCUUCGUGUAUGUCUUGGACUCCUUGAGGAAACAAAAAAAGAAUACGCUGUGAACAAAGCCUAGGCUCGAUUCCGUCAAACUCACAUAGGUGACUUCAAGGAGGAAAUUGUUUGGAAGAUAGAUUUCCCGAUAGGUGUUGAAUUUUCACAUCUUGUGACACUUCCUUUAAUACAACAAAUAUUUCAUAACUUUUUUCCAUAUAUAUGGUAUUCGAGACAGCCGCCGGGUACUAAUUUAUGCGAAUAUUACGUUUGUGACUGCAUCCACAACUUUAUGAGUCCAAACUGUAUCACCGACCACGAUUUAACCGUACGCAUACAAAAUUCUCAACAAUAAAUUAGUUCAUAUGUAUAUACUUCAAAAACCAAUUCAUGUGUAUAUACUUAUAAAAAUUAGAUUAAAUUUUUCAAUUUAUUUGCUUAUACUUCAAAAACCAAUCCAUGUGUAUAUACAUAGAAAAAUUAGAUUAAGUAUUUCAAUUCAUUUGCUUAUACUUCAAAAACUAAUCCAUGUGUAUAUACUUAGAAAAAUUAGAUUAAGUAUUUCUGAUCAUUUGCUUAUACCUCCAGAAAGUUUCAAUUGUGCAAACCCGUUAUGCAAACCCAUUCAUCUACUAUAUAUAUGAUAAACUUUGUUAAUGGUACAGAUGAUGUACAGGAAGGAAAAACUCCUCGAGACGGAAGUUUUCAAGGUAAUACAAGAACAACUAUAUGGAUUUCUUUUGGAUGAGGUCGUAAAUCCUGCGGGGAGUUCCAUAAUACCGGAUCAAAUCUAUAGCACCGUCAGGACUCGGGUUCGGAUUAGUAGAUACGAUAUGUGUAUGCACAAUAUGUCUAUAUAUAUGUGUAAUAUUUUUCAUAUAUGUGGAUGCACAAUAUGUAUAUAUAUAAUAGUAUCUUAAAUGUAAUAAUAAAGAUAAAUAGAACUUUAUAUAUAUUAGCGUAUUAGAACUAGUAUACGUUAAGAAAAUAAAUAUAAAAUAUGAAUAUAGAAUAAAGAAACAAAAAUAAGAAAAGAAAGAGAAAAAUUAGUACCGGUUGCGGAUACCAACUCAUACUAACGAGGCCACCCCCGUGCGAGUACCAGUUGGUAUCCCAACUGAAACUAAAGGGUACCCUUUAAUACCGGUUAUUUCAACCAGUACUAAAGGAUCCCCCUCUAGUACCGGAUUACUAGUACCGGUUGCACAACCGGUACUAGAGGGAGGUUAUGAACCGGUACUAGAGGCGAUUUUUUCAGUACCGGUUGCACAACCGGUACUAGAGGGAGGUUAUGAACCGGUACUAGAGGCGAUUUUUCCAGUAGUGUAAACUCAUGUGACAGGAACAUAAUCAGCUUCUCAGUCUGUGGUAACAACCGUGCAUGCUCUCCAAGCUAGGAGCAACGUUUAAACGUGAUAAGCUGAAAAAUUAUAAAAAUUGCGAAACUAUAAAUAUUCAUUUAUUUGACUACUUCGUAUUACAGCUCUGAUCUGUCCACGGAGCUGGUCAGACCUGGCUUAGCUCCCCGUGAGGCCGUGACUACUUUGUGAUGAUCAACCUCUGCUGCGCCAAUUCCAAUGGGAUGCUGGCCCCGUGAGGCCGUGAGCCAUGGUGCCUUUAGGUUCUUUUGAGUCCAAUUUAGAUACAGGUUCAGGUCGAAGAAAAGGUAAAGUCCAAGUGGACUUCUGGAUAUAAAAAGGCAACUCUCAUUAAUUGUAGACCAUAUAUGGCCACGUUUUGGAGUUUAUGAAUAGUUUGCACAACGAAAUAAGCGGAUUCUAUACUGGGAAUUGACCCUACUUUCUUUCUUUUCCAUGGAUGAUCAGUUGGAAGAAAACGGCGGUGAUCAAUAUAACAUAUCUUGUUCUUCAAUCUCCUUGAGCAAGGAUCCUUAUCACAACGCACGUAGGUCUAAUAAUCUUUCAUGACUCACCCCGCAAAUGUGCUCAAUGCUAGAUAAUCAUGUAUGCACCAAAUAACCGCAUCAUACAGUUUAAAGGAUUAAUGACUACAAGCAUCGUAUGAAUUGACACCCUUCCAAUGGUCCAACAGCUCAUCUACGAGAGGUUGCAAGAAGACAUCAAAAUCCUUUGAUGGAGAACUCGACCCAAGGAUCAAUAAUGCUAUCAUGAAGUUUGAUUCUUCCAUGCAUACCCAUGGUGGCAUGUUAUACGGCACAACAAAUACUGGCCACAUACUAUAUGAGUUGGUCAUGUUGCCAAAUGGAUUGAAACUAUCAGUUGCAAGGCCAAGUCUAAUGUUCCUAGCAUCUUUUGCAAAUUCCGGCCAAUUUUUAUCGAAGUCUUUCCAUGCCUCACCAUCAGCUGGAUGGCUAAGCUCAUUGUCCACCGGUUUUUGCUUCAACUUGUGCCAUUGUGCAUCCUUUGCGGUUUUUGAUGGAAAAAACAUCCUCUUCAUCUUUGAAACCAACGGAAAAUGCCUCAAUAUCUUCUGAGGAACGCGCUUCUUGUUAUCUACAUCUUUCCAUCUUGAAUCCACUUCACAACACACUGGGCACACAUCAUCUUUCGCUAGCGUCUUGCAAAACAAUACACAAUUAUUCAUGCAAACCUGGAUAGAUUCAUAGCCAACUCCCAUGGCACACAUGUACUUCAUUGCGUCAUCAUAACAUGUUGGAACACAUGCUCCUGUGAAAGCAACAAAUAACACCUUCAGAAUCGCAUUGAAUGCGACAUUGCUAAUCCGAUAGAAAGACUUGUUAUGAAUUGACUUCACAACAAAUGUAAAUUGUGUAUAUUUAGACCCUGGUGACACCGUAAGGUUUAUAUGUUCCUUUAUACAUUCUAACAUUUUCCCUUCAAGCUCUUUAGCGUGGCACAUGUCGGCUAUCAUUUCAGAAAGUCCAUCUUUAGUGCCUCAUCCUCCUCCAUACCCGAUAUGUGUUCGUUUGCUUGAACCAUUUUCUGAUCACCAUUUUCCUGCAAAACUGCAUUAUCCACAACCCCCUCAUCCAGCAAAUUUGCAAUUUCCUCAAACCCAUCAUCCUGCAAAAUUGCAUUUUCCUGAACCCCAUUAUCCUGCAGAUUUGCAUUUUCUGGAACCCUAUACUCGAAUGUUUCUCCAUGAUGGAUCCACCAAGUGUAGGUAAUUGCCAUCCCAGUCAUAAGUAAGUACAGGUUCACCACACUAUAGUACAUCUAGACUGAUUCAGGCAUCCACGACACGAGCAUAAUAUUUUUUCAUCAUUAGAGUAUCUACUCUUAACAAAUUCCAUGAAAUCAUUAACCCCUUUCUCAUGCUCGGGGGUAAAUAGUUGAAUGCAUUAAAUGUGACAUUCCUGAUCUGCUAGAAAGACUUGAUAUGAAGUAACUUCACAAGAAAUGUAAAUUGUGUGUAUUUAGAUCCCUAUUGGUAUUUUUUUCAUUCACAAAUAAAUCCACAAGUGUCGGGCAUACACCCCAAGUCCACGAGUAGGCCUUGGACGGCCCACCAAGGGAUGUACUCGGACAAGAUCAGAACAAGGAUGGGCAUAUUCUACUCGGAUUAGUCAAGUAUGUUUAUGGAAAACUACUCGGGCCAUUACCGAGUAGAACUCUGUAAUAGUACCCAACUAGGACUCAGACUUGUAACCCUGCCCUCCCGUGUAUAUAAGGGCGGGUAGGGACCCCCCUCAAAAUACACAAGAACAACUCCAGUUCAUCAAAUACAAACCAACACACAGGACGUAGGGUAUUACGCGAUCUAGCGGCCCGAACCUGUCUAAAUCAUGUUCCUUGCGUCACCAUUGAUUCCUUGAUUCUCGACGACCCUUACCGCAUAAAAGACCACCUAGGGUACCCCUUAGGCGGGUUGCCGGUCUAAAACACCGACAGCUGGCGCGCCAGGUAGGGGAAGUCGUCGAGUUUCUCAGUGCGAACCCAAUGGCAAAGGUCAUCAUCAGGCCCGUUUUCUUCAUCGAAGCCGGCGCCACCUUCGUUUUCGAAUCCUGGCUUUGCGUCGCCGAAGGCUCGGGUUCGUUCCGGCGCCAGGUCGUUGAUGUUCAGGAGAAGAAACCAGAAAAUCUGAUCAGAAAAAACAAGAUUUCAAGGUCGACGAGUUCGAGUUCGAUUACGCGUUGGAUUCGACUUCGCCUCGGACUACUCCAACCAUCUACUCAGGGGUCGGGCGCACCCGACCCCAGGACUUAGGGUUAGGCGAGGCAGAGUUUCACCCCUCAGGGUCGAACUCGCCUCGGACUAGUCAGUCCCAGCCAGUGUCCAAGUCGGUUUCAACAUCAAAGCGGUUCCCGCACGGACUCCGCAACGCAACCAAAGUCCACCAAGGUUUUCUUACUCGAACCCGAUUCGAACUCGAGCAUGACGAAGAUGUCGACUCCGACUCGUCUUAUUCACCAGAGAUACCAUUAUCUGGUCCAGCCCAAGGAUUGGUAAUAACUUUGACAUCACAAGGCAGAUUCGUCCAUUGGCCGGGAUUGCGACCGCCUCUUCUCAACCGUGACUACGACUCGCGCCUUGUCGCCCAUAUAGACAACCUUCCAUAUCAAGAAGGCGUUCCACUCACUUCCAAUCGCGAGGAAAGUUCCACAGAGAUUGCAACAUUAAGCUUUGGAAGCUACUACCCGGACAGGAAGAUACUUGUUAUUACUCAGAAUAACAACCCAGGUACUAGCCAGAACAGAACCCCUAGGCGAUUAGCACAAAUUGACAACAUCUCCGAAGAUGAGUCUACAGCUAACGCCCCUCACGAUGAAACCUCCGAGCAGCGCAACCAAAGAAGGGUGCGCAAUUCUACUCAAGCCGAGCGACGACAGUUGAUGGCUACAAAUAUUCCCAUCACAAAUCUUGAAAGGGUUUUCAAUGCAGUCCAGGCUCAGGAGCACAAUACUCAACUCGCGGCUAUCGCCUCAAUCAACCUUUUAACAACAUUGAUGCCUUAGGAUAAGGAUAACGCAGCCACAGCUCAACUCAUGCAGCACGGCAACGGACUGAUCGCACAACUCGUGAAGCAAGCUUACAAGCUACUCGACAAAGAAUCACCAAUCCCGUCUGUUCCUCAUAUCACAUCUCAUCAAGAAGGUAGCAGGGGAGCUGCAAACAAUAACACCGCCCCACGACACGAUAACGCAGUCAACCAACCUUGGCAACACAGCCAAGGUCCAAGCAAGCAUAAGGCCCCUGCUCGACAUAAGGAUGUUGGUGAGGUCAGCUGCACCAACUCGGUUAAAAACAUCCGCCCUACUCGGAAGAACCAUGAAAUGUCCAACUUCAGUGAUUUGCGAGAAAUUCUCAACAGUCGGCGCGAACGGGAAGUCGACAGCUACAACCAUUUUCCUACUUUCACAAACCGGGUAAUGAAAACAAAAUUACCCGAUAAGUUCAAGCCAACCGGAAUCACCAAGUAUGAUGGAAAGCAAGACCCAAUUCAAUAGCUACGAUGUUACUUGCUAGCCGUCCAAGCAGCCGGGGGCAAUAACGACACCAAAGUUAUCCAUUUCCCCAUAUGCAUGGAACCCGCACCACUGACCUGGCUUGAGUCACUCAAACCCCAGUCCAUUGAAUCUUGGGCAGACUUGACAAAGGCUUUCACCAACAACUUCGCCGGCUUCAUGGCUAGACCAGGCAACAAGAUCGACUGAAGUCAAAUUAAGCAAAAAGAAGGCGAGACCCUACGCGACUAUCUGCGACGGUUCUUCGAAAAGAAGGCUACCAUAGUUGACAUCUUCGAAACAGACGUCAUUGAGUGCUUCCAGAAUGGACUCUAUGAUCGACGAACAUACCAAGACUUCGGUCGCCGACGACCAGCUGAUGUCAAAGAACUCAAAGUCAUGGUGCAACAGUGGGUGGAUGAAGAAGACAAAGAGCGAGAACGGUUCGGCUCCCACUGUAACCGCGGACGCGACAACAACCACAACAAUGACCCAGAUAGAACUCGGCAUAACGAUGCUCGGAACACUUAUUCGAGUAACCACAAUCGCAAAAGGAAGCCCGACAACACUGUUGCUACCAUGACCAACUCCGGGAAAAAGGGACACCGCAGAAACGAUGAAGGGCCAACCUUCACUGAGCUACUCAAAAAGCAGUACCCAUGGCAUCCGACUAGCAAGCACUCAGUGAUAGACUGCUACAGCAUGCGCCGAGUCAUGCAAGACUUACCUGCACCACCACCCCCUGAAGAGUACACCAAGAAUAGAGAUAAGGGUAAGAAUAAAGCCCGCAACGACGAAGAUGAAGAAGGCGACUUCCAGACAGCUUCAAAAACCGUCAACGUCAUUUUCAGCAGUAUCCCAGGCACUGCAUCCAAGCGAGCCAACAAACUCGUACUUAGGGAGAUCAUGGCCAUCGAACCAACGGACCCUACACUGUUAAAAUGGUCAGAAGUUCCAAUUUCUUUCAGCAGAAAAGAUCAAUGGACAAAAUUUUUAGAACCAGGUCGUUUCCCACUAGUCCUGGAUCCAGUUGUGGCAGGAUCAAAGUUAACCAAAGUACUCCUCAACGGCGGGAGCAGCCUCAACGUUAUCUUCGCCAAGACAUUAAGGAAGAUGUGCCUCGACGUUACUGAAAUGCUUACCCCAACGGAUUCACCUUUCUACGGCAUCGUGUCUGGAAAUGCGGCCAUACCACUAGGACAAGUUGUCCUUCCAGUCACCUUCGGCACUAAAGAACAUUACCGUACCGAGUACAUCAGAUUCGAAGUCGCAGACUUCGAGACAUCUUACCAUGCUAUACUCGGACGGCCAUCACUCGCCAAGUUCAUGGCCAUACCACAUUAUGUCUACCUGGUACUCAAAAUGCCAGGCCCCAAGGGGGAGCUCACGCUACGAGGAGAUCUACGGCGAUCCUACGAAUGUGACACUGAAGCCGUGGAAAUUGCUGUGACUACUCAAGCACCCAGUCCCAUACAACAAGUCUUCACAGCUUCAAAGAAGCUCAAUCCAACCGAACUAGAGAUCCCGGAAAACAAGUCGGGGUCCACAAAGGUGAAACCCGCCAGUGAGCAAGACUUCAAAUAAGUUGACCUCCAGACAGGUGAUCCUUCCAAGACAGCCCUGAUAGGAACAGGGCUAGAUCCUAAAUAGGAAUUCGCGCUCGUCAGCUUCCUUCGGGCUAACCAUGAUAUCUUUGCUUGGAAACCGGCUGACAUGCCAGGUGUGCCCAAGGAACUGAUUGAGCAUUCUCUCAAUGUCGAUCCCAAAGCUACUCCAAAACAGCAACGACUCCGCCGGUUCGCUCAGGACAGACGAGAAGCAAUCAAAAAAGAGUUAGCGAAGCUACUCACGACAGGGUUCAUCAAAGAAGUCUUUCAUCCUGACUGGCUCGCCAAUCCUGUGCUUGUUCGUAAGAAAAACAACGAAUGGAGAAUGUGUGUUGACUACACCGACCUCAACAAACACUGCCCAAAAGACCCUUUCGGGCUACCCAGGAUCGAUCAGGUGGUUGACUCCACCGCUGGGUGCACUUUGCUAUGCUUUCUCGACUGCUACUCCGGCUAUCACCAGAUAAGCCUCAAAGAAGAAGAUCAAUCCAAAAUAGCGUUCAUCACGCCCUUCAGAGCUUUCUGCUACAAAACAAUGUCCUUCGGACUAAAAAAUGCAGGAGCAACUUAUCAAAGGGCCAUACAGAUGUGCUUCGAAAGGCAAAUUCACCGUAAUGUCGAAGCUUAUGUCGAUGACGUCGUUGUCAAAACAAGAAAUCGGGAAGAACUCAUUGCUGACUUGGAGGAAACUUUCUCUAGUCUCCGCGCUUUCCGAUGGAAACUCAAUCCUACUAAGUGCGUCUUUGGAGUACCUUCUAGUAAGCUACUCGGGUUCAUCAUUAGCCAUCGCGGCAUUGAGGCCAACCCGGAAAAAAUAUCUGCCAUCACAAACAUGCAGGCACCAGCCAGCAUUAAGGAUGUGCAGAAACUCACAGGCUGCAUGGCCGCUCUCAACUGGUUCAUCUUGGGACUUGGAGAACGGGGACUACCCUUCUUCAAGCUUCUCAAACGCCAGGACAAGUUCAAAUGGAUGGAAGAGGCAGAUGAGGCACUAACACAACUCAAAGACUUUUUGUCAAAGCCUCCUGUACUCACCGCUCCUUCUCCGAACGAAGACUUGCUCCUAUACAUCUCAGCUACUACUCAUGUCGUCAGCACGGCAAUAGUAGUCGAACGGUUUGAACCGGGCCACGCUUACAAGGUCCAACGACCUGUCUACUUCGUCAGCGAAGUACUCUCGGACUCCAAAACUCGGUAUUCACCGAUACAAAAGCUCUUAUACGCUAUUUUGCUCACCUCCCGGAAGCUGCACCAUUACUUCCAAGAGCACAACAUCACAGUCAUCUCCGACUUCCCGCUCGGCGAAAUUCUCCACAACAGAGAUGCCAUGGGUAGAAUCUCCAAAUGGGCAGUUGAACUCGAAGCUCUCACGUUGAACUUCAAGCCAAGGACAGCCAUCAAGUCCCAGGCUUUGGUCGACUUCAUAGCUGAAUGAACUGAAAAUCAAGUUCCAACACCAGUCGAACGACCAGAACAUUGGGUAAUGUACUUCGACGGAUCCCUCAAACUUGAAGGAGCCGGUGCAGGCGUAUUACUCAUCUCCCCCAGGGGAGACCAGCUCAAGUACGUGCUGCAAAUAUUCUGGGAAGCAUCUAAUAACGAAGUCGAGUACGAAGCACUGCUACACGGCCUUCGCCUCGCAAUCUCCCUCGGCAUCAAACGACUACUAGUGUAUGGCGACUCUCUAGUCGUUAUAAACUAGGUCAAUAAUGAGUGGGACUGGAACAAGGACAACAUGGACGCUUAUUGCAAAGAAGUCCGCAAACUGGAAACCAUGUUUUCUGGCUUGGAAUUUCAUCACAUCGUCCGCGACAACAACGUUGCCGCCGACGUCUUAUCCAAAAUGGGCUCUACUCGCGCAGAGGUUCCAGCAGGAAUCUUUGUACACGAACUGCGCAAGUCGUCAAUAUACGAUCAAGUCACACUGCUAGCAAUCCCGACUGCUAACGUCUCUCAUGAAAUCAUGAUGAUAGAAGUCGACUGGAGGACACCCUUCAUCAACUAUAUCAAAGAUCACCAGCUACCAUCCGACAAAAAUAAAGCUGAGCAAACCUCCCGGCGAGUAAAAAAUAACGUUCUAGUCGGAGACAAGCUCUACGGGAAAGGUGCAUCGUCUGGAGUACUCAUGAAGUGCGUCACCAGAGAAGAUGGCCAAGAAAUCCUAGAAGAGAUUCACAGAGGAAUCUGUGGCAACCACGCCUCUUCGAGGACACUAGUUGGCAAGGCUUUCAGAGCAGGUUUCUACUGGCCAAUGGCUCUAGCUGACGCCAAACAACUAGUUUAGAAAUGCAAAGGUUGUCAAUUCUUCACAAAACAGCAACAUGUACCGGCCUACAAGCUAGUCACAAUACCUCCAACAUGGCCGUUUGCCUGCUGGGGGCUCGACAUGAUAGGUCUGUUACCAACUGCGCCAGGAGGAUUCAACAGAGUACUCGUGGCAAUCGACAAAUUCACCAAAUGGAUCGAGGUCAAACCGGUCACUUGCCCCAAGGCAGAUUGGGUCCUCAACUUCUUGGAUGAAAUCGUACACUGCUACGGUUUUCCCAACAGGAUUAUCACAGACCUAGGGUCAAACUUCAAUAAUCACGACUUUUGGGAAUAUUGCGAGAACAGCGGCAUCAACAUCCGCUAUAUCUUGGUCGCUCACCAGCGAGCCAACGGACAAGUCGAGCGUGCUAAUGGCAUGAUACUCGACGCCCUGAAGAAAAGACUACAUGACGUUGGCAACACCAGAGGUGGCAAAUGGCUCAAAGAGUUACCAAAUGCUUUGUGGGGCCUCCGUACCCAACCGUGGAAGACUACGGGGCUAUCACCCUAUUUCCUGGUAUAUGGCUCGGAAGCCAUACUACCCGCUGACAUCAUGUGGCAAUCACCAUCCGUUGAACAAUACCAUGAAGAACUGGCAACAGAAACACGACGAACAGAUAUAGACAGUCUAGAAGAAACAAGAUGCGCGACACUAGUACAAUCUGCGAGGUACCUUGAUGGUUUAAGGCGUUACCACGACCGCAACGUCACGGAAAGAUCUUUCAACUCGGGCGAUAUGGUCCUUAAGCGUAUCCAAGACACGUCAGGAUUUGCAUAAACUCAAUUCACAUUGUAUCAAAGGUUACGGGACCCGGAUCUUACAAACUCCAAGAGCUUUCAGGAGAACACGUACCGAACUCUUGGAAUAUAGAGCAUCUUUGUUGCUAUUACCCAUAGCAGUAUCCGAGUAACUGUUUCAAGGCAAUAUCUCAUGAUGACUACUUGGGCCAACUGCCCAACUACCGACUUCAAGAUAUCUCAGCUUCGACAAGAGUUUUCAGCUCAACAAGGAUCAUUGCCCUGGUAUAAAAUAUCCGUAUCAAUAUUUCUUUAUUGAAACAAGGAUACAUCAGGUUACAUACGAGUACAAGUACUCGGAAUACACGAAGACUACAAGAAACUGCCUACUGGCGGGCUGCAUUUAAGCCUCAGGCUUUUACUAUAUCACAAGGCCACUCAGGUCUGCCGACCACAAGGGGAAGGGCCCACACACAAGGAAGCUGCGCAAAACGCAGCCAUACCUAGGUACUCUACCCAAGGCAACGCCAGGAACUCCAGCAUUGCCAUUACCUUGACAGCGGCAAUGAAGAAUCCAGCACGACGCGCCUAGAGGGAACCAAGGCUGCUCUUUUGCUAGCCUUGCAGAGCCAAUCCAAUCUACGGCCACACCUCCACCUCUCAGAGAGCGGGAUAAAGACCGCGGCACUCAUCACCCAUCACUCGCAAGUUCCAGCACGUACCCCACUGGAUCAUGAGCUGCAAGAUGAGGCAUGCGACAAAACCUCCUACGAGGAUUCUUCUAGCAUCGCGGCUAUCCCUACGAGCGCAGGAGUCUGUGGAGGGAAGGUGGCCUCAAUCUAUGAGGAAUCUUCUAGCACCGGUGCACUUUCUGACGGCUCUCUACACUCAAACAGAAGCAACCGAAGGCAGUCCAUCGCUGAUCAGGAACUUGAGUUGGUUCGCUCACCAGAUGGCUCUAUUUAUAGUCGAAUGCCGCAACUACCACCUGCCAAAGAGUUACCAUGCACCCGUGAUCAAUGAGUCUAGCAACUCCUGACUUCGCCCACGUGACGGUACUUGCGCCACAAAGGAUAAAAGAGUACAGUCCACCCGUGCAUCCACAAAGGACAAAGUACAGUACACCCGUGUUCCUCGAAAGACGAGUACUCGACAAGCAUUACGACUACUCGACACUCAGGACUACUACAAGCCAGGUGUGGCCUAUGUUCACACCAUUAUCUCGGGGGCUCGGACUACUCUGACCCUCCGCUCAAGGGUCGGGCGCAUCCGACCCCAGGAUUCAGGCUCGGGCGAAGCGGAGUUUUUUACCCUCACAGGGGUCAGGCUUAGCCGACCCCAGGACUCAGGGUCAGGCGAGGCGGAGCUCCUCCCCCAGAGGGUCAGGCUCAGCUGACCCCGGGGCUUCGGAUCGGACAAGCUAGAGUAAAACUACCCUUUGCAAGACAGCAAACAAGUCCAAUAUCCAUUUAUCAAAAAGUAUCGUUCAAAAUACUCGACACAAGUAGAAGAGUGCAUACAAAGCUCAAGGCUCUUCUAAAGAGACAAACUCCGACAUCUUCGAUGCAAUAGGCUCCGCCUCCUCGAGGUACUGCGCAUAUGCCUCUUCUGUGCAGUUGCGGGCCACGCCAUCACCAGCUGCCACCAAGUCUGCCCUCGGGUAGUAGGACUUCACAACUACAAGGACCUAUUUGCAAACAGUCUUGCAAAGUCCCACCACUCUACUCGGGGUAGCCUUCAAUCGCUUGACUAGUGAUUGCGGCCCUGCGCCUUCUUCCACGGGGGCUCUGGUGUUCACCAAGUCUUCAGCUACUACAGACAGCUCUUGGAGUUCGCCCCGAAGUUUUCCCAUGGUCUGGGCAUGAUCUCUUAAUGCCCCCAUGGCCAUGGCAAGCAUCACGCCAUUUUGCAUCUUUCGGUCCCGCUGAUGUUCGCAAGCAGCCUGUGCUUCCGUCAGCGCAGCCUGAAGAUGUUCGGCUUCAUCCGCCACUCUGUCGUGCACGUUUCUCCAGUUAAGAACUUGGCUCCUUGCAGCCGCCUCUUGCUUUUUGAGCUCUACAAGACAAAAAACUCAACCACAGCCCAACUACAGUUGGACACAACCAGAGUAGGCGAAAUGCUUACCUUGAUACUUCUUGUUCAGCGACUUGUAGCGGCUCUCCAGUUUUUGCUGCAGAACCGCGAGAUCCGUGCGUUCCACGGCAAAAGACUUUGCCCCAACUUCAUGAACCCUCAGAGCUUCUGUCAGUCGGGCACAUUCCUGCUCCAGUUGAUGACUUUGUUCCUGAAAAAGUCCGAGUAUGGAGUGGUGAGUUUCAAGCCUCACAACUACUCAGGUCAUGCAACAACUCAACAAGAAAAUUUACCUGGAAGCUCCGGAAAACAUCGAUGGCCUUCUGGAACUCCAAGUUGGAUGGCAGGGUGACCACCGGUCUUUGAGUACUUUCAGCAAGAUGAGGAGUUGUACCCAAAAUGGCACCUACAUCAUUUAUCGUCAGUCAACCGCCUGCUACGACUACAAUAACAAGACUACAGAAACAUACCUAGAGCAGUUGCUUCUUUGGUUUUUUCAACACUCACUACGGCCAGUGAUCCGCCAGUAGAUGCAGAUAAGGCAGCACUUCCGGAACCCGAUAAAGCGGCGAGAACUUCCGCCGAACGGAUGACAUCUUGAAGCAUCGACAUGGUAGCUCCAAGAUGACCGGCGUCAACCCCGGGCACCUCCUCAACAAUUAAAUCCUCAAAAGGAGCAGAUAGUAUAGUCAGGGGAUCCGACCCUACCCCUGCCUCCACAGGGAUAGUUUCUUCCGCAUACCUCCAUCAAGACAAGUCAUUAGACGACUUCAAAAUGACCUAAAGAUAUACAUCGGGUAAAGUAAGCUCACCGAGUCGAGCGUGGCGGAAGUCGCACACAUUUCUUCUCGACAACAGGUGGCCGAGUAAUUGGUGCUGUAGGAACAACCGUCGGCAUCGUCUUCUCGCCAAGACCUGUAAAGCAAAGGUCAAGACUACAAAUCCACUCGGAUCAACGAAUCUAGCCGGGGCAGAACACUUACCACUGGCGAUCACACUGGACAGUAAAGAACCAGUAGCGAGUACUGGCGACACUUCCUUUACAACACCCGCUGAUUCAGCAGGUAACCCUAGGACCGUCUGGUUAGCAAUGGGUGGCAUGGCAGGCGAUGGAGUCGGCACGGAUAGCUCGGGGGCUACUCCAGUUUCUGUUGAUGGCACCUUCUCCGGCACCAUGUCAACAGAUACAUUAUCGACUUCUGGGUCGGUCACGACCAUUUCUUCAGAAAUAGCCUCAUCAUCACCAAGCGUCGUAUCAGCCUUUACGAACAAGACAAAAUUCGUCGCAUCAAUAGCAAGCUCAAAUUCAUCAGCUACAGAUACGCUCACGACUACAUACCUUGGUCCCUCGAGACUUCUCAGGGGUUGAAGCAGACUUAGCCGCAGACAUCUUGCGGACUACUCUGUGUCUCUUGACAGGAGGAGAAGGCUCGUCCUCCGACUCCUCAGCAACAGCUUCUGACUCUUCUUCCGACUGCGCCAAGUAGCCGGCAAGAACUUGAGACUACAAACAACUAGUCGGUAUCAACAACAAAUAUCACAUAAGUCAAAAGAGAACAAGUCAGGUGCAAAAGACAUACCACUUCUGGCUCAUACCAGGCGUCAUACUGAUGCAGAGCCGCGGGGAUUACUAGUACUCCCUGGUAGUUCCUGAAAAACUUGGCCAGCAGCGCCUCUACAUCAUCAUCGGAUAUAUCCUCAUCGGACAUACGCGAUGGAUCUUUAAGACCUGUGUACUCACUUCCAGAGUAAGCACGUUUUUGAAGCAGCUGAACUCUUCUCUUCAAAAAGUUGGCCGCCAUGUUAAUCCCAGUUAGCCCGAGUGCCUUCAACUCGGUGAUUUGCUGCAUCAGGUGAUCCAGCUCGGGAGUAUCUUCAGGUUCGCUCACCCAGUAUUCUGCAUGCUUGGGCACGUGACCAGUCACCACAGGCAAGCGAGGUUCAUGGUUCCCGAUGUAGAACCACCUUUUUUUCCACUCCCCAUGGGAGUCAGUCAAAUUAUACUCAAUAUAUACGCCCGAGUUCCUGAGUUGGAACCUGGUGCCUCCAAAGACUUCUGUCCUAUGGACACUAGGCUGCGGCUUACAGCGAAACAGUUUCCUAAACAACUCGAUACUCGGAUGAACUCCCAAGUACACUUCGCAGAGGUGUACGAAAAUCGACAUAUGCAGUACACCGUUGGGGUUCAAAUGGACAAGUUGGAGUUUGUAGAACUCGAGGAUACCUCUGAAGAAGUCCAAGGUGAGCACCGCCAACCCCCUCUCCACAAAGUGUGCGAGCAUCACUAUCUCGCCUGGAUGCUCCUCAAAUUGCCAUGCAUUGGGAAAUGCGGGGAGCCACUCUAGAAUUUCUUUCGGCUGAAGAAGCUUCGCAUCGACUAGUGCUUGAACGGCCUCCUCCUUUAUCACUGAAUGUUGCCAGGUUGCCCUAGGCGGCGGCGGUGCAGUCUGGUUCAUCGGCCCCACCUUCGGCGCCGGCAGCACCAGCUCCUUCACCUUCUUGGAUUUCGCCUUGCCCAUCGCUGGAGCCUGGCCCUCGAUCUUCUCGGGUUUCUUGCCCAUCUUCUUAGUGCGCAUCCGACGGACUCAACUUCAAGCUAAAAUGAUACUCUCCCUCGGAUCUCCCCCAAGGGACGACAAUGGCGGCGGUGGCACUUACGGCGGCGCAAAUGUGGAGCAGAAGAACAGGGGAGGCAGAAAAACAGAUCUGAUUACCGUACGGCAUAAAACCAACCGAAAGGGUACCUUCCACUUUUAUCUCUGCCAGCUCCGAUUCCCAUGCGUCAGUUGCGCAACGGACAGAUUAAUUGCAGAUUAAUCGCCUUUAAACACUCAACGGCUACUCUUUUCAAUGGACUGCUGACCACUUCAACGACAGAGAUUGCCCAAGUGCUCGGGGGCUGCGGGUACCGUACCCGUUGGUCAGUUUUUUCAUUUUUCCCAAGAUCUCCAAGGGUAAAAUGGACAAAAGCUAGUUUGACCCUAAGCUUGACUCUUCGACUCAACCUAAGGCUUGGAGGCUACUCCAUAUGGAGUGCGAUUGACAUCGCACUACCAUAUAAAAUUACUCAGGACGGAAACAACUCGAAGGAACAAAAAGAGUACCUUCUAGCCACGCGACAGUACUCGAGCAUUUCAGUCUGCAACCUCUACGACUAGCUACUUGGAUAGUGCCCGCAGUGCCCAAGACUGUGGUGCACGACUACAAAGUACUCGGGGGCUUGUCGGGCAUACACCCCAGGUCCACGAGUAGGCCUUGGACGGCCCACCAAGGGACGUACUCGGACAAGAUCAGAACAAGGAUGGGCGUAUCCUACUCGAACUAGUCAAGUAUGUUUAUGGAAAACUACUCGGGCCAUUACCGAGUAGAACUCUGUAAUAGUACCUGACUAGGACUCAGACUUGUAACCCUGCCCUCCCAUGUAUAUAAGGGCGGGCAGGGACCCCCCUCAAAAGACACAAGAACAACUCCAGUUCAUCAAAUAUAAACCAACACACAGGAUGUAGGGUAUGACGCGAUCUAGCAGCCCGAACCUGUCUAAAUCGUGUUCCUUGCGUCACCAUUGAUUCCUUGAUUCUUGACGACCCUUACCGCAUAAAAGACCACUGGGUUGCCAGUCUAAAACACCGACAGCAAGCUCACGGAUAUAACGUUUUAACACUUCACCUGGAGAGUAUUCAGGGUAUCAUUAUUUAUAUUUUCCCAAAGGAAGCAUCCGUCAAGGUACAAGCGUGGGGGAGUGCCGUCAGGCCGGCACUUCCCCAAACUACCCCUCACUCUCUCCCUAUUUUCUAUGCACUAUGGAGGUAGGGCUUUGCCUUGGAGUGGAGCUUUUCUCUUCUCUUGUGUGUUGUGUGCUGAAUGGACAGGAAGUGGUCCUUUUAUAGUGGAGAGGGAGCCUUGGGGGAGUGGAGAUCCUAAGGAAUAUCCCCCUAUUCCCUCCACUUGUGAAGGAACCGACGUCCAAGUUCAUUUGCUUCGCGCCAAACCGCUACAACCGCCAUAGGGAGAUCCGGAGGGAGCGACACGUGGAGGAUGAGCGCGAGAGGUUCCAUGGGUGAUUUGGCCAAACUAGGGGUUCGGCCGAACCCUCGGGGUCACCCCAAGCACCGCCUUUCAUCCGGGAUGUUGUCCAGUGGGCCCUCAUGUGGGUACAUGGGGUCUAGUACGGAGUUAGGUCGGUUUUCCCUAGUUUGUGGGCCCAUGGAUCCAUGUGUUUCCCUCUGAUUGGUCAUGGGUUUGUUUCUUUACUCCUUGAGUGUGUUUUGAGCAUGUUUAUCCCCGUGUGCAGACAUGAUCUCCUGUAAACAAUGACUAACCAAAGCUAGUGGAAAUGGUUAGAAUUAAACCCCAAUCUCUAGUUUGGUGAUUGUUAUUUCACUGAUCUUUAUUACAGUUGUCGGUCAGAUAUGACAUUUAAGGACCGUCAACAACACCCUCACACUUACCCCUUUGCUCAUUCUCGAGUGAAGGUUGAAGGACAAAGGUGGAACAUCUCCUGGACUGGUAUGAUACUUGCAUAUAAGUUAUUCCAAACCUCACCUGUACUUGUGAACUUUGAAGUGUCUACCAUGCCAUCUUGGGUGGUUGAGGAAUGGAAUGGAUUAGAAUCAAGUCAUAUUCACUUCUGCUACUCAAAUAACUUGGCUUUUUGAAAGAUUUUCAAAUCAAAACAUAGUCUUGCUCCUCGAAUGUAUAUGGUUCUCUCAAAUCGCUCAAUGUGUAUGGUUUCUUACCAAGGCUUUGACUUGCCUAUUUUCUUCCUACUUCUAAUAAGUCUUUUUGUGGAGCUUAGGGUAGGGGAUGAAAAGGAAGCAUAUUUGUAUUGCAUAUUUUGCAAAGUCAAAAACCAGAUCCAAGGAGAAAACAAGUCAUACAAUCCGAUCAAGAUGUGCAUGUGUGUGAAUAUGUGGAUGGUGGAUGGAGGAUUUAUGGAAACUUCUUUUUUAUAUGAUUAAUCUCCCUUUGUAAAUGUUUUGAGAACAUUGCUAUCUUUCUCUUUUUUUAUAUACUUGGACCUUCAUGUGUCCAACUCUUUUUAUUAUAUACUUGGACCUUCAUGUGUCCAUAUAUUUCUUUUUCUCUACUUGGACGUUCAUGUGUCCAUUUUUUUUGAUACCCCAUGUCUCUUUUGUAACAAUAACUGGAGAGAGAUAUCAACAUAUAUAGUGAAGCAUUUAUUUUGUGGAAUGGAUGGAUGGAUGGCAUGUUUUGUGCAACUUCUAGUGUAGAAGUUAGCAUACAAAUGUGGGUUGUACGUGAUCUUGAUCAUGAAAGUAUGACAAGUUUCUCACAAGGGUCACAACAGUUUUACAAAGCUCAAUGAAAAAAUAAGUAGCAUAUGUAUGAGGUAUUUUUUCAAUGUGGUCAACAUAUGGCUUUGGUAGGAAUUUAUCAUCAUUGAGGAGUCAAGCUAUUGAUUUUGAAUUUUCGCAAGAUAAAAUUCCCAAGUACUUUGCAGGAAAAAGCAAAGUUUCUUUCAUCAUACCAUAUCUAAUUCGUCAACUACUUAGAUGACAUGCUUUCCCUAUGAAAAAUUGUUCACAAGUAACAGGAAUAUUAGCGAGGAAUAAAGAAUAUGCAAGCCAACCAUAGGAAAGGCAUGUUCGUCAUGAGGAGAUAGGAAGGUUCAUUGAGUUUAAUUUUAGUGAUCAACAUAAAAUUUGUUUAAACUCAAUAAUUUAGGGAGUUAGAGGGUUGUGUUGCACAAACUAUUGUUGAAGAGGAUGAAGAGGGAACUGAGGGGAGUUAGAGGUGGUUCGGCUGAACCGAAGGUUCAUUCGUCCCCCUCUGGAGUCCAUUUGUCCUAUUCUACUACAGAUUGUACCGUCCGAUGUUGUGCAACAUGUUGGUGGGAGAUCUCAAAUGAGUGUGCGUCUGGUAAGCUUGAGAGAUCUCCCCCACACUUAUUCUUGUACCUGUUUUUACCAAAAGUGGAAACAAGCAAGGACUCUGCCGGUUGUAAACAUCAAGGAGUCUAAAUUUUAUUGAAUCAAGGCGCAUGAAGGGUUUGAAAUGCCUAAAGUUCGUUUUGUUUUAUUAUAUUUAUCUUUAUUGUAUCAUGGUAAAUUUGGCAUGAUGGGUAACUUAGCAAGGUGGAAAUAUGGGGAAAGGAUGCACGAGGUGUUUGGGAUACUUACCUAACAAAUCUCCCCAAGCGUAGAACAAAAAUGCAAGAGUUAAGCUUUAUAUGCAUGAAGCAAAGCUUUGUAUUUGUUCUACUUGGUUCCUCGUGCAUCUGUCUUCCCAUGGGACCAAGGAGCGUUGUAUUAGUGUUGCAGUUAUUGUACACUGCUCCUUGGUUAUUUAUUUUAUUCCCUGCAAAAGGUUAGUGGACAACAAAUACUCAUGGGACGCUUAAAGAAUUUUGAAAGGAUUUCAUUUUUGCCUUGAGAUUUGUUGUUCAUAUCCACUCUUAAGGAAAAUCAGAGAUUCAAAUAGCAUGGAUCCCAAAAUGCUUGCUAUUACUUUAUUUCAUCAAAAAAAAUUGAGAGACUCUUUUAUUUUAGAAAGUUUCUUUUUUUUAAACCUUAUUGUUCACUAAAUUUUUUGUCUUUUCAGCAUAACUCAAACAAGGCUGAGAUAAAAUUGCAGGAACAAAAACAAGGGGUAUUUGGCAGUAUAACUCACAGUGCACAUUGAACGGUGAUAUGUGCCUCCUUUGUAGGUCGUGCAAUUUUUUUUGUUGAAGUGUGUCCUGGUCCUUGGUUUAUCUCCAGUAUGAAUUUAGCUUGAGGACUUACCCAUCUAUUUGAAAGCUUCCCUAUAGGGGUUAGUCCAGAAAAGAUAUGCAUCCAUAGUCUAUGAUAGUAUUAACUCUAACAGUUCAUGAAUCAAACUUGACACCAUGUCUUAUUUGAUCAAAGAAGGCUAUUUUAACCUAAGCACCAUGCUUAAUUUAAAAAGCCUACGGGUGUACCACGUGAGAACACCCAAACCAGAGCAUACGAAAAUAAACAAAGGAAGCAUGAAUUUAUAUGAUCAAGCUAUGUUCAUAUGGAGAUAAAUAUGAGUAAAGGAUUGGUGAAUCUUACCUUCACAUACCUGAGUAUUCUUACCAGCAGCAUAUGAGGAUGGAUGCCUUGGAAUUGCUGCAGCAGCGUCAUGGUCUCCAAUGGUUGUCGAUGACUCCUUCGUUUUAGCGAAGGAAGGCACUUGACCAUGCCAACUUGGGUCAGCAAUACGGCUAGGCCUCACAUGACCCUAGUGUGCAGGAACCAUGGGCCUUGGUGGCAUGAUUCCAUUGGCACAAUGCUGUAGGAUUGGAGGUGUAGGGUGCGUCCCCCUCAUGCAUGUGAGCAAGUGCCAAACGAAGUGGAGUUGCAAAGGCCUGAAAAGAAGAGGAGCAUUCCUCUUGUUUGUAUGCACGCAGGGGUUGCUAGAGCGAAGGUUAUGCAUAGCUGGGAUCGGAUGAAGAGUAAGCCUAGGCUAGCACGCACUCGUGAGGGCAAGGGUAGGUGGAGCUAAGCGGCAAAAUGAUAUCUAUCAAGGUGCAAUGCCAUGGCGUGGAGGCACGCUCACAAUGCGGCCUUUGAUCCAUGUAAAGCUUGCCGGCUCACUCUCUUCUUCCUCUUUUUUUCAUCUCUCUCUUUCUUUUUUUUAUAUAUCCUUUCUUGUUCUUCUUUUUUCAUCUUUCUUAUUUUCUCUCUUUUUUAUAUCUCAUUUUCUUUCUCUUCUUUUUUUCAUAUCUCUUUUUCUUUCUCUUCUUUUUUCAUCUCUUUUUUCGUCUCUCUUCUUUUCUUUUUCUUUUUCUUUUUUCUUUUUUUCUUCUCUUUUUCCUUCCUUUCUUUUUUCUGGCAAGACAGAACUAACACCAUCUUUGGUAUGCAUGCAUCCUGUUGCGAGGUGCUCACCAAUGUCCCCCACACUUGGACUUCUGUGUCUCGCAACACCAAAAACAUGUGUUUGAUGUUGGUGUCUCCUUCAGAGUGUGUUUCAUCACAAAAGAGUACCAAGUGUACAGUCGAUGCAUCUCCCAUGUUUUUGGGCAUGGCAUGACCCUCGUUCUUUUGAAUCCUCACCUGAAAUGGUUAGCGACCAAAAAUACCUGAAGGUGCAUACUAUCCUACAAACAUGUUCUUGCUUUUAUUGAUAAAAGGAAACUUUAUUGGAAAGGAAAAUGAAAGUCCGGGCCAUCUCCCAGGUGCUUUGUUUAUGGUCACAAGCUCAACCAUGGGAAAUCUUCACAUUGCAGCUACCAUUGGCGAUGUAGUUCCCACCAUCACCACCAUUUGUUGAUGCUUGAGCUGCAAGGUUAGUGCCACAAUGCAUCCACAAAAUAUGCAAUGCUUACAAUAAACAAAAGCAUCCACAACCAUCCUUCUAAAUAUUUUAGAAACGAGGACUAAAAUGUGGUUGUGGUCCUCGUACAGGCAUGCAGCAAUAAGUGAAGCGGACUCUGAAGGUUCCUUACGCGAGCAUGAAUCUUUAGGGAAUUCGAAAGAGAAUCUUUCAUGCUCAUUUGUGGACUUCUUUGCCUCAUCCUCCAGAGUUGAUAUUUCGGUAAUGUCCAUGGCACAAAAAUUCUCCUUCUCAAGAGAUUCAUCAUGGAAGAUCGGGGUUGUUUCCUGACCACUAUCGAGAACAACGUUCCAAGGGCCACAGGGACACAACUCGAUCGAGGGUGAUGAAGGUCACUUAGCUUCACAAAGGUGAAGUUCUUCUAAGUCAUCUUCUUUGCGGGCAGAGACUUCUACACCUUUAUAUAGAAUAGGCUUGGGCAAAAAGUUCUAUGCCUUUAUAUAGAAUAGGCUCAGGCAAAGUGUUCUACGCCUUUAUACACGCAUCACCUUCUCCAAGGGGUUUUGCUCGAAAGAGGUUUUGCCUUAGGAUUUUAUAAGCAAAAGCUAGUGGUGGCGGAAGUGGAUUUCCUAAGCUUUUUAUCAAGGCUCCCUUGAGAUGAAUCUUCUAGGUGGAGUCUUUCCAAAGGGUAGCCUAUGAGAAGAUCAAAAUUGAGCAUGGGAUAGAUGUGGAAGUCUAGAUGAACCUCAAUUUUUUUCUAUCUUGAUUGGCACAGCCCUUGUGAUCCCCUGACAUUCAAAGAUGAGUCAUGAGGGACUUUUGAGGAGUCUGUCGGUCAGGACUAGAGGAAUAUUUCCGAAGAAAUUGUCCACGAGGAAUUCGGACAUGAUACAAGCCUCGACAGUGGGGUCAUGAAGGGCUUCUAUGGCAGUUCCCCUCAUGGAGCAACAAAUGGUCGUGAAGAUGAGCUAAUCCGGAUUGCUUCGGAAGAGCGUCCCACUUCCUCCGACCAUUCCUCCUUCAUGGUCUUCUUGAGAAAUGCUUCGUUGGAAGGAGAAGGAGGUACCGUAGGUCCCUUCUCACAGAGGUAAUUUGAGGUCUUUCUAUGGUUUUCAUAAGGAUUAUCCUUGAAUGGGGAAGAGAACUUCGAAUAUUGAAUUUCUUCUUCCUUCGGUGUUUGUGGUUUGGGAGCGGUUUCAACAGCUAAGGAUGAGAGAUGGAAGGGCUCAAAAAUGGAUGUUGAGGGACCCUCGUAGCUCAACUUGUCUUCCUCUCGGAGGGAUUUGCUAGGAUUGGUGAGGAAGGAAGAGUUUUCAAAAAUGUGAUCUAGGAUUUCUUUUCCUUGGAGUUUUGUGUGCAAAUGAACCUUCGACAGCAAUGUCGAGAUGUAGGGCAGAGGUCAUGUCUAACCCCGUACAAAAGAUGUGUAAAGAUGCAUCUUCGGGUAUAGACAAGCUUGGGCUUGAUGCUAAAAGGUGUGAAAAUCUAGCCCAUGCUGCACCUAUGGACUGCUUCUCUAAUUGCUCAAAUUCAAGAGUGUCACUCCGGAGAGAGGCUAUGUGGGAUAAAGAGAAGAAUGAGUGACAAAAGUCAUCUUUAAGCUUUUCCCAAUUACCAUUCGCACUCUUCAUGUUGUGAGUGUACCAUUGCUCCGCCCUAUCUGUGAGAGAGAAAGGAAACAACUUCCACCUCAAGGUUUCCUGUGUCAUGCUUGGGAUUACCAAUUAUGAACACAGUUCCUCAAACCGUUGCAAAUGAAGGUAAGGGUUUUCAUUUUCAAAUCCAGAGAAGGUUAGUCCCCGAACCAUGGCAAUGAUGUUAGGAUGGAGUUCAUAGCUCAAAGCUAUGAUAGAAUUUGAAAAGGGUGGUGGCUCUAAGAACUCAUCCUCAGGAGCAGAAAGUUUUUGGAUAGGUGUAUUUUUCAUGGUAAAGAAAGGAUAAAAGAAAGAGAAAUAUAAAAUAAAAGAUACGAGGACGAACUACGUUCGAAGAUAAUAUAGCAACCGUUCCUCGGCAACGGCACCAGAAAUGCUUGUUGGUAUUUCUUAACGUUCACGAAUAAAUCUGCAAGCGCAUGAAUAUACCAUUGUAGCACUUCACUCGAGAGUAUUCAGGGUAUCGUUAUUUAUAUUUUCCCAAAGGAACAUAUGUGUAAAGGUCUUUUAACUAGUCAUCCAAGGACAACAAGAGUUAGGUAGGCGAUGAUAGAGAGGAUUCCUAUUGCUUUAGGGACUUUGGAUAAGAUAAACUCAACCUCCACUACUUACUUCAGGCACCGGUUUACGCCUGGUCUGCCAAGCACCUCCGGCUAUUAGCUCUACGCCGAACUUGAACGUGGCGGGGUACAAGUGACGGAUAGGGCUGUCACCACCUACCGCCUACCUCUCAGACUGUGGGGAAAGGUAUCAAACAAAGGCAACCUCAAGCCUAGACACCACGUCUAUGCUAUCGAUUACUACUCUAGAUCCAGCCAGACUCUGUCAUAAGACUAAAGUCCUUAAGCUAGAGAACCCAUCACAAGGACGAACGAUGAACCCACAAGCAAAUAAAGGAUAGAACUUAUCUUACUAAGAGACUCAUCACCAUAGGAGAUCACGAACACUUACUUAGCAAAGGAAGCAUCCGUCAAGGUACAAGCGCGAGGUAGUGCCGACAGGUCGGCACUUCCCCAAACUACACCUCACUCUCUCCCUAUUUUCUAAGCACUAUGGAGGUAAGGCUUUGCCUUGGAGUGGAGCUUUUCUCUUCUCUUGUGUGUUGUGUGCUGAACGGAGAGGAGGUGGUCCUUUUAUAGUGGAGAGGGAGCCUUGGGGGAUUGGAGAUCCUAAGCAUUAUCCCCCCUAUUGCCUCCACUUGUGAAGGAAUCGACGUCCAGGUUCAUUUGCUUUGCACCAAACCCCUGCAACCGCCAUAGGGAGAUCCGGAGGGAGUGACACAUGGAGGAUGAGCGCGAGAGGUGCUACGGGUGAUUGGGCCGAACUGGGGGUUCGGCCGAACCCCUGGGGUCGCCCCACGCACCGCCUUUCAUUUGGGAUGCUGUUUAGUGGGCCCUCAUGUGGGUACAUGGGGUCUGGUGCAGAAUUAGGUCCAUUUUCCCUUGUUUGUGGGCCCAUGGAUCCGUGUGUUUCCCUCUGAUUGCUCACGGGUGUGUUUCUUUACUCCUUGAGUGUGUUUUGAGCAUGUUUAUCCCCGUGUGCAGAUGUGAUCUCCUAUAAAUAGUGAUUCACCAAAGCAAGUGGAAAUGCUUAGAAUUAAACCCCUAUCUCUAGUUUGGUGAUUGUUAUUUCACUGUUCUUUAUUAGAGUUGUCGGUCAGAUAUGACAUUUAAGGACCAUUAACAAUCCUGGUGACACCUUAUGGUUUAUAUGAUUGUUUAUACAUUCUAACAUUUUCCCUUCAAGAUCAUUAGCGUGGCACCUGUCAGCUAUCAUUUCAUGAAGUCCAUCUUUAGUACCUUCAUCUUCCUCCAUAUCCUGUAUGUGUUCAUUUUCCUUAACCAUUUCCUGAUCACCAUCUUCUUGUUGAACUACAUUAUCCACAACCCCCUUAUCUGGAAGAAUUGUAAUUUCAUCAACCCCAUCAUCCUGCAGAAUUGCAUUUUCCUGAACCCCAUUAUCUUGUAGAAUUGCAUUUUCCUGAACCCUAUCCUCAAAUGUUUCUCCAUGAUGGAUCCACCUAGUGUAGGUGCUUGCCAUCCCAUUCAUGCAGGUCCACCACAUCUACAGUACAUCUAGACUGAUUCAGGCAUCCAUGACAUGGGCAUAGUAUUUGUUCAUCAUCAGAGCUUCUACUCUUAACAAAUUCCAUGAAAUCACUGACCCCUUUCUCAUGCUUGGGGAUAAAUAGUUGUCAACUGUGUAGCCAACGUCUAUCCAUCUAGGAAAUUUUGGCAAAUUCAAUUCAAAAUUACUGACAUUGAAAGAUCUCAAUGCAAAAUUAAAUUUUGGUGAAUUCAACUCAAAAUUACUAACCAGAUUGACAUGCCGUAGCAGAAAGCACCAGGUUUUUGCUGCCGUAGCACUGAGCCGCCGUGGGGAGGCGCAGAUCUCGGCCGGAGUGCUCCGUCCUGGCUACCUUCUCUCUGUUCUUCUUUAUUCCCUAUCGUGGGAGCGCGGCAAUGGGUAAACUAUUUUAGUGCUAGCUUUUGUGCCGCCAACUACCACACUCACCUAAAACUUACCUUACAUGUGGGAUCCGGUCGCGAUAAAGACUUCCCAUUCAUCGGUAAUAGGUUCGACCCACAGGAGGAGCACAUUUUCUAUUUUAUUUUACCACCUUAUUUAUCAACUUAAACUUACAUGUGGGACCCUGGUUGGUUUAUGAUAUUUCUGCGGAGCUUAUAUCGUCACAAAACCACCAUGUAACAGCGAGUGAUGAUUUUCUUUUUGGCUAUAGUGGCAACUUUUAUGACGUUCCAUAACUUUGUCACUAAAUUUGCUAGAAUGUGAAACUUUAUGACUUUUUCAGCCAGAAACGUCAUAGAUCUAUGAUGAGAAUAAAUGUGUCAUAAAAUUUUCAUCAUAGAUCAACAAAUUUCUUGUAGUAGUUGCAGAACUGCGCACCGACGCUAGCUCUAGUCUUUAUCACAGCCAACAGGAGCGUGGUGCCUGUGAGUCUCUUGAAGUAGUGGACUCCGUGUUGAGAAAUGAGAAAUAUCUAGCCGAUGCUUGGGCCUGCAACUAGCAUGUGGACCACAUUUAUUAGAAGCAAGAUAUAUAAAAUGUAUCCUAUCUAAAAAACAUACACAGAUCAUGUCUUAGUGGUAGUGCUGUCUCAGCACAAUCAAGAGGUCAUAGGUUCGAGCCUUGCUAUGGACACUCAUUCCUUUAAAUUUCCCUUCCCUUUUUUCAUCUCAGUUCGAUCAGUAAUAGGUUCAACCCAUGGGAUGAUGGGAGGAGCACGUUUUCUAUUUUAUUUUACCUCCCUAUUUAUCAACUUAAACUUACAUGUGGGACUCUAGUUGGUUUAUGACAUUUUCACGGACCUUAAAUUGUCACAAAACCACCAUGUAACAUUUAGUGAUGAUUUAUUUUUAGCUACAGUAGCAAUUUUUAUGACAUUCCUUAACUUUGUCACUAAAUUUUCUUGGAUGUGAAACUUUAUGACGUUUUCAGCUAGAAACAUCAUAGAUCUAUGAUGAUAAAAAAUGUGCCAUAAAAUUUUCAUCAUAGAUCGGCACAUUUUUUAUAGUACUAUCAUACCUCGAUAGUGUGAUAAGUGCCUGAUCAGCACAGCGUGACGGGGUUUCCGCGACUCAUGGGUAAAGAUGUACCACCUCUGCGGAGUGUUAAAAACUGUUAUAAUAGUCAUGCUCACGAUCAAGAGCGUCCUGGACCCUCACAUGGUCAGCUGGUUUGAGUGGAUCGCAAAGCGGUAUCUAUGGUUCGGGUUUAGUUAUAAGAGGGUUAACCUUAAGUUAGUUCUGGUUGGGGAAGCAUUACAUUAAUAAUCUCUCUAGGUGCUUAAUUAAAAUUUGACCAACUAAAACUUGAGAUUGUAGUCCACCAAAUAAAGCCUUCCUUGCUCUAAUCCUGCACGUUAUGUAUAUAUAAUUCCUUCCACUUGCAGAGUACACGCCUCCAAGUGUACUCACUAUUUUCCCUUUCAACCCUGCUAUUCUCCCCAACUGCUGCUCCGAUAGAUAGAAGCUACAAGACACGGCUACCUCGUGAAGACUUGGAAUUCUAGGCGUGCCCCCGAUUGACUUCCCGAAGAUGGUGCCUACUCUGCUGCGAUUAGUCCACGACUGUGUAAUCUCUUUUUGUUUAGACAUUGUGGUCACUUUGUAGUUAUGAACGUCUUGUAAUGAUAUAUGUUGUGAUAUUCACUGAUGAAGUCAGUUUAUGCAUGAAAAUUGAUCCUAGGAUGCAUAAAGGGUGCAUUCGGUUUUGUCCUUAAAACCACACGUGACAAGCAAGUGCAACAAGCUGGCGGUGCGAGAUAGGUACAAUGGCCAGUAGAUCAGGUAUGUUGAUUAGUAACAUUGGUCAUGUAGAUUUACAAACCCCAAGUCAAUCAAUCUAUCUUAAGAAUGUUCUUCAUGUACCACGUGCACAAAAAAAUCUUGCUUCAGUCCAUCGAUGAGCCUCUGAUAAUAAUGCCUAUAUUGAAUUUCACCCAAACUUAUUUCUUAUCAAGGAUCAGCAAUGAAUAGAAUCCUUCAUCAAGGAAGAUGUGAAGGAGGUCUUUAUCCCUUAGUGUCCCAUGGCACAAGUCUUCAUAACCAAGUUCUUGGAGUCAAUAAACCGUCUACUUUAUGAUGGCAUAGCAGAUUAGGUCAUCCAGCUUUUCCAAUUGUCAAGCAUGUUUUAGAGAGUAAUAAUCUCCCUAGUUUUAGUGAUCAAGUAAGUGAGUCUAUAUGUGAUUCAUGCCAAAGAGCCAAGAGUCAUCAAUUACCUUAUAAUAAAUCCAACAGUGUUUCCCUUUCGCCACUUGACCUCAUAUUUUCUGAUGUGUGGGGACCUGCCCCAAUUUCCAUUGGAAAGCAUUUUUAUUAUGUGAGUUUUAUUGAUGACUUUAGCAAAUACACCUGUAUCUACCUCUUGCGCCACAAAUCAGAUGUGUUUAAAGUUUUUUCAAAACUUCCAAAAUUUAGUAGAAAGAAAAUUUGGUAGGAAGAUCAUUGCAAUGCAAUCUGAUUGGGAAGGUGAAUAUGAGAAGCUAAAAUCCUUCUUCCAGAAGAUAGGCAUAUCUCAUCACAUCUCUUGUCCUCAUGCUCACCAGCAAAAUGGAUCCGCUGAGAGGAAGCAUAGGCAUAUUGUAGAAGUAGGCCUUUCUCUUCUUGCAAAUGCAUGUAUGCCUCUUAAGUUUUGGGAUGAAGCGUUUCUCAUGGCCAUGUAUCUCGUAAAUCUACUUCCUAGGAAAGUUAUUGAUUUCCGCAAACCAACGAAACUUCUUUUGAAGCAAAAACCUUAUUACAGUUCCUUGAGCAUAUUUGGAUGCGCAUGCUAGCCAAACCUUCACCCACUCAACUCAAAGAAACUUGCCUUUUGAUCAAUUUAGUGCACCUUUCUUGGUUAAAACUCCUUGCACAAAGGCUUCAAAUGCCUUCACAUAUCCACGGGAUGAGUUUAUAUAUUUUGAGAUGUUAUUUUUGAUGAAAUAGUGUUCCUUUUGCGCAAAGUUGCAUUGAAAUAAGGGGAUUUCAAAUUGGUAAGUGCAAGGUAUGGUUUACUUCAAUUUGGUAUCCAUUGCAUAAUUGAAAUUAGCAUAUGUUCUUGCUCUUGCAUUGCAUCCAAGAAAGUAGUUGAUUAUGUUGUCAUCAAUCACCAAAAAGGGGGAGAUUCUAAGAAACAUAGUCAUUGAGACUAAUGUGUUUGCAAGGUGAACCUUUUAGGUGUUUAUAGGCCCUAAGGAUGAAUUCCAAAGCCAUCAAAAUAGAAGAAAAUGAAAGACGUAGAAGAAUUCUAUGGCAUCCAAAUGACAGUAGUCUUUUUCUAAGGCGUACAAAUGAUGGUAUUGGAGCCAGGACAAAGACACGUAAAGACUUGAAGGGAAUCCUACUGGAAUUGAGAACCAACACAAUUCACUUAUAGUGAUGACUAGGAAUGUCACCAAAUCAGUCAGUGACCAUGGACAACAGUAGGGCCAAGAUAGCAUGCACUGUGACCAUCGAAUCAUUUGGUUUCAAUAGUGGAUCGCCACCGAAUAAAUCGGUUGUGAUCAGCUUGGCUUGCGAUAACCUCAGAUUCAGCUCUGGAACUUUUCAAAGUUAUUUCAGGCCUCAUCAAUUCAUAAGAUGGGAACAGUGAUAAGAAUAGCAAAUCAGUCGGUGAGGGAAGGCAGGUGAAGACUGCGGCUCAGAGUCACUAAUCCAUUUGGUGUUGUUCAAGAUGUUUCACCGAAUCAGUCAGUGAUACAUGGAGCCCAGGUGUCAGUUGCUCCACGGCUAGCUGAGGUGGCAUGCGUCGAUUCAUUCAGUGCUACCCCCUGCGUACCACUGAAUUAGUCGGUGAUAUGCAGAAGGUUAUAACAGCUAUGUAAUGGCUAGUUCAUCGACUUGGGGCUAUAAAUACCCCCAUUGCCCAGCCAUUUCAUGAGUGUUAGAGCUUGGAGAAGCUAUAGUUUCAUAUACAUAUGUGUUCUAUCCACCAAAGUGCUCAAGAGAAGAUUAAGGCAAUUAGCAUAAGACUUAGGUCUUGAUUAGUGGUAGUUUAGGCCUAUUAGCACAAUGCUUUAGGGGUUAGCCUAGAGUUAGGCGUGGUUUGCACACCUCUUUGUUCUUGGUGCUUGCGCACACCAAGAGUUGUAAAUCUGGAGCUUGUAAGUCUUGCGAAACCCUCCAACCACGUUUGUGGAGUGGUCGCUGGUGCAUUUGAAAGGGAGGAGAGACCCUUGGCAUCCAGGAGAAGCUAGCCGGAGACCCACUUGCGUGUGGGGAAGGCUCGUUGGCUAUCCUACGGAGUUACUUGACCGAGGAGCUUAUGUCAGUGUUUCAUACCCGGCAACUUACCGAGGGGUAUCUUGAGGUAGUAGAUUGGUUGGUGGGGGGUCGCUGGACCUAGAGCUUGAUGGUAAAAGUGAGGAUAUAAGACACAAAUUUAUACAGGUUUGGGCCACUAGAGUAGCAUAAUACCCUACAUCCUGUUUGAGGUGUUGUAUAUUGUGUCCUACGCUUGGGUGUUGUUUGGUGUUCUUGGUUUAGGUUCUGCUCUGAGGUGGUUCUGCCGAUCUAGGUACCUCUACUCUCCUUUCGGGAUUACUAGUCAGUUACAAGGUAAGAGUCCUAGUAGAAUUACAAGGUAUGAGUCCUAGUAGGAUUAUAGGGGAAUCCUAGUAGGAGUCCGUCUUCUUUCUUCCUUGUGGGUAUGGAGGAUCUAUCCCCGACAAGCCCCCGAGUGCUUCAUAGUUGAAUGUAACAGCCUUUGAGUACUUUUCAGAUCCUCCCCAAGUAGUUUAGCUCUCCUCGAAUACUUUGUCGUGCUGAAUCUUCAAAGUGCUUCAAGGAUGCUACGAGGCUGUGAUGUGCUCAAGCCCCAAUCUUCUUGAUAUCGUAAUGGUCAUCUUUGGAAUGUGAUAUGGAGGGUGGUGAAGUGGAAAGCUUUGCUUUCUGAUAACUCGGUAAAAAUCGUCGUGUCACCACACCAAGAGUUUAUCUUCUUUACUUCAUUUACCUUUCGCAUUUAUUAUUGCACUUAUAUUCCACAUUUACUUUUCCUAGAAUUGCCAUGUUUAGUUUAUAGGAUUGGAACCUCUAGGGUGCAAAGCUCUUUUACGGUAGAGAUAGAAACACAUAGAAAAACCUAGUGCACAUCUAGAUAGAAAUUGAAAUAAGUUUUUAUAUGUGCGUGGAGCCUUAAAUUUUAGAACACCCAAUUCGAACCUCCUCUCUUAGGGUGUCAUGCGACAAUCCUUGAUAGCCCAAUCUGAUCUUGCUCUACCUCCCGCAAUCCUAAUUUCAAUCUUAUCUCGGGCCAAAUCAUAGUAGGAUUACUUAGUCGGUUACCCCUGCCUUCCUUUAUAGGUGGUUCUGUCGAUCUAGGUACCCCUGCCUUCCUUUAUAUCUCCAUGGGGUGGGAUUACUCAGUCGGUUACAAGGUAGGAGUCCUAGUAGGAUUAGAAGGUAUGAGUCCUAGUAGGAUUAUAGGGGAAUCCUAGUGGGAGUCCGUCUUCUUCCUUUCUUGCGGGUACUGGGGAUCUAUCCCCGAUAGCUUAUGCCCUUGUGCGGGCAUUCCCUGGAGAGGGGCACCAACAACAAGGACUAGUGGAAAGCUUUUCUUUCCGAUACCUUGAUAAAAAUUGCCGUGUCACCAUGAAGGCAAUUUGCCUUCUCUACCUUAUUUACCUUCCGCAUUUCUUAUUGCACUUACAUUUCUCAUUUACCUUUCCUAGAAUUGCCAUGUGUAGUUUAUAGGAUUGGAACCUGUGGUGCAAAACUCUUUUGCGGUAGAGAUAGCAACACAUAGAAAAACCUAGUGCACAUCUAAAUAGAAAUUGGAAUAGGUUUUUAUAUGUGCUUGGAGCCUUAGUAUUUUAGAACACCCAAUUCACCCCUCCUCCUAGGGUGUCACGGUCCCUUCACCACAGCCCAGUCCACCAUCGCCACAUGCUCAUGAGAGUGCGCAACGGGAGGAGUUAGCCGGUAGGUGAAUCGAGGAGGAUCUUCCUCAGGAUUCCGCACCUAGAUCCUCUACACCAGCACAUAGAUCCAGUACAGUACGUUCCUCUUCAACGACUGCAACUUCUUCACCAAGGAUUGCUGCAUCUUCUCCUCAACAUCAACCUGAACCUGAGCUAAGGUGCACAACACGAGGACAGCAUGGUAUAGUAAAAGCAAAAAUACCAACUGAUGGCACUGUACGGUAUGGUUUCUUGUGUAAAAUAGGUGAACAUGAGCAUUUGCAAGAUGCUCUAGGAGAUCACAAUUGGAAACAAGCUAUUCAGGAAGAGUUUUCAGCCAUGGUCAAAAACAAGACAUGGCAUCUUGUUCCUCCAGUUAAGGGACAGAACUUGAUUAAUUGCAAAUUAGUGUACAUAAUAAAGAAGAAAGCAAAUGACACAAUAUAUUGGUAGAAAGCCAUGUUAGUUGCAAAAGGAUUCAAGGAAAAGGUGUGGAAUUGAUUAUAAAGAUAUGUUUAGUCCUGUUAUCAAGAUUGCCACUAUCAGGUUAGUUUUGUUCAUAGAUGUAUCAAGAGGUUGGGUUGUUAAGCAAUUGGAUGUACAAAAUGUGCUCCUUCAUGGUGUUUUGGAAGAAGAGGUUCACAUGAAACAUCCUUAAGGUUUUGAGGAUAAAAAUAAGUCCCAAUUCGUUUGCAAGCUUGACAAGGCCAUAUAUGGAUUAAAGCAAGCACCUCAAGCUUGGUAUUCUAGAUUGAGUUCUAAGCUUUAUGAUCUUGGUUGUAAAGGUUCAAAGUCAGAUACAUCCCUAUUUAUUUAUCAGAAACACGAUGUAACUAUUUUCAUGCUUUGUUGAUGAUAUCAUAGUCACCGGUUCUUCUCAAGAUGCAAUUUCAACAUUAUUACAAGACCUGAAGACAGACUUUGCAAUGAAGGAUUUAGGGGAAUUAAAUUUCUUCCUCUCGGCAUUGAAGUAAAGAGGGAAAGGCAAGGUGUUGUUCUUUCACAAGAGAAGUAUGCCUCUGAGUUACUUCAGCGAGUAGGAAUGCUCAAGUGCAAGCCCUGUUCAACACCAUUGCCUACCUUGGAAAAACUGCCAAAAUUUGAAGGAGAAGCCUUGAGUGAUGAACAUAGCACAAGGUAUAGAAGUAUAGUUGGUCCUUUGCAAUUUAACACUCACUCACCCUGAUCUAGCUUUUGUUAUAAACAAGGUCCACCAAAUAUUGCAAGCGCCCACAACUACUCAUUGGACUAUUGUGAAGCGCAUUUUGAGAUAUAUUAAGUUCACAUUAAAUCUUGGUACGACAAUAAGCAAGUCUAACUCAACAUUGGUGAGUGCAUUCUCAGAUGCAAAUUGGGCAGGGAAUGUCAACAAUCGAAGAUCAACAUGAGGUUUUGCUAUUUUCUUCAGACCAAACCUCAUCACUAGAGUGUUAGAAAGCAACCAAUAGAGCUCGUUUAAGCAUAGAGGCUGAGUAUAAAUCAUUAGCAAAUGAAACUAAGAUAAUUUGGGUUGAAUCACUUCUUGCAGAACUCUGAGUCAAGCAAGAUCAGACACCAUGCCUUUGAUGUGAUAAUUUGGGAGCCACCUAUCUAUCAGCUAACCCUAUCUUUCAUGCAAGAGUUAAACAUAUAGAAAUUAAUUUUAAUUUUGUUAGAGAAAGAGUUGCAUAGAAAUUGUUGCUGGUUCAACUCAUACCGUCCAAGGAUUAAAAUUGCAGAUGGUUUUACCCAAGCUUUAGGCGUCUAGGCAUUUGAUGAAUUUAAGCGCAAUAUGAACUUGAAGAUAAAAGACAAGUUAGAUUGAGGGAGGCUGUUAACUAAUAUGAGUUGUACUAGUUGCAUGUAUCUCAAAGGUUGUUAGCAUUCUUUCCGAUAUCUCUUGUAGAUAGAGUCCCAUCUUUGUAAACUUGCUUUGCAAGAUUGUAAUCCUAACAAACCCUAUGUAUAUACCACGCUAGGGGCUAUUCCUAGCUUAUAUAAACACGCAACCAUAGAGCUCGGAUGGCUAACCACGUUCAACAAAUUUCACACUCCCGCCUCCCCUAUCGGUUCCAAGGACACCAUCAUUGCUGGAUUCCUUUCCCUUCCCGUGACCGCUCCCUCUCUAGUCCGGCCAAAGAAUGAUUCUUGCACCACCAAAAUUGCCCAACCACCAUCCUCCACCACGAUGGUGGGUGCUGCUAUUGCUGCCUUGCCAUUCCACUUAUUGCCCGCCACUACUGCCAGGCAGCAACCUCCCUAUACAUCUACCCAACUCGAAAUCGCAAAUCCUAACAUCACCGGCAUUGCCAUCCUAUGACUAGAAUCACAUGUUACUUUUACCAUCCUUUCUUACUUCUUUCCCCCGUGUUCCUUUUUUGAAAAUUUGGUUAUCCAAAACAUGUACCAUUCCCACUCAGGAAGGACUCUCACGUUAGUGCUAUGCUAUACCGAGAGCACUCUUGCGUUUCGGCAAAACCUUUUGAGUAAAUUGCACCCACCAUACAAUAACUUGGGAGGCAGGUGCAAAUUGGUUCAACAACUUGAAAAAUGCUCAAUUUAGUACAAUAACUUAUCAAGUGGGUGCAGAUUGGUCCAACAACUUGUAAAAUGCUCGAUUUAGUACAAUAACUUGUCAGGUGGGUGCAGAAAGGUCCAACAACUUGUAAAAUAUUCAAUUUAGUACAAUAUCUUAGCAAAUUGGUGCACCUACAGUUUAAAGAUUACAGUAAUAACAUAUUAGUUAAAGUAUAUGGAUAUAUGAAUUGUUCCAAAUAAUAAUUCUUAGGUUUUUAUCAAUAAAAGUUGUUGAUCAUGAUCAGGUUGUUGCUUCUCAACUAUGUACAUAGGUUCUUUGUUCAUUAUUUAAAUUGACACAAAUUUUAGAAUUACUCUAUUGGCAUUAUCGAAAGAGUAAAGUCAAUAAGAGAGAUCAUGUGACAUUAGAUUUUUUCUGCACUUUUGCUCUUGUAUUCAACAACUUUAUAGAAGUACAUUUGUUUCAUUCUUUUACCUUAUUUUCCGUUUCUAAAUAAGUACUCCCACCAUUCCAGAACGGGUUCAAUUCUGAUUAUGUUUGUGAACAAAUGCCCAUCCCAAAAGAAUGAAAUUCUAGCAAUAUCUAGACAACAGUUUGAUAUAUAGCUAGAAUUGCAUUCUUUUGGGACGGAGAGAGUACAUGUGCUUUAAAAAUAUAUUUAAGUCAAAUGCCUAAAGGUAUUGUUAGUAUAUAUUAACAUAUUGAUAUUUUUUAGAUGAAAAAUACACGGUGUUCGCCUAAACAGUCGUUUAAGCGGUGUCUAAACAGUGAACGGAGGCUAACCGUUUUGUUUAGGCUUAAACCGUCCAUUAAACACAAAUAGACUUAAACGGUCAAAAACAGGAUUAAACGGGCUAAACGACCUAAACAAAAUGGUAUUAAAUACCAUUAUACAUGCUAAACGGUCAUUUAACACACUGUUUAGGUGAACACUGUCAAUUCCACUUGAAUUCUUACUUCCAUAAAUAUAUAUACUUUAGUUUUCCCAUAGAUAUUAUUUAUAUUUGGUUUGUUGCAUGCAUGAAUAUAUGUACUUGGUCUUUUAUAUGCAUAAAUAUAUAUACUUUGUGGAAUGCUUGACCUUUUAUGAGCAUGAUUAUGUAUAAUUUAGUGAUAAAGUGCAAAACUGUUUAGACCGUUCAAUUCCGUCUAAACACCAUUUAAAGCAUCUAAACACUAAAUAAAAAGUGGCUGACCGAAAAUACAUAUAAUCAAACAUAUAAAAAAUAGUAAAGGUGAUUAUCAAUAUUGAAUAUAAAAAUAAAUAUUUCCAAUCAAAAUUAAGUAACGUAUAAAAAUAAUUAAAAUGAAGAUAUAAUAUUAAUUUCCUAAACUCUGAAGGUUCUAGUCUCGGCCAAAUAUAUUUUCAUUGCGAUGUGAAUAUCAAUGAUUAAAUAAUUUUUCAUAAUUUGUUCCAACCUGAAUAUAUCCUAACCCAACAUUAGCAAAUGUGUUGGUUGUUAUAACAUUUGGACCGCAAAUACACCAAUAUACCAAUUUAUUGCACUAAAUUGAGCAUUUUAAAAGUUGUUGAACCACUAUCAAAUUAUUGUUUACAAGUUGUUGGAUCAAUCUGGACCCACGUGAUAAGUUGUUGUAUGGUGGGUGCAAUUUACUCAAAAUUUUUUGAUGGGGUUUUGUAAAUUUCGAAAAAAUCAAAUGCAUACUUUCCAGAAGUAACAUGGGUCCGUGUUAGCCCAUUUCGCUGUUGUGUGCGCCCACUGGCCCAGCCCACUCCAUGUGCUCGCAGCUCGCGUUGGCUUUGUCUCCCUUUCUUCGGCGGCGCGGGCAUCGUCCUCGUGCACGCCGUCACAAAAGAUUGCAGAGGAAGCCUAAAUCCCAAAUCCCCCAUCUGCAACCCCAAAUCGCUAAUCAUAUCGCCUACCCACUUCAAGCCCUCUCCAUUCCUGGCUGCUUUUCUCUCCGUCGGCAUGCGGUUGGGUCGCGGGGCUGUAGGCGGGCGGUGACGGGCACAAGCCGCACCCGACGCGCACGGCAGCCGGGCGGCAGGCCCGAGGAGACGCAGGGCACACGGCAGCGAACGCCCAGAAGGUAAGCACAUCACGCAGGGGCCAUGAUUUGUUUGUACUGUCACGCUAUCUCCGAUUUUCGAGUGCCAGGGCCAUGAGAUCAUUUCGCACACCCAUUCGAGGGAAUAGGAUUUGAAGGUGGCUGCCGGAUCGGCGAUUUAGUAUUGUUCUUGAAUCUUGAUGUAGAUGGAACUGGAAGUGUUUUGGCAUAUCGACAAGGAUCACGGCAGUAAAGUACUGUCGAUGCCAAUUUAUGGUGGCAGAUGGCUUAAAGAUUACGACAGGGGAGGAGAUGAAGAGAGGAACUGGGGAGUUUUUAGAGGGGUAUAGGAAGGUGUCACUAGCCAGGAGCUCAUGAUAGUCAACGGCAGAGUCUGAAAUGUCGACAGAAAUUAUUUGUUCCUUUCUCUUCAUUCCAAAUGUGCUCCACUGGUAACUUUCCCUUUCUAAUCUCAAAACAUUACUAGCUUUUCUCAUAUCAGCUUACUUCAAAACUAUGUAAGGGACCUACGAUUUAAGUGACUUCGAGACGUGCUAUGAUUAGGCUAGGCCUGUGCUCGACAAAACCCCCCAAGGCAAGUAUCAUUUAACAAGCAAGCGUACUGCUCUUAUGCAAAGCACCUGGUGAACCUGCUGGCAUUGUACUCUGCAGUCUCAAGAAGGGUUGGUUUUAUUCAUUGCGUUGUGUUCCUGGCAUUUUAUUCAGAUAUGGAUUAGCUGAAUUUGUGCAAUACCUUGAUGUCUUUCGCUGUCAUCAACUAACCCGUUUGAUGUUUUUCCAUAUCAUCUACUCACAAGUUUGGUCAACCUAUCAGGUGGAGAACAAUUCGUGGUACCACUAAUCUCAACUGCUAUCCUCCAGCACCAAUGCCUAUAUGAGAAACAAAGUCAACAAGCGAUUGCCUCCACCAAUAACUCACCCAAAUUUGGAUAAGUUUUGAGGAACAAAAAUACAACUGAUGCAGGUAAUGUUUCAAACUCCAAAAGGUAUCAUUGACCGUAGCGCCUCUGGAGGUGCUGCCCAUGCAGACCAUCCGCAAUCUCGCUUUUCUGAGUUUGUGAGCAUCGAGCCGCUCACUUUCUCAAUUUCACAGGAGCCCAGGAGAGAUGAUGGUCUGCUUCGGCUUCGCAUUAUAAAAAGAAAUUGGAAGGCAGCAACACAAGCAAGUUCCUGGUCCUCCAAUGGCCAUAAUAAGAUACAAAAUAGGUAUCCAACUAAGCUACAGCUAGCCUUUCCUUAGUUUCCUGUGUUUCAAUGGCCAUAAUAAGAUACUACCUCCAUCCAUAAAUAUAUGAUGUUUAGUACAAGCUAUUUAGUUCAAACAUGAAAUAAUUUGCUUGCCCUAAACGUCAUGUAUUUGAGAACGGAGGAUUAUUACAAAAUAGGUAUCCAACUAAGCUACAGCUACCCUUUCCUUACUGUGUCAGCUGCCCUGCCAAGGACAAACUCUGCGUGACCUGUUCGGAAAAGGGACAUAAUUCUCAUGAUUGCCCCAUGAAGGAUCGAGAGGAAAAACUCAUAUGCACUAUCUGUAACAAGGUUGGUCACUAUUACUUGCGGUGCUGCCGACUGAAUGUGUCUGAGAACCAUGCUUGCCAUCGUUGUGGCGAAAAAGGACACUACGCCAGUAAGGGACCCAUGCAUUGUGGUGAUAAGUUCAUUUAUACGGGCCUCAGUUGCUCCAGCUGUGAUACAAACCAUUUGCUUGGGAGAUGCCCUAUGAGCAACAUUACAUGUUUCCUUUCUGAAGGUAAGGAUUGUGUCCCUGCUCAAUGUCACUUAAGUCCAAUACUCACUGCAGUAAAUCAGCACUGUCGAGAAAGCUUCCGAGGUACUCUGAAAGAGGGGAGAACAGUCACACGACUCGAUCCACCCAGCGGAAUAGAGCUAUAUGAUGAUAGCCGUGAAUGCCAAUUGAACGGGAAUAAUGAAAUGGCACCCAAGGUCUCAAGCUGCAGCCUUGGUGAGCCAGUCAACCGUGAUGGGGGGAGCCCCAUAAAAACUCAUGUACUAGCUGCUGACAAGAACAACCCUGCAACUACGACGGAUGAGCCACUAACACCAGCGUCAGGAUUCACCUGCUUAGACUGCCAUGAAGACAACUGCCACUCUGCAAAUAGUUGUUCUAAAAAGAAGUCACCUAGAGAAUUAGAGCCAUAUGAUUGUAACCAUGGAUGCCAAUCUAUGGGGGCUAGUGAAAUGGUGGUACCCAAUGUCUCAAGCAUCAGUCCUGUUGUGCAAGACCGAUGUGAUUGGGUGAGCCCCAUAAUAACUAAGAUACCAGCCUCUGAAGACACCAACGCUGAAGCUAUGACGGAUGUGGUGCAAACAAAAGUACUAGUAGUCACCUGUUUCAGCUGCCAUGAUGAAGGCCAUUGGGCAAGGAAUUGUCCCAAGAAGAAGGCACCUAGAAAAUUGGUUCAUUGUGGUGUCACCUGCCUAAAUUGCAAUGGCAACCACUACACAAUUAGAUGUCCCAAGAAAAAGAAGCCUGGUGAAUUGAAGCUAUGUAAUGUCACCUGCUUAAGGUGCCGUGACAAAGGCCACUUUGCAGAUAGGUGUCCUAAGAUGCAGCAGCCUAGAUAAUUGGAGCCAUAUGAUGAAAGCCAUGGACAUCAAUUGUGAUAGGAAGAGCCUAUCGUAACUUGCUUACUGUAAGCCUGUGUUGUUAUUGUUGCUGCUUAUGCAGGCAUAAGUUUGAUUGUUGUAACAAUUGGGAUGGUACAUAUAAAUCAUAGUGUCACAUGAAUGAAUCUUUUUGAGUGGUAUACUUGGUUUCAAGUAUUUUAUUCAUGGUAUGUUUUAUCUGGCUACUCGCAAGCUGGGAGGCUUGUUAAUGCUCUUGUUUUGCACCACCAUUGGAUAUACAAGACCUCGUUCUUGUUAGGUAGAGCUGUACACUAGUACAUUUUUUAUCGAGUAAUUACAUCCACCAUAGCAAAAUGUACGAAUAUAUACGCGAAUUUGUCAAAUGUGUGCACAUGCACACGGUCAAAUGUACGCUACAUAGAUGUAUUUUGCCAUCAUGGUAGGUGAAGUGGAUGGUUUUAUGCAUAUAACCUCUAUCUUUAAUCCCCUUUUCAUCUAAUAAGGUACUUUCACCUCAUAUAAAUUGUACAUGUCUGGUAUAUAGUCUGCGAUAGGCUGCCGUCUCAAGGGUACGUGUAUGAAAUCUUGCUUUUGGACUGUUGAAAAAGAGAUUAAGUAUCUGAGAAAUGUUUACUGGUUAAAAUCUACAAUUAUUUAUAUGGUAACAGGAGUAUUUUUUUUAUUACUGUGCGAGUGCAUUUUCCAUCCUUCGUGCUAUUGGCAAGAUUAAAGUUUGAUAUUUGUGUGUACGUGAUUCUGAUGGCUUUUUUCUCGGUAAACUGACAAGAUUAUUGUGGUUCGAGAAAACAAUACCUAGCUUCAAUGUUGCUUGGUGCUUGGAAUGAUGCAUUUAUAUCUCUUACAGACUAAUGUUUUGUUGCUUUCUAUGGCAGACAGAAGGAUUAGGAAGUAACACACCUUAACCCAGUAUCCUUUUUCUCGACUGAACACCCCCAUGAACAUUACCUUGAGCUUGAAAGCAGCCGAAAGACAACCAUUGUUUUUGCCGCAGCUUGAGCCCUUCAUUCAUUUGUUGAAUUGGAUUGUGUGCCCGCGUGAAUGAAGGUUGAGGUUUAGUGUGUGGACUCAUCAUUUGUCUUUCUGUUUCCUCUUAUUAUUGUUUAAUCAGGUUUUUGGCACGAGACUGACUCAGUUUUUGUCAAGACGAACAAUGCCAUGACAGGUGCUAUAAAUACUACAAACAUUCUAAAUGGUUCUAUUACUGUGCUUGACAAACUUUAUCAGCUUUUCUAAUUUAUAUUCGCCGAUGUUAAAAAAAAAACAUGAGCUGUGCGCAUGAUUAAGACUAGUCUUUAAUGAGAAGGGGACAAAGAUAUGGGGUUAUGUGCAUAAAACCGUUCAUUUUACCCGGUAAAAUAGCGUACAUUUGACCGUAUAUGCACACAUCUAACAAGUUCGUGCACCUGUUCAUACAUUUUGCUACUUAUUGGAUCAAAAUGAUACAACCACCUGUUCAUACAUUUUGCUACUUAUUGGAUCAAAAUGAUACAACCAUACAAGUUGUUAUGUGGUAGGUGCGAUUUACUUUUUUUACCUACACUACAAUUUUUUCAACCCUAGCUAAGCAUGUUGGGGCUUCGGCAUGAACCAGUGAGGGUGGACGCUUCCGGUUGGCGCUGUAUGCAGGUAAGCCAUUGUCGUCGGGGGUACGCCAUGGCAACUGAUGAUGGAUAGAGUCGCUGAAUUGAGCUAGCUUGUUUGGUUCGACCUAUAGGAGUUUCAGCCAAAGUGAACGAAAUUCUCUUCAUCACUAAAAUUAAACACUUCUAUGUAUUCAAUCAAGGGCUAGCCUAUUUUAAACACUUCUAUGUAUUCAAUCAAGGGGUAGCCAAUUGAUAUUCUUCCUGCGAUUGUUGUAACAUCUAGUCGCCAGCGCUAAUUGGUUAUAGCGAUCACUACAUGUUUUUUCAAAAGUAAAAUACAAGGGCGGUUCCUUAACCUGUCACGACGUGUUAUCUAGGUCUCGAAACUUUCAAAAUGCAUUUUCAGCUCCAUAAACUUGUCUUAAGAUGUUAUCUGGGUCCAUAAACUCUCAAAACACAUUUUCUAGGUCCUCCAAUUUGUCUCAGGGUGUCAUCCAAGUCCUUAAAGUCUCAAAGUGCAUUUUAAGAUACCCAAUCAAGCGCCAAGCAACACAUGCGUGAUCACUAACAUAAGGUGGUUGUGAAGGCAACAAGCGAGGAGAAAGCAUUGCCAUCAGCGACAGUUGACAAGUUUUAAGAUUUGAAAAUGUAUUUUGAGAGAUUAAGGACUCGGAUGAAACCCGAGGACAAGUUUGGGAGGCCUAAAUAUGCACUUUGAGAGUUUAUGGACCCAGAUGACACCAUGAGACAAGUUUGGAUACCUGAAAAUGUAUUUUGAGAGUUUAGGGACCCAGAUGACACCACAAGAUAAGUUCAAGGACUGCCGGUGUAUUUUACUAUUUUUUCAGUCUCCAACAAACAUUAUAUUUUCGAACCAAAACACUACCUCAGACACCCCCCUCAGUAGGUUGCCGAGUCUAAACACCGACAGCUAGUGUGCCAGGUAGGGGAUCUCACCGAGAAUCCACUGGCGAACUCGAUGGCACAAGUCAUCAUCAAGCCAAUCGUCACGUUUGAAGUAGGCGCGACGUUCAUCUUUGGCUCCUGGUGAUUAGGACAUCACCUGCUCAAAUACAACCACAUUAGCAACUUUUGAUUUAAAGAUGAAAUAAUUCUUUAUCAUGAUUGUAUUUGAUACAUUUGAUUAAUUGAUGCUGCACCAUGAUGUGUGUUCAUUGUCAUUUUUAGAAAUACAUACGUGGAUCAAAAAGAGCGUUAAACAUACAUGGAAGGCAUGGAGGGCCAAAGAAGUUGAUUGGAGGCUAAGUCCAAGUAUUCCCAACGUCCUCCACCAGGCCACCACGUCAUUUUUGGCUCAAGGAAAGAAAGAGAUCCAAUCCAACACAUUUUGGGGCUGGAUUCGGACUGCAGCACUGCGCCAACUUGCGACGGCCGCCACGACCUCAUCCAGACUCUGUUUUGGGAGUUCAAGUACUAAUUGGAAUCCUUAUGAAGUCUAUUUUCAUAUGGAUCUAGACUCAGGUCCAUAUCUAUUCUGAGGCAGCCACAAUAACCGAAUUAGUACAAAGAGGUUUUCUGUCCAAAGGUGCUGCGUCGCCUUAUUUUGGUCUGAUGGGUCGUAUAUCAAAUUGGAUCCAUUAGGGACACGUCCUAGGGUUGGAGCACGACCCCAACACCCCCCUGGUCGUUCUCCUAGGUAUUAAUAAGGAUUAGAGCUGCCACAAAUAGAUUGGGUUUUGUUUUGUUGAAAGUUUUGCCAUUGCUACUUUCUUGUAGACACAUGUGUCGAUUAGACCAUCCGUUCUACUCGAUUCAGAACCCCAACUUUGUGAUUUCAGAUUGGCUCUUAUCUUCAUAUUUUGCAAUUGAGUUGCUUGUUCUACUUGUUCUUGCUUGUUCCUCGAUUGCUUGCAGGAAUUAACCUAGUGGUUUGGUUGAUCGUGCUCCACAAGAUUGCGGCGACCAUUAGAGGUGGUGUAUCGGUUGCUAAGGCGCAGCAUCCUUGGAUGGUUGUAGUCAGGCCGUGAACGUCGUCUCCAUCCUCAAAUCGAGUUAUCCACCUUCUCUCAUCGAAAGAUCGGGAUUCAACCCAAUAGGUUCCUAUCAAUUGGUAAUCAGAGCAAGGUUAAUCGGUGAGAGACUUCUAAUUCUUUGCUGUUUUUAAUCUCCUAUAGUCCAGAAAAAGCCAAGAAAAAUAGUAGAUUAGUUCUCCAUAAUCCCCAAAACCCUUUGACCUUGAUACUGUUACUGCUUAGUUAUGGCUUAUUGAAUUAACGGUUGCAUUGUCGUGUCAAGUUGCUGGUCUUAGCGUCUAGUCGUUUAGAGUUUCAAGUUGUAGUCACGUUUGUGUCACCAUCGUAGAUUUGAGUUUAUUUGUUUCUCUCCAUGAAUCAGAGUGGAUUUCCAAAUUCCUUUGUUUUGUUUACCAACAUUAACCUAACCACUUCCUUUGAGGUUUCAUCCACAUCCAUCCUUCCAUCUACAAAAACGAAAUCCAACAAGUUGAUUCUAAAUAUAGCCUCGAAACCUUAACUUGUGCUGUUUCCAACAGAUCUGACCUUGGUCCCAAAUUCUUUUUGAGCGCUUUGCAAUCACCCAAGAGAUUUGCGCAUCUGCUAGUUUUGCAAAACAGCCACUUGUUUGACUUCGCUACUGAAUCACCCUUCCCAAGAAAACAUUUAAUUGCUGUAAGUCGCUUGUUAUCUUUUGUUGCAAAAUUUCAGCUACUUGAAAGAAAAAAAAAGAAAAGAAGGAUAGAAAGAAAGAAAAGAAAGAUAGAAAGAAAGAAAAGAAAGAGAAAGAAGAAGAGCAGGGUUUUUCUUUUGUUGUUAUUCCUCCCUUUGUGAUCCUUCUUUGCUGCAGCUUAAUGACUUCGUUUCCCAUUCGGACUCCGCAAUGCGACCACUGUUUAUCAGGCGGCCCUGUCCAAAUUAUAAUCCGAUACAGAUAUGAUCGAGGAUCUCGACUACUUCUUGGAUCCGAGCGAGGAAACUCCUUUAUCAGGUCCGCAACAGGGCCUGGUAAUCAUAUCAACUCCUCAAGGUAGAUUCAUCUACUAGCCAACAUGAAGCUACCUGCUCUUGCCAAGGAUGACGAUUCAUGCCUCAUCGACACUCUCCCGUACCAGUAGGGAGCUCCUCUGUCACCCACCUACGAGGAAGGCAGCACCAUGGAGGUCAUCACUUUAAGCUCGGGAAGCUACUCUCCAAAGCGAGAACUCUUCGCGAUCUUUACUUGACAAGAGGACAAAGAAAAAGAGUUACAGGACAGAAACUCACAACAUGAGUGUCACCCAGAUGACGUCUCGCAGGAUGAGCUCACUACCAAUGUUAUCAGAGAAGAGACCAAAGCUUCAAGAAUUUGACGACAAGCAAGAAACACCGUAAGAGCAGAGCGCCACCGCCACCUUGCAGCGGAUCUACCAAUCUAGAACCUGGAUAACUCCUUUGAAGUAGUUCAAAUGCGUCACCAUCGUACUCCUCUAGAUAUCAUCACGUCUAUUGAUCUCAUCGCCCGUGCGAUGCCCCAGAACAAAUACACUAGACAGUUGGUUGAACUAGCGAAACUCGCGUAUGAACAACUCGAUAAGCAGAGUUCGAUACAGUUAGUCCAACGCUCCAUAUCCCAGCGAAGUUAACAUGGUAGUAGCCAUAGAAGCCCUCCAUCAAGACAAAGUUAAAUCGGAGGCACCAGACCAAGCCAAGCUGGAGCUAAAGGUGUCGAUGUUUAAACCUAGCAACCUACCAAGGGAGUACCCGAGGUAGAGUUUUGGUUGGUGGGUGUCGCCAAAAUCAGGAGCUCGAUGGUGUACGCAGGCACGCGAUUUAGACAGGUUCGGACUGCUAGAUCGCGUAAUACCCUACAUCAUGUAUGUUAUUUUUUGUAUUGGAUUGAACUUGUCUUGAGGAGGUCCCUACCCGCCCUUAUAUAUUGGGGGAGCAGGGUUACAGGGUAGUUGUUUUACAACAGUACUAGUCGGAUUCGACUACUGAUUACUACUCUAACUAGGAAGAGUAGUUUCCUUGUCCUUGACUAGUCCUCUGGAGUUCCAUGUAGACCACGCCACCCUGUAUCACAGUCUCCAUGUCUUGAUACGUCUCGGUGUACUUCUCCACAUGUGGAUACAUAUGAACCUUCUGGUAGGCCCAUGGAUGUAUGCCCGACAAGCUCCCGAGUACUUUGUAGUCAAAUGCAACAGUCUCAAGUACUUCUGCAGAUGUGGUUCGACUAGUUUCUGGUGCUCUUUAAGUACUUCUGUUGUAACUUAGUCUUUGAGUACUGUCAUGAGGCUGGAAGGUACUCUUAGCCUCAUCUGACAUUGUUUCUGGAAAGUCAGUCUUCAAGUCUGUAUAUGGAAGUGCGAUGAAAAUCGUACUCCAUAUGGAGUAGCCCCCGAGCCUUAGGUUGAAUCGAAGAAUCAGGCUAAGGGUCAAUCUACAUUUGUUCCAUCUUUGUCUUGAUCUUGAAGAAAAAGAAAUUUUCACCCGAUGGGCACGGUAUAUGCAGCCCUCGAGCCGUUACAUGACUAGUUUCGGGAGGUAUAAGGGUCUUUCAAUCUGUUACCAUGACCUUUCAGCUUCUGCCAGUUUGAAAAAAUCUGUCUUGCGCCAAUAAGGCCGUAAUUGCCGCUAAUUAGCGAAAACAUCGGCCCAUUAGCCGUAGAGACUCCUCCGCAGUUAUAGGGGAUAGGGGAAAGUUAUCCCCUACCCUUACGCUGUCAUUUGCAUAUGUUAGCCUAUUCCUCAAAAAACCCUAACUUUUCCUCGAGCGCCGCCGCACACCAUUCGUGAAUCGCCUGCGCUGCUUCCCCACACUUAGUCCCCAAGCGUAUGCGCGUGAAGCGGCUCGUGAAGACCAGGAUGGGGAAGAAGCUUGAGGGUUCCAAGAAGGGGUCCAAGGAGGGUUCCAAUAGAGAGACUUGUAAAGGUGAAUCCAAGAGGGAAACUCCUAGGAAGGGGAAAGAGCCCCAACUGCCGCCACCAAAAUGUGGAGAAACGAACCAGACUGCGCCACCCAAUCAAGCCAUGGUGUGGAAAAGGUCGACGAUGAAGGAGGCGGAGAUCCAGGAGUUGGUCGAUGCCAAGCUGUUGAAAGAUAAAGCGACCUUAGGCUGGAGAUCAUCCUAUAACAACUCAUGGAUGUUCGAGGCACACUCCAAGGAGACGGUAACUUUCACCCAAUUUGUUGAGCGCGGGUUUGCCAUCCCAACUUCUAAUUUCUUCUGGGCCUCCUAGAUUACUACUCUUUUCAACUUGUCCACCUAAACCCAAACAACAUUUUUGCACAUUUUGAUUUUCAUCCACUUGUGCGAGGCCUUUUUGGCGAUCCAGCCCUAUUUCAGUUUGUUCCGCAAGUUGUUUCACCUCAAACCGUAGCCAAGUCAAGAGAACAUGCAAGUCAUUGGAAGGGCCGGCAUUCAAAUCCGUGAGCAGUACUCUGAUAUGUAUUUGGAGUAUAAGCUGGUUGCGUCCCAUGGUGGCUGGAAAGAUAAAUGGUUUUAUGUUGAAGAUCACAAGCCAUCCUUGCCCAAGAUCACUGGACACUGCCCAAAGUAUAGUAGCCGGUGGCUCGACGAGCCGACUACUGCUGAUAGUAUGCAAGUACCCGAUCUGCUAAACAAGAUUGCUGAGUUGAAGAAGAAUGGGCUAACGGGAGUAGUCGUAGCCGCUAGCUUUCUGAAGAGACGGGUAUAGCCAUUGCAACUCCGCCAAACCUGGGGGUAUGAGUACUCUAGGCUUGAUGACCCAUCGAGAAUGUCGGUGGAUGACAUCUCUGAUGAAGAAGUAGCAGUGCGGCUGAGUCGAAUGUUCAAGGAAUUCAACGGCAUGCCCGAAACAAGUGAAGCAAUCAAGGAGUUUGACAACUGGAACAAGCCGAGAGAAGUGAGUACUCGUCGCCCUGUAUCAUUUGAGUACUCGUGUUGUUUAAUUUGUUGUUUCUGACUUAUUUUUCCUUAUGCAGGAGAAUAUACUCAUGUAUUUUUUGCAUCCUCCUCCCCCUGGCGCUGAUGAUGCGAAAGCUGCAAUGCCAACACACUGGGGGCAGUUUCCUGGGGAGUCCUCAGGAGAAGAGGAGGACGAAGAAAGUGAGUCCUUUAGCAGCUCCGAAUCUGAUGAUGUGGAUAAUUUUGUUGUGCAGCCGCGCGCCUCCAAGCAGAGCAAGUCUUCUUCCUGUGCGUGGAGACACCACGGGAUGUUGAUUUGGUGCCGCCGCUAAAGAAACAGCGAAUUGGCGUGCCCAAAAGGCGCACUAGGCACAAUCUUCGCAUUGAUGGUGCGGCCCCACCGGUAAUAACUCUUGCAGAAGGACAAGGCAUCAGGGUGCGAGGUCAUUUGUAGUUGCCUUGUGAAGUCAUGACUACCUAUCUUGAUUCUUUUUUCUUUUUGCAGGCUACCAUUGAAGUAGUCGAGACCGUGGAGGUGGCCACUGAUGAUGUUUUUGGUUUGACGGAGGCAGCUACUCAUAAUGUAACCGAGAUGGAGGUAGCGACCGUUGGCGAUACUGUUGCGGCAGAGAGGGCCACUGGUAGUGUGCCCGUAGCAUCGGAGAUGACUACAUCCCAUGUGACCAUGGAGAUAGGGGUGACUACUGAUGGUGUGGCCGGAGCUUUAGAGGUGGAUAUCAACGAAGAGGUCAGGAUGCCCGAACCAGUUGCCGGUGCCACGCUACCUAAAAUGUUCGUGGGCAGAGAUGAUGUAGCUACUGGUGGUGGUCUUCAGCCCCCUGCUGCGCAGGAGACUCCCACGGGUAGUUCUGAGAACCAAGAUCCGCCACCUGGCCCGGCAAUUGUGCCAGUCCCCACCAUACUGCCAAUACGAUUGGGGGGCAAACCUCCUUUGAUUCCUCGUCGGUCGAGUAGGUGAGUACUCUGGUAUUAUGUUGAGUAGCUAUCUUGCUUUGACUAAUUGAUUCCUGUCGCUUACAGUUUGACUUGUGCAGAGCGUCUUCAAAUGCAGACUUUGGUUCAUCAGGUACUGAUCCGGCAGCUGAUGGAGUGCGCCGCUCAGCUAUGGACCCAGUCUCCGUGCCCAUUAUCGAUUUGACGGAGGAGAGUCCCGCACCAAGGGGACAGCCCGGCGCUACGACUUUGGUGGCUGCUCUUAUGCAGGACGUGAUUGGCUCCCUCCAAGAUGUCACGCUGCCGCAAGCUGAAACUACUACGACUGGCCCGUUGCUCGAGGCUACUUCCAUUGAAGACUUGCCAACUCGAAUGUUCUAGACGCCGUACCCCUCACAGCCACUGAAGGACGGAAAAGGCGACCAGAGGGGGGGGGGUGAAUGGGAGCCUCAAAUAUUUCUUUCAAAAUCCUAGGCCUUUGUCUAAAAAUCAAACCCCAAAUCCUAGCAAGCGGAAGAUGAGAGAUCCACAAGCCAAUUGGUUGGCUGGGUGUCUAUGAUAAUGACCAAAAGACACAGUAGGACUCUCGAGAAGCAAUCGGAAGCAAACUAAAAGGAUUAAGGCAAAAUAGAACGCAAAACACCUUCCAGGUAUUGGAACUUCCGACCUCUUAUCGGAACUUACGAAAGUGGAUUGUCGGAACUUCCGACCCUGUAUCGAAACUUUCGACACCUAUCGGAUGUACCAAGGAACUCCCGACAGAGGUUUUCUGGUUUUCAACAAUUAACCCAUUGGAACUUCAGAUCCUGUGUUGGAACUUCCGACCCAUCGAAACUUCAGACCCAUCAGAACUUUCUACACAGUGUCGGAACUUCCUACAGCUCAAAAAUCAGCCUUCGUGAGGAGAGAAGAAAAUUCCAAAACUUGAUCAAACGACCUCCAAAAAUUAUGAAAUUUGAACCAUAGCAUCACAAGAUAGUAGAGAAGCUACUCCUAAGAAAUCAUCCCUCAAAGAUUUGUCAAACAAUAGGAAUUCCAAAUCUUGUGAAGAACACAACUUUUCACACUUCGAAAGGUUCAACUCACGUCCUAGUUCAUAUCCAAACAACCGGUUUGACUCAAAACCCCCCACAAAACAUGAAUCAAACAAAAACGUGAAGGAAGAAGGUAGGGAAGAAAUAAGAAUGCGAAGCACACAAACGGGAAUCGCAUAAAGUUGUUAUCCCCUAAUACACGGAGGUCACGAGGAGGAUAGGCCCUCCAUUCCCGCAACAAACUUUGGUUCAAUACACGGAUUCGGAGCUCAAAACAUCCGAGGACUUCUAGAGAGAUAAACUAGAGCGAGAGAGAUGAGGCUAAUGAACUACUAAAACCCUAGAUAGAAGAGGUGCUUAGAGAGGUGCUGAAACAACCAGCCCCCCAUCCCUAUUUAUAGUAUCGGACUAGUUACUAAACUACCCCUACAGCUACUACUAGGAUAACUACCCACGCAGGGGCAUUUUGGUCUAAGUUUUUCUGCGCUCAUCGGACGGACACGCCACCUACACGACUUUGCUUUACCUCGACGCAAGCUUCACAAUGAUGCCAUGUUCCUUCCUUGUCGAAGCUCUAGUCGCACCAGGCUCGCCCCCGGUUUUGAGGCCCAAACCGGGAAACCUGCUUGCGCGGUGGUUUUGAGGCCCAAACCACCCAAACCGUCCAUCUUUGCUUGGCCGCCACACGACCUCCUCGAUAUCGACGUGUGUUCAGUCUCCGCCAAGACUUUGACGCCUCCAAGUCUUUUGCUCCUGACUCCCGAGCCGCCUACUUGACUUGCCUCCAUCCCGCUUAACUUAACUGACGCCAUAUCCAUCCGUCAUGUUCUCUUGCCAUUCUAUGCACCAUGUGGACCGCCCAUUACUCUGCCUGGACUCCUCGGGUCCAUCGGUCCAAGCCUACUCGCAUUCAUCCUUCACCACCCUUGGUCCAUCGGCAUGAACCUUUUGCUUGACCUUCACCGCAUUUCGUCGGCCGUCACACCACAUCCUACACCUGCACAUCACAAGCCAAGAGCAACAUCAAUCCAACACAACAUUAUCAAUCACUCAUCAUACAAGGGUGACCACCAUUGGUCCUCAAUCUCCCCCUUGAUGAGUGCAUUGACAACACCCCACAAAUUCAUAGUUUGAAAAAGAAAACAAGAAAUGCAAAAUAGAAAAUCUCAGUCCCCUAAGAUAAGGGCAAUGGCUCUACACGACUAAGAUAAAAUCGUGUGAUCCUUCAAGAAGAGGCAGAAAAUGGGCUCAACACCAAUCACAUGAAAUCCAAACUCAAAUCACAUGCUGGCUCUUCAAGAAGAGGUAAAAAGUUCAACACGAUCGGGACAAGAGAAAAGUUCACAGAGACUCGAAAACUGGCUCCUCAAGAAGAGGUAACAAGCUCAACGUGACCAGCAGAAAGACACAAGAGCAAGCAUAAAAACUCACAGAGACUCCCCCUGAACAAAUGCACUCCCCCUAAAACUAAGGCAUGCGAAAGCAAAGUUCUCCCCCUUGUGAAACUAAAAAAAGGCAAUAAUUUGCAAGAAUUUGUGCAUUUCCAAAUAUCUCCCCCUUGUUGACAAUGCAAUCAUCAAAACGAGCAUGAGAGCACAAAAAGGAUGCAUGAAAUGCAGAAUCUGUCAAGCUUCUCAGAUAUACCACAGAAUACUCUCAAAUGCUAUAAGAGAGAAAACGCUUGGUGGAUCAGAUAGAAGCAAUAACACCGCUAGCAAGAUGAUAUCAUGUGACAGGAGGUGAAGUAGAUGUCAAGUUUUAGUAAUGUAGAAAAAGAUCACCACAUGAGGAAACAUCUAGUCAAGAAUCACCCCAGAAAGAAUAAGCGAGGCCAUCAAGAGCUCAUACUGGGAAGCCACAUUCUCCACAAGAGAUCAUUGAAAACACCCACAUAUGCAUCACAAGUCAUGUCUGAGCUUGUUGAAACCAUGUGCCUGCUUCUUUUUUGGCAGACAUCAUGUAACAACUAAGCAAUCUAGAAUAUGAACAUUAAGCAUAACAACAUGGUGAAUUUAUGAAUUUUUCUUUUCAGCACUAAUCUUUUCAUUAUUCACACAAAGCAAAAUACAUGAAGUGCCUUUGCGGCACAAAGAAGCCAUGCUUCCCCAAGUAGUGCAUCAUGGGCUAAACAUCUGCAAUGAUACCUAGAUCUUUGACCCAAUUAAAAGAGCAUGAAUUCCAAAUAUAAGCUAAAUAUGGAACCAGCAUUCGAACAAGGGCAAAUCAUAACCAAGCAUCUACUCAUGGGUGAUAAGCAAGUUAAUAGAGUAGAAUUUAGCAUUGGAUUUCAAAAAUAGUUAUCUCAACAUGUAUACAAUAUCAUCAAGAGUAUAGCUGCACAUUGCAUCAACCAUUACCUACUAAGGCACUACCUCACAAGUAGCAUAAGAUAAUAAUCAGGGCAUAUAAGAGAAGCUCAUCUAAUGCAAAUAGAUGCAAUAUGAUACAGAUGCAGUGAAAGCCAACCUAGCAUAUUACAAAGAUGCUAAACAAGAAAAAAUGGCUAUACAAAUAUAAUAUAAGAGAAGCUUCAAAACCCAACUCAGAAAGGAAAACAAAUACCCAACUCCCCCUGCAAGCGAGCAAAAGUGGCUUUAUCUAGGGGUUUGGUGAAGAUAUCAGCGAGUUGGUUUUGGGUAGCAACAUAGCCAAGGUCUCCUCUCUCAACAUGAUCUCUCAGAAAAUGAUAUCUCACAUCAAUGUGUUUAGAUUUUGAGUGGAGAACAGGGUUCUUGGCUACACUAAUGGCACUUGUGCUGUCACAAAGAAGAGGUACACGAGUAAUGUCCAAACCAAAGUCUCACAAAGUGGAAAUCAUCCAUAAAAGCUGGGAACAACAACUAGCAGCAACAACAUACUCAACUUCAGUGGUAGACUGAGCAACACUAGACUGUUUGCGAGAAGACCAAGAGACCAAAGACGAACCGAGAAACUAGCAAGUGCCCAAGGUAGACUUGCAAUCCAAUCAACACCCAGCAAAGUCUGCAUCGGAGUAUCCGCAAAGCGUGAGUGUCAAGGAGGCAGAAUACCACAAACUGAAUUCAUGUGUGAAACGGAGAUACCUCGUGAUUCUUUUCACUGUUUGACAGUGAGAUGUCCUCGGUGAAGCCUGAAAAUGAGAGCACAGACACACUGCGAAGUGUAUGUCCAGCCUCGUCACCGUCAGGUACAAGAGGGAGCUGAUCAUGCUCCGGUACUCCUUCUGGUCUACUUGUUCUCCAUCUUCAUUUGCAUCCAGCGCCGUCGUCGUCUCCAUGGAUGUUGAUAGUGGCUUGGCAUCAGCCAUGUCAAACUUCCUCAGCACGUCCUUCGUGUACUUCCCUUGGUCCACGAAGGUUUCAUCCUUGCUCUGCUUGAUUUGUAGCCCGAGGAAGAAAGUCAGCUCACCCAUCAAACAUCUUGAAUUUCCUGCUCAUGUCAUCUGCAAACUUGGCAACCAAAGCAUGAGAGGAACCACCAAAGAUUAUAUCAUCCACGUACAUCUGAAUAACUAACAAGUCUUUGCCUUACCUAAGGAGAAAGAGAGUUUUAUCAACUGACCCCAUUUCAAACCCAUUCCCAAGCAAAAAGGAUUUCAACCUAGCAUACCAUGCUCAGGGUGCUUGUUUUAGGCCAUAAAGUGCUUUUUGGAAUUUGAAAACACGGUCAGGAUACUUAGGACUCUCAAAAUCAGGGGGUUGUUUCACAUACACUUCCUCCUCUAUAAAACCAUUUUGGAAGGUACUUUUUACAUCCAUUUGGAAGAGCUUAAAACCUUUAGCCACAUAAAAGGCUAGAAAAAUUCCAAUCACUUCCAAACGGGCAACAAGGGCAAAGGUUUCUUCAUAAUCUAUUUUUUCUUUUUCUUGCUAAAACAUUGGGCAACCAACCUCGCUUUGUUUCUCACAACCAACCCAUUUUCACCCUGUUUGUUUUUGAAAACCCAUUUUGUUCCUAUAGGGUGGUAAUUUGGAGGUGAUUCAACUAAGACCGAAACCCUGUUUCUCUCAAAGUUUUCUAACUCCUCAUGCAUGGCAUUGACCCAGUUUGAAUCAGAUAAAGCAUGUCCAAUAUCUAGGGGUUCAAAUGUGGCGGAAUCACCUCGGAUUAGCUUGAUUAAGCAGGGUUAAGCCGCCUAAUAUGCGACACUCCUGCCUAAACCGAGUUAAUACGAAGUGCCAUCGGAUUUCAUCCGAUUUAACCACUUAAACAGGAUCGAGUUCAGCAAACCCACACGAAGGUGAGUGGUUACAGAGAAUACAACAAGUCCACUGAGUUGAAGAAGUUUUUAUCCAUUUAGUUCGGCCAUAAAAUCCAACAUCAGAGUUUUACAAGUUUUCCAGAAACAACAGAGAAAAUACUAGCGGAAGACUUCGUCGGGGUCGGACAUCCCUGGUGAGGCCAACCGAGAUAUCACUGGAUCCUCUCCUCGCCGUCCGAGGAAGGAUCCCACUCGACCGUCCAGCCUGGCGGGGGCUGGGGCGGCCAAGCACCAACCAGAGAGGGGUCGGAAGCAGCAACUUCACCUGAAAAACAGGAGCCACAACAAGGCUGAGCUACUAAGCUCAACAAGACUUAACCGAUAGGAGGAAGGGCUACUCCUCCUUCUAGACAUGCAAGCUGUUUGGCUGAGGGGUUUGUUUGCUAAAAGCACUAAGUAACCCUAUUUUUCAAGUUUUAGCUCCGGUUCUAGGUUCAUUUACCAGUCUAGGUUGUGCCACCUAUUCUAAGCAUUCAUAGAGCCAAACAAGAAGUGUAGAUAUAACAACAAACAUUGCCAUCAUCAGAUUCCUCAUUUACUCAGGGUGACAUAGCGAUCAAGCAAUCUCAAACUGUGAGAGGCAGACGAAUCGAUUCGAGUUCUUUAACCAUGCAUGGUGAACCUAGCCUCACGACAUCCGCGCACCCGGAGGUCGCUUCCUGUGUCGGCCUUCCCCAUCAAUCCCCUAACCCGUGUCGGGCCCAUUUCCUUUGGUGCAAGGUUCCACAGACCCGGCCUCUGCCGUUUUGUGACCACGCUUGCCACCACGUGCGACAACCAGUACGGGAAACUCCGUUCCAAGAACAAUGGGGCGACCGCUCACGUCUAGGUUCAAUCCGGUACUAGGCUUCCUCAUCCCAUACUAAGUAUGAGGCUAGUACUUUCAAACACUUGAUCACGAACACCACCACUGUCGGGCCUUAGCAAGAUUUCAUAGACAGACGGGGCAACCAUCCGACCACCAAAAAGUUACCAAAACCCUGCCCCGUCCAUCGUCCUUAUAGUUAUAACAGGAGAGUAACAUACAAAUCCUACAACUCGCGAGUGAUAGGAAAUCACUCGACUUUUACCGUCUCCUAGUUAAGCAAUGCAGCUACUCGGUCCAACAGCUAGUGCUCAGAUCACUGGGAUAACUAAGUCAUGCAUCUAGGGUUUCACACAACUCCUAUACGUAAAUGCACAAGCAUGUUACAGAAGGCAUGCGCAAGUCUGGCAAAACACGUAGGAUUUUCAUGCAACCGGGGCUUGCCUUCAAGCAAGGAGGACGAGAACGGCUCGACUUCGGGGGCGACUUCGGCUUCGGAGGACAGGAGCUCGGCUACAGCUUCUUCUUCUGGCGCCGGGUGAAGCUCGUAGAAGCCGUCGGUGAGGUGCAGCUCUACACGAAUGCAAUGCAAGGGUUAGCAUAGACGGUUAUUUCAACAGCAACAAUGGCUCGCCUGAGCCCAGAAACUUGCGACAAAGAGCAGGAGGUUAUGGUGGUUCGAGAGAGCUGAUGAUGAUGAAGAGGUAAGGGUAGGAAAGGAACUAGUGGUCUGAUCCUUGAACUAGAGGAUGUGAUAACUGGGGGUCCUUAGACGCAAGCGCUGAAGGGUUCCCAAGUUUUACACAUACACCCUCGAGUUGAAGAAAAAGAUCACAGCCAAGCCCUCGGGCGAGGCGGACAAGGGUCAGCGGAACAGAUAGGGUCGGGCGAGACGGAACCGGGGUCGGGCGGAUAGGAGGGGUCGGGCGAGGCGGACUGGGGUCGGCAACUCACCUUCUUCCUGAAAGGAAAGCUUGGGGUCGGAAAGAAGCGAACUUUGGGGCGGAGGGACUUCGGUUUGAACAGAAGCUAAGACCGGCAAUGCUCCGGCGGUGGCGCUGCUUCUUGCGGAUCACAAGAGAGCUUUUACGCAGCACGGAGGAGCAAGCUGCUGGGUGACUUGGAGGAAACUGAGAGAGAACUCCUCAAGAACUAGGUGGGUGGCGCUAGGAGCUUGAGCAGGGAGCUAGAGAAGGCUGAAGGUAACAAGGGCGGAGGAAACUCCGGCGACGGGGCAUUCCUUUUAUAGCUGCUGGAGCAGGGGAACGGAAACGGCGCGGAGAGAGGGAAGGGAAGCGGCGCGAAGGCCGGGGAGAGGCAAUGGAGUGCUCUGCCGGGGUGGCGAUUGAGCGAAGAGGGCGGUGGUGCAGAACUCCGGGGGUGACGCCAGCGAUCAUUGCGUUCUGCCGUCAGGGCGGCGUAGGAGCGGGUAGACUGGUGGUUGAGAUUUGGCGGAAAGCGGGCGUCGUCGUGCGGAAGAUUUGAUAGAAGCGACCGGCUUAACGGCGCUAGAAUCGAGGGUGCACGGUGAGAAGACAGGCGGACGCGGGCGCGGGGGAGAGCGCGGAACAACAGAUUGUCGGGCGGCUUCUGACAGAGCGGGGGAAAGGAACUGUCGCGGCCGCGGUCGGGGUUGGCGGUGGAGGAAUCAUCGUGUAGCGGCGACCAGGCGGCGCGACUGUGGCUGAAGGGACGGAAAAGACGGGCGACAUCAGGCUCUGGGGCCGGGAUCUGGCGGCGUGAUGAUGGGCGCGGGCGGCGAGGCUCUGCAGAAGGGGUGCAGAGGGCUUCCGCUGCCAUUGGAGAAAGGGGGGGCGCGGGAACCCACUCGGUCGCUGGCCAGAGACAAAACUGAGCGGCAGGCGUCGGAGAAGAUGAGCCACGCGUCAGGAAGACUCUGAAGCAGCCAUGCAACUCGAGUGCGGCGGUCGCGGGGGAUCUGGAAAAGAUCUCACGGGUCCAUCGGUGGAUAGAUCGGAUGGUUGAGGAAGAUUAGCAGAAUCCGACGGUGGGCUGAGCUCGCCGGGGUCGGGAGAGGAGCGAAGCGGGAAGGGGUCGGAUCUCAGGGGUCGGGACCAGCGGAUAGCUGAGCACUUAGGCGCGGUCAAGCAAGACAGAUGGCUAGGAUCAAGGGCUCUGAUCAAGACUAACUCGGGAAGGUUUAGGGGUCGGUCGUUACAGCCUACCCCUCUUAAAAAGAAUCUCGUCCCGAGAUUCAGAGAUCAAGGGGGUGUGUUGUCCUUACCUCCUUGAGGGGAUAGAAAACCUGGAAAACGCUUGCUCAGAUAUUCGUCCGUUUCCCAUGUUGCUUCAUACUCGGUGUGGUUUCUCCAGAGGAUCUUGUACAUCUUUACCACUUGGCGUCGGGUGUGCCUUUCGUUUUGGUCAAGAACUCGAUCUGGGUACUCGGCGUAGGUCAGGUCGGGCUCUACCUGAAGCUGUCCUUGCUCUAAGAUCUCUGCUGGAACUCGAACACAUUUCUUCAGUUGAGACACAUGAAAAACAUCGUGUAUUGCCGACACCCGCUCUGGGAGUUGGAUCCGGUAAGCAACGGGUCCACAUAUCUCCACAAUCUCAUAAGGGCCAAUAUAGCGGGGAGCUAACUUGCCUUUUACUCCAAACCGUUGCACUCCUUUGGUCGGGGAGACUCGAAGGUACACAUGCUCACCAAGGUCGAACUGCAGGGGUCUUCUCCGCUGAUCGGAGUAACUCUUCUGUCGAGAUUGGGCCGCCUUGAGAUUUGCUCGAAUUACCUUCACUUGCUCUUCGGCUUCUGCCACUAAGUCAGGGCCAUAGACCUGUCUUUCCCCUGGUUGGGACCAGUUCAGGGGUGUCCUGCAUCUUCAGCCAUACAGGGCCUCAAACGGUGCCAUCUUCAAACUGGCCUGGUAGCUGUUAUUGUAGGAGAAUUCUGCCAAGGGCAGACACUUGUCCCAGUUUUUAUCAUAGUGGAUAACACAAGCUCUUAACAUGUCUUCAAGAAUCUGGUUGACUCUCUCGGUUUGGCCAUCGGUUUGAGGAUGAUAUGUUGAGCUUCGGAUGAGCUUGGUGCCCAUAGAUGCUUGUAGCUGCUCCCAAAAACGUGCCACAAACUGAACUCCUCGAUCAGAAACGAUAGUCUUGGGUACACCAUGUAGGGAAACUAUACGGUUGAGGUACAAUUCUGCAUACUGCUUGACUGUGUAGGUGGUGCGAACCGGAAGGAAAUGUGCUGUCUUGGUCAGACGGUCCACUAUAACCCAGAUGGAAUCAUAUCGUUGUGUUGUAAGGGGUAAUCCAACUAUGAAGUCCAUGCUGAUGUCUUCCCACUUCCAAGAGGGAAUAGGUAGCGGCUGCAAGGUUCCUGCUACCUUCAAAUGACUGGCCUUGACACGUUGACAGGUGUCACAUUCUGAAACAUACCGAGCUAUCUCCGGCUUCAUUCCACUCCACCAAAAGGUUUGAUGGAGAUCAUGGUACAUCUUAUUGCUGCCAGGAUGGAUCGAGAACUUGGAGAGAUGAGCUUCAUCUAGGAUUUGCUUCCUCAACUCGGGGUCGGCGGGUACUACUAGCCGGUUUCCAUAAUACACACCUCCCGUUUUGUCCUGACGGAAAUGCUUAUAUCCCUUAUCCUCUACUGAGAUCUUACCGAUGAUCCGUUGUACUUCCGUAUCUCUUACUUGUGCUGACCGGAUUCGGUCUUCCAAAACUGAGUCAAGGAUGAUGUGACCAAGGGUUCCAUGAGGAAUAAUCUCCAGACUCAGUUUUCCCAUCUCGUGACACAGAGUCCUGGUGAAGGCUGUUGACAACUAGCAGUCGCAACGGGGUUUGCGGCUGAGGGCAUCGGCUACCACAUUGGCUUUGCCAGGAUGAUAGUGCACUUCCAAUUCAUAAUCCUUUAUCAACUCUAGCCAUCUUCUUUGAUGCAUGUUGAGGUCGGUCUGAGUGAAGAUGUACUUGAGGCUCUUGUGGUCGGUGUAGAUGUUGCAGUGAGCUCCCAUUAGGUAGUGCCUCCAUAUCUUCAAGGCAUGUAUUACUGCUGCCAACUCAAGGUCAUGUGUCGGGUAGCUUAGCUCAUGAGGUCGUAACGCACGUGAGGCAUAGGCAAUGACUCGAGUGUCUUGCAUGAGAACACAUCCGAGUCCAGUACCAGAGGCGUCACAGUAUACGUCAUAUGGCCUAGAGGGGUCGGGCUGAGCCAAAACUGGGGCGGUGGUCAGCAAGUGCUUCAGGGUCUUGAAGGCCUCUUCACACUUGGUGUCCCACACAAAUUUGACCUCUUUCUUCAGCAACUCGGUCAUCGGCUUAGCUAUCUUGGAGAAAUCCGGUAUGAAACGCCGAUAGUAACCUGCCAAUCCAAGGAAACUCCUGAUCUGGUGUACUGAGGCAGGAGACUUCCAUUCCAUGACUUCUUGCACCUUACUGGGAUCCACGGCGAUACCAUCCUUGGAGAUAGUGUGUCCCAAAAACUUGACACUAUCUAACCAAAACUCACACUUGGAGAACUUGGCAUAGAGCUGGUGAUUUCUCAGCCGUUGGAGAACUAUAUGAAGAUGGUCGGCAUGCUCUUCCUCGUUCUUCGAGUACACUAGGAUAUCAUCAAUGAACACCACUACAAACUUGUCCAGCUCGGGCAUAAACACCGAGUUCAUAAGGUACAUAAAAUAGGCGGGUGCAUUGGUGAGUCCAAAGGACAUGACUAGGUACUCGUACAGUCCAUAUCUGGUAGAGAAAGCUGUCUUGGGUAUGUCGCAGGGUCGAAUCUUUAUUUGGUGAUAACCAGAACGAAGAUCGAUCUUGGAGAACACUUUUGCUCCGGCUAACUGAUCGAACAAGACAUCAAUGCGUGGCAGCGGGUACUUGUUCUUGACUGUCACAGCAUUGAGGGGUCGGUAAUCCACACACAUACGUAGACUGCCAUCUUUCUUCUUUACAAACAGGGCGGGGCAACCCCAAGAUGAUGUACUGGGUCGAAUGAAGCCCUUUUCCAGCAGAUCAUGCAACUGGGUCUUCAACACGGCUAACUCAGCGGGUGGCAUCCGAUAGGUCUCUUAGAUAUCGGGGCUGUGCCAGGAAUCAACUCUAUGGAAAACUCCACUUCUCUAUCAGGUGGCAUACCCGGCAAAUCUUCUGAAAACACAUCAGGGUACUCACAGAUAACAGGGAGGUCUUCUAGACGGGCUCCCAAGAGAGGGUAGGCACAAGGAAGCGAAGACUCAGGAUGGAUCAAAGAUACGGUAGAACUACCACGGGAGGGUGAGUGAUGUAGAGAGAUCGGGCUGAUGCAUCUAGAACCACUUGAUGUCGGGCCAUCCAGUCCAUACCAAGGAUGACAUCUAUGCCUUCUAGGUCAAGGAUGAUAAGGUUUUCCUUGAAGAGGGUGGGACCUAGCUGGAGAGGUACAAGAAUAACGACCUGAUCCGACGUUAUCCUUCCUCCAGGGGUGGCGAUCACAUAGGGUUCCUUAGUGUGACCGACACUUAGCCCACAUCUUUCCCUUGCCUUACUCCCGAUAAAGCUAUGAGAGGCUCCCGAAUCAAACAACACAACAACAGCUUGAUUUAAAACAAGGAAAGUACCUGUCAUUACUGGCGCACCUUCGGGGAGCUCGGUCAAGCUGGUGUAGUUGAGUCGGCCUUGUCGGACUUGCACCUUGGGCCUUCUUCCUCUGGCUGCCAUGGGGUUCUGACCUUGCUAUUGAUUCUUGUUCCUGGGGCAGUCCUUUGCAAAAUGUCCUUCAUUGCCGCAGGUGAAACAACGAUUACUGGCCGCCGGGCGAGGUGGCGUUGGCAGGGUCGGCCGGGGCACUUGCGGUUGGAAGCCUGGAAAACGAGGCAUUGUUGCCGGCGGGGGUCGGGCGAUCCAUUUCCCUGACUGCUGGGGUCGGCCAGGGGCUUGUGGAGGAACCAUCCGGAACCUUCUAGUCGCCGGACUCGGAAAUGCCACAGAGGCUUUCCUCUUCUGGUCGGCCUUGAGGGCUUGUAUGCAGUCCUCUUGAGAGAUGGCCAGGUUGACCAACUCGUUGUAGGUGUCCACCUUGAUGGGGUUCAACCUCUCCCUGAGCUCCAAGCUCAGUCCUCGGCGGAAUCUGUCCCGCUUCUUCUCGUCUGUGUCCGCAUGAUAGCCAGCAUAACGGCAUAGAUCAUUGAAAGCUUGGGCGUAAUGCAGCACAUCCCGAGUUCCUUGUGUGAGGGCCAGAAACUCAUUGAGCUUACGCUCCAGGAGACCGUCGGGAAUGUGAUGCGCUUUGAACGCCGUCUUAAACUCGUUCCAACUGACCACGUGGCCAGCCGGCAGCAUGGCAUGGUAGUGGUCCCACCAAAGCCAUGCGGAACCCCGCAGCUGCUGAGCUGCAAACCGCGCCUUGUUGUUGUCGGGGCAUGGAGCGGUGAGGAGCUCGAACUUGGAUUCGAUCGUACGAACCCAUGCGUCAGCAUCGAGCGGUUCUUGUGUCUUUUGGAACAGCGGGGGCUGUGUCCCCAGAAAGUCCUCAUACCGUGCGAUAUGCGGCUGCUGCUGAGCUCUUCCACCCUGUGGCGGUUGCUGUUGUUGUCCUUGUACCAGAUGCCUUAGCAGCUCAGUUUGAGUUGCUAGGAUUGCCUCCAAUGGCGAUGGGGGCGGGGGCGGGGGAAGAUCCUAUCGCUGAUCACUACCACUGGGCCCAGAACUAGACCUAGUGCGGUGCGCCAUCUGCAAGAGUUAACGCCCCAUUAAUUUCAUAACCUUAGGUAUACUCCAACAAAUGGAACGUAUGGAUUAAUUCCCUAAUUGCGACUCUUGCCAAUGGUGCAUCAUACGUCCUCAUAGAGAAAGCACCUUCCUCUCAUUCUCAGCAUAGAUAACCUCUACCUGACCUGGUACUCCACUUCAGGCAACACCUGCCACAUACAGACUCCUACGAUCUGAUCCACUCAACCCAAGGGGUCGGACACGGUCCGUACUUGGAAAGGGUCGGACGAGGCGAAAACUGCCUCAAAGGGUCGGCGCACUCGGCCUCACAAACUGGGGUCGGCCAACUGAACAGAUCCUCAGAACACAGCAUAUGGUCACGGCACAACUUACUCACCUAGUAUCCACGCCAUACAAAGAUGGGAAAGCUAUGCACCAGGGUUAACUUUAUAUACAACGGUGUUUCAACACAGGGAGCACUCAACUCGAGGCUAACCUAUUACAACUUUUCCAAAAUCUAGGCUGCCAAGGAGUUCAACAAAAAGGUGGUUCCCUGAGAACUCUUAAUCUACCAAUGGACACUAUGAGUCGGAGAAGGGGCGCCAUCUUCCUCUAUGUCCAUGCUGGACGCUCCUUCAUCUUCCUCAGGGUCCUUCUGAGCUUCGAGCUGCAUGUUGAGGGCAUGCAUAUCUUUGAGCUCGGCUUGGUGCUCCUCCAGGUGGGCAUUGGCAACUGCCAACUCCAUUUCCACCUCCAUCUUUUCCUCCGAGAGCUCUAUCAUGCCGUCCACGAGGUCGGCGACUUCUCCUUCUAGCUCGGAGAUCCGAUCUUGCAUAUCGUGGAUCUGGAUACCACGUUGGAUCAGCUGGUAGGUUUGGCCUACCAUAUCUCUUCUUGCUGCCUGGAGGUAACCGUGGGUAUUUGCUGCCGUACAGGCGAAAAGGGUCAUGGCUCGCCCUUGAAGCUCUAUCAACCGGUAGAGAGCGGCCAUGCACCGGAUGUUGGUGGAGAUGGUGACCAUGGCGCAGGUGGUGGCUAACACCUCGAUGUUCCCGACGCGGUCAAGCCAUGCCGGGUCCAACCGGUUCCUGACGGGGAAGAGGCCGAUCGGGUCCAGCGUGAUCUCCACAGGAUGCAGCUGACAGAACUGGGUGAGCAACUGAAGGGCGGCGGACUCCCAUGUAUCUUCCGGAGCGAGACCAUAGGCUAUUAUGCCAAGAGAGGGCCAGUCGGGCCGUGCAAGGGGAGGUGGUACCAACGCUUGCACUUGGCACGUCUGAAUGCCCUGUUCCAGAUAUAACCGCCCGGCAUACAAGGGCGGGGACUGGUAUCCAAACCACUUCAGCGUAUCCCACAGAAUCGCGGGAAACCCCUCGAAAUGCAGGCACAUCGAUUGGAAGGUACCGUCCGCUCCAAAAACAACAUGUCCGGGAACAGCCAUCUGGAACCAAGAAAACCGAAAACCACGUGAGAUAGAUUCCAAAGGUCAGGGGUCGGAUAGAGAAGCAUACGGUUUUUAACCGAGAGCAACUAAGAGAAACUAGAAAUCCUUAGAUCCAGAAGAACUCUUUCGAACAGGGUUGCUGUUGAGAAAGGAAACCGUACAACCUUUUAGAUAUGACGCAUGCACGGCCUACCUUACUCUUAACCAAGAACAACUGCCCAAACUCGGGUCUUACGCGGUCAGUGCCGGUGACAAGGCAACAAUACGUCUCUCCCUAUAAUAACUAGUCGGUUCUAGUAACGUCUCCUAUACGAACGCGGUUAGCAACCUGCAGAAAACACCACACACGAACCUUUCGUGCCAGCACCCACGAAAGCGUUCCCAAACAUUACCGCUCACUAUAGGAACGGCACCCAUGCGUUUAAGGCUGCAUGGACAGCACUCAACCGUGGAAAUAGGUCCCUUUUGAAUGGAACCACCCUUCGCAUACUCGCGAUGCGGGAUCGGCGCACGUAUGACAAACGUGGCGAAACAACCGUGCUGAUAGGUUCGUUGGAAUCGAACCGGACCAACCUUUGUAUGGAACACAUACGGAACCUGCGCACGUGUAAUAAACGUGGGCGAAAACAACCGCGAAGAUAGGGUCCUUUGAAUGGAGCUCCCUAUCAACCCUCGCAUGCUCGCGAUGCGGAACUCGGCACACGUAUGAUAGACGUGGCAAAGUGCUGGAAGGGUUAGCAACAUAACCAAUUACUUAUUAGUCACCUAAAACAACCCCAAAAUCCCUUAGGGCCUCUCGCACUAAGCCAUCCUUAACGAUCGUACGAGAUUUUGUUUUUUUUUCAAAGGUUUCUUGUAACUUUUAUCCUUUUCAAAGAAGUGUUUAGGGCUGGUUGGGUUCUCUGAAAUGCUAAACACGGCUCUGAUACCAGCUGUGGCGGAACCACCUCGGAUUAGCUUGAUUAAGCAGGGUUAAGCCGCCUAAUAUGCGACACUCCUGCCUAAACCGAGUUAAUACGAAGUGCCGUCGGAUUUCAUCUGAUUUAACCACUUAAACAGGAUCGAGUUCAGCAAACCCACACGAAGUUGAGUGGUUACAGAGAAUACAACAAGUCCACUGAGUUGAACAAGUUUUUAUCCAUUUAGUUCGGCCAUAAAAUCCAACAUCAGAGUUUUACAAGUUUUCCAGAAACAACAGAGAAAAUACUAGCGGAAGACUUCGUCGGGGUCGGACAUCCCUGGUGAGGCCAACCGAGAUAUCACUGGAUCCUCUCCUCGCCGUCCGAGGAAGGAUCCCACUCGACCGUCCAGCCUGGCGGGGGCUGGGGUGGCCAAGCACCAACCAGAGAGGGGUCGGAAGCAGCAACUUCACCUGUAAAACAGGAGCCACAACAAGGCUGAGCUACUAAGCUCAACAAGACUUAACCGAUAGGAGGAAGGGCUACUCCUUCUUCUAGACAUGCAAGCUGUUUGGCUGAGGGGUUUGUUUGCCAAAAGCACUAAGUAACCCUAUUUUUCAAGUUUUAGCUCCGGUUCUAGGUUCAUUUACCAGUCUAGGUUGUGCCACCUAUUCUAAGCAUUCAUAGAGCCAAACAAGAAGUGUAGAUAUAACAACAAACAUUGCCAUCAUCAGAUUCCUCAUUUACUCAGGGUGACAUAGCGAUCAAGCAAUCUGAAACUGUGAGAGGCAGACGAAUCGAUUCGAGUUCUUUAACCAUGCAUGGUGAACCUAGCCUCACGACAUCCGCGCACCCGGAGGUCGCUUCCUGUGUCGGCCUUCCCCAUCAAUCCCCUAACCCGUGUCGGGCCCAUUUCCUUUGGUGCAAGGUUCCACAGACCCGGCCUCUGCCAUUCUGUGACCACGCUUGCCACCACGUGCGACAACCAGUAGGGGAAACUCCGUUCCAAGAACAAUGGGGUGACCGCUCACGUCUAGGUUCAAUCCGGUACUAGGCUUCCUCAUCCCAUACUAAGUAUGAGGCUAGUACUUUCAAACACUUGAUCACGAACACCACCACUGUCGGGCCUUAGCAAGAUUUCAUAGACAGACGGGGCAACCAUCCGACCACCAAAAAGUUACCAAAACCCUGCCCCGUCCAUCGUCCUUAUAGUUAUAACAGGAGAGUAAACAUACAAAUCCUACAACUUGCGAGUGACAGGAAAUCACUCGACUUUUACCGUCUCCUAGUUAAGCAAUGCAGCUACUCGGUCCAACAGCUAGUGCUCAGAUCACUGGAAUAACUAAGUCAUGCAUCUAUGGUUUCACACAACUCCUAUACGUAAAUGCACAAGCAUGUUACAGAAGGCAUGCGCAAGUCUGGCAAAACACGUAGGAUUUUCAUGCAACCGGGGCUUGCCUUCAAGCAAGGAGGACGAGAACGGCUCGACUUCGGGGGCGACUUCGGCUUCGGAGGACAGGAGCUCGGCUACAGCUUCUUCUUCUGGCGCCGGGUGAAGCUCGUAGAAGCCGUCGGCGAGGUGCAGCUCUACACGAAUGCAAUGCAAGGGUUAGCAUAGACGGUUAUUUCAACAGCAACAAUGGCUCGCCUGAGACCAGAAACUUGCGACAAAGAGUAGGAGGUUAUGGUGGUUCGAGAGAGCUGAUGAUGAUCAAGAGGUAAGGGUAGGAAAGGAACUAGUGGUCUGAUCCUUGAACUAGAGGAUGUGAUAACUGGGGGUCCUUAGACGCAAGCGCUGAAGGGUUCCCAAGUUUUACACAUACACCCUCGAGUUGAAGAAAAAGAUCACAGCCAAGCCCUCGGGCGAGGCGGACAAGGGUCGGCGGAACAGAUAGGGUCGGGCGAGACGGAACCGGGGUCGGGCGGAUAGGAGGGGUCGGGCGAGGCGGACUGGGGUCGGCAACUCACCUUCUUCCUGAAAGGAAAGCUUGGGGUCAGAAAGAAGCGAACUUUGGGGCGGAGGGACUUCGGUUUGAACAGAAGCUAAGACCGGCAAUGCUCCGGCGGUGGCGCUGCUUCUUGCAGAUCACAAGAGAGCUUUUACGCAGCACGGAGGAGCAAGCUGCUGGGUGACUUGGAGGAAACUGAGAGAGAACGCCUCAAGAACUAGGUGGGUGGCGCUAGGAGCUUGAGCAGGGAGCUAGAGAAGGCUGAAGGUAACAAGGGCGGAGGAAACUCCGGCGACGGGGCAUUCCUUUUAUAGCUGCUGGAGCAGGGGAACGGAAACGGCGCGGAGAGAGGGAAGGGAAGCGGCGCGAAGGCCGGGGAGAGGUAAUGGAGUGCUCUGCCGGGGCGGCGAUUGAGCGAAGUGGGCGGUGGUGCAGAACUCCGGGGGUGACGCCAGCGAUCAUUGCGUUCUGCCGUCAGGGCGGCGUAGGAGCGGGUAGACUGGUGGUUCAGAUUUGGCGGAAAGCGGGCGUCGUCGUGCGGAAGAUUUGAUAGAAGCGACCGGCUUAACGGCGCUAGAAUCGAGGGUGCACGGUGAGAAGACAGGCGGACGCGGGCGCGGGGGAGAGCGCGGAACAACAGAUUGUCAGGCGGCUUUUGACAGAGCAGGGGAAAGGAACUGUCGCGGCCGCGGUCGGGGUUGGCGGUGGAGGAAUCAUCGUGUAGCGGCGACCAGGCGGCGCGACUGUGGCUGAAGGGACGGAAAAGACGGGCGACAUCGGGCUCUGGGGCCGGGAUCUGGCGGCGUGAUGAUGGGCGCGGGCGGCGAGGCUCUGCAGAAGGGGUGCAGAGGGCUUCCGCUGCCAUUGGAGAAAGGGGGGGCGCAGGAACCCACUCGGUCGCUGGCCAGAGACAAAACUGAGCGGCAGGCGUCGGAGAAGACGAGCCACGCGUCAGGAUGACUCUGAAGCAGCCAUGCAACUCGAGUGCGGCGGUCGCGGGGGAUCUGGAAAAGAUCUCACGGGUCCACCGGUGGAUAGAUUGGAUGGUUGAGGAAGAUUAGCAGAAUCCGACGGUGGGCUGAGCUCGCCGGGGUCGGGAGAGGAGCGAAGCGGGAAGGGGUCGGAUCUCAGGGGUCGGGACCAGCGGAUAGCUGAGCACUUAGGCGCGGUCAAGCAAGACAGAUGGCUAGGAUCAAGGGCUCUGAUCAAGACUAACUCGGGAAGGUUUAGGGGUCGGUCGUUACAUCAAAAGAGGCAACAAAUGCAGAAUGUGCAAAGUGUGAAAUCGGCCUAGAGCUGUGCCAAGUGGUGUGCUCAUGCAAGUUACCGAUCAUCUGUUGUGGAGGAUGGUUACACUGAAUGUGUCCUGGAGCCUCUCAUUCUGAAGUCACUUCCCCCUCAACAGCAGCUGGCUCACUCUGAUCUUCUUCAUCAUCAUCUUGUUGUGGUACAUGUUGAUGGUUUGAAGUAGUGGAAGUAGUGGUAGGGCCAUCAACUCUCGUAGUCAAAGUAGAAGCUACACGAGUGGCUGUCAGGGAUAGAUCCCCAGUACCCGCAAGGAAGGAAGAAGUUGGACUCCUUCUAGGAUUCCCCUAUAAUCCGACUAGGACUAGUCCCGUGUACUCCUACUACGACUCCUUUUUGUAAUCCGAUUAGUACUCUUGCCCCCUGGAGUAUAUAAAGGAGGGUAGGGGUACAUAGAUCGGAAAGGCACAACGUGAGGGUAAAUCCUCAUACCUCAACACCCAAGUGCAGGGCGCAAUAUACAACACCCAAACAGGAUGUAGGGACGCUACUCUAGCAGCCUGAACCUGUAUAAAUCCGUGUCUUGUGUCCUCGCUUUUACCUUCGGGUUCCAGAUCCGGCGAUCCCCCAUUGACAAAUAGACUACCUCGAGUACCCCCUUGGUAGGCUGCCGGUAUAAAACACCGACAUCUAGCACCCACUGUGGGGCUGAUCGUCGAGAUCAUCGGGCGAGCUUGAAGGACCUCAUCUACUAAAUCAAUCUAUUAGCAUGGCUUUCUCCACUACGCCGACUUGUCGAGGUGAUGGCUCAGCAGUUCAAGACAAAAUCGGCUUCGAGUCCGAGGCGGAGAGGAUUACCUGCGCCAAUCGAUGAUGACUCAAAGUAGCAGUUAUUUCUUGCAUCUGCUUGGGCUACGGCCAUCAACAAGUAGCAGCACUGCAUAAAAAAAUCUCAGGAAGAUGCUGCGCCAUCGGCAGGAAGCCAACAACACACUCUUCGAGAUGGAAUAGAGAGCAUCAAGCUGCUGCAAGCGGGUCAGCUGCACGUAGGUCAAGGUGGAGGAUUCAUCGACUCCAUAAUCGAGUCGAAGUCAGGAUGUCAUGAUGCUUGGAGCCUUUGACAGAUAGUUGCGCCCAUGCGGCUCAUCCUUCUCCGGUUGAAAAUAAAAUUUGGUGGAAUUCAACUAUGCGCACCAAAAGUUCUACCAAAAAAGCAACAAAUCUUUGCUUAAUGUACACAGAAGAUGCGCAUGAGCUUUACUAAACCAAUGCCCAGUCGCAUCGACUCACCGACGACUUCUCCAACUACGUCGCGGUGCUCGCCAACGACUUCUUCGACUACAUCAUGGCGCUCACCAACGACUACUCCGACUACGUCAUGACACUCACUGAUGACUACUUCGCGAGGGCGCUUGGCGACCCGCCGAUGACAACAUUGACCUUCCGUCUUGACAAGAAAACUAGUCAAGGAUGGGUUCUACAUGAUCAACAAUUAGUCGGAAUCGACUCUAACUAGUUGACUUCAUCAACAAUCGACAAGACUGAUCUGCCGCCUUGCCGACGACUACUCUAAUGGAUGACACACCGGCGACUACACCGACUACGUCACGAUGAUCGCCGAUGACUACUUCGACUACUCGUCUCAUCUACCUACUAGUCGAGGACGACUACCUUGACGGGUGACUCGCCGCUGACUGCUCCGACUACAUUGCAACGCUCGCCGACGACUACUUCGACUCCUCGUCUCGACUAGAAAAUUAGUCGGGACGAACUUCAUACGGCCGACAGCUAGUCAGAAUCGACUUCAACUAGUCAGCUUCAUCCACAACUGUCGCGGCUUCAUCGACGAUCACCACAGCUUCAUCGAUAAUCCUCCACGAAUCAAGCUAAGUCACUUUUCUAAUUAUUUUUCGGCUUGUUUUCCGCAUGCGCGCAACACGCGCUCUACUCGCCGGAAACUCUUGCGCACAACAUGCGCUCUGCUCACCGGAGGGCAGCUAACUCUUGUGCACAACACGCACUUUACUCGACUUCUCAUUUUUGUCUUCACUUAAGGUCACUACUCUUCUCGAGCAGAACACGCCUUAACUCGUGAAAGCCUCGGGUGCACCUGCGACGCCAAAUGCUAGCAGACAUACAUGAGACCAAGCUCUCAGCUGUUCACACAGUAGUGCCCAUACGCAUACACGAGACAAAGCUCUCGCACAUGCAGCGGCUACGGCUAAACGGGGACUAAGAGACUGAAACAUAAUAGGCUAACUACUCGAGAAGAGUAUGACUGAAAUAAGAGCAUGACACACAAUAUUUAUAUUGAUCACUAAAUAAAUUUCAGCAGCUUCAAUAUCCUACAAAAAUGCUACAUAAUAUAUGCAUCUUUUCUUUCAGAUCAAGCUUCGGCGACGAUGCUCCAGGACGCUAAGCGUACCUCCAAAAGCGCAGACUAGUUCCCGAACUCAGGGGCUAAGCACCAAUCACUACUCGGAGUAUCUCCAAAAUGGCUCGGCUACCUUCCAAGCUCGGGGGCUGAACACCGCAAAACUACUCGACGUGGCUCCUUCGGCUCACCUGGCGCAUAAGCUCGGGGCCUUAAUGCCGCAAGACUACUCGGAUGAUGACUUGAGUGAAGAUUCAAGAUCCUUAAAUUGAUUACUCAAUCAAUUCAAGGCUCAAGGGCUGAUAAGCUACACCCAAGACUUUUUUAAGCCGAAAGAAGAAGAUUCAAGAUUUUGACCCUCAACCUAAUUCUACGAAUCAACCUAAGACUCGGGGGUUACUACAUAUGGAGUGCGACUUUCGCUGCCCUCCAUAUAUGAAGACUAUAAUAUCAAGAUGAUCAAGGCUUUGAGCACACCAUAGCGUCAUGGCAGCUUCGAGAAACUUUGAAGAUUCAACCAAGACAAAGUACUCGAAGAGCACCAAAACUACUCGGCAAGGAUCUUAAAACUACUUGAAGACUGCUGCACGACUAUGAAACGCUCGGGGGCUUGUCGGGGAUAGAUCUCCAUUACCCGUAAGGAAGGAAGAAGUUGGACUCCUACUAGGAUUCCCUUGUAAUCCGACUAGGACUAGUCCCGUAUACUCCUACUAGGACUCCUCCUUGUAAUCCGACUAGUACUCUUGCCCCCUGGAGUAUAUAAAGGAGGGCAGGGGUACCUAGAUCGGCAAGGCACAACAUGAGGGCAAAUCCUCAUACCUCAACACCCAAGCGCAGGGCGCAAUAUACAACACCCAAACAGGAUGUAGGGACGCUACUCUAGCGGCCUGAACUUGUAUAAAUCCAUGUCUUGUGUCCUCACUUUUACCUUUGGGUUCCAGAUUCAGCGAUCCCCCAUCGACAAAUAGCUGCAGCACGGUCAAUCUCAUCAUCUUCUUCAUCACCACUAGCACCUCGCUCGUCCUCUUCCUCAAAGAUGCUCUGUCCUAUCUCAUGUUCACCUGCAGCUUCAAAGACAGGGGUUGUGCAAGGCAUAGUUUCAUCUAAAAUAAUCUCACAAGUUUCCACGAUCUGGCUAGUUUCAAGGUUAAGCACAUGAUAAGCAUGACUAUGAGAAGCAUAUCCAAGAAAAAUGCCACCCGUGGAACGAGACUCAAACUUGUCCAAAUUCCCUUGCUUGAGAAUGAAACACUUGUAGCCAAACACCCUCAGGUGACUCACUUUGGGGGAACGUCGAUGCAUCAGCUCAUAAGAAGUUUUCUUCAGGAAAGCUCGCAAGAAGAUUCGAUUGGAAAUAUAGCAAGUAGUAUUAACGGCUUCGGUCCAAUAUUUUCUAAGAGUCCUAUGCUCAUCAAGCAUCGUCCUAGCCAUUUCACAAAAGGUCCGAUUCUUCUGUUCAACAACACCAUUCUGAGGAGGGACAUAAGGCGAUGAAAGCUGGUGUUCAAGACCAAGAUCGCCUCAAGAGUCUAAAAUCCGUGAAGCCCCAUGCUUGAAACGAAACUCAAAGCCAUCAUCAAGGAGUUGCGAAACCGAGAGAAAAUUGAAAUCGAGAGAGUCAAUAAGAGCAACUCGCUUGAGCAUGAAAGUCUCACUCACCUUGAUGGCACCCUCAGACAAUACCUUACCCAUGCUAUUAUCCUCGAAAGUGAUGUACUCCCUAGUCAUCACUAGGGUGAGGCAGGAGAACCAUCUAUGAUCACCGGUCAUGUGUCGAGAGUAACCGGAAUCAAUAAGCCACAUGUUCUCCAGGCCUCCGACCUACUCAAAUGAAAGGAGACCAAGAAUGAGCAAAUGUUUCAACACUAGGGUUAGUGAAGCAAGUAGAGUACCAAUGUCGAACCAUUUGCUCAAGUGGGGUUAGCAAAAUCAACCAUCUCUCAUCUCACUGGAGGACUAUGGCCACCACGAGAGGGAAACGUGGUCCAUUGUACAUCUGAGACUCAAAGCCACGAUAAUGUUGUCCUAAGUCAUAUUGAACAUGAUGAGGAGCAUGCCUGGCAAAACUACGAGAAGGAGCUGAACACACACUAUCCACAAGACGAGGUGGAGGAGCUGCCCUAGGCGCAUGUACACCAUGAGAAGGGUGGUACUUGUCCUUGUUGCUCCACGCACGCUCACGCCUCAAAACUUUCUUCUUUCAAAAGCAAAACUCCUCAAGAUGACCCUCUUUCUUGCAAUACCCACAGUGGAAUCGAGCAGGCUGUUUUGGUUGUGGAUUUGCUUUGGGCAGAGGGUUUGUUUUGGGUUGAGGAUUCACACUUGGUUGUGGCUUGGCUUUAGGUUUUGGUAGGGGAUGCUUUGGAGUCAUAUCAGGGAGUGUGUCAAACUUGUUCUUGAGGUAAUUUGGUUUUUCCACCCAAAUGACUUUCUUUGGGACUUUAGGUGGUGUCUCAAUGAACACUCCAUGUCGAACACACUUAGAGAGUUUUUUCUCACAUUUUGUGCUAGGUUGCUCUUCACUCUGUUUAGAUGGCUCACUAGGGGUGGAGGUUGCUUAUUUCUCUCUCUCACCACUGUAUUGACCAACCUUCUCAUCCAACCCAUCAAAAAUCUUUUCAUACAACCCAUCAAAUCUACACUACUUGAUAAGAUUCCCAAGCCCAAAACCAUCAAUCUUUUAAAACUCCUGAAUUAUCAUACCCAACUGAGGUUCCCUACUUGACACCUAACUGAGAACUACACGCAAGUAGUGAUUUUCAUCCUCAGGGCAAGAUUUGCAAGCACCAAGUAAGACAGGUCUAGUCUUAACUUCAUCUAGAGUAGCCCUAGUCAAAUCAAGUUCAUCUACAAGCAAAGCAUGCUUAGAUAGCAAAGAAGCUAUACUAGCCAUGUGAACAGCACAUUCAUCACACUCAAAAACAUCAGAAACAGUAGGAGUAGAUUAAAGCAUAUCUAUCUCAACCAAAGCACCCUCCAACUUAGCCUUAAGCUCAACUCGUUCAUGAACCGCCUUCUUAAUAAACUUAUCUUGAUUGAACAAGCAAUCAUUCAGUUCUUCUACUUCUAGGGCAAGUUGUUCUGGAGUAGGCUUUACCUCCGUUUCUAUGUCGGAGUCGCUUUCUUUGUCAUCCUUCUUGCUGUCGGUGUUGAGGGCCAUGACGCAGUACCCGUCACGGUUCUUGCCGGAGUAGAAGCAAAGGCCAUUGAGGUUUUUUCCAUCCUUCUUCUUUGCCUUGCGGUCAUCGUCCUCCUUACUUGAUCUUGAGUCGGUGUGGUCGUUGGUGUUAGAGUCGACAUCACUAAGGGAGGCGAUGAAGGCGUGUGCUUUGGCCUUCUUGCGGUACUCCUCCUCACGAUUGGUGUACUUCUUCAUCUUGGUGCUAUUCUUGUUCUCGUUCUUGUUGUAGUCGUACCCGCUCUUGGACUUGUUCUUGUCGGGGCAGUCGGCGGCGAAGUGACCUGGCCUGCCAUAAUCGAAGCAAUUGUUGUUGUUCCUUCCCCAUUUCUUGCAGUUAUCGUUCAAGCGCACGAAUCACCUCGUGAUCAAGGUGAGCUCCUCAUCAUCAAUAACCUCCAGCUGCUCCUCUGAAACAAAAACCAAGGAAGACAAGGCAAACGACAUAAAAGAAGAGUUACCCAAAGACUUAGGCUGUCCAAAGCCUGACAUGAGAGCCAUACUAUGUGGAUCAGUAGGGCUCCCUUGUUUUGCUCAGAGCCUCUUUUUCAACCUCCGUCGACUUCAGCUUAGCAAAGAGCUCAUCAGUAGAAAGAGUCUCAUAGUUUGUAGACUCGAUGAUAGCAUCAACCUUUGUGCCCCACACCUCGUGAUCCAAAGCAUAUAGGAGCUUCAAAGCUCUAUCAUGAUCGGUGUAGGGCAAGUUGGUAGUGUUUGUUUUCAUCUUGUUCACAAUAGCAAGAAAAUGCUGGAACAAGGCAUCAGCAGACUCACAGGGCAAAUGAACAAAAUUCUCAUACUCAUGCCGGUAAGUCUCAAAGAGUCUUGCUUUUACCUGACUAUUUCCCUCAUGGAAACUCUGAAGUUAGGACCAAAUCUCAUGUGCAAGAGAUAGAUCCUCGACACGGUCAAACUCAGUACAGCACAGACUCGCAAACAAGAUAUCAACUGCCUUGUUGUUGGCGUGAUAUUUAUCUCUUUCAUCUUGAGUCAAGCGAGUAGCAGGAAUCACAUAAGUCACAUCCUGAGUGAUUUCCCAAACCCCUACUCCCUUACUAUUAAGAUGCGCUCUCAUGCGAGUUUUCUAGUACCGAUAAUCAGAGCCAUCAAAGUAAGAUGCAGCGGUCAAGGAAGAAUGUUCAGAGGGCGCCAUAAUGGAUUUCGAAACCGAUUAGGGUAUGGAGAAAACCUUAACCAGCUCUAAUAACAAUUGAAGGAUCGAAAAGGCAACCAAAGGGGGUGAAUGGGAGCCUCAAAUAUUUCUUUCAAAAUCUUAGGCCUCUGUCUCAAAAUCAAACCCCAAAUCCAAGCAAGCAGAAGAUGAGAGAUCCACAAGCUAAUUGGUUGGCUGGGUCUCUAUGGUAAUGACCAAAAGACACAGCGUGACUCUCGAGAAGCAACCCGAAGCAAACUCAAAAGAUUUGGGCAAAACAGAACUCAAAACACCUUCCAGGUAUCGGAACUUCCGACCUCUUAUCGGAACUUCUGAAAGUGGAUUGUCGGAACUUUCAACCCUGUAUCGGAACUUCGGGCACCUAUCGGAUGUACCGAGGAACUCCCGAUAGAGGUUUUCUGGUUUUCAGCAAUUAACCCAUCGGAACUUCGGAUCCUGCAUCAGAACUUAUGACCCGUCGGAACUUCCUAUACAGUGUCGGAAUUUCCUACAGCUCAGAAAUCAGCCUUCGUGAAGAGAGAAGAAAAAUCCAAAACUUGAUCAAACAGCCUCCAAAAAUCACAAAAUUUGAACCAUAGCAUCACAAGAUAGUAGAGAAGCUACUCCUAAGAAAUCAUCCCUCAAAGAUUUGUCAAAUAAUGGGAAUUCCAAAUCUUGUGAAGAACACAACUUUUCACACUCCGAAAAUUGAAUCGCCCCGAUCUAUGAACUCCUGAGGUUUCAAUCAAAUCCCUUCAGUGGAAAGGUUCAGCUCACAUCCUAGUUCAUAACAAACAAUUGGUUUGACUCAAAACUCCCCACAAAACAUGAAUCGAACAAAAAUGUGAAGAAAGGAGGUAGGGAAGAAACAAGAACGUGAAGAACACAAACAGGAAUCGCACAAAGUUGUCAUCCCCUAACACGCAAAGGACUCGAGGAGGUUAGGGCCUCCAUUCCCACAACAAACUUCGUUUCAAUACACGGAUUCAGUGCUCAAAACAUUUGAUGACCUCUAGAGAGAUAAACUAGAGAGAGACGAGGCUAAUGAACUACUAAAACCCUAGAUAGAAGAGGUGCUUAGAGAGGUGCUGAAACAACCAGCCCCCCAUCCCUAUUUAUAGUCUCAGACUAGUUACAAAACUACCCCUACAACUACUACUAGGAUAACUACCCACGCAGGGGCAUUUUGGUCUAAGUUUUUCUACGCUCAUUGGACGGACACGCCACCUUCACGACUUUGCUUUGCCUCGACGCAAACUUCACGAUGAUGCCACAUGCCCUCCUUAUCGAAGCUUCAGCCACACUGGGCUCGCCCCGGGUUUUGAGGCCCAAACUAGGAAACCUGCCCGCGCAGUGGUUUUGAGGCCCAAACCACCCAAGCCAUCCAUCUUCGCUUGGCCGCCACAUGACCUCCUUGAUGUCGGCGCGUGUCUGGUCUCUGCCAAGCCUUUGACACCUACAACUCUUUCGCUCCCGACUCCCAGGACACCUACUUGACUUGCCUCCAUCCCACUUGACUUGACCGACGCCAUCUCCAUCCGUCAUGUUCUCUUGCCGUUCUGUGCACCAUGUGGAUCGCCCAUGACUCUGCUUGGACUCCUAGGGUCCAUCGGUUCGAGCCUACUCGUGUUCAUCCUUCACCGCCCUUGGUCCAUUAGCAUGAAUCUUUCGCUUGACCUUCACCGCAUUCCAUCAGCCGGCACACCGCAUCUUACACCUGUGCAUCACAAGCCAAGAGCAACAUCAAUCCAACACAAUAUUAUCAAUCACUUAUCAUCCAAGGGUGACCACCAUUGGUCCUUAGCCACUGGAUCUGAAGUCCCCGAGCUCGAGGCUGCUCGAGCCCUCGAGGCUGUUGCUGCUGCUGCGGGGACGGCAUCGGAGGUGGGGACUUCAUCAAGAAAAGGUCUAGCCUUAGUACUUGGCGAGGAGAAGGAUCCGGUUACAGAGGACCCGUAGCAGACAGGGGAGAUUGAGGCCUCUAGGGAGCCCCUGCGACAAGCCAUGGCUUCCAUGGUGGAGAUGAACCAGCGAGUGAUGGCAUGCACCAAGGUAAUUCUUGAUCCUUGUGAUAUGAUGUCUUGGCUGUAGUUAUUUGAGGGUCUUCAAGUACUAAUUUCUUGGUAUUUAGGACUUGUUUGAGAGUGCUCGUUAGAACACCCAACUUCUUCGAGAGCGGGGUGAAGCUACGCGCCGCAUUGAACAGCUGGAGAAUCACCUAGCUGAGGAGCAGCAGUGGACUUCUCAGUUCAUGAUAAAGUAUGAAAGUGUCGUGGCGUUGCUCCAUGCAGAAAAAUGUAACUUUGAAUGUGAGAGAGACCGCAUUGUGGUGCGAAAUAAGUCUUUGUAUCACCAGGUGCAAGGUAAGUACUCGUAGCCUCAGCGAUAACUUGUCUUUAGUAUGUAGUAUUUCUCGUGACUUUUUUCUUGUCUAAUUUGCAGAGUUUCAGAGCCAAGAGACAGUGUUGAAGAACUCUAUAACCGACUGGAAAAAUGCCUACUAUUGGGUCUCGGAAGAGAAUGAGGAGCUUAAGGCUCAGUUGUAGAAGGAGAAGAAGAUGUGCCUGGAUGGUGAUACUAGCCUGGUCGAGGCUAUGACUACCAUCAAGUUGCAACAAGAACAACUCCAACGGUGGUCAGAUGCAGUGCAACCAUUGGCGGAGAUGGUGGAGCCCCCCUGCUGAAGGAGUGGAGCCACGCCUAGUUUUUGAAAGGGUCCAAGAUGCACCAGCAAAGAUCACCAGCUACAUCCAGGGUGUGGCGAAGAUGGUGUCCAAGUAGCUACUGAGCUUCAUCAAGUCAUUCUACCCGAAGGUUGACUACCCCUGUUACUGAGGGCGUUGCUGCGGACUGCAUGGAUGAGGCUUUCCAAUGGUACAUGGACGAAAUGGAUCCCAUUGCCGAGGAAGUAGCCAAAUUUAUCAACCUUUAGUAGUCUUUAAGCUUCCCCUGAAGGUAAUCGGGCAGGACCCUCAAGAGUCCGUGAUCACCGUGGGGCUAACCCAGAAACCUAAACACUAGUAGGAGACUUCCACAACAAGAUCAACACUAGCCCCGACACCCGUACCAUCAUCGAUGGAUGGCACCGCGAGCGUGAGCAAGAAGUCGAACACCCAGGGGACAAUUCUACUCGAAAAGUUUAAGCCCCGAGCAUCACCAAGUACAAUGGCAAGCAAGACCCAAUCCAAUGGCUCCGGUGCUACUUGCUAUUAGUACAAUCAGCUGGGGAAAACGACGACACCAAAGUCGUCUACUUCCCCAUCUGCAUGGAGGCGGCGCCACUCACAUGGCUCGAAUCGUUGGACAAGAUCUAUAUCGACUCAUGGAAGGACCUCAAGGUGGCGUUCACCAACAACUACGAAGGGGCAAUGCAACAUUCUGGCAAUAGGAUCGACUUGUCUCAGGUCAAGCAACAAAAAGGUGAGAUCCUGCGAAGCUACUUACGUCGCUUCUUUGACAAGAAGGCCACAAUCAUGGAUAUCACAGAGCGCGACGUCAUCGACUACUUCCAGAACGGCCUCCAUGACCAUCGGAUGUUUCAAGACUUUGGCAGAAGACGCCCCGCUGAUGUUAAAUCUCCCAAGAUAAUGGCAGAGACGUUGGCAAAUGAAUAAGACAGGGAGAUCGAAAGGUUCGAGUCCAAUCGCAACAAAGGCCAGAAUAACAACAAUCAUAACAAUGGCCAACACAACGACAAGAACCGCAGCGAUCGCCCCAACAAUGACAACUGGAAUAACUACUCGGGAAGUUAGAACCGCAAGUGCAAACUAGACAAUACUGUCGCGGCAAUCUCGCAGUCGUCGAAGAAAGGUGGCGGCAAGAACCAAGAAAGGCCCUUGUUUUAACAAGAUCCUGAAGAAAAAGUGCCCAGGUCACCCAUACCACAAGUAGUCUACAAAGUCCGCAUCGGAGUAUCCGCGGAGCAUGAGUGUCGAGGAGGUAGAGUACCACAAAAUGAAUUUAGGUGCGAAACGGAGGUACCUCAUGAUUCUCUUCACUGCCUGUCGGUGAGAUAUCCUCGGUGAAGCCUGAAAAUGAGUGCACAGACACACUGCGAAGUGUAGGUCCGGUCUCGUUGCUGUCAGGUACAGGAGGGAGCUGAUCAUGCUACGGUACUCCUUCUGGUCCACUUGUUCUCCAUCCUCAUCCGCAUCCAAAGCCAUCAUCGUCGCCAUGGGAGUUGACAGUGGCUUGGCAUCAGCCAUGUCAAACUUCCUCAGCACAUCCUUCGUGUACUUCCCUUGGUGCACAAAGUUUCCAUCCUUUCUCUGCUUGAUUUGUAGCCCGAGGAAGAAGGUUAGCUCACCCAUCAUUGACAUCUCGACACUAGGGUUAGAAAAACAGGUAGAAUACCAGUGUCGAACCAUUUUCUCAAGAGUGGGGUUAGCAAAAUCAACCAUCUCUCGCCUCACUGGAGGACCACGGCCACCAUGAGGGGGAAAAUGUGGUCUUUUGUACCUCUGAGACUCAAAUCCAUGGCCAUGCAAUCCUAAGUCAUAUUGAUCAUGACGAGGUGCCUGACAAAACUGCGAGAAUGAGCUGAACGCUCACUAUCCACAAGACGAGGUGGAGGAGCUGCCCUAGGCGCAUGUACACCAUGAGAAGGGUGGUACAUGUCCUUGUUGCCUCACGCACGCUCAUGCCUCAAAGCUUUUUUCUUUCGAAAGCCAAAACUCCUCAAGAUGACCCCCUUUCUUGCAAUACCCACAGUGAAUCGAGCAAGGCUGUUUUGGCUGUGAAUUUGCUUUGGGCAGAGGGUUUGUUUUGGGUUCAGGAUUCACACUUGGUUGUGGCUUGGCUUUGGGUUUUGGUGGGGGGAUACUUUGGAGACAUAUCAGGGAGUGUGUCAAGCUUGUUCUUGAGGUAAUUUGGUUUUUUCACCCAAAUGGCUUUCUUUGGGACUUUAGGUGGUGUCUCAAUGAAUACUCCAUCUCGAACACACCCAGAGAGGUUUUUCUCACAUUUUGCGUUGGGUUGAUCUUCACUCAGUUUAGAUGGCUCACUAGGGGUGGAGGUUGCUUGUUUCUCUCUCUCACCACUAUAUUGACCAACCUUCUCAUCCAACCCAUCAAAACAAAAUUCAUACAACCCAUCAAGUCUACACUGCUUGAUAAGAUUCCCAAGCCCAAAACCAUCAGCCCUUUUAAACUCCUGAAUCAUCAUACACAACUGAGGUUCGCUACUUGACACCCAACUGAGAACUGUGCGCAAGUAGUGAUUUUCAUCCUCAGUAUUUUGCAAAGAAUGACUAAGUUCAGGACACUUUCUACAUUCAGGAACUUUAGAUUUAGCAAUUAAAUCAGAUUUCUCAAGAGUUUUAAUCUUAGCACAUGCAUCAUCAAAUUGAAUCUGUAAAGCAGGGCAAGAUUUGCAAGCACCAAGUAAAACAGGUCUUGUCUUAACUUCAUCUAGAACAGCCCUAGUCAAAUCAAGUUCAUCUACAAGCAAGGCAUGCUUAGAUUGCAAAGAAGCUAUACUAGACAUGUGAACAACACACUCAUCACACUCAACAACAUCAGAAAUAGUAGGAGCAGACUUGAGCAUAUCUAUCUCAAUCAAAGCACUCUUGAACUUUGCCUUAAGCUCAACUCGUUCAUGAGCAGCCUUCUUAAGCAACUUAUCUUGAUUUAGCAAGCAAUCAUUAAGUUCUUCUACUCUAAGGCAAGUUGUUCUAGAGGAGGAUUUACUUCUUUGUCAUCCUUCUUGGCGUUGAUGGCCAUGACACAGUACCCGUCACGGUUCUUGUCGGAGUAGAAGCAGAGGCCAUUGAAGUUCUUGCCGUCCUUCUUCUUUGCCUUGCGAUCGUCGUCCUCUUCACUUGAGCUUGAGUCGGUGUGGUCGUUGGUGUCGAAGUUGAUGUCGCUGAGGGAGGCGAUGAAGACGCGCGCUUUGGCCUUCUUGUGAUACUCCUUCUUCUCACGAUCGGUGUACUUCUUCUUCUUCUUAUUGGUGUUGUCCUUGUUCUUGUGCUUGUUGUAGUCGUACCCGCUCUAGGACUUGUUCUUGUUGGGGCAAUUGACAGCGAAGUGACCUGGCUUGCCACAAUCGAAGCAGUUAUUGUUGCUCCUUCGCCGGUUCUUGUGGUUGUCGUUGAAGCGCAUGAACCGCCUCGUGAUCAAGGCGAGCUCCUCAUCAUCAAGAACCUCCAGCUGCUCCUCUGAAAUAGAAACCAAGGAAGACAAGACAAAUGACAUAGAAGAAGAGUUACCCAAAGACUUAGGCUGUCUAGAGCCUGACAUGAGAGCCAUACUAUGUGGAUCAGUAGGGCUCCCUUGUUUUGCUCGGAGCCUCUUGUCAACCUCUGUCGACUUUAGCUUAGCAAAGAGCUCAUCAGUAGAAAGAGUCUCAUAGUUUGUAGACUCGAUGAUAGCAUCAACCUUCGUGCCCCACACCUCGUGAUCCAAAGCAUGCAGGAGCUUCAAAGCUCUAUCAUAAUCGGUGUGGGCAAGUUGGUAGUGUUUGCUUUCAUCAUAUUCACAAUAGCAAGAAAAUACUGGAACAAGGCAUCAGCAGACUCACCGAGCAAAUGAAUAAAAUUCUCAUAAUCACACCGGUAAGUCUCAAAGAGUCGUGCCUUCACCUAACUCCUCCCCUCAUGGAAACUUUGAAGUCGGGACCAAAUCUCAUGAGCAAGAGAUAGAUCCUUGACAUGGUCAAACGAGUCAAACGAGUAGCAGGAAUCACAUAAGUCACAUCUUGAGUGAUUUCCCAAACCCCUGCUCCUCUACUAUUUAGAUGGGCUCUCAUGCGAGUUUUCCAAUAUAGAUAGUCUGAGCCAUCAAAGUAGGAUGCACCGGUCGAGGAAGAAUGAGGUCUCCAUAAUAGGUUUCGAAAUCGAUUAGGAUAUGGAGAAACCUUAAUCGGCUCUGAUACCAAUUGAAGGACCGAAACGGCGACCAGAGGGGGGUGUGAAUGGGAGCUCUAAAAUUUCUUUCAAAAACUUAGGCCUCUGUCCCAAAAUCAAACCUUGAAUUGAAAACGAGCAGAAGAGGAGAGAUCCACGAGCCAACUAGGUGACUUGAUGCCUAUAGUAAAGACCAAUAGACACAGCGGGAUCCUCAAGAAGCAACCGAGCCAAAACCACAACACAAACACCUUGAAAACUGUGUAGUCUCUGACUGUUCUGCGAAAUAUAGGCGGACGGUCCGUAGCACAGGAGCGGACGGUCCGACCCUAGCGGAUAGUCCGACACCUAGGGGCGGACAGUCCGCAUGCUGCGAGACAGAACCCCAAAAACAAACCCACGAAUAACUAUUUACCCGAAUCCCGAUCAAAUCAAAACCAACUGCCACCAAAAUUGAACCAAGGCAUUGUAAGGCAGUAGGGAAGCUACUCCUAAGAGAUCAUUGCUCAAGGAUUUGUCAAUCGACGAGAAAUUCAAAUCACGUGAAGAACAUCACUUUUUCAACUUCAAAAAUUUAAUCGCCCCGAUCUAUGAUCUCGUGAGGUUUCAAUAGAAAUCCUUCAGUAGAAGGGAUCAACUCACGUCCUAGUUCAUUUCGAGACAAUCGGUUUGACUCAAACACCCCCCACAAAUCAUGAAUCGAACAAGAACACGAAAGGGGUGGAGAGGAAGAAGCAAAGAACAUGAAGAACACAAAUGGGAAAAUCACAAAGAGAUCAUCUCCCAAAUCCUGGAGGACACAAGGAGGUUAGGGUCUCCAUUCUCGCAACAAACUUCGGUUCAAUACACAGAUUCGGUGCUCAAAUCAUCCGAGGACCUCUAGAGCGAGACACUAGACUCUAAUCUAAGGAUAAUUAGCUGCUAAGCAAGAGGUGGAAGAGGUACUAAAAUAACCAGCCCCUCAUCCCUAUUUAUAGUCCAGGACAAAAGACUAAACUACCCCUACAACUACAACUAGGAUAACUAACCACGCAGGGGUAUUUUGGUCCAAGUUUUUCAGCGCUCAUCGGAUGGACACGCCACCUUCACAACUUUGCUUCGCCUCGACGCAAGCUUCGCGAUGAUACCACGUGCCCUCCUUCUUGAAACUCUGAUCGCACUGAGCUCACCCCCGAUUUUCAGGCCCAAACCGGCAAACCUGCCCGCGCGGUAGUUUUGAGACUCAAACUACUCAAACCGUCUAUCUUCGCUUGGCUGCCAUACGACCUCCUCGAUGUUAACACAUGUCCAGUCUCCGCCAAGCCUUUGACGCCUCCAAGUCUUUCGCUCUCAGCUCCCGGGCCGCCAACUUGACUCGCCUCCGUCCCACUUGACUUGAUCAACGCCGUCUUCAUCCUGUCAUGUUCUCUUGCUCUUCCAUGCACUGUGUGGAUCGCCUAACUCACCCGUGACGGGCAUACACCCCAGGUCCACGAGUAGGCCUUGGACGGCCCACCAAGAGACGUACUCAGACAAGAUCAGAACAAGGAUGGGCGUAUCCUUCUCGGAUUAGUCUUGUAUGUUUAUGGAAAACUACUCGGGCCAAUACUGAGUAGAACUCUGUAAUAGUACCCGACUAGGACUCAGACUUGUAACCCUGCCCUCCCGUGUAUAUAAGGCCGGGCAGCGACCCCCCUCGGCAUAUCUCUCAAGAUCCUAAAGACCAGAACAUACAUCAAUACAAACCAACACACAGGACGUAGGGUAUUACGCUAUCUAGCGGCCCGAACCUGUCUAAAUCAUGUUCCUUGUGUCACCAUUGAUUCCUUGAUUCUCGACGACCCUUACCGCAUAAAAGACCACCUAGGGUACCCCCUAGGCGGGUUGCCGGUCUAAAACACCGACAGCUGGCGCGCUAGGUAGGGGGCUUCGUCGAGUUUCUUAGCGCGAACUCAAUGGCGAAGGUCAUCAUCAGGCCCGUUUUCUUCAUCGAAGCCGGCGCCACCUUCGUUUUUGAAUCCUGGUUUUGCGUCGCCGAAGGCUCGGGAUCGUUUCGGCGCUAGAUCGUCGACACUUAGAAGAAGAAACCAGAAAGUCUGACCAGAAAAAAUCAAGAUUUCAAAGUCAACAAGUUCGAGUUUGACUACGCGUCGGAUUCGACUUCGCCUCAGACUACUCCAACCUUCCGCUCAGGGGUCGGGCACUCCCGACCCCAGGACUCAGGGUCUGGCGAGGAGGAGUUUCACUCGGGGUCGAGCGAGGUGGAGCUACUCCUCCAAAGGGUCGGGCUCAGCCGACCCCUGGACUCAAGGUCGGACUCGCUUCGGAUUCGACGGCCCCAGUCAGCAUCCAAAUCGGUUUCGACUUCAAAGUGGUUCCCGCACGGACUCUGCAACGCAACCAAAGUCCACCAAGGUUUUCUUACUCGAACCCGAUUCGAACUCGGGCAUGACGAAGAUGUCGACUCCGACUCGUCUUAUUCACCAGAGAUACCAUUAUCUGGUCCAGCCCAAGGAUUGGUAAUAACUUCGACAUCACAAGGCAGAUUCGUCCAUUGGCCGGGAUUGCGACCGCCUCUUCUCAACCGUGACUACGACUCGCGCCUUGUCGCCCAUAUAGACAACUUACCAUAUCAAGAAGGCGUUCCACUCAACCGUGAAGAGAGUUACACAGAAAUUGCAACAUCAAGCUCUGAAAGCUACUACCUGGAUAGGGAAAUACUUGUUAUUACUCAGAAUAACAACCCGGGUACUAGCCAGGACAGAACCCCCAGGCGAUUAGCACAAAUCGACAACAUCUCCAAAAAUGAAUCUACUGCUGACGCCCCUCACGGUGAAACUUCUGAGCAGCGCAACCAACGAAGGGCGCGCAAUGCUACUCGAGCUGAGCGACGACAGUUGAUGGCUACAAAUAUCCCCAUUACGAAUCUUGAAAGGGCUUUCAAUACAGUUCAGGCUCAGGAGCACAAUACUCCACUCGCGGCCAUCGCCUCAAUCAACCUUUUAACCACGUUGAUGCCUCAGGAUAGGGACAACGCAGCCACAGCUCAACUCGUGCAGCGCGGCAACGGACUGAUCGCACAACUCGUGGAGCAAGCCUACAAGCUACUUGACAAAGAAUCACCAAUCCCGUCUGUUCCUCGUAUCACAUCUCAUCAAGAAGGUAGCAUGAGAGCUGCAGACUAAAAUGCCGCCCCACGAAACGAUGAUACAGUCAACCAACCUCGGCAACACAGCCAAGGUCCAAGCAAGCAUAAAGCUCCUGCGCGACAUAAAGAUAUUGGUGAGGUCAGCUGCAUCAACUCGGUUAAAUGCGUCCGCCCUACUCGGAAGAACAACGAAAUAUCCAACUUCAGUGAUUUGCGAGAAAUUCUCAACAGUCGGCGCGAACGGGAAGUCGACAGCUACAACCAUUUUCCUGCUUUCACAAACCGGGUAAUGAAAACAAAAUUACCCGAUAAGUUCAAGCCAACCGGAAUCACCAAGUACGACGGCAAGCAAGACCCAAUUCAAUGGCUACGCUAUUACUCACUAGCCGUCCAAGCAGCCGGGGGCAAUAACGACACCAAAGUCAUUCAUUUCCCCAUAUGCAUGGAACCCGCACCACUGACCUGGCUCGAGUCAUUAAAACCCAAGUCCAUUAAUUCUUGGGCAGACUUGACAAAGGCUUUCACCAACAACUUCGCCGGCUCCAUGGCCAGGCCAGGCAACAAAAUCGACUUAAGACAAAUUAAGCAAUAAGAGGGCGAGACCUUACGCGACUAUCUGCGAUGGUUCUUCGAAAAGAAGGCUACCAUAGUUGACAUCUCCGAAACAGACGUCAUUGAGUGCUUCCAAAAUGGACUCUACGAUCGACGAACAUACCAAGAUUUCGGUCACCGACGACAAGCCGAUGUCAAAGAACUCAAAGUCAUGGUGCAACAAUGGGCUGACGAAGAAGACAAAGAGCGAGAAUGGUUCGGUUCCCACCGUAACCGAGGACGUGACAACAACCACAAUAAUGAACCAGAUAGAACUUGGCAUAACGAUGCUCGGAACUCCUAUCCGAGUAAUCACAAUCGCAAAAGGAAGCCCGACAACACCGUUGCCGCCAGGACCAGCUCCGGAAAAAAGGGGCACCGCAGAAACGACGAAGGGCCAACCUUCACAGAGCUACACAAAAAGCAGUGCCCAUGGCAUCCGACUAGCAAGCACUCGGUGAUAGACUGCUACAGCAUGCGCCGAGUCAUGCAAGACUUACCCGCACCACCAACUCCUGAAGAGUACACCAAAAACAAAGAUAAGGGUAAAAAUAAAGCCCGCAACGAUGAAGAUGAGGACGGCGAUUUCCAAACAGCUUCAAAAACUAUCAACGUCAUAUUCAGCGGUAUCCCAAGCACUGCAUCCAAGCGAGCUAACAAACUCGUACUCAGGGAGAUCAUGGCCAUUGAACCAACGGACCCCACACCGUUAAAAUGGUCAGAAGUUCCAAUUUCUUUCAGCCGAAAAGAUCAAUGGACAAAUUUUUCAGAACCAGGCCGUUUCCCACUAGUCCUGGAUCCAGUCGAUCCCAAAGCUACUCCAAAACGGCAACGACUACGCCGUUUCGCUCAGGACAGACGAGAAGCAAUCAAAAAAGAGUUAGCCAAGCUACUCGCAGCAGGAUUCAUCAAAGAAGUCUUUCAUCCCGACUGGCUUGCCAAUCCUGUGCUUGUUCGUAAGAAAACAACGAAUGGAGAAUAUGUGUUGACUACACCGACCUCAACAAACACUGCCCAAAAGAUCCUUUCGGGCUACCAAGGAUCGAUCAAGUGGUUGACUCCACCGCUGGGUGCGCUUUGAUAUGUUUUCUUGACUGCUACUCCGGCUAUCACCAGAUAAGCCUCAAAGAAGAAGAUCAAGCCAAAACAGCGUUCAUUACGCCCUUCGGAGCUUUCUACUAUAAAACAAUGUCCUUCGGACUAAAAAAUGCAGGAGCAACUUAUCAAAGGGCCAUACAGAUGUGCUUUGAAAAGCAACUUCCUCGCAAUGUCGAAGCUUAUGUCGACAACGUCGUCAUCAAAACAAGAAACCGGGAGAAACUCAUUGCAACUACCUGGCAAUGUCGAAGCUUAUGUCGACGACGUCGUCGUCAAAACAAGAAACCGGGAGGAACUCAUUACAAGUACUUGGCAUACACGAAGACUACAAGCAACUACCUACUGGCGGGCUGCAUUUAAGCCUCAGGCUUUUACUAUAUCACAAGGCCACUCAGGUCUGCCGACCACAAGAAGGGCCCACACGCAAGGAAGCUGCGCAAAACGCAGCCAUGCCCAGGUACCCUACCCAAGUCAAUGCCAGGAACUCCAGCAUCGCCACUGCCUUGACAGCGGCAGCGCCAAAUCCGGCACGACGCGCCUAGAGGGAACCAAGGCUGCUGUUUUGCUAGCCUUGCGGAGCCAAUCUACUCUACGGCCGCACCUCCACCUCUCUUAGAGCAGGAUAAAGACCACGGCACUCAUCACCCAUCACUCGCGAGUUCCAGCGCGUACCCCAGUGGAUCACGAGCUGCAAGAUGAGGCGUGCGACGAAACCUCCUACGAGGAUUCUUCUAGCAUCGCGGCUAUCCCUAUGAGCGCAGGAGUCUGUGGAUGGAAGAUGGCCUCAAUCUACGAGGAAUCUUCUAACACCGGUGCACUCUUUGAUGGCUCUCUACACUCAAAUAGAAGAAACCGAAGGCAAUCCAUCGCUACUCAGGAGCUUGAGUUGGUUCGCUCACCAGGUGGCCCUAUUUAUAGCCGAAGGCCACAACUACCACCUGCCCAAGAGUUACUAUGCACCCGUGCUCAAUGAGUCUGACGCCUUCUGACUGUGCCCACGUGACCGCACUCAUGCCACAAUGGACAAAAGAGUACAGUACACCCGUGCAUCCACAAAGGACAAAGGAGUACAGUACACCCGUGUCCCUCAAAAGAUGAGUACUCAAUAGCAUUACGACUACUUGACACUCGGGACUACUACAAGCCAAGCGUGGUCUACUGUUGGAGGUAUGCGCUAGAGGCAAUCAUAGAGAUGAUGAUAUUCCAUUUCUAUCCAUGAUUUGUAUAUUGUGUUCAUUGAAUAUCCAUUAAAGGCUACUUGAAUUGAUUUGCAAUUAUGUGAAUUAUAUGUGAAACUCUUUACUUGUAUGGUUAUUCUAAAGUUGUCCCUAGUCGGAGCUCAUGUGAGGACACACAUGAAUAUUAGACUAGCACAUGUAUUAGUUGAUGACUAUGUUUCACAAGUCAUGGACAUAGAGAUGUUGAACUAAUAAUGUGGACACAUGUGGAGACAUGUGCUAGGACUGACCCAACACGAGAAGUAGUUCUCUCUUUAAACAACAUAUACGCUUUGUCCUUAGACCUGAGAUUGUCGCAUGUAUUCUAGAUGUGGAUCGACCUACUUAGGGGCUAUCAAACGCUACGCCGUAACAGGGUAGUUAUAAAGGUAGCUUUCAGGUUUGUUAAGAAGCAUGCUAUGAGACAUGGUCAAUCAAGAUGGGAUUUGCCCCUCUCUGAUUGAGAGUGAUAUCUCUGGGCCCCUCGAGUGAUCGGAUCCGAAAAUGCAUGGCCAUGCUACGUACGGUUAAGAGUUAACCUACAAAGGGAUUCCGAAUCACAGGAUCGAGAAAGAGCGGUCGGCUUGAAGCUAGACCAAAUAUCAUGAGGCAAAGGGAAUAGCAUGUAUAUUAUGUUGUGAUGGUUCGUCUGAUAUGAUCUUCGUGUACGUAUAGGAGUUGGCACGUCUUGCUAGAGGCCGCUACUGACUAUUGGGCCGAGUAGGAGUACUCGGGCCAUGUCUAUACGUAUCCGAACCCAUAGGGUCACACACUUAAGGGGCUGGAAGCCCAAUUCGGAUCUGAUCCGAGUUGGAUUAGGUUUAGAAGUACUAAUGGGCCUCGGACCCAGAGGCCCAUCAGGAACCUCUAUAAAUAGAGGGGUGGGGGCGCCCUAGGGUUUACACCUUUUGGCGAAACACACCUGCCGCGCCUCCCACGCCCUCGCCUGUUGCAACUCACGGAUCUAGCAGUCCGGCUUGCGACGCUUCCUCCCUGCACGUGUGGAUACCUUGGAGGUGUUGCGCCUGCAACACUUGGACGAGCCGCCGACGAGCCACGACGAGCCGACGACGAGCCGCGGCACCGGAGGCGAUCUUGCUGCACGUGGACGAGCUGCUGAGGAGCUGCUGGACGUGAUCGACUACGUACGACUACGUGAUCGUCUUCACUGCAUCGACGCAUAUCUACAUCUUCCGCACCAGUAGUGCGUCGAGUGGUAAUCCCGUGAUCCUUAUACAGCAGUUCUUCCUGGUUUUACGUGGUAGAAAUUUUGAUUUGCGCUAGUGUAGCCUACCUCGUAUCCCAACAUCUACAGCUCGGGGGCUCGGACUACUCCGACCCCAGGACCCAGGGUCGGGCGAGAGAGUUUUUCACCCUCGAAGGGGUCAGGCUUAGCUGACCCCAAGCCUCAAGGUCGGGCAAGACGAAGCUUCUCCCCUAGAGGGUCAGACCCAGCCGACUCUAGUACUUUGGAUUGGACAUAAUGAAGUAAAACUUCUCUUCGCAAGACAACGAACUUCAAAAUCCAAAGGCUUGAUAUUCAAAAGUAUCAAACGUACUCUAUAAAAAACAAGAGUACACACAAAAGCUCAAAGCUCUUCUAAGGAGACAAACUCCGACAUCUUGGCUGCAAUAGGCUCCACCUCCUCGAGGUACUGCGCAUACGCUUCCUCUGUGCAGUUGCGAGCCACGCCAUCACCAGCUGCCGCCAAGUCUGCCCUCGGGUAGUAGGACUUCACAACUGUAAGAACUUGUUUGCAAACAGUCUUGCAAAGUCCCGCCACUUUACUCGGGACAGCUCUUAGUCGCUCAACUAGCGAUUGCAGCCCUGCGCCUUCCUCCACGGCGGCUAUAGCAUUCACCAAUUCAUCGGCCGCUCCAGACAGCUCUUGGAGUUCGCCCGAAGUCUUCCCAGGGUCGGGCAUGAUCUCUGCAUGCCACCAUGGCCAUGGCAAGCAUCACGCCAUUUUGCAUCUUUUGGUCCCGCUGGUGCUCGCAAGCAACCUGUGCUUCCGUCAGCGCGGCCCGAAGAUGUUCGGCUUCAUCUACCACCCGGUCAUGAGCGUUUCUCCAGUCGAUGACUUGGCUCCUUGUAGCCGCUUCCUGCUUAUUGAGCUCUACAAAACAAAGAACUCAGGCCACAGCCAACUAUAGUUGGACACAACCAGAGUAGUCGGAAUGCUUACCUUGAUACUUCUUGUUCAAGGACUUGUAGCGGCUCUCCAGUUUUUCCUGCAGAACCGCGUGAUCUGCGCGUUCCAUGGCAAAGGACUUUGCCCCGACUUCAUGAACCCGAAGAGUUUCUGUUAGUCGGGCACAUUCCUGCUCCAACUGAUGGCUUCUUUCCUGAAAAUAUUCAAGUAUGGUAUGGUGAGUUUCAAGCCUCACAACUACUCGGGUCAUGCAACAAACUCAACAAGGACAUCUACCUGGAAGCCCCGGAAAACAUCAAUCGCCCUCUGGAACUCCAAGUCAGAAGGCAGGCUAAGUAUUGACCUUUGGGUACUCUCCACAAGAUGAGGGAUCGUACCCAGAGUAGCACCUACAACAUUUACCAUGUCAGCUACCGACUACGACUACAAUAAAAAGACUACAGGCACUUACCUGGAGUAGUCGCUUGUUUGGUUUUUUCAACUAUGGCCAGCGCUCCGCCAGAAGAUGAUGAUAGGCCAGCACUCUCCGAGCCUGAUGCAGCAGCAGGAACCUCCACCGAGCGAAUUACAUCUUAAAGCAUCGACAUAGUAGCUCCAAGAUGGCCGGCGUCAACCUCGGGUACCUCUUCAACAGUCAAGUCCUCCAAAGGAACAGAUGUUGUAGUCGAGGGAUCCGGCACUAUCCCUGUCUCUACAAGGAUAGUCUCCUCUGCAUCUCUGCACCAAAAAAGUGUCACUACAUGAUUUCAAGACAAUCCAACAUCAUUCAAAAAUACAAGGAAGCUCACCGGGUUGAACGUGGCGGUAGUCGCACACGCCUCUUCUUGGCGAUAGGCGGCCGAGUACUAGGCGCCGUGGGAAUACUGACCGGCGCUGUCUUCUCACCAAGACCUACAAAACCGAAGUUAAGACUACAGUACUACUCAAACGAAUACAAUAGGAUGGGACAACGCUUACCACUGGCGAUCUCAUUGGACAGCAAGGUACCAGUAGCGAGUACUGGCGACACCUCCUUCGCUGUACCCGCUACUCCAGCAGGCAGCCCCAGGACCGCCUGGUCAGCAAUAGGUGGCAUGGUGUCCGAUGGAGUUGAUGCGGUUAACUCGGGGGCUACCCUAGUUUCUGUUGAUGGUACCCUCUCCGGCACCAUGUCAACAGCCACAUCACCGACUUCUAGGUCGGUCACGGCCAUUUCUUCAGAAACAGCCUCAUCUUCACCAAGCGUCGUAUCUACAGCCUUCACGAACCAAAACAAGAUUCGCCACAUCAAUAACGAGUUCAAAUCCAUCAGUAACAGACAAGUUACCAACUACAUACCUUGGUACCCCGAGACUUCUCAGGGGUUGAAGCAGACUUAGCCGCAGACAUCUUGCGGACUACUCUGCGUCUCUUAACAGGAGAAGAAGGCUCGUCCUUCGACUCCUCGACGACAGCUUCCGACUCUUCUUCCGACUGCGCCAAGUAGCCGACAAGAACUCGAGACUUCAAACAACAAAUGGGUAUCAACAACAAGAAUCACAAGUCAAAGAAGAACAAGUCAAGAGGAAAACACGUACCACUUCUGGCUCGUACCAGGCAUCAUACUGACGAAGGGCUGCAGGGAUUACUGGUACUCCCUGAUAGUUCCUAAAAAACUUAGCCAGCAGCGCCUCUACGUCAUCAUCGGAUAUGUCCUCAUCGGACAUACGCGAUGGAUCCUUCAGACCUACGUACUCACUUCCCGAGUGAGCACGUUGUUGGAGCGGCUGGACCCUUCUCUUCAGGAAGCUGGCCGCCACGUUGAUCCCAGUCAAACCGAGUGCCUUCAACUCGGUGAUCUGCUGCAUCAAGUGAUCGAGCUCAGGGGUGUCCUCGGGCUCGCUCACCCAGUUCUCCGCAUGCUUGGGUGCGUGACCAGUCACCACAGGCAAGCGGGGUUCAUGGUUCCCGAUGUAGAACCACCUUUUCUUCCACUCCCCAUGGGAGUCGGUCAGAUUAUACUCAAUAUACGCGCCCGAGUUCCUGAGCUGGAACCCGGCGCCUCCAAAGACUUCCGUCAGCUGGGCACUCGGCUGAGGCUUACAACGGAACAGCUUCCUAUACAACUCAAGACUUGGAGGUACUCCCAGAUAAACUUCGCAAAGGUGUACGAAAAUAGACAUAUGCAGUACACCAUUGGGAUUCAAGUGGACGAGCUGAAGUUUGUAGUACUCGAGAAUACUUCUGAAAAAGUCAGAGGUGGGCACCGUCAAUCCCCUUUCCACAAAAUGCACAAGCAUCACCGUCUCGGCAGGAUGUUCCUCAAACUGCCACGUAUUGGGAAACGCUGGGCACCACUCAAGAAUCUCCUUCGGCUGAAGGAGCUUUGCCUCGACUAGCGCCUAGACCAAUUCCUCCUUCAUCACCGAGUGUUGCCAAGUUGCCCCAGGCAGCGGUGGCACAGUUUGGUUCGUUGGCCCCACCUUCGGCGCCGGCAGCACCAACUCCUUGCCCUUCUUGGAUUUGAUCUUGCCCGUCGCCAAAACCUUGCCCUGGAUCUUCUCGGGUUUCUUGCCCAUCUUCUUGGUGCGCAUUCGACGGACUAAACCUCAAGGAAGAAGGGGCUCGACACUCGGAUCUUUCUCAAAAGAUGGCAAUGGCGGUGGUGGCGGCUCUGACGGCGGCAAAAUGCAGAGCGGAGGCGCAGAGGAGGAAGAAGAAGAGAUCUAAUUGCCGUACGGCGUAACAGCAACCGAAAGGGGGCCUCCCAGUUUUAUCUCCACCAGCCCCGGUUUCCACGCGUCAGUUGCGCACCGGACAGAUUAAUCGCGUAUUAAUCGUCUUAAACACCCAACGGCUACUCUAUUCAACGGGCUGCUAACCACUUCAACGACAAAGAUCGCCUAAGUGCUCGGGGGCUGCGGGUACCGUACCCGUUGAUCAGUUUUUUCUUUUCCCAAAGAUCCCCAAGGGUAAAAUAGACAAAAGCUGGCUGGACCCUAAGCCUAACUCUUCGACUCAACCUAAGGCUCGGGGGCUACUCCAUAUGGAGUACGAUUGACAUCGCACUGCCAUAUAAAAUUACACGGGACGGAAACAACUCGAAGGAGCAAAAAGAGUACCUUCCAGCCACGCGACAGUACUCGAGCACUUCAGUCUGCAACCUCUAUGACUAGAUCUACUCGGACAGUGCCUGCAGUGCCCAAGACUGUGGCGCACGACUACAAAGUACUCGGGGGCUUGUCGGGCAUACACCCCAGGUCCACGAGUAGGCCUUGGACGGCCCACCAAGGGACGUACUCGGACAAGAUCAAAACAAGGAUGGGCAUAUCCUUCUCGGAUUAUUCUUGUAUGUUUAUGGAAAACUACUCGGGCCAAUACCGAGUAGAACUCUGUAAUAGUACCCGACUAGGACUCAGACUUGUAACCCUGCCCUCCCGUGUAUAUAAGGCCGGGCAGGGAUCCCCCUCGACAUAUCUCUCAAGAUCCUAAAGACCAGAACAUACAUCAAUACAAACCAACACAUAGGACGUAGGGUAUUACGCGAUCUAGCGGCCCGAACCUGUCUAAAUCGUGUUCCUUGUGUCACCAUUGAUUCCUUAAUUCUAGACGACCCUUACCGCAUAAAAGACCACCUAGGGUACCCCUAGGCGGGUUGCCGGUCUAAAACACCGACAGCCCGGACUCCUCGGGUCCAUCGGUCCAAGCCUACUCACGUUCAUCCUUCACCCCCCUUGCUCCAUCGGCAUGAACCUCUUGCUUGACCUUCACCGUAUGCCGUCGGCCGCCACACCACAUCCAACAUCUGCACAUCACAAGCCAAGAGCAACAUUAUUCCAACACAAUAUUGUCAAUCACUCAUCAUCCAAGGGUGACCACCAUUGGUCCUCACAAAGCAAGAAAAUAAUUACAUAAAGACUUUAAUAUAUUUCAAGCAUUGACAAUAGUUCUUUAUACAAAUGCUAAUGUUUGUUCAUCUCCGGAUCUACUCAAGGUCUAGCUGCUUGGCUACUUCUUCAGCUAUGGGAUCCAUCUCCCGCAUAAUCUCCUUGAAUUGCUCGUCCAAGCAGUCUGAUGCCAUCCCUUCAACAACAGGUUGUAAAUUUACCAAGGAUAGAAAGACUUCACAAAGCUCAUGACCUGCUGGGAGAUAGACUUCACCAUCUUUUGAAUAUAUCCAGAAACCUUCUCUAGUGCAUCCUUGAGUAUCUCUGGCAGUGGACGAGGCUCUACACCUUCAGCUGGGGGCUCUAUCAUAUCCGCAAUUGGCUGGGCGGCCUCACAAAUCUUAUUCAGGGUGAAUGUGGCAGUUUCCGCCUUAGCCUCGCGAUAUUUGAUGGUCUCCAUGGUAGUAACAAGAUCAGUCUCGCCAUCUUUGCGCAUCUUCUUCUCCUUCUCCAAGUUAUGCUCCAACUUCUCAACUUGCAAGACAAGCCUAUCAUGUUGGUCAGUCACAUGAUAGAAUGCAUUGGUCCAAUCGGUGGCUUUCUCCUGGAGUUCUUUACUCGAUUUCUCAAGCUCUGCACAUUAAGGCAGCAGAGGAUCAGUACCACAAGCAGAAUUAGUAUUCGGAAAGCAGUAAGAAUAACAAUUACCUCUAAUCCGCUGGUUCAAGGACUUGUUGCGUCUGCUGAGUCGGUCUUUCUCUUCUUCAAGUUGCAAGAUGCGAUUCCGAUAUUCAGUAGCAGGUCCGCCAUACUUCAUCAUUAAUCGAGAACAGUGCUCCCUCUCCUUAGCAAGUUCUUUUUCAAGGGCCUCAACAUGAAGUACUAUGUCCCCAUAUCCUUCAAGCAUCUGGGAUUUGUGGCGGGAGCGCUUGAUGACAUCCUGCAACACGCACAAUAGGUACUUGUAUUUGUACACGAGCAUAAGUUACAAGGCAACUAUAGCCACAUCAAGUCAGAAAGAAGAUAUCUCUACAUAAUUGCUGAUACGGCGGUGCAUCUCCAUCAUUCUAGCGACCACGUCCAUAUUCAGCAAGGGGUCGUCAAUCAAUCGGAUAUCUUCAAGAUGAAUUUCUCUGGCCUAUAGAGGAUCUGCAUGAGCUUUAGAAUCAGUUGUGCUUUGUGAAACCACGGUAGGGUUUGUCGACGGACCUAGCUCGGAGGACGCGUUGGCAGCCAUGACUUCCAAAACUAUCACCACUUCAAUUUCCACGUCUGGCUCAGGGGCUAUGCGAGUAGCCACGGUGCCAGAAGUAGUCACCGCCACUUCUUCGACUACUUGUCGUCGAGGAUUGGCGGCACAACAUCGGUCGACGAUGCCAACACCUCAUGCAUAAGAGCUGCCACAGCAGACAUAGCCCUUGGAGUAGACGACUUCUCCACAAUUUUCUCCUGCAGUGGAAGUACUGCUUGAGCCUGGAUGAUGCCUUGAGCUGAGUGGCUGCUGCCAUCAGUCAUAGGAUUGGAGUCAGGCCUAGCCAAAUCUAUGUUCGAGGAUUUUUUGCAGAAGAGCACCUAUUUUUGUCACAAGCAACUUACUUACAAGUCAUAAUAAGUACUCAAAAGAACAACAGAGGAUACCUUGAAGAUCUCCUUAGUUUCAAUUUGGGUUCUCCUGUUAGGCGCAGUGGCUUAAUAGCCGGAGAUGGUGCCUUUGGCGUGGCCUGAGAAGUCGCAGCUUGAUCCUGGCCAACCAUAGUUACCGCCCCCCGCUGUUGACGUCAUCUCUGCGCUAGCAGUGUUCACCGUAUCUCUAGAGGAGUUGUCAUUGCUAAUAAUAGGCUUUGGACCAUCUUCAACAUCGAUCACCUCCUCGAUGAUCGGUGACUUGUCCUGAGCAGCCAAGGCAGCUGCCUUCUCAGUAUUCGUUGCAAGCUUGAGUACCUACAAACCACCAGUGUCAUCCUGAGUAGACACGGUGGUGACAUUGAAGACACAUUUUGGAAGUAUGUGAUACUUAGGAUCUUGUCCUUCCUCAUAGGUAAUUACCUUGGGGGCACAUUAUUCGCAGCGAUGGAUUUUUUCACGGCCUGUUUCACAACAAUGGUCCAUUUCUUCUUUGGUGGUGGAGGGAUCACGGCUUCAAGCUCAUCUGUAGCUGAGCGCUUCUUCGACCUGGACGACGGUUCGACCUUAGCAAACGGCUGGGCCUUGACUUUGUAUCGAUUCGCAGCAUCAGAACUAGUGCCGCUCGAAGACUCGACUACCUGCUCCUCAUGGUCAUCGCCUCUCAUGACUUCCCGCGUAAACAAGCGACAAGUGUCUUCACAAACAUCUUUAGAUCCGGGAAGAGAAGGAGUAGAGAAGUACAAAGCAACAUCUUCCUGCAAAAUGAGACAAGUCAAUUAACUAGUACAUUCAAAAUAAGUACUCGGGGGCCACAGUCAUGAGUACUUACAGACUUUGGCGAGUGUAAGGUGUUGAAUUCCCGCACAAAUAGUGGGGAUCCCGCCCACGUUCUUGAACAUUCGCUUGAGCCUAACCAUGAUUUCAUCCAUGCUAAUUUCAUCAGGAGAGAAUCUAGAUGGAUCAUUAAGGCUAGUAUACUCGUAGUCAUAAUGGCAUCGCUACUACAAAGGCUGGAUGCAGCGCUUCAUAAAGCUAAAGGCUACUCCAACUCCAGUAAGCCCUUCUUGUUUCAACUUGGCAAUCUUAUCCAUAAGUUCAAGUAAUUAGAGGCAAUCUCCAUGUUUCGGUUCAUCAAGCCACCGGUUGUUCCAAGAGGGGCAGUAUCCUAUCAGCUUGGGUAGUUUCGGAUCAUGGUUGCCAAUGUAGCACCAUUUUUCCUUCCACAUGGCAUUGGAGUCUGUCAACUCGUAAUCCAAAUACAGAGUGCUUACUGUCUCCUGAAUUACGGUGCCUCCAACCAACAAUAUGUAUUCCCUCAAGGGUUGUGGCUUCACACGGAAAAACUUCCGGAAUAACUGAAAGCGCGGCCUGAUCCCUAGAAAAGCUUCACAGAAGUGGACGAAAAUAGUAGUAUGAAAAAUUCCAUGGGGAUUCAGAUGCACCAACUCCAACUUAUAGUAAUCAAGAAGAUCCCGGAAGAAAUCAUAGGUGGGCAAUCAAAGGCCUCGCUCAAUGAAGUGCAGAAAGGUUACCGUCUCGUUUGGAUAUGAUUCCAAUGGGCAGGCAUUCCUAAAGGCGGAUCUCCACUGAAUAUAGCACCGCUCUUGCAACAGCUUUGCGGCAACAAGAGCCUUGAUGUCACUCUAGGUUGCCUUCGACUCUUUCCAGGCGCACACGGCGUUGGGCGGUGCAGUCUGAUUGGUCUUGCCGUACUUGGGCGCUGGCAACUGGGGAUCCUUCCCUUUGCCUGAUCUCUUUUUCUUCUUCUCGUCCUCGGCAGGCUUGGAUGCAGCGAUCUUCCUCCUCAUCCUUGAUGUCACGAGCGUCUUUAGUCGCAUACGCUCGGGGGUUGCGUGGUGGGGGGCGGCGGCGCUAGCGUUCAUAGAUCGAAUAGUGGUAGCGGCGCUAGGGCUACAAUGUGGAAGUUGGAAAGGCAAAUGGCAAAGGUAAAACAGAAGGGAUAACUUCCUCUGUUAUUUAUAACAGUGGCACAAUAAAAAUUAUGCAAGUGAAUAGAUUUCGAUUUAAAGGGUCCCCAGAAUUCAGGAAACCUGAUUGGUGGUUACUUUUAUUUUGGAAAGAAGAUUUGGAUAUUCCAAAAGAUGGUCACGUUGACCAAGUUUGACCCUUAUACCCACCAAACUAGUCGGCUAAAGGCUCGAGGGCUGUAUACCACGUGUCCAUCGACAAAAAGUUUUUUCUCUUGGUUUUAAUGGGAAAGUGAUGCAAAUUACAAAUUGACCCUUAGUCUAAUUCUUCGAUGGCUACUCCAUAUGGAGUGCGACUUUUGUCGCACUUACAUAUAAAAUUCAAGAUUUAAGAAUACGAGACUAAGUUAAAAGAGGCUUGAGCAUAUUCUAGCCUCAUGACAGUUUUUGGGUACCUUUAAAGAUCCAACUAGAUGAAGUACUCGAAGAGCACCAAAACUAGUCGGUGAAGUAUACAAAAGUACUCAGAACUGCUGCAUUUGACUAAAAGGUACUCAGAGACUUAUCGUACAUACAUCUAUGGGCCCACCAGAAGGUUUGAACAGACCCAAAUGUGAGGCUGGACACCGAGACGCAUCUGACAUGGAGACCAUGGUGCAGGAUGGCAUAGUCUACAUGGAAAGACAGGAACUAGUCAAGGAUUAGGAAAGUACUCGCUAUAAUAGGGUAGGCUUCUUCUAAUCAUAUCCGACUAGUAUUCCUGUAACCAACCGACCUGUAACCCUGCCCCCGACUAUAUAAGGCAAGGCAGGACCCCCUCCAAAUUCAAUCCAACCAACACACAGGACAUAGGGUAUUACGCAAUCUAGCGGUCCGAGCCUGUCUAAAUCAUGUGUCUACGUUUACCUUCGAGUUUCUGAUCUCAACGAGCCCCACCAACAAAAAUACUACUUCAGGCACCCCCUCGGUAGGUUGCCGAGUCUAAACAUUGACAAUGGUCCACUGGGGGCGUGAGGUGGAGGGUGGCAACGCUAGGGCUAGCAGGCGGAGGCGCCGGGGUCCGGCAGGCUGGAGGGAGGCGCUGGGGAGGUGGUGGAGCAGAGGCGUUGGAGCGGAUAAGAGAUCGGGAGUGAGAAAAGGAAAGAGCAGAUAAGAGAGGAAGGAAAGAGAAAAAAAGAGGAAAAAAGAAAUAUGAAGAAAAGAGGAAAAAGUGGAAGAAAAAAAUAAUGAAGGUAUUGUGGACAUUUCACAUAUUUUUCCAUUUGAAACAACCUGUUUUGCCGAUCGUUUUUCCAACUAGAUAAAAUAUAAAAAAAAAGCCGCUCCACCAGAGACGCCAUAGCCGGAGCUGCUUCAGCUACGGCCACAGUCUUGUCAAAUUAGCCCUUUCAUUUCCUAAGGACGUGGCACAACUGUGAUUGGGUCUCCCUAUCUUUAAGGUGUAAAAUAAAUCAAAGGGAGGGGUGUUGCAAGAAAAAGUUUGGUAGAUCGUAAGGCACACAAAGAGGGGAAUCAGUAAGACAAUUACAAUAACAAUUACACAAGUGAAAAGUAUGUGGGUUGGAGUUUUAUUUUUCAACAAAAAGUUUAUAAUAUUCCCUAUCUCUUAUAACAUUAAGACAGGCAUUAAACAUGCUUUUACCAUAGCACUUUAUUAAACAUGCUUUUACCAUAGCACAAAGUCCAAUUCACCUAACAAAGCACAAAGAAACCCACGUCCGGGUCUUUUUGAACAACCACUAGUACAUUGGGCCUGUUUGGCAGAGCUCCACGCAGCUUCAGAUCCUAAAAAAUAGCUCUGCUCCCAAUUUUUCCAGCCAAACGGUUUUAGCUCUAGCAACUCCACCGUAGAUCUGCUCCACGAAAAUGGUGGAUCUACCCCCAGAUCCAUGGAUUUGGUGGAGCUCGUCAGGGGGUGCUCCACGAAAUCAAAUUUGGUGAAGUUGGAGAAAAUUACCCACCACUGCCACUCAUUAGUGGAAAAUGACCGGUUCAUUCUAUUUCUUUUUCUUCUUCUCUGUGCAAAACGCUGCCGUCCUUCUCUUCCUGUGCUACGCCGCCGUUUGCCCCUGCACGCCGGAGCGUCGCCCGCCCUUGCUCGCCCCUGCCCGCCGGAGCCCCGCCCGCCCCUGCCUGCCCCUACCGCCGGAGCGCUGCCCCUGUUUGCCUCUGCUCCCCCCGCCUGCCCCGCUCGCUCCGCCUGCCAGAGCCCCAUCGCGCCUGCCGCUGGAGCGCCGCCCCUGCUCGCCUCUGCUCGCCCCGCUCGCUCUGCCCGCCGGAGACCCAUCUGCCCCUGCCGUCAGAGCGCCACCCCUGCUCGCCUCUGCUCCCCCCACCCGCCCCUGCUUGCCCUUGCCCGCCCCUGUCGUCGGAGCGCCGCCUCGCCCGCCGGAGAUCUUCUGCGGGAGGCGUCGUGGUGGCCGCGGCAGGUGUCGCGUCCCGUGGUGGUGGCCGCAAGCGAGGAGGAGGGCGGCGAGUCCGCCGGCGCGGCGACGCUUGGUAGGGAAGGCAGUGGCGGCAUGGAGAGGGCGCGGAGCCUGACGGUCGAUGACCUGGAGGAGCUGAAGGGUUGCGUGGAUCUGGGCUUCGGCUUCAACUAUCACGAGAUCCCCGAGCUCUGCGGCAUGCUGCCUGCGCUCGAGCUCUGCUACUCCGUGAGCCGACGUCAGCGCGCGAGGUCACACUCGCGGUGAUGAGGAAGGAGACGUUUUUUUUAUUCUGAUGCAUGGGUCCAAAUCGUCAGUGAGACAAAGACAAGAGUGGAGCUGUACCAAACGCUUUUUGAGAUAUUAGAUCCACGGUGGAGCAGCUCUAUGGUGAAGCUAGCUGGAUCUAUGGAUCUGGAGCUGUUUUUUCAGAGUUGGAGCUCUGCCAAACAGAGCCUAAGCUUCUUGACGCCACAAACAAAAGUAGCUCCUUGCACAACCCCUAGCCGAGAAUGUCUAAUCAGUUACUUCAAUCUCCUAUGUUUAAUUGUACCUCGUUAAAUGCGCUAACUGUUGAGUUAUUAUUUUGGUAUUGAUCAAUAUGCUAUCAUUUUAGUCAUCAUCGUUGACACAAAUACACAACGAAUAUGGCGUUAGGGGUUAUUACGGUACUAUCAUUAUACUCACGAAUGUUGUCGUUUAGUGGGUUUUGAACCUAUAUAUAAUCUGUAGAUCCACCAAGAAAGAACUAAGAAAGAACUAAUGAUAAUACGUUCUGAUCAUGUGACUAUCGGGGGUGUUUGGAUCCAUGGACUAAUUUUUAGUUCGGGUCACAUCGUAUGAUUGAAUACUAAUUAGAAGGACUAAACAUGAACUAAUUAUAAAAUUAAUUGUAUAAGCCGUGGCUAAUUCGCGAGAUAAAUCUAUGAAGCCUAAUUAAUCCAUAAUUAGCACAUAUUACGAUAGUAUCACAUGGUCAAAUCAUGAACUAAUUAGGCUUAAUAGACUUAUCUCGCGAAUUAGCCUUCAUUUAUGCAAUUGAUUUUGUAAUUAACCUAUAUUUAAUACUCCUAAUUAAUAUCUAAACAUUCGAUGUGAUAGGGAUUAAAUUCUAGUCAUUGUCUCCAAAUGGGCCUUAGUUUGGUGGCUUCCAAAGUGAAGCGGUCAAUGAUAACUAGGGGGCGUUUGGUUCAACUUGCGUAUUUUUAGUUCAUGUCACAUCGAAUAUUCGAAGACUAAUUAGGAGGAUUAAAUAUGAAUUAUUUAUAAAACUAAUUGCACAGAUGGAGGCUAAAUAGCGAGAUGAAUUUAUUAUGCCUAAUUAAUCCAUCAUUAGCAAAUGUUUACUGUAGCAACACAUUGUCAAAUCAUGGACUAAUUAGGCUUAAUAGAUUCAUCUCGCCGUUUAGCCUCCACUUAUGUAAUGGAUUUUAUCAAUAAUCUACGUUUAAAUACUUUUAAUUAGUAUCUAAAUAUUCAAUGUGAUCAAUAAUCUACGUUUGAAUACUUUUAAUUAGUAUCUAAACAUUCGAUGUGAUAGGUGCUAAAAAUAAGACAAAGUAACAGGGCCUAAUCCUUCUUCAGUGGCAAAAUCGUGAAAGCCGUCGAGUGAGGAAAGGAAUGGCAAAUUCGUAAUAGACGGGAAAUCAGGAAAGGAAAGCAGCAGCCUCCUCUCCCUCUAUCCAUCGCCUUCCCAAUCUCUCUCUCCCCUCCCUCGUCGUCGCUUCCUCCAAACCCUAGCCCGCCUUCCUCCCCACGCCCCCCCUAACCUCUGCCUCCGCCGCUCCGAUUCCCCGCGGCGGCGCGCGAUCCCGACGCUCCCAUCGCGCCCCGCGCCUGCGCUUCAACCCCUCCAUCCGGGCGAGAUCCGGCGGAUGGAACCCCCGGCGGCGAAGGAGGCGCCGCCGCCGCCCCAGCCCGCAGCGGAGGAAGACGCGAUGCUCUCCGCGACGGCAGCCAUGGCGAAGGAAGCCGCAGUGUCGUUCCAAGGCCGCCGCUACUCCGAGUGCGUCUUGGUGCUUAAGAAGCUCCUGGAGAUGAAGGAGGGCGAUCCCAAGGUGCGCGAUUCAUUCCUGCUCUCGUGUUACUACUCUCUGUGUGUGGGAAAGCGAGGAGGGUUAGGAACUUGAAUCUUCUAGCUGUGAACAUAGCAAAUCUGUGCGUUGGGUACCUUUCGGUUGCUAUCUGGAUGCGCAUCUGUGGUUGGAGCCAUGCUUACGCGCCCCUUGACCGUCCCUUGCGUCGGAAAUGGUUCUGGGGCUGUUUAUUUAGUUCCAUUCAUGGCUGUUCGCUCUGGGGUGGGUAGUGUUAAGUUUGCUUAUGUAUGUGGUUGGGUUCGCCAUGUGUGUGGCUGUUCGCUGUGUGUGUGCAUAUGUGCUUGCAACUGUUUCUUGAGCUGUAUUUGUCAAUGUCACCACCCACUCUUGUUGCAUCCAGUUUGACUCAAUGCCCAUGUUAGUCUGCAUGUUUUGAUUUUGUGAGCGUGUUGUGCAUUGGCGCAUGUCAAUGCCAGUUGGCAUGCUAUUGGGUCCAGAUUUUCCUCUGUUUUAUAUUCAUUAGCUGCGUCACUUGUUCCAUGAAGCUUACGUCAGGGCCUCUUUAAUCUUGUUGUCUUAGGCUUUAAAUUUGAAGCAUAAUUUACCUGAGACCAGCAAGGAAACAGUUCCGUUGGAAGGGUGGAUGAUAUAGUUGUCCAUUGUCUUUGUAUAGGACAACUGUCAGCUUGAAUCGAUAGUGUUUCUUCUUUUGCUUUGGGAGAAGAAAUUGUUGUUCUAUCAAAUUUGUUUUUCUGCAUCUGAUGUCACAUUUUGCAAUUUCAGGUCCACCAUAAUAUGGCAAUCACACAAUCUUUCUUGGAUGGUUGUCCUGAUCCAGAGAGACUGCUUAAAAUUCUAGGUGAUGUUAAGGUUAGUGAAUCCGCACUGCUCACUGUAUAAUCAUUUGAUUGACAUGUUGAUUAUUUUCAGUAAAGUAGCAUCAACAGAUUACCUUUUAUGAGUAACUUUUUAAUCCAAAAUGAAGAUACUUUUCACAUGGAUGAUUUUGUUUUUCAUAUGUGGCUACUGACAAAAUCCUUUCAUGUAUAGAUAGUGGACCCUGUUGUUUAACCUUGUAUUUUCUGUUGCAUUUCUGUAUGUUUCUUUAAGCAUAGAGUUGGAUUAGAUUUCUGCAACCAAAUAGAAAAAAACUUUUCUUGUACUUAAAGUUUUGCUGCGGUGUGCAUGUGUACACGAAACAGGUGUGUUCUAUAGGACUAAAGGAUACACCCACACAUUGACAAUUCUGAUAGUCGCUCAGUAUGCUUAUUUACGUUGCCUCCCAACUUGCGUGAAGAAUUGUACAUGUUAAGGGCUUAAAAAUUCAAAUUAUGAAAAUGUUUUGCUUAUACGAGUAAGAAUUAAGAUCAUCAUCUUUUGGGUUCAUGGGCCUAUUGUUAGAGCUGGAUGCGAAGUAAUAUAAUCCAAUGAACUCCUACACUGUUUUUUUGUGUAUUGUAUGUGAGUUAUAUUCAUGAAUAUUCUGCUUUUAUUGCACCAAACAAAUGCCUUCAUAUUCUGAGCAGUUUGCCCUUUAUGGUUUAAUUAAUGUUUCACUUUAGCAUGCUGAGGAAAUUUCUGUUUGUCGAACAAACACCUGAAUUUUUGUAAUGUGUGUUGCUCCUGAAUUUUCUAGCUACAGUAGCUUAUCUUUCUUUGAAAUAUCUAGCGUAACCUACUGUUCUAUAUUGGAGCUGCUGUGACCUUGACAGCAGCUGGCUGCGGUCAAAAUUAUGCUUUAUUGUAAUAAUAUAUGUAUAAGUAGCAGUUCAUGUGAGACUCCUUCAAACACCUAAGUGGCCUUGCAGCCUCCAAAUAGUUCCACGAUUUUUUUUAAUGGCUUGUCUUUAAUUUUUUUUAAGCUGCAAUUCAUGGUAGGCGAACUUGUUGCAGUUUGUCCUGAACUGGUAUUACACUCAUUGGUGCAACAUAAUGUUUGAUAUUUUUGUAUGAUGUAUAUCAAAACAUAUCAGUAUUAAUAACUGCACUAGUGUCAUCGUGUUAUUGACAUCUAUUUGUGACUUACUAUGUCAUUUUGUAGUGUACUACAUUUGUGCAAUACUCAUCUCUUUUAACCACUUUAUAAUUCACAAUUAUUAGGCACAUUAUAGUGAACUUUACCAUCAAUCCUGCCAUCUCUAACUAUUAUCAUUUGCCAUACUUUGUGCAUGUCAUAUUAGUAGAGUAUUUUGGCCCUACUUUAUUUAAACUAUGUUUUUUCUUGUUUUAUGUGCUUCGGUAAAAAUUGACAGGUUUUACAAUUGUAGGGAGUAUUAUGUUACCAUCUUUGGUGUGUAUUUGUUUUCCUGUUAGUUGAGGUAAUUUUGUUCUUAAUAUUGUACCGCUAAUUUCUUCAGAAAAGAUGUGAGGAGCUUGCAUGUGCAUCUAGAGAACAAGCUGAUUCUGCCAAUGGCGUAGGAAGCAAUGCAUCUUCAGGAUCAAGAGGGAGCGGCAUAGUACUACCUUAUUCUGCUGCACAUAAUGCGUCAACCUAUGGGGAUGAGUUUGACACAACCAUAAUAACAUUCAACAUGGUAUGUCUUGUUAUGUGGCAGUAACUAUGUGAUUAUUUUUCUGGUCAUUGAUCUGUAUCAAAUAAACUACGACUAUUAAAUACAAGCACAAAAUAUGCUGAUCAUGGACUCAAAUUCGCAGGCUGUCAUCCUCUACCAUCUUCAUGACUAUGAAUCUGCUCUAUCUGUUUUGGAUCCAUUGUACCGAAAUAUUGAACCAAUUGAUGAGGUAUUAUUAGCGAUUGAGUAGCUUAGUGACAAGGGAAAAUUGUGUCAAUGCUAAUUAUUCUUUACUCUUACAGACAACUGCUCUUCAUGUAUGCUUUCUAUUAUUGGAUAUUACUUUAGCUUUGCAAGAUGCAACAAAGGCUGCGGUACGUUUCUUUCCUUGGUGUGGGGCAUUCACCACUUAAAAAAAAGGCAUUUUUAACAUUUAAUGUUGGUAUUAUUACUGGUUCUUUGUAUGCUAUUUAUAUUUGACAUGUUGGAUUUUUUGUAAUUCUCUCUGAUACCUUUUCUUGUGCCAUAUCCUGCCAUGACAUUUUUUGUGCUGUCGCUGACAAUUUCCUUGUUAUGAUGACUGUUAAUAUGGGAGAGGGAUCUGAUGUGUAGGGUGUGUUGAUCAUGAAGUCAUCUGUCAAAUUUGGUUUGUUAGGGUGAUUGUCAUACUCCUACAGUUUUCUCCGUGUGGGAACUUUGAACUUUUGAGGUUUAUACUGUCAGAUUUAAUUGGGAUCUUAGCCUGAACAGUUGGUCUUAGGCCAUUCUCAGUGCAAGGUUUCAUUGCAUGAUUUCCAAGAGUGCCAUGUCAUCUAAUAAUCAUUGAGCUGAUGAAUGAAACUAAGUCUCUCAAUGCAAUAUUUCAUUUCACGAUUUCAUAUGCUAGUAUAUCAUUUUAAUCUUUCAUCUAAGUGACCAAUGGGAGUUGAUGCAUAUGUGGAGAUGAAACUCAAAUCCUCUCAAUAGAGUUUCAUUCUAGUAUCAUGGCUCUUGGUACUGUGUACACCUAGUUUCAUCCCCAUGAAACCCAAUUCUUCUCUUUCCUCUAAAAUGCCAUGCCUUGUCAUCACUUUUGCCUAUGUGGCAUGUCAUUUAAUGAGAAUGAAACUCAUAUGAAACUUGCAUUUAGAAUGGCCUUAGGCUCAUAGCAUUUAUUUUGGCCUGGUUUCUUUUGGGAUUUGGACCAUUGACUUGUGCCUAGAGGAAAUUUUAUUCAUCUUGUUUAACUUUAUGAUUACUUAUUGCCUUACAGGAUGUAAUACAGUACUUGGAAAGGUCAUUUGGAGUAGCUAACACAACGAACCAGAAUGAAAAUGCUAGCAUAGCUCAGCAGCAAUUAGCUCAACCGAAGCCUCCUGCAAAAAGUAACACACCUCCAGAUUCUGAUUCAAAUGCUUAUGGUGGUGGAUGUGAGAACCUUUCAACAGGAAGUUUCCCAGAUGAACCAAUAGAAUUCGAAUCUUUAUACUCUAGUUUUGAUGGACAUCAGAAUCUGGGUCGGCCUAUAUUGAAUGAUUUCCCCAGGGCAUCUGCUGAUCUUGCUGCUACUGCUGCUGAUUUGAAAGUCAGACUGCAGAUUUACAAGGUCCGGCUUCUACUGCUCACUAGGAACCUUAAGGUUGCAAAGCGAGAACUUAAAGUACUGAUGAACAUGGCACGUGGUAGGGAUUCAUCUACAGAGCUUCUCUUGAAAUCUCAGCUGGAGUAUGCCCGGGGGAACUACCGGAAGGCUGUGAAGCUAUUGAGCACACCAAAUAAUCGAACUGAACCAGCAAUGCUAGCUAUGUUCUACAACAACCUUGGAUGUAUACUCCACCAGCAGAGAUCUAAUCACACCUCUAUAUGGUGCUUUAGCAAAGCGCUGAAGUACAGCCUAUCUCUUCGUUCAGAGAAACCACUGAAGCUGACUGCAUUAUCACAAGACAAGUCUUGUCUUAUUUCGUACAACUGUGGUAUCCAACAUUUGAUGUGUGGGAAGCCUUUGUUAGCAGCUCAAUGUUUUCGUGAGGCUAUGCCACUCUUCUACAAACGACCCCUUUUCUGGCUCCGUUUUUCUGAGUGUAGUCUGCUAGCUCUAGAAAAGGGUCUACUGUGUGCAGCUGGUGCUUCUUCAUGCAAUGAUGAGAUUGAAGUCAAUGUUGUGGGGUCAGGACAAUGGCGGCAGUUGAUCGUCAACCCUGUGCACUCGAGAAGUAAUUCAGCUUCUGCACGUGUGACUUCAGAUGAACAUAAAAAUUUGGUAUCACUUGGAUUUGCUAGACAAUGUCUGCUCAACGCUCAGCUAUUAUUGGAUGCUUCUGAGCAGGAAAAUCCGGUGCCCGCAUCCGAUGCAGAGGAUGGCAACCAAGGAGUAGUACAAGGACAUAAAAGCUCAGGUCAGAAGAACACUGUAAGUACAGAUUUUAAAGCACCUUCUGGCCCAACCCUGGCUUUUGUAAACGGAGAACAAAAAGGAACGAGCUUGAAUGCCACCUUGCAGAGCUCUCUUGCUUUGUAUGAUGAGAUUUGUAGAAAAGAGAACCUCAAAAUCAGACAGGCCAUCCUGGGGAGCUUGGCGUUUGUUGAGUUGUGUCUUGAGAAUCCUUUGAAAGCUUUGUCUUAUGCGAAGUUGCUACAGCAGCUGACUGAUUGCUCUAGGAUGUAUGUAUUCCUCAGCCAUGUAUAUGCAGCUGAAGCUCUGUGUGCUCUGAACAGACCAAAGGAUGCUGCUGAGCAGCUGUCAGUUUAUAUCAAAGAUGGCAAUGAUAUUGAGCUGCCAUACAAUGUGGAGAACUGUGAGAAGGCCUUAGAUGAGAAAGACAGUGAUGGUGAAGACACGGUUGCUCCUGCUGUGACAAAACUGACCUCAGAAGAAUCUCAGCACUCGGAGAGUCUCAAGCCUGAGGAAGCUCGGGGCGUUCUGUAUAUUGACCUCGGCAUGACCGCUGCAAUGCAGGGAGAAUUUGAGCAGGCUGACUAUAUGGUGAGCCGUGGCCUUGCCAUGCUGCCCAACAACCCUAGGGCAGUGCUAGCAUCAGUUUACAUGGACCUUCUGCAGGGAAAGUCCCAGGGGGCCGUUGCAAAGUUGAGACACUGUAGGCAUGUGAGAUUUAGACCUAGUGUACUAGCUACCAGCUGAGCUUAGAGAAGCAUACCUUUUCAUGGUUUCUGUAGUUUACAAUUACCAUUACAAUCUUUUUGGACCCUGACCCCAGUGCGGAUGAUGAUUAAAGAUGGUAAUGCCCCUCCUGUGUACCAUACAUAAGAAGUGAACUGUAGUUCUCUUUUUAGCUUCGCCCCAGAUUCAGGGUGUAAUGUGUUGAAACUAUAUCGUUUAAAUUCGCUGCUCUUUGGACUGAAGAGUGGCCAGGUGAUCAAAAUAGUUUCCUAUAUCCGUUUAAUCAGGAAUCAAUCUGGAGAACAAUGUGCAGAGGCUUUGGGCUCUGAUACAUGCGUCAUAAGAUGAGUAGUCACUUUGCCUGCAACCGUUCAUCUGAUGUGACUCGGUACCGGUUGCUUGUGUACCCGUUUGUUUUUGCGAACUGUUGUUUUUUGUUGGGUUUUGCGAACUACUUUUAAGAAAGACGAACAUUUUUACUGCAAAGCCCGCAUUUGCAAAUCAUUACUUGACUAAAACACCUCAAGUUAAAAAAUAAUUGAUGCUGGUGACAUUUUUAUGGUCUUUGGUGUACAACUUUAGUUGCUAUUUUUCUAUUAGAAUAUGGUUAUGACAUCUAAUGAAUAUAUGAGAUUAUGAAAAAGGCUUUUAAAGACAAAUCUGUUGAUAUGUUUUCGAAUUGAAAAGCUAUUGAUGCAAAGUUUUAAAAGUUUGAGUAGAUUUCCGUUAAAACAUCAAGUAUUUGCGUUCAAAGGUAGUAUAUGUUUUAUUUGAAAAAGAAAAAAUCGAGCUUUUUAUGCCCAACAGAACAACUGAGUAAUUAACAAUUCACUCGACGAUCGUGAUCGUUUUUACCAGUUCCGCCCCUAAAUUCAACGACCUACUUUCCAGGACACCGGGGUGAGGUGGAAGGCACUCGUAGGUCUCCGCUGUGCAGCGAAUUCCCGUCGCUGAGGGAUGUACAACGCCAUUUGAUAACUCGUUGGAUCCAUACAAUUAUAAUUUUUCAAUUUUUGAACGCACUUCUUCCUAUAUGUUUAAGAUAUGACAUUUUCUACGUUUUUAAAACUAUUGGACCACACACAUGCCGUCGUAUUUUCGUAUGGACUAAAAUACCGUCCUUCAACUCUUCUUCUCCACUCACGGACGCGUGGAUCCAUGUGUCAUCCCCUUCCUCCCUCGUUCCUUUCCCCUCCUUCCCACCCCCGCAAGGUGAGCGAGAACGCGGCGAUGCCGCACCUGAAGCAGCCCGGCAGCAGCUGCGCUCGGGCCGCCGAGCCCUAUGCCGUGAAUCGGAAACGGGUCGACGUCGGCAGGCACGCGUCCUCCUCGCCAUCCGUGCGCAGCGGCGCGUCGUCCAGCGGCAGCAGCGGUGGCGCUGCGAGCGGAGGCGAGCUCCUGAGGCCGCGCCCGUCGGCGGCAGGGGCGAGAGUAAGCCACUGUGGCGAAUUUCAAGGGCGCGAGAUGCCUCUAGGGGCCGCCGUUCAACUAUGUCGCCGUGGCCAAGGGUGGCGGCGGCGGCAUGUCCUCGUCGCUGGCGCUAUCUUGAAGACUUGAACUGAUAACGGGUCGAAAAUGAGUACUAGUAGAAAAGGUGUCGUGUAGACAUUUGCUACUGGAUACGUCUAGAAGGUUAAUGUUGAACAUUUGCUAGCUCUGUAACGGUGUAAAAGUUUAUAACUUUUACAGGCGCGUAGCCAUGCAUCGCACGCGUCACCCGUCGGAUCACCAGCUCGUCCGGAGAAUGCCGUCGCCGCGACGAACCCAUUCCCCUCCACCUCGCACGUCCGCAUCUCGUCGAGGGCGCCCCGCCGCAGAAGACGCGGGAGGCGAGGUCGGGGCGCGCGUUGCCGAGGUACGCAGUGAGCAGCGCGUUGAGCGACUGCGUGUGGGUGUGGAAGCCGAGCUUGAGGAGCAGCGGGUGGAGCUGGGCGACGAGAAGGAGCGGCCCGGCGUCGGGGAUGGGGAGAGGCUCCGGUGGUGGGGCGGCGGAGGCAGAGGGGGUCACCGCGGGGUAGGAAGGAGGGGAAAGUAAGGAGGAGGAAGGGGAUGACACGUGGGACAUACGUGUUAGUGAGCGGAGAGGUGCAUUUUAUUCCAUACGAAAAUACGAUGGCCUAUGUAAAAUGGCAUAUUUCAAACUCAAAUAUACGAAGAAUUAUAAUAGCACCGUUCCUAUAACGCGAACAGUGUGGUCAAAAAUUGGAAAAUUAUAAUAGCUCAGAUCCAAUUAACUUUUUAUAAUGCUAUGUCAUAUUUAAUGACUCGUCUAUAUAGUGCCAUGUCAUCGUACUUAUCCUACGCCCGACUUUUUUGUAUUUUGGCCCUUUUCGCGAAAAAAUCUCACAAAUAGGCCCCUGGCGAAACCAAUUCCGAAAAUGGACCCUCAGCUUGGCUGGCUGGCGCCAAGGUAUAACGUCUUGGCGCCAGCCGUCCUGGCGCCAAGGUCCCUACACCGUGCCUCCGACGUGGCGCCGGCCCGCUGACGUGGCCCCGAGGCUGGGCGCCAAGAUCCAUGGCGCCAAGGCUCGGCGCCAAGAUCUGUGGCGCCAAGGCUCGGCGCCACCGUCGCUGGCGCCAAGCCUCGGCGCCAUCGAUCUUGGCGUCGAGGCUCGGCGCCAGCCUCCCUGGCGCCAAGCCCCCUACCAUAUAUACCGCCCCUUCUUCCUGCCCGAGAGUUCCUCCUCAUUAUUCUCCACUCUCUCGGGUUUUUACUCUCCCUACUUUGCCCUAGACUACGAAUCGACAUUGUAGCUUAGGAAACUUUCAUUUGAUCCGUGGAUCCUGAAGAGCAAGGUAUCCUCUCUCCGUCGUACCUUUUUUCACAUCGAUUCGCUAUAUAUUUCUUGCAUUUUUGAACUUAGGGUUUCAUGCAAAUGUAGGAUGCCGAGGCGUGGAAAAGCUAAGAAACUAAGGUAAUCUCAACGCCCGUAGUUAUGUUAUAUACUCAUUGUUGUGGAUCAAAUGAAAAAACCUUAAUUGUAGGUUUAUUCUUAAGUGCGUUUGAUUCAUAGAACCAAAUAAACAAAAUUGUAGUUAUGGCGCAAAGAAGACCGGAAAUGCGUUCGAUCCAUUGCCUCUGCCUAGUGGUGUUCCAGUGCCGAUGUGCUUUUGCGGCGAUCCUUGCAAGGUAGCCAAGUCCGAAGAACAUGCCACGUAUAGGCAGAGGUAUUGGAUGUGUUCCAACUUUGCGUUUGAACCUACACUUCGUCAGCGCUGCAUUAACAUGUUGGUAAGGAAAUGUUGUUGUCUUAUAAUUAUUGUCCAUAAUUUUUUUGUUUUAUAACAAUUGCAUUUGUUGUAGACCCCUCCACCGCUAUGUGAUUUUGAGCAGUGGAUCGACGCUGAGAUCAAUCCUGAAGACAAGGAGUUUUUGGAGUAUAUGAUGCGCUGGGAUGCAGAGAGGAAGGAGGUGUACGAGAAGAGGCUCAUAGAGGAGGCUGCGGAAAAGGAGCACAAGGAAGAGGAGGAAAGGAGGCGGGUUGCUGCGAACAGGGAGGAGAGAGAGAAGAAGCUUGAGCGGGCACGCCGAGCGAAAGCAACGGUUGAGGAGAAUCCCGAUGCCUUAAGGAAGGGAAAGUGGCCUCGUUGCACUCAGUAGCCAUAUUUAGGUUCUAGUUUUAUGGUUUAUUUAUGAACAAUAUUUUCUACUGUGAGACUUUUAUUAUGUUGUCAUGUAAUAAUGCACUUUAAGUAAGGACACGCAAUUUGUAGACGACAUAUGUUCAUUUUGCGAUGUAAUGCAUUUCGAAGUCGUAGUCUACUGAAAUAUCCGUAGAAAAUAAAAAUGGUACUUGUUAGCGAAAUUUCGGCAGAAUUUCCCCUACUUGUUGAUGCAAUCCAUACAAAAUUACGAGAUGAAUAGUGAAUAUAAAUACAAGCAUAGAAGCAUAGAAGCAUAUGACACAAGCAUAUGACACAUUCAGAAUAGAAUCCACAAUAGUUCAGAAUGAAAGUCCAUAUAUAUACAAAUAGUCCAUAUGAUACAAAGUUCGCAAUCAGAAUCGUCACUGCCUCCUAGUCUUACCCUUACCCUUGUGACCAAGGGCGUCGGUGCCUGGAGUGUAAGGAGAACGUGGACGACGUAGUCUAGUGCCCCCUACAACCUGUGUAGGCUGAGUCAAGGGAGCCUCCUGGAGCUGAGACGGGCCAAUCUCCUCGGCCCUCUGCUCAUCGUCGUCGUCAUCAUCGUCGUCGUCGACUUCCUCGGAUGCAAUUGAUUUCGAACCUGAGGGGCCUUGGCUGGACGUACCGACGCCUCCUUCGCGCAGGGAUGGAACGUGCACGUCUCGCGUCGUGGCAGUCCUGCAACCACAACGAGCAGCGGCACUGCGAAGCCGAUUUGACAAUCGCUGCAGUAGUAAAAACAAGUUACACAAAUGAAGAAUGUAACGUAUUAAUAAAGUAUUAGAAAGAAUAAUUUGAGACUUACCUCUAGGACGCUCCGUAUCUCGGGGUCCCUAACUCGUGGACGGAUAUGCUCUAUAUCUCUAACCGAGCUUUGUAGGGUACGCCCCUGCAACAAAUGACUAAGUCACUAAAGCAACAAAUGUCUAAGUCACUAAACGACUAAAUGAUUAAGUCAGAUGAUCACUAAGUCCUUCUCUAACUAACUAAAUCUCUAAGUAACUUAACAUAGAACAUAGAAAAGUGAAGCAAUUGUCUUACCAUCCUAUCCAGGAUUGGUCCUGCCUCCACCUGCCUUCCAGCACGAGUACUCUGAUCGUACACCGUGUCUUCAUCGUCGGAUGAGUGGAUAUCGGCGUAGUCAUCUUCCGUCCACGCUUCCCUCAGCCUGUGCCGCGUCGCACCUUGGUACCAGCUCUGGUAUUGCCUGUACGCACUGUUUGUGUGCGGCUCGUUGUUCUCGUCCAAGUUCUGCUCGAACUGCUCCCAUUCCUGAAUGUAUGCGUGGUGGAACGCGGCCCACUCGGAGACCUUCCGUUUCUUCUUUCGAUCCACGCUGCACGUCACGUUACACGUUACUGUUAGCCAAAAUUUAGUUAAUAGUAUUGAAAUAUAUGAAAUAGGAAAAGACUUACUUGUGUAACUCUAUACUAGUCGAGGUCGCCUGUGGUGGCCAAAUCUGCCUCAUCCCAAAUUGACGUGCUACUCGAUGUGGCAGGUGGUACUCGACAGCAUAGAAGCAAAUAAGAGGGCACACCAUCCUAUAAAUAUCAUCGUCCGUCGCACACAUGAAGCUAAGGGGAAAAGGAAGUGGAUCGUCUCCGUCGUAAGGCUGCCAAUUUACCUGCAAAAUUUGAAUCAAAAACAUUAGUUGUUAUACUAAAAGAUUACAAAGCAUGUUUAAAAAAAAUUCACUUACACUAUGAGCAGUGAGCGCGUCUAUCUCGUUGAUGUAAUCCAGGUACGCACGGUCCAACCUCGUAUGGCUAACCUUAACCUGAUCCCAAAUAUAUGCCCAUGUCGGCUGUCGUCUCGGCGGCUCACCUGGGAACCACGGUCGACGCGGUAUAAUCUCGGGCCGACCAACAGGAAGACGGGACCACAUCCAUAAUUGCAACAGGUAGACACACCCACCAACUGACGGGGAGCCCGAAGUCCGACGGCAUGCCUCGCACAGCUGCCGGUAUAGAAAGCACAACACAGCUGAUCCCCAGCUGUAAAAACCAGCCUGGUGCCAGUCAGUGAGGCAGUGGAUCCACAUCCAAGACGCAGUGUCACCUGUAGCGUCUGGGAAAAGAACGCAGGCAAAGAGGUGUAGUAUCCACGCCCUGCAGUAGUGUCCAACUGUCUCAGCAUCCGCGUCCUGGGGGCACUGGCCGAAGUGUUCCCGCAGCCAUGAGAUUAGCACUCCAGAUGUGCGAGUCCCCUGCUCCUCAACCUCUCGCCCCAGGAAGGCUGCGACUCGUGCUCUCCAACCAUCUGAGACGCACGGCCCAGUGACUGGCUGGCCCCGAAUCGACAGACCCAGCAUCUUCUGACAGUCCUGUAGGGUCACUGUCAUCUCUCCGAACGGGAGGUGAAAGCUGUGAGUCUCGGGUCGCCACCUACAUUUCGCCGGAUUAUUAUUUGAUAACAUGUAAAGACAUAACAAAAUGAAUAUGAUUAGUGGUAAUAGUACCUGUCAACCAACGCAGUUAUAGCCGCUGAAUUGAACUUGGGCAUCCCACGACGAACCUGAUACGAGAUGACAUCUAGGCCAGCCAUCUGUAGCAAAGGAGUGUAGCGGUCGUCGUACUGCAGUGCAAAAAAACCCAUCAUGGGCUCUAGAACGAAGGAGCGGAAGGACCUGCAUGCAAAUAAACCGAGUCAGAGAUUUCAUAGGACACAAGACAUGGACGCUCGCAAAGCUUUAAUCAUGAAUUGUAGAUUAUUACCUGCCCUCCCGCUAUGAGACGACCUCAGUGGGUCUGGUCGUACGCCUGGUCUAGAAGGUGGAAGUGCGCCAUCCUACGAAAAGGCAAAAAGAAAUAAGAUUAGUAAACAAUAAAUCAUGAAGUUAGAGAUGUAGAAACACAACCUGUAUGAAUAAAACACAUAUCAAGUAACGAAAAGAGCUACUAGUCGCACCUCACUAAUUUGCCAACGGCAAGUGCGUGAAUUAUGACCCAAUCUGCCGCACUUGCCGCACUCGUUCUGUUCUGGAUCAGCAAGAAAUGGUGUUGCUCUACCACGCCUCGUUCUUCCAGAUACCUGAUCCAUAGUCAUGUUAUGCCUCGUCCGCUUCCUUGUUCCACGUUUGUUCCAACGGUAUGCAGGAUCCGCAACAUAUUUUGGCCCAUCAUACGGAGGCCACUCUCUAGGAUCCCGGAAAGGCACGAAGCGGGGGCUCCAUGUCCGCACAAGGGUGCCUACGCUGAACUCAUGUGGUAUCAUGCUCUCGAUAUCAAAAUUGCGAUGCCUAGCUGCUGCCACCAAAUGAGAACUUACAAAGUGGUACUGCCUUGGCCUACCACAAGUGCACUUGAAAUCUCGGAGAACUACCACAUGUAUCCUCGACUCUCGGAUCUCACCGUCGGACGUUGUACCGCCCCUAUGCUCCACCUGAUAAGUCCCUGAGCCGAGAUCAAAACAUUGCACCUCAUGUGUGGAAGCCCUUUCAUUUGCAAUGAUGAGAUGUCUCUUUGGUUUUUCAGCCCAUCUCUCCCCAGCAAUCUGCAACGCUUCUGCUUUUGCGUGUCUUUCAUUGAACCACGCAACAAGCCUGUAGAAGGUGAAUUCAACGAUUGCAUUCACAGGCAUACCACGUAUCCCCAAUAACAACUUAUUGAAUGACUCGGCCAUGUUACUGCACUGAAACUCGUACCUCCAACCACCGGCGUCGUGAGAUCUAGUCCACUUAUCUAAAUCUCUCAUCAAACCAGCGAGCCAUUGUCGACCUUCUGCAUUUGUUGCGGUCCUUACCUGCUCCAAUUUGCGCUGAAAGUAAUAGUCCUCAAGCUGACGUGCUGCAACUUGAAACAGAUCAAAAUUAUCCUUCACACCAUCCUUCCGAAGAAGGUUCUCCGCAAGGUGCCGAGUGCACCAACGAUGAUGCAAAGGUGCAUAACCCUCUAUCUGUUCUUGCACAGCAUGAAGUAUGCCCUGAUGCCUAUCGGAUAUGACGCCAACAUCCCUACUAGGACCAACCACAUGUAUCCGGACUAGUCUUAAGAACUACCCCCAACUGUCAUUGUUCUCCCUCUCAACCAAUGCAAAUGCCAAAGGAACCAACAUAUUGUUCGCGUCACAAGAUAUGGCUAUAAGAAGUGUGCCUCUAUAUUUGCCAAUCAAAAACGUACCAUCAAUAGAGAAAACAGGACGACAGUGCCUAAAGGCUUCCACAGACUGAGGGAAGCACCAGAACGCACGCCCGAAUAUCUACCUCCCGUCCUUCCAAGCAUUUGGCUUUGGGAUGUACUCAUAAUGCAUGCCUGGAUUCACCGCUUUAAUUGCAUUAAAAAGCACUGGCAGCUACUCGUACCCAGACUCCCAAUCCCCAUAAAUCAUCCUCCACGCUCGCUGCUUAGCCCUCCAAGCUUUACCAUAAGUUAUCACAUAUCCUCCAUAAAUCUCCUCAACAAUUCUUAUAAUUGUUCUCACUUUCAUGUUGGGUUGUUCCUUCAAUAUUCCCAUCAACCGCUUCGCAAUGAGGGUAGAUGUUAGCUGCGGAUGUCUCACUGUAAGCUCAUGGUCAGCACAAUUGUGUGGACCGACAACUUUUGUGAUCUUCCACUUCCCGGUGAUAUUUUGCUUUCUUGCACAAACCCUCCAUGGACACCGUUCCUUGUCACACACAACUGUGUAACGGCGCUCCGCAUAUGAAUGCAACACUUUGUACGGUCUCUUCCGUAUCACCGCAAAAGCUUGCAACCAUCUCUUCAAUGCGGGAAGGUCCUUAAAUACCCUACCCUCCUCAAUAACCAUACUAGGACCAGCUUCAGGAGCUUCUAGGAGCUCAUCAUCACGUCCUUCUGCAAACGCCUGAUCGGAAAGAGUCAGGUCGCUAAACUCGUGAACUAUCGGAUCACGACGUCCGGGGAAUAUACGCCUGAACAUCUCAAUAUCACUCUCUGUCAUCUCUCCAACAGGACGAUCAUCAUCAGAAUCAAGAUCCACUCCCAUCUCGUAUGCAUCUUCAUCAUUCAAAAUUUCAACACUAUUAGAGCCGCGCAAUCCAUCUCCACAUUGCACUUGCGCAUCAACUAGAGGCACAUCCACAUUUUCUGGAAUAUCUCCUGCGCCAUCAAGUACAAAUAUGAGUAAAGAAUAAGUGGAUGGAACGAAUGGAUUAUCUCUUAUCAAUAGAAACCGGUGAGACACUUACUCGGAUCAUUCUGAGUGAAAAGGAACUCAUUAGGAGAGUCCGCCACAUCAUCAACAAUCCGACAACCAUGUCCAACUACUUCAUUAGGGGCAGAUUCAGCAUCGGGAAUAGUAGGUGCAACAUCCACGUCCAUAACAGGUUCUGGGACGGGAGGAUCGAAAUGUGCCCGUUGACCCAUUGGUCGGGAAAACCGACGAGGAUUUCGAUCAACUCCCACCGGACGAACAACCACUUCAACACUUGGGGAAUGACCAUUCAUAACCGUCCUCACAUAUUUCUCCCACUGACCUGCACACCGAAUUGGGACCAUCUUCCUUUGAAUGUUGAGAGGGGAACCUAGGUGAAGUAUGCCCUCGACUGUGAUUUCAUCAUUUUCAUGACAAUGUAACUCCUCCCGAGCCCUUGCAACCAACUCACUAAACGAUGGUUUCUCAUCGAAUAUGACAACCUCGCACUGCAUGCCAACAAACUUAACACAUCCAUAUUCAUCCCUUUCCAUAGUGCCUCCGUAAUAUAUGCUCACUACGUUCUCCAUCUAGUAUAUCAAUAUAACGACGCACAAUUCAUUUAGUCCAUAAUAAAUUAAACAUUCUAAGUCUAGUAUGAAAUCAGAUAGUAUCAAUUGACUACUAACUACUAAAUACAACUAACUAACUAUGUCACAUAUACUAACUAACUAUAUCACCUAAUAUGUACAUACGUACUUACCUAUACAACUACUUAACUAAAUAUCAUAAUAACUAGUUUACUAUGCUAUUAGUUAUCAUAUCUAACAAUUAUAUCUAUCUAUCAACUUAUCUAUCUACCUAUUUUAUCUAACAAUUAUACCUACCUAUCUAAAUUUUACCUAACUAUUCUAAUUUAUCAAUAUUACUAUUUUAUCUAAACCUAUCUAUCUACAUUAUACUACAACUAAUUACCUUCGAUCGGCCGGGAGCGGGCACACGACGGGGGGCGGGCGGCCUCAGGCCACGGCGGGCGCUGGAGCCUGGCCGGGGGGCACCGGCGAGCGGGGAGGCGCGGCUUGGGCCGGGCGCCUCUGGGCGGCGCGCGCCGGGGCGGCUCGGGGCGGCGCGCGGCGGCCCUCCGGGCGGGGCGGCCGGGCCGACGCGCGGGGAGCCGGGGCGCCGAGGCCGCCGGGCGGGGCGCCGGGCGAGCGCGCGGGGCGUCGGGCGGGGCGCCGGCCGGCGCGCGGGGCCGUCGGGCGGGCGCGCGGGGCCGCCGGGCGGGCGGCGGCGGGGCACCGGGCGGGACGGCGCGUACGGCGGCGGCGGCGCGGCGGACGACUACGGAGUGGGCCGACGCGAGAUGUGAGCGAGAUGCAAAAUCAAACUGCGCAAAAGGAAGGGGAGCCGUUAUGGUAAAAGGCUUGGCGCCAGGGAGGCUGGCGCCGAGCCUCGGCGCCAAGAUCUAUGGCGUCGAGGCUUGGCGCCAGCGACGGUGGCGUCGAGCCUUGGCGCCACAGAUCUUGGCGCCGAGCCUUGGCGCCAUGGAUCUUGGCGCCAAGCCUCGGGGUCACGUCAGCGGGCCGGUGCCACGUCGGAGGCAUGGCGUAGGGACCUUGGCGCCAGGACGGCUGGCGCCAGGACGUUAUACCUUGGCGCCUGGCGCCAAGCUGAGGGUCCAUUUUCGGAAUUGGUUUCGUCAGGGACCUAUUUGUGAGAUUUUUUUGCGAAAAGGGCCAAAAUCCAAAAAAGUCGGAUCCUACGCCUACGUGUCUCUGAUUAAAUGAGCAGAGGACGUCGUCGCCGGCCGGAGCUUGCCUGUCCCUCUCUAUGUCCCUAUCGGUGUACCCGCACACGUGGAGCACGCCAAUUCGUUCUCCUCCCAAAGCUGGGGCAUCUAAUUUUCUUUUGCCGACGCCCACACCACGAGAAAACGGCGCCAUCAGUCCGUCCAAUCCCGCGUGAUUCUCUCUCUCUCUCUUACCGCCACAAAAACAUUUACGGAAGUUAGCUGAUAUUAAUGGAGGGAAAAAAGACCCCAAAUACUAAAAAAGUGGCGCCAAUUACAACUGAAGGUUUUUUAUCGGCAUUCGGCAAGGUAACCAUCAGAUUAGCAUCUUCCUCAACGACAAGAACGGCAUCUCAGCCAAAUCUCCCCACAUUUAACCAGACCAAUUACAUGUGGAUGGAAGCACCAGUAGUUGCACAAGUACCAAGCAUCGUUAUGCUGUCUGCUCCCGCUGACGUCGCCACCACAUCCUCGACAAAUUCGCCAAAUUUCUCCAGGGUCAACAUUCAUGCUGGUGACGCAGGAACAAUAGACUUAGACCAGGAUUCUAUUAAAAUCAAUAUACGCGGGAUAUGGAUCUUAGCGGAGGUCUUCAAAAAAUGCUAUGAGUGCUAUAGCACCCGCUAUAUAGCAACGCUAAGCCAUUUAGGGGAUUGAAAAAACAGGAAAAAUCAUAGUCCAUAACAUAACUAAAUAUUAAUACUUUAGUACAGUUCUACACUCUGGUGCUGGCAUGCUGCUGACCUGCCGUGUGCAGGUGCAGCAGAGGAGAUGACGUGCUGGCAUGCUGCAGACCUACCGUGCUGGUGUGCAAGCGUGAGCAGAGGAGAUGGCAUGCAGCAGAGGAGAGUCCCAGGCACAAGCAGCCACGGCAAAGGGAAAAGGCCAAAGGGGAGAUGCACUCUCGGUCUCAUCUCUCAGGCGAUUUAGACGCCGGCGGCGACGACGAUUUUUGGACGGGAAUGACAGUGCUAGGGUUCCCAAGAAGAGCAGCAGCACAUAUAUAUGAUCGAUCUAUUAGGCCGCCGAACAAGUGCUGGAAGCCUGGAAAUCGGCCUGCUUUGGCCGCGCCUGACUAUUCUAUCAUAGCGAUGCUACGCGCUAUAUGCCGCUACGCCAUUUAGCGCCACUAUUUAACGCAAUAGCGACCCUAGCGGUCAUAUUAGCAUUAUGCACUGUAGCUUAGCGCCUAUGCCUCCAAAACGCUAUAGCCCCGCUAUAGUGGUGCUAUAGCCCGCUAUUUCGUACAUUGAGGGCCUGUUUGGCAACCAGCUGCUAAAGUUUAACACCCGUCACAUCGAAGGUUUGGAUGCUAAUUAGAAGUAUUAAAUAUAAGCUAAUUACAAAACUAAUUGCACAAAUGGAGUAUAAUUCGCGAGACGAAUCUAUUAAGCCUAAUUAGUCCAUGAUUUGACAAUGUGGUGCUACAGUAACCAUUUGCUAAUGAUGGAUUAAUUAGGCUUAAUAGAUUCGUCUCGCGAAUUAGCACAGGGUUCUGCAAUUAGUUUUAUAAUUAGCUCAUGUUUAGUUCUCCUAAUUAGUAUCCGAACAUCCGAUGUGACACUGUUAAAGUUUAACACCUCGUAUCCAAACACCCCCUGAGUAAAACUGAAUCUAUCCCAGUAGAAAAUUAUCUCGAAGGCCGCGUACCAAAGGUUGGUAUGAAAUUCCACAGUAAACAAGAGGCAUAUGGCUUUUACCAUGCCUAUGCUCGAGACAAGGGUUUCAGCAUUCGAAGGAGUAGUUCGCAUAACGUGAGAAAUAGUACCACAAUAAAGAAUAGAACUUUGUGCUAUUCUCAUGCAGGUAUGAAUUAAACUAUCUUAUAUUACUUUCUUCAUGGUUAGGGAUACAACAUCAUUUUGAUGAAACUAUUUAUUUAUUUAUAUCAAUAGGAAUUUGAGGGUCUGAUAAGAGAGAAGAAGCUUCGAAUUAUAGCAGGCUAGAGACACGAUGUAUGUCCCUAGCACACAUGAAGAUCAGUUUGAAAGAUAGGUUCUGCUACAUAUAUGAAUUUGUGUCUGAGCAUAACCAUAUUCUUGCUACUGCUAGCCAAGUCCAACAUUUAAGAUCUCAAAGGACAAUAACAGAAGCACAGCUUGCAAGCGUCGAAGCUGCUAAAUCGGUUGGCAUUUCAAAUAAAGCUAAUUUCGAUCUCAUGGCAAAAGAAGCGGGUGGAAUUGAGAAUCUUGAAUUUACACGUGAAGAUAUGAAAAGUAAAUUGUAUUCAAAGAGGUCAUUGAAGGUACACGAAGGAGACACUAGAGGAGUCUUAGAAUAUCUAGAGAAGAAAACAUCAGAAGAAGAGAAAUUUAUCUAUUCCAUUCAGGUUGACGAGGAUGACUUGAUAACGAAUAUUUUCUGGACCGAUUCUAAAAUGGUUGUAGACUAUGAACUUUUUGGUGAUGUUGUAUGCUUUGACACAACAUAUAGAAAACUAAAUGAUGGGCGUCCAUUUGGUUUGCUAUGUGGCGUGAACAACCAUAAGAAAACUAUUAUUUUUGGUGCUGCACUUUUGUAUGAUGAAACUGCUGAAAGUUUUGUUUGGCUUUUCAAAACCUUUUUAGCUGCUAUGUCAUGCAAGAAGCCACAGACCAUUUUGACUGACGAAGAUGCAGCAAUGGCAAAAGCAAUCAAGAUUGUACUACCAGAGAGUCAUCACAGGAUAUGUAUUUGGCAUAUGAACCAGAAUGCAUGCAAGCACCUCUCUGGAGUUGUGGAGGAAUAUAAGAAGUUCAAUGCAAACUUUUAGAGCUGUAUUUAUGAUCAAGAGGAGGAGGAGGAUUUUAUAAAUGCAUGGAACAGUUUGCUAGACAAGUAUAAGCUACGAGAAAAUAAUUGGCUUGAAAGGUUAUUUCAAAAAAGGGAGAAAUGGGCCUUAGCAUAUGGACAGAAUACAUUUUCUGUUGAUAUUGUUAGCACUCAAAGAAGUGAAAGUAUGAAUAACGAGUUGAAAGGAUAUAUUAGUGUCAAAUACAAUAUACUUACCUUCUUUGAGCAUUUUGACAGGUUAGUGGCAGAUAAAAGAUACGAGGAGGUGAAAUGUGAUUUUAAGGCAACACAAAGUACACCAAAGUUGAAAUCAGAUCUGAGAAUACUAAGCCAUGCAGCAAAAAUUUACACUCUAGCACUGUUUAAGGUAUUCCAAGAACAGGUAAUGCAAACACUGAACUGUGAUCUAUUCUAUUGUGGUGAUAUAGAUGAUGAAAAGGUGUACAAAAUAAAGGUUUAUGGUAGGAAAACUGAGCAUGGGUUGAAGUUUUCUACAUCAGGAAGUCAAGUGAAGUGUAACUGCAAAAAGUUCAAUUUUGUUGGAAUCUUAUGCUGUCAUGGGAGUUGAAGAUACUUGAUAUUAACAUAUCAAAAAAAUUCCUGAGCAGUAUAUAUACUAAAUAGAUGGAUGAUUGAUGCGAAAGUACUUCAGAUAAAGAGCAAUUAUCAAACACCUGAAGAUCCAAAAUAAAGCUCUCAUGACGUAGAAAAGAGUUAUGCAGAAUGUAUCUUAAAUUAUCUGCCCGAGCUGCAGAAUCUGAUGAAACAUACUUUAUGGCUGUGAGCAAUGCAGAGAAAUUAGCAGAAGAUGUGGAAAAAGCUAAGCUUGGGAAAGAGACUUGGGGGGCGUUUGGUUCCAGCUGCUUAUUUUAAGCACCUAUCACAUCAAAUGUUUAGAUACUAAUUAGAAGUAUUAAACGUAGACUAUUUACAAAACCCAUUACACAAAUGGAGGCUAAAUGACGAGAUGAAUCUAUUAAGCCUAAUUAGUCCAUGAUUUGACAAUGUGCUGCUACAGUAAACAUUUGCUAAUGAUGGAUUAAUUAGGAUUAAUAGAUUCAUCUCACCGUUUAGCCUCCAUCUGUGCAAUUAGUUUUAUAAUUAACUCAUAUUUAGUCCUCCUAAUUAACCUCCGAAUAUUCAAUGUGACACGGAUUAAAUUUUAGCUCGAGGAACCAAACGCCCCCUUGAUCAGGAUUUGGGUAGUUCAUCUCAUCCACAAGGUUUGCUCUGUGAUAUGACCUGAAUAAUACUUGUGUUAACACCACAUACGCGACACGAUUUAACUGUUAUGUUUUUUUUCCUAAUUGAUUUUUUUCCAGAAACACAACAACAAGACCAGUCCAGAAACCAAUAGGCAUUAAGGUUAAAGAGAAGGAAAUUCGUGGAUCUGAGAGACCAAUUCGUGGAUCUGAUCUUAUGCAAAUUCUACAUAAAACAGCUAACUCAAUUUGGUUUUUUGACAUAGUAAUCCAUUAAAUUUGAAGUAUCAAACUAAAAUUGUAAAGUGCAUAUUCCUCACGAAGAAGAAGGGGACCAGCACAAGACAACUAACCAGAUUAAACUUGUUGGGGGAAGAAAAUGCUUUGCAGCCACACUCUGAUGUGAGAGUAGGUCCUUGAUGCCUCUCAGCUCGAUGUCCCAUGAUGGUGACUUCGAUUCGACGCAGCCGAUGAAGAAACUCCAAAAUCGAAGUCCUCAUUGCCUAAAUCAAGAUCCUACAGCAGGAAUUGAGGUCUGAGCCACCCAAAUCGAAAUACUCAUCACCCAAAUCGAGACCCUACAACAUGAAUCGAGGUUUUAGCCACCCAAACCGAGGAUCAAAUAGCUAGAAUUGAGGAUACCCACAAGAAUCAGCUCGCCGUCACCAAGCUCGAGCUUGCUGCUAUUCAAGAACGGCAGCAGCGACAGCAACCUAUUCUGCACCUUCGACCUUGCCAGCGCCGCCGGCAGCAGUCACAGCCGGUGCCGCGCAACGCGUGGGAAGGACCUUCGGCCGCCCAGGGGGCUGCUCCAUGUCGCGUGCGCUAGAGAGCUGGAACAGAGAAGGGGGAAAGAUAAGACAGAGUAAGGAUGGCAACGGGAUGGGUUCGGAUUGGGUGGAGUGUCCGGGCACCCCAAAACCGAAACCCAAACCUAAAACCCAAAUCUGCUGAGAACACCAAUUCGGGUGAAAAUACAUCCCCGAAACCAAACCCGUGGAUCCUCGAAACCCGACGGAUUAAUCGAAACCCGAGAAUAUUACAAUAAAUUAACAAGGACAACAUACAACAAUACAACAAAGGCGGUGUCUAGAUUUCAAAGAUUAUUAUGAAAAAAGUAACGCCACAAAGGUAGAACUGGAGAAGCAACCCAAGUUUAGUACAGUUCACAUAUUACAGUCCAGACUGCAAACAAAUAACAGAACAUGAACAUUACUAUAAAUAAGAGUGUUUUUUGGAUCAAAUAGGUAGGCAACACGGGGAAUUCAUCUUUGCUUGAUGAGUUCAUUAUUCAUCAAUUAUUGUGAAAUCAUCUUCAUCCUGUGAAAUAAAAAUAGAGAGAAUAGCUCAUUACUAAAAUGUUGAACACAUUGUAAAUUCACAAGUUGAAAAUAGAAUCAAACAACAAUACCAUUUCUUCAUCUUUUUCAUCAAGACAAGUCAUUAAAGCACCAACAAAAGUGGAUUGAGAACCUGCAUUGAUAUAGUAUUCAGAAAUUAGUUUUAUAGCUUAUCCGGAAUGAAGACCACAUACUUAUAGAAAUUGCACUUACCCAACAUGUCGGCAUGAGACCAUGCUUGCAUGCACAUAAGUGCUUCUAUCAUUGAUGGUGCAAGCCUACUACGAUGUGGACUAAUUGUUCUCCCACUUGUACUAAAGACUGACUCGGAUGCCACCAUAGUCACAAGAAUAGCAAGGACAUCACGUGCAAUUUUUCGUAACGUUGGGUAUUUUAGCCCUGCAUGUUGCCACCACUUAAUGAUAUCCAACUCUUGUGUCCUAGGCAGCAGUGGCUCUUCCAAGUACAAUUCUAACUCUAUUCACACAUAAGUGGAGGUCACCGUUGGCUGCUUGGACAUGUAACCAUCAAAAGUGUCAAUCCAAUCCUCAUCGUCCAUCUGAGUAGGAGCACUAGGUCUAGUUUGAACACCAUAUGUUGUGGCAACAUCCUCCAUAGCACCUUGGUAAUCCAAAACUAGAUUGUACAACAAGUCUUUCACUUCGUUGAUAGCUUCCAUAGCUACACUUUCUAACCCAUGAAUUUUGAGAAAAAGAGCAUUCAACAGUUGCAAUUUAUACCUAGGAUCUAGGAUAGCAGCAACAACCAUCAAACCAUGCACAUCUGACCAAUACUUGUUGAAUUUUUCUUUCAUUUUAAUAGACAUUUCUUAUACCUUAGGAAUAUCACUGCUUUGCCACUUCCUAAUUGCAAAAAAAUUGUUGCAUAUUUUGGGGAAGAAAAGGUUGGCUGUGACAUAUCCUGACAGUAGCUCAGUUACAUCAUAGAACAUCUUUAACCUAUCACAAAGCUCUCUAGCAAACUUCCAAUCAUCUUCAGAUGGAACACAUGGAGCACGAGAAGUAAGGCACUCAAAAACAUCUUGGUAAAUUAGUGCAGUGCUAAGCAUAAUAUAAGUUGAGUUCCAUCUAGUUUUACAAUCAAGAGCAAUUCUUUUUUUCAUAUUUUCCUUUCAUUUGUGCUGCCAUUUUCUCAAACUUCUCAUAUCUUUUAGGAGUGGCCGACCAGUAUGCAACACUAUCACACACUUGAUCAAUUCCCUUCUCCAUGACACUCAUUCCAUCUUUCACAAUCAGAUUUAAAAUAUGUGUAGCACAAUGCAUAUGAAUUGAUUUUCCCUUCAACAUACAAGAGAGGAUUGCUAACUUGCCUUCCAUAGCAGCCUUGUUCUUUGCAAGGUCAUCACGAUCAGUGCCAAUCAUAUUCUUCAUGAGGUUGUCAUUAACACUACAAUUGUCAAGAGUUAUAGUGGAUAGAUUCCUCUCAAUAUGCCAAUCUAGGAGAACUUCAUGAAGAACAUCAAUUAUAACCUCUGCUGUAUGUGGCGCUGGAACAUAAAUAAACCUACAACAACAAAAUAUCAUAAGUGAUUGUGGUGGACAGUUUGCUCUCAAUAGAAAAAAUGCAUAACACAAGAAAAAAAUGUUGCGAUUUAUAGUUACCUAAUAAGAAAACUUUUUAGCUUCCAAUCUUCAUCCAAAAAAUAGGCUAUAACUGCCAUGUAACCUUUCCUCUGGUGGUUUGCUAUCCACAAGUCUAUAGUAAGAGCAACCUGAGAACUCAAUUUCUUGAUAUAAUUCACCAUAGAUUGCUUCUGCACUUGAUACAUAUUUAAGAUAUCCUUCCUAAUUGUGUUUCUAGACACUACCUUGAAUGUUGGCUGUAAUGCAGCACAAAACUUGCGAAAUCCAAUAUGGUCCACCAUGGAAAGAGGAUACUCAUGGACAAUAAUCAUUAAAGAAAGUUCUUUCCUCGACAUCUUGAUUGAACACAUACUUCUCUAAUGUGACUGUGCCAUCUUGUGGUUUUGCAGAUAAUUUAAGAGUUGACUAUGUUAAACCUUUUCUAGUAGCUCUAUCCUGACAUACAACAAUAUGAUUCUUCAAGUGAGUUGUACCAUUUCUUGUAUCCCCACCUAAAUGUUUUUUUACACCAUUUACAUUUUUCUUUCCAAACCCCACUUACAUUAAUCAAGUCAAAGUCUUUCUAUACUUCAGAUCCUAGCUUCCUCUUACUACCAGCAGGAACAUCAUCUUCUACCUCUACCACAUCAGUAUUACCUACAGUUGCAGAAUCAGUUGCCGGUGCUGUUGAAUUGGAUGCGGUGUUACUGAAUUGGUUGCAAGACAUGGACAAGUUUGAGGAUGAGAACCCAUAGAUUGAGAUGCAGCAGCAGCUUGAGAUCCACUCAAAGCACCAGGAGCUGACAUUGCUCCGGGUGCCGGACGGACUAGAGGCACCGGGCGAGCGCCGGGCGGACUGGAUGCGGCCGUGCGGGCGUGCGGCCGGUGGCCACUGUGCGGGGCGCCGCCGUGCCAGGCGGGGUUGGCGGCGUGGCUGGGUGCAGGACGGUGGGGUGCCUGGGUGCGGGGGGCCUGGGGGACGGGGGUGCGGCCUUGCGGGCGGACUGGAGGCGCUUGGCGGGUGCCGGGCGGACUGGAUGCAGCCGUGCGGGCGUGCGGCCGGUGGCCGCCGUGCAGGGUUGGCGGCGCGGCUGGGUGCGGGACGGUGGGGUGCCUGGGUGUGGGGUGCCUGGGGGAUGGGGGUGCGACCGUGCGGGCAGACUGGAUGAAGAUGAAGCAAGGAUUUCAGGCUUAUAUACCUAGGGUUGCUAGGUGGGCUUCUAGUGGGCUGAAUGUUUCGGGGCUCUGAUGGAGCUCCACGGGUGAAUUUAAGAAUCCGUCCCAAACCCGAAGUAUUUCGGGUAUCCGAACCCGCAAAUCCAUGAGCGAAAACUAGGAACCAAAACCGAAACCCGUGGAUAUUCCCCCAAACCCGAUCCGCUGCCAUCCUUAAGACAGAGAGAUAGACGGGGGGCCUCGCAUAGAAGGUGCACUCCAUUUCCUCGGUGUGGAGGAGUGGAUGGAAAAAUAAUAGAGGACGCGGCUCCUGGAGCUAGCACACAGAUGGUUUUCACAUGUAUGGGGACAUCGAUGGAGACAUAGAAAGGAGACACGCAAGUUGCAGCCGCACCUGGUAGGCCAUCUGUGGCCCCGCUAGCCGGAUUGCUCUGACUCACCUCGCCGGACUUGUCGCGCCUUGCUCGGCUGGAGUGCUCCACCUUACUCACCUCGCCAGCCUUGUCGUGCAGUCGCGCCUCCCCUGAAUACGCCUCAACCGUCUGGUCAUGCCGCAGCUAGCUGCGUCGGUGCUUCGCUAGCUGCACCUCCCCUCACCUAGUCGGCCUGGCUGAGCCCCGCAUGGCCGGCGGUUGCACCUCGCCUUUGCCUGCAUAUGGCAGGCCUUCUCUUUCCAGCCAUAGAGAUAGGUUUUGUUUGUUGAGGCUUUUGUUCUUGCUCGUUGCGGUGCAAUUCCGCUGGCUUUUAGUUCCUUUUUCCCUUGUGUGAUUCCCAUGACAACGAUCGAGCAUUGCUGUGUGUAUAAACCUUUUCCCCUUGUGCGAUUCUAGUGGCCAUUAUGGGAAAUGUGCUGCGCACCUGCGCCUCAUCUUGCCUACACUAUUGGGGAAAGCACCUUUAGUACCGGUUCCUAACCCACCUUUAGUAUCGGUCGUGCAACUAGUAUUGCUACUUCGGUAAUAAAGGGGGCCUUUAGUAUUAGAUCAAAUAACCGAUAUUAAAGGGGUAUUAAAAAUAAAAAAUAAAAGAAAUCCCACCGCCAUCCACCGCACCCUCCCACCGCCAUCCGCCGCGCCCUCCCGUUGCUGUCCGCCGCUCCUUACCCCGCGCCCUCCCACCGCUCCUUGCCCGGUCGCCCCUACCUCCUACCGCUCCUUGCCUGGCCUCGCCGCCGUCCCCCGCUCCUUGCCCUACGCCCUCUCGCCACUCCUUGCCUGGUCAUCCCGCCCUCACGCCGCCGUCCGCUGCGCCCUCCCGAUCGCCCCGCCCUCCCGCCAUUCCUUGCCCGGCCCCACCACCCUCCCGCCAUUCCUUGCUCGGCCCCACCACCCUCCCGCCACCAUCCGUCGCCCUCCCACUACUCCUUGCCUCCUGCCGCCACCCUUGGCCCCAUUGCCGCCCUUGGCCCCGUCGCUGUGGCGGAACCGCCCAAAUUAACUUGGCUAAAGCACACUUAAGUCGCUUAACACGCGAUCAUGUACUUUAAUCAAGUCAAUUCGGUCGUCCGUCGGAUUUCAUCCGAUAAACUACUUAUCUCAGGAUCGAGAAAGCAAGACUCGCACGAAGGCGAGUGGUUACAGAGAUUACAACAGUCCAUCUCAAUUAAACAAGUGUAACAAUUUAUUACAAUAUCAAGUUCAAAAUUCAACAAAGUUUGUAGAGUUUUCAAGCGACAGAAAUAAAUAAGCGGAAGCUAAACGUCGUUGCAUGAUAUCAUGAAGAAGCCAAUCAUGGCAUCAAUGAUCCUUGUCCUCACCGUUCGAGGAGGGAUCCCACUCAACCGUCCAACCAAGAGGAAGUUGGGUAGGCCGAGUGCCACUUGCAGCGAGCUCAGGGGUAUAAACAUCACCUGAAAAGAUGUGCCACAACAAGGCUGAGCGACUACACUCAACAAGACUUAACCGACAUGUGGUACUACUCCACCAACACCUAGACAUGCAAGCUUUUUGGCUCUGGGGUUUGUUUUGCCAAAAGCGACUAGUGUAGGUCCUUACUUUCAACAUUUUAGCCAGAAGUUCUACUGUAGUUUACCAUUCUACGUUAGCAACUAUACUAAACCAAGCAUAGUUUCCAAGCAAUUAAUAUAGGUAACAAAAUUAGAUCAUCAUCAUCUUUCAUUCUUACUCAGUGUAGCAUAGCGAGUAGUCCCAAACUGUAAGAGGCAGACAAAUCGAUUCGAAUUUCUUAACCAUGCAUGGCGAACCUAAUCCCACGACAUCCGCGCAUCGCGAAGGGUCGCUUCACUUGUCAGCCGUCCCCAUCAAUUCCCAGACCCGUGUCGGGCCCACUUUCCUUGGUACAAGGCUCCAUAGACCCGGCCUCAGCCAUUCAAUGACCGCACUUGUCACCACAUGAUGCACCAGGGGAAAACUCAGUUUCCAGAGAUAGUGGAACGAUCCGCUCACGUCCCGGUUCAAUCAGGUACUAGGCUUCCCUAUCCCAUACUAGGUAUGAGAUUACUACUUUCAAACACUUGAUCACGAACACUAUCACAUCUCAACCUUAGUCCAAUUUCAUGUAGACAGACGGGGCAAUCCACCGACCACCAAAAUAGUUCACAGAGCCCUACCCCGUCCAUCAUCCUUAUAGUUGUAACAAAAAGGAGAGCAAACAACUCCUAUAACUCGCGAGUGACAGGCGAUCACUCGACUUUUACCGAGUCCUAUUAAGCAUUGCAACUACUCGACUUCAAAUACUAGUGUUCAUAUCAAAAGGGUGCCUAUCUCAUGCAUCUAUGGUUUCAAACAAUUCCUGCAACAUAAAUGCACAAACAAGGCAAGCGAUUGUAUUGCAAGUAAUUAAAACAUAGGAAUUUAUGCUCCGGGGCUUGCCUAGAAUCUAACACUAGGUUAAUGUUUGUCAGACAACACUCGCUUGGCGAGCAUCUCCCAUCUCGGCACUUGCUUAGUCCUUCCAUCUUCGGGAUAGCUCCACCAUACACCGUCUUCGGGUUUGGUUCCAUCAUCACGUCCUUCACGUGGUUUAUAUAGCGUAUCUGGAUGAGAUGCAAGUGCAUGAAUACAAAGAAUAGUAACAUGAGAUGCAUUACAUAAAAGCAUUCAGGACAAGCACAAGGUUACACCACAAGACAUAAGUACUUAGAGAGCAAGUUAUUUAACUAACUAUCACUCAAGUCUCCAUAGAGAUAGCAAGCAUAACAAGCAUGACACACUAGCUAAAUCAAGUCAAGCUAUUGCAAGCAUUUAACAGUCAAGAGCUAAUUAAGCAUUUAAAUGAGUUGCAAUUUUUUAAUUUUGAAAUCUGAUUUGUAUGUUUGCAUUUGAGGGGUUUCUCACAUUUAGAAAUAAUUUGUUAUUUUACUGACUAUAGAAAAAUUUGUUUAAGGUUAUAAUUUUGCCUUUUGCAUUUUUUUCUUCUCGUUUCUACAUCAGUUUGUUUACUAUGUGCUUAGUUUAGUUGUUUUUUAUCUGCAUCAUUUGACCAGGAUCCUAGAGUCAUAAUUUUUGGGUGACAGAAAUAUUUGCAGCACCUAGUUUUUUUCUCUCCACAAAACAGGGUGUUUUCCACCUUCAAAUUACCCAGGUGAUUGUGGACACAGUAAUACCCGGGUUAGCAGUAGACACUCCCAUCUUUUAUUCCCAAUUAACUCUUUUUUCGUAUGGUCGAUCUCUUAGCUCCUUAUCGAUGUGGAGGAAAAUUCGGACUAUUUGGGGGAGAACCUAAAGGAAAAGGACUCAUGACUUCCACCAUGUCUAUAUCUCGAUAUAUAUAAAAGAAAAUCUCUUAGGCACAAUUUCGUGACUUCCACCACGUCAAGGUGACCAUGACUGAUCCUCAAAGGUAAUGGAUGGAAAAAAUAGCAUGUUUUAAUAAAAUUGAUGGGAGGAGGCUGGGUCAUUCACAUUUGAUUUGAUGGUCAGAGGCGUAUUAACCCGUUACAAAAUUGGAAAUUUUGAAUUUAAUCCAUUUUCUAAUCUAUUGUAUUCUUUUUCGAGAAUGCCGCCCCUUGGACUCCAACCGAGAAUAGCGAGUCUUGUAAUAGUAUAUGCAAGUAACAUACUAUCAAAAUGCAAACAUUGACCGCAACAAUGUACGCACACUCAAUACAAAUAACAUAGUACAUAUUUUGUUAACAAAUAAUCAUAAUUGUCACAAUAAACAAAGUUCUCUCACAAAUGAAAAUAGUUUUUCACAAGUAAUCGUAGUUCUCACAAUAAAGAUAAACAUAGUUGUCUCAUAAAUGAACAUAGUUUUGACAACUAAAGAGAAACAUGAUCCAGCUAAAUCAACACGUUCAUCUAGUCCGAGUCACCUUCACAUAGUAACUCAUUAUCGUCAUCAUCAUCCCCAGCAAUAACAACUCCCUUCCCUUUCUUAUCGACAUUAACCUUACCAACAGGUAAAUCGGCAACAAGAGCCUUCAUCGUCUCCAUCUAUGCCUCUUCCGCUUUUUCUUGUAACUCUUCCAUUUCAAUCCUUCUCUUCCUUGCCCUAACCUGCUGCAAAUAUUCUUCCCAUGAACCCUUAGGGUAUUUCGCAUUCGAAUCAACCACAUAACCUAAGCGAUCUCUCUCCUCCCUCAACCUUUGUUUCUCCAACUCCCUCUCCUCCUGCAACUUCCUCCUAUUUUCUCUCUUCUCAUUUUCAGUUAGAAGUCGUGGAUACUUGGUUCUGUUCUGCCUUCAAUACUUAAUAAUAGUUUCCCUCACAUAAAGUCCUUCAGGCUCCACUCCAGUCUCAUGAACCAUAUCUUGGUAUAUUUUCCCCCAAAGCAAGUCGCCGUCAGGGAUAGGCACAUCAUACUCCUUCCUAAUCUUUUCUAUCAGUUCUUGUUGUUUUCUUGACUUCCAAUAUACCACACCUUGUGUUGCCAAUAUACCACACUUGCAUUUACAACUAGGAGAGGACACACAUGACCAUGGUGCCUUUCUACUCUCGAACUCCUGCACUUGCUCCUCCAUUGGCCACAUCGCCUUUGGGCCAUAUAUAUACUCAUUGAAAUCAUAAACGGCCACCCAUCCUGCAAAAAACCAGUGACGACAUUAAAAGUGACCAUAUAUCAAUAAAAAUAUCACUGCUAGCUACACGUCAUACUAACAUUCUCAUAAUAAACUUACAUGAGUCUUUAGCGAGCAUCGAAAGAAUGGAGUGAACUUAGGUGGAACCCCUAAGUUAGAACGCAUAAGCUUAGCAUGAACACCACACUUGCACAUGGGAGGAUCCCUCACACGCCUACAAGCAGCCUCCUGCUUCUCCUCCUCGGUCAUCCUAGGUGGGUUUGGUGGAGGAGGAACCCAAUGCCUAAACUGAUGGUAUGGUUUAAGCUCUGUGCUAUGAUAUGGGAUCAUAUUUGUCGAGUCCAUCGAUCCACUGAAAGAAAUCACAAGGUGCGGCAGGCAUUGGAUCAAAAGUCCACUUGCAAACAUAGAAGAAUCUUCCAGCUGUCUUUAGAUGCCUUGAUUGUUUCACCUCUACUUCCACGCCACAUCUACAAAGAGGUACCGGAAGGGCAGGAGGUAUGGGACCAGCUGCAUUGGACUCGCCCACGUAACGCACAUACCACCUAUGCCGCUUGUAUUUACAACCAAACGACGUCAUCUCACCUAUACAUCAAGUGCCAGUAAAUUAAUACACAAAUAAACUUUACACACGUAAUCCAUACGAACUAUAUACAUCAUUUCGAAAAAAUACAAACACUCCAUCUACAAAAUACAAACACUUAACCAUAUCAACUAUAGAAACUAUAUGAAGGAAUAAAAAUACGAGACAAAUUAAUUGAACAUAUUGCAAAAAAAAACGUCAUGUACACCAUGUCAUGUUCACUACACAAUUGCAUACCAACAAAAUACAAUCCCACCAUCAAACAUACAAAUUAAACAAUUCAUCUGCAAAAUACAAACACUUCACCAUAUAAACUAUAUUAUAAACUAAACGUAUUGGACAUAUUGCAAACAAAAAAAUACACAUGUCAUUUACACUACACAAUUAGAUGAAUAUAUACCUAAAUCGAAGCAUUCAACAAGUUCUACGGGUCAAUAUCGUGGGCAGAGACUCAAUUGUGUCUAAACUACGCAUCAUCUAACACAUAACAACAUUGCAUUUCAUUCAAAAUUGAAAUCAUCAACCUAACCCUAAGUCACCUAAACAUCCUCCAAUCUACCAAAUGCAACGCUAAACCAAGGGAAAAAGUUGGGGGAUACCUUCCACACAAAGCGAUCACCAAUCCUCAACUUUCCCCCACCAAAAUCGCCAGAUUUUGGGUAGAUUUGGGGGUGGGGCGACGGGCGGCGGCGGCAAGGAGCUCGGCCACGGGUGUUCUAAAGGAAGAAGAAAGGAGGGAGGGACGAAGGAAGGAGCCGGCGCGCGUGUCUAGGUGGGGCGCUGCUACGCCAGGUGGGCUGGCGCGUCAAGCGCUCGCCCACGUCAGCGCCCGCCUGGCCUGACGCCGCGCCGCGCCAGCGUGGCAGGGGUUCGCCGCUCCAGUGCAUGUGCCACGGUAGAGGCUUCUUGCCGCGCCUGGCGGUCUGGCGCGGGCAAAAGGGUCACCCGCCACAAAUAAACUUUGGCUGAGGUUAUUUUUAAAAAUAAAUUUAAACAAAGGUUAAAAAUAAAAAAAAUUCCUGAAAGGGCAGUGCAGGGGUGACGUCAUAUUUCUGCAGGAAAAUCUACAUCAUGGCAGCCGCGCAUGACUACCUCUUUGACCGGACGUGCACCUCCACCCGUUCCCUCUCCGAAUCGGCUAGCACCACCAUCUCCUUCUAGCGACAAGCAACGUGCUCCUCCCACAAAUUCAGCAACCAAGACUGCCCCAAAACUAGCCACUAGUACCACUUCGGUUGCAUCCACGGGUAGAACAAGAGAUGUUCAGUGCCAUCGAUGCAAGGGCUUUGGACACGUGCAGCGUGACUGUCCUAGCAAGCAUGUUUUGGUGGUCAAAAAAGAUGGUGGGUAUUCCUCUGCUACUAAUUUUGAUGAAGAUACACUUGCUUUGCUUGCUGCUGACCAUGUAGGUAGUGAGGAAAAACCAGAAGAGCAGAUCGAUGUAGAGAAUGUAGAUCAUUAUGAGAGCCUCAUUGUGCAGUGUGUGCUUAGCGCACAAAUGGAGAAGGCGGAGCAAAAUCAGCGGCAUACACUGUUCCAAAGAAAGUGUGUCAUUAAAGAGCGUUUGUGCCGUUUGAUAAUUGAUGGAGGUAGCUGCAACAACUUUGCUAGUAGCAAUAUGGUGGAGAAGCUUGCACUUACAACCAAACCGCAUCCACAUCCAUAUCACAUUUGAUGGCUCAACAAUAGUGGUAAGGUUAAGGUAAUGAGACUGGUGCGAAUUAAUUUUACUAUUGGAUCAUAUCGUGAUGUUGUUGAAUGUGAUGUUGUGCCUAUGGAAGCUUGUCAUAUUUUGCUAGGUAGAUCGUGGUAAUUUGAUACGGAUUGUAUGCAUCAUGGUAGAUCAAAUAAGUAUUCUCUCAUACACCAUGAUAAGAAAAUUGUCUUGCUUCCUAUGUCUCCUGAAGCUAUUGUGCAUGAUGAUGUUGCUAAAGCUAAGAAAACUAAAACCGAGAGCGAUAAACAUGUCAAAUCUGUUAGUAGUAAGAAAGAUGAGAUAAGAUUGAAAGGACAUUGCUUGCUUGCUACUAAAUCUAAUAUUAAUGAAUUAGUUGCUUCCACUUCUGUUGCCUAUGCUUUGGUAUGCAAGGAUGCUGAAGAACCAUAAAGGCGACCAGAGGGGUGUGAAUGGGAGCCGGUUCAAAUUUUCUCCAAGAACUUCAGCUAAAAAUUUGCAAGCCUCUCUUCUAGCAAAAUCAAGUCAACUUAGCUAUGCACAAGCUAAUGGACCUAGGAAUGAUGCUAGGAACCCAAUUUGAGAAUAGCGGAAGUAAGAAAGACUCCAAACAAGCUCCGGAAGACAAACUUUUAAAACCAAUACCUCUAUUUGGAAAAAUCCGGAGGAACCUUCGAAAAAUUCCGGACGUGCAGAAAUUUCCGGAGAAAUCUUCUGAAAUUUCCGGAGGUCCAGAGAUUUCCGGAAUUAUGUACGGAGAUUUCCCGAAUUCCAAAACAGCCUGCGUGAAGAUGGAAGAAAAAUCCGAAACUCAAUCAAACAAUCUCCAAAAAUCAUGAAAUUUUAACCAUAGCUUCCCAACAAUAUAGCAAACAUAUUCCCAAAAGAUAUCCUCAAAAAGAUUAGCCAAACAAAGAGAAUUAAAAAUCUUGUGAAGAACACUGCUUUUUGAACCCUAGAACUUGAAUCGCCCCGAUCUAUGAACUCGUGAGGAGUUAGAUGAAUUCCUUUGGUAGAAAGACUUCACUCACAUCCUAGUUCAUUUUCAAAUAAUCGGUUUGAGUCAAGACUCCCUAGAAAUCAUGAAUCGAACAAAAAUGUGAGAAGGGAAAAAUGGGAGAAAAUAAGAAUGCGAAGAACACAAGCAAGAGUUUCACAAAACAGUCAUCCCCCAACACUCGGAGGACACAAGGAGGUUAGGGCCUCCAUUCUUGCAACAAAAAAUUGGUUCAAUACAUGAAUUCGGUGCUCAAAACAUCUGAGAACCUCUAGGGAGAAAGGAGAGAAAGAGAGGAAAAACCAAAUGAAACACUAGAGAGAGAGGUGGUGGUAGAGAGAUGGAAUAGGUGCUGAAAACUUCAGCCCCCCAUCUCUAUCUCUAGGCGUGGAUGAAAGACUAAAGUACCCCUAUAACUACUACUAAGAUAACUACCCACGCAGGGGCAUUUUGUUCCAAGUUUUUGUGUGCUCAUCGGACGGACACACCACCUCCAUGACUUUGCUUCGCCUCGAUGCAAGCUUCGCGAUGAUGCCACGUGCCCUCCUUCUCAAAGCUCCGGCCGUAUUGGGCUCGCCCCCAGUUUUGAGGCCCAAACUGGGAAACCUACCAGCACGGUGGUUUUGAGGCCCAAACCACCCAAACCGUCCAUCUUCGCUUGGCCGCCACGCGACCUCCUCGAUGUCGACAGGUGUCCAGUCUCCACCAAGCCUUUGACGCCUCCAAGUCAUUCGCUCCCGGCUCCCAGGUUGCCUACUUGACUUGCCUCCAUCCCGCUUGACUCGACCGAUGCUGUCGCCAUCACCGUCAUGUUGUCUUGCCCUUCCGUGCACCAUGUGGACCACCCAUGACUCCACCCGGACUCCUCAAGUCCAUUGGUCCAAGCCUACUCACGUUCAUCCUUCACCGCCCUUGGUCCAUCGGCAUGAACCUUUCGCUUGGCCUUCACCGCACGCCGUCGGCUGUCACACCGCAUCCUACACCUACACAUCACAAGCCAAGAACAACAUCAAACCAACAUAACAUUGUCAAUCACUCAUCAUCUAAGGGUGACCACCAUUGGUCCUCAGAUGCUUUGAUUUCGGUCACGACAUGCAGCAUUCUUUGCCCCCUGCUAUUGCUAACAUUUUGCAGGAGUAUUCUGAUGUGUUUCCAAGUGUGAUACCAGCGGGGCUGCCACCAAUAUGAGGGAUUGAGCACCAAAUUGAUCUUAUUCCUAGUGCAUCUUUACCAAACCGUGUGCCAUACAGGACAAAUCCGGAAGAAACGAAAGAAAUUCAGCAACAAGUGCAAGAACUACUUGACAAAGGUUAUGUGCGUGAGUCUCUUAGUCCUUGUGUUGUUCUUGUUAUUUUAGUGCCUAAGAAAGUUGGAACAUGGCAUAUGUGUGUUGAUUGUAGAGCUAUCAAUAAUAUCACCAUUCGAUAUCGACACCCUAUUCCACAUUUGGAUGAUAUGCUUGAUGAGCUUAGUGGUGCUGUUGUGUUUUCCAAAGUUGAUUUGUGUAUUGGGUACCACCAAAUUCGUAUUAAAUUGGGAGAUGAAUGGAAAACUGCUUUUAAAACUAAAUUUGGUUUAUAUGAGUGGUUAGUCAUGCCUUUUGGGUUAACUAAUGCACCUAGUACUUUCAUGAGAUUAAUGAACGAGGUUCUGCGCGCUUUCAUUGGAAAAUUUGUUGUGGUCUAUUUUGAUGAUAUAUUGAUUUAUAGCAAAUCUAUGAAUGACCAUCUUGAUCACUUACAUGUUGUUUUUAAUGCUUUACGAGAUGCACGUUUAUUUGGUAACCUUGAGAAGUGCACCUUUUGCACCGAUCGAGUGUCUUUUCUUUGUUAUGUUGUGACUCCACAAGGAAUUGAGGUUGAUCAAGCCAAGGUAGAAGCUAUACAAGGAUAGCCUAUACCAAAGACUAUCACACAGGUGUGGAGUUUCCAAGGACUUUCUGGUUUCUAUCGCCGUUUUGUGAAGAACUUCAGCACCAUUGCUGCACCAUUGAAUGAGCUUACGAAGAAGGGAUGCCUUUUAGUUGGGGCAAUGUACAAGAAAACUCCUUCAACAUGCUGAAAGAUAAGUUGACACAUGCACCCCUCCUCCAAGUUCCUAAUUUUAAUAAGACUUUUGAGCUUGAAUGUGAUGCUAGUGGAAUUGGAUUGGGUGGUGUUUUGUUACAAGAAGGCAAACCUGUUGCCUAUUUUAGUGAAAAAUUGAGCGGGCUUGUUCUAAAUUAUUCUACUUAUGAUAAGGAAUUGUAUACUCUUGUUCGCAUAUUAGAAACAUGGCAGCAUUACUUGUGGCUCAAAGAAUUUGUUAUUCAUUCUGAUCAUGAAUCUUUGAAACAUAUUCGUAGUCAAGGACAUCUGAACCGUAGACAUGCUAAGUGGGUGGAAUUUAUUGAAUAUUUUCCUUAUGUUAUUAAGCACAAGAAAGGGAAAGAGAAUGUUAUUGCUGAUGCUUUGUCUAGGAGAUAUACUUUGCUGAAUCAACUUGAUUACAAAAUCUUUGGAUUAGAAACAAUUAAAGACCAAUAUGUUAAUGAUGUUGAUUUUAAAGAUGUGUUGCUGCAUUGCAAAGAUGGAAAAGGAUGGACCAAAUUCAUCGUUAGUGAUGGGUUUGUGUUUAGAGCUAACAAGCUAUGCAUUCCAGCUAGCUCCGUUUGUUUGUUGUUGCUACAGCAAGCGCAUGGAGGUGGCUUGAUGGGGUAUUUUGGAGUGAAGAAAACGGAGGACGUCCUUGCUGGUCCUUUCUUUUGGCCAAAGAUGAGAAGAGAUGUGGAGAGGUUUGUUGCUCGUUGCGCGACAUGCCAAAAGGCUAAGUCACGAUUAAAUCCACACGGUUUGUAUGUGCCUCUACCUAUUCCUAGUGCUACUUGGGAAGAUAUUUCUAUGGAUUUUGUGUUGGGUUUGCCAAGGACUAGGAAGGGACGUAAUAGUGUGUUUGUGGUUGUUGAUAGAUUUUCUAAGAUGGCACAUUUCAUACCAUGUCAUAAAACUGAUGAUGCUACCCAUAUUGCUAAUUUGUUUUUUCGAAAAAUUGUUCGUUUGCAUGGUGUGCCAAACACAAUUGUUUCUGAUCGUGAUGCUAAAUUUCUUAGUCAUUUUUGGAAGACUUAUGGGGAAAACUAGGAACUAAGCUUUUAUUUUCUACUACAUGUCAUCCCCAAACUGAUGGCCAAACUGAAGUUGCCAAUAGAACUUUGUCUACUAUUUUAAGGGCUGUUUUAAAGAAGAACAUUAAGAUGGGGGAAGAUUGUUUGCCUCAUAUUGAAUUUGCUUAUAAUCGUUCACUGCAUUCUACUACAAAGAUGUGCCCAUUUAAGAUUGUAUAUGGUUUCUUGCCUCAUGCUCCUAUUGAUUUGAUGCCUUUGCCAUCUUCUGAAAAGUUAUAUUUUGAUGCUACUAAGCGUGCUGAAUUGAUGUUAAAACUGCAUGAAACAACUAAAGAAAACAUAGAGCGUAUGAAUGCUAAAUAUAAAUUUGCUGGUGAUAAAGGUAGAAAGGAACUAAUAUUUGCACCUGGCGAUUUAGUUUGGUUGCACUUGAGAAAGGAUAGGUUUCCUAAAUUGCGAAAGUCCACAUUGAUGCCUCGGGCUGAUGGACCAUUUAAAGUGUUAGAGAAAGUUAAUGAUAAUGCAUAUAAGCUCGAUCUGCCUGCAGAUUUUGGGGUUAGUCCCACAUUUAACAUUGCAGAUUUGAAGCCAUAUUUGGGAGAAGAAGAAUAGCUUGAGUCGAGGAUGACUCAAAUGCAAGAAGGGGAGGAUGAUGAGGACAUCAACACCAACGAUACAUCCACGCCUACACAAGUACCAGUUUCCGGUCCUAUUACUCGCGCCCGUGCUCGUCAACUUAAUCAUCAAGUAAGUUCACUCUUGAGUUCCUGUCCAUCCUAUUUAGACCAUGGAGACGCGUGAACUCUUGUUUUGGUUUGGAACCAGGGACAAGACCGAAAAGGAAAAGGACUCGCGCAGGCUGGAUUCAGACUCUAGGACAGUACCAACUUGUGAUGGUCACCACAGUCACAUACAGACUCAAAUUGCGGUGUUCCAGUACUUCAUGGUUUUGUUAUGAAGUCUACUUUCAUAUGGAUUUGGACUCAAGUCCAUAUAUGGUUUGAGGCGGUCGCAAUGAAAAAUUUACUACUGAGAGGUUUUGUGGUGCUGCUUCACAUUAAUUUGGCCCAAUGGGCCGUGUAUCAAGUCAGAUCCAAUAGGGAUGCGUCCUAGGGUUGGAGCAUGACUCCAACACUCUGGUGGUCAUCCUCCCACCUUCAUAUACCCCUUAGCCACCACCAGUUGGGUUUUGUUUAGAUCAAGUUUAGCUCUCGCUACUUGCUUGUAAGCGCGCGUGCUGGAUCAGUCGCUCGUCUUCCUAUCUUCGGAACCCCACCUUAUUGAGAUUGAGUUGGAAGCCUUAAUCUUCAUCUAGUAAAUUCAAUACUUGUUAUACUUGUUAUUGCUAGUUCUUCGAUUGCUUGUAGGACGAGUGCCCUAGUGGCCGGGUGACGCGCUCCACAAGAUCGCGGCAGCCAUUGGAGGUGGUGUAUCAGUUGCUAAGGCGCAGCUUGGAAGGCUGUAGUCGGGUCGUGAACAUCGUCUCCAUCGACCAAUCGAGUUAUCCCAUGCCUCUCAUCAAAAGAUCGGGAAUCAACCCUAGCGGGUUCAUAUCACAUAGCUUCUAGAUCCUGAGCGGUGAGGAAACAUGACCAGUCCAUGAUUACUGGUGAUUAUAGUAUACCUCUCCUUUACAAUAAUGAUAACUCGUGUAAGAUAUAUAAAUAAUAGGAACAUAUCAGUACAUGCAAAUGUGCUAGUGGCAAGUUGAAGUUUUAUCAUACCCCAUGAGGUUGGCUAGACCACAUUGUAACUAGUCCAUUGGUCAUCAUCCAGUGUGGUCACAUGAGAUUUGGUUGGGACUUCAUUUGCUGGAAGAUCAUUGAAGAACUUUUUCUUGAGCUGGUACCUUCCCUGUAUCUGUUGCGACUUGAGCAUGUCAGUGCAUGCCUUUAUGACAGGUUGACUAGUGGUGUCAAUGUCAAAUUGUCCCUAUAUUAAGUGCAACACAAGAGUAGUCAAAAAAUGGAUGAAAAUAAAGGAUGCAAAGAAUUAUGGUAGUAGAUAAGCACAACACCGCCAGUUUGCCAAUGUAGUGCUUGAGAUAUUUUUUAUUAUUGGUCUUGUAGUCCUUCUAGCAAGUAAGGAUCGGUAUAUGCCCACGUAGUAUGAUCCCACCCUCUGAUGCAAACUUUGCAGCUUGCAUUGGUGCCUUUUGUUGUUUGAGCCCUUCUCGAACAUGGAUUGGAAGCUUGGUGUGCAAUCCUCUACUUAUCCUAUCCAGAUCUCUGCCCAACCUUCUUGAAUCCCAUGGCACUUGUGCUCUUCUGGAAGGGCGUGCAUCACCUAACAAUUUUGUUACAUUCAUACAGAUGGUGUGUGUUAAUAAUGAUUUGGUUGCUAAUUGCGAUGUUCCAAUUUUUUGGCUUUGGGAAAAAAAGAUCAAAUGACUUGCCUUUGCCAGUCAUCAUGUCGAUGAUGUCCUUAGUGUGGGUGGCUGUUGCUUGGCCUUUGGUUGGCAAUUCUUGUGAAUCAGGAGUCGUCCCAUUCAAAACUCCUGCUUGAACUAAAGACAAUUCCUUUGCCUUGGUCCUAGUCACUCUAGGAGGCAUACUGUCAGAGGCAUCAGGUGCCCGAAUUCUCUUGGACAACCCUCUUCCCCUGUUGACAGGUAUGCUAUCACUGACCUAAUUGGACAAAUUGCAUAAACAAAAUUAACGAGAAGCAAUCCUGCAUAACUGAUACAAGAAAUUUGGUAGGCAACAACAAUAGAUACCUCGUGUUGGCCUGUCUCUUGGUCAGAUUCAGGCCAUUCCGGUCAUACUCCAAUUUUGGAUCUUCACUUCUUCUUUCAUUGGUAUCCCUUUUUUUACCUUUUCUAGACUAUAAAAGGAUGCUUGUGAGUUUUUCAAUGCUGAGGGAAGCCAAUACACCCUGGUUCCUUAAGAUAAGUGCAACCCUCUUCCUCUCAUAAGGAUGCAGCUCUGGUUCUAUAUCUUAGGAAAAGAAAGAAACUUUUGUAAAAUUAUCCAACCACUAUGAUGAGUACAUUGAGUGGGAAAUAGCAAUAGAUAAAAUAUUUGCUAAUCAUUUUAUGUGUUCAAGGAGGAAGAUUAAGAAUGCAACUAGUGUCUUGCGAGAUUCUGCUUUAACUUGGUGGGAGACCAUAAGUCCAUCAAAUAAAUCUCAAACUUGAGAUGAUAUGAAAUUUCUUAUGAGAGAAACUUUUGCUAAUCCAUCUCAUAUAAUUAACUCAUAUGAUGAGGUGCAUCAAUUAGAGGAUCAGUCUAUUGUUGUAUUUCUUGCUAUGCCUAACCUUUUUGCAGGAUUAUGAACAAAAGCAAGAGGACAAGGAUGGUGCAAAAGAAAAUGAGGAGCUUACAACCUCAUGUGCAAAUUCACCAUUACUUCACAAUGCACCUAUUACUCCUGCUGAAAAUAAGAACACAGAUAAUGCGCAUGGUACUACACUCACGAAAGGUGAGAAUUAUCUUGAUGUCCUAAAUUUUUCCACAAAUCAUGCUAUCACAGGGCAAUUGUUAGUGGAACCUUCUCUUGAUUUAUGUUUGUCACAAGAUGACUCGCUUCCUAUUCCUUGUGAUAAAGAUAAAUUUUGUGACAAUUAUGUUGUACCAAUGAAUCAACAUGCUAUAUGUGUUUUGGAACCCAACACUUGUGCUGAAAGUAGACAUGUUAUUCAUAUUGCUAGUGAUAAAGAUGAGCUGAAAUUAUUAUCUUCUUUAAAUAUUUUGGGUUACAUUGAAUUUGAUAUAUUGUAUAAUCUAGGUUUUUUGGAGGAGAGACUUUUUGGAUAUUCUGAUUUUCCAUGGUUUUCUAGACACACAUAUCAUGUUGGUGGAAAAUAUAACAACAAUGGACAAUACAUGAUACAUCGUGUUUACAUUAGUAGCAAUAUGGAUUGUUCUUUUGUUGUGCAAUAUUGUAAUCAACUAAAUGGAUCCAAUACUGCUAAUAUUCAUAUGCCAUCUACUCCUAUGCUGCUUCUUGUUAGUACUAAUCUUUUGCAGGAUAGUGUUGAUAAACAUCAUGUACAUUGCGAUCAAGGAGCCUACAUGCUUGCUAGAAUUUCUGUGCGAGAUGACACACUAGAAACCUUGAAAUAUGGUCAUAUCCCUCCUCACAAUUAUUCAAUUCCCUUUGUUUUCACAAUUCCAUUCUCCUUUGUGUUGUGCAGGGUCAGUUUAGAGCACAAUCGAUGCCAAGGACAGCUUUUCAUCAAGAAGGGGAGGACGAAGAGGAUAUGACACUCAUGCAUAUGACCAUGAUUGGCGCAUGGCAUGAAGAAGGAGGAGCCUAGCAAGGGUGUACAAGUCAAGAAGGUGGACCGAGGCUAAUUUAGUCUGAGCCGCCAAGGUGGAAGCCCCAAAUCAACUCAAGUUCGAGCCCACCUUGGAGUCCAGGAGCAGCACACACCAAAAAUGACGGCUAGGUCGCAUACGGAUCCAUUUUGGACGUUCUUUAUAUCAAUGGAAAGAUAAGUUCAUAAAGCUUCCGAUGGAACUGGUCCCACAUCAAAAUUAUAUCUAAGUCAAUGGUAAUUGUCGAAACAAUUGGACAUGCAGAAUCUGUUAGGGUGUUGCGCCACUGUCUUUUAGGCCAUUGGCCCGUGUAUCAUGCUGGAGCCCAUAGGGGUGCGUCGAGGGGGUCAUCCACAACCUAACCCUCAUAUAUUCAAUAGCUGUUGCCACAUUAGGGUUUGAGUUUAACCCUAAUGUGGCGACCGCUACUGAAUAUAUGAGGGUUAGGUCAUGGAUGACCGCCCUGGAUGCACCCCUAUGGGCUCCAGCAUGAUACACGGACCAACGGCCCAACAGACAGUGGUGCAACACCCUAACACAUUCUAGAUGUCCACUUGUUUUGAUGAUUCUCAUUGACUCAGAUGAAAUUUUCAUGUAGGACCUGUGACACUGGAACCUCUAUGAAAUUAUCUUCCCAUCCAUAUAAAGAACAUUCGAAACAGACUCUAUAUGCACUUGGGCGCCCAAAACAGAUCUACAAACAAACAACAAAGUAAAAGCAGUACCAAAACCAAACAAGGAAACUAUUUAAUUGCAUCACUGGGGACGCUUAACUGGGGAGGAAAACAUUGUACCUCAUUAUUGAUGUUUCCUCCGUAAGACCUUCCCGCCUAGUGCCAUUGCGUCACCUCUGGUCCUACGGAGGAAGAUGGGAAAUGGGAGGUAGCUAUGAGGGGAAGAUUGUGGAUGGCGGUGAGCAAGUGAAGAUUUGGGAUGAUGGUGAGGAGGAGGUGAAGAUUUGGGAUGGGGUGAGGAGGAGGUGAAGAUUUGGGAUGGGGGCGAGGAGGUGAAGGGGAAUUGCUGGUAGAAAGGUUUUGGACACGGAAGAUUUGGGCAAAGGGAGGAAAGGGACGGGGUAUUUAGCCAAUUGGGUGGAUGGCCCUCUUACAUUACCAAUAUACCCUUUUACUAUGGUGGUGGAUGAAAUGGGGUGCUAUUGGGAAGAGGGGGAGGAAAAUUAACAUUUCACAUCUGUCACACGGCUUGGCCUGGGCGUCCGAAUAUUUGAACAGCAUGCCGGAAAGAUUUUGCGGUUGGUCCGCACCAGGUAAUGGUGACCAAAGGCUAUUCUGCUCAGUAGAAUAUGCCGAACAAAAACCCGAAUAGUGGAAUGUCUAGUAGUCUAUUCAUGAACAUUUCUUAUUCUUGGUACAAUCAACGGAACCUGUACCAAAAAUUUUUGCUAGAAUUAGGAGAAUUUGGACCCAAAUUCAACAAAUUAUCAUUCAAAAUCUUUGGUAUAUAAUGAGAACACCUUCAAAAAGCUAAAUAUUCUGUUAUUUGGUACCACUCCAUCUGUUUAUGUACUGCUCCGCUUAUAUUGAAGUACGUUGUUAGGUACUACUCCCUUCGUUUAUAAGGCGUAUGCGCAUAAGUGUAAUAAGGGCGACAGCGUCAUGCCAUAUCACAUCUUAUAACAAGAAUAGAGUGAGUAUUUAGGAUGGAGAACUACUCUAUAUAUUUAUUUUUACAUUGGAAAACCAAAGAAACCUCCCAUCUAUUCGGUGUACUUACUACGAUUGGAAAUCCUUGUACCAUCCCAGCAACAUUGGAAAUCCUUGUACCAUGCCUUCCAUUGGUGUGUUUACUAAUUAAUCAUGUGCACAUUGGAAAUCAAAUAACCCUCCCUUUGGUUGCAUGUGCUUACUUACAUAUCAACAUUGGAAACCAAAGAAAUUACCCUUCGAUUGGUUGUGCGUACUACUUAUUCAUGUGCACAUUGGCAAUCAAACAUUAUUUUUCCCGAUUGGAUUUCCUAACUACUCAAUCAUGCGCACAUUGGAGAUCAAACAUCCCUCCCUUUGGUUGCAUGUGCUUACUUACACACAUGUCAACAUUGGAAACCAAAGAACUCUCCUUUCGAUUGGGUGUGCUUACUACUUAUUCAUGUGCACAUUUGCAAUCAAACAUCAUUUUUCCCGAUUAGAUUUGCUAACUAUUCAAUCAUGUGCACAUUGUAGAUCAAACAUCCCUCCCUUUGGUUGCACGUGCUUACUUACACACAUAUCAAUAUUUGAAACCAAAGAAACAUCCCUUCAAUUGGGUGGGCUUACUACUUAUCCAUGUGCACAUUGGCAAUCAAACAUCAUUUUUCCCAAUUGGAUUUGCUAACUCCUCAAUCAUGUGCACAUUGGAGAUCAAACAUCUCUCCCUCCGAUUAAAUGGCUCCCUUGGAUUAAGUAGCUCUGGACAUAGUUUUGGGUUACAUUGAAGAUUACAAACAAAAACACUACGAAGGUAGUUUUGGAUUCCUUGUAUUGAUAGCAUCACUCAUUACAUGAUGGCGAGGUCGGAGAAGUCUCCUUUUUGGGUGGUGGAAGACUAGACCUUGCCACGCCUAUAUUCCCGCAUGUAUCCAUAAUAUUAAUUCACUCCGUUGACUCAAACACUUGGAAAUCCGAGUCUUGAACGCCCCUAGAGUAGUUUGAUGAUUUAGCUUCAUCCGCAACUUGAAGACGACAUGCCAGCCUACCCGAUUGGUCAUUCUGUACCCCAUUGGUACCAUACAAGUUAUAAGACUCGUACGACUCCGAUACAAACUCCGCCAGAUCACCAAAAGUUAAAACUUGAGCACAAUGCCUAGGAAAAUAUUAUUACAAGGCUUAACAAAAUAGUUGGUUCGUACAUGACAAUGAAACAUUUAUUGUUCAAAUUGAAUACAACAGUCAAUGUCAACAAAAGAAUUGUUUAACAUUCUACCUCUUUGUCAUCGGGGUUCGAAGAAGGUGUCAACGUUGUAGGAUUGGUUGACAGAAGAGGGACAUCAGGAGCUAGAGAUACAAGAUUAUUUGAAGGAGGAGGAGCAGCAGUAGCAGAGCCUUCCGAUGUAGUUGGAGAAGGAGCAGGUGCAGUAGAGCCUUCCAACAUAGUUCGACUAGGAGCAGGUGUAGGAGAGGCUUCCGAUGUAGCGUGACUAGGAGCAGGUGUAGGAGACCCUUCCGAUGUAGCGAUACCAGGAGCAGGAGCCAUCGCAGGAUCAUCCUGAGCUUGCAAACUAGUGAGACCAGGUUCAUCCAUAGGUUGUGAAGUAGUGAGACCAGGAUCAUCUUGAGUAGUAGGGGUAGACACUUUAUGAUCAUCUGAAUCUAUAGCUGUUUCCACCAUAGGAUGUUCCUCUUGCUGGUGCGAAGCAGCAAGAUUAGAUAGAACCCUGAGUAUUGAUGCAUUUUCUUCCUCACCAUUGCCACCCUUCUUUGUCGGAACAAGUGUGGAAUCAUUUUCUAUCAGGGUCGUCAUUGAUGUCGACAAUUGUGGAAUUCCAGCUCAACUGUUAUGCGACACGGAGACCUUAGAGGUUUUACCCGGUUCAGUCGGAGGCAUGAUUAGCAAGGGGGUCUGACCAGCAUGUGGGAGUUGAAUUUGCGGUCGUGGUAACCCGACAUGCUGAUGCAACUGAUUGAGGAUGGUAGAUACGGUGGUGAGCACAGUGUUCAUGUUCUAGUCUGCCCUCUAUGCCACCUGCUCUAGCCACGUGAAUUGUCUCUCCUCCUAAUGAGCUAGUCUCUCGUCCAACCAUUUUUGUAGCUCGGCCAUAUGGAGAUUAUUUUCGGCUUGUUUAGCCUGACCAUCAACCAGUCUCUGAAGAAUUAAGGCAAGCUCGGUCGGCUGACCGCAUGUAUCCACGCCUGUAUUCCCACAUGUAUCCACGGUGGUGUGCAAGAGGGUUUGACUGGUUUGACCUCAAAAUCGGGGGUGAGUCACGCCAGGUGGGUCUGCAGAGGGUUUGGGUGGUUUGGGCCUCAAAACCACCGCGCAGGCAGGUUUGCCGGUUUAGGCCUCAAAAUCGGGGACGAGUUCGGUGCAGCCAGAUAGCGUCGAGUCGGAGGACGCGUGGCACCAUCGCAAAGCUUGCGUCGAGGCGAAGCGAAGUCGUGAAGGUGCCGGGUCCGUCCGAUGAGCAAAGAAAAAGUUGGAGGACUUUACCCCUGGGGGUUAUUUGGGUGGUGUGCUUAAUGUAAGGGCAUUUUAGACAUUUGCCAAAUGCCUAUGUAUGUAUAGGAGGGCUGUUUGGGGCAGCCAUCCCUUUGGUUGUUUUGGUGGGGGGUUUUCUCAUUUGUUUUGUGAGAGCCUAUAGUAGAGGCAGAGAGGGAGAGAGGAGGGAUAUUUGUGUUGAUCUUUUUGCUAUCCUAGCCUUGAUUGUGCUUAUGAGUGGCUUGUAACCAGACAUGGUGACGUAAUCCAAGAAUCAAUUUCGUGCUCAAUUGCUUCUCCUUCUCAAGAUUUGAAAUUUAUCUUUUUUCCUAUUUUUGAAGCAUUUUUGGUGAAUUUUUGGAUCUCACGAUUGGCCACGAUUUGGGUGUUUUUCUUUGAGAAAAUCGGUGCUAGGAUAUGUGCAAGAAUAUCUAGGAUUAUCCCCUAGCAAAUCCAUGCACGAGCACCUUGAAUUUUGAGUUUUCCCGAAAAUCCCCUUUCUUGUGCCCAUCCUAAAUCCUUUGAAUCUGGUGACCAAUUCUUGGGAUUUUUGACUUGAGCCUUGGGGAAUACCUUUGGUAUGUUGUUGUGAGUCUAUGGUUCAAAUUUCAUGAUUUUUGGAGGUCAUUUGAUUGAGUUUCGGAUAUUUCUUCUCUCCUCACGAAGGCUGAUUUCUAGAAUUCCAGAAUAUUCUGGCAGAUUCCGGAAAUUUCCAGACCUCCACAAGUUUCCGAAGGUUUCUCCGGAAAUCUUCAAAAAUCCGGAAUUUUCCAAAGGUUCUUUCGGAUUUUUUGGAACUGAGGUGUUGUUUUUCAAAGUCCUUCCGACACUUGUUUGGACUCUUUCUUACUUCCGCUAUUCUCAAAUUGGGUUCCUAGCAUCAUUCUUAGGUCCAUUAGCUCGUGCAUAGCUAAGUGGACUUGAUUUUGCUAGAAGAGAGAUUGAGGGGAGUUUAGCCGAAGUUCUUGGAGAAAAUUUGAAUUGGCUCCCAUUCAUCCCUUCUCUGGUCGCUUUUUCGAUCCUUCAAUUAGUAUCAGAGCUUGGUUAAGGAUCAUUCCACCUUAAUCGGCUUUGUGAUCCACGGGGCGACAAGCGAAAGGGUGAUUUUGCUUGCGGAUUUGGUUUUUGAGUUUUGUGCUUGAUUUCAGCUAAUCCUAAGUGGUGCUUUGAGCUAUGGCACCUAGCUCUUAUUCUAUUGGUUCUUUGUCCUUAGGUGGUAUGGUCACAUCGAAGGACGAUUACAAGUGGAGAAAGAAGCGGGAUGAGCUGAACAAGGAUGAUGAAGCAAUGGCAUUGAUGUGUCUUUUGAUGGAUGAGAUGCCUCAAGAAGAUGAUCUCCGACGCAAGCUUCACAAGAUGAGUAGAGGUAAACUCUCCCAAGGUAUAAUUGGUUUGUUCACUUGCCUUUGUGCUCAUGGCGAGAUGAUUGCUGAGCUUAAGAAGAAUUUGGACAUGUCUAGACUUGAUAAUGUGAAUGCUUCAACUUCAUGCAAGUCUAGCUUACCUUUACCAUGCAAAUCUUGUGAUGUUUUGCACAUUGAAAAUGAGAAACUAAAAAGAGAUGUUUAUCUUAGAGAUAAGAAACUUGAAUUUCAUAGAAGAUUACUUGAUGAGCUCUCAAUUGAUUAUGAUGUUUUAAAAUCUGAAAAUGAAAUGUUGAAAUCCAAUACCUCUAUGCUAUGUAAUUCAUGUGUUGCUUUAAAUAAUGAUCUUAAUAAAACUAGAGAUGAAAUUUCUUUGUUGAAGUCAAAUGCAUCUUUACCUUGUGUUUCAUCUGAGUCUUUGCUUGCUAAAAUUAACGAACUAAAAUUGACUCACACCACAUAUGUUGAACAACUUGAGCAUGCUAGGGCUAAACUUUAUGAAAUGAAAUCUAUGUCUUGUAGCAUGUGCUCUUUGGUUCUUGAUGAUGAUGCCUGCCUUACUUCUUGUGAUAAUCAUGAUGCUUUGCUUGAUGUGAAUGAUGAUGUUUCUUCAUGUGGUCUCAUUUGCACAUUAUGCAUUGAAUUGGAAAGUGAAGUUUUGACUUUGAAGCAAAUGCGCGAUGAUAUGAGCGCCCAGUUGGUUGAGCACAAUGAGAUGAGUGCCAACCUUGAGAAAGAAAAUGAACUCUUGUGUACCACAUAUUCUAAGUGAAUUGAAAAGGAGAUGGAUAAUGUGAGAAAUACUCCAUGUGGUACUUGUGAUCGCCUCAAACAUGAAAAUGAGGUUUUGGCCACAAGAUGCAAGAGUCUUUGUGCUAAGUCUUUUGAUUCUCACAAUUCUUAUCACUCCGAUGUUGGUGUUUCCAAAAUUGCUUCUUCUCAACCGGAGUUGGCUUCUUCUGUUGACCGUGAGUCUUUGGACGGUAGUACUUGUGCUAGUGCUUUGGAUAGCUCUUUUAUAGUUACUCCUAAGCUUGUUGCUUCUUCCGGUAUUGCCCAAGACAAUUCAAGUGGCAAGGGUGCUUCUCACAUUUUUGGAACUCAUGCUCCCAAACUGAAGUUCCAUUGCACCUUUUGCAAGAAAGAUGGGCAUACCGAUGAGUUUUGCUUUCGCCGUGUCAAGCAUGAGCGACGUGUGCGUGCUAAAACUUUUAGGAAGCCACGUAGCCUUUCCCAUGGCACGUGUGAGCCUAAUAUGGGCACCAUGUCAAAUGAUGUUGUUGAUGCUUCUUUCUCUAAGUCCCAAGGGACUUCUCACUUGAAUGAGAAUGAUGAUUCGUCCUCUCGGAACGUGCCUACAAAAAGGCCUUUGUACUAUUGCUCUUAUUGUGAGAAAGAUGGGCAUCAAAAGAGCUUUUGUUAUCAUCGUGCAAGACAAAUGCGGCGAACUCGUGUUUCUAGGUCUUUGGUUAUUCAUAGCCCUUCUCAUGAUAUGAACACUUGUGAGCCUAGUAAGAAGCUACAUUUCAUUGAUGGGUUUUAUGACUCCUUCUCUAGUGAGUUAGGUCAUGCUCGUGGACAUGCUUCUAAUUCUUCUUAUGUUGGUCCACAACAUGGUUCUCAUGGUGCUUGUGUUGGUUCUUCUCUUAAGAUCUUGGGGGAUCAUUGCCUUUUUGCUAGUGGUAGCACUUGUUCUUCUUCUUGCGUUGCUCCUUUGAGGCAUGUUUCCAAGGGUAUUUCAAAAUCAUCAUAUUUGAACCGGCAUUUGCAUCAUGCUAACCCACAUGAUAAGUUGAGUGCAUCUUUUACCCGUAUGACUAAGUUUUGGAUUCCCAAGUAUAUGCUUGCUAACCCUUUGGGAUCCAAGACUCGGUCUUCUUUGUCCCCUCAUGUGUAGGUACGGGGAUGCGGGUGGAGGACAUGAGCUUGAAGGGACUUGAUCUUUUUCUUGAGGUGAUUGAGACUUGAUGGUUCUCCACACCGUUUGAAUGUACACUUGUAUAGUGAGUUUUUCCUUUCAUGUAUACUACUCACUUGCGGACUCUUUUGCAUGUUUUAUACUUGUAUCAUGCUGUGAAUAUACCAUGGUAGGCUAGCCACCAUUUUAUGUUAGCAUGUGUGAUCUUCAUGUAUAUCUUGUCAUGCUAGCUUUGUAAUAUAUCUUGGUGGAUGAUCCACGUGAACAUCGUGCCAUGCUUUAGCUUAGUCUUCAUAUUGGUUAUGGCAUGUUGUUCAUUUGGUAUCAUUUUAGUAUCUUUGUAUGAUCAUUUGCACCUUGUCGACAUGUUUCCUUACCCAAGCUUUUAUUCAUAAAUGUGGAAUCAUGUUGCAAUGCUUUAAUUUCUCUCACUAGUAUCAUCAUUACAUUGUGUGACAUGAAUUGAGCUUUAUCUUGCUUUUGCGCUUGCCUUAUCUUUGGGUCGCAUUUUGCUCCUUCUUUGGAUUUUCUCUUCCUUUUGAUUGGUGUUGGAGUUUUUCAUUUUCCCUGUUCUUUUCCUAGUUUUUGUUUGCUAGUUGUCUGUGGUUGAGGGGGAGUUCAGCUUCAUUCGAGGGGGAGUUUGGACCAAGGACUUGCUUUGGUUUUUGAUAUCCGCUUUUGAUUUUUUUAAUUGGUAUCACAUUUGAUCUUUAAAUUAGAUUUCAUUUUCUUCAAGUGAUAUCAAUUUUUGAUCCUUCAAUUACUAUCUUUUCUAUGGUACUCAAUUGGGAUCCUUGGUGGUUCUUCUUUUGCCAUGGAGCUUUUCCUGGAUUUGGUUGACCCCUCAUGAGCUUUCUUCAUUUUGAGUCGAACCCCAUCUCUUUUAACACUGCAUUACAUUUGUAUCAUAUUGCACCAUGUACACUUUGCACUAGAUGAGCUUCUCCUAUAUAUCCUUAGCAUUUCCUUAUGCUAUUUGUGAGCUAGUGCAUUGGUUGGUGAUUAUGUAGCAAUGUGCAGCAUAUGCUCUUGAUGAUAUUGUCAUAUAACCAUGUUGAGCUAAAUGCUUUUGUGAAUCAAAUGUUAAUCUUGAAUAAUGAAUUCUGAAAUGCUUAUCACUCAUGACUAGCUACCUAUUUAUGCAUUGCUCUUGCUUGAAUGCUAGCUCCAUGUUUAGCUUCUACUUGGAAUUCAUGUUCUUUUCAAUUGGAUCAAAGAUCUAGGUAUCAUUGCAAAUGUUUAGCCCAUGAUGCGUUCCUUGGGGAAGCAUGGCUUCUUUGUGUCGCAAAGGCACUUCAUGUAACUUGUUUAAUGUGAAUGAUGAUAAAAAAAAUUCAGUAAUUCACCAAGUUUUUGUGCUUAACGUUGAUAUCCUUGCUUGCUUAGUUGUUACGUGAUGUCUACCAAAAGAAGUAGGCACAUGCUUUCAACAAGCCUUGACAUGACUUGUGAUGCAUAUGUGGGUGUUUGCAAUGAUCUCUUGUUGAGAAUGUAUCUUCCUUGUAUGAGCUCUGAUGGCCUAGUUUGCUUCUUUCUUGAAUGAUUCAUGACUAGGUGCUUCCUCAUGUGGUGAUACUUUUAUAAAGUGCAAAUUUGUCAACUUGCUUCGUCUUUUGCUUAUAUCAUAAUAUCCUCUUGAUGGCGAUGCAAUUGCUCUUUAUGAUCUACCUACUUGUGCAUUAUCUCAGUUGUAGCCUUUGCAAGUGCUUUGUGAUAUAUUUGAGAAGCUUGGUAGGUUGUACACCCAUGGCAUGCAUUUUGUGCUGGUGUGUAUCUUAUAUUUGCAUUUAAUGGGGAGUUUUGCAUUUGAGGGGGAGCAUGCAUUCUUUUGCUCUUGUGCAUGUAUUUCAUUGUGGCAUGUUUUCAGGGGGGAGUGCAUGUGUUACGGGGGAGCUUGUGAGUUUUGUGCUCUCUUUUGCUCUUUUGCCAGUUGUGUUGAGCUUUUACCUCUUCUUGAGGAACCGACAUUUGGUUUGAGCUUUCGAUCGUCACAUGAUUGGUGUUGAGCCCUUUUUGCCUCUUCUUGAGGGAUCAUGUGUUUUCGAUUUUCACAUGAUUGGUGUUGAGCCCUUUCUGCCUCUUCUUGAGGGAUCAUGCGUUCUUUGUCUCGGUUGUGUCAAGCUGUUGCCUAUGUCUUUGGGGAUUGAGACUUUACUAAGUUGAUUUUGCCUUUGUGAUGUUUCUCAUGCCAAGUGACUUUAAUAUUUGCCUUUACAUGGCUUUCGAUCACUUGGAUGAGAGUUUUGCCUAAUUGAUUCCACAACUUGGCUUUUAUGGCUCUUCUCAUCUCAAGUGACUUUGAUCUUGGCUUUUGAUCACAUGGAUGAGAUUUUUGGCUUUUACCUUUCAAACCAUUUCUUGCGCUUGAAUGUUGUCAACACACUCAUCAAGGGGGAGAUUGAGAAAUCAAGUUGAUAUGAACCUUGAUUUGAUUGUGAUGAGCGUUUGACAAAUGUUGAAAUGGCUUUGAUGGCAGUUUGGGAUUCAUGCAGCUCUUAUGUCUUUUGCUUGACUCUUCGGUUGCGUUAAGCCUUGUCUCUUCUUUGGGAACCGAGAGUUUUUUGUUUGGAGCUUGCAUGAUCCUUUCUCCUACCAAGUUGCCUUGUGUUUGCUUUUUCUUGGCUUUUGGGCACUUGAAUGAGUUCUUUUUUGCUUCCAAAUCAUCUUUUGUCAAUGCACUUAUAAAAGGGAGAUUAAGAGACCAAGUUGACAUGUGCCUUGGUCUAUUUGUGAUGAGUGAUUGACUAGAUGAUUUGAGGUUUUACCGGUUGAGUCGAUAUUCCAUAUGCACUUGAUUAUGCUAACGGCUAAUCGAAGGUGUGAGUUGUGCAUUGUGUUGUGGUGUUUGUGUAAACCAUAUGUUGUAUGUUGUGUCUCUUGGCUUGUGAUAUGCAAGUGUAGGAUGUCACAUGGCGGUCGACGGCAUGAGGUGAAGGUCAAGCGCGAAAGGUUCAUGCCGAUGUACUAGGGCUGUGAAGGGUGGACACAAGUAGGUUUGGACUAAGGGAAUCGAGGAGUCCUGGCGGAGUCAUGGGAGAUCCACAUGGUGCACGGAAGAGCAAGAGUACACGGACGGUAAUGGAGACGACGUCGGUCGAGUCAAGAAAGACGGGGACAAGUCGAGUAGGAGGCCCGGGAGCCGGGAGCGAAAGACUUGGAGGCGUCGAAGACUUGGUGGAGGCUGGACACGUGUCGACAUCGAUGAGUCACGGGUUGUGGGGCAUGCAAGAGGAUUUGACCACGAGUGAGUCACGCUAGGUGGGUGUGCAGAGGGUUUGGGUGGUUUGGACCUCAAAACCACCGCGCAGGCAGGUUUGCCAGUUUGGGCCUCAAAACCAGGGGCGAGUUCGGUGCAGCCGGACAAUGUCGAGUUAGAGGACACGUGGCACCAUCGCGAAGCUUGCGUCGAGGCGAAGCGAAGUCGUGAAGGCGUCAGCUCCGUCCGAUGAACGAAGAAAAAGUUGGACGACUUUACCCCUGGGGGUAUUUGGGUUGUGUGCUUAAUGUAAGGGUAUUUUGGACAUUUGCCAAAUGCCUAUAUAUGUAUAGGAGGGCUGUUUGGGGCAGCCAUCCCUUUGGUUGUUUUGGUGGGAGUUUUCUCAUUUAUUUUGUGAGAGCCUUUAGUAGAGGGAGAGAGGAGAGAUAUUUGUGUUGAUAUUUUUGCCAUCCUAGCUUGGAUUGUGCUUACGAGUGGCUUGUAACCAGAUAUGGUGAGGUAAUCCAAGAAUCAAUUUCGUGCUCAAUUGCUUCUCCUUCUCAAGAUUUGAAAUUUAUCUUUUUUCCUAUUUUUGAAGCAUUUUUGGUGAAUUUUUGGAUCUCACGAUUGGCCACGAUUUGGGUGUUUUUCUUUGAGCAAAUCGGUGCUAGGAUAUGUGCAAGAAUAUCUAGGAUCAUCCCCUAGAAAAUCCAUGCAUGAGCACCUUGAAUUUUGAGUUUUCCCGAAAAUCCCCUUUCUUGUGCCUUUCCUAAAUCCUUUGAAUCCGGUGACCAAUUCUUGGGCUUUUUAACUUGAGACUUUCGGUAUACCUUUGGUAUGUUGUUGUGAGUCUAUGGUUCAAAUUUCGUGAUCUUUGGAGGUCGUUUGAUCGAGUUUCGAAUUUUUCUUCUCUCCUCACGAAGGCUGAUUUCUGGAAUUCCGGAAGAUUUCGAAAAUUUCCGGACCUCUGGAAGUUUCUGAAGGUUUCUCUGGAAAUCUCCGAAAAUCCAGAAUUUUCUGAAGGUUCUUUCGGAUUUUUCCGAACUGAGGUGUUAUUUUUCAAAGUCCUUCCGAUACUUGUUUGGACUCUUUCUUGCUUCGGCUAUUCUCAAAUUGGGUUCCUAGCAUCAUUCCUAGGUCCAUUAGCUCAUACAUAGCUAAGUGGACUUGAUUUUGAUCGAAGAGAGAAUUUUUAACACAAGAAAACAUCACUGAAAAAUUAAGUAAAAAUAUUGUAAAACUAUCAAAUUGCCUCUAGUAUUUAAAUAAAAUAACAUGAGGCAUAGUUGCAUAGUAGAAAUCGGAGUUGCUUCACAAGUUUGAAUUUCGACAAUAAACAACAAUGCAUGGUCAAGAUGCUCCAUUAUGCUCAAAUGAUGCUCAUGAUGCUCAAUUUUGAAGAGAUCUACCACUUUUACAUUGCCAAAAUUUGAGUUCUUAUAUAAAAUUUGUUUUUACUUGCUCCCCAAGUGCUUUAGUACAAAGGUGUUUAACACUUAGUCAUUUAGAGUUAGCUUUGAUUUAUUCCUUAAUCACUUUGAUGUUAUUUUGAUUUAGUCUCUUAAUUACUAGGGAUGUCACACCCAUAAUCGACGUAGGGGCCCCAUCGACAGUCGCCACGUGGAGGUUGAUCACGAGGGGGGCCAGAGGCGGUUCGGCCGAUCCAAGGGUUCUGCCGAACCCCUGGUGGCCCCCCUCGCAACCGCCUUUCUCCGGGUGACUGCCUGGUGAGUUCCAAUGGCGGUUGUGUGUGUUAUCCGGUAAAUUGAGGCGGUUGUGGUAGUUUGUGGGCCCUUCAAUCCAUGGGAUGCACACGUGGCAACCUCCCAUUGGUCAGAUUUGUGUUUCUUUGCUCCUUAGAGUGUGCUUUCUCCUUCCUUUUGUGCUUUUUCACUUGUAAUAAAAUAUUCUCUAAGGACAAGUGGAACUACAUUAUUCUUAACUAAGUAUGCGUGAAAGAAAUGUCAAUCUUCCUUUAUUCUUGAGAAUAUUGAUGGUCAUAUUUGGUACUUAAUGACCGUCAACAAAGGUGGCGUUGUUUCUUUUAAGUCUUGCAAGCAGACCAUCUUAACGAGGUCAAUAAUGGAAGCAGAACUCACAUCACUGGAUAUUGCCAGAGUUGAGGCUGAAUAACUUCGUUAUCUCUUGAUGGAUUUUCUAGGGUUGAGAAACCGAUAUCGGCUAUCCUAAUGAACUGUGAUAAUCAAACUGUAAUUGUCAAAAUAAACAGUUCAUGAGACAACAUGAAGUUAUCAAGGUAUGUGAAAAGGCGAUUGAAGUCUGUCGGUAAAAUAAGAAACUCUGGAGUAAUAGCUUUGGACUAUGUCCAGACUACUAAAAAUCUGGCAAAUCCGUUUACUAAAGGUCUUUCACGAAAUGUGAUUAACGAGGCAUCGAGGGAGUUGGGAUUGAGACCCACAUGAGAGUUAUGUCAUAGUGGUUACCUGUCCUAUUUGCUCGGAGAUCCCGUGAAUUAGGAUGGUAAAAGAAACUAUUGGCUAACAGUGAAGGAGAGUACUUUUGUACAAACCCAUCCCUUUGGAGAUGCAUUCUCUCCUUUUCUGCAUGACAAGUUGGUUAAUACCUUAAUGUGAUCCAAGUGGCUUAUUUUAAAGCAAAGAUGUUUACCUGCAAAAAUAUCUUUUGAGGAAUACACCUAUAUGAGUUUGACUACUAGUCACAGUCUAUGAGAUUGGGUAAUCUCUACAGACUCAUGAAAGACCCUGAAGUAUGACUUUUAUGCUUCAACCAGAGGGGAUGCAUUUUGCAGCCUAGUAUCGGUUAAGGACAUAAGUGAAACUUGUUCACACAAAACUGUUAAUUCAAGGCAUAAUCCAUUGUUCAACUGUGGACAAAUGUAGCUUAUGCUCUAGGUGGAUGUUCAACCUUAUCAAGAUCUCCAUCGAAAAACUGAUAUAUCAAAUAGUAGUGGAACUGAACAUGUGCCUUGUAAUUUGGUGGGGAUUGUUAGAUUAAAUGAGUUGGCGACCUAUUAAUUCAAUUAAAUCCCAAGGCCCAUGCACAUGGUGGUAGUUACAUUUGGAAUAAAACCACCUUGGAAGUUGAGAGUGUCCCUAACCAACUUAUAAGGUGGAGCCAUGCUACACCUAUUGAGAAGUUGAGGAAGGGAUAGCAGGAUGCCACACGCAAGUGCACUCUCGCUCGCCUCGCUGAGCCGAGCCAUGCUGUGCUGUGCCGUGCCAAGCCGCGAUGUGACAUGACCGAGCGGCCGGCCGGACAUGAUGUGUGUGUUGGAGGUAUGCCCUAGAGGCAAUCAUAGAGAUGAUGAUAUUCCAUUUUGUAUCCAUGAUUUGUAUAUUGUGUUCAUUGAAUAUCCAUUAAAGGCUACUUGAAUUGAUUUGCAAUUAUGUGAAUUGUAUGUGAAACUCUUUACUUGUAUGGUUAUUCUAAAGUUGUCCCUAGUCGGAGUUCAUGUGAGGACACACAUGAAUAUUAGACUAGCACAUGUAUUAGUUGAUGACUAUGUUUCACAAGUCAUGGACAUCGAGAUGUUGAACUAAUAGUGUGGACACAUGUGGAGACAUGUGUUAGGACUGACCCAACACGAGAAGUAGUUCUCUCUUUAAAUAACAUAUACGCUUUGUCCUUAGACCUGAGAUUGUCGCAUAUUUUCAAGAUGUGGAUCGACCUACUUAGGGGCUAUCAAACGCUACGCCGUAACAGGGUAGUUAUAAAGGUAGCUUUCGGGCUUGUCAAGAAGCAUGCUAUGAGACAUGGUCAAUCAAGAUGGGAUUUGCCCCUCUCUGAUUGAGAGUGAUAUCUCUGGGCCCCUCGAGUGAUCGGAUCCGAAAAUGCAUGGCCAUGCUACGUACGGUUAAGAGUUAACCUACAAAGGGAUUCCGAAUCACAGGAUCGAGAAAGAGCGGUCGGCUUGAAGCUAGACCAAAUAUCGUGAGGCAAAGGGAAUAGCAUGUAUAUUAUGUUGUGAUGGUUCGUCUGAUAUGAUCUUCGUGUGCGUAUAGGAGUUGGCACGUCUUGCUAGAGGCCGCUACCGACUAUUGGGCCGAGUAGGAGUACUCGGGCCAUGUCUAUACGUAUCCGAACCCAUAGGGUCACACACUUAAGGGGCUGGAAGCCCAAUUCGGAUCUGAUCCGAGUUGGAUUAGGUUUAGAAGUGCUAAUGGGCCUCGGAUCCAGAGGCCCGUCAGGAACCUCUAUAAAUAGAGGGGUGGGGGCGCCCUAGGGUUUACACCUUUUGGCGAAACACACCUGCCGCGCCUCCCACACCCUCGCCUGUUGCAACUCGCGGAUCUAGCAGUCCGGCUUGCGACGCUUCCUCCCUGCACGUGUGGAUACCUUGGAGGUGUUGCGCCUGCAGCACUUGGACGAGCCAUCGACGAGCCGCCGACGAGCCACGACGAGCCGACGACGAGCCGCGGCACCGGAGGCGAUCUUGCUGCACGUGGACGAGCUGCUGAGGAGCUGCUGGACGUGAUCGACUACGUACGACUACGUUGAUCGACUAUGUACGACUACGUGAUCGUCUUCACUGCAUCGACGCAUAUCUACAUCUUCCGCACCAGUAGUGCGUCGAGUGGUAAUCCCGUGAUCCUUAUACGACAGUUCUUCCUGGUUAUACGCGGUAGAAUUUUUGAAUUGCGCUAGUGUAGCCUACCUCGUAUCCCUACAGUGUGGGCUGGGCUUGGACGGGUUUUGCAGUUUUUAAUCUCAGUUUGAUGACUAGUAAGUGAUGCUAGUUGAUUGCUAGUUGUUAGUGACUAGUAACUGACUAGCUAGCACAAAUGACUUGUAACUGAUGAACGUUACCAAUAACUGUCAGUUCUGAUGGCUGCCAAAUUACUGCAAUUAACAUGGACGCUCAAGGGUCUCUGCGUCCUAUAAGAUAGGUGCUCCUUCUCUGUCUUCCACGUACUACACACACCACCGGAGCUCCUCCACUGCUGCAUUGCAUUUUUGCUAUCCCCAUUCUGGCGAUCUGUGUGCAUGGACUUCACCCAAAGAGCAGGCCUUCGAAGCUGCGCCCUUGCCGGAGACUCUGCACCCGAGGAGUAGAAGGGCGAUCAAGUUUUUGGGAAGCGCGUUUGCACAAAUGCUCACUACGCACAUGUACUUCCUAGAGGCGCAACUGCACUGCGAUCACUUGCACUGCAUUGACCUCUGAUCGACUACAUCGAACAGGCUCGACUAACGAUGUCGGGUAACGGCGCAUUCGGUUCCUCCGAAACUGGCCCCGCCUCAUGGUACUUCCUCGUGAAUUUUCUAGUUUAGUUCUUGUGUUCCAUAGUAUACAUUGCAUGUUUUAUGUUCACAGCAAAUACAAUAGACCAUACUCCUGUUUAUGCUAUCUUUUAUGUCAUGAUUUAUGUUUUACUUCGGAUUAAAGUGAUAAAGUGAACCAUAAAAUGCCUCUAAUUCCAACAAUUGUUACUUAUUCUUCAACUUGUAAAAUUAACUCACAAACCAACAUGAACAAGAGAUUACAUGUGACCAGUCUUGCAAAUUUGGAAAAGGAAAAAGAAAACUAGAACAUCAAAGUCGAGGUAUAUUUGUAAUUCUUUCUUUGUUCGGUGAUGAGAGAGAUAUAAGUGGUAGCUAUUAUAGAGUUAUUUCAUUAAAAAUAAACCAGGUCUUCUUUUGUUUCGUCUGUUGUCACUUUGUAUUGCAAUCUCCCAUCCAUCUCCCAAGCAUUUCCACUUAUAGAGUCAGCACCUCAGUGCUGUAUCGAUCCAUCUCCCAAUGCUAAUUUGAUUUUUCUUUCUCAAAUUUGUAUGCAUGGCCUCCCAAUGUCACACUGAUUUGCUCUUCAUUUAAACUCAUAGUCUUCAACACAUUAGUUCGCUCUUGACUUGUGUGCUACAAAUGUUUGCUCCCAACUUCCGUACUGAUCUUCCCUGGAUUUUUUUCAGAGGAACUAUCCCAUCUUGACUUCAAAUUAUUCUGAUUAGACCUGAGAUCAAUUUUAAUUUGGUUUCUUAAGUGGUGAUAGUUUUUCUUAUCACUUUGAAACACGGAGGAAUUUUGAUUUUUGACAUUCAUAUUUUUUCGUUUUACUAUUGUUUAUUAGCAACUCAGAUGGUGAGAAGGCUCAAUUUAUUGUGUUAGAACUUAGAAGGAACACCCGCAUGGUGGACAAAGCAACAUGUAUGCUACGGUGUGAGGCUGUUAUCAAAAUCAUAUCCAACUAACUAAGGGCUUGUUCAAAUUGGAGAGGAUUGGAGGGGAUUAAAUCCUCUAAAGUCAAAACCCCCCUCGAUCCUUCAAUCCCCUCAAUCUCCUUAAGGAAGGGAUUAACUGGAAAAGCCCUAAGUGGAACUCUAUGGACACAUGUGAUUGUUUAAAUUUGUUGGAAAAUGUCAUAUUUUUUAAGAAUAAUAGCAUUGGUGUUUUAUGGUAUCAAAUGUGUAUUGCGUACUUUCGGUAUAUAAUAACAUAGGGACAUUUCCGUGACUUUGGUUGAUGCUAGGGAUGAAGAGAUAAGAGAGACUUAGGUGAUACUUAGAUUGGAAGCAAGGCAGAGAUUAGCUAGAAGUGUGAGAAGUGAAGCUCUGUUUUACAUAGAGAUAUCAUUGUAGAAUUUCUAUCAACACCAAAUGAAUAAUAGGAGAGGAAGAUAAAUCUAUGUAUAAAUAUUUUUUAUAUAUUUAUUUUACAUAUUCAGUUUUUCUUUCUUCUAAGAAGGCCUCUAUCAUCAUAGGAUGCUAGGAACUGGGGUUCUAUGCCUCCCCCCCCCCCCAAACACUGUAGUGGGAGUGCAGCUGUGAGGAUUCGAUCCUUGAGUGCCUAGUUUCGUGUGUGGUUGGUCACCGAGGUUCUCUUCCUCUUCCAUUUCUACAUACUUAUUUCGUGUGUGGUUGGUUUCCAUGUUAAUAAAGUUAUCUUUGGAACUAUUUCAUUUGGAUAUUUUGACAACAUUCGCAGAGCUUACUAAGUUUUGUUGAUAGUUUUGAUGUUGAAUGGAUGGAGCAAUGUAACUCCAAUGUUGUGGGAUAGUUUAGAUUUUCUCUUUGAAUAUUGAUAUCGCCACAUAACUGCUUAUAAGGUAAGAGACUAAGUGGGGCAUGAAAUUCAUUUUUAGCAUAGUGUGUAUCAUAGCAAGCUAUCAACAUAACAAUUACAUAUGAUGCAUGAAACUUACAAGUGUGUUGCCACCAAACAAGCUAAGUCAUGGCCUUGUGUGGUUUUCAUUUGGUUGUCUACGAGCAAAAACUAUGUAUAAGUGCUAACUUUAAAACCUACGCCCUCCAUCCAAAAAACGAGUCAUUCGGUGAUUCAAAAUUUGUCCAAAAAAUGAGUCGUUGUACUCGAUUUGGCAUGUGUGCAUGUGCAUGUGGACAUGCAGCAAUCAAUUAGCACCAAAUAUGACUAAUAAUUAGGAGCAAUUGAGGUCAUUUUACCUGUUGUUAAUCUGUCCUAAAAUUUCUAGGAUGACUUAUUUUUUUAUAGAGAGAGUAUGACUUAGUUGGAACUUUUUUCAAUAUUGAAAACUUGUUGCAGUUUAGUUGGAUUUGUAAAAGGGUGCAAAAGCUCAGUUUUAAGUUCCUAUGCAAAUUUCAAUAAUUUGAGGAUUUCCACUUCCAUCAAUUUUUUUUACGGGCAUCACCAUGGCAUUCGUUGGUAAUCACUAAUCUCUACAAUUAAGGGGUGUUUGGCAGCACUCUAUUCCAGAAAAAACAGGUCCACUUCACCAAGUCCACAAAAUUGCUUGCCAAAUAAGUCCAGCUCCACGAACUCCAACUCAAAAAAAAUGUGGAGCUAGGGGUCAGAUCCACGUUUUUCCUAAAGUACCUUAGGGGGUGCUCCAAAAACAUCAAGUUUCAUACUUCCUCAUGGAGUUGGGGGUUAUUUAUCUACCUUUGCCACUCGUUACACAACGUACCCGUUCAUUUCUAAUUUUUCCUUUCCGUUCUUGCCAUCUUCAUUUCUUCCCUCUGUCCGUUGCCCGCCGGCACCGCGCCGCCCUCGCCAGUCAGCGCUGUGCUCCCCACGUGGCCCUCGCCCAACGGAGCCGUGCUAGUGCACUACCCGCGCCGCCGUCGCCCUCCGAAGCUGUGCCGCCCUCACCCUCCUCGAGCGCGGCCUGCCGCCCCUGCUCACCGAACCUCGUCGCCCCUGCUCGCUACGGUCGCGCGGCCCAUGCUCGCUGGACCUCGCCGCCCCUACCCACUAGGGCCGCGGGGCUGCACUCUCUUAUCCUUUCCACAUCACCGGCCUCAUCUCUUCCUCCUCCUUAUUCUCCCCCUUUCUUCUUCCUCCAGCCAGGUCAAUCCAAAAGUAGAGCCGAGUCGAGCACCUUUGAUCCACCGCCCAAAUUUGCCCCUCUCCCUCCACGAAAAUCAAAUCGCCACCAAUCGAACCUCCCUCACCUCUCCAGCUCCACCCUCAGCCACUCCUCGCAGCCGGCCAUGGCUCCUACAGCUGCAGGCUGAAGUUUCCCUGUCCACUGGGUCCACGAGCCGCCGUCGGCUACCCUCACAUUGACGGCCUAGCUCCGGCCACCUCUCCCCAAGCUGACCAUCUUGGUGAGCUACACACAAUGCACUGAUGCUCAUCUCCCCCUCGUCUUCACUUUUUCGGUGACUUUCCACAGCGGUUCACCGCGCCGCCGCUUGUCGCCGGCCAUGCUCCGGGCGGCAUACAUGCGCGACAAGCACAUGGGUAGAUGCGCCUCAUGUCGCCAAUCACCUUGGGUGUGUCGUUGUCACCGGCCGGCUCACCGCCGGUGAGAUAUCGCCGGUCAAAGCUGGUGAACUCCAGCUUUGACUCGGUCUUGACCGGCCUGGAUCUGUUGACCCUUGCCCCACGCGUUAGCGACCGUAGAGGAAGGUGGCUUGGUAAAGCUGAGUAGGAAAAGUUUGAGUAGGAAAAGAAGAGAGAUGAGACUGACAUGUGGACCCAUCCACAAAGGGCAAAAUAGACUAUUCAUAGCAAGUCUCCAUAUUUGUAGAGCUGCGGCACUGCAAUCAGCCAAACACAUGCAACAACUACAGUAUUUUUAUGGAGUUGGUGGAGUAGAGUUGAGGUGGAGUGGAGAUAUAAAAUUUAUAGUGGAGUGCUGCCAAAAGUGGCAACAAAAUCACGGUGAAGCCGUCAGCCUGCCCCGAGUUAGUUACUUGUCUCUCCUCUCUGAUUGUCGCAAGUCCCGGACUCCGGCGCAACCGCCGCAGCAACUCUUCGAUCGUGCACAACCAGUGCCUCAGUCGGCCUGUGCAUCCCAAGUUCCUGACACCGAGUACAGCCGUCGGCCGGUGUGUCGUCCCUCGCCUUAGACAACCAUCGAUCUACCGUUGAGGUCAAACAGGCGGCGCGCCGACUGGAAUUUAUCUCUACAGCCGUCGAAGCCAGGGGCGUAGCUAGAAUUUUCGUAUGGAGGGGGCAAUGUAAACAAUACUUAAUGGACUACAUGUUUAAAUUUAGUAUACUAGUGCAUGAUUUCAAUUUCAAUUUAACUUAAUAGACUACAUAUUUUUUAUCAUGUGCACAAACAGAGCAGUAACCAAUAAUCAUUCAAUUCAUCACUAUUUUUCUGGCUCACCUACUAAAAAACUAAAGGGAUGUUUGGAUACAAGGUGUUAAACUUUAGUAGGGUCACAACGGAUAUUCGAAUGCUAAUUAAGAGAACUAAAUAUGAGCUAAUUACAAAACUAAUUGCACAGAUGGAGUCUAAUUCGCGAGACGAAUCUAUUAAGGCUAAUUAAUCCAUCAUUAGCAAAUGUUACUUCAGCACCACAUUGUCAAAUCAUGAACUAAUUAGGCUUAAUAGAUUCAUCUCGCGAAUUAGACUCCAUUUGUGCAAUUAGUUUUGUAAUUAGAUUAUAUUUAAUACUUUUAAUUAGUAUUCAAACAUCCGGUACGAUAGGUGCUAAAGUUUAGCAGUGUAUCAAACACCCUCUAAAUAUAAAGUAUAUAUUUGCAGAAACAUCCAAACAACCUCUAAAUAUACAGUCUAUGUUUGUAGAAACACUAGGGGCCAUGACUAAAGUUGGCCAGACGGGCCGCCCAGCACGGCACUGGCACGAGCACUAUCUGGCACGGCACUAUAUGGCACGGCACUAUAUGGCACGGCACUAACAGGCACGAUCACUUAGCCGUGCCAUGCCGUGUAGUGCCGUCGUGCCUAACUGUCGGCACAGGCACGACACUAACAGCCAGUUAGCGUGCCAUGCCGUGCCAUAGGGCAUGACGGCACUGCAGUGCCCGUGCCGGCACUGGCACUAAGUGUGCCUACCAAACUCACAAACACAUAGUAACAAAGUAACAAAGUCACAAGCAAUUUAUAACUUAUCUUGUUGUAUUCACAAACAUAAAGUAACAAAGUCACAACACAGUCACACAGAGUCACAGAGAUAACAAAAUAACAUUUUAUUGGGAGCUUUAGUGUAAUGGCUGCCUCAUUAAAAACCUAUCUAGGUAAAACUCACCCUUGUGAGAAACCCUAGACAGGAAAAAAGAGUGCAGCCCAGCUCCAAUUAUAAAGUUCAUCACAGUCCAGUACUUAAUGUUACAGUCCCAUUACAUAAAUGAUAACUAAUCAAGAUAAAGUUCUUCAAAAGCUUCUUCAAGUUCCUUGUCCUCCACCAUGUGCUGCAGCCUUGCUUCUGCAGCCUCCCAGUCUUUGAUGCAGGUAAGCAUCUCCACCAUGUCAGGCUUUAGCUUCCUCCGCCGCUCCUCGAUGAUCCUGCCAGUCAUACUAAAAGUGGAUUCUGAAGAUAUGGUUGAAACAGGAACAGUUAAUAUAUCCUUAGCCAUGGUUGACAACACUGGAUAUGUGAGUUUGUGUUGAUGCCACCUGUUCAAGAUGUUAAAAUCAUCAUCUAAAUGGUUCACUGUGUCACAGUCCAAGUAAGAAACAAGUUCAGAAACAUUACCACCUAAAGAACUUGCAGCCUACAGAAGGGCAGUUGCAGAUGUAUCUCUAGCCAUGCUUAGAGUAGCAGCUAGAGUAUGCAUGCCACCAGCAGAACCAACAUCAUCAUCAUCAUAAAUUUCAUCCCAAGCAGAUCUUUUCUUACCAGAUAGGUGAGGAGGUACAGUCCUCCUCAACCUAACACCUCCAUAUUUCUCCUCAUACUUGUUGUAGACAUCAGUAAGUCGAGCUCUAGUGCUAACCUGGUAAGCACUGUAAUCUGUACUGGUAAGGGUACCCAACCUCCUGAGCACUCUAUUGAAACCUUUCAUUUUAGCUCUAGGGUCCACGAUGAAUGCAAAAGAAUAAAGCAAAGGUAUGUCCCUCCAGUAUUUGUUAUACUUGUCUAUCAUAGGUUGAACCACAUGUCUGAUGUGAAUAUCAUUAGCAUAAUUCUUUAAGUGCAUAGCAAUCUUAACAAGAUAAUGAAUCAUAAGUGAAGAUGUAGGAUAGUACACACCAGACAAUGCAACUCUAGCAUCAUAAAACAGUUCAAGAAAUCUUAGCACUUUUUCUGCCAUAGCCCAAUUAUAAUCAGAUAAAAGCAACUGAUCACCUUCAACCCUAGGAUAUUGAGCAACGAUGAAAGUUGUGAAUGGGACCUUAUGAGGAAACAAAUGCUUAAGCAUUAGAUAUGUAGAAUUCCACCUAACUUCCAUGUCUAGCUGAAACUUUCUAGGCCUAACACCAGUGGCAAUGCAAUAACUUUUAUAUGCAGCAAUUCUCUGAUUAGAUGAGUUUAAGAAAGAUAUUGCAAUUCUAAACUUCUCAAUCAAUGGCUUAAGAGUAGUUAGAGCCUCCUUAACAAUCAGAUUGAUAAUAUGGCAUGCACAACACUGAUGCAAGAACAAAGAAUUAACUGAAUGUGCAUUGUCAUCCCUAUCAUCAUCCACAACUUCAAUACCAAGAUAUUUAGAAAGAAUAGGUCUAAGCUUUUGCAUGGCUGAAACAUUAGAUGAUGCAUUGUCCAAAGUAAAAGCAAAAACUUUUCAGUCAAACAAUAGUCAUCAAGCACAGAUGCAACACGAUCAAUAAUAUUUUGACCAUUGUGUGAACAAUCAAUCAGCCUAAGACCAAGCACUCUCUUCUCUAGUUGCCAAUCAGAGUUUAUGUAGUGAGCAACAACACUGAGGUAGUCCUCUUUGGCAUUACCAGACCAAAUAUCAGAGGUUAGACACACACAAUUAACACUAGCAGAUUUCACAAUCUCAACAAGCUUAGCCUUGCAAUCAUUGAAGUAUUUUAGCAGGUCUCUAGUGGUGGUUUGCCUAGAUACUGCAACAAAUUUAGGAUUAUGGGCAGUUCUAAUGUAAUCUUCAAGUGCAUAAGAUUCACCCAAAGAGACAGGAACAUCAAGCCUAGCAAGCAGUCUAACAAGUUGAGUACGAGCAACCAUAUGACAGUACUCCCAAUUACGAAUACUACCAUCAGGAUUAAAAGAGAUUUGUGAUUGAGACAUGCGAGUUUUCUCACACCUUCUAGGGCAUCUAUCCCUAUGGCGGGUGAGGUGACCAGUGCCACCACUAGAGCGCCCAAAGUACUCCUUAGAGCAAUGGAUGCAUUUAGCUCCAUAUCUUACCUUCUUACCUUUCACCAUUUUGAAUAUCUUCUUGAAAUCAAGCCACACGGCCGAGGUAGAGGGGCGUGAGCGCUUACCAUUGUUCUCUUCCCCGUCCCUGUCCACUUCUUGGUCAUCGCAGGGCUCGAGGACGAUGGGAGGUUGAGGUCGAGCCACACGGCCGAAGAGCUCCGCGGCAUCCUCGCGCAUGUCAUCCUCGUCAUCAUCUCCGGCCAACCCGCAAAGCCGCCUCUCUUGGUUCGACCCACCCUGAACCGUCUCGUCGUCGUCGGAUCCGGCCAUCGUCACACGCCCGCGCCCUGGUUCCUCAACGGCUACACAAAAACAAGAGUUAGGGUUAGGGAUAAGAGAUCAAUUGAGCAAGGGUUAGGGUUAGGGUUUCCUACCUUGAUAGCCGGAGCACCGGAGUCGCCGGCGACGUUGACGAAGCACAGAUCCAGCGAGACCGACUACGGAUCCGGCGAGUUCUAAUGCGGAUCCAGCGAGAUCGACGCGGGGCCGAGACCUGGCGAGGCCAACACGGAGAUGACGAGAAGGACGACGCGAAGCGAGAAUGCGAGAUCAAGAAUAGGUGAUAGGAGUAUACAUGGCCGUGCCGUGUGCAAGUGCCGGCGGAGGCCGGAGGUCACCGGAGGGGGAGGAGAAGGGCAGAAGGGAGGGGAUCCGGGGAGGGAGGCGGAGAGAGCUGAGAGCUAGAGAGAGAGGAGAGCGAGCGAAGAGAGAGAGAGGAGCGGCGCAAAUGAGCUAGGGUUACGGAUGGGGGUGCGGGUCGCAGCGGCCUCGCUUAUAUACGCGCCCCCGCCAACGGUCGGAUCGACGGUCGGAUGGAGCGGGGGAGGAGGAUCCAACAGCUGAUAUCCGUUUCAGCCGUGCCUUAUGCGGGCCGGCCCAUUAAGCGUGCCGUGCCCGUGCCGGCACUACGGGCCGAAUAAGCGGCCCAGACACGGCACUAACGCCGGGCCAUGCCUAGCACUAGCACGAUGGCUCACGGGCCAGGCCCUUUUCAACCGUGCUUCUUUGUGUCGUGCUCGGGCCGGCCCAUCGUGUUAGUGCCAAAUGGAAAUCUGUAGCCAUGACCCUGCCAGCCCGCCUUGGCUACGCCAGUGGCCGGAGCAGGUUACCUUCUCUCCGUCUCCAACCCACACGCUGCCCGCCCUCGGUCACUAGCGCUUGGUGUUGUGCAGGCCAAUCACUACUCACGCUCGGUGUUGUGCAGGACUCAGUAGAACCGAAUUGAAGAAGUGCCGGGGUGCCAUCUGCGCGUGCGGCGUGCCUCCGCGUCUCCUAUGCGCUGGGCCACCGGCCGCCGCUGCCGCACCUCGGCGCCUGCCCACCGGGGUGCCAUCUGCGCGUGCGGCGUGCCUGCGUGGCUAUGUGCGCUGGGCUGCCGGCCGCCGCUACCGCGCCUCGGCUCCUGCCUGGCCGUGUCUCCGAAGUUCUAGUGAUCGGAGUUCUAGCGACUCCGCCGGCGUCUUUGAUCUGAAGUGGAGGCCCGUGUAGCCGCUGCUCGCGCAGGCCAAUGCCCACGGCUGCCUCGCGCUCCGACGCCUGGAGCAGGAGGACGGGUCGGACAAGGUUACUAUUCUUUGUCCCUGCAUUUAUCCUUUUACUGUAGCACAAGUGUUGUUCACUUGCAUAAGCAAUAACAAUGGCAACUCAAAGCUAUAGGCAGUAUGAGGUGCUUAGGUUUCUCCUUAUGUUCACUCGGUAGAUGGAUGAUUGAUGCUUGCGGUUGAUUGAUGCAUAUGCAAUGUUCAUUUGAAGGUAUUGGCUAUAGUUUAGCUUGAAAGUCAUACCAAUUAUUAAUCUGAUGCAGUUGUCGGUAGUUUGUCAUGGCCUCAUAGAAAAGAAGGCUAACUUUCAGAUGAUUGGUGGUGAAAGGAGUUCUCAGGCUCUUGCGUAGCUUUCACUUUAUUCUAAAAAAACAUUUAGUAGGCAGCUUCUGCUUUUGCUUUUGCAUUAUAAGAUUUGCUAGAUGGUUGCCCAGUGCGUAUGGCUUAUCUUGGAAAAAGAAAAAAAAAGAGUUCGCAAGUUCUGAUUUAUUUCGAGCUCUUGAAAGAGGUUUCUUUUUGAAAUGGACUUCAGGAGCUUUUUCAUAAGAAAGAUGUCUGAAGUUCAGAAUUUCAGGGUUUUUAAAUUUAGUGACUAAGACAACCACGUGCUCUGCUACAUAUGCAAUCCGUUUAAGCUUGUUAUCCAAUCAGUUUCAGUUCAUACGUUUUGUAGACAUUCUCAAUCGCUGAGGUUAUAUUCUGAAUGCAAUGGAAAUUCUAUUCGUGCAUUCAUUAGCGUCUUAGGGAGAAGGAGAACUGCGGCCAUAAGAUGGAACAGUAUCAGCAGAGGUUCUUCUACCCAUCAGGGCAGUACAAUUCAGAGGGGUUUGCUGAAUUAGACAGAAAGCUCAGAAAAAGAGGUAAUCAUAACAUUACUUGAGUUUAGAUUUAAAAUUCAGCAACCAUCAAUCCUUUAUAAUAUGAUUAGCAAGAAAUCAUAUUCCUAAGCUGCUACAAGAUUUAGUGCAUGUACCUUGGCUCUCUUGAAAAAUUUGCAGAUAGUUGUCAUGCGUGACCAUUAAAUACCUUCUGGCUGCAUGCCAAGAACACAUCUCCCUUUUCCCACCUGUGCUUGCACUUUUUUCUGUUUCAGACAAUGAUUGACUGGCUGAACGACUCUCGACAGGGCCAAUGAAACAGAUGGACAAGAAUAUUAUCUCAGGAUCAGAUGUGUGAUGCAUUGUGUCAGAACUAUGGCUGCUGGUUGCUUUAAUACAAAUUCAAUCACCACACCCUUCAAUUUGUAUUUGCAGUGUUAGAUCAGAUUGGCAGAAUCAUUUUCAAGGAAUUCUGAACUUUUGGCAUUGCCAGCGUCAUGCAUAACAUUUAUCGUGAAAUCCAAAUUGAAGAACAUUUAUGUUAUUCACAAGAUUUAGAUGAGUAAGGAAGGAUGAAAGGUAUUUUGAUUCAUAACAGUUUAGUUUCUUUUGCCAUUUGAGCUGGAGUCUUAUAGAAUGCUAGAAUUCUUAGACAAUCAAAUGUUUUUACUCUCUCUUUCUCUCCCUCCCUCUCGGAGGCCAUUCAUGACUUCACAUGUGUGAUCCGCUCACGUUUGCCAUACUCUGAUCUCUUGCUUGCUUUGUAAAAGCAAUCACCAUCCUAACAAUGGUCUCCUGUUUCCUUUGCAUGUCAGAUGGACACUGCCUUUGGAGUUGCAGUGGAGAUGCCCUGUUGUGUCAUUGGGGACGGGUGGGAGGAAAAACUAUGGAUUGUGCCAAUAUGGGAUUUUGCAACUGCAACUAAUCACUCUUCCUUAUCUGCAGAUUGGGCAAUUUUAUACAGUAGAGAAACAUUGCCUCUGUUGCAAGGAGAUUUUGUUACUACUCGGACAUUAUACAAGCCAAUACUUUUUCCUAAACUUCCGUGAUGGACAUUAGCAUCCAGCUUGUGUGAAUGUAUGCAUACAUCCAUUCUGACAUCUUUUAGAUGUUAUGAUUUAUGAUGCUACUUUUCAAAAUAGCAAUAGUUUAGAGUUUCGUCAUAUGUUUUCCCCUUCUUAGUACUUGCAAAUAUGAGACAGUUUUGAAACUAUGUUCUUGAUGCGGUGUCUAUUAUUGCAAGCAGUUAAGAGUUCUAUGAAAUAAAAUAACUGAAGCUUCUAUGAAAUAAAAGUCAUUAAGUGUGGCUUUGGAAAUGAUUUGUUAAGAAAGGUUAUGUCUUCACUAUAUUGUCUUAAUCCGUAGCAAUGCACGGACACGAACCUGACCUAGUACUCCUAUCUUUACCUAUUAUUAAAGCAAGUAACGUUUCUACCUGGAUUUUUCGUCCGUCGGGCUAUUUUUCAAAAAAACCCCUGACAUUUCGUGAAAUCAACCCGCAGUCCAAAUGCUAAACAGAUGAGGGGCUCGGGUGGAAAAAAGGAGGGAAGGGAGGGGGUUAAACCGAAACAACGCUUCUGCCACGCAUCGCUCGCUCGCUCGCCAAAUCAGUCACCCCUCCGUCCGCCUCUAUCGGAUCCGCGCCCCCGCCACCCACGAACUCGUUAGCGGCCACCAGAGGAGGAGGAGGGCGCGAUGGACGACGGCGGGAUCCAGGAGGAGCCGCCGACGGUGCGGUUCCUGACGCCGACGCGCUCAGGGGGCUCGCGCUGGGUGGACGGCAGCGAGGUCGACUCGUCUGAGUCCACGUUGUCAGCUGGGGUCCAGCGCAGGCCCACCCGCCGUGCCGGGGCCGGCGGCCCCAUACCCCAGCUUGACCACGCCGCCGGGGUCACAGUGGCCCACGCUCGACCUGUGCAGCGCCGUGGCCCCCUCCCUCCGAGUCGCGCCCCGCGUCGGAUCUGGAUCUGGCGGGAGCGGGCUGCGGUGGUGGAGAGCAGGGAGGGGCAGCGGAAAGAAGGGAGGGGCGGAGCGGGGGAGCCUGGCGGCGGGGAGCGAGUGCGCCUGGGGAACUCCUGGAGCGGCGGGUGAGGCUUCCCGGCGUGCCCGACGGGGUCCAGGACCUCGGCCACCACGCCGGUUACUUCCGCCUGCCACACACACACGACGCCAGGUGAGCAAGGCCUCAUUGCCUCUUUGCUCUGAGAGAUUAGUAGAAUCCCGCGCUCUUAGGUUCUAAAGCUUUGAUCUUUUGGUGGGAAUUUGCUUUUUUUCCCCUGUAUGAAAUUUAAAUCUCCAACUUAAUUAGUAACGACAGUCCAAUGCGCUCUUGGUUACUGAUGCUUCGAUCUUUGGUUGGGAAUUCUGCAUUGAUUUCUGUGGAAUUAAAUGUGCCAAGAUUUGUAACAGUUCUUCAGAGGAAAACAGUUUCGCCAUCUGAAAUACUAGCUGACUAGCAGUGGAAAGAUACGACCUUGCCCCUUUCCAUGUCCUAGCUUUGCUUGUAGUUGAUGUAAAGAAUAAGCCUUAUAUGAGUUAUAUCUACGAGAAAACUUCGCAAUUCAAACAAUUGAGCGUUUGUGUGCUUGUGAUUGGUGCUGCAGGAUGUUCUACUUCUUCUUCGAAUUGAGAGGAAAGAAGGAGGACCCAGUGUUGAUCUGGCUCUGGGGAGGGCCUGGUUGCAGUAGUGAGUUGGCCGUCUUCUACGAGAACGGGCCCUUCACCGUUGCAAAAUAACAUGUCGCUUGCUUGGAAUAAGUUCGUACACGGUAAAUAAUGAUAUCAUACCCAUGUUAUGAUCCCUGUUAGGUUAGGGAAAAUCAGUCUAAUCACGUAACACCCAAAGUCUGAAACUGAGGUGUUCUAGAGAAAAAAAAGUCUGAAACUGAAUGUUACAAUUUUUUGAUGGAACUAAGUUUGAAGAAGAUGUUAAGACCUAGCUAUUUCGUCCUCUUCCUCGGUUUCUGAUAUGACUUGAUUUCUGCAGAUCUCCAAUAUCAUAUUUGUUGAGACUGGUGUUAGCAAUGACUUAUAUGACUUUCUCCAUGUGCUACUUAUGUAUCAAAUCCAUGGAAUGUGUGAUUACACCAUAUGAGUUUGUUCAGUUUAUUUUUGAAGAGUACUUGAGGAUAGAAACACUGGUUUUAAUCGUUUCAGAAAAUAAAGAACACACUCAAGAUUUUUUUAACCUUUUUACUAAUAAUAAACCUUAACCCACUAGAGUUUCUUGGAACUCACACGGUGUCUAAAUGUGCUGCUGUAGCAAGGAUUUAGCCACACCACAGCCCAUGCCUGGCUAAACGUGUUCUGAUUGAUUUUUUUUAGACCAGCCCAUGCCUGGCUAAACGUGUUCGCAUUGAUUUUUUUUAGCCCAUCCAUCCAUAGCUAGCAUCUGUGUCCCAACAUGGUUCACAGAUUGCAUCCUUUGGGUCUCAUUUGGUUUUUUAUAUGAUUCUACAUAACAGAUUGCAUCCUUUGGGUCUCAUUUGGUUUUUUAUAUGAUUCUACAUAACUAAGUAUAAAUUGACAAUAUUACUAAUUGCACUGGCUUCACGACAACAUGAUAAAAAAUAUGGUGCGCUAUACAACACGAUAAAAAACAUCGCGUGCUAAGCAACGUCGUUUUACCGUAGCAACGCACGGGCAUCUUGCUAGUAAAACUGAAAAAGAAAAAGGUGUCCAAACGCACUGGUGUGGAUCCAAAUGCUGUGAGGGCUUGAUCUGUAUGCGCAACAGGUUGUUUCGUUCAAAAACCACGGCCCAUGGGCUGCAAUAGGAAAACAAAACCAGGAGGGUGUGGGUCCCAGGCCUCAGAGUCCCCCAACCGCCUCGCCUCGCCUCGCCUCGCCGAGGAGGGAUUGGAGUCCAACCCCAACACGGCGACGACGCGACGACAAAAAGACAAGGAAAUCGCCUUCUCCCCCCUCUUCCUCUCUCGCUCGCUCUCCAAUCCCCCACAAAUUCCCCUCUCCUCUCUCGCUCCCGUCGCGAGAGCAAGCGACGACCAGGUACGAAUUCCUCCCCCGCACUCGCGAUUUCCUCAGAUUCAUCCUCCCCGCUCCCCCGAUCGCGAGCUUUCCCCGCCGCGGAACCGUGGAUUUGACCCCAGAUUUCGCAUCCCUUGGCGCCGGGUUAGCCGGGGUUCGGGGAGAUCCGCGGAUUCGUGGCUGCUCGCCGGGGUUGGGGGGUGGCGGGGUGGGGUUAGACGGGUCCUUAGAUUCAUCGGCCCUCCGCUUGGUCUCUUGCUGGGAGGGGGAUUAGGGUUUGUUUUGCUCUUGCCGCGCACCGGAUGCUCUAGUUACCUACCUGCUCGAGGUUGGAUUUAGUACUUUCCGGCGUGAUGUUUGCUUUCCAUUGCUGACUUGAGGGCUCGUAAUUUUGUUGCAGGUGCUGAAUCCCGUGCGCGUUUGAUGGAUGAUGACUGUUCCGAUGGAUAGUGCUACCUCCGCCUCGUCCUCGCGGGACCUCGCGGAGCGCCUCUUCAACAAGGUCUCGAGCCCCUUAGUUUCUUGCGUUUCCGUUGCAUGUUACAGCUAAUACUGCUUUGCCACGGCGGGUUUUUUAUGUGGUGGUGGCCAAUAUCCCGCCUUUUCCGUGAUUUGCAGAUGGCUUGUGCUACUUGUUGGUGUUAUCUGUCAUGUUCCGUAGAUGCUAUAUUAGACUUUGGAAGGAUGUAACUGUGUCUAAGUCAUGUUUUGCAUGCAUUCUGGUUUCUCCAAUGUUGCAAAGAGAUACAGUUGAUAUCAGUCUAUGUGAAGCACUAAUAUAUAAUGAUGACAUCACAAUGUUAUUGUGCAGAACAACGAACUCGAAGAUCAGCUCCGCAAGUCCGUGCAGUCCAAACUCCCAUCAGAUCCCAACACAUGGAUUCAGAUGCGUGACAACUUUGAGAAGAUAAUUCUUACAGAUAAUGACUUCUCUGAACAGAAUGAGGUAGAGUAUCUCCUCUGGCAGUUGCACUACAAAAGAAUCGAGGACUUCAGGAGGAGCAUUAGUGCCGCAAGCUCGGCUGCAUCUCAGAGUGGGAAGAACAAUGCCAACCCAGAUCGAGUCAAGAGAAUUAAAUCAGCCUUCAAAAGCUUCCUUUCAGAAGCAACUGGCUUCUAUCAUGACUUGAUGUUAAAGAUCAAAUCCAAUUGUGGCCUUCCACUCGGUUACUUUCCGGAGGGCUUUGAGAAUGCUAGCAACUCUGACAAGAAAACAGCUCAUUUGAGGAAAGGUUUGAUUUCAUGCCAUCGCUGUCUGAUAUAUUUGGGAGAUCUUGCUCGUUACAAGAGCUUGCAUGGUGAUGGUGAUUCUGCUAGUCGUGAAUAUGCUGCCGCUUCUAGUUACUACAAGGAGGCAGCUUCUAUCUAUCCUUCCAGUGGCAACCCUCAUCAUCAGGUAUGAUCACGUUGCUAUAUUUGCUCAGUUGAUUAUUAUACUCAAUAACUCAGUUUUUUAAUGAUGGCUGCUGUCCUUUUCUUUGUUUUUCCAGCUUGCUAUACUAGCUUCUUACUCAGGCAAUGAGGUGGUAGCUGUUUAUAGGUACUUCCGAAGCUUAGCUGCGGAUACUCCUUUUAGUACUGCACGGGACAACUUGAUUAUUCUUUUUGAGAAGGUAUUUGUGCUAUCCUUCAUUAACUCUGAUCCAUAGUUCUUAUCAUGCUUUCUCAUUUUGGUUUGAUACCUUCGGUAGAACUUGUUUACUACAGUAUGUGAGAAUUAUCAUUUGUUUCCUGACUUGUUUGCCAAUCCUUGUAUUCUUUACCUGAUGAUAUCUGAAUACCAGAUGGUUAAAAUCAUUGUUGGAUUUCUGUUUAGCAUUAUUUUAUUAUUGCUGUUGAUCUAAUAUGUCCUAUGACAAUUGGCACUUACUUUUUACAAUCGUAUAUGACAGAGAUAUAAUGAAAUGUCACUUGGUUUGCAUAUUCAGACAUGGCAAAUGAUUUAUUUGCUCCUCUGUCCUUGUGAAAUCAUGUACAACCGUCGGGCUUCGAAUGUUUUUUUAUGUAAAGCUAUCGUUAGAAUGUCAGUUCAUCUUAAGAUGUUUUUUGUUUUAUUACUCCAGGCACACAAGAGUGCCAGUUUUAUGUGGUCUCCAAUGGCUGACCUUGGGCAAUAACUUGUAUUGUAUAUGCUAAUAGAAUUAUGUGGAGAUAGCUUUUGAGGCAUCUAUACUUGUGCUUUGUCAUAUGUAAAUCUUAUCAUUUUGGUUGAUAUCGAUAGCCCAAGGUAUCAUUCCUUUGUGACUCAGGGAGUAAGCACUAGAUAAGUUGAUGCAUUUGCUCUACUAUAGAUGAACAUAUGUAGUUGAUAGCUAAUGGUGGGAUAAUUUUCCGAUUGUAUGCAUCCGAUAGUCUUGCGUCACUAGUUGUAUUUCAAUCUCCUAGUAUGCUGUCAUAAAGAAUGUUAAAGUUUUGCUGGUCCAUGUAACUUCUGUUCAUCAGAUCAGGUUAACCGUUAUGGCAUUAUCCUUGAUUGUACAGUUUAUCAUUAUUUGUUCAUAAUUUCCUAGUAUCUCCCAUCAUAUUAGCACUACUCUUGAGUAACAGUACCAUCAAACAGAGACCAGACAUAACAGGUCUAAAUUUAUGAAUGUAGCAAUAUGACAUGAAAUGGUGGGCAGGUUAAGGUUUCCUUUUUUCUAUUAAAAGAAUAUAUAUGUUUUCAUCAGCAAAUCGACAUAUGUUUCCAGCUUUGCACUAUAAAGUAGAAAUAAUGAUGGUACAACUUCAUAUGCAGAAUCGUCAAAGCUAUGGACAGCUGCCAGAUAACAAUAAAGUUCCCAUUGCUAAGAUAUUACCCCCACGGUCAUCUGGGAGGGGCCGAGGACGGGGAGAAGUAAGGUUUCAGCCAAAAGAUGUUAAUACAGAAACAGUUGCAAGGGAACGGGAGUGCAAUAUUCCAGAUACAUUGAAGACCUUCUAUAUACGAUUUGUUAGGCUCAAUGGAAUUCUUUUCACGAGGACCAGGUACACUCCAGUCCCUUCAACACUCUUCCCCUUUGUGUCAACCUACCUAAUUAAUAAUUCUUCUUUAUUUUCUCCUUUCUCACAGUUUGGAAACAUUUGGGGAGCUGUUUUCUUCAGUCAGCAAUGAUUUGCAGAUUCUUCUUUCUUCUGGUCUUGAGGAGGAGCUUAAUUUUGGUUCUGAUGCGGCAGAGAAUGCAUUAUCUGUUGUUAGACUUACCGCCAUCCUUAUAUUCACAGUGCACAAUGUAAAGAAAGAACCGGAUAGCCAGUCGUAUGCUGAAAUUGUGCAACGCAGAGUACUGCUUCAAAGUGCGUUUACAGCUGCUUUUGAGUUUGUUGGACGAAUUCUCAGGAGGUGUUCAGAGCUUCGGGAUGUUGCGUCAAGUUUUUAUCUGCCAGCCAUUCUGGUCUACAUCGAAUGGCUGGCAUCCCAUCCAGAAUUGGCUGUUGAUUCAGAGAUGGAGGAAAAACAUGCAAAUGCCCGAUCUUUCUUCUGGAACCAGUGUAUUGCAUUUAUGAAUAAGCUGGUCCUCACGAACCUUGCAGCUGUUGAUGGUGAUGACGAUGAGGCUUGCUUUUCUAAUAUGAGCAUGUAUGAGGAGGGUGAAACUGGCAACAGGCUUGCCCUUUGGGAAGAUCUUGAAUUGAGAGGUUUUUUGCCAUUAGUUCCUGCACAUAUCAUUUUGGAUUUCUCAAGCAAACAUGCAUUUGGAAAUGUUGGAAGCACCAAGGAGAAGAAAGCACGGGUCCAACGGAUUUUUGCCGCAGGGAAGUCACUGCUGAACUUUGUUCAGAUUGAUCAGUUGAGGAUAUUUUUUGAUCCAUCUUCUAAGAAGUUUGUUAUGGCCAAGAAUCCUCCUGUUUCUAAAGUUGAUGCCCCUCUACAUGAAUCUCCUGAUGUUCUUAAAACAAAUGCAAUUGAAAUGGAGCAUGAAGCUGCUAGAAGAUUUGAUUCAGUUUCUGGUAUGAGUGCAAUUCAGUCGAAAGUGCAGUUGUGUCCUGAAGGAGAUGAUGAUGAAGAAAUUGUUUUCAAGCCUACGGCUUCUGAGAAGUUUCCAAAAGCUCCUUCAGACCUGUCAGUUAAUGGAUACACCCAUCCUGUCCCAGUGUCUGCUCCUGGUUGGCCGACCAAUGCUAAUUUAGCGUCUGUUCAGAGCACUGCAUCAAUGUCUGCAGCUGGUAAUUAUAAUAACACUGCAUCUGUAUCAGUUGCUGGUAAUUAUAACAUUAACCAGUCACUUCCCAUUUCUUCGAUUGGUUGGGCUGUCAAUGGUGAGCAAAAGGUGAUUCCUAGUGCUGCUUCAAGAUUUGAACUCAUGCAGCCUGUUGAGGUGCCUGCUUCCAGCUGGACAAGCAAUGGUACACAGCAUGUUGGUCCUCAGAACACAAUUUCAGCUUGCCCAGAUGUUGCCUCUGACCUGCGGGUAUCUGCCUCAAUGGUUCCACAUUUCAAUAGCCCUGAUUAUUCGAAAUUGCUCAGUGAACAAGAAAUGCUCUUGAUGAAUGGAUUGAAGAAUAUCAACAUAACUGGAAAUGGUUAUCUGGAGCAGAGAUUGCAGGCUGGAUUGAGUGGUUUACAGUUUAUGGGGUAUUUACCUCAGAUACCUGUUGAAUCUGGUGGUAACAUUACAAAUUUGAUACAUAAUCAUAUGAAAAUAACUGGAGAGACCAUCCCCUCUACAUUUGAUUCAGUUGUACCUUCAAUAGCACCAUCGGGUGGCGUACCGCUGAAAUUCACUGAAACACCACUAGCUGCUUCAAAGAAGAACCCUGUUAGUCGUCCGUCAAAGCCUGUUGGACCACCUCCAGGAUUUAAUCAUGUUACCCCUAAGCGUCAAGACGAUUCUAUUUCAGUUGAAAAACUGCAGAGCCCACAGGUCGAUGACUACAGCUGGUUGGAUGGCUACCAGCCAUCAAUGGAUCAUGUUCACAAUUUGAGAGCUGUUUAUCCUGGUGUGAGUGCAAGUAGCACUGCAUUCACCACUACAUUCCCCUUUGCUGGGAAACAACAGGUCUCUGGGGUGCACCCGCAAGGGGCCAUUGAGCAGACAUGGCAAGAUUUCCACCUUUUUGAGCCUGCAAAACAGAAUAUGUUCCAAAAUUUCCCGCAAAGAAGUCAGCAAAGUGGUCAAAUGGCUGAACAAGAGCCAACAAAUUCUAUCUGGUCCAACAGUUACCAUGUGUGACUCGGUAUUUUGUACCAGAAUGAUUGCUGGUAAAGAUCCUUCCUUCCAGUUGUCAAUUGGUGAUUACAAUGUUUCAGUAUUUGUUAUAGCGUGUGGUCUUUUUAUAUUCUAUUUUUUUGGUGCAAAAUUUGGUUUACAUCUCUGAAGAUGUUACCAUUCUCACUAGUGUUUUGUUUCGUUUCAUUGAUUAUGUAGGAGUUGCUGGGGAUCGUUGGAUUAAGUGGCACAGCUUGACCCCCUAUUGAGUUCGGCCCAUACCUGCAGCCCUCUCAUAGUGUUAAAUUUCUUUUGAGAAUGGUAUUCUUUGAAGCAUGGCAAUGGCUGCUGUUAGGUUUGGUAAGUUUUGAUGCCUCAGUUCUAUGCAGGCUUUUAAUUCGUAUUUCCCUAUUUUUUGUUCUUUUGAGAUGUAUUACAACGGGAGAUGGCUUAUAUCAUAAAAUUGUUGAAAGUUACUUCCUCAGUUGUUUUAUUUUAUUAAUUGCUAUUAGAUGCAAUUCUAAUAUGCACCAUGAUUUUUUCAAUCAAUUUACCUUUAGUGCCAAAAGGAGGUAUCCAUUCCAUUAUAUUGCUAUUAUCAACAAUUUCUGUGGCAUCAUAUACCUGGAAUUGUAUCUGAUUGUAUUAGUUUAAUGCCGUUUUAGGGGUUUGUUCGGGGGCUUGUUAAUUAGUUAUAAAUGAUAUUAUUUAUCUUUCAAUAGUUUAUCAUUUGCAAAACACAUCAGAUGCACUCCCUUUGAUUUUAUAUGCUUUGGGUGUGGUUGUAUAAGAGUGUAAUUACAGUGGACGUACUUCUUUUAUUCCUAAACUUUUACCUGCUUCUCUCUUUAGUAUGUGGUAUAAAGGAGAGGGUUAAGAAAGUGACUGCAUUUACUUAUGAGAAUUGGAGCAUCAUUUGGUAAGGUAUACCAUGAAGAAAUAAGACAAAUGUGAUUCUAAAUUGACUUGUAUCAUUAUAUUUAGAGAGUAGACCGUAGGGCUAAAGGACUUCUUGCAAUUGGAUGAAAUGGGGGGUGGUGGUUUUAAUGCUUGAGAUUUUUCUGAUACAAUCGUUUUUGUGAGUACAGGGCUUACAUAUGCAUUUUGCAUUCAUUGUUGCAAGUUGCAACUUGCAAAUUUGGUUAGUGCGUUUUUAUUGUUGGUAGCUAGAUAAGUUGUCUUUGUGGAACCUUAUAAUUAUGGUUUUGCUAAUUUCUUUUAUAGAUCAAAUGUCCAAGUCUUACUCUAAAUGAGGUCUGCUUGGGAUGUUUGCAUGUGGUGCUUAUACAUUGUUUGGUUGGUUUGCAAUUUACAGGGAUUGCCAUGGUCUUUGGGCCAAAGAGGGAGUGGAAGAUGAUUGAUCUGUUGGCAGUCUGAUGGGAUGAAUUGUAUGAGGUCUUAAAUGCACAGACACAAAGGUUUGAUGAAACAGACUCGAAUCCAGUGAUUAUAGGCACUCUGCACGUACCAUAUGCUUCAUCUCUCAUUGGACAAGUUAGCUACCACAAGAACGGUGCGAGUGGAUGGUUGUUGGAGCGACUGAAAGGCCAUCAAGUGUGGAUGUCAGUUGGUUCCGCUAUAUGCGAUCUAUCUACGAAUAAAAGUUCGAGGAACAACUAGCAUGUGUCCUAGUCGUUUCUCAAGUAUGAUUACUGUGUCGUUUUAUGAUUUUAUCAUGCUCUGUACCGUUUGGAAACAACGUGUCGGUCGCACUUGUUGCAAGUUGCAAUUAAAUAUUUGGAACAGUUUGUCAUGGUAUUUGUGUGGGACCUAUAUAAAUGGUUUCCGUUUAUCUUUGUCAAAUUGCUUCGUAACUGCCUGUGUUACCGUGGUCGUUUUGGAGAACGAUGCCCUGUACUCAGUUUUCAAGAGUUUUGAAAAUACUGUACACCGUUUCUUAAAAAGAAAACUGUAAACCCAGUUUUAUUGCUCUCUUCAAAUUUGCUUGUGUUGUCUCAUUUAAUCUAUAUGAAAUCCUCUUGGGACUGACCUUAGCGAUCGAUCAGCUGCACGCGGGAUGGUGGUGAACAUCUACGCUUGAACGUUUUUUUAACACCUUCGAUCUUUUUAUGACUAUAUGGAGUUUCUCAGCUGCUCGAGCUUGAAUGGCAUUGUCCAGCUCCAUAAGUGAAUGUCAGAACUACUGACACUGUUUUAUAGAAAAAAAAGAGAUGUAGAGAAAAUUAGCCCUUGUUUACUUCCCUCCAAACUCCCAACUUUGACACUAUGCAAAAAGAAGAUUCCCCAUCACAUCAAACUUGCGGUACAUGCAUGGAGUACUAAAUGUAGACGAAAUCAAAAACUAAUUGCACAGUUUUGUUAUACUUUGCGAGACGAAUCUUUUGAGCCUAAUUAGUUAUUUGGACAAUAAUUCACAAAUACAAACGAAACGCUACAGUGUCGCAUUUAUGGCAAAAUGCCAAUUUGGCACCUCCCAACUUGGGAAGUAAACAAGGCCUUAACCAAAGAUCCAUAUCCAUGAGGAAAGGCAUAACCUUCACAUCACAGACAUUUUUGACAAUUCCAAUUUACUAGUACAAUACCCGUGCUAGAGCUACGGUGCAAUUUUACGUAGCAAAUCAGACAACCAAACGUUUAUUUCCACCAUUCACAAGCGUUCUAAUAUUUGAUUAUGAUUUUUUUCCCAUAGCAACGCACUAUUUCCUUCUCAAUGCAGAUGGAGAUAAAUGAAGUCAAGUGAUCUACUAGGGAGUAGGAAAUGUAAGAGUACAAAUCUAGGCACAUAUGCAUAUAUCCUCUGAUUCUAUCCUAUGGAUAUUAGUUAUUUAGGAUUUGGGUCACAUGAAAAAAUAACACUGGUUAGAAUUGAGUAGGUACAAGUUGCGCAGUUGUGUCAUGCAUGAUUGCAAUUAUCUUUGGUGGUUUAAGUUGUUAAUGUCCUCCCCUUGACAUUGGAAUAUUUCUGAUCUAGGCUACAUGUUUGAAGAUUUAGCCCAAUGUUAGCUUAUACUCUGAAUUUUAGGAGCUACUCCUUCCGUCCCAAAUUACAAUUCGUUUUGACUUUUCUAGGUAUAUAGAUUUUGCUAUACAUCUAGAAUUCUAGAUAUAUGCUAUGUCUACAUACAUAGCAAUAACUAUGUACCUAGAAAAGCCAAAAUGAAUAAUAAUUUGGGAUGGAGUACUAAGGUAGGACCAUAAUCUGAAAGGUGCUAAGUUCUUCUGACUCCAGAAGUAAAUGAACUUGUUAGAAAUCACAACGCAUUGCCUUGCAUAUUGAUCCUGACAUAAGUUUUUGUUUUUAAAAUCUAGUUCUUUUAUUGUUCGUGUCAUGAAACUUCGUUGUCUUUUGGCCCUUCAGUUGUCCUCUGCUGUGUGCAACUGUGCUCUCUUCCCUGAUGCAUAUGCCAAAUUGUUUGCUGAGAUUCAGAAAACUUAUUCACACCAAGUUGCCACACUUCUAUGGCAAAAUUAAUUGUGACGGAUUCUUAUCACACAAUAAAACGCAGCAAGAUCAGUGGCGGAACUGGAGAGAAAAUUAAAGAGGGGCCGGACAAACAUUGCCGGUUCAAGUAUUUGGCAAUUUGCCCAAAUUUUUCAUUGUCCACACAAGCGUACAAUAGCUAGUCAUGACUAUAGUAGUUAAUUAUGCAACUGCAAUACCCAAAAGCGAAUAGUUUGCAAAAGUGAUCAAUAUAUCUUAUUCAUUUCAGCGCGAUUCUUUUAGGUUUUGCCUUGGUUUCCUACAAGGAUUUGUAAAAUCAUCAAAAAAUCCCAUGAUAUUAUUAGAUAAGAAAUAAAAUUGAAACAAUUUUGAGGACAUACUGAUAUGGCUUAGGGAAAUAGGACUUGCUUACAUUGGUUUGAGUUGGAGGAACAUCACAAGCAGAAGGGUUAGCCGUGAUGUUGCCUUCCAUUGCAGCUAUGCCGCCGCGGCCACCGGCUUACCCGUCGUCAAUGGCGUAAUGGCAGUGCAAGAUUCCAGCAGUCCGCAGGCCGCAAGCGACGGGUGACUGAGCGUCGGGCGAGGUUUUAGCGGCGUCGGCAUGUUGCGAGAUUGGAAUGAAACGUCGCAUGAUGAUAAGGUACGCGAACAACACCUGACCAAUUAAUCUAAGUGCUUACGUGCAUUGUUGGGUAGCAAAUUGGGCUUGGCCCCUGCGGUCUUUGGCCUGCUGAGUGAUGAUAUGCUUUAUGGGCUGACAUUUGAUAAGGGGUAGUAGAUGUUUUUGGUUGGGGGAGGCCAUGGCUCCCACCGCCCCCCUCAGUUCUGUCAUUGAGCAAGAUCAGCGUGUUUUACCUUAAAACAUUGGACUUGACAUAUAUAUUAAAAAUGUGAAAUAGCUAAAUCUGCAUUAUGGUAUGAAAAUGGCUAUAUGAUAUCAGUGCUUCUGAAUCAGAAUCCUUGAUAUGUUAGCUAACUAAAUGGUCAGAGAGGGAAGUUCUUGCUUUAUGUGCCUGUCAAAGUGACUCACUAUGUAUAGACAUUGAGUGUCACUAUGUGCAGACAUGGAGUGACAAGUGAAAUUUUUGCAGGCUAUUUAGUAUUCUGUAACGAUGUUUAUCUCUUUCCUAGAGCUACACCUGUGGAGUGUGGCUUUUAUACUUAUGUAAAUACACCAUGUAAUUUGUCUCCUUUUAAUCAAUAAAAUGGAUCCAAGUCUUUAUGUCCAAUGCAAUUUGUGGCUUGGUGUGUAUUUUGUGACUUUCUGUCCACUGAAAUUUCUGCAAUCAACAAAGGUUGGAAGAUUUGAACCUCAGUCUACCAACAUUUGAAUCAACAAGCUCCACCGCAUCUUUUCUGAUUGACUAAAUCACCAUUCAAUAGAAAGAGCUUACCUUCUUAUAUUAGGAAUCAACAUUUUAGGAGCUCUGAAUAAACAUGCCAUCUUUGUAGAUAACAACAUAAAAUCAUUAUUUAUAAAUUAGAAUACUUGUAUUGUGUGAAAUACUCUCCCAUACAAAAAACAACAAAAGGUGGGCAGUGAAGCAAGAUACACAUAAUUAAAUUGAUUAACACUGGUCAGGCUCAUGCCUGCAAAAACAUUCAGAUUGCCGCCGAAGAUUCAAAUUCUCACAUCACAGUACAAAGCAUGAGAGGAUCACGAUGAUCAAAUAGUAGACAACAAAUCUUUCAGAUUGGCAUCUCUAUUUACUGUUUACAGCAUAUGAUAACCAAGUAAUAUCAACCCAAAAUACUGUAUGAAUACUGAUACUCCAAGAAACUGCACUACUGAUGGCACUCAAGUCAUAAAUUAUUCAUAAGUUACACAAAUCUCUAUUCGUUUAUAUGUGCCAUAGCAGCAUCCACCAAAGAUGCCUCGCACUUUCAGGCUUUCAGCUACAAAGGAAAGAAAUCCUUGUCUUUUGAGCAUCCCUUUUCUUAUAUGUGGAAUAUCAUACCAGUUGCCAUUGCCAUCACCAAUUUUCAUGAUUUCUUUCAUGCAUACGUGGAGAGUUAAGAAAAUUAUGUUCGACUGGCUCACUGAAUAAUCUUUUUUUUAAGAGUCAAUGGUGGGCUAAGAAUCAUUUCUUCAAAGCGAGAUUAUAAGAUCAGGCACCCGUCCUUAGCAAUGAGGGGUGGGGAGGGGGGGGGGGGGGCUCAGAUAGGCAUUCUCCCUGAAUAAUCUUCGAAAGCCUAGUCCAUGUAAUGAAGAUGUCAAGUCCAUGUAAUGAAGAUGUCAGUUCAUAAUACCCUAGAGUACAAGUUACAAAAUUGACAGAAGGAAAAUCUGUAGUAAAAGAAGCAUCGGCGGGGUGGGGACGUGGCAUCCGAAUGCUGAGACAUGUCGUACAUACAUCUAUAGGCCUACCAUCUAUAAGCCUACCAGAAGGUUUGCACAGUCCCAAAUAUGAGGUUGGACACUGAGACGCAUCUGACAUGGAGAUCAUGGCAUAGGACGGCGUGAUCUACAUGGAAAGACAGGAAGUAGUCGAGGAUUAGGAAAGUACUCGUUGUAAUAUAGUAGGACUUCUCUAGUUGUAUCCGACUAGUAUUCUUGUAACCAACUGACCAGUAAGCCUAUCCCCGUGUAUAUAAGGCAAAGCAGGGACCCCCUCCAAAGCAAUCCAAUACAACCAACACACAGGACGUAGGGUAUUACGCUAUUCAGUGACCCGAACCUGUCUAAAUAAUGUGUCUGCGUUUACCUUCGAGUUCCUGAUCUCAUCGAGCCCCACUAACCAAAACACUACCUCGGGCACCCCCCGGUAGGUUGCCGGUCUAAACAUUGAUAGCUGGCGCGCUAGGUAGGGAUCUCGCUGAGAAUUUGCUAGCGAACUCGAUGGCAUAAGUCAUCAUCAAGCCAAUCGUGACGUCCAAAGAGGGUGUGAAAUUCGUCUUUAGCUCCUAGGUUUGCAUCGUAGAUGGUGCUAGAAGCUUCUGCCGCCACAUAGCACCAGCCCUGGAGAAGAAGUAGCUAACCAUGAAGCUCCAACGCGAAGCUCUGGAGGAUCUCAUCGAGAAUCUCGGCGAAUUUUCAAUUUCUGACCUAGUUAGAGGCUGGGGGGACGAGUCCGAGUACAUCUCGACUUCUUCUGCUAGUUGCAUUAACUUGCAUGAGCUAGCGCAGCAGCCAUCAUGUGAGUCGGACUACUCCAAGAGUCGAUUCCCAUUCGGACUCUGCAACACGGCCACUGUCUUCCAGGUGGCCUUGUCUAGAUCACAAUUUGAUAUGGAUGAGAUCGAGGAGCUCGGCUACUACUUGGAUCCGUAUGGAGAGACUCCUUUAUCAGGUCCGCAACAGGGCCUAUUAAUCACAUCAACUCCACAAUGCAGAUUCGUCUACCGGUCCAACAUGAAGCCACACGCUCUCUCCAGGUAUGACGACUCGCGCCUCAUCGCCUACCUUGUCACUCUCCUGUACCAGGAGGGAGCUCCUCUAUCACCUAUUGUAGAAUAAGGUGGCUCCACGGAAGUCAUCAUCUCUAGUUCGGGAAGCAUCUCACUAGAGUGAGAAGUCUUCGUUGUCAUCGCGGGAUAAGAAGCUGAAGAAGACGAAGAGGUGAGGGAUAGACACCCACGACGUGAACGUCACCCAGAUGAUGUCUGGCAAGAUGAGCACACUGCUGACGUCGUUGGGAAGAAACUGAAGCUUAAAGAAAUCGACGAAGGGUGGGGAACACUGCGAGAGCGGAGCGUCGGCGCCAUCUCGCAGUAGAUCUACCAAUCCAGAAUCUGGACAGGGCUUUCGAGGCAGUUCAGACUCACCGUCACCGUACUCCUCUAGCCACCAUCGCGUCCAUAGACCUCAACACCCGUGCGAUGCCCCAGAACAAGUACACUGAGCAGCUGGCUGACCUGGCAGAACUUGCGUACAAGCAACUCGAUCACAUGAACCCCAUACAGUAAGUCCAACCCUCCGGAUCCCACAGGAGCCAGCAUGGUAGUAGCCAUAGGGGUCCUCCCCUGGGGGAGCUGGAGGCGCCAGACCAAGCCAAGACGGUGGCGCCAGACCAAGUCAAGCCGGAGGCAGGAGACCCAGCCAAGUAGUAGCUAAAGGGAGCCGGGAUGGACCCUCGGGAGGUCGUGCCCACCGUGGGGGCGCAUCGGAAUGCCCAACAGAAGACCUUCGCAGCAAAAUAAAUGCUAGCCACGACGCCCGCACCAACAUCGAGGGUCGACACUGCGAGCACGAGCAAGAAGUUGGAUAACCAAGAGACAACGUCAACGGGUUCCCCGCCUUCUCCAGACGUGUGAGGAGAACGAUUGUACCCGAGAAGUUCAAACCCCCGGGUAUUAGCAAGUACGGCGGCAAGAAAUACCUAGUGCAAUAGCUCCAAUGCUACUCGCUGUCAGUCCAGCCAGCUGGUGGAAACAACGACACUAAAGUAGUGUAUUUCCCCAUCUGCAUGGAGGUGGCGCCUCUCACAUGGCUCAAAUCAUUGGAAAACAAAUCCAUUGACUCAUGGCAAGACCUGAAGGCGGCAUUCACGGGCAACUAUGCUGGGGCAAUGCAGCGUCCUGGCAAUAGGAUUGACUUAUCCCAAGUCAAGCAACAGGAAGGCGAGACCCUGCGAAGCUACGUACAUUGCUUCUUUGACAAAAAGGCCACAAUCAUGGAUGUUACGGAAUGCGAUGUCAUCGACUACUUCUUGAAUGGCUUCCAUGACCGCCGAAUGUUCCAAGACUUAGGUAGAAGAUGCCCCAGCGAUGUCAAAUCAUUAAAGAUUAUGGCUCAGACCUGGGCGGAUGAAGAAGAUAGGGAGAUCAAGAGGUUCGAGUCCAACCGCAACAAAGGCCAAAGCAACAACAGUCAGAACAACAAUGGCCAACGCAAUGACAAGAACUGCAACGAUCGACCAACACAACGACAACUGAAAUAACUACUCGGGAAGUCAAAACCGCAAGCACAAGACAGACAACACAGUCACGGCACUACAGUGCCUGCCCAAGAGCAGCGGUAAUAAGAACCUCAACAGGCCUUCAUUCAACAAACUCCUAUAGAAGCAGUGCCCAUGGCACCCAUACCACAAGCACUCUGCGUGGGAUUGUUUUAGCCUGCGCAGAGCCAUGAAGGACAUGCCGGAACCAUCUGGCACAAAAGACAAGGGCAAGGCCAAGGAAGACGAAGACGAUGGGACCAAUGGCAAGUUCUAGAACCCAUCCAAUAGAGUCAAUAUCAUCUUCGGUGGAACCCCGGGUACUGCCACCAAGCGGUCCUAGAAGCUCACUCUACGGGAGAUAAUGUCCAUCGAGCCCACGGCAGCUAUGAUCCUUAAGUGGUCCAAGGUGCCAAUUACCUUCUCCAGAGCAGAUCAAUGGACUAGAAUCUCAGACCCAGGAUGCUAUCCUCUCUUCUUGGACCCGAUGGUCGCUGGCUCCAAACUCACAAAAGUACUCAUCGAUGGCGGCAGUGGCCUCAAUGUCCUGUUCACCAAGACGCUGAAGAAGAUGGGCCUCAAUGUCACCGACAUGCUUACCCUGACAAACUCUCCAUUCUACUGGAUCAUCCCAGGCAACAUGGUUGUACCCCUUGUUCACGUGGUUUUGUCAGUUACCUUCGGGACCAAAGAACACUACCAGACAGAGUACAUCUGGUUCGAGGUGGCGAACUUUGAAACAUCAUACCAUGCUAUCCUCAGAAGAAUAGCAUUGGCCAAAUUCAUGGUCAUCCCGCAUUACAUGUACUUAGUACUCAAGAUGACCCAAUGGAGUACUCUCCCUGCGCGGAGACUUGAAUAGGUCGUACGACUGUGAUACAGAAGCCACGGAGCUAGCAUCAACUACUCAGGUACCAAACUCAAUGAUGCAAGUCUUCGCAGCAUCCAAGAAGCUAUCCUCUUCAGAACUCGAGAUACCAGAGAAAAAGUCAGGGGCAACCAAGGUCAAGCCUGUGAGCGAAGUCGAUGUCAAAGCCAUUAACCUUGAGACUGGUGAUAGCUCCAAGGUAGCCCUGAUACACACAGGGCUGGAUCCUAAAUAGCAAGAUGCGCUCGUUAGCUUCCUCGAGGCCAACCGAGACAUCUUCACGUGGAAAUCAGCAGACAUGUUGGGGGUGCUCAGGGAGUUGAUCGAGCACUCACUUAACAUGAAUCCAAAAGCUACACCAAAGAGACAAUGCCUACACCGAUUCGCACAAGACAAAAGGGAAGCUAUCAAAGCAGAACUUGCUAAACUACUCACAACAGACUUCAUAAAAGAAGUCUUCCAUCCAAAGUGGCUCGCCAAUCCCGCCCUGGUGCGAAAGAAGAACAACAAUGAGUGGAGGAUGUGCGUCAACUACACAGACCUCAACAAGCAUUGUCCAAAGGAUCCCUUUGGGCACCCUAGGAUUGAUCAAGUAAUCGAGUCCAUAGCUGGAUGCGCCCUACUCUGCUACUUGGGGUAUCACCACAUAGCUCUCAAGGAAGAAGAUCAGAUCAAGUCCGCGUUCAUCACCCUAUAUGGAGCUUUCUGCUACACGACUAUGCCGUUCAGGUUGAAAAACACAGACGCCACAUAUCAACGAGCGAUCCAGGAGUGCUUCAAGAAACAGCUAUACCGCAGUGUUGAGGCGUAUGUGGAUGAUGUGGUUGUCAAGACCACAAAUCCUGAUGACUUGAUUGCUGACAUAAAAGAAACCUUCGACAACCUGCGUGAAUUUCGGUGGAAGCUGAACCUGACAAAGUGCAUCUUUGGCAUGCCUUCCGGGAAACUACUUGGUUUCAUCAUCAGUCACCAAGGAAUCGAGGUGAAUCCAGAGAAGAUCUCUGCCAUUAGCAACAUGCACGCUCCAUCAGGCAUCAAGGACGUUCAGAAGUUGACUGGAUGUAUGGCGGUGCUAAACAGAUUCAUCUUAAGACUUGGAGAAUGGGGCCUACCCUUCUUCAAGCUACUCAAGUGGCAAGACAAGUUCAAGUGGACUGAGGAGGUAGAUAAAGCCCUGCAACAACUAAAGGACUUCCUGUUAAAGCCACCAGUUCUCACUGCCCCAACCCCCAAUGAAGACUUGCUGCUCUACAUCGCCGUGACUACUCAUGUUGUUAACACCAUGAUCGUGGUUUUAAGACCAGAACCACGACGUGUAUUCAAAGUAUAGAGGUCUGUCUACUUCAUUAGUGAGGUGAUGUUAGACUCCAAGACUAGAUACCCACCAGUCCAGAAGCUGCUGUAUGCGAUACUGCUCACCUUGCGGAAGUUACAACACUACUUCCAAGAACACAAGAUUUCCGUCGUCACAGAUUUCCCUCUUGGAGAAAUUCUCCACAAUCAGGAUGCAACAGGCAGAAUAUCUAAGUGAGCGGUAGAACUCGGUGCAUUAUCCCUAGAAUUCAAGUCGAGGACUGCAAUCAAGUCCCAGGCCCUAGUUGAUUUCAUGGCAGAGUGGUGGGAGAAUCAACUACCAACACCAGAUGAUCACCCAGAGCAUUGGGUCAUGUACUUUGAUGGGUCUCUCAAGCUCGAAGGCGCCAGUGCAGGAGUACUCUUGAUAUCCCCCAAAGGCGAACGACUCAAAUACGUCCAAUAACGAAGCUAAAUACGAAGCACUUCUGCACGGGCUCCGCCUGGUAGUCUCGCUAGGAAUCAAGUAUUUGUUGGUCUACGGUGACUCACUGGUGGUGAUCAAUGAAGUCAACAAUGAUUGGGAUCACCACAAGGAGAACAUGGAUGUGUAUUGUCUAGAAGUAUGCAAGCUAAAGAACAAAUUCUCUAGCCUGAAGUUUCACCAUGUAGUUUGCGAUAAUAAUGCCGCCGCGGAUGUCUUAUCAAAGCUCGAAUCUACUCGAGCCCAAGUUCUAGCAGUAGUUUUCAUCCAUGAGCUACACAAGCCAUCCAUAACGGAGUCGAUGCCAUCACCAACCACUGAUCGAGGUCCUGAGGCACCAGAUUAGGAGGUUUUGAUGAUCGAUGUAGAUUGGACGACACCCUUUGUCAACUACAUGAAAAAGCACAAGCUACCUCCAGACAAGAAGGAGGUAGAACAAGUCUCCAGGCGCAGCAAGAACUACAUUCUAGUCGGGGACAAGCUAUACAGAAGAGGCGCAUCAUCAGGUGUGCUCAUGAAGUGCGUCUCAUGACAAGAUGGCAAGGACAUACUAGAGGAGAUUCACAAAGGCAUCUGCGGGAAUCACGCGUCCUCACGAACAAUCAUGGGCAAAGCUUUUAUAUUAGGAUUCUAUUAGCCUACAGCUCUCGCUCUUGCUGAUGCUAAAAAACUAGUCUGCUGAUGUCAAGGGUGCCAAUUCUUCGCCAAGCAACAACAUGUCCCUACCAUGAUCGACCCAUUACCAACGGUGCCGGGAGGGUUCAAUCGAGUUCUGGUGGCAAUCGACAAGUUCACGAAGUGGAUUAAGGUUAAGCCAGUAAGCUGCCCCAAGGUAGACAUAGUAUUCAACUUCCUCGAUGUGAUUGUCCACCGAUACGGCUUCCUAAUCGCAUCAUCACAGACUUGGGUUCCAAUUUUAACAACUAUGAGUUUUGGGAGUACUUCGAGAAUAGCAGGAUUGAUGUCUGGUACAUUUCUGUGGCUCAUCCACAGGCCAAUGGCAAGGUUGAACAUGCCAAUGGGAUGGUUUUGGACACCCUCAAGAAAAGGCUGCAUGAAAUAUCAAAUACAAAAGGAGGCAAGUGGCUCAAAGAACUACCCGAUGUCCUUUGGGGGCUCCGCACCUAGUCGUGCAAGCCUACAGGGCAAUUGCCCUAUUUCCUGGUCUACAGAUUUGAAGUUGUCAUACCUACCGACAUCAUGUGGAAAUCUCCAAUGGUCGAGCAAUAUGAGGAAGGUGCAGCCAAAGAAACAAGGCGUCUAAAUCUAGAUUGCCUUGAAGAAGCUCGCUAUGCAGCGCUCGUCCAGUCAGCAAGAUACCUUGAGGGGAUCCGUGGUUAUCACAAUCACAACAUCAAAGACCGUUCAUUCAAUGUAGGAGACAUGGUCCUAAAAUGUAUCCAAGACACCAAGGGGCUGCACGAGCAAAACUCACGAUGGGAGGACCAUUCGUUGUCUCCAAGGUCACUGGGCCUGGGUCGUAUAGGCGUAAUUUGACUACUUAUUUUUACUCCAUCACGACUUUUAAAGCAAGUUUGCAGUUUACCAGGAGUUACUUAACAGCUUGGAAGAAUACUUAUCAAACAAAUUUGUCUUGUUGUGGCUUGUAAUAAGAAGUCUGCAGUCCUAGGAAUUUUAGAGCGCACAUCGAUACAACUCAAAGAAGUUGCAAAGAUAGGCUCUAGCAUUGAAUUCCUGAAGAGACUACUUGUUUAGAGGUCUAUUACCAUGAUAGCUCGAGUACUCAUAGUUCACAUAACAAAAUCAUGGUCUUAAGUACUCUAUAUUGGCAUUUGAUGAGGCUCACAAGAGAAGCCUUAUGCAUAGACACUUACAUUAACCGCACAAGCAUAAAUCAGGGUUAUUUGUAAGAAGCAUAGAAAAUAACAAGUCGUAAAGCAAUAUAAUAACUGCGAGAAGACUUAGAUAUAUUAUAAGCAUUAAUCAUUGUUUUCAUACAAUGCCAACAUCUGCCAGAUACAGAUCUACUCAAGAUUUAGCUCAGUGGCUACUUCUUUAGCGAUGGGAUCCAUCUCCUACGUUAUCUCCUUGAAGCGUUCAUCGGAGCAAUCUACCGCUAUGCCUUCAGCAACAGGCGUCAGGUCAGCCCUGGGGUAGAAUGACUUCACGAAGCUUAAGACUUGAUGGGAGACAGAUUUUGCCAUUUUCUAAAGAUAGCCGGUGUUGGUAUAAUUAACGAAUGUGAAUGAAUCCUCAAGCACAUGGAUAUCAUUGUAGCUUUCACCUCAGAGUAUUCCAAGGGUAUCGAAUCCAAGGGAACGUGUGUGUAUAUCUACGACUGUAUAUCCGUAAGCGCAUGGAUUCCUAUGUAUAGCACUAGAUAAGUUACAGGUCGAUCUCUCGAUCAAGGAACUCGCUUCGGGAACCGGCUUACCCUAAAUUAGUCAUGCACCUCUGGCCAACGGCUCUACGCUAUAUCCGAACAUGGAGGAUUACAAAGGACAGAUAGGGUUGCCACCACCUGCUACCUACCUCUAGCAACCCAUGAGAUAUAAGGCAAAUGAAGGAUAACCCUUAGCCUAAACACCAUGUCUACACCACUGAUUACUACUGCAAUCUAACUACGUCUAUCGACCCGUAGUAGAUAUACAGCACUCCGUGACAAACCCACAAGUAAGAGAACUGAUCUCACUUAUAAAUAAGCACUAAACCAAAUAACGAAUCAUGAAUACUCACUUACUUAACUCAGAAGGAAGACAACAUCUGUAGAGGCACAUGGUCAGAGUAGAGUGCUGAGGAACUCAGCACCCCUCCGAGCUACUCCCUCUCUCUCCCUAUCCUAAGCACUAGCCUAAGCAGGGCUUCGCCAUGGAGCUCUUCUCUAGAUAGGAGUGGAGGCACUCCUCCAAGUGGAGGUAAGGAAGGUGUUGGUGUUGGUGGGUGUUGUUGGUGUGUCUUGAAAUGAGACCCCUCCCCUUCUAUUUAUAGGCUCCUGGGGUCGGUUUUGGGGAGGAAUAUUUAGGGAAUCUUCCACAACCACAUUUGGGACACCGUCAACCACUGCCAGGCGUCAGCUAGGGAUGAAACAAGAUAAGGGUGGUUCGGCCGAACUAGGGGUUCGGUCGACCCCCUACAACCACCUUUCACAUCGCCUUUGCUUUGGGUCGCUACCCUGUGGGUCCUCAUGUGGGUACAAGGUGCUUGGCAGUGAAUGUAGUCAGUUUCCUUCUGAUUGUGGGUCCAUGGAUCCGCGUGCUUGCUUCUGAUUAGUUGAGAGUGUGUUUCCUUGCUCUUGAGGUGUGUUUUCUCUCUUAAUGGACCAACAUAAAUUUUUUUAACAAUACUUGUGGAAUUCAUUAGUAAUAACUCCUACCACUACUAUUGAUGCUUAUCUUUUCUAUGUUUAUGCAGGAGUUGAUGGCCUAGAUUUGGUACUUAAGAGCUGUCAACAACACUCCCACACUUAGCCUUUGGUCAUCCUCGAGCAAAGGAGAAAGGACUAAGUUGAAAUAUAAGAGAUAUUCCAAGACUUACCUUGUACUUGUGAACUUUGAGGUGUCUAUCAUGCCAUCUUGGGUAGUUGAGGAAUGGAACUGUCUUGAAUCAAGUCACCUCUACUCCUUACGUCAAGUAACUUGGGAUUUUUCAAUAAGUUUCAAAAACAAACCUUGCUUAGCUCCUCAUUUGAUUCUCUCAGGUUGCUCAAUGUGUAUAUGUCCACACCAAAGCAUUAGACUUGCCUUUCUUCAUCCUACUUCUAAUGAUGGCUAUAUGUGGAGCUCAAGGUAGGGUAUGAAGGAUAAGGCAUACUUGUAUCACAUAUCUUGCAAAGUUAAAAACUGGAUCCAAGGAGAAAAGCAAGUCAUAUAAUCAGAAAAGCAAGAUGUGCACGUGUAUGUAUAUGGUGGAUGGUACUUGAGAUGGAAACUCCUUUUUGUAUGAUCUCUCUCUUUUUGUAAAUUCUUUUGAGAACAUGGCUAUAUUUUUUUUUCUUGGACCUUCAUGUGUCCAACUUACUUGGACCUUCAUGUGUCCAUUUUUUUGAUAGCCCAUGCCUCUUUUGUAACAACAACUGGGGAGAGAGGGACCCACACAUAUGGUGGAGCAUUUAUUUUGUGGAAUGAAUGGAUGGUAGGAUGCUAACUUCUCAUGGAAGCAUAGCAAGGGAGUAUAUGGUGUGCACAUAAAUAUUGAUCAUGAAAGCAUGAAAAGAAUUCUUCCAAAGGGCACAAGAAUUUUACAAAGCUUAAUGCAAAGAUAAGCAGUAUAUCCAUAGGGUUUUCAAGAUAACUCAUCAUAUGGCUUUGGUAGGACUUUGGCAUAUUAAAGAGGAGCUUGCAAAAGGUUUUUUAAAUUUUCAAAAAAAAUUUCCCAAGCACUUAAACAUUAAGAGCAAAGAUCAUAUGAUCAAACCAUAUCUCAAACAUCAAAUACUUAGAUGAGCAUGCUGUCCUAAAGAUUUUUGUUCACAAGUAUCAAAAUGUUAAGCAUGGAAUAAAACAUAUCUAGGCCAACCAUAGAAAGCAUGUAGAGCAUAUUGAUUCAUUUUAUUUGAGUUUGAUUUAGUUGAUCAGAUUUAAAAUUCAUUCAAACUCAUGAAUCAGAGAUCAGGGAUAAAGAGACACAAUCUGACGCGGUGGAUGAAAAUGAGCCUGAGUGGGCUACCCCUUGGGUUGGCCGAACCAUGGGUUCGGCUGAAUCCCUUUGGGUCUAGCUCUGGCUCCCCUUUCGCGUAUGUACUAGUGCAAUGCGAUAUGCUCUAUUUGUGGGUGUUUACGCAUCAUUUCAGCUCUAGAGAGUCCGUGGUUCUCCCCCACACUUAUUUUGUUGCUAGGUGCUUCUUCCAAAAGACAAGUAAGUGACACAAGGACUCUACUGUGUUGGAUGACUGAUGAAUCAAAUUUUAUUGAAAUCGAAUUGGAGGCGCUUACAAUUUUGAAGGGAAAUAGAAUGAAAGGGAAAAAGUAAACCUAUUCUAAAAGUGCCUAAUGGGAAAGGAUACAAGGGGGCACAUCUACUGAGUUGCAUCGUAGAGAUUGUCGUGCCCCCUAACCUUGUACAAGCGCUUUAUCUUAGCGCAAAGACCACGGCGGAGGGUACAAAAAUCAUCCUUAAGCUCUUUUGUUUCUAACUUUCGCUCCGCUAAUGCAUCCCUAAGCCUCAUAUUUUCUAAACAUAGGUCUACGAUCAUGGAGGUUAGCUGCUUAACCGUGUGGGCCUUCAGAGAUUUCUUAUUACUACCCUGAAAUUAGCCCACCGACCUUCUGAUUGGCGGCGGUGAGAGGUGCCGCUAGACCUUGUUGCCUCCUGGAGACGAACCAAAGAAUCCGGUCAACUCCUUCUCCAUAGGAGUGAGAGCUGGCUUGACUCUCUUUUCGCUUUUGCCGUUUAGGGUUCACACCCCAAACACCUCAAAGUGAGAUGCCGGUAGUGGCGUCUCCAGCAAGUAGGACGCUGAAUCAGAGUUGUUGCAUCCUCUGGUCUUCGAUGGCCCUGGGAUGUCAAUCCCAUGGGGCAGCGGGACUCUUGCCGCCUUCCCUGGGUGAAUGUCGCUCGUUGUUGGCCUUCUGUAAGGGCUCAUCCCGUGCGCACAUGAUUUUGGUGUCUUCCUUGGUGAAGGCAAGCAUGUGGUCAAGCGGAAGGCUGAGGUGGCGCUGACCUGGCCGAACCCUUAGCGGCACCUCUCGUGCCUCUACUUCACCCCUCGGGCGGUAUGAGAGCUAGGGGCUCAACCUCCAGUGCUUGGACCUCCUGCAUCGCCAGAUCGCCAUUAGGGACAAUGGCAUUUGUCGGAGCGAUUUACCCAUCGAGAUCAAAGGUUGAGCCCGGCUUGACGAAGGGAACAUGGCCUUUGCCAGCCAUGGUGGUGAGCAGUGUGAUGUUAGUGUGGAUCUAGGUGGGUUUGAUAGGGAUGAGAGUGAAGUGGAUGAGGAGAGGAGGUGGAUGAGAUUUUAAAGAAGGGACUCCUCUCUUGCAACGUCAAACCCAAUGGGACGCCAAGAGACGAGUCAAGGAAUGUUGGAGGAGCGUCUGUGCGGGGUUCGGCUGAACCCUUCUAGGCUCUGCUGGGCCUCCCGUUGCUCAUGUGCAUGUGUGCAGCAGAGAGGGAAGUAGAGAGAAUGGUCCCAACCACCAUAUGUGCCAGGACUUUAGUAAAAGAUAGGAUAGAGCUAGGGUCAAUGACAUUGAUCUUUGCUUAAUUUCACUUUUAUUUAAGCGACAUAUAUUUCUACAAAGAUCGUAGUGGUGGACUUAUCUUAAUGACAUACCUUAGCCAUCGCAAGGUAUGAUUGUCCCAUGUGACAAUGAUGUGUUGAUGAUGUUCAUUAUGCUGGCAACGAUGAUGUCAUACUCUCGAUGCAUUUCCUUCUUUGCGUCUCUCCAUCCUUGAUGUAGCUUCUCGCAACCUAUAAGGUUAGUGUCCCAAGAAUACCCGAAGGAUAAGCUUUCCUUAUGAAGUUAAAUCAUUUCAAUCAAGGAAGCUUAUGUUCUUGGGCAUCUAAUGGUGAUCCUUUGCUCAACCACAUGUACGCCCACCUUGCUCCGCCAUUUGGAAUGAAUCGGUAAAGUCUUGGCUGCAAGGUUAGUGCACAAAUACAACUAUGUGCUCUGCAUAGAUAUUAUGAUAAAGCAGAACAAAAUAGAACCAUCCGAAAGGGCGUCUAUGAUGUGAAACCCAAAGAUGAUCGUAUGACUCAUAGUGCCUUAGCCCAACGGACGAUAGAUCUUGGAGAUAUCUAGGAUGAGAAUGAUCCUUGUAAUGAAUCGGAAUGAAACUUCAUGCUCAUGGAGUGAAUGGCUUGUGUCGGUGUUUAAACCCGGCAACCAACCAAGGGCAUGCCUGAGGUAGUGUUUUGGUUGGUGGGGCUUGUCGAGAUCAGGAACUCGAAGGUAAACGCAGACACACAAUUUAGAUAGGUUCGGGCCCCUAGAUUGUGUAAUACCCUACGUCUUGUGUGUUGGUUGGAUUGAGUUGCCUUGGAGGGGAUCCUUGCCUUGCCUUAUAUAGUCAGGGGGUAGGGUUAUAGGUCGGUUGGUUAUAAGAAUACUAGUCGGUUAUGACUAGAAGAAGCCUACCCUAUUAGAAUGAGUACUUUCCUAAUCCUUGACUAGUUCUUGUCUUUCCAUGUAGAAUACGCCAUCUUACUCCAUGGUCUCCAUGUCAAAUGCAUCUCGGUAUCCAGCCCCACAUUUGGUUCUGUCAAAACCUUCUGGUGGACCCAUAUAUGUAUGUAUGACAAGCCUCCAAGUACUUUUUAGUCCAAUGCAACAGUUCCAAGUACUUUUGUAGACUUCACCAACUAGUUUUGGUGCUCUUUGAGUACUUCAUCCGGUUGAAAUCUUCAAAGGUACCCAAAAACUACCAUGCGGCUAGAAUGUGCUCAAGCCUCAUUUAACUUAGUCUCGUAUCCUUCAACCUUAAAUUUUAUAUGGAAGUACGAUGAAAAUUGCACUCCCUAUGGAGGAGCCCCCGAGCCUUAGGUUGAAUCAAAGAAUCAGGCUGAGGAUCAAUCUGUAAUUUGCAUCAAUUUUCCCUUAAAACAUGGAGAAAAAACUUUUGUCGAUGGACACGUGGCACAUAGCCCCCGAGCCUUUAGCCGACUAGUUUGGUCGGUAUAAGGGUCAAACUUGGUCAACGUGACCAUCUUUUGGAAUAUCAAAAUCUUCUUUUCAAAAUAAAAGUAACCACCAAUCAGGUUUCCUAAAUUAUAGGGAUCCUUUAAAUCGAAAUCUAUUCACUUGCACAAUUUUUACUGUGCCACUGCUAUAAAUAAUGGAGGAAGUUAUCCCUUCCGUUUUACCCUUGCCAUUUGUCUUUCCAACUUCCACACUAUAUCCCUAGCGCCGCCGCCAGUGUUCUAUCUCCGAACGCUAGCACCGCCGCCCCCCACCAUGCAGCCCUCGAGCGUAUGCGACUGAAGAUGCUCGUGACAUCAAGGAUAGGAAGGAAGAUCGCUGCAUCCAAGCCUGCCGAGGACAAGAAGAAGAAAAAGAGAUGUGGUAAGGGGAAGGAUCCUCAGUUGCCAGUGCCCAAGUGUGGCAAGACCAAUCAGACCGUGUAGCCCAACACCGUGUGCACCUGGAAAGACUCGAAGGCAACCGAGAAUGACAUCAAGGCUCUUGUUGCCGCAAAGCUGUUGUAAGAGCAGUGCUAUAUUUAGUGGCGAUCCGCCUUCAGGAAUGCCUGGCCAUUGGAAUCAUAUCCAAAUGAGACAGUAACCUUUUUGCACUUCAUUGAGUGAGGUCUUGGAUUGCCCACCUGUGAUUUCUUCCGAGGUCUUCUUGAUUACUAUAAGUUGGAGUUGGUGCAUCUGAAUCCCAAUGGAAUUUUCCAUACUGCUAUUUUCAUCCACUUCUGUGAAGCUUUUCUAGGAAUCAGGCCGCACUUUCAGUUAUUCUGGAAGUUUUUUCAUGUGAAGCCACAACCCUCGUGGGAACACACGCUGUUGGUUGGAGGCGCCAGAAUUCAGAUGCGGGAGAUAGUAAGCAGCCUAUAUUUAGAUUAUGAGUUGAUAGACUCCAAUGCCGGGUGGAAGGAAAAAUGGUGCUACAUUGGCAACCAUGAUUUGAAACUACCCAAGCUGACAGGACACCGCCCCUCUUGGAACAACCGGUGACUUGAUGAACUAAAACAUGGAGAUUGCCUCCAAUUACCGGAACUCAUGGAUAAAAUUGCCAAGUUGAAAUAAGAAGGGCUUACUAGAGUUGGAGUAGCCUUUAGCUUUAUGAAGCGCCACAUCCAGCCUCUGUAGUAGCGAUGCCAUUACAGCUACGAGUAUACCGACCUUAAUGACCCAUCCAGAUUCUCUCCUGAUGAAAUCAACACGGAUGAAAUCAUGGUUAGGCUCAAGAGAAUGUUCAAGAACAUGGGCGGGAUCCCCACUAUUGUGCCAAAGCAUGUAAGUACUCGUGACCGUGGCCCCCUAGUACUUGUUUUGAAUGUACUAGUCAACUGACUUGUCUCAUUCUGCAGGAAGAUGUUGCUUUGUACUUCUCUGCUCCUCCUCCUCCCAGAUCUGAAGAUGUCUGUGAAGUUGCUCCUUGCUCGUUUAUGCGGGAAGUCAUGAGAGGCAUGAUCAGGAGGAGGAGGUAGUCGAGUCCUCCAACGGCACUAAUUUGUCGUAGAACCACCCAAAUUAAUCUGACUUAAGUGUGCUAAACCUCACCUCAAAUGCGAUCAGACACUUAAAUCGAAUCAAGAUGGCAGUCUGUCGAGUUUUACCUGAUACAACCACGUAUUUCCGAUUGAAACAAGCAUACAACACUCGUACAAUGAUGAGCCCAGAGAUUACAACAAUCCAGAUGAAAAUUAUGGAGGUUCCAAAUUAAAUUGUUAUAAACCAAGUUUCAGAUGCAUAAAGUAGCUUAGAGUUCAAAUCAUAAAAAGUGUUCAGAGUUCAAAAGUGGCGGAAAAUAAUGAUAAAUCUGUCAUCGAUACACGAUACCAUGGUGAAGCCAUCCAUGAUAUCACUCACCAUGAUCCUCACCCACCGAGGAUGGGUUCCACUCAAUCGUCCAUCCCGGAGGGAGCUGGCAUGGCCAAGUCACACUAGCAAUCUUAUCAUCAACAUUAACAUUAACUAAAAAUAUAGCCACAAGCAAGGCUGAGUAUACUAAUACUCCGCAAGACUUACCCGUCAGGUGGUAUCUAAUCCACCGACUCCUAGACAUGCAAGGCUUUUUGGCUGAGGGGUUUAUUUUUGCCAAAAGCUUCUAAAGUGGAUCCUUACUUUCAAGUUUUAGCAUCAAGUUCUAGUUGAUUAACCAUUCUAGGUAAGCACCUAUUUUAAGAAAGCAUGGUAGAACAAGAAAUUUAACCAAGCAUCAAUAUUAAGCACCAUCCUUGUUCAACUUCUUACUCAGUGUAGAAAGGUGGUCAAGCAGUCCCAAACCGUGAGAAGCAGACGAUUCGAAUCGAAUUUCUUAACCUUGCAAGGUGGACCUAAACACACGACAUAUGCGUACCACGCCGGGUUCACAUAUAUCAACUGUUUCCAUCAAUCUCAGGCACGUGUCCAGGGCCCACUUCCCUUGGAUACAAUGCCCCAACGAUCCUGGAAUGACACUGUACUGUGGCUGCACUUGUACCCACAUGAUGCAUCAGGUGAACCCGGUUCUAGAGAGAGCAGGGAGUAUGUCCAUGCCCCGGUUUAAUCAGGUACUAGGCUUCCGGAUCCCAUACUCGGUAUGUGUUUGGUAUGUUCAAACACUUGACCACAACUCUAACACAUUUCAACCUUAGCAGUUUUCCUCUAAACAAACGAGGCCUCCACCAUUUUAGAACAUAUUACCAAGCCUCCCCCCCCCCCCGUCAACCUUAUGAUUCCAACAUAAGUAAACAGGCAACUCCUAUAGCUCGCGAGUGACCGGAAAUCACUCAACUUUUACCGUGUCCCUAUUUAGCAUAGAAACUAAACAACUUAUCAUGCUAUUAUUCAAACAUGGGUACUAGGAGCAUGCAACUAAGGUUUCAAUACAACUCCUAUGAACUUAAUGCACAGACAUAAGUAAACAAGAUAUUGCAUAAAUUUGAAAACCAGGGUUAUGCUCCGGGACUUUCCUUCUUGUCCUACGUUAGCCUGGGGCUCUUCCGAAGCUUGGCUCGGGUAUCUUGAGUUGUUUUGAUCAGGUUCAAAGCAGCAGGAGAGUGUUCCUCUUCAGCUUCUGGGACCAGCUCGUAUGUGCCGUCAGCGAGUAUAGCUUCUACACAAGAUGCAUAUGCAUAAGAUUUUAUCUGUAAGCUUUCCUGAUGUAUAGGUUGCAUUUCGUUAAUCAUUGCAAAAGCAUAGGGUGCAUUUUCGACCACAUUCACCUAAACAAGUUUAUACACCUUUCUUUCUUUUUGGCCACAUUCACCUAGACAAGUUUGUAACAAUUCUUUUCUUCGCAAAACAAGGUGGGUUGGGAAGAAAACAUGGGUUUUAUUUUGAUGGUGAUUGUGUACACAUAUAAGAUUCUUAGAAACUUAUCAUUCAAUAGACAACAGGUGGUGUUUUGGUGUUGUUUAGCAAACCUUGAUCAUGUCACUACUGAAGAGCAUAAAUAACUAUUUUGUGAGCCUACAAAUCCUAGUAGCAAUUAUCCUUAUUCAAUAAAUUAGCUUUUAACAUGAAUAAAUGUUUCAAAAGCAUCUAUUAAGAUAUGAACAUUAAAUUUUUACAGGAGCUUUCCCUCUACACAGGAAAUCUACUAUAAAAAUUUAAAAUGAAUUUGACAAUCACAUAAUUUAUUAAAAUUCAAACAGUGUUAAAUUGCAAAUCAUGAAGAAUGAUUUUUAACUAGAGUUCUAGCAUCAGUUUGGUUGCAAAUUUUACAGAAGGGUUUCCAACAAUAACAUAUGCUACUGUGAAUUUCUCAGGAUUUUACGAGCAUGAAAACUAUUUAUCCCAUAAAAAAGGAGAUUAAACAACAUGUAUUCUCUUAAGCAAAGGAAAACAUAUAUUUCACAGGAUCAAGUAUUUUUACUAGUCAAGCAUGAGCAUCAAGAGCCUAACAUAAUUUAUUUUGCAUUUUCAUCUAUUUUUUACUAAUUACCAUGUAAAUAACAAGAUUAUGAUAGCAAUUAAACGUUUGAAUUUAAAACAAUACGAGCAUCAUUGAUUCCAUUAACACAAAUUAUAGAUAUGGAACAUUCAUGUUAAAAGGAAGCUAAAAAAAUUAGUUUCACCAUUUUUAGACCACUAUAUGAUUUAUAAGGUAUUUAAUGGCUUUUAUACAAAAUAAAUUCUAGUGCUAGAUACAAGAUAGUAACAUGCACAUGAACAUUUUUAAAUUAAACUAGACAUCAUCAAGAACCGAACAAAAUAAGUUUCAUAUUUUUCUCAUUUUUCUACAGCUUCCUAGACAUUUUUCAAUUUUCAGUCAUUUAAAUCAAUUUAAAACCGAAAAGGAAAACAUGUUUCAUGACCAGACCCUUAGAUCUUUUGAGACUUCAUAACAAGGCCCCUACAUUUUUACACCUACGACCCUAGAAACAAAGUCACUUUGCAAUGUGGCCCUUGGGGGAAGGCUGGCAGUGAGGGCGGCGCAAUCCGGCGAGGUCCGGCCGCGGGGGUGCGAGCUAGGGGCGGAAAUGUGACGAGGAGCUCACCGGUGAUCCUUGGGCUGUAGGGGUUGAGGACGGAGGUGGGCGGAGCUUCGGGGACGACGUCGGUGCUUCAUCUCUGGCAAAGGUGGUGGCGGAGAUGGCCGGAGAAGGGGCUAAGGAAGUGGAGUGAGGCUCGGGAAGGGUGCUGGUGUGCUUGGGUGGUGUGGGGGCACUCAGAGGCAGGAGCUCGACGGGGUGGCUGCAAUGGCGCACGACAGAGCUCGGGUGCGGUGGAAGGGUGGCGCCAGCGAGCCUAGGCAUUGCCCUUUUAUAGCGGCAAAGGGGCGUGAGGGGAGUAGGAGGUCCAAGCACGCCUUCUCGCACAUUGGUGUGGACGGUGGUGGCCUGGUGCUGGCUAGCAGGGGGUGGCUGCACGAGGUUGGCUAGCGGCCGUGGGGUGCGUCGGCAUGCGGCGUGCGUCGCGUGCUGCGGUUGGCUAGCCAAGAUAUGCGUGCCAGGGGGAUCAUGCGCGCGGAGUGGGUAGUGGCCAGGCUCAUUCUAUCUCAUUGCCGGUGGCGGUUGGGCGACGGGGCGGAGCCAGGCAGGAGGCACCGCGUGGUGACGGCAUGUUCACCGCAUGUGGUGACCGUGCUCCGGGCGCACGUGUGUUCGUGUGUGGUGCGCGAAGAUAGGAUCUGUGUGCUGGAUUUUCUCCUAAGAUUUGAACUAAACAAUGAAAACUUCAAAUAUAAAAGUUUGAGUUUGAACUAUGGACUCCAACUUCUACAAAGGCUGAUGAGUUUGAAGAUAGCCGGGCAAGGCUGAUUUCAAUUUGACUUGAAUUUGACCCAACUUUGACCCAUUAUUUUGAAUGCCUUCCACUCAUAAUCAGGGAAAGUGUAAAUUAUGAAAGUUGUUCAAUUUGGAAAGAUCUACCACUUUUAUAUUGGCCAAAAUUUAGUUCUUAUAUAAAAAUCUGUUUUUAAAUCCUACCCAAGUGAGCACCAUUUAGGGGGUGUUUUUAACACUUAGAAAAAUUUGAAGUGUUUUUUAAUUUGACACUUGGCAAAUUUGAUUUGUUUCUAAUCUCUUUCUUAAUUUCUCUUGAUUUAUCAUUUUAAUCACUAGGAUGUCACAUAGUUCUGAUGCCGUGGAUCGAUACAAAGUCAAUGCCAGUCCGUCUACUAAAGCCGGACCAUCCUCCGGGUUGAAGAAGCGCUCAGCUACAGAUGAGCUUGAAGCCACGAUCCCUCCACCACCGAAGAAGAAACGAACCAUUGUUUGAAAAUGGGCCAUGAAGAAAUCCAUUGCUACGGAUAAUGUGCCCCCCAAGGUUAUUACUUAUGAGGAAGGACAAGAUCCUGAGUAUCACAUACUCCCAAAAGGUGUCUCCAAUGUCACCACCAUGUCUACUCAGGAUGACACUGGUGGUUUUACAGGUACUCAAGCUGGUGACGGAAACUGAGAAGGAAGCUGCCUUGGCUACUCAGGACAAGUCGUCGAUCAUCGAGGAGGUGAUCGAUGUUGAAGAUGAUCCAAAGCCUGUUGUUAGCAAUGAAAACUCCUAUGGAGAUGCGGUGAAACUUGUUGGCGCAGAGAUGACAUCAGCAGUGGGGAUGGUAACUAAGGCUGGCCAGGAUCAAGCUGCGACUUCUCAGGCCAUGCCAAAGGCGCCAUCUCCAGCUAUUAAGCCACUACGCCUGACGAAAGAACCCAAUUUGAAACUAAGGAUAUCUUCAAGGUAUCCUCUAUUUUUCUUUUGAGUACUUAUUAUGACUCGUUAGUAAGUUGCUUGUGACAGAAAUAUGUGCCCUUCUGCAGGAAAUACUCGGACAUAGAUUUGGCUAGGCCUGACUCCAGGCAUCAUCGACCGAUGUUGUGCCGCUAGCCCCCGAGCGACAAGUACACGAAGAAGUGGCAACGACUAAUUCUGGCAUCGUGGCUACUCCCGUAGCCGCUGAGCCAGAGGUGGAUAUUGAAACGGAAAUAGUUUUGGAAGUCAUGGCAGCCAGCGCAUCCUCCGAGCUAGGUCUGGCCAGAGAAAUUUGUCUUGAAGAAAUCCGACUGAUCGAUGACCCCUUGCUGAAUAUGGACGUUGUCGCUGGAAUGAUGGAGAUGCACCACCGUAUCAACAAUUAUGCAGAGGUAUCUUCUUUCUGACUUGAUGUGUUGAUAGUUGCCUUGUAACUUGUACUCAUGUGCUAAUACAAGUACCUAUUGUGCAUGUCGAAGGAUGCCAUCAAGCGCUCCCACCGCAAAUCCCAGAUGCUUGAAGGAUAUGCGGACACAGUACUUCAUGCUGAGGCCCUUCAAAAAGAACUUGCUAAGGAGAGGGAGCACUGUUCUCGAUUAAUGAUGAAGUAUGACAGAGUUGCUGCUGAAUACCAGAAUCGCAUCUUGCAACUUGAAGAAGAAAAAGACCGACUAAGCGGACGCAACAAGUCCUUGAACCAGCAGAUUAAAGGUCAUUGUUAUUCUUGCUACUUUUCUGAAUACUGAUUCUGCUUGUGAUACUGACCCUCUGCUGCCUUAAUGUGCAAAGCUUGAGAAGUUGAAUAAAGAACUCCAGGAGAAAGCCACUGAUUGGACCAAUGCGUUCUAUCGUGUGACUAACCAGCUCGACAGACUUGUCUUGCAAGUUGAGAAGUUGGAGCAUAACCUAGAGAAAGAAGAUAAGCAAGGAUGGCGAGGCUGAUCAUGUUACUGCCAUGGAGACAUCAAAGAUCACAAGGCUAAGGCAGAAACUGCCACAUUCACCCUGAAUAAGAUUUGUGAGGCCGCCCAGCCAAUUGCGGAUAUGAUAGAGCCCCCAGCUGAAGGUGUAGAGCCUCGUCCGCUAUCAGAGAUACUCAAGGAUGCGCUAGAGAAGGUUUCUGGCUAUAUUUAGAAGAUGACAAAGUCUAUCUCCCAGCAGGUCUUGAGCUUUGUGAAGUUUUUCUAUCCCUAGAUAAAUUUACAACCCGCUGUUGAAGGGAUGGUGUUAGACUGCUCGGAUGAGCAAUUCAAGGAGAUUAUGAGGGAGAUGGAUCCCAUCACUGAAGAAGUAGCCAAGCAGCUAGACCUUGAGUAGAUCUGGAGAUGAACAAACAUUAGUAUUUGUAUAAAGAACAACUAUCAAUGCUUGUAAUAUAUUGAAGCCUUUAUCCAAUUAUUUUCUUGCUUUGCAACUUGUUAUUUUUAGUGCCUCUCACAAUUAAUCUUGAUCGUUGCUUGUAUGAUUAAUGUGAGUGUCUGUGCACAAGGCUUCUUUUGUGAGCCUCAUCAGGUGCACAUUGUAGAGUACUUUAGGACACGUGUCCUUUUGUGGAGCACAAGUACUCGAGCUAUCUGGAUAGUAGAUUACUAGGCGAGUAGUCUCUUCAGGGUUUUGACAACUAGAGUCUAUCUUUACAACCUAUGUAAGUUGUAUUGAUGUUACGCUCUAGAAAGUCUGGAACUGCAGACUUGUUAUUACAAGCCGCAACUAGACAGAUUUGUCUGGUGAAUAGUCACUUAGGUAGUUAAUAAAUCUUGAGGUACUGAUGGCUUCUUUUUUGCAAGCCGCCAAGGGACAGAUUUGUCCAAUAAGUUAACUAACUCAUGAAGUUUAUUGCAGACUUGCUUUGCAUGCUGCAAUGGAUGGUUUUGUCUAAUGAGUUGAAUACUCAUUAGAAUUUUGCAGGCUCGUUAUUACAAUGUGUAUUUGCACGAUUUUGCCCACGGAGCUGAAUAGCUCAUUGGAGUUUUGCAGACUUGUUAUUACAAGCUGUGAUUGGGCGAUUUUACCUAGGGAGCUGAAUAGCUUAUUAGGGGUACUACGAACUUGCUUCUGCAAGCCGCGAUAAGGCAGAAAUAAGUAGUCAAAUUAUGAUGAAAAUAUGACUGCUUUAUUGAAUUGUAAAUCUACAACUAGGGCCGAUGGCCAAAAACAAGAAUAUGUAAAUCUAAAUUAAGGAUAAAAUCGACAGAGUUGGUUGAUGUUCCAUGAGUUGUCAACAUCUUUACAAAAGGGGUAUUGUAGACGAUAUGAUCUAGGUUCAGGGACCUUGGAGAUGAUGAAAGGCCCCUCCCAUGGUGAGUUGAGCUUGUGCAGCCCCUUGGUGUCUUGGAUACGCUUCAGGACCAUAUAGCCUACAUUGAAUGAACAUUCUUUGACAUUGCGAUCAUGAUAGUGAAGGACCGGAAAGGCAACUAAAGAUUUCCAAAGGUUUCUCUGAAAAUUUCCGCACGUUCGGAAUUUUUCGAAGGUUCCUCUAGAUUUUUCUGCACAGAGGUGUUGGUUUUACAAAGUUUGUCUUCCGGAGAUUUUCAGAAUUAUGUCCAGAGAUUUCCGGAAUUCCAAAACAGCCUGCGCAAAGAUGAUAGAAAAAUCCGAAACGGGGUCAAACGACCUUAAAAAAUUACAAAAUUUGAACCAUAACGUCACAACUUAGUAAAGAAGAUUAUCCUAAGAAAUCAUCCCCAAAAGAUGUGCCAAUCAAGAGGAAUUCAAAAUCUUGUGAAGAACUCUAUUUUCUCAACCCAAAAACUUGAAUCGACCUGAUCUAUGAACUCGUGAGGUUUCAAUCAAAUCCCUUCGGUGAAGGUUCAACUCACAUCCUAGUUGAUUUCCAAACAACCAGAUUGAUUCAAACACUCCUUACAAAACACGAAUCGACCAAAAAUGUGAGAGGGAAGAGAAGGGAGAAAACAAGAACGCGAAGAACACAAGUGAGAUUUGCACAAAGCCGUCAUCCCCAACACACGGAGGACACGAGAAGGUUAGGGCCUCCAUUCCCACAACAAACUUUGGUUCAAUACACAGAUUCAGUGUUCAAAAUAUCCGCGGACCUCUAGGGAGAGAGUAGAGAGAGAGAGAGAGAGGUAAAACCAAAUGAAACACUAGAGAGAGAGAGGUGGUGGUAGAGAGGUGGAAGAGGUGCUGAAAACUUCAGCCCCCCAUCUCUAUCUAUUGGCGCGGACAAAAGACCAAACUACCCCUAUAGCUACUACUAAGAUAACUACCCACGCAGGGGCAUUUUGGUCCAAGUUUUUGUGCGCUCAUCGAACGGACACGCCACCUUCACAACUUUGCUUCGCCUCGACGCAAGCUUCGCGAUGAUGCCACAUGUCCUCCUUCUCGAAGCUCUGGCCGCACCGGGCUCACCCCUGGUUUUGAGGCCCAAACCGGGAAACCUGCCAGCGUGGUGGUUUUGAUGCCCAAACCACCCAAACCGUCCAUCUUCGCUUGGCUGCCACGUGACCUCCUUGAUGUCAACGCGUGUCCAGUCUCCACCAAGCCUUUGACACCUCCAAGUCAUUCGCUCCCAGCUCCUGGGCCAUCUACUUGACUUGCCUCCAUCCCGCUUCACUCGACUGAUGCUAUCUCCAUCACUGUCAUGUUGUCUUGCUAUUCCGUGCACCAUGUGGACCGCCCAUGACUCUGCCUGGACUCCUCAGGUCCACUAGUCCAAGCCUACUCAUGUUCAUCCUUUACCGUCCUUGGUCCAUCGGCAUGAACCUUUCACUUGACCUUCACCGCACACCGUCGGCCGUCACACCGCAUCCUACACCUCCACAUCACAAGCCAAGAACAACAUCAAACCAACACAACAUUGUCAAUCACUCAUCAUCCAAGGGUGACUACCAUUGGUCCUCAGAUAGCGGCGGAUCCCUUCCAAGUACCUUGCGGACUGGACGAGUGUUGCACAGCGUGCUUCUUCGAGGCUGUCUAAUUCUAGACGUCUUGUUUCUUCUACUGUGCCUUCCUUGUACUACUCGAUUGUUGGAGGUUUCCACAUGACAUCGAUGGGUAGGAUAGCUUCAGAUCCGUAGACCAGGAAGUAGGAUGAUUGCCCUGUAGGCUUGCACAACUGGGUACGUAGCCCUCAGAGUACAUUGGGUAGCUCCUUGAGCCACUUGCCUCCCUUGGUGUUGGAGAUGUCAUGCAGUCUUUUCUUGAGAGCAUCUAGCACCAUCCCAUUGGCGCGCUCAACCUGGCCGUUGGCCCACGGAUGAGCAAUGGAGAUGUAUCAGACGUUGAUCCCACUAUUCUUGCAGAAUUCCCAGAACCCAUGGUUGUUGAAGUUUGAAUCCAGGUCUGUGAUUAUGUGAUUGGGGAAGCCGUAGCGAUGAACAAGCUCGUUGAGGAAGUCGAGUACCCUAUCUGCUUUGGGGUAGGUGACUUGCUUCACCUCGAUCCACUUGGUAAACUUGUCAAUGGUCACCAGAACUCAGUUAAACUCCCAGGUGCAGAUAGUACAGAGCCCAUCAUGUCAAGCCCCCAGCAUGCAAAGGGCCAAGAUGGUGGUAUGGUGAUCAGCUUGUAGGCAGGGACGUGUUGCUGCUUGGUGAAGAAUUGGCACCCUUGACAUCAGCGGACUAGUUCCUCGAUGCCAGCGAGAGGCGUAGGCCAAUAGAACCCUGAUAUGAGAGCCUUUUCCCACAAUUGUCCGUGAGGAUGCAUGGUUACCACAGAUGCCUUUGUGUAUCUCCUCCAGGAUAUCCUUACCGUCUUGCCAUGAGACACACUUCAUGAGCACCCCUGAUGAUGUGCCUCUUCUGUAUAGCUUGUUUCCGACUAGAAUAUAGUUCUUGUUACACCGUGAGACUUGUUCUAUCUCUUUCUUGUCUGAAGGUAGCUUGUGCUCUUUGAUGUAGUCAAUGAAGGGAGCGGUCCAGUCUACAUCGAUCAUCAUAACCUCCCAAUCUGGUGCAGUAGGAUCUUGAUCAGUGGUUGUUGAUGGUGGUGGCUCCAUUAUGGAUGGCUUGUGUAUCUCAUCGAUGAAAACUUCAACUGGAACUUGAGCGCGAGUAGACCCAAGCUUUGAUAGGACAUCUGCGGCAACGUUGUUGUCACGGACAACAUGGUGGAACUCCAAACAAGAGAGUUUAUUCUCUAGCUUGCGUACUCCUAGACAGUAUGCAUCCAUGUCCUCCUUAUGGUGGUACCACUUGUGGUUGACUUGAUUGAUCACCACCAGUGAGUCACCAUAGACCAACAAUUGCUUUAUUCCUAGAGAGACUGCUAGGCGAAGUCCAUGCAAAAGCGCCUUGUAUUUAGAUUCGUUGUUGGACACUUCCCAAAAGAUUUGUAGGAUGUACUUGAGUUGUUUGCCUUUGGGAGAUAUCAAGAGUACUCCUUCACCGGUGUCCUCGAGCUUGAGUGAUCCAUCAAAAUACAUGACCCAAUGUUUUGGACGCUCCGCUAGUGUUGGUAGUUGAUUCUCCCAUCACUCUUCCAUGAAAUCGACUAGGGCCUAGGACUUGAUUGCAGUCCUCGACUUGAAUUCUAGGGAUAAUGAACUGAGUUCUACCGCCCACUUAGAUAUUCUGUCUAUUUCUGAUUGUGGGGAGUUUCUCUAAGAGGAAAAUCUGUGAGGACAGAGAUCUUGUGCUCCUUGAAGUAAUGUCAUAACUUCCGCGAGGUGAGCAGUAUCGCAUACAAAAGCUUCUGGACUGGUGGAUAUCUAGUCUUGGAAUCUAACAGCACCUCACUUAUGAAGUAGACAGGCCUCUAUAUUUUGAAUACAUGGCUUGGUUCCGGUAUUUCAACCACAAUCGCCAUGCUGACAUUGUGAGUAGUCACGGUGAUGUAAAGCAGCAAGUCUUCAUUGGGGUUUGGUACCAUGAGGACCGGUGGCUUUGAUAGGAAGUCCUUCAAUUGUUGUAGGGCUUGAUCUGCCUCCUCAGUCCACUGAAACUUGUUAUUCUGCUUGAGUAGUUUGAAGAAGGGUAGGCCCCGUUCUCCAAGCCUUGAGAUCCACCAUGCAUCCAGUCAGCUUUUAUACGUCUUGAUGCCUGAUGGGGCAUGCAUAUUGAUGAUGGCAAAGAUCUUCUCGGGGUUAGCUUCAAUGCCUUGGUGACUAAUGAUGAACCCGAGUAAUUUCCCAGAAGGCACGCCGAAGAUGCAGUUUGUUGGGUUGAGCUUCCAUCGGAACUCUCGCAGACUUGUGAAAGUUUCUUCUAGAUCCGCAAUCAGGUCAUUGGGAUUUAUGGUCUUUACAACCACAUCAUCCACGUACGCCUCCACAUUGCAUUGUAGCUGUUUCUUGAAGCACUCUUUGAUUCCCAUUGAUAAGUAGCGUUUGCGCUCUUCAUCCUGAAAGACAUUGUUGUAUAGUAGAAAGCUCCAUAUGGGGUGAUGAACAUGUUCUUGAUAUGGUCUUCCUCCUUGAGAUCUAUCUGGUGAUACCCUAAGUAGCAAUCGAGGAAAUAGAGGAGGGCACAUCCAGCUGCAGAGUCGAUGACUUGAUCAAUCCUAGGGAGCCCGAAGGGAUCCUUUGGAUAGUGCUUGUUGAGGUCUAUGUAGUCGACACACAUCCUCCACUCAUUGUUGUUUUUCUUUUGCACUAGGAUAGGAUUGGCGAGCCACUCUAGAUGAUAGACUUCUUUUAUGAAAGCCCACCGUGAGUAGUUUGGCUAGCUCUUUCUUGAUGGCUUCCAUUAUGUCUUGGGAGAAUCAUCGUAGGCAUUGCCUUUUUGGUGUAGCUUUUGGAUUCACAUUGAGUGAGUGCUUGAUCAACUCCCUGGGCACCCCCGGCAUGUCUGCUGGUUUUCACAUGAAGAUAUCUCGGUUGGCCCGAAGGAAGCUAACGAGCGCGCUCUCCUAUUUAGGAUCCAGCCCUGCGCAAAUUAGGGCUAUCUUGGAGCUAUCACCAGUCUCAAGGUUAAUGGCUUUGACAUCUACUUCACUUGCCGGCUUGAGCUUGGUUGCUCCCGACUUCUUCUGCGGUAUCUCAAGCUCUGACAGGGAUAGCUUCUUGGAUGCGGUGAAGACUUGCAUCAUUGAGUUUGGAACUUGGGUAGUUGGUGCUAGCUCCACAGUUUAUGUGUCGCAGUCGUAUGACCUCUUUAAGUAUCCAUGAAGGGAGAAUACUUCCUUGGGUCCUGGCAUCUUGAGUACUAAGUACACAUAGUGCGGGAUGGCUAUGAAUUUGGCCAAUGCUAGUCUUCUGAGGAUGGCGUGGUACAAUAUUUUGAAGUCCGCCACCUCAAACCGAAUAUAUUAUAUCCGGUAGUGUUCUUUGGUCCCAAAGAUAACUAGCAAAAUCACUUGCCCGUAGAAUAUAGAGUUUAUUGGGGUGAGCAUAUCAGUGACGUUGAGGCCCACCUUCUUUAGUGUAUUAGCAAAUAGGACACUGAGACUGCUGCCACCGUCAAUGAGUAUUUUGGUAAGUCUGGAGUUAGCGAUAACCUGGUCCAGAACGAGGGGAUACCGUUUUGGGUCUGAGAAACUAGUCAUUGGUCCUUCCUGGAGAAGGUAAUUGGCAUCUCGGACCAUUUGAGGAAUGUUGGCGCCGCAGGUUCAAUGGGCAUUAUCUCUCGAAGAGUGAGCUUAUAGGAUCGCUUAGUAGCAGUACUCGGGGUUUUGCCGAAGAUGACGUUGACGGUGUUGGAUGGGUUCUGGAACUUGCCAUUGUCACCAUCGUCUUCGUCUUCCUCAGCCUUGCCCUUGUCUUUGGUGCCAGAUUGCUCUGGCAGGUCCUUCAUGACUCUGCGUAGACUGAAACAAUCUAACGUAGAGUGCUUGUGGUAUGGGUGCCAUGGGCACUAUUUCUGCAGAAGCUCAUUAAACGAGGGCUUGCCUUGGUUCUUGCCACCACCUUUCUUGGAUGACUGCAAGAUUGCCGCGACAAUAUUGUUUGGCUUGCGCUUGCGGUUCUAACUUCCAGAGUAGUUAUUUCUAUUGUCAUUGUUGGGGCGUUCGUUACAGUUCUUGUCAUUGCUUUGGCUAUUGUUGUGAUUGUUGUUGUUUUGGCCCUUAUUGCGAUUGGACUUGAACCUUUCAAUCUCCCUAUCUUCUUCAUCUGCCAACAUCUGUGCCAUGAUCUUGAGAGAUUUGACAUCAACAGGGCAUCUUCUACUGAAGUCUUGAAACAUCUGGCGGUCGCGAAGGCCGUUCCUGAAGUAGUCGAUGAUGUCGCAAUCUGUGACAUCCACGAUUGUGGCCUUUUUGUUGAGAAGAGAUGUAAGUAACUCCGCACGGUCUCGCCUUUGCUGUCGUCGUUUCCCUAGCUGAUUGUACUAAUAGCGAGUAGCAUCGGAGCCAUUGACCUGGGUCUUGCAUGCCAUUGUACUUGGUGAUGCCCGGGGGUUUGAACUUUUUGGGUAGAGUUGUCCUCCUCACAUGUCUGGAGAAGGUAGGGAAUCCAUCAGUAUCAUCCCCUAGAUUUUCGACUUCUUGCUUGCGCUCACGACGCCUUCCAUUGAUGAUGGUACGAGCAUCGUGGUUGGCGUAGAUUUUGUUGCGGAGGUCUCCUACUGGGCAUUCAGGCUCUGGGUUAGCCCCACGGUUGCAACGACCUCCCGAGGGUCCUGUCCAACUACCUUCAGCUCCAGCUUGGCUUGGUCUGGCACCUCUGAGUUGACUUGGUCUGGACGGAGGGCCUCUAUGGCUACUACCAUGUUGACUUCAUUGGGAUGCGGAGCAUUGGAUUGACUGUAUCGGACUUUGCUGAUCAAGUUUUUUGUACACGAGUUCUACCAGUUCAGCCAAUUGUCUAGUGUCCUUGUUCUGGGGAAUUGUGCGGGUGAUGAGGUCAAUAGACGUGACGGUAGCUAGGGGAGUACGAUGGUGACGCGUUUGAACUGCUUCAAAGGCAUUAUCCAGGUUCUAGAUUGGUAGGUCCACUGUAAGACGGCGACGGCGCUCUGCUGUUGCGGCGUCUCUUGCUUGUCGUCAAGUUCUUUGAGCUUCAGUCUCUUCUUUGACAACGUUGGUGGUGAGCUUAUCCUGCGAGACAUCAUCUGGGUGAUGCUCAUGUUGCAGGUUUCUAUCCCGUCGCUCUUCUUCUUCGCCCUCUAGUCCAGCAACGACGGUGAAGAGUUCUCGCAGUGGAGAGUAGCUUACCAAGUUUGAAGUGAUGACGUCCAUGGUGCCGCCUUCCUCGUAGAUGGGUGACAGAGGAGCUCCCUCCUGGUACAGAAGAGUGUCGAGGUAGGCGAUGAGGCGUGAAUUGUCGUCCUUGGCAAGAACGGGUGGCUUUAUGUUGGGUCAAUAGAUGAAUCUUCCUUGAGGAGUUGAUGUGAUUACCAGGCCUUGCUGCGGACCUAACAAAGGAGUCUCCUCAUCCAGAUCCGAGUAGUAGUGGAGGUCCUCAAUAGUAUCCGUAUCGGAUUGUGAUCUAGACAGGGCUGCCUGAUAAUCAAUGGUCGUGUUGCGGAGUGCGAACACGAAUUGACUAUGGUGGUAAUCUGACUCGCACGAUGGCUUAUGCGUCAGCUCAUGCAAGUCAAUCCGACUGGCGCAAGAAGUCAAGUUGUACUCGGACUCGUCCCCCCAGCCUCUGACUAGGUCAAAAAUUGAGAAUUCGCUGAAAUUCUCAACGAGAUCCUCUAGAGCUUGGCGCUGGAGCUUCAUAGUUUGCUGCUUCAUGGUGCGCUGACGUAAUGACUGGCUUGAUGAUGACUUGUUCCAUCGAGUUCACCAGUGGAUUCUCAGUGAGAUCCCCUACCUGACGCGCCAGCUGUUAGUGUUUAGACCCGGCAACCUACCGAGGGGGGUGCCUGAGGUAGUGUUUUGGUUGGUGGGGCUUGUCGAGAUCAGGAACUUGAAGGUAAAUGCAGAUACAUGACUUAGACAGGUUCGGGCCACUAGAUUGCAUAAUACCCUACGUCAUGUGUGUUGGUUGGAUUGAAUUUCCUUGGAGGGGGUCCCUGCCUCACCGUAUAUAGUAAGGGGCAGGGUUACAGGUCGGUUGGUUACAAGAAUACUAGUUGGAUAUGACUAAAAGAAUCCUACCCUAUUACAAUGAGUACUUUCCUAAUCCUUGACCAAUUCUUGUCUUUCCAUGUAGACUACGCCGUCCUGCGCCAUGGUCUCCAUGUCAGAUGCGUCUUGGUGUCCAGCCCCAUAUUUGGGUCUGUCCAAACCUUUUGGUGCGCCCAUAGAUGUAUGUACGAUAGCUUGAUCUGCCUUAUUUUGGAUCCUUAAGCAAAAACGAGCCUUUGGAGAGGGCAUCAAGUUUCCAGCAAGUGUCCUCCAAUAAUGCUAAUCGAAACUGUUGAAGCAACACGUGGUCAGGUAUGGAUAAGACUGGACAAAUCUCCAUAAGAGUAUAGAAACGAGCCUAUGCUGCGCCUAUCGAUUCCUCCUCUCGCUACUUGAGGCAAAGGACCUUAACUCGCAAAGAAGCGAUGCAGGAUAGAGGAAAGAGGAAGAAGCAAAAUCUAGCCCUCAACUCUUUCCAAUUAUCGAUCAUACUCUCUUCUAAGCGAAGGUACAACUUUCUCACUCUCCCUGAGAGGGAGAACGGGAAAAGGUUCCUCUUAAGAGCGUCUUGUGUCAAGCCGGAUAUUCUCUGGCAAGAGCACAAGUGCUCAAACUCUCGCAUGUGAUGGUAGGGGUUCUCAUAGCUUAUCCUCGAGAAGGAAUUUUCCUGAACCUGCUCUAUGAGUGAGGGAUGAAUGUUGUAGCCGGAUGUGGAAUUGUGUUCCCAAAAGGAUGGCUCUAAAGACUCACCCCGAAGGGUCAAAAGGUGUGUACGAGGAUAACCUUCCAUGGAUAAUGGGGGUAGAGGUAGAAAUAAAGAAAUGCAAAAAGAUACGAGGACCACUACAUUUGUAGAUAAAUAGCAAUGGUUCCCUGGCAAUAGCACCACAAAGCUUGUUGGUAUAAUUAACAAAUGCAAAUGACUUCGCAAGUGCACGGAUACCAUUGUAGCUUUCACCUCAGAGUAUUCCAAGGGUAACAGAUCUAGGGGAACGUGUGUGUAUAUCUAUGACUCUAGUAUCCAUGGACAACCAACCAACGAGAAGCGAAGGGCAGAGAGGAUUCCUAUGGAUAGCACUAGAUAAGUUAAAGGUCAAUCUAUUGGUCAAGGAACUCGCUUCGGGCACUAGCUUACCCUAAAUUACUUAGGCGCCUUCGGCCAAUGGCUCUACGCUAUAUCCAAACAUGGAGGAUUACAAAGGAUGGAUGUGGUUGUCACCACCUGCCGUCUACCUCUAGCAACCCGUGGGAUAUAUGGCAAAUGAAGGAUAACCCUUAGCCUAGACAUCACGUCUACGCCACUGAUUACUACUGCAAUCUAACUAGGUCUGUCGACCCAUAGCAGAUAUACAACACUCCGUAUAAAUAUGGAGCAACAAACCUAUGAGUAAGAGAAUUGAUCUCACUUAUAAAUAAGCACUAAACUAGAUAAGGAAUCACAAAUACUUACUUACUAAACUCAGAAGGAAGACAACAACCAUAGAGGUAUAUGGUCGGAGUAGACUGCUGAGGAACUCAGCACCCCUCCGAGCUACUCCCUCUCUCUCACCCUAUCCUAAGCACAAGCCUAAGCAGGGCUUUGCCAUGGAGCUCUUCUCUAGAUAGGAGUAGAGGCAAGUGGAGGUGAGGAAGGUGUUGGUGUUGGUGGGUGUUGUUGGUGUGUCUUGAAAUGAGACCCCUCCCCUUCUAUUUACAGGCUCUUGGGGUUAGUUCCAAGCAGAAAUAUUCAGGGAAUCUUCCACAACCACCUUUGGGACAUCAUCAACCACCGCCACAUGUCAGCUGAGGAUGAAAGGAGGCAAGUGUGGUUCAGCCAAACUAGGGGUUCAGCCGACCCCCAAUAACCACCUUUCACACCGCCUUGGCUUUGGGUCACUGCCCUGUGGGUCCUCAUGUGGGUACAGGGUGCUUGGCAAUGAAUGUAGUCGGUUUCCUUCAGAUUGUGGGCCCAUGGAUCCACGUGCUUGCUCCUAAUUGGAUGAGAGUGUGUUUCCUUGCUCUUGAGGUGUGUUUUCUCUUUUAAUGGACCUGCAUACAAAUGUUCAACAGCACUUGUAGAAUUCAUUAGUAAUAACUCCUACCACUACUGUUGAUGCUCAUCUUUUCUAUGUAUAUGCAGGAGUUAACGGCCUAGAUUUUGUACUUAAGAGCUGUCAGCAGCUAGAGAACUUCUCUCGUACAUCCAUGAGCAUCUCUGACAACGGAUAAGGCUCCACACCCUCAACUGGGGGCUCUAUCAUAUCAGCAAUUGGCUGGGCAGCUUCUCACAUCUUGUCCAAAGUAAACUUGGCCAUGAACGCUUCAGCCUCAUGAUCCUGGAUGGUCUUCAUGGCAUUGACAAGUUCAACUUCACCAUCUUCGUGCAUGUUCUUCUCUUUCUCCAGGUGAUACUCCAGGUUCUCAUAUUUCAAUACAAGCUUGUCGUGUUGAUCAGCUAUGCGUUAAUACGCAUUCUUCCAAUCUGUGAGCUGUCCCCGGAGAUCUUCAUUUGACUUCUCAAGAGCUGCACAGUAAGGCAGAAGAGGGUCAAAGUUCCAAACACAAUCAGUACUCGGAAAUCAAGAAGGAGAGCAAUUACCUUUAAUCCACUGGUUUAAUAUUUUGUUGUGCCGGCAGCUCCAUCAUAUUUCAUCAGCAGUAGGGAGGAGUACUCUUUCUCUUUGGCCAGUUCUCUUUCGAGGGCCUCACCACGAAGCACUGUGUCCCAUAGCCUUCAAGCAUUUGAGACAUAUGAUGGGAGCGCUUGAUAACAUCCUGCACCACAGAAUUAGUACUCAUGUUACAACAUGGGUACAAGCCAUAGGCUAUAUGUCAAUGGAACAAGUUAGAAAAGGCAUACCUCUGCAUAGUUGCUGAUGCAGCGGUGCAUGUCCAUCAUUCCAGCAACUGCAUCCGUCUACAGUAGAGGAUCCUCGAUCAACUGAGUGUCCUCUAGGCAAAUUCUUUCGGUCAAUAAAGGAUCUGCAUUAGCUUCAGCAUCAGCUAUGCCUUGUGGAACCAUGGCAAGACUAGUCGAUGGACCCAGUUUGAAAGGUAAAUGUGUGGCCAUCAUUUCCAAAGUUGUGGCCACCUCGACCUCCAUAGCUGGCUCGGGGGCUACAAGAGUAGCCACAUCGGGAGCCACAAAAAAUAGCCGCAUCAUCGACAGCAGCCACUACCUCUUCAUGUACUUGUUGCUCGAGGGUUGGCGGCACCACAUCUAUCGAAGAUGACAACACCUCGCGCAUGAGGGCUGCCACAAUAGAUAUAGCCAUUGGAGUAGAUGGUUUCUCCAUAGUUUGCUCUUGCGGCUGAUGGACUGGUUGGGCGAAGGCAACAUCUCAAGUUGAGUGGCCAUCACCAUCACCUGAAAGUCCGAAGCCAGGCCCUAACAGAUCCAUGUCCGAGGAUUCCCUGAACGAGAUAGAUUUUUAUCAAAUAGAAAGACAAUAUUGUUGGAGGUAUGCCCUAGAGGCAAUCAUAGAGAUGAUGAUAUUCCAUUUGUAUCCAUGAUUUGUAUAUUGUGUUCAUUGAAUAUCCAUUAAAGGCUACUUGAAUUGAUUUGCAAUUAUGUGAAUUGUAUGUGAAACUCUUUACUUGUAUGGUUAUUCUAAAGUUGUCCCUAGUCGGAGUUCAUGUGAGGACACACAUGAAUAUUAGACUAGCACAUGUAUUAGUUGAUGACUAUGUUUCACAAGUCAUGGAUAUGGAGAUGUUGAACUAAUAAUGUGGACACAUGUGGAGACAUGUGCUAGGACUGACCCAACACGAGAAGUAGUUCUCUCUUUAAACAACAUAUACGCUUUGUCCUUAGACCUGAGAUUGUCGCAUGUAUUCUAGAUGUGGAUCAACCUACUUAGGGGCUAUCAAACGCUACGCCGUAACAGGGUAGUUAUAAAGGUAGCUUUCGGGUUUGUCAAGAAGCAUGCUAUGAGACAUGGUCAAUCAAGAUGGGAUUUGCCCCUCUCUGAUUGAGAGUGAUAUCUCUGGGCCCCUCGAGUGAUCGGAUCCGAAAAUGCAUGGCCAUGCUACGUACGGUUAAGAGUUAACCUACAAAGGGAUUCCGAAUCACAGGAUCGAGAAAGAGCGGUCGGCUUGAAGCUAGACCAAAUAUCGUGAGGCAAAGGGAAUAGCAUGUAUAUUAUGUUGUGUUGGUUCGUCUGAUAUGAUCUUCGUGUGCGUAUAGGAGUUGGCACGUCUUGCUAGAGGCCGCUACCGACUAUUGGGCCGAGUAGGAGUACUCGGGCCAUGUCUAUACGUAUCCGAACCCAUAGGGUCACACACUUAAGGGGCUGGAAGCCCAAUUCGGAUCUGAUCCGAGUUGGAUUAGGUUUAGAAGUACUAAUGGGCCUCGGAUCCAGAGGCCCGUCAGGAACCUCUAUAAAUAGAGGGGUGGGGGCGCCCUAGGGUUCACACCUUUUGGCGAAACACACCUGCCGCGCCUCCCACGCCCUCGCCUGUUGCAACUCACGGAUCUAGCAGUCCGGCUUGCGACGCUUCCUCCCUGCACGUGUGGAUACCUUGGAGGUGUUGCGCCUGCAGCACUUGGACGAGCCGCCCACGAGCCACCGACGAGCCACCGAUGAGCCACGACGAGCCGACGACGAGCCGCGACAACGGAGGCGAUCUUGCUGCAUGUGGACGAGCUGCUGAGGAGCUGCUGGACGUGAUCGACUACGUACGACUACGUGAUCGUCUUCACUGCAUCGACGCAUGUCUACAUCUUCCGCACCAGUAGUGCGUCGAGUGGUAAUCCCGUGAUCCUUAUACGGCAGUUCUUCCUGGUUAUACGCGGUAGAAUUUUUGAAUUGCGCUAGUGUAGCCUACCUCGUAUUCCAACAAAUAUAGAGUUUCGAUAAGUACUCAAUGGGGAAGCAAGAACUACCUUGUAGAUCUCCUCAACUUCAAAGUAGGUUCUCCCGUAAAGCACAGAGGUUUGUUGGUAGCAGAUGGUGCCUUUGGCAUUGCUUGAAUGGUCGCAGUUAGAUCCUCGCCGUUCGAGUUGUUCUUGCACCGGCAGGAUCCACCACUAGUCAAGAUGUGUUGCUAUCAUCAACAACUUUGAGCUCCGGAUCAUCUUCGACAUUGAUCACCUCAUCAGUGAUUGGCAAUUUUUCUUGUGCAGCCAAAGCAGCUGCCUUUUCAGCAUCUAUCUCUGGCUCGAGUACUUGCAGUCGACCAGUGUUAUCCUGAGUAGACACUGUAGUGACAUUGGAAACAUCCUUUGGGAGUACAUGAUAAUCAGGAUCUUGUCCUUCCUCAUAGGUAAUUACUUUGGGAGGCACAUCAUCUGCAGAGACAUAUUUCUUCACAACCAACAUCACAAUGAUGGUCUGCAUUUUCUUCGACAGCAACGGGAUCGUGACUUCAACCUCCUCUGUAGCAGAGCGUUUCUUCACUCCGGAGGAAGGUCCAACCAUAGCAGACAGCCGAGCCAUGACUUCAUAUUGCUCCGCGACAUUGGAACAAGUGCCAAUGGAGGACUCUACCACAUCCUCUUCCUCAUGAUUACCUCUCAUAACUUCCCAUGUAAACAUGCGUGGAGCAGCUUCAUAGGCAUCCUCAGAUCCAGGGGGUGGAGGAGCGGAAAAAUAUAAAUCAACAUCUUCCUGCAUAUAAGAACAAGUCAGCAGAACAAUAAUCUCCAAAUUGGUACUUAGGGGCUAUGGCCAUGAGUACUUACAUGCUUUGGUGGGCAUGAGGCGCUGAAUUCGCCCGAGCCUAAUUAUGAUCUCAUCCGCACUAAUGUCAUCUCGGGAGAACCUAGAUGGAUCAUUAGGGCUGGUGUACUCAUAACCAUAGUGACAUCACUGCUGUAGAGGCUAGAUGUGAUGCUUCAUGAAGCUAAAUGCUACACCAAUUCCAAUGAGCCCUUGCUGCUUCAACUUGGAAAUCAUGUCGAUCAGCUCGUGUAGUUGGAGGCAAUCUCCGUGCUUUGAUUCAUCAAGCCACCAGUUAUUCCAAGAGGGUUGGUGGCCUGUCAGUUUGGGUAAUUUCACAUCAUGUUUGCCAAUAUAGCACCACUUCUCUUUCCACCCUACAUUGGAAUCUAUCAAUUCGUAGUCUAGAUACUGACUACUCAUUGUUUCCCGCAUCUGGAUCCUGGCGCCUCCGACCAAAAGUGUGUGAUCCUUUGAGGGCUGCGGUUUGACAUGGAAAAGUUUCCGAAACAACUAAAAAUGGGGCUUGAUUUGUAGAAACGCUUCACAGAAGUUCACAAAAAUUGCAGUGUGGAAAAUGCCAUCGGGAUUCAAAUGGACCAAUUCCAACUUGUAAUAAUCAAGAAGGUCCCGGAAGAAAUUGGAGGUGGGCAAUCCAAGACCUCGCUCGAUGAAGUGAGGGAAGAUCACCAUCUCAUUUGGGUAUGAUUCCAGUGGACAAGCAUCUCCGAGGGCAGAUCUCUAGUGAACAAUGCUCUGCUCUUGCAAUAGCUUCAUGGCAACAAGCGCCUUAAUGUCUUCCUCUGUUGUUUUCGACCGCUUCUAGGCAACAACAGCAUUGGAAGGUGCAGUCUUAUUGGUCUUUCCAUACUUGGGCGCUGGCAACUAAAGUUCCUUUUUCUUGUUAGAUCUCUUCUUCUUCUCACCUUCGGCCAGUUUGGAUGCGGCAGUCUUUCUCCCCAUCCUCGAUGUCAGAAGUGUCUUCAGUUGCAUACACUCAGGGGCUGAGAAAGUGGUCGGAGACGGCAGCGCUUGCACUCGGAGAUCAGGAAGUAACAGCGGUGCUAGGGCUACAGUGUGGAAGAUGAAAGGGUGAAUGGCAAAGGUAAGACGGAAGGGAUAACUUCCACUGUUAUUUAUAAUAGCGGCACAGUAAAAAUUGGGCAAUAGAUGUUUUUUGACUUAAGGGAUUUUUUGAAAAUUGGCAACAGAUUGAGGGAUACCUUUAUUUCGAGAAGAGAUAAGGAUAUUCCAAUAGAUGGUCACGUUGACCAAGUUUGACCCUUAUGCCAACCAAACUAGUCAGCUAAAGAGGCGGAGGCUGCGUGCCAUGUGUCCAUCAACAAAAAAGUUUUUCUUUUGGGUUUUAAGGGGAAAGUGAAGCAAAUUAUAUAUUGACUCUGAGCCUCAUUCUUCGAUUCAACCUAAGGCUCAGGGGCUACUCCAUAUGGAGUGCGAUUUUUGUCGCACUACAAUGCAAGUUUCAAGGUUGAAGACCAUGAGUUCAAGAUAAAUGGGGCUGGAGCACAUUCUAGCCUCAUGGCAGUUUUUGAGCACCUUCGAAGAUUCGGCCGAACAAAGUACUCGAAGUAGUCAGUGAAGAUCAACAAAAAGUACUCAGAAUUGCUGCAUUCGACUAAAAUGUACUCGGGAGCUUGUCAUACAUACAUCUAUGGGCCCACUAGAAGGUUUGCACAGUCCCAAAUAUGGUGCUGGACAAUGAGACGCAUCUGACAUGGAGACCAUGGCGCAAGGCAGAAUGAUCUACAUGGACAGACAGGAACUAGUCCAGGAUUAGGAAAGUACUCAUUGUAAUAUAGUAGGACUUGUCAUAUCCGACUAGUAUUCUUGUAACCAACCGACCUGUAACCCAGCCCCCGUGUAUAUAAGGCGAGGCAAGGACCCUCCUCCAAAGCAAUCCAAUACAACCAACACACAGGCCCUAGGGUAUUACACAAUUCAGUGGCCCAUAAUUGUCUAAAUCAUGUGUCUGCAUUUACCUUCGAGUUUCAGAUCUCAAUGAGCCCCAACAACCAAAACACUACCUUGGGCACCCCCCUCAGUAGGUUGCCGAGUAUAAACACUGACAGUGAUGUCAGCUUUGGGGCGGGAUUGUUAGCAGUAAGGGGCUUGGACGGGGUGUCAGAAGGAGCAGCGGUGGGGUAGGGAUUUGACGAGACAGACAUGGGGAGGAGCUCUAAUGGGGUGGAGGUGGUGACAUCUUCAUGGAUGACAAAUCAAUGCAGCCAAUCACGCAGAGGCACCAUUGCUCCCGCCACUGCCGCAAAGAGGUGCGCGGCCAAGACAGAUGGUUGAUUGGAGGAAGGGCAAAAAGGUAAUUGCAUUGUUUCCUUAUUUUUUUCAAAACUGUGCGGAACGACAUGUAUUUUGAUAUGGAGUAUAUAGUGACUUGAGAAAUGUAUUCAAAUUUUUCUCUUGUCGCAACAUACUCCCUCAAUCCCAAAAUUGUUGACACCAGUUUUUGACUAGAGUCAACCGAUGAGGAUAAGGUUCUGACAGCCGAUGAACUUGCAGAAGAAAACUCUGUUGACACCUGACGUUGACCAAGGCCAACCACGGAUGACCAUAUUCUAGAAACCGAUAGCAGACUAGGAGGAAUCCGAUUCAAAGCAAAAUCGACUCCACCAAAUAAGGGAAAGUGUUGAGAUUUAUCUUUAUUAGUUUUUAGAAUCAUUGUAACGGUUCAUAUCGUAACCGAUUAGGAUUUUAGCUUGCUCUAGGGUAUAAAUACAAACCCAUGAGCUUUGUAUUGAACAAUUGUCAAUCAAUCAAUACAACCUUUACUUUUUUGGCGCCACGCCACCAAACCCUAGGAGUAGGAGUAGAGUAGAAACCGACGAGUUUCUUCUUGCACGCAGGGCUGCAUCGGAUUCGAUCUCAGGCGAGCUUGUAAGUACCAUCACCUGGUCAUUACGUUAUCUAUAUUAGUCAUUAGAACUUUCUAGGCUUCAUCCAAUAUUCUAAUCUCUUAGUGUAAGGCUAGUUAUCGAGUUGCUUAGAAUCAGACAUAACUUUUUAGGCUUUGUCUAAUAUUCUUUUUGUCUUUGAAGUGCUCAUAGUUAUCAAAUGGCUUAGAUCUGAUUAGGUUGUUCUCAUCGGCUUCUUGAUCUUGUUUAAGCAUUCACCAGUUAUCUAAUCGUAUCAGCUUGUUUGAUCUUGCAUGCCCCUCAAAUCACUAGCCUUUGGAUCUUUAACGUCAGACUACUACUGUUGAGCCAAUAAUGUCUUAGUUGGGUCCAAUCCAUCCAUCUCAGUAGUAUCAUGAUGUCACCGAGCUGAUGGCUAUGCGUGCGAGGUCUUGUUGCCAUGUUGUAGUCUUUUAGGUUAAUGAAUCGAAGUUAAUGCCCUCUUAGCCAUACUGCCUUGGUUAAGUCCAAUCUAUCGGCUCACGAUAUUAAUUAGAUAUGUUAGUUUAAUUGAUGAGCACAUGGUAGACAAGUCAUUUUUUAAUGGCUGUUGUUUUAUCCUGUAUCUAUCUUAGCAUGUCAGCUCAUAUGGCCGAUGGCAUAUGCCAUUAAUGUUUCUAUUUAUUUACCCUACAUGAUUACACUAAAAACCUGACUUUAAUGGUGUUUAUUCAAAGUAACGCCUACCCAUGAGCUUGAAGGCUUCGCCACCUAUUGUCUCAGGAAUUUAAUGUUUUCCUUGUCAAUUAUAGGUCAAAUUGACUAGCACGCCUUGCACCUUCACGAGCCAAUUUGGAGCCUGCACUAGAGUUAAGCAUAUCUCCCACGUCGUCCGUGUUGUUAACGUAGAAACCUGAAGCCCAGAUUUUGUAGCAACACGCUCUUGGCAUGCCCGGUGGGACCAACAUCAAACACUAAGCCGAUCCAAGCAGUCGGCUCAUCAAAGGAAGUCCUAAUAGAUGCUGCGACUAUUGACAUUGAAGGAAAGUUAGGACAAGGUUUUACGUCGGCUCACCUUUUGGAAGAGAAUUAUAUAGGUCCAGGUGAUAGGCCAAGGCCGAUGUUUAUACGUUCCAAGUUAUGUUCUGAGUUUCAACAAAAGUUAAUAGAGUUAUUGAAAGAAUAUCGAGACUGUUUUGCUUGAGAAUACUAUGAAAUGCCACGGUUAAGCUGGUCCAUCGUAGAACAUCGGCUACCUAUUAAGCCGGGCUAUCGGCCAUUCAAACAACAAGCUAGAAGAUUCAAAGUGGAGCUAUUAGAAGGCAUUAAGGCCGAAAUCACCCAGUUAUAUGAAGCUAAAUUCAUCAGACCCUGCCGGUAUGCAGAGUGGGUUUCAAACAUUGUUCUCGUUAUCAAAAAGAAUGGAAAGUUGAGAGCUUGUGUAGAUUUUUGCAAUCUAAAUAGAGCUAUGCCAAAGGAUGAGUACCCCAUGCUUGUUGCCGAAAUGCAGCAUCAGGUCAUAAGAUUUUGAGUUUUAUGGAUGGAAACGCGAGAUACAAUCAGAUAUUGAUGGCAGAAGAAGAUAGUCCAAAGACUGUGUUUCGAUGUCUUGGAGCUCUUGGACUUUAUGAGUGGGUGGUCAUGACAUUUGGUUUGAAGAAUACUGGUGCGACCUAUCAAUGAGUUAUGAAUUAUAUCUUUCAUAGUCUCGUCGGCAUAAUUGUGGAGAUCUAUAUCAAUAAUGUAGUGGUAAAGUCUAAAUCCCCUAAAGAGGAUCUGGCUGAUCUACACAAAACAUUGGAAUGCACAAGGAAGCAUGGUUUAAAGAUGAAUCCAAACAAGUGUGGUUUCGGUGUAUUGGUUAGAGAAUUCUUAAGCUUUAUGGUACACGACAGAGGAAUCGAAGUUGGCCAAAGGAGUAUCAAAGGUAUCAACACUACUGUUCUGCCAACAAACAAGACAGAGUUGCAAUCUUUGAUUGGGAAGGUUAACUUUAUCAGGAGGUUCAUAUCUAACUUACCAACAUGUAUUGAACCAUUCAUGCCAUUAUUGAAGUUAAAGCCUGAUCAAGAGUUUGUUUAGGGAGAAAAGCAACAAGUUGUCCUUUAUGAAAUCAAGAAAUACCUAAAAUCACCACCGGUCCUGAUUGUGCCACAAGCAGAUCGACUAUUCAAGUUGUACUUAUCGGCUGAUGAACAGGCGAUCGGAUCGGUUUGGUUCAAGAAGUUGAUGGGAAAGAAUGGGUGGUCUUUUAUUUAAGCAGAAGGCUUUUAGAUACGGAAACUAGGUAUCCAACAGUUGAAAAAUUAUGUCUAUGCUUGUAUUUUUCGUGCACCAAGCUACGCCAUUAUUUGUUGACCUCUGAGUGCAUGGUGGUAUGCAAAGCCGAUGUUGUAAAAUAUAUGCUGUCAGCCCCCAUCAUGAAAGGAAGGUUAGGCAAAUGGAUUUUAGAACUAAUAGAAUUUGACUUACGAUAUGAAUUGGCUAAAGCUGUUGAGGCACAAGCUGUGGCUGAUUUUAUCGUACAUCAUCAGGAUGAGUUAGUAGACAUGACUGAACUUGUUCCUUGGGUUUUAUUCUUUGAUGGAUCAUCAUGUGACAAAGGAUGUGGUGUCCGCUUAUACAUAGUGUCACCUCGGGAGGCAACGUUCGAAUGUGCCUUUCCAUUCAAGAAAUCGUUGACCAAGAAUCAGAUUGAGUAUGAGGCAAUGCUGAAAGGACUAAAAGAAGAAAGAGCCGACAUCAUUGAGAUUUUUGGUUGCACAUGUAUUGGCAAAUAAGUGAUUUCAGGGAUACAAAUCUAUACAGAAAUAGAAACUUGCACAAACACCAGAGAAACACACUGAAGAUCAUUCUCCGCAAAGCACGAAUACCAAAGAGGGUUCACAUGCCAGAGCAAACCAGCCCGAACUAGCAUGGGUCCAUGAGGAUCAACACCAAGGCCCAAAGGAUGGCCCACCUGGCAAAGGCGGUGGUGACGCGGCUUGCCUAAGGGUUUGCCGAACUUGGACAGUGCCCCCUCAUCCCUUUCUUCCACGUCGCGGUCGCUGGUGGACUCUUGAAGGUGGUGGGAGAAGAUUCCCUGGAGAUACCUCCUGGGAACCACCCUCAACUACCUAGAAGAGGAGGAGACCACCCCUCUCACACACACCACACACUUGAAGCCUCUCUCCCUCUCUCUCUUGCUACUCUUGUAAUCCUUAGGCUAGUGGAGCUAGGCUAGAGUUUAAAUUCUAGUAGUGCUAAGCUAUUCUUCAGGUCGGUUGGAGAUGUAACCUCCGGCUCUUGGUAUGGCUUUGUAUUCAACUUGUCGGUGUUCUACCUAUAAAGAGUUUGGUUGUGACUAAGGAAUAGCCAUUGCUUAUACAGGCUAAGUUGUCUUUGUUUUAUGCUGAUGGAUGAAAAUAGGGUAGUGUAUGACCGGUUUUGACUUGUCGACCAACUUCGUCGAGAAUCUGGAGUGUCUUGUGAGAAGAGUCCAACCUCGCAUCAUCCCUCCUUAGAUCGCUCUUUCGGCAACUGAACCAUUCAUUCCAGCACCAUCCACUCCUAAGGCUAUGGCUGAAAAGACUCUUUGUGAGUUCUCCAUCCCCUCCACCAACAACGUGAACUUCGAGCUGAAGACGAACCUCAUCAACAUGGUGCAGGCUAGCCCCUUCUAUGGCAAGCCGAACGAGGAUGCAAAUACUCAUCUCCAACACUUCCUUGGCCUUUGUGACAUGGUCACAAUGAGAGGAGUCACCCAAGAUGCCAUUAGACUUUGCCUAUUCCCGUUCUCCCUCAUCGGGAGAGAAAAACAGUGGUUCAUCAAGGACAAGGAUGCUGUCAACACAUGGGCAAAGUGCUCCACGGCGUUCCUCGCUAAAUUCUUCCUGUUGGGCAAAACCAAUGCCCUACGUGGAGAAUUUUCAGCUUCCAGCAGUCAAGCAUGGAGACGAUCCCAGAGGCGUGGGAGAGGCUGUAAGAAUAUAUCCUUGCUUGCCCACACCGCAGGAUGGAUGACUGGCCCAUCCUCCAAAGCUUCUAGAAUAGGCUAACCAUGUUAGCACGAGCCCAUCUUAAUGCUGCUGUUGGAGGAGCCUUCCUUGACCUCACUAUUACCAGAGCUACGGCUCUAGUCGAGAAGAUGGUCUCCAAUCAGGGGUGGAGUGAAGAAUGACUCAAACCUCGUACGCGGGGCAUGCACACUGUCAAAGAGACGGACAUGCUAGCCACUAAGCUAGAUCUCUUGCUCAAGCGUAUGGACGAACGGGAGAAAUCUCAAGAACUUAUGCUCAAGCCUGUUCAAGCCGUGGACUCGCACCUCACGUGCAAGGUCUGCGAAAAUGGAGGACACUCGGGGAGCAACUGGCCUGAGACCCGUGAAGACAUCGCUUACAUGACAAACAAUAAUAACGAGUACCGUCCUCAAGGAGGUCAAGGGUGGAACCAGUCGCUCCCCACACUACCAGGGAGGUAACAAUAAUUAUAAUUCAAACCAAGCUUAGAUUAAUGAAUCUCUGUCUAAAAAGCUUGCUGCCAAUGAUAAGACCUUGGAAAGCAUAAACGUAAAAAUUGAAAGUCUUUCCUCCGCAUUUAAAAAUCAAGUGAGCUUUAAUAAAAUGAUCGAAACCCAAUUAGCUCAAAUUCCUUGUUGUUCCUUCCAAAGUAAAUGCGGUGACCACGAGGGGUGGUAAGUCCACUCAUGAUCCACCGUACCCUAACCAUGCAGGGAAGGAAAAAGCACAUAAGGAACCAGCAGAGGAAGAGGAGCUGGUAAUUCUGGAAGACAACAGGGAACCUAAAAUGGAAUCGACCCUGCAAGAUUUCGUAGAUACGAGCUUCUUGCCGUUUUCUACUCACAGCCGGAAGAUGGCUAUGGAUGAGCAGUUUGCUCGUUUUGUUGAAAUGAUCCAGAAGAUACAUGUCAAUGUCCCCUUGUUGGAUGUGAUGCAUGUACCAAUGUACGCAUGGUACAUCAAGGACAUCAUCAACAGCAAGAGACCUCUGCCCACCACUAAAGUCAUCAAGCUCAUGGAAGAGUGUAGUGCGGCUAUACUCAACCGAGUCUUAGGAAAGAAGAAAGAUCUGGGGUGUCCCAUGAUCACAUGCUCGAUCAGGACACACCACUUCGACCACACCCUAUCGACCUUGGGGCUAGCGUUAGCGUGAUGCCCAAGGUCAUCUUCGACCAGCUGAACGUCAUGCACCUAUCGCCCACAUUGAUGCAUCUCCAGCUAGCUGACUCUUCGGUCCGCUAUCUGGCAGGGAUUGCAAAAGACAUUGCAGUGAAAACCCGGGACUACUUCAUUCAUGUCGACUUUGUGGUGCUUGACAUGGAAAAAACAAAAGAGAAGCCUCUCAUUCUUUGGCAACCAUUCCUAAGCACAGCCAAAGCACACAUUGAUGUUGAAGCUGGAGAAAUCCGCUUCAACAGUAAUGGCAAAGAGGAGAAGUUCAACUUCCGUCCCAAGUAGGAACAAUGCUCUAUGAUCAAGAUCAAGUACGGACCGAAUCCACAAGGCAUCGAUGAAGUCAAAGUAACACCUCAUAAGACAGAUAGCCUCAUCCCAUUCAUGAAAGCUUUCACGAAGAAGGAAGAGCAAAGAAUGGACAAAAGUCUGCGGUUAUGGAAGAACCAGGCCCCGAAGUCCAAAAAGAAACCAGCCACACCUCCAGCCACAAAACCAAAGAAACCUCAGAAGGUAUGGAGGGUGAAGGACAUACAGUCAUCCAUGUCUUCUUGUCCUAUACCGGAUGCCCCAUCCACAAGCUGAAAGGCUAUGGAGGAAGUCCCGCUCAAAGGACUUAAAAUGGUGAGCCCUUGCUGAAGGUAAAUCGGUAGUUAUCUCAAAUUUGAACUUUCAAAAUUUGGAUUUCCUUUAUUUGGUUUUUCCAAAUUGCAUUUGCAUGCUAGAAUUUAUUUUAGCCCCUUUUCCCUUUCAUAAAAGUUUCUCUUAAAAUUCAAAAACAAUAAAAUGACUUGAGCAAAAUACUUUGAAAAAUUAUUUUUGAGCAUGUCUGAGAAAACUUUCAUCGGGCCUCCCCACUAUGUCACCGUAUGACUGUUGGGAGUCGUGGGCCAAAGCUGGUAGUCAGGGGGGCCUACUAGGGGUUGGCCGAACCAGACCCAAUGGCUCCUAGGCCCCACCGACUCCAAUGGCUCCUAGCCGUUGCCCUUGGUCAGUUCCCAAAGGGCCUGCAGUUUUUCAAGUUUGCUACAUAGCAGCUUCGUAGCUCGGCACGUCUAUGGUGAGACCAUUUGUCGGGCAUGCACCCCAGGCCCACGAGUAGACCUUGGAUAGCCCACUAAGGGGCGUACUCGGACAUGAUCAGAACAAGGGAUAGGCGUAUCCCAGUCGGACUAGUCAAGUAUGUAUAUGGAAAACUACUCGGGCCUUACCGAGUAGAACUCUGUACCAGUACUCGACUAGGACUCAGACUUGUAACCCUGCCCUCCCGUGUAUAUAAGGGCGAGCAGGGACCCCCCCUCAACAACAACUCCAGUUCAUCAAUACAAACCAACACACAUGACGUAGGGUAUUACACGAUCUAGUGGCCCGAACCUAUCUAAAUCGUGUUCCUUGCGUCACCAUUGAUUCCUUGAUUCUCGACGAUCCUUACCACACAAAAGACCACCUAAGGUACCCCCUAGGCGGGUUGCCGGACUAAAACAUCGACAGCUGGCGCACCAGGUAGGGGAACUCGUCGAGUUUCUCAGCGUGAACUCAAUGGCAAAGGUCAUCAUCAAGCCCAUUUUCUUCAUCGAAGCGGGCACCACCUUCGUUUUCGGAUCCUGGCUUUGCAUCGCCGAUGGCUCGGGUUCGUUCUGACACUAGAUCAUCAAUGCUCAGGAGAAGAAAUCAGAAGAUCUGAUCAGAAAAAACUAAGGUUUCAAAAUUGACGAGUUCGAAUUCGACUACGCAUCGGAUGUGACUUCGCUUCGGACUAGUCGGUCCCAGCUAGUGCCCAAGUCGGUUUCGAUUUCAAAGCGGUUCCCGCACGGACUCCGCAACACAACCAGAGUUCACCAAGGCUUUCUUACUUGAACCCAACUUGAACUCGGGCACGAUGAAGACAUCGACUCCGACUCGUCUUAUUCGCCAGAGAUACCAUUAUCUGGUCCAGCCCAAGGAUUGGUAAUAACUUCAACAUCACAAGGCAGAUUUGUCCACUGGCCAGGAUUGCGACCAUCUCUUCUUGACCGCGACUACGACUCGCGCCUUGUCGCCCAUAUAGACAACCUCCCAUAUCAAGAAGGCGUUCCACUCACUUCCAACCGCGAGGAAAGGUCCACAGAGAUAGCAACGUCAAGCUCCGGAAGCUACUACCCGGACAGGGAGAUACUUGUUAUUACUCAGAAUAACAACCUGGGUACUAGCCAGAACAGAACCCCCAGGCGAUUAGCACAACUCGACAACACCUCCAAAGAUGAGUCUACAGCUGACGCCCCUCACAAUGAAACCUCCAAGCAAAGAAACCAAAGAACGACGCGCAACGCUACUCGAGCCGAGCGACGGUAGUCGAUGGCUACAAAUAUUCCCAUUACAAAUCUUGAAAGGGCCUUCAACGCAGUUCAGGCUCAGGAGCACAAUACCCCACUCGUGGCUAUCACCUCAAUCAACCUUUUAACAACGUUGAUGCCUCAGGAUAGGGAUAACGAAGCCACAGCUCAACUCGUGCAGCGCAGCAACGGACUGAUCGCACAACUCGCGGAGCAAACCUACAAGUUACUCGACAAAGAAUCACCGAUUCCAUCUGUUCCUCGCAUCACAGUUCACCAAGAAGGCAGCCGGGGAGCUGCAAACAACAACAAUGCCCCAAGAAACGGCAAUGAAGUUAACCAACCUCGGCAACACAGCCAAGGUCCAAGCAAGCACAAGGCCCUAGCUCGCCAUAAGGAUGUUGGCGAGGUCAGUUGCACCAACUCGGUUAAAAGUUUUCACCCCACUCAGAAGAACCACGAAGCAUCCAACUUUAGUGAUCUGCGAGAAAUCCUCAACAGUCGGCGCGAGCGAGAAGUCGACAACUACAACCACUUUCCUGCUUUCACAAACCGGGUAAUGAAACAAAACUACCCGAGAAGUUCAAGCCAACUGGAAUCACCAAGUAUGAUGGCAAACAAGAUCCAAUUCAAUGGCUACGAUGCUACUCGCUAGCCGUCCAAGCAGCCGGGGGCAAUAACGACACCAAAGUUAUUCACUUUCCCAUAUGUAUGGAACCCGCACCACUGACCUGGCUUGAGUCACUCAAACCCAAGUCCAUUGACUCAUGGGCAGAUUUGACAAAGGCUUUCACCAACAACUUCGCCGGCUCCAUGGCUAGACCAGGCAACAAGAUUGACUUAGGUCAAAUGAAGCAAAAGGAAGGUGAGACCUUACGCGACUAUUUGCGACGUUUUUCCGAAAAGAAGGCUACCAUAGUUGACAUCUCAAAAACAGACGUCAUUGAGUGCUUCCAGAAUGGACUCUACGAUCGACGAACGUACCAAGACUUCGGUCGCUGAUGACCAGCUAAUGUCAAAGACCUCAAAGUCAUGGUACAACAGUAGGCAGAUGAAGAAGCUAAAGAGCGAGAAUGGUUCGGCUCCCACCGUAACUGUGGACGCGACAGCAACAAUGACCAAGAUAGAACUCGAAAUAAUGAUACUCGUAACAACUAUUCGAGUAAUCAUGACCGCAAAAGGAAGCCCGACAACACCGUCGCUGCCAUGACCAACUCUGGGAAAAAGGGACCCCGUAAAAACGAUGAAGGGCCAACCUUCACUGAACUACUCAAAAAGCAGUGCCCAUGGCACCCGACUAGCAAGCACUCGGCAAUAGACUGCUACAGCAUGCGCCGAGUCAUGCAAGACUUACCCGCACCACCACCUCAUGAAGAGUACACCAAGAAAAAAGAUAAGGGCAAGAACAAAGUCCACAAUGAUGAAGACGAAGAAGGCGACUUCUAGACUGCCUCAAAAACUGUCAACGUCAUAUUCGGCAUUAUUCCAGGCACCGCAUCCAAGAGAGCCAACAAACUCGCACUUAGGGAAAUCAUGGCCAUUGAACCAAUGGAUCCAACACCCUUAAAAUGGUCCGAAGUGCCAAUUUCUUUUAGCAGAAAAGACCAAUGGACCAAGUCCUCAGAACCAGGUCGUUCCCCCCUAGUACUUGAUCCGGUUGUGGCAGGCUCAAAGUUAACCAAAGUACUCAUCGACAGCGGAAGUGGACUCAACGUUAUUUUUGCCAAGACAUUGAGGAAGAUGUGCCUUGACGUCACUGAAAUGCUUACUCCAAUAGAUUCACCUUUCUACGGCAUCGUGCCUGGAAAUGCGGCUAUACCACUAGGACAAGUUGUCCUUCCAGUUACCUUCGGAACUAAGGAACAUUACCAUACCGAGUACAUUAGAUUUGAAGUCGCCGACUUCGAGACAUCUUACCAUGCUAUACUCGGAAGGCUAGCACUCGCCAAGUUCAUGGCCAUACCACAUUAUGUUUACCUGGUACUCAAAAUGCCAGGCCCCAAGGGAGAACUCACGCUGCGAAGAGAUCUACGGCGAUCCUACGAAUGCGACACUGAAGCCGUGGAAAUUGCUGCGACUACUCAAGCACCUAGUCCCAUGCAACAAGUCUUCACAGCUUCAAAGAAGCUCCACCCAACCAAACUAGAGAUCCCAGAAAACAAGUCAGGGCCCACAAAGGUGAAACCCGACCCGCCAGUGAGCAAGACUUCAAAGCAGUCGACCUCCAGACGGGCGACCCUUCCAAGACGGCACUGAUCAGAACAGGGCUAGAUCCUAAAUAGGAAUCCGCGCUCGUCAGCUUCCUUCGGGCUAACCACGAUAUCUUUGCUUGGAAAUCGGUUGACAUGCCAGGUGUGCCCAAGGAGCUGAUUGAGCAUUCUCUCAAUGUCAAUCCCAAAGCUACUCCAAAACGGCAACGACUACGCUAGUUCGCUCAAGAUAGACGAGAAGCAAUCAAAAAAGAGUUAGCCAAGCUCCUCGCGGUAGGGUUCAUCAAAGAAGUCUUUCACCCUGACUGGCUCGCCAACCCCGUGCUCGUUCGUAAGAAAAACAAGGAGUAGAUAAUGUGUGUUGACUAUACUGACCUCAACAAACACUGCCCAAAAGACCCUUUCAGGCUACCCAGGAUCGAUGAAGUGGUCGACUCCACCGCAGGGUGCACUUUACUAUGCUUUCUCAACUGCUACUCUGGUUAUCAUUAGAUAAGCCUAAAAGAGGAGGAUCAAGCCAAAACAGCGUUCAUCAUGCCUUUCGGAGCUUUCUGCUACAAAAGAAUGUCCUUCGGACUAAAAAAUGCAGGGCAACUUAUCAAAGGGUCAUACAGAUGUGCUUUGAAAAGCAACUUCACCGCAAUGUUGAAGCUUAUGUCGAUGAUGUAGUUGUCAAAACAAGAAAUCGGGAGGAACUCAUUGCUGACUUGGAGGAAACUUUCUCUAGUCUAUGCGCUUUCCGAUGGAAACUCAACCCUACUAAGUGCGUCUUUGGAGUACCUUCCGGCAAAUUACUCGAGUUCAUCAUUAGCCAUCGCAGCAUUGAGGCCAACCCGGAAAAAAUAUCUGCCGUCACAAACAUGGAGGCACCAGCUAGCAUUAAGGAUGUGCAGAAACUCACAGGCUGCAUGGCCGCUCUCAACUGGUUCAUCUCGAGACUUGGAGAACAGGGACUACCCUUCUUCAAGCUUCUCAAUUGCCAGGACAAGUUCAAAUGGGCGGAAGAGGUAGAUGAGGCAUUAACACAACUCAAAGACUUUCUGUCAAAGCCUCCUGUACUCACCGCUCCUUCUCCGAAUGAAGACUUGCUCCUAUACAUCUCAGCUACUACUCAUGUCGUCAGCACAGCAAUAGUAGUUGAACGGUCUGAACCGGGCCACGCUUACAAGGUCCAACGACCUGUCUACUUCGUCAGCGAAGUACUCUUGGACUCCAAAACUUGGUAUUCACCGAUACAAAAACUCUUAUACGCAAUUUUGCUCACCUCCCGGAAACUGCGCCAUUACUUCCAAGAGCAUAACAUCACAGUCAUCUCCGACUUCCCGCUCAGCAAAAUUCUCCACAACAGAGAUGCCACGGGUAGAAUCUCCAAAUGGGCAGUUGAACUCGGAGCUCUCACCUUGGACUUGAAGCCAAGGAUAGGUAUCAAAUCCCAAGCUUUGGUCGACUUCAUAGCUGAAUGGACUGAAAAUCUAGUGCCAACACCAGUCGAAUGGCCAGAACAUUGGGUAAUGUACUUUGACGGAUCCCUCAAACUCGAAGGGGUCGGCGCAGGCGUAUUACUCAUCUCCCCCAGGGGAGACCAGCUCAAGUACGUGCUGCAAAUAUUCUGGGAAGCAUCUAAUAACGAAGCCGAGUACGAAGCACUACUCCACGGGCUUCGCCUUGCAAUCUCCCUUGGCAUCAGACGACUACUGGUGUAUGGCGACUCUCUAGUCAUUAUAAACCAGGUCAAGACAAGUGGGAUCGGAACAAGGACAACAUGGACGCUUACUGCAAAGAAGUCCGUAAACUGGAAAACAAGUCUCAGGCUUGGAAUUUCAUCACAUCGUCCGCGACAACAACGUUGCCGCCAACGUCUUAUUUAAAAUGGGCUCAACUCGUGCAGAGGUUCCAGCAGGAAUUUUCGUACACGAAUUGCGCAACCCGUCCAUAUCUGACCAAGUCACACCGCCAGCAGUCCUGGCUGCUGACAUCUCUCGAGAAAUCAUUGUUGGGAUACGAGGUAGGCUACACUAGCGCAAAUCAAAAUUUCUACCACGUAUAACCAGGAAGAACUGCCGUAUAAGGAUCACGGGAUUACCACUCGACGCACUACUGGUGCGGAAGAUGUAGAUAUGCGUCGAUGCAGUGAAGACGAUCACAUAGUCGUACGUAGUCGAUCAACGUAGUCGUACGUAGUCGAUCACGUCCAGCAGCUCCUCGGCAGCUCGUCCACGUGCAGCAAGAUCGCCUCCGGUGCCGCGGCUCGUCGUCGGCUCAUCGUGGCUCGUCGGCGGCUCGUCGAUGGCUCGUCCAAGUGCUGCAGGCGCAACACCUCCAAGGUAUCCACACGUGCAGGGAGGAAGCGUCGCAAGCCGGACUGCUAGAUCCGUGAGUUGCAACAGGCGAGGGCGUGGGAGGCGCGGCAGGUGUAUUUCGCCAAAAGGUGUAAACCCUAGGGCGCCCCCACCCCUCUAUUUAUAGAGGUUCCUGACGGGCCUCUGGAUCCGAGGCCCAUUAGUACUUCUAAACCUAAUCCAACUCGGAUCAGAUCCGAAUUGGGCUUCCAGCCCCUUAAGUGUGUGACCCUAUGGGUUCGGAUACGUAUAGACAUGGCCCGAGUACUCCUACUCGGCCCAAUAGUCGGUAGCGGCCUCUAGCAAGACGUGCCAACUCCUAUACGCACACGAAGAUCAUAUCAGACGAACCAUCACAACAUAAUAUACAUGCUAUUCCCUUUGCCUCAUGAUAUUUGGUCUAGCUUCAAGCCGACCGCUCUUUCUCGAUCCUGUGAUUCGGAAUCCCUUUGUAGGUUAACUCUUAACCGUACGUAGCAUGGCCAUGCAUUUUCGGAUCCGAUCACUCGAGGGGCCCAGAGAUAUCACUCUCAAUCAGAGAGGGGCAAAUCCCAUCUUGAUUGACCAUGUCUCAUAGCAUGCUUCUUAACAAACCCGAAAGCUACCUUUAUAACUACCCUGUUACGGCGUAGCGUUUGAUAGCCCCUAAGUAGGUCGAUCCACAUCUAGAAUACAUGCGACAAUCUCAGGUCUAAGGACAAAGCGUAUAUGUUGUUUAAAGAGAGAACUACUUCUCGUGUUGGGUCAGUCCUAGCACAUGUCUCCACAUGUGUCCACAUUAUUAGUUCAACAUCUCCAUGUCCAUGACUUGUGAAACAUAGUCAUCAACUAAUACAUGUGCUAGUCUAAUAUUCAUGUGUGUCCUCACAUGAACUCUGACUAGGGACAACUUUAGAAUAACCAUACAAGUAAAGAGUUUCACAUACAAUUCACAUAAUUGCAAAUCAAUUCAAGUAGCCUUCAAUGGAUAUUCAAUGAACACAACAUACAAAUCAUGGAUACAAAUGGAAUAUCAUCAUCUCUAUGAUUUCCUCUAGGGCAUACCUCCAACAAUCAUGAUGAUAGAAGUAGACUGGAGGACACCCUUCAUCGACUACAUCAAUGAUCACCAGUUACCAUCUGACAAGAAUAAGGCUGAGCAAAUCUCCCGACAAGUAAAAAAUUACGUUCUAGUCGGAGACAAGCUCUACAGGAAAGGUGUAUCAUCUGGGGUACUCAUGAAGGGCGUUACCAGAGAAGACGGUCAAGAAAUCUUAGAAGAAAUUCACAUAGGAAUAUGUGGCAACCACGCCUCUUCGCGAACAAUAGUUGGCAAGGCUUUCAGAGCAGGUUUCUACUGGCCAAUGGCUCUGGCCGACGCUAAAAAACUAGUUCAGAAAUGCAAAGGUUGUCAAUUCUUCACAAAACAGCAACAUGUACCGGCCUACAAACUAGUCACAAUACCUCCAACAUGGCCGUUUGCCUGCUGGGGGCUCGACAUGAUAGGGCUAUUACCAACAGCUCCAGGAGGAUUCAACCGAGUACUCGUGGCAAUCGACAAAUUCACCAAGUGGAUCAAGGUCAAACCAGUCACUUGCCCCAAGGCAGACCAGGUCCUUGACUUCUUAGAUGAAAUCGUACACUGCUACGGUUUUCCCAAUAGGAUUAUCACAGACCUAGGGUCAAACUUCAACAAUCAUGACUUUUGGGAAUAUUGCGAGAAUAGCGGCAUCGACAUUCGCUAUGUCUCGGUCGCUCACCCGUGAGCCAAUGGACAAGUCGAGCGUGCUAAUGGCAUGAUACUUGACGCCCUGAAGAAAAGGCUACAUGACGUUGGCAACACCAAAGGCGGCAAGUGGCUCAGAGAGUUACCCAAUGCUCUGUGGGGCCUGCGCACCCAACCAUGCAAGACUACUGGGCUAUCGCCCUAUUUCCUCGUAUAUGGCUCAGAAGCCAUACUACCCCGCCGACAUCAUGUGGCAAUCACCAUCUGUUGAACAAUAUGACAAAGAAUUGGCAGAAGAAACAAGGUGAACAGAUGUUGACAGUCUGGAAGAAACAAGAUGCGCAGCACUAGUGCAAUCUGCCAGAUACCUUGACGGUCUAACGCGUUACCACGACCGCAACGUCAAGGAAAGAUCUUUCAACUUGGGCGAUAUGGUCCUCAAGCAUAUCCAAGACACAUCAGGGUUGCACAAACUCAAUUCACCAUGGGAAGGUCCUUAUAUCGUAUCACAGGUUACGGGACCUGGAUCUUACAGACUCCAAGAACUCUCAGGAGAACAAGUACCAAACUCUUGGAAUAUAGAACAUCUUUGUCGAUACUACCCAUAGCAGCACUUGAGUAAUCGCUUCAAGGCAACUCAUGAUGACUACUUGGGCUAACCGCCUGACUAACUUUAGCUUUGCCAAAGAGUUAUCACCUCAACAAGGAUCACUGCCCUGGUACAAUAAUUUCCGUUAAAGUAUUUCUUUACUAGGAACCGAAGAUACAUCUUCAAGAUACAUACAAGUACAAAUACUCGAAAUACACAAAGACUACAAGCAACUGCCUACUGGCGGGCUGCAUUUAAGCCUCAGGCUUUUACUAUGUCACAAGGCCACUCAGGUCUGCCGACUACAAUGGGAAGGGCCCACACACAAGGAAGCUGCGCAAAACACAGCCAUAUCCAGGUCCUCUACUCAAGGCAAUGCCAGGAACCAAGGCUUGUCUUUUGCUAGCCUUGCGGAGCCACCACUCUACGGCCACACCUCCACCACUAAGAGAGCAGGAUAAACACCGCGGCACUCAUCACCCAUCACCCGCGAGUUCUAGUGCGUACCCCACUGGAUCUCGAGCUGCAAGAUGAGGCGUGCGACGAAACCUCCUACAAGGAUUCUUCUUGUUGGAGGUAUGCCCUAGAGGCAAUCAUAGAGAUGAUGAUAUUCCAUUUGUAUCCAUGAUUUGUAUGUUGUGUUCAUUGAAUAUCCAUUGAAGGCUACUUGAAUUAAUUUGCAAUUAUGUGAAUUGUAUGUGAAACUCUUUACUUGUAUGGUUAUUCUAAAGUUGUCCCUAGUCGGAGUUCAUGUGAGGACACACAUGAAUAUUAGACUAGCACAUGUAUUAGUUGAUGACUAUGUUUCACAAGUCAUGGACAUGGAGAUGUUGAACUAAUAAUGUGGACACAUGUGGAGACAUGUGUUAGGACUGACCCAACACGAGAAGUAGUUCUCUCUUUAAACAACAUAUACGCUUUGUCCUUAGACCUGAGAUUGUCGCAUGUAUUCUAGAUGUGGAUCGACAUACUUAGGGGCUAUCAAACGCUACGUCGUAACAGGGUAGUUAUAAAGGUAGCUUUCGGGUUUGUCAAGAAGCAUGCUAUGAGACAUGGUCAAUCAAGAUGGGAUUUGCCCCUCUCUGAUUGAGAGUGAUAUCUCUGGGCCCCUCGAGUGAUCGGAUCCGAAAAUGCAUGGCCAUGCUACGUACGGUUAAGAGAAUAACCUACAAAGGGAUUCCGAAUCACAGGAUCGAGAAAGAGCGGUCGGCUUGAAGCUAGACCAAAUAUCGUGAGGCAAAGGGAAUAGCAUGUAUAUUAUGUUGUGAUGGUUCGUCUGAUAUGAUCUUCGUGUGCGUAUAGGAGUUGGCACGUCUUGCUAGAGGCCGCUACCGACUAUUGGGCCGAGUAGGAGUACUCGGGCCAUGUCUAUACGUAUCCGAACCCAUAGGGUCACACACUUAAGGGGCUGGAAGCCCAAUUCGGAUCUGAUCCGAGUUGGAUUAGGUUUAGAAGUACUAAUGGGCCUCGGACCCAGAGGCCCGUCAGGAACCUCUAUAAAUAGAGGGGUGGGGGCGCCCUAGGGUUUACACCUUUUUGGCGAAACACACCUGCCGCGCCUCCCACGCCCUCGCCUAUUGCAACUCACGGAUCUAGCAGUCCGGCUUGCGACGCUUCCUCCCUGCACGUGUGGAUACCUUGGAGGUGUUGCGCCUGCAGCACUUGGACGAGCCGCCGACGAGCCGCGGCACCGGAGGCGAUCUUGCUGCACGUGGACGAGCUGCUAAGGAGCUGCUGGACGUGAUCGACUACGUACGACUACGUGAUCGUGUUCACUGCAUCGACGCAUAUCUACAUCUUCCGCACCAGUAGUGCGUCGAGUGGUAAUCCCGUGAUCCUCAUACGGUAGUUCUUCCUGGUUAUACGUGGUAGAAUUUUUUGAUUUGCGCUAGUGUAGCCUACCUCGUAUCCCAACAGUGGUAUCAGAGCCGUAGCUGCUUAGUUUUAGAUUCGGGAUGUGUGCAUAUGGAGAUAUGCGAAUUUUCCGUUUGAUCUAUGUCCUGUUUUCGUGCCCUUGCUGCAAUGGUAGUGUAACGACAUACUCCUACCGGUCGGUUUCCGCCAUCGGAGUUAAGUGAUACACGUAAUCCAGUUACAGUGAGUGAAGAUCAAUAUGAUUGGUCGAAUCGAAAUCCAGGGUCAUACGCCUCGCGCAUUAGAUGUGCAAUAGUAGAUGGGAUCUACUGCCGGGGUCGGAAUUUUUGCCGUAUGCGUAUGCUUCGGUAAAUCAGCCGUAACUUUUCGGUACGAUCUCGGAUCGGGGCGAAUUUUAUAUGAAAAUUGAUCUACAGAAAAAGUUACACAUGAAAUUCAACGCUUUGCCGUUUUCGGCGAAAUUAGAUUUCCCAAAUUCGGCUUGGAAGAUGGAGUUUCGGGCCUCCGAAGUUUGGAACGUUAGGACGCCUAACUCUGUUUUGCAGGAUGUAUGUAUGUAUCUUGUGAUCAGUAUGGCCCCCUUGUGUAUGUGAUGCAUGUGUGUAACUCAUUCGUGACCUGCGUGUCGCGCGUACGGCAACACGGCAGGAGCCAUAUGUGUUGUCACUUUAUUGUAUUUAAUGGUCUGCGUACAAAUCUGGAUGAUCCAAGCAACUAUGUAAUCUUCUUUACUAGAUUCUUUACUAGCUAUUAGGCGUAAUAGCAUGUUCUAGUUCUUGGAGGACUCAUCACCAGGAGGAUGGCGCACAUGGAACAUGGAGAUGGAGAUCACCAUGGUGAACAGGUUCUAUGGAGAUGGAGAUCACCAUAUGAAAACGGGCCAUACUGUGUCACAGCUGUGUGAAUGCUAUUCUGUUUAUGUUUUACUUUCUGCAUGCUGUGAUGUUAGAAGUAGAACGAUCCCUCACAAAGUUUAAGUUAGUAUGUCCUCCCAACUAAAACUUGCACCGUCCCAUGUCUUGUACAAUUAGUGGUGGGUCUAUGAAAUUAGGGUGCCACUAGUUUUCCUUGACUAGACGGGUUUGUGUCGGACACUUACACGCAUAAGGGUUGGUUUGCUUAACAAGGUUAUCUUAAUGGUUAAGGACCUUGAGGCAUAAAGGUUGGGCGCCGAGACAUCGAGAUGUCACCCAACAACAGGAGUCAUAUGUGAUAUGAUUAGCAAAAGUUGCUUACCGAUCUACCUCGUUUGCUAGCGGUGAUGCUAAAGCUCACUAGUAGACUUGUUAGUUGUGGAUCCUGAAUCACUAAGUUUCAAUAGAGGGAUAUUGAUUUUAGUGGGAGUAGAUUCUGUUAAAAUAGUUUAAUUUCAUUUUCUCUAUCAUGGAUACGUUUGUCUUAGUGUAUUUUGCAUUACUUUUGUUGUAGAUUAAAUGGCACCUAGCAACACCACCACAUCGUUUGCUUUGCGUUCGGUCCUUGAGAAGGACAAGUUGAAUGGAACAAACUAUUCGGAUUGGAUCCAUAACCUGAGAAUUGUUCUCAGGGCCGAUAAAAAGGAAGAUGUUCUAGACACCCCACUACCACCAGUACCUGCUGAUGAUGCAUCUGUUGCCGUUAAUGCUGCUUACAAGAAGGCAUUUGAUGCUAAUCUUGAGGUAAGCUGCCUUAUGCUUGCUUGCAUGGAACCCGAGCUGCAGAUGCAGUUCGAAACAAAUCAUGAGGCACACGAUAUGAUCGUGGCGCUCAAGGACAUGUUCCAGACACAGGCUAGGACCGAAAGGUUCAAUGUGUCCAAAGCCUUUCUGGAGUGCAAGUUAGCAGAAGGCGCAGCAGUAGGACCACAUGUAAUCAAGAUGGUUGGUUACACUCAGCGAUUGGAGAAGCUGGGCUUCCCAAUGGGCAAAGAGUUGGCCACUGACUUCAUUCUUUCAUCUCUUCCGCCUAGCUAUGGGAACUUCAUCUCGAACUACCAUAUGCAUGGGAUGGAGAAGGGUUUGAAUGAACUGUGUGGUAUGCUCAAGACAGCAGAGGUAGACAUCAAGAAAAGCGCUAGUACCAGCCAUGUGAUGGCUAUACAGAACAAGCCUAGCUUUAAGAAGAAGGGCAAUUCUUGGAAGAAGAAGGGCAAGGCUGGAACGUCCAAGCCAAACCCAGCGCCCAAGGUUAAAGCUGGACCUGGACCUGCUCCAGACAAAGAGUGCUUUUACUGUCAUGAACUUGGUCACUGGAAGAGAAACUGCAAGCAGUACCUAGCUUCCUUGAAGAAUGGCGGAAGUAAGAGUACUUCUACCUUAGGUACGCUUGUUGUUAAUGUUAUAGACAACAUAUUUCUCGCUGAUACAAUUAUUAAUUCUUGGGUAUUUGAUACCGGAUCGGUUGCUCAUAUUUGCAAUUCGAUGCAGGGAAUGAUAAGAAGUAGAAGCGUGGAAAGAGGAGAAGUUGAUUUCCACGUGGGCAAUAAUGCAAGAGUUGCUGCGUUGACUGUCGGGACGAUGCAACUCCACCUCCCGUCAGGAUUUAUUAUGGAGUUGAAUAAUUGUUAUUUUGUUCCUAGUUUAAGUCGAAACAUUUUAUCUCCUUCAUGCUUGAUGAAGGAUGGUUAUUCAUUUGCGAGUGAAAACAAUGGUUGUGUGAUCUCUAAGAAUAAUAUGUUUAUGGCUUUUGCACCCAUUGUGAAUGGAUUAUUUGUUUUAAAUCUUGAUGGUUCACCUGUCUGUAAUGUAAGUGCUAAAAGGCCUCGGCCUAAUGAUUUGAGUCCUACCUACUUGUGGCAUUGUCGUUUGGGUCAUAUAAGUGAAAAGCGCAUGAAGAAGCUCCAUUCUGAUGGACUUCUAACUUCGUUUGAUUUUGAAUCAUACGAGACAUGUGAGGCUUGCUUGCUAGGCAAGAUGACCAAGACGCCUUUCACAGGAUUUCCUGAGAGAGCAGUAGACUUCUUGGAACUCGUACAUAGUGAUGUAUGCGGACCAAUGAGCACGACGGCUAGAGGAGGAUUCCAAUACUUCAUAACUUUCACUGAUGAUUUUAGUAGAUAUGGCUAUGUCUACUUGAUGAGGCACAAGUCUGAAACCUUUGAAAAGUUCAAGGAAUUUCAGAAUGAAGUUGAAAAUCAGCGUGGCAAGAAAAUUAAGGCCUUACGAUCUGAUCGUGGAGGCGAGUAUUUGAGCCACGAGUUUAGCAAUCAUCUAAAGAGUUGCGGAAUUGUUCCACAACUUACGCCACCUGGAACACCUCAGAGAAACGGUGUGUCCGAGCGACGUAAUCGAACUUUGUUAGACAUGGUUCGAUCAAUGAUGAGCCAGUCGGACCUACCGUUGUCAUUUUGGGGAUACGCUCUAGAAACAGCAGCUUUCACACUUAAUAGGGUACCAUCUAAAUCCGUAGUUAAGACACCAUAUGAGAUAUGGACUGGAAAGGUUCCUAGUUUGUCUUUUCUAAAGAUUUGGGGAUGUGAAGUGUUUGUCAAGUGACUUCAGUCAGACAAGAUCACACCCAAGUCGGAUAAGUGCAUUUUCGUGGGAUAUCUAAAGGAAACUUUGGGAUAUUAUUUCUACAACCGAUCAGAAGGCAAAGUGUUUGACUUCACCAAGAACGAAGAAGAGUCUUGUGUUUACAAGAAGGUAAGUGGGAGCUCUAUAGUAUUUCUAAUCUUAUAUGUGGAUGACAUAUUACUGAUUGGAAAUAACAUUCCUAUGCUUGAGUCCGUAAAGACUUCACUAAAAAAUAGUUUUUCGAUGAAGGACUUAGGGGAAGCGGCAUAUAUUCUGGGCAUUAAGAUCUAUAGAGAUAGAUCGAGAAGGCUUAUAGGUUUAAGCCAAGAUACUUACAUUGACAAAGUGUUGAAGCGGUUCAGGAUGGAAGAGGCAAAGAAAGGGUUCUUGCCUAUGUCACAUGGCAUACAUCUCAGCAAGACUCAGUGUCCUUCGACUGCUGAUGAGCGGGAUCACAUGAGUAGAGUGCCAUAUGCCUCGGCUAUUGGAUCUAUCAUGUAUGCAAUGAUAAGUACUCGCCCAGAUGUUUCAUAUGCGCUAAGUAUGACAAGCAGACACCAAUCUGAUCCAGGUGAGAGUCACUGGACAGCGGUGAAAAACAUUCUUAAGUACUUGAGAAGGACUAAAGAUAUGUUCCUCAUCUAUGGAGGUGAGGAGGAGCUCGUUGUAACAGGUUACACCGAUGCUAGUUUCCAAACCGACAGAGAUGAUUCAAAGUCACAAUCAGGAUUUGUGUUCACGCUAAAUGGUGGUGCUGUUAGUUGGAAGAGUUCCAAGCAGGAGACGGUGGCCGAUUCUACGACAGAAGACGAGUACAUCGCGGCUUCGGAAGCCGCGAAGGAAGGUGUUUGGAUAAGGAAUUUCCUCAUUGAGCUUGGUGUGUUCCCGUAUGCGUCCAGCCCAUUGAAUCUCUACUGUGAUAACAAUGGGGCAAUUGCACAAGCAAAGGAGCCAAGGAACCACCAGAAGAACAAACACGUAAUGCGGCGAUUUCAUCUCAUUCGAGACUUCGUUAACCGGGGUGAGAUCAAGAUAUGCAAAAUACACACGGAUCUAAACAUUUCUGAUCCGUUGACAAAACCACUCCCGCAGGCUAAGCAUGAUGCGCAUGUAAGAGCUAUGGGUAUUAGGUACCUUCUAGAUUGACUCUAGUGCAAGUGGGAGACUGUUGGAGGUAUGCCCUAGAGGCAAUCAUAGAGAUGAUGAUAUUCCAUUUGUAUCCAUGAUUUGUAUGUUGUGUUCAUUGAAUAUCCAUUGAAGGCUACUUGAAUUGAUUUGGAAUUAUGUGAAUUGUAUGUGAAACUCUUUACUUGUAUGGUUAUUCUAAAGUUGUCCCUAGUCGGAGUUCAUCUGAGGAGACACAUGAAUAUUAGACUAGCACAUGUAUUAGUUGAUGACUAUAUUUCACAAGUCAUGGACAUGGAGAUGUUGAACUAAUAAUGUGGACACAUGUGGAGACAUGUGUUAGGACUGACCCAACACGAGAAGUAGUUCUCUCUUUAAACAACAUAUACGCUUUGUCCUUAGACCUGAGAUUGUCGCAUGUAUUCUAGAUGUGGAUCGACCUACUUAGGGGCUAUCAAACGCUACGCCGUAACAGGGUAGUUAUAAAGGUAGCUUUCGGGUUUGUCAAGAAGCAUGCUAUGAGACAUGGUCAAUCAAGAUGGGAUUUGCCCCUCUCUGAUUGAGAGUGAUAUCUCUGGGCCCCUCGAGUGAUCGGAUUCGAAAAUGCAUGGCCAUGCUAGGUACGGUUAAGAGUUAACCUACAAAGGGAUUCCGAAUCACAGGAUCGAGAAAGAGCGGUCGUUUUGAAGCUAGACCAAAUAUCGUGAGGCAAAGGGAAUAGCAUGUAUAUUAUGUUGUGAUGGUUCGUCUGAUAUGAUCUUCGUGUGCGUAUAGGAGUUGGCACAUCUUGCUAGAGGCCGCUACCGACUAUUGGGCCGAGUAGGAGUACUCGGGCCAUGUCUAUACGUAUCCGAACCCAUAGGGUCACACACUUAAGGGGCUGGAAGCCCAAUUCGGAUGUGAUCCGAGUUGGAUUAGGUUUAGAAGUACUAAUGGGCCUCGGACCCAGAGGCCCGUCAGGAACCUCUAUAAAUAGAGGGGUGGGGGCGCCCUAGGGUUUACACCUUUUUGGCGAAACACACCUGCCGCGCCUCCCACGCCCUCGCCUAUUGCAACUCACGGAUCUAGCAGUCCGGCUUGCGACGCUUCCUCCCUGCACGUGUGGAUACCUUGGAGGUGUUGCGCCUGCAGCACUUGGACGAGCCGCCGACGAGCCGCCGACGAGCCACGACGAGCCGACGACGAGCCGCGGCACUGGAGGCGAUCUUGCUGCACGUGGACGAGCUGCUAAGGAGCUGCUGGACGUGAUCGACUACGUACGACUACGUGAUCGUGUUCACUGCAUCGACGCAUAUCUACAUCUUCCGCACCAGUAGUGCGUCGAGUGGUAAUCCCGUGAUCCUCAUACGGCAGUUCUUCCUGGUUAUACGUGGUAGAAUUUUUUGAUUUGCGCUAGUGUAGCCUACCUCGUAUCCCAACACUUCUAGCAUCGCGGCUAUCCCUACGAGCGCAGGAGUCUGUGGAGGGAAGGUGGCCUCAAUCUACGGGGAAUUUUCUAGCACCGGUGCACUCUUUGAUGGCUCUCUACACUCAAAAAGAAGCAACCGAAAGCAAUCCAUUGCUACUCAAAAACUUGGUUUAGCUUGAUCUCCAGAAGGCUCUAUUUAUAGCCGAAAGAUGCAACUACCACCUGCCCAAGAGUUACUAUGCGCCCGUGAUUAAUGAGUCUAACGACUCCUGACUCUGCCCACAUGAUGGCACUUAUACCACAAAGGACAAAAGAGUACAGUACACCCGUGCAUCCACAAAAUACAAAAGCAUGCAGUACACCUGCGUACCCUCAAAAGCAGAGUACUCGACAGCAUCAUGACUACUCGACACUCGGAACUACUCCAAGCCAAGCGCGGCCUACGCUCACACCAUUAUCUCGGGGGCUUGGAAUUUUCCAACCCUCUGCUCAGGGGUCGGGUACACCCGACCCUAAGACUUAGGGUCGGGCGAGGCGGAGUUCUCCCACCAAAGGGUCGGGCUCAACCGACCCUAGGACUUCGGGUCAGCCAACACAAUCUAAAAUUACUCUUCGUAAGACAAUCAACUCAAGCUACAAACUAAUGGGCAAGUAUUCAUUUGUCAAAAGUAUUGUUCAAAUUACUCGACACAGAUUCCAAAGUACAUACAAAGCUCAAGGCUCUUCUAGAGAGACAAACUCCGACAUCUUCGACGCAAUAGGCUCCGCCUCCUCGAGGUACUGCACAUAUGCCUCUUCCAUGCAGUUGCGAGCCACGCCGUCACCAGCUGCCGUCAAGUUUGCCCUCGGGUAAUAGGACUUCACGACCGCAAGGGCCUGUUUGCAAACAGCUUUGCAGAGUCCCGCCACUUUACCUGAGGCAGCAUUCAAUCGCUCGACCAGUGAUUGCAGCCCUGCGCCUUCUUCCAUGGGGGCUAUGGCGUUCACCAAGUCUUCAGCUGCUACGGUUAGCUCCUGGAGUCCACCUCGGAGCCUCCCCAUGGUCUGGGCAUGGUCCCUGCAUGCCACCAUGGCCAUGGCAAGUAUCAUGCCAUUCUGCAUCUUCCUAUCCCACUGAUGCUUGCAUGCAGCCUGUGCUUCCAUCAGCGCGGCUCGAAGGCGUUCAGCUUCAUCCGCCACUCGAUCAUGCGCAUUUCUCCAGUCAAGAACUUGGCUCCUCGCAGCGGCCUCUUGUUUCUUGAGCUCUACAAGACAAAACAAGUUCAACCACAGCUGACUAAUGGGAGAUACUCGGAGUAUGCAAAGUACUCACCUUGAUACUUUUUGUUCAGCGACUUGUAGCGGCUCUCCAGUUUUUGCUGUAGGACUGUGUGAUCUGUACGUUCCACAGCAAAAGACUUCGCUCCAACUUCGUGAACCCUCAGAGCUUCCGUCAGUCGGGCACAUUCCUGCUCCAGUUGAUGACUUCGUUCCUGAAAAGGUCCGAGGACGCAAGGUACUACGGUCAGUUAAAAGCCUCACAACUACUCGAUCUAUGUGACAUCUCAAAGGCAAUCCACCUAGAAGCUCCGGAAAACAUCGACGGCCCUCUAGAACUCCAAGUCAGAUGGCAGGCUAAGCACUGGUCUUUCGGUACUCUCUGCAAGAUGAGGAGUCGUACCCAAAGUGGCACCUACAACAUUUAUCAUCAGUCAGUUACCUGCUAUGACUACAAUAACAAGACUACAGAAACAUACCUGGAGCAGUCGCCUCUUUGGCUUUUUCAACACCCACUACGGUCAGCGAUCCGCCAGUGGAUGUUGAUAAGGCAGCACAUCCAGAACCCAAUGCAGCAGCGGGAACUUCCACUGAACGGAUGAUGUCUUGAAGCAUAGACAUGGUAGCUCCAAGAUGACCGGCGUCGACUUCGGGUACCUCCUCAACAAUUAUAUCUUCCAAAGGAGCAGAUAAUGUAGUCGGGGGAUCCGGCUCUACCCCUGUCUUUACAGGGAUAGUCUACUCUGCAUCUCUGCAUCAAAAUACAUCACUACACAACUUCAAGACAACUUAAAGCCAUUCAACCGACAAGAAGCUCACCGGGUUGAGCGUGGCAGAAAUCGCACACGUUUCUUCUCGGUGAUAGGCGGCCGAGUACCGAGCGCCGCAGGGAUAGCUGCCGGCGCUGUCUUCUCGUCAAGACCUACGAGGCAGAAGUCAAGACUACAAUACAACUCAGACAUAAAAAAGUUUAGUCGGGACAGAAAGUUACCUCUGGCAAUCAUGCUGGACAACAAGGCGCCAGUAGCGACUACUGGUGACACUUCCUUUGCAAUACCCGCUACUCCGACGGGUAACCCCAGGACCACCUGAUCAGUAACGGUUUGCGCGACGGCUGGCGGAGUUGUGGCGGGUAGCUCGGGGGCUACUCCACCCUCUGUCAAUGGCACCCUCUCUAGCACCAUAUCAACAGAUGCAUUACCGACUUCUAGGUCGGUCACAGCCAGUUCUUCAGAAACAGCCUCAUCAUCACCAAGCGCCGUAUCAACAGCCUUUAUGAACAAGACAAAUUCGUCACAUCAAUAGCAAAUUCAAAUUCAUCAGCUACAGAUAAGUUCACGGCUACAUACCUGGGUACCCCAAGACUUCUCAAGGGUUGAAGCAGACUUAGCCACAGACAUCUUGCGUACUACUCUACGUUUCUUGACAGGAGGAGAGGGUUCGUCCUCUGACUCCUCAGCAAUAGCUUCUGACUCUUGUUCCGACUAUGCCAAGUAGCUGGCAAGAACUCGAGACUACAAAAAACAAGUCGAUAUUAACAACAAAUAUCACACAAGUCCAAAAUUACAUGUAAGGUGCAAAGACAUACCACUUCUGGCUCAUACCAGGCGUCAUACUAACAUAGAGCCGCAGGGAUUACUGGUACUCCCUGAUAGUUCCUGAAGAACUUGGCCAGCAGCGCCUCUACAUCAUCAUCAGAUAUAUCCUCAUCGGACAUACGCGAUGGAUCAUUAAGACCUGUAUACUCACUUCCCGAGUGAGCACGUUUCUAAAGUGGCUGAACUUUUCUCUUCAGAAAGCUGGCAGCCACAUUGAUCCCAGUGAGACCGAGUGCCUUCAACUUGGUGAUUUGCUGCAUCAUGUGAUCAAGCUCGGGGGUGUCUUCGGGUUCGCUCACCCAGUUUUCUGCAUGCUUGGCCGCAUGACCAGUCACCAUAGGCAAGCGAGGAUCAUGAUUCCCGAUGUAAAACCACCUCCUUUUCCACUCCCCAUGGGAGUCAGUUAAGUUAUACUCAAUAUACGCGCCCGAGUUCCUGAGUUGGAACCCGACGCCUCCAAAGACUUCUGUCCUAUGGACACUAGGCUGCGGCUUAUAGCGGAACAGCUUCCUAAACAACUCAAGACUUCGAGGAAUUCCCAAGUACACUUCGCAGAGGUGUACAAAAAUUGACAUAUACAAUACACCAUUGGGGUUCAAAUGCACGAGUUGAAGCUUAUAGUACCCGAGAAUACCUCUGAAGAAGUCGGAGGUGGGCACUGCGAACCCCCUCUCCACAAAGUUCUCGAGCAUCACUAUCUCGCCUGGAUGUUCCUCAAAUUGCCACGCAUUUGGAAAUGCGGGGCGCCACUCAAGAAUCUCCUUCGGCUGCAGAAGCUUCGCAUCGACUAGUGCUUGCACGACUUCCUCAUUCAUCACUAAAUGUUGACACGUUGCUCCAGGCGGCGGCGGCGGCGCAGUCUGGUUCGUCGGCCCCACCUUCGGCAUCGGCAGCACCAGUUCUUUCCCCUUCCUGGAUUUCACCUUGCCCGUCACCGGAGCCUUGCCCUGGAUCUUCUCGGGUUUCUUGCCCAUCUUCUUGGUGCGCAUUCGACGGACUCAACCUCAAUCUAGAACGGCACUCUCCCUCGGAUCUCCCUUAAGGGGCGACAAUGGCGGCGGCGGCACUCGCGGCAGUGCAAAUGUGGAGCAGGAGAAGAGGGGAGGCAGAAAACCGAAAGGGGACCUUCCAGUUUUAUCUCCGCCAGCUCCGGUUUCCAUGCGUCGAUUACACAACGGACAGAUUCUAACAAAUUAAUUGCACAUUAAUCGCCUUAAACACUCAACGGCUACUCUUUUCAACGGAUUGCUGACCACUUCAACGACAAAAAUCGCCCAAGUGCUCAGGGGCUGCGGGUACCGUACCCAUUGGUCAGUUUUUUAUUUUUCAAAGAUCUCCGAGGGAAAAACGGAUAAAAGCUGGUUUGACCCUAAGCUUGACUCUUCGACUCAACCUAAGGCUCGGGGGCUACUCCAUAUGGAGUGCGAUUGACAUCGCACUACCAUAUAGAAAUCUCAGAACAGAAACAACUUGAAGGAACAAGAAUAGUACCUUCCAGCCACGCGACAGUACUCGAGCACUUCGGCUUGCAACCUCUAUGACGAAGUACUCGGAUAGUGCCCGUAGUGCCCAAGACUGUGGUGCACGACUACAAAGUACUCGGGGGCUUGUCGGGCAUGCACCCCAAGCCCACGAGUAGACCUUGGACGGCCCACUAAGGGGCGUACUCGGACACGAUCAGAACAAGGGAUAGGCGUAUCCCACUUGGACUAGUCAAGUAUGUAUAUGGAAAACUACUCGGGCCUUACCGAGUAGAACUCUGUACCAGUACUCGACUAGGACUCAGACUUGUAACCCUGCCCUCCCGUGUAUAUAAGGGCGGGCACGGACCCCCCCUCAACAACAACUCCAGUUCAUUAAUACAAACCAACACACAGGACGUAGGGUAUUACGCGAUCUAGCAGCUCAAACCUAUCUAAAUCGUGUUCCUUGCGUCACCAUUGAUUCCUUGAUUCUCGACGAUCCUUACCGCACAAAAGACCACCUAGGGUACCCCCUAGGCAGGUUGCCGGUCUAAAACACCGACACCAUUAUCAUGCCAUGCUCCCGGUCGAUCAUGUGGUUUCUUGGGAUGAAUUCAAAGCUGCCUUCAGGAGCCAUCACAUUCCAGAGGGCUUGAUAGAAAGAAAGCUGAAUGAGUUCCUAGCACUGACACUAGGCAUGCGCAAUGUGCUCCAGUAUGCUCAGGCCUUCAAUGAUUUAUGUCAGUACUCGGGUUAUCAUGCUGACACCGAUGAGAAGAAGAGGGACCGUUUCCGUCGAGGUCUCAACACCAAGCUCAGGGAACAACUAAGUCCCAUCAAAGUAAAUAAUUAUAAUAAGUUGGUGAAUCUAGCGAUCAUGCAGCAGGAUUGUAUCAUGGCUCAUCGUGCAGAAAAGAAGAGGAAGGCUCCAAUGGCCUUAGCUAGUGCCCCGAGCUAGAAAUUUUGGAUAGUCCAAAAUGCUCCACCCCGAGUUCCUCAAUGAACCCCACAGCCUGGACGUUGGUUCAUCAGGCCACCUCAGCAGCAGGGAGCUUCACGUUUCCCUAACUUCCAGCAGCAAGGCCCAAGGCCCAAUGCUCUAAGGCAUUAUAGCCAGGCACCACACCUAUCUCGAAAAGACCCUAUCGAAUGCUGCCUAUGGAGUUGGCAGAAUUAAAGACCCAACUUCAAGAGCUACUACAUAAGGGUUUCAUUCGCCCAAGCACAUCACCUUAGGGCUGCCCGACUCUCUUUGUCAAGAAGAAGGAUGAUAGUCUAAGGAUGUGUGUAGAUUACCAACCUCUCAAUGUAGUGGUUAUCAAGAAUAAGUAUCUACUGCCCCGUAUUGAUGUCCUCUUUGAUCAACUCGCCGGAGCCAAAGUGUUCUCCAAGAUUGAUCUCCGCUCUGGCUAUCAUCAAAUUAAAAUCCUGCCGAGUGACAUCCCUAAGACCACCUUCUCUACUCGAUAUGGACUAUAUGAGUACUUAGUCAUGUCUUUCGGGCUCACAAAUGCUCCUGCCUACUUCAUGUAUCUCAUGAAUUUGGUGUUUAUGCCCGAGCAUGACAAGUUCGUUGUGGUCUUCAUUGAUGACAUCCUCAUAUAUUCCAAAAAUAAGGAAGAGCAUGCUCAACACCUCCGCAUUGUUCUUCAACGGCUUAGAGAUCAUCAGCUCUAUACCAAAUUUUCUACAUGUGAAUUUUUGUUGGAUAGUGUGAACUCUUGGGACACACCUUCUCUAGUGAAGGCAUUGUAGUCGAUCCAAGCAAGGUACAAGAGGUGACGGACUGGAAAUCACCCACUUCCAUUCAUCAAAUCAAAAGUCUUCUUGGUCUAGCUGGCUAUUAUCAUGGUUUCAUUCCGGAUUUCUCAAAGAUAGACAAGUCAACGACCAAGUUGUUAAAGAAAAGGGUCAAGUUUGUAUGAACCAAAAUGUGUGAAGAAGCUUUCCACACUUUGCCAAAACUGCUCACCUUAGCACCAGUCUUAGCCAACUAGAUAAUACCAAGCCCUUUGACGUUUACUGUGAUGCCUCUGGCACUGGUCUCAGUUGUGUUCUUAUGCAAGACAAUCAAGUCAUUGCUUAUGCUUCACGAGCACUUCGGCCUCAAGAGCAGAAUUACCCAACACAUGACCUUGAGCUAGCAGCAGUGAUUCAUGCCCUAAAGAUCUAGAGAUAUUAUUUGAUGGGUACUCAUUGCAAUAUCUACACCGAUCAAAGUCUGAAUAUGCGUCAAAGGAGAUGGUUGGAGUUGAUAAAGGAUUAUGAUCUAGAGGUACACUAUCACCCCGGGAAGGCUAAUGUGGUUGCGGACACAUUAAGCCGUAAGGCUCAUUGCAAUUGCCUUUCCGCAGAAAACUUCAUAGAAACCUUGUGUCAUGAGGUGAGGAAGCUAAAUUUGGGAAUUAUUCCUUAAGGCACACUAAAUCACAUCUCUAUCGAACCUACCCUGGACGAUCAAAUCAUUAUGGCACAAAUAGAGGAUGAAGAGGUAAAAACCAUAAAGUAAAGGCUCUCUCAAAGGGACGAGAGAUAUAAGUGUUCUGCCAAGACUAGAAGGGAGUUGUAUGGUUUCAAGACCGCUUGAUUGUUCCAGCAAAUCAUGAUCUCCAAAAGCAAAUCCUGGAUGAGGCACAUCUCUCCAAGUUCUCUAUUCACUCGGGUAGCACCAAAAUGUACCAGGACCUCAGGUAAAAUUUUUGGUGGAUUGGGAUGAAAAGAGCAAUUGCUCAAUAUGUGUCAAAAUGCGACACUUGUCAAAGAGUAAAAGCAAGCCACUUAAGAGUAGCCGGUACUCUUCAACCAUUGCCUAUACCAUCAUUGAAAUGGGAGGAUAUAAGUAUGGACUUCAUUGUUGGUUUGCCCACACCUCUCAAAAGCAUGAUUCCAUAUGGGUUAUAGUUGAUAGACUGACCAAAACAACACAUUUUAUUCUAGUUCAAACAACCUACACAACCAAGAAAUAUGCCGAGCUAUAUCUUGAUCGCAUUGUUUGCCUACAUGGAGUGCCCAAAACGAUCAUCUCCAAUCGAGGUACUCAGUUUGUGGCACGCUUCUCGGAAUAGUUGCAAGCUUCUCUUGGCACUAAGUUGAUCCGCAGCUUGACUUAUCACCCUCAAACUGAUGGACAAACUGAAAGGGUGAAUCAAAUCCUUGAAGAUAUGCUUCAAGCUUGCGUUAUUCACUAUUAUAAGAACUGGGACAAAUGCUUACCUCUAGUGGAGUUUUCUUGUAACAACAGCAACCAAGCUAGUCUAAAAAUGGCACCAUUUGAGGCCUUGUAUGGUCGUAGGUGUCGAACUCUGUUAAGUUGGUCCCAAGCUGGAGAGCGGAAAGUAUUUGGGCCAAAUUUGGUAAUUGAGGUGGAAGAGAAAGUGAGGGUAAUGCAAGAACACCUUAAAGCCGCCCAAUCUAGGCAAAAGAGCUAUUUUGACAAGAGGAGGAAACCAUUGCAAUUCGAAGUCGGUGACCACGUAUACCUCCGAGUUUUACCAACCAAGGGUGUGCAAAAGGUUCAGAGUAAAGGGAAAACUAGCUCCUCGAUAUAUUGGUCCAUACGAAAUCAUAGAAAUUUGUGGACCCGUUGCCUAUCAAGUGAAACUUCCACCUAGACUCUCUGCUAUCCAUGAUAUCUUCCAUGUUUCUCAACUCAAGAAAUGUGUUUGAGUUCCAACCGAAAUUAUCAAACAAAAGGAAGUAUGGGUAGAACCGGAUCUUUCUUAUGUUGAGUUUCCCAUCAAGAUACUUGACCGAAAGAAGAACUAGAAGACAAAUGGUAAGAAUGUUUAAGAUUCAAUGGGGCCAUCAUACCGAAGAAGAGGCAACGUGGAAACCAAAGAAUAUCUCAACAAAAAAUUUUGCGGUUUCCUAUUCGAACAGAAAGGUACGCACACCCACACUAGUUUUAAUCACUUGAAUCUCGGGAUGAGAUUCUUUUUAAGGGGAGUAGGCUGUGACAUUCCUAGUAAAUAAGAGGAAGAUCAAGAGAAAUUAAGAAAUUGAUUAAGAAACAAAUCAAAACUAGCUCCAAAUUUGCUAAAGUGUUAAGAUUCAAAAACACCUCAAAUUUAGCUAAGUGUUAAAAACACCCCCUAAAUGGUGCUCUGUUGGGAAGGAAAUAAAAACAAAUUUUAUAUAAGAACUUAACUUUUGGCUAAUAUAAAAGUGGUAGAUCUUUUCAAACGGAGCAAAUUUUAUAAUUGAGCCUGAUGAGCAUCAUUUGUGCAUAUUUGAGCAUCUUGGCUAAGCAUUGUUUAAGUUCACAUAAUUGUUGUUUAUUGUCGAAAUUUGAAUAGUUCAAUUCAAGCCGGGCCCACACAUCAGUGUCUUCUUCCUCCCUCUCCACGCCUGCACGCUCGCUGGAUUGGGUAGAACUGCGGUGCUGCUCCGUUGGCCAGUGCCAACGGUGUUCGUCGCCGGUUGGCCACCAUGGCCGGCACCACGCUCCUCCUCGCCUAUAAAGCCUGAGCACUGGCCUUCCCCAAACCCCAUUGCCUUCCUCCCACCAUUGCGGUGCCUGACCAAGCUCCAGUCGCCGACACCCUAUGCCCAACUCCGUCCACCUCCGCUCAAUCCACCGCGCCACCACCUCCUCCACUCGCCUAGCCACCUCCUCGCCCUAUCAGUGCCUCUCGCGGUGCCUCCCCCGGCCGGGAAUCCGGUGUUCCCCGUCUGCCACCUCCAAGCAUUGCCGCCACCUUGCACUGCCGAUUCGCCGCCAUUGGUGAACCUCGGUCCAAUUCCUCGCGUCCACGGCUUCCUCAAGACGUCCCGCAUCCGUUUUGCUGCUUACCGGCCUCUCUCCUCCACCGUGCAUGCGUCCCGCCGGCGAGCCCAUCUGCCGCUCAUGUCUACCUCCUAGAAGCCUUGGCGCCAGCUCCUCCGCACUCCUGAGCCACCAGCUGGUGAGCCCUUUGUUGGGAUACGAGGUAGGCUACACUAGCGCAAUUCAAAAAAUCUACCGCGUAUAACCAGGAAGAACUGCCGUAUAAGGAUCACGGGAUUACCACUCGACGCACUACUGGUGCGGAAGAUGUAGAUAUGCGUCGAUGCAGUGAAGACGAUCACGUAGUCGUACGUAGUCAAUCAACGUAGUCGAUCACGUCAUGUCCAGCAGCUCCUCACCAGCUCGUCCAUGUGCAGCAAGAUCGCCUCCGGUGCCGCGGCUCGUCGUCGGCUCGUCGUGGCUCGUCAGCGGCUCGUCGGCGGCUCGUCCAAGUGUUGCAGGCGCAACACCUCCAAGGUAUCCACACGUGCAGGGAGGAAGCGUCGCAAGCCGGAUUGCUAGAUCCGCGAGUUGCAACAGGCGAGGGCGUGGGAGGCGCGGCAGGUGUGUUUCGCCAAAAAGGUGUGAACCCUAGGGCGCCCCCACCCCUCUAUUUAUAGAGGUUCCUGACGGGCCUCUGGGUCCGAGGCCCAUUAGUACUUCUAAACCUAAUCCAACUCGGAUCAGAUCCGAAUUGGGCUUCCAGCCCCUUAAGUGUGUGACCCUAUGGGUUCGGAUACGUAUAGACAUGGCCCGAGUACUCCUACUCGGCCCAAUAGUCGGUAGCGGUCUCUAGCAAGACGUGCCAACUCCUAUACGCACACGAAGAUCAUAUCAGACGAACCAUCACAACAUAAUAUACAUGCUAUUCCCUUUGCCUCACGAUAUUUGGUCUAGCUUCAAGCCGACCGCUCUUUCUCGAUCCUGUGAUUCGGAAUCCCUUUGUAGGUUAACUCUUAACCGUACGUAGCAUGGCCAUGCAUUUUCGGAUCCGAUCACUCGAGGGGCCCAGAGAUAUCACUCUCAAUCAGAGAGGGGCAAAUCCCAUCUUGAUUGACCAUGUCUCAUAGCAUGCUUCUUGACAAACCCGAAAGCUACCUUUAUAACUACCCUGUUACGGCGUAGCGUUUGAUAGCCCCUAAGUAGGUCGAUCCACAUCUAGAAUACAUGCGACAAUCUCAGGUCUAAGGACAAAGCGUAUAUGUUGUUUAAAGAGAGAACUACUUCUCGUGUUGGGUCAGUCCUAGCACAUGUCUCCACAUGUGUCCACAUUAUUAGUUCAACAUCUCCAUGUCCAUGACUUGUGAAACAUAGUCAUCAACUAAUACAUGUGCUAGUCUAAUAUUCAUGUGUGUCCUCACAUGAACUCCGACUAGGGACAACUUUAGAAUAACCAUACAAGUAAAGAGUUUCACAUACAAUUCACAUAAUUGCAAAUCAAUUCAAGUAGCCUUGAAUGGAUAUUCAAUGAACACAAUAUACAAAUCAUGGAUACAAAUGGAAUAUCAUCAUCUCUAUGAUUGCCUCUAGGGCAUACCUCCAACAGUCUCCCACUUGCACUAGAGUCAAUCUAGAAGGUACCUAAUACCCAUAGCUCUUACAUGCGCAUCAUGCUUAGCCUGCAGGAGUGGUUUUGUCAACGGAUCAGAAAUGUUCAGAUCCGUGUGUAUUUUGCAUAUCUUGAUCUCACCCCGGUUAACGAAGUCUCGAAUGAGAUGAAAUCGCCGCAUUACGUGUUUGUUCUUCUGGUGGUUCCUUGGUUCCUUUGCUUGCGCAAUUGCCCCAUUGUUAUCACAGUAGAGAUUCAAUGGGCUGGACGCAUUCGGGAACACACCAAGCUCAAUGAGGAAAUUCCUUAUCCAAACACCUUCCUUCGCGGCUUCCGAAGCCGCGAUGUACUCGGCUUCUGUCGUAGAAUCGGCCACCGUCUCCUGCUUGGAACUCUUCCAACUAACAGCACCACCAUUCAGUGUGAACACAAAUCCUGAUUGUGACUUUGAAUCAUCUCUGUCGGUUUGGAAACUAGCAUCGGUGUAACCUGUUACAACGAGCUCCUCCUCACCUCCAUAGACGAGGAACAUAUCUUUAGUCCUUCUCAAGUACUUAAGAAUGUUUUUCACCGCUGUCCAGUGAUUCUCACCUGGAUCAGAUUGGUGUCUGCUUGUCAUACUUAGCGCAUAUGAAACAUCUGGGCGAGUACUUAUCAUUGCAUACAUGAUAGAUCCAAUAGCCGAGGCAUAUGGCACUCUACUCAUGCGAUCCUGCUCAUCAGCAGUCGUAGGACACUGAGUCUUGCUGAGAUGUAUGCCAUGUGACAUAGGCAAGAACCCUUUCUUUGCCUCUUCCAUGCUGAACCGCUUCAACACUUUGUCAAUGUAAGUGUCUUGGCUUAAACCUAUAAGCCUUCUCGAUCUAUCUCUAUAGAUCUUAAUGCCCAGAAUAUAUGCCGCUUCUCCUAAGUCCUUCAUCGAAAAACUAUUUUUCAGUGAAGUCUUUACGAACUCAAGCAUAGGAAUGUUAUUUCCAAUCAGUAAUAUGUCAUCCACAUAUAAGAUUAGAAAUACUACAGAGCUCCCACUAACCUUCUUGUAAACACAAGACUCUUCUUCGUUCUUGGUGAAGUCAAACCCUUUGACCACUUCAUCAAAACGAAUGUUCCAACUCCUAGAUGCUUGCUUCAAUCCAUAAAUGGAUCUCUGAAGCUUGCAUACCUUUCCAGCAUUUUUAGGAUCGACAAAACCCUCGGGCUGUAUCAUAUACACGUCCUCAGCUAGGUUUCCAUUCAGGAAAGCUGUCUUGACAUCCAUCUGCCAUAUCUCAUAAUCGAAAUAUGCAGCUAUAGCUAGAAUAAUCCGAAUGGACUUAAGCAUCACUACGGGCGAGAAGGUCUCGUCGUAGUCAACUCCUUGAACUUGUCGAAAACCUUUUGCGACAAGUCUUAUAGAUGUGAACAUUUCCAUCCAUGUCCUUUUUCUUCUUAUAGAUCCACUUGCACUCUAUGGCUUUAACACCAUCAGGCGGGUCAACCAAGUUCCAAACUUGAUUGUCUCCCAUGGACUCUAUUUCGGAUUGCAUGGCACUCUGCCAUUUUUCGGAGUCUGGGUCCAUCAUUGCUUCUGCAUAUGUCGCAGGCUCAUCAUUGUCCAACAAUAAUAUUUCCCGCAUUUCGCGGAGCCUUGCUGACCUUCGUGGUUGUGGCGGUGCUUCUCUUGCCAUGGGUAUCUCAACUUGUUCUGCUACGUUAGCAUCACUCAUUGAUUCUUGCCCGAUCGGCUCAUCUUGAACUUCUUCAAGAUGCACUGUCUUUCCACUCUUUUCUCCUUUGAGAAACUCUUUCUCUAGGAAAACCCCGUUACGAGCGACAAACACUUUGCCUUCUGAUCGGUUGUAGAAAUAAUAUCCCAAAGUUUCCUUUGGAUAUCCCACGAAAAUGCACUUAUCCGACUUGGGUCUGAUCUUGUCCGACUGAAGUCGCUUGACAAACACUUCACAUCCCCAAAUCUUUAGAAAAGAAAAACUAGGAACCUUUCCAGUCCAUAUCUCAUAUGGUGUCUUAACUACGGAUUUAGAUGGUACCCUAUUAAGUGUGAAAGCUGUUGUUUCGAGAGCGUAUCCCCAAAAUGACAACGGUAGGUCCGACUGGCUCAUCAUUGAUCGAACCAUGUCUAACAAAGUUCGAUUACGUCACUCGGACACACCGUUUCUCUGAGGUGUUCCAGGCGGCGUAAGUUGUGGAACAAUUCCGCAACUCUUUAGAUGAUUGCUAAACUCGUGGCUCAAAUACUCGCCUCCACGAUCAGAUCGUAAUGCCUUGAUUUUCUUGCCCCGCUGAUUUUCAACUUCAUUCUGAAAUUCCUUGAACUUUUCAAAGGUUUCAGACUUGUGCCUCAUCAAGUAGACAUAGCCAUAUCUACUAAAAUCAUCAGUGAAAGUUAUGAAGUAUUGGAAUCCUCCUCUAGCCGUCGUGCUCAUUGGUCCGCAUACAUCACUAUGUACGAGUUCCAAGAAGUCUACUGCUCUCUCAGGAAAUCCUGUGAAAGGCGUCUUGGUCAUCUUGCCUAGCAAGCAAGCCUCACAUGUCUCGUAUGAUUCAAAAUCAAACGAAGUUAGAAGUCCAUCAGAAUGGAGCUUCUUCAUGUGUUUUUCACUUAUAUGACCCAAACGACAAUGCCACAAGUAGGUAGGACUCAAAUCAUUAGGCUGAGGCCUUUUAGCACUUACAUUACAGACAAGUGAACCAUCAAGAUUUAAAACAAAUAAUCAAUUCACAAUGGGUGCAAAAGCCAUAAACAUAUUAUUCUUAGAGAUCAAACAACCAUUGUUUUCACUCGCAAAUGAAUAACCAUCCUUCAUCAAGCAUGAAGGAGACAAAAUGUUUCGACUUAAACUAGGAACGAAAUAACAAUUAUUCAACUCCAUAAUAAAUCCUGACGGGAGGUGGAGUUGCAUCGUCCCAACGGUCAACGCAGCAACUCUUGCAUUAUUGCCCACGCGGAAAUCAACUUCUCCUCUUUCCACGCUUCUACUUCUUAUCAUUCCCUGCAUCGAAUUGCAAAUAUGAGCAACCGAUCUGGUAUCAAAUACCCAAGAAUUAAUAAUUGUAUCAGCGAGAAAUAUGUUGUCUAUAACAUUAACAACAAGCGUACCUGAGGUAGAAGUACUCUUACUUCCGCCAUUCUUCAACGAAGCUAGGUACUGCUUGUAGUUUCUCUUCCAGUGACCAAGUUCAUGACAGUAAAAGCACUCUUUGUCUGGAGCAGGUCCAGGUCCAGCUUUAACCUUGGGCGCUGGGUUUGGCUUGGACGUUCCAGCCUUGCCCUUCUUCUUCCAAGAAUUGCCCUUCUUCUUAAAGCUAGGCUUGUUCUGUAUAGCCAUCACAUGGUUGGUACUAGCGCUUUUCUUGAUGUCAGCCUCUGCUGUUUUAAGCAUGCCACACAGCUCAUUCAGACCCUUCUCCGUCCCAUGCAUAUGGUAGUUCGAGAUGAAGUUCCCAUAGCUAGGCGGAAGAUACGAAAGAAUGAAAUCAGUGGCCAACUCUUGGCCCAGUGGGAAGCCUAGCUUCUCCAACCGUUGAGUGUAACCAACCAUCUUGAUUACGUGUGGUCCUACUGCUGCGCCUUCUGCUAGCUUGCUCUCAACAAAGGCCUUAGACACAUUGAACCUUUCAGUCCUAGCCUGUGUUUGGAACAUGUCUCUAAGUGCCACGAUCAUAUCGUGCGCCUCAUGGUUUGUUUCGAACUGCAUCUGCAGCUCGGUUCCAUGCAAGCAAGCAUAAGGCAGCUUACUUCAAGGUUAGCAUCACAUGCUUUCUUGUAAGCAUUCUUAGCAGCAGCGGGUGCAUCAUCAGCAGGUUCUUCUAGUAGUGGGUUGUCUAGAACAUCUUCCUUUUUCUCAGCCCUGAGAACAAUUCUCAGGUUACGGAUCCAAUCCGAGUAAUUUGUUCCAUUCAACUUGUCCUUCUUAAGGACCGAACGCAAAGCAAACGGUGUAGUGCUGCUAGGUGCCAUUUAAUCUACAACAAAGUAAUGCAAAAUACACUAAGACAAACGUAUCCAUGAUAGAGCAAAUCACAUUAAACUAUUUUAACAGAAUCUACUCCCACUAAAAUCAAUAUCCCUCUAUUGAAACUUAGUGAUUCAGGAUCCACAACUAACAAGUCCACUAGUGAGCUUUAGCAUCACCGCUAGCAAACAAGGUAGAUCGGUAAGCAACUUUUGCUAAUCAUAUCACAUAUGACUCCUGUUGUUGGGUGACAUCUCUAUGUCUCGGCGCCCAACCUUUAUGCCCCAAGGUCCUUAACCGUUAAGAUAACCUUGUUUAAGCAAACCAACCCUUAUGCGCGUAAGUGUCCGACACAAACCCGUCUAGUCAAGGAAAACUAGUGGCACCCUAAUUUCAUAGACCCACCACUAAUUGUACAAGACAUGGGACGGUGCAAGUUUUAGUUGGGAGGGCAUACUAACUUAAACUUUGUGAGGGAUCGUUCUACUUAUAACAUCACGGCAUGCAGAAAGUAAAACAUAAACAGAAUAGCAUUCACACAGUUGUAACACAGUAUGGCCCGUUUUCAUAUGGUGAUCUCCAUCUCCAUAGAACCUGUUCACCAUGGUGAUCUCCAUCUCCAUGUUCCAUGUGCGCCAUCCUCCUGGUGAUGAGUCCUCCAAGAACUAUAACAUGCUAUUACGCCUAAUAGCUAGUAAAGAAGCUAGUAAUGAAGAUUACAUAGUUGCUUGGAUCAUCACAGAUUGGUACGCAGACCAUUAAGUACAUUAAGGUGACAACACAUAUGGCUCCUGCCGUGUUGCCGUACGCGCGACACGCAGGUCACGAAUGAGUUACACACAUGCAUCACAUACACAAGGGGGCCAUACUGAUCACAAGAUACAUACAUCCUGCAAAACAGAGUUAAGCGUCCUAACGUUCCAAACUUCGGAGUCUUGAAACUCCAUCUUCCAAGUCGAAUUUGCGAAAUCUAAUUUCGCCAAAAAUGGCAAAGCCAUUGAAUUUCAUGUCUAACUUUUUCUGUAGAUCAAUUUUCAUAUAAAAUUUGCCCCAAUCCAAGAUCGUACUGAAAAGUUACGGCUGAUUUACCGAAGCAUAUGCAUAUGGCAAAAAUCCCGACCCCGGCAGUAGAUCUCAUCUACUAUUGCACAUCUAAUGCGCCUGGCGUAUGACCCUGGAUUUCGAUUCGACCAAUCAUAUUGAUCUUCGCUCACUGCAACUGGAUUUACGUGUAUCACUUAACUCCGAUGGCGGAAACCGACUGGUAGGAGUAUGUCGUUACACUACCAUUGCAGCAAGGGCACGAAACCAGGACAUAGAUCAAACUGAAAACUCGCAUAUCUCCAUAUGCACACAUCCCGAAUCCAAAACUAAGCAGCUACGGCUCUGAUACCACUGUUGGGAUACGAGGUAGGCUACACUAGCGCAAUUCAAAAAAUCUACCGCGUAUAACCAGGAAGAACUGUCGUAUAAGGAUCACGGGAUUACCACUCGAUGCACUACUGGUGCGGAAGAUGUAGAUAUGCGUCGAUGCAGUGAAGACGAUCACGUAGUCGUACGUAGUCAAUCAACAUAGUCGAUCACGUCACGUCCAUCAGCUCCUCAGCAGCUCGUCCACGUGCAGCAAGAUCGCCUCCGGUGCCGCGGCUCGUCGUCGGCUCGUCGUGGCUCGUCGGCGGCUCGUCCAAGUGCUGCAGGCGCAACACCUCCAAGGUAUCCACACGUGCAGGGAGGAAGCGUCGCAAGCCGGACUGCUAGAUCCACGAGUUGCAACAGGCGAGGGCGUUGGAGGCGCGGCAGGUGUGUUUCGCCAAAAAGGUGUGAACCCUAGGGCGCCCCCACCCCUCUAUUUAUAGAGGUUCCUGACGGGCCUCUGGGUCCGAGGCCCAUUAGUACUUCUAAACCUAAUCCAACUUGGAUCAGAUCCGAAUUGGGCUUCCAGCCCCUUAAGUGUGUGACCCUAUGGGUUCGGAUACGUAUAGACAUGGCCUGAGUACUCCUACUCGGCCCAAUAGUCGGUAGCGGUUUCUAGCAAGACGUGCCAACUCCUAUACGCACACGAAGAUCAUAUCAGACGAACCAUCACAACAUAAUAUACAUGCUAUUCCCUUUGCCUCACGAUAUUUGGUCUAGCUUCAAGCCGACCGCUCUUUCUCGAUCCUGUGAUUCGGAAUCCCUUUGUAGGUUAACUCUUAACCGUACGUAGCAUGGCCAUGCAUUUUCGGAUCCGAUCACUCGAGGGGCCCAGAGAUAUCACUCUCAAUCAGAGAGGGGCAAAUCCCAUCUUGAUUGACCAUGUCUCAUAGCAUGCUUCUUGACAAACCCGAAAGCUACCUUUAUAACUACCCUGUUACGGCGUAGCGUUUGAUAGCCCCUAAGUAGGUCGAUCCACAUCUAGAAUACAUGCGACAAUCUCAGGUCUAAGGACAAAGCGUAUAUGUUGUUUAAAGAGAGAACUACUUCUCGUGUUGGGUCAGUCCUAGCACAUGUCUCCACAUGUGUCCACAUUAUUAGUUCAACAUCUCCAUGUCCAUGACUUGUGAAACAUAGUCAUCAACUAAUACAUGUGCUAGUCUAAUAUUCAUGUGUGUCCUCACAUGAACUCCGACUAGGGACAACUUUAGAAUAACCAUACAAGUAAAGAGUUUCACAUACAAUUCACAUAAUUGCAAAUCAAUUCAAGUAGCCUUGAAUGGAUAUUCAAUGAACACAAUAUACAAAUCAUGGAUACAAAUGGAAUAUCAUCAUCUCUAUGAUUGCCUCUAGGGCAUACCUCCAACACCCUUUGCCCUAGGGCGCAGCCCGCUGCUCUUCCCCCGCCGCCUCACGGCACUCCCCUGCCGCCGCCGCCCUGGGCCGUGCGCCAGCCAAGCGCUACUUCCCGUGCUUGUGUUCUGUUCUAUGUGCGUGAAGGGUGUGUUAGGGGAGAAGAAGAAAAAGUGAUAGGGGGUUAUGAGGAAAUUUUAGGGACCUAUAUGCAGGAAUCAAAAGAUUUGAGGGUGGUUUUGAAAGAUGCUCUCGGUUUUGUUUUAUUUCCUAGAUUUAAAUAGCUGCAAACUUAGAAAAUGCAUAGAAAUGGGUAGAAAAAUGCUAAAAAUGUGAAUUUUGUUCUGUUGAGUUCCUAAUGACAUCUAUUUUAUUUAAAAAAUGUUUUUGUCUGUGUUACUAUUUUGUGUUUGGUGCUAUGAUUUAUUUGGUCUAAAGGACAUUAAAUGCUUUAUAAACAAUAUGGUGGUCCAAAAUUUGUGAAACCAAUUUUGAUCGCUUCCAUUUAACAUGUAUGUUCUAGAUCUGCAACUUGUGUAUGUAGAAUCUAUGGUGUUAAUACUGUUUCAAAUCCAAAUGCUUAAUUGCUCUCUUAAUAUUGUUAUUUGCAUGAUAAUUAGUGAAAAAUUGAUAAAAAUGCAAAAUAAGUUUGGUUAGAUUCUUGAUACUCGUGCGUGACUAGUAAAAAUAUUUAUCCUUGUGAAAUAUGUAUUUUUAGUUGCUUAACAAAAUGCAUGUUGUUUAAUCUCCUUAUUGUGGAAUAAAUAGUUCUCAUGCUCCUAAAAUCCUAAUAAAUUCACAGUAGCCUCUGAUUGUGUUGUGGAACUAGACUGAUGAUAGAACUCUAGUUAAAAAUCAUUUUUCAUGUUCUACAAUUUAACACUGUUUGAUUUUUAGUAAAUUCCGUACUUGUCAAUCCAUCUGAAAUCUUUACAGUAGAAAGUUCCUGUAAAACUUUCAUGUUCAUAUCUUAACAGAUGCUUCCUGAAACAUUUAUUCAUGUUAAAAUCUAGUUAAAUUAAUAAAGAUAGUUGCUACUAGGAUUUGUAGGUUCACAAAUAAUUAUUUAUGCUUUUCAUCAGUAUCAUGAUCAUCCCUAAAAAGUUGGCUAAACAGUACCAACAUGACACCACCUAUUGCCUUUUGAAUUAUAAGUUUCUGCAAAUUUUAUAUGUGUACACUAUCACCAUCAAAUUAGAAUCUAUGUUUUCUUCCCGACCCACCUUGUUUUGCGAAGGAAAGAAAUGUUUAUAAACCUUGACUAGGUGAAUGUGGCAGAAAAUGCACCCUAAGAUUUUACAAUGAUUAACAAACUGCAACAUACAUCAUGAAAGAUUAUAAAUGAAAUCUUAUGCAUAUGCAUCUCGUGUAGAAGCUAACCUUACUGACGGCACGUACGAGUUGGUUCUGGAAGUUGAAGAAGAACACUCUAUUGUUGCAUUGAACCUAAUCGAGACAACUCAAGACCCAAACCUAGAUUUGGAAGAGCCCAAGGCUAACUUAGGACAAGAAGGCAAAGCCCCGGAGCAUAACCCUGGUUUUCAAAUUAUAUAAUACUUAUGUUAUUUAUGUUUGUGCAUUAAGUUCAUAGGAGUUGCUUGAAACCUUAGUUGCAUGCUCCUAGUACCCAUGACUUGAAUACCAGCAUGUUAAGUCGAGUAGUUGCUGUGCUAAAUAGGGACACGGUAAAAGUUGAGUGAUUUCCUGUCACUCGCGAGCUAUAGAAGUUGCCUGUUUACAUAUGUUGGAAUCAUAAGGUUGACGGGCGGGGCUUGGUGCUAUAUUUUGAAAUUGUUGAUGCCCCAUCUGUAUAGAGGAAAACUGCUAAGGUCGAAACGUGUGGGAGUCUUGGUCAAGUGUUUGAAUGUACUAAACACAUGCUGAGAGAAUGGGGAAUCAUUAAGCCUAGUACCUGAUAGAACAGCCAUGGACCUUUACCCCGCUCUCUCUAGAACUGAGUUCCCAUGAGGCCUCAUGUGGGUACAAGUGCAGCAUGGCACGGUGUCGUUCCAGGGACCGUUGGGGCAUUGUAUCCAAGGGAAGUGGGCUUUGGACAAGCAACGCGAAUUGAUGGGAACCGUUGAUAUAUGUGAACCCGUCGUGGUACGCAUAUGUCGUGUGUUUAGGUAUACCUUGCAAGGUUAAGAAAUUCAAUUUGAAUCGUCUGCUUCUCAUAGUUUCGGACUGCUUGACUGCUUUUCCUGCAUUGAGUAAGAAGGUGAACAAGGAUGAUGCUUAAUAUGGAUGCUUGAGUAAAUUGCUUGUUCUACCAUGCUUACUUAGAAUAGGUGCUUACCUAGAAUGGUUAAUCAAUUAGAACUUGAUGCUAAAACUUGAAAGUAAGGAUCCACUUUAGAAGUUUUUGGCAAAAACAAACCCCUCAGCCAAAAGGCCUUGCAUGUCUAGGAGUCGGUGGAUUAGAAACCACCUGACGGGUAAGUCUUGUGGAGUAUUAGUAUACUUAGCCUUGCUUGUGGCUAUGUUUUCAGGUAAUGUUGAUGUUGAUGACAUGAUUGCUAGUUUGACUUGGCCAUACCAGAUCCCUCCGGGAUGGAUGGUCAAGUGGGACCCAUCCUUACUGGGCGAGGACCGUGGUGAGUGAUAUCAUGGAUGGCUUCACCAUGGUAUCGUGUAUCGACGCUAGAUUUAUCAUUUCUUUACGCUGCAAGUGAACUCUGAACUUUUUGCAUUUGAAACUCGGUUUGUAGUAAUUUAAUUUGGACCUAUGUAAUAUUUUAUCUGGAUUGUUGUAAUCUCUGUGCUCGUCUUCGUGUGAGUGUUGUGUGCUUGUUUCGAUCAGAAAUACAUGGUUGUAUUGGGUGAAACCCGACAGACUACCAUUUUGAUCCGAUUAAAGUGUCUGUUCACAUUUGAGGUAAUGUUUAGCACACUUUAGCUGGGUUAAUUUGGGUGGUUCUUCCACACCUAUUAGAAAAUAAAAUGAUAUAUUGGAUUUAUAAAUGCAAAUAAAAGAAUCAUUAUAUAUUAGUACACAUGAAAUAUGGAUGUCUCUAUAAAUCGUCUCUACAUUUCUUAAUACACAAUAUGGUGUUACUAUAAAAUGUGUCUAUAUCUGUAGACGCAUAAUAAAAAUGUACCUACAAUACUGUUUCUAGAUUUGUUAACACACAAUUUGGUGUUACUAUAAAAUACAUCACCUGCCACAUCGCAUGCCAUGUUGUGUAACAUGUAAAAUGCUUAAUAUAAAUGUAUCUACUAAAUCAUCUCUAUACUAGUUACUGCGCAAUAAGGCGUCAUUAUAAAAAGCUUCUAUAUUAGUAGGCAUAUUUUGUAUAUGUAUCUAUAAAUUGUCUCUAUAUUUUUAAUCACAAAAUGAAGCAUUACUAUACUAUGUAACUACAGCACUAGAGACGAUUUAUAAAUGUGUCAUUAAAAUUGUAGCAAAAUUUGUAGAUAUGCAUCUAAUGUGUCUAUAAAAUGUCUCUUUCUUUCGUCGCAAUGCUUAAAGAAUUCAUCUCUAUAAGGUCUGACAAGGUCCAUACGAAGACGCUUCUAACACACUUUAUGAAAGCAUGCCUACAUUGACAUAGAGAUGAAAUAAAGCGUGUCUAACUCUAAAUCUGCUUUCUCUAAAGGGGAGAUUCUAGUAGUGGUUAUAGACUUUAUUAAGGAGCAUAUUAUUCAUCGAUUCGGCGUUCCUCAGUACAAUUGAUCAAGGAUCAAUGUGUAUGUCUGAAGAAGUCAGGGAAUUUGCUGAUGGUUUGGGGAUUAAGAUGUUGAAUUCUUUGCCUUAUUAUGCUCAAGACAAUGGUCAAUUACAAGCUUCCAAUAAGAACGUAAUCAAAAUGAUAAAGUGAAAGGUUGAUGAAACUCCUAGAAAGUGGCACAAGAUGUUGAACGAUGCAUUGUGGGCAUAUCAGAUGGCUUAGCAUAGUGUUAUUAAAGUUUCUCCAUAUUAGUUGGUUUAUGGGCAUGAAGUAGUACCACCCUGGGAACUCAAGACUGGAUCGAGAAGGAUUUUUAAUCAAGAUUAACUCUCAGCCAAUGAGUACUACGAGCUGAUGAAAGAUGAGUUCGAAGACUUAGUUCAUCGUUAGUUGGUUGCGUUGGAAUGAAGUGAAGCAGAUAAGGUUCGAGUUGCCAAAUAUUACAAUAAAAAGGUGGUACCAAAAAGUUUUGAAGAAAGGGAACUAGUUUGGAAAACAAUGUUGCCGAUAGGAACCAAAUAUAACAAGUUUAGUAAAUGGUCACUAUCGGUGUUUUGUACCCGGCAACCUACCAAGGGAGUACCCGAGGUAGAGUUUUGGUUGGUGGGUGUCGCCAAAAUCAAGAACUCGAUGGUGUAUGUAGGCACGCGAUUUAGAUAGGUUCGGGCUGCUAGAUCGCGUAAUACCCUACGUCCUAUAUGUUGUUUUGCUCGUAUUAGAUUGAACUUGUCUGGAGGGGGUCCCUGCCUGCCCUUAUAUUUCGGGGGGAGCAGGGUUACAAGGUAGUUGCUUUACAAGAGUGCUAGUCGGAUACGACUACAGAGUUCUACUCUAAUUCGGAAGAGUAGUUUCCUUGUCUAUGACUAGUCUUCUGGUAGUUCAUAUAGACCAGGCCACCCUGUACUGUAGUCUCCAUGUCCUGAUAUGUCUCGGUGUACUUCUCCUUGUAUGGAUCUGUACAAACCUUCUGGUGGGCCGCCAAGUACUUUGUAGUCAAAUGUAACAGUCUCGGGUACUUCUGCAGAUGUUGCUCAACUAGUUUCUGGUGCUCUUUGGGUGCUUUGGUCGUGGCCAAGUCUUCAAGUACUUGAGUGUUGUCAUGCGGCUGGAAGGUACUCUAGCCUCAUCUGACGUUGUUUCUGAGAAGUCUAUCUUCAAUCCUUUAUAUGAGAGUGCGAUGAAAAUCGCACUCCAUAUGGAGUAGCCCCUGAGCCUUAGGUUGAAUCCAAAAAAAACAGGCUGAGGGUCAAUCUGCAUUUGUUCCAUCUUCAUCUUGAUCUUUGGAGAAAAAGAAAUUUUAUCCAACGGGCACGGUAUAGGCAGCCCCCGAGUUAUUACCCGACUAGUUUUGGGAGGUAUAAGGGUCUUUUAAUUUGUUACCAUGACCUUUCAGCUUUUGCUGGUAUGGAAAAAACCUAUCUUGCGUGGAUAAGGCUGUAAUUGCCGCUGAUUAGCAAAAACAUCGGACCGUUACCCCGAAGACUCCACCGCGGUUAUAAAAGUUAUGGGGGAGUUACCCAUGCCCUUUACGCUGCCAUUUUGCAUCUGCCAUUUGUCUUGGCUAAAAAAACCCUAGCUCUCAGCACCGUCGCGGUCUCAUCUUAAACCGCUUGUGCCACCACAGCUUCCGUCACCUGCAAUGCCUCCUCGAAGCCCCUGAGUGCAUGCGAAUGAAAACCAAGGCAACAAUCAGGAUGGGGAGGAAGCUUGAAGGUCCGAAGAAGGGAUCCAAGGAGGAUGCCAAGAAGGCACCCAAGGAGGGUUCCUAGAGGGGAACUUCCAGGAAGGGGAAGGAGCUCGAACUGCCAGCGCCGAAGUGAGGGGAAACCAACCAGACUGCAUCGCCCAACCAAGUGAUGGCCUGCAAGCGAUCCACCAUGAAGGAUGUAGAAAUCCAAGAGUUGGUGGACGCCAAACUGUUAUAGGAGCAGGCAAUUGUGAGUUGAAGGUCCUCUUAUGGCAAUGCUUGGAUGUUUGAAGUGCACCCCAAUGAGAGGUAAUAUUUGCUUAGUUUGUGGAGCGUGGGUUUGCUAUUCAGACUUCUGACUUCUUCCGGGGCCUCUUGGAGUACUACUCAUUGCAACUCGUCCAUCUCAAUCCCAACAGCAUCUUGCAUAUCUCCAUCUUUGUUCCCUUGUGCGAAUCGUUUCUGAGGAUUCUGCCACAUUUCGGUCUCUUCUGUAAGAUUUUUUGCCUGAAGCCACAGCCUAGUCAGGAGAAUAUGCAGGUUAUUGGAGGUGCCGGCUUCUAGAUCCGUGAGCAGUACUCGAAUCUGUAUUUGGAGUGUGAGCUGGUGGAAUCUCAUGGCAAUUGGAAGGAGAAGUGGUUUUAUAUUGAAGAUCACAGGCUAUCUCUGCCCAAGAUUACUAGACAUUGUCCAAAGUAUAGCAGCCGGUGGCUUGAUGAACCAACAACUGCUGAAAGUAUUCAAGUGCCCGAUCUAUUGACCAAGAUUGUUGCAUUGAAGAAGCAGGGUUUGACAGGAGUAGUUGUAGCUGCUAGCUUUCUGAAAAGACGGCUGCAGCCAUUGCAAUUUCGACAAACUCCUACAUAUGAGUACUCUGGGCUCGACGAUCCCUCACAGAUGUCACCUGAUGAUAUUUCUGAUGGAGAGGUCGGAGCCCGACUGCGCUGGAUGUUCAAAGAACUUGAGGGUGAACCUGGAGUGGUUGAAGAGUUUGAUAGCCGGAACAAGCCGAAUGAAGUAAGUAUUUAUCAGUGUUGUGCUUUGAGUACUUGAAUUGUUUUGAUCUAUUGUUUUCCGACUUGUUUCUUCUUGUGCAAGCAGAUGUACUCAUGUAUUAUUCACCUCCUCCUCCCCCCGGUGCGGAUGUCGUAAAGAACGCAAUGCUAGUUUAUUCAUUGCAAUUGCCUGGGGUUUCCUUAGAAGAGGAAGAUGAGGAGGGGGAGGAUGAAGAGACCGAUCCCAUUGAUAGCACUGAUUCUGACGGUGAGGAUUUCUUUGUAUUGCAGUCGCGCGCCUUGAAACAAGAAAAGUCGUCUUCUAUCACAUCGAGACGCCAUGCUGGCAAUGAUGUAGAUGCUGACUUGGUGCCGCUACCAAAGAAGCAGCGAACUACUAUGCCCAAGAGGCGCACUAGGCGCAAUCUUCGCAUUCAUGAUGCGCCCCCGCCGGUAAUAACUUUUGCAGAAGGGCAAGGCCUUGAGGUGCGAGUACUGUUGUACUUGUUUUGUGUAGUUUUGACUACUUACCUUUAAGUUCAUUCUUCUGUAGACUACUAGUGAAGUAGUCGAUAGCGUAGGGGCAUCUGCUGAUGAGGUUGUUGAUGCCACAGAGACGGCUACCAAUAAUGCUGGCAAAGUUGCAGAAACAGCUACCGACAACGGGACUGAUGUGGCGGAUACGGCCGCUGGAGAUAUGACCAUGGCUCCGGAGGUAACUACUCCAUGCGUGACCUUGGAGGCGGUGGUGACUGCUGGUGGGGUAGCUGGAUCAACGAAGACGGACAUAAGUGAAGCAGUCAAGACAUCGGAGGCUGUGUCUAAUGCUACUCUGUCUAAAAUUUCUGGCAGCGGAGAAUGCGUGGACAGCGGUGGCAAUCACGUGGCUGCCACUGCCCAAGUAAUUGCUAUGGGUAUUGGUGACAACCCUGAAGCUCCGCUGCCUGCCCCAUCAAGUAUGCCAAUUCCUAGUACCUUGCCAAUGCGCUUGGUGAGGAAAGCUCCUCUGGUGCAACUAGAUGAGUACCCUGUCAUUGUGAUUGAGCAUUGAAUUUGUAUCGAGUAGUUGCUCUCUAUUUCUGAUGCUUUGUUGUGUGGUAGGUCAUCUUCGAGUGUUGACCUUGGUGUGGCAGGCACAGGCCUAGCAGUUGAUGAUGAAAGUCGCUCAACGAACCCAGCCCCCGCGCCUGUCAUCGAAUCGGAGGAGAACUUAGCUCUGGCAGUGGGGGAAGACGCUACAUCAUUGGCGGCCACGUUGUUGCAGGACAUGAUUGGUUCUCUCUAGGACGUAGCACCAGCAGCUCCCCAGACUGCUACCCUCGGACCGCUGCCUCAGGCCGUAUUACUUGAAGACCAGUUUGCGACAGACGUCUUGGACUCCGUUCCUCUCAACUCUGCGGGUACUGGAGCCCUCGAGGUUGCAUGCGCCCUUGGAUCUGUUGUGGUGGCUGCAGGGAUGUCAUCAGAGGCAGGGUUGUCGUUUAAUCGGGAACUAGACUUAGUGCUCAGCACAAAGACUAAUUCAGCAACUGAGCAUCUGUCACCGCGGACGAAAAUCGAGGUUUUUGAGAGCCCUCUGUUGGAGCCGCAAGACAUAUCCUCCAUCUUGGAGAUGAACCAGCGUAUCGUGGCAUAUACUAAGGUGAGUUCAGCUCUUGUAAUCUUCUUACUUGAUUUGAGUGACUAGUUUUCCAUUAGGAGUGCUAAUGUUUUUGUACCCAGGAUCUGUUUGAGAAGUCUGGCCAAAAUGUCCAACUUCUGUGGGAGCAAAGCAAGGCUACGUGUUGCAUUAAACUUCUGGAGAAGGAACUUAGCGAGGAGCGUCGACGGACAUCCCAGUUUCUAGAGCAGUAUGAUAGCGCCGUUGCUUCGUUCCAGGUGGAGAGGCGGGAGUUUGAGGGUGGAAAGAGUCGCAUUGUUGCGCGCAACAUGUCCUUGCACCAAAAAGUUGAGGGUGAGUACUCGUGCAUGCAGUCUUUGAGUUGUUUGUUGUAUGUGGUCUGUCCUCUGACUAUCCAUUGCUAUUUUUGCAGACUUGAAAAGCCAGGAGACUGUGUUGAAGAACACCAUCACUUACUGGAAGGAUGCCUUCUGUAGGCUGACGGAGGAGCAUGAAGAGCUCAAAAGCCAGUUGGAGAAAACAAAGCGCGAUCUGGAGAAGGAAUCUAAAAUGCACCAAGAUGGUGAUGUUGGCCUAGUUGGGGCCAUGACUACUCUCAAGGCGCAACACGAACUUCUCUAGGAGUGGUCUAAUGCGGCACGACCUCUGGCUGACAUGGUGGAGCCCUCUAAGGAAGGAGUAGAGCCUCGUCCCCUGCUGGAAAGGGUUAGGGAUGCGCCAGCAAAGAUUAAGGCGUGGCCAAGUCGGUGUCCAAGCAGCUGCUGGGAUUCGUAAAGUUGUUCUAUCCCAAGGCUGACCUUACUUAUCAGCAAUACUUGGAAGAAUUGGACCCUAUAGCCAAGGAAGUAGCCAAAUUCAUCAACCUGCAGUAGUCUUCUGGGUUCAUUUUGGUUGUAACUGCUCCUGAACUUUGUGUCUUUGAACAAUGAUCUUUUAGAGGAACUGAAAUAUUGUAUUGCAGUUUCCGACUAGUGCAGCCGUGAUGAUCCUUAGUACUACUUUGCUGAGCAUUUGUUUAUUGCUGACUUGACUUGUGAGCUCGGCUGAUGAGUAAUCAGUGGUAGCUUACUACUCGUAGCCUCACAAAGGAAGUAGUCAUCCUUUUUCUCUACAUUAUUGCGAGCGUGCCCGAGAGGACACACGAGAACAUUGUGCCUUUGUCCUUUGUGCCUGCAUUAUUGCAAGCGUAUCCGAGAGGACGCACGAGAGUACUAUGCAUACCUUGUCAUUUUGCAAUUAGGAUGGAUCACAUGCGAGCGUUUACUCUGGUCGGUUGGCUCUGCACGUGGGUAUUGUACUGGUGCCAGGCGGUGGGGUAAGUUUUGCAUUGUGUAGUCACAAGUGUGUGGCGGUGAUUGUUGGAUGGUAGCUUGUCUUCCUGGCUAUAAAUAGAGCUCCAUCUACCUCUGUGAAAAGCACAGCUCAGGUUAUAGCAAUAGUUGGCCUUUGGCUUCUUCUCUUUGAUGGUUGCGAGCUUCCAAUGAGCGAUCUGGUGCUAGAAGAUUCCUUGUAUUGCGGUUCCACAUUCCCUCCAUAGAUCCUAGAGCUGAGUCUGGUGGUUGUGAUGCUAGAAGAAUCCUUGUAUGAGCAAGCACCAUGUGAUAGAGUCGGAGUGCCCAAUCUUUCGGUGAGUGGAGAUAAAUUCGACCUGGUGGAAGUAGACCCUCACGAUCCGACUACGACGAGCGAACCCGAAGCGCCAAUGCAAUCGCUGAACCAACUUCCUGUGGUUACCAACCUUCCCAGCGCAAGAUCAGCCUGAUCACGAAGAUCGAUUCCUGUCCGCAAUCGAAGAACGAACAAGAAAAAGAGGCGAGCAAUCCAAAUAUCACUCGAAGGUGGAGUUCUGAAUCACACAAGGACAGCGCGUAUUUGCGCGUGUUCAAGAGUAGCUAAAGCUAGAUGUAAAACAAAACUCAAGUCGUAAACAAAAAGGACUCCACUUACAUCUAGAUGUAAAACAAAACUCAAGUCAAAUUUAUCUCCACUCACCGAAAGAUUGGGCACUCCGACUCUAUCAAGUGGUAUCAGCUUUCCAGGUUGAUCGGUGAGUUUUACCGAUUGUUUUUCCCUUCCUCCAGUCCACAAAACCCAAAAGAAAUUUUUUUCAGGUUAGAUCCUUGUCCCAGCAACCGUUUAGCCUCGCACAUUCUUUCAAUAAGUGUCGUUGUUGAAUUUGUGUGCCUACUCGUUCAAUUGUUGCUGGUUACUUGUGUUUAAUCUCUUAUUUCUCGUUUUCCCUCUAACCCUAGUUUUCGCUGCCGCCGCCGUUCCGCUGCUCGCCAACCCUACCACGCCGUGCCCACCGCCCCCCACUCGCGACAACCGCGCCGCGCCAUCCCACCCCUCCGAUCGCCCCCUCCCCUGUCCAAGAAAAAAGGGUCGAAAGCAAUCAAACAAAAAAAGGAAAGAAGCAAAAAAAAAGACAUCAAACAGGGUGAAGGAAGGUGAUCCGGUUUACUCUAGAGAGAGAGAGAGAGAGUGUGUGUGUGCCACAAUUUGCUGUUUAAGAUCCUUGUGUUCAUAUUAUCAGUUUUGGGGCACCCUCUGUGAAAAAAAAACAGAAAAAAAAACAAAACAAAAGAGGUGCGCCCUCUCCACCUUGGCCGUUUCUUUGCCUCUGUUCUUUUGAUUUCCCUUGUUACCAGCAACUCUUGUUACGUGUUUGGCACUAUAUUUCAACUUUGCAUUAUUGUUUGAUUGUGCUAAUCCUUCAUUUGAGUGUAGCCUUCCCAGAACUCCACAUAGUUCUACGACGAGCAUAUUUUGUUUCUCCAGGCAAUCGCUCCUCCAAUCUUUCGCGAGUUCCACCGGUUGGUUGCAGUUCGCCCCUGUGUGCGUGGUAAGAACGGAUAAGAAUUUGAUAACAGCACUAGUGUGAGCGCCUUGUGAGCCGUUACACCCCUGUGUUGUCGUUGCUUUUGUUCUUGUAUUUGCGCUAACCAUGGCAGAUGAUGUCAACGCGGGGGCUAACCAGCUGCAGGGCAUACGGGCACAAGUUGAAGGGCUUGUCACCGACAUUCAGACGAUUCAUGAACGGCUGGACUCGACGAUCUCCUCGACGACCGAGCAGUGUGAUCAGCUCGACCUUGCACAGACGGCCGCUAAGGCCACACUCGACUCAGUUGUGGCAAGACUCGAUGCAUUGCACACAACAGUCGCAGAGUUGCAGCAGGGUUAUGGUGGUGACUCGGACCAGGACGAUGGCGACCGCCAAGGCCGUGCCCGCCGCGUGCCACGCCGUCCCGGUAAUGAUUCCUUUUCCAAGAUUAAAUUUAAAAUUCCUCCUUUUAAUGGCAAAUAUGAUCCUGCUGCAUAUCUUGAUUGGGAAUUAGAAGUUGAACAGAAAUUUUCAUGCCAUGACAUUCUUGCUAAUUCUCAAGUUAAAGCUGCUAUUAGUGAAUUUACUGAUUUUGCUUUAAUUUGGUGGCGUGAAUAUAAACACAAACAUCCCAAUACCAUUCCAACCACUUGGGAGCAAUUAAAAACUGCUAUGCGCCACAGAUUUGUGCCUUCUUAUUAUGCCCGAGAUUUGCUUAAUAAAAUGCAACGUUUUCAGCAAGGUUCCAAAUCUGUUGAGGAAUAUUUCCAGGAAUUACAAAUAGGCAUGAUUCGUUGUGGGUUAUUGGAGGAAAAUGACGCCGCUAUGGCACGUUUUCGUGGUGGUUUGAACCGCGAAAUUCAGGAUAUACUUGAUUAUAAGGACUACAUAGAUAUGACAACAUUAUUUGAAUAUGCUUGCAAAGCUGAACGUGAAGUGCAGGGACGCCGCUCGAAGACAUAUUCUAACUCUUUUGCAGGAAGAAGCUCGACAUCCAACUCCGCACCCGCCCUCCCUGCGCCACCCACGCCCACCACUACACCACGCGAGCGAACGGCCAAACCUGCAAGCGCUGCCCCUUCCACAGGCGCCACCCCUCCCAUAGGCCGUACACGGGAUAUUCAGUGUCAUCGUUGCAAAGGAUUUGGCCACGUGAUUUGGGACUGUCCGAACAAGCGCACUUUGCUUCUUCGUGAUGAUGGUGAGUACUCUUCCGCUAGUGAUUCUGAAGAUACUCGACAUGCGAUGCUUGCCACUAACCAUGCAGCUAUGGAGGUACAUGUCAACCCGGGCGACGCCGAUAGGUAUGAAAGUCUUGUUGUGCAGCGUGUUCUUAGUACACAGGUCGCCCCGUCCGAGAAGAAUCAGCGACACACUCUUUUCCAUACCAAGGGCGUUGUGCAGGAACGGUCGAUCCGCAUCAUCAUCGACAGCGGCAGCUGCAACAAUUUGGCGAGUACCACGCUGGUUGAAAAGUUGUCUUUACCCACUCGUAAGCAUCCACAUCCAUAUCACAUUCAAUGGCUUAAUGAUGGUGGGAAAAUUAGAAUUACUCGAUCAGUCCGUGUUCCUUUCUCCAUGGGUGCUUAUUCUGAUUUUGUCGAUUGUGAUGUUAUUCCCAUGGAAGCAUGCUCUCUGUUACUUGGGCGACCUUGGCAAUAUGAUACUGAUAGCUUGCAUCAUGGUCGUUCAAAUCACUAUUCUUUCAUGUUUAAGGGUCAGAAAAUAAUUAUACAUCCAAUGACACCUGAACAAAUUCUUAAAGAUGAUCUUGCUAGAGCUGCUAAAACUGCUAAACAACUUGACGCAUCGCCAUCUGUUAAUUCUGAAAUCAAGUUGAAUGCUCCUGUUUUGCUUGCCACACGUGCUGAUUUUGAUGAGUUACGCGAUGCUCCUUUGCCAUGCUAUGCCCUUAUAUGCUCUAGUGUGCUCGUUUCACUUGAUGAUGCACCAUCUUUGGAUAUUCCCCCUGCGGUUGCUAACAUUUUGCAGGAGUACGCUGAUGUCUUUCCAAAAGAUUUGCCACCGGGACUUCCACCACUUCGUGGCAUUGAGCACCAGAUCGACCUCAUUCCCGGCGCACAGCUUCCGAACCGCGCACCGUACCGUACAAAUCCGGAUGAGACAAAGGAAAUCCAGCGCCAGGUACAGGCGUUGCUUGACAAGGGUUAUAUUCGUGAGUCUCUUAGCCCUUGCUCCGUUCCCGUGUUACUUGUUCCCAAGAAAGAUGGCUCAUGGCGUAUGUGUGUAGACUGUCGUGCUAUUAAUAACAUUACCAUUCGCUACCGAUACCCUAUACCACGCCUUGAUGAUAUGCUAGAUGAGCUUAGUGGUGCCAUUAUUUUCACUAAGAUUGAUUUGCGUAGUGGCUACCAUCAGAUUCGCAUGAAAUUAGGUGAUGAAUGGAAAACGGCUUUUAAAACAAAAUUUGGGUUAUAUGAAUGGUUGGUUAUGCCGUUUGGUUUGACAAAUGCUCCCAGCACAUUUAUGCGUUUGAUGAAUGAAGUUCUGAGGCCCUUCAUAGGAUUGUUUGUAGUUGUCUAUUUUGAUGAUAUCCUCAUUUACAGCAAGUCUAUGGAAGAGCAUUUAGAACAUUUGCAUGCUGUUUUUGAUGCGUUGCGUGCGGCCCAUUUAUUUGCUAACCUCGAAAAAUGCAUGUUUUGCACACAACGUGUCUCGUUUCUUGGCUAUGUUGUUACUCCACAGAGCAUUGAGGUGGAUAGCAGCAAGAUUGAUGCCAUUCGGGAGUGGCCUACACCGACGACGGUCACACAAAUUCGAAGCUUUCUUGGCCUUGCAGGUUUCUACCGCCGGUUUGUUCGUGAUUUUAGCUCCAUUGCAGCGCCUCUACAUGAGCUUACAAAGAAGGAUGUUCCCUUUGUUUGGAGUGAUUCGCAAGAGGUUGCGUUCAGCACCUUGAAAGAUAAGUUAACCAAUGCUCCUCUCUUGCAGUUGCCUGAUUUUACUAAAGUGUUUGAGCUUGAAUGCGAUGCUAGCGGUAUUGGGCUAGGUGCUGUUUUGUUACAAGAAGGAAAACCGGUUGCUUACUUUAGCGAGAAAUUAAGUGGUGCUAGCUUGAAUUAUUCUACUUAUGAUAAGGAGCUUUAUGCUUUAGUGCGCACUUUGCAUACUUGGCAGCACUACCUUUGGCAUUGCGAGUUUAUAAUUCAUUCUAAUCAUGAGGCUUUAAAACAUAUUCGUACCCAAACAAACCUGAACCGUCGUCAUGCUAAAUGGGUAGAAUUCAUUGAGUCUUUCCCUUACAUUAUUAAACACAAGAGCGGGAAGGAAAAUGUCAUUGCUGAUGCUUUGUCUCGUCGCUAUACCAUGCUGUCACAGUUAGAUUUUAAAAUCUUUGGCUUGCAAACUGUGAAGGAUCAAUAUGUGGAUGAUGCUGAUUUUAAAGAUGCUUUCACCCACUGUAUUCAUGGCAAAUCAUGGGGCAAAUUUCACAUACAGGACGGGUUCCUGUUUCGCGCUAACAAGCUGUGUGUUCCAGCUAGCUCGGUUCGUCGUUUGUUGUUACAGGAAGCGCAAGGAGGCGGUCUCAUGGGGCACUUUGGCGUCUACAAGACGCAUGAAGUGCUGGCUGCCCACUUCUUUUGGCCCCGGAUGCGCGCUGAUGUUGAGCGCCUUGUUGCACGCUGCACUACUUGCCAAAAAGCUAAGUCACGAUUGAACAACCAUGGUUUGUACAUGCCCUUGCCUGUUCCUACUUCCCCUUGGCUUGAUAUUUCUAUGGACUUUGUUUUGGGAUUGCCUAGAACUAAGAAGGGGAGGGACAGUAUUUUUGUGGUUGUUGAUCGUUUCUCCAAAAUGGCUCAUUUUAUACCUUGUCAUAAGACUGAUGAUGCUAGCAAUGUUGCUGAAUUGUUCUUUCGCAAGAUUAUUCGUUUGCAUGGUAUUCCAAAUACAAUAGUCUCUGAUCGUGAUGCUAAGUUUCUCAGUCAUUUUUGGAGAUCACUGUGGAAUAAAAUGGGAACUAAAUUGCUGUUUAGCACCACUUGUCACCCUCAGACUGAUGGACAAACUGAGGUGGUUAAUCGAACCUUGUCCACCAUGCUUAGGGCUGUUUUAGAUAAACACUUGAAACGUUGGGAAGAUUGCUUGCCUCAUGUUGAGUUUUCUUAUAAUCAUGCAACACAUUCUUCUACAAAGAUGUGUCUCUUUCAGAUUGUUUAUGGUUAUAUUCCUCGGGCGCCUAUUGAUUUGUUUGCGCUUGAUGCCGAGGACGUCCCACACAUAGAUGCCGCUGCACAUGUUGAUCAAAUGAUUAGCUUGCAUGAGCAAACUCAACAAAACAUUGCUGCUGCUAAUGCUAAAUAUCAGGUUGCGGGUAGUAAAGGGAGGAAACAUGUUACUUUUGCACCGGGUGAUCUGGUUUGGUUGCAUUUGAGAAAGGAUCGUUUUCCUACUUUACGUCGUUCUAAAUUGAUGCCCCAUGCUGCUGGUCCUUUUAAAGUGCUAACCAAGAUUAAUGAUAAUGCUUAUAUCCUUGACCUGCCUGCGGAGUUUGGUGUUUCCACGAGUUUUAAUGUUGCAGAUUUGAAACCGUAUGUGGGCGAAGAUGAGGAGUUGCCGUCGAGGACGACUUCAGUUCAAGAAGGGGAGGAUGAUGAGGACACCACGAGUACAUCUACACCAGCAGCACCUCAGGCGCCUCUAGUUGCUCCUCCACCUCAGGCGCCUACAGUUGAUCAUCCAGUUGGGCCAAUCACUCAAGCCCGUGCGAGAGAAUUAAACUUCAUCAUGGUGUUAAGGAACGAAGGCCCAUCGGAAUAAGAAGAUGGCCCAACAAGGCAGCCCAGGUGGGGCGCCUAGGGUUGGGCGCGCGUGACCCCUCCGGACUCCAGGGGCUGCGCCCCCUUUAUUUAGUCGGAGUCCUUUUUGUUUACGACUUGAGUUUUGUUUUACAUCUAGCUUUAGCUACUCUUGAACACGCGCAAAUACGUGCUGUCCUUGUGUGAUUCAGAACUCCACCUUCGAGUGAUAUUUGGAUUGCUCGCCUCUUUUUCUUGUUCGUUCUUCGAUUGCGGACAGGAAUCGAUCUUCGUGAUCAGGCUGAUCUUGCGCUGGCAAGGUUGGUAACCACAGGAAGUUGGUUCAGCGAUUGCAUUGGCGCUACGGGUUCGCUCGUCGUAGUCGGAUCGUGAGGGUCUACUUCCACCAGGUCGAAUUUAUCUCCACUCACCGAAAGAUCGGGCACUCCGCCCUGCUCUCUAGAUGUAUCGACGCUGGAGCUCGCUGGCGGAAAAAAGCGAGCGUCCUGGUUUUUAUCCAGCCAUCUUGUUGAGGAUGGUGGUGUGGUUCCGACUGCUCCCUCUCUCUGAAGUUUCUUCGGGCAAGGCUCAAGUACAUGAUGUGUACUCGUAGUCCUGUUUCGGGUGUUUGUGGAAGGGAGAGGGUGGUGAUGCUGGAUGAGAGGACACGGGUGUUGUAUGCCCCGAUCUACAUCCAGGUCACCAUCAAGGGGAGGAGUAGGGCAUAGCUUCCUAGAGUGUAGCUUUCUUGCGUGCACUUCCUUCUCCUUGACGCUUCUUGCUCCUAGUGUUGGAGUAGUCUCCAGGCUCAUCCGCGCAUGCUUGGCGUGAUAUUGUAAAAGCCUGGGACUUCUAAUGUAAUCACCAGUAGGCAGUUGCUUACAGUUUUUGUUGAGCACUUUUGUUGUACUCUUGACGUUCCAACUUCUUGGGGUGGAAGCAUUGAUGUAAUCCUGCAAGAUUUGUUAAUACGAAAAAUGCAUAUAUGAGAUAAAUAGUCAAAAUGAGUAGUCUUGUGUACUCUUCCGUCGACUUGUUAGCUUGUUGCCCUACUAGUUUGUCUUUACAGAUUGUUGGAUGAGUUGAAUAACUCACUUAGACUUAUGAAUACAAGCCAAGUUGGGGUGUUAUGGCCUAGUGAGCAUACUAGCUCAUGGUUGCUAUUGACCUGCCUUUGCGAGCCGCUAGGUGAGUUGAUUAACUCAAGUAGACUUGUGACUACAAGUUGAAUUGGGGUGUUGAGGCCCUGAGAGCUGAAUAGCUCAUGGUUGCAGCUGACCCACCUUUGCAAGCCGCUUGGUGAGUUGAAUAACUCAAGUAGACUUGUGACUACAAGUCGUACUAGGGCGCUAAGGCCCAGAGAGCUGAAUAGCUCAUGGUUGCAGCUGACCUGCCUUUGUGAGCCGCUUGGUGAGUUGAAUAACUCAAGUAGACUUGCAACUACAAGUCGUACUAGGGCACUAAGGCCCUAAGAGCUGAAUAGCUCAUGGUUGCAGCUGACCCGCCUUUGCGAGCUGCUUGGUGAGUUGAAUAACUGAAUUAGACUUGUGACUACAAGUCAUACUAGGGCCCUAAGGCCCAAAGAGCUGAAUAGCUCAUGGUUGCAGCUGACUCACCUUUGCGAGCCGCUAUUUGAGGCGAGGAUAUAUAGUCGGCUGCCACCAAAAAAUAAUUGCAUAAAAAAGGUUGAGGCCAGUGGCCUGUGUACAAUGUCCUGUAGUCUAAUAACUAGGGUAGAAAUGACAGAGAUGCUCGAUGUUCCACGAGUUCUCGAUGUCUUCGCCGGAGAGAUGCUGUAGCCCAUAGGAUCCUGGGCCUGUGGCCUUGGAUAUGAUGUAAGGCCCCUCCCAUGGCGAAUUGAGUUUGUGCAGCCCUGUGGUGUCUUGGAUACACUUGAGGACCAUGUCACUGAUGUCGAAGGAAUGUUUUUUGACAUUGUGACCAUGGUAAUGGCGGAGUCCUUCAAGGUACCUUGCUGACUGGACGAGUGCCGCACAGCGGGCUUCUUCUAGACUAUCUAUGUCUAGAUGCCUUGUUUCUUCUACCGCGCCUUCUUCGUAUUGUUCAUAUGAGAGACUUUCACAUGAUGUCGGUAGGGAAGUAUGGCUUCUAAUCCGUACACCAAAAAGUAGGGUGACCGCCCUGUAGGCUUGCACGGUUGAGUACGCAGCCCCCAGAGAACGUUGGGUAGUUCUUUGAGCCACUUGCCUCCUAUGGUGUUACCAAUGUCGUGUAGCCUUUUCUUCAGAGCUUCCAGUAGCAUCCUGUUGGCACGCUCGACUUGGCCGUUGGCUCUUGGGUGAGCAACAGAGACAUAACGAAUGUCAAUUUUGCUAUUUUCACAGUACUCUCAGAAUUCGUGGUUGUUGAAAUUGGAGCCUAAAUCCGUGAUGAUCCGGUUCGGGAAUCCAUAGUGGUGGACGAUCUCAUCGAGGAAGUCGAGUACUCUGUCUGCUUUGGGGCAGGUGAUAUGCUUCACUUCAAUCCACUUGGUGAAUUUGUCGAUGACUACGAGUACUCGAUUGAAUCCUCUAGGUGCAGUUGGGAGUGGUCCAAUCAUGUCGAGCUCCCAGCAUGCGAAGGGCUAUGUUGGAGGUAUCGUGAUGAGCUUGUAGGCAGGAACAUGUUGUUGCUUUGCAAAGAAUUGACAACCUUAGCAUUGACAAACUAGUGCCUCUACAUCAGCUAGUAUAGUAGGCCAGUAAAACGCUGCUUUGAAGGCCUUGCCUACUAUCAUGUGCGAAGAUGUGUGGUUGCCACAGAUCCCUUUGUGUAUUUCCUCCAAUAUGUCCUUGCCAUCUUCUCGUGUGACGCACUUCAUGAGUACUGCUGCAGAUGCGCCUCUUAUGUAUAGCUUGUCUCCAAUGAGUACAUAGCCUUUGCUUCGCUGUAAGACUUGUUCUGCUUGCGUUUUGUCUGAGAGUAGUUUGUGCUCUUUAAUAUAGUCAAUAAAUGGUGUUCUCCAAUCCACAUCAAUCAUCAUAACCUCCCAGUCUAGUUCUAUGGGACCGCAAUCGGUGGCUGCUGAGGGUGCCUACUUUGUGAUGGAUGUCUUGCGAAGUUCGUGGAUGAAGACUCGUGCUGGAACUUGAGCAUGUGUUGAACCCAUCUUGGACAGCACGUCCAUAGUGACAUUGUUGUCACGAAAAAUGUGAUGGAACUCUAGGUCUGAAAAUUUAUUUUCCAGCUUGCGUACUUCUUUGCUGAUGACUACUAGCGAGUCGCCGUAGACUAGUACUCUCUUGAUCCCUAGGGAUACUGCUAGGUGUAACCCAUGUAGUAGCGCUUCGUACUUGGCUUCGUUAUUGGGUACCUCCCAGAAUAUCUGGAGAACAUAUUCGAGUUGUUCACCUUUGGGGGAUAUCAAGAGUACUCCUGCGCUGAUGCCUUUGAGCUUGAGUGACCCAUCAAAGUACAUGACCCAAUGCUUUGGGUGUUUUGCUGGUGUUGGUAGUUGAUUUUCUCUCCAUUCUACAAUGAAAUCGACUAGAGCCUGGGAUUUGAUCGCGGUUCGCGGCCUGAACUCAGAGGAGAGCUCCCCGAGUUCUACUACCUAUUUGGAAAUUCUUCCUGUGGCAUCUCGAUUAUGGAGAAUUUCACCUAGGGGGAAAUCAGUGACCACGGAGAUCUUGUGUUCCUAAAAGUAGUGUCGCAGUUUCCGUGAGGUGAGUCGUAUAGCGUAGAGCAACUUUUGGACCGGUGGGUACCCGGUCUUGGAAUCUAAGAGUGCUUCGCUGAUGAAGUAGACUGGUCUCUAGACUUUGUAUAUGUGGCCUGGUUCCAACCUUUCGGCUACUAUUGCCAUGCUUACAACAUGAGUAGUAGCAGUGAUGUAUAACAACAAGUCUUCGUUUGGAGUUGGCGCUGUGAGGAUUGGUGGCUUUGAUAGGAAGUCUUUCAACUGUAGUAGAGCUUUAUCCGCCUCCUCUAUCCAUUGGAAUUUGUCUUGCCAUUUGAGUAGUUUGAAGAAGGGGAGGCCCCGUCCUCCAAGCCUUGAAAUGAAUUUGUUAAGGGUCGCCAUGCAUCCUGUCAGCUUCUAAACGUCCAUAAUGCUGGACGGAGCUUGCAUAUUGGUGAUGGUGGUGAUUUUCUCAGGGUUUGCUUCAAUGCUUCUAUGGCUGAUGAUGAACCCGAGUAGUUUCCUUGACGGUACAUCAAAGACGUACUUUGUAGGGUUUAGUUUCCACCAGAAUGCUCGCAGGCUGGUGAAGGCCUCUUCCAAGUCUGCGAUAAGAUCAUCUGGAUAUCUGGUUUUGACUACCACGUCUUCCACCUAUGCUUCCACAUUGCGGUGGAGUUGUUUCUCGAAGCACAUCAGGAUGGCGCGUUGAUAUGUUGCUCCUACGUUCUUCAACCCGAAGGACAUUGUUUUGUAGCAGAAAGCUCCAAAAGGGGUGAUAAAUGUAGUUUUGGCUUGGUCUUCUUCCUUGAGAGCUAUCUGGUGAUAUCGUGAAUAGCAAUCCAUGAAGCAGAGUAAUGCACAUCUAGCUGUAGAAUCGACAACUUGUUCAAUCCUUGGGAGCCCAAAGGGAUCCUUAGGAUUAUGCUUGUUGAGGUCUGUGUAGUCCACGCACAUCCUCCAUUCAUUGUUGUUCUUCUUGUGGACAAGGACUGGGUUGGCAAGCCACUCAGGAUGGAAGACAUCUUUUAUGAAGCUUGCUGUGAGUAGUUUUACUAGCUCUUUCUUGAUGGCUUCUCUUCUGUCCUAGGCGAAUCUGCGUAGUCGCUGUCUCUUUGGAGUAGCUUUAGGAUCUACGUUGAGAGAGUGCUCAAUCUACUCCUUGGGCACACCUGGCAUAUCUGCCGGUUUCCAUGCGAAACUAUCUCGAUUUGCCCAAAGGAAGUUGACGAGCGCGCUUUCCUAUUUGGCAUCCAGCCCUAUGCCAAUCAGGACUGUCUUGGCGGAGUCGCUGUUCUCAAGGUCAAUGGCUUUGAAGUCCACAUCACUUGUUAGAUUGACUUUAGUAGCUCCUGACUUGUUCUCCAAAAUUUCGAUUUCUACUAGGGAGAGCUUUUUUGAAGUGGUGAAGACUUGUUGUAUCAAGUUGGGCACUUGAGUAGUCACCGCCAACUCAACAGCUUCUCUGUCACAUUCGUAUGAUCUUCGUAAGUCUCCACAGAGGGAGAGUACUCCCUUGGGUCCUAGCAUCUUCAGGAGUAGGUAAACAUAGUGUGGGAUUGCCAUGAACUUAGCCAGUGCUGGUCUUCCGAGGAUAGCGUGAUAAGAAGUCUCGAAGUCCUCUACCUCGAACCGUAUGUACUCUGUGCGGUAGUGCUCCUUAGUCCCGAAGGUAACCGGUAGGACUACUUGUCCAAGCGGUAUAGCUGCGUUGCCUCGGACGAUCCCAUAGAACAGAGAGUUCGUUGGGUUGAGCAUGUUAGUAAUGUCGAGUCCCAUCUUCUUUAGAGUUGUGACAAAAAUGACAUUGAGACCAUUGCUGCCAUCGAUGAGUACUUUGGUGAGUCUUGAGCCAGCGACAAUUGGGUCCAAGACGUGGGGGAACCGUCAUGGUUCUAAAAAACUUGUCCAUUGGUCUUUCUUGGCGAAGGUAAUCUGUACCUCGGACCAGUUGAGGGGUGCGGGAGUAGCGAGCUCAAUGGACAUGAUCUCUCCGAGUACUAUUUUCUGGGACCACUUAGAGGAAGUGCCUGGGAUCCCGCUGAAGAUGACAUUGACGGUCUUGGAUGGGGUCUAGAACUUGUUUUCACCAUCUUCGCCUUUGUCUACCUUGCCUUUCCCCUUGUCACUUUUAUUGUUCGGGGGUUCUGGCAAAUCUUGCAUUACCCUGCGCAGGCUGUAACAAUCUAUUGCAGCGUGCUUGUUGUGCGGGUGCCAUAGGCACUGCUUUUUCAGCAGCUGCUCGCUGAAUGCAGGCCUCUCUUCAUUUUUGUUAGAUUCUUUCUUACUUGAGUUCGUCAUUCCUGCAACGGUAUUGUCAGGCUUGAGCUUGUAGUUUUGGUUGCCUGAGUAGUUAUUUCGGUGGUUGCCAUUGCAGUUUCUAUCUUGCUCUUAGUUGUUGCCAUGAUUAUUCUUGUUGUCAUGGCCGUGAUUGCGUUUGAGUCAAACCUCUUGUGUUCUUUAUCCUCCUCAUCUGCCCAUGAUUGGGCCAUGAUCUUGAGUGCCUUGACAUUCACGGGACGACUCCUACAAAAGUCUUGGAACAUGCGGCGAUCAUAGAGGCCGUUCUGGAAGAACUCUAUCAUGUCUAGUUCUGAGAUGUCCACAAUUGUGGCCUUUUUGUCAAAGAAAAUGAUGUACAUAGCUGCGUAGUGACUCAUCUCGUUGCUGCUUGACUUGUGCCAAGUCUAUUCUGUUACCGGGACGAUGCAUUGCCCCUGCGUAGUUGCUAGUGAAAGCUCAUUUCAAGUCUUGCCAGGAUUUGAUGGAAUUGGACUUCAAGGAUUCGAGCCAGGUCAGUGGCGCAGUUUCCAUGUAUAAAGGAAAGUAGAUGACCUUUGUGUCGUCAGUCCCCCCUGUAGCCUGGACCACUAGAGAGUAGCAGCAGAUCUUGUUUGCCAUUGUAUUUCGAGAUACCUAGGGGUUUGAAUUUGUUUGGUAAGAUUGUGCUCCUAACCCGAUUUGAAAAGGUGGGAAAGUGAUCAUUGUCAUCACCGUUGUAGUCUUCUUCAAGUUCAUGCUCCCUACACCGGUUGUUGAUGAUGUUGCAUGCAUCACGGUUGCUGUUGAUUUUGUUCCUGAGAUCAGCAUUGAUGAGCGAGGGUUCAAGGUCAGCUCUAUGGCGGCGAGUGCCUCCCCUAGAAGUUGUUCAACUACCCUUAGGCAUUUCUCUAUAUUUGUCUUGGGGUUUUGAGUACAUCUCUGUUUUGCCUCGAAGCCCGAAUUACGCCCCCGUGUUGUCUGGUGUUUUCGCAUGGUUGAGCUGAAGGCCCUGCAUGGUCUCUGUUGCUGCCAUGCUGACUACGCCCCGACGGGUAUGAGAUAUCGAUGGAAUUGGAGUCGCUCUAUCGAGUAGUUCAUAUGCGUGUUCAGCCAGUUGUACUAUCAGAGUAUUGUACUUGUCUUGAGGCAUAGCACGAGUAAUGAGGUCGAUAGAGGCAAUGGUGGCGAGUGGCGUAUUAUGUUGCUGUGUUUGCACUGCUUCGAAUGCUCUAUCGAGGUUCAUAAUUGGGAGCUGGGCGGUUAGUUUAAGAUGCCGUUCUGCUCUUUGACCGUUUCUUGCCCUCCGCCGAGUCCUUUGGCUUUCAGUUUCUUCAAUGACGUUGGCACAUAAUUCAUCUUGUGAGACAUCAUCUGGGUGACGCUCUCAUCGGGUGGUUCUUGGGUGAUGUUGUUCGCCUUCUUCCCCGUUUGUGAUUAAAGCAAAGAGUUCUCUUUCUGGAGUAUAGCUGCCAUAGCUUGAAGUGAUGACUUUUGUACAGCCAUCUUCUUCAUAGAUUGGUGACAGGGGUGUUCCCUCUUGGCAUGGUAGGAUUUCAAGGUUGGCGAUCAUUCGUGACUUGUCAUUCUAGUCAAGGAAGUACGGCUUCAUGCCUGGCAAGUAGAUGAAUCUGCCUUGGGGAGUUGAAGUAAUGACCAGGCCUUGCUGUGGACCUGAUAAAGGGAUUUCUUUGAUGGAAUCCGAGUAGAAGUCGAGGUUGUGGUCCUCAAUCACCUCUGAUCUGGAGUGAUGGAGUUGCUUGAUAAACCAAAGCCGCGUUUCGAAGUCAAAAUGGGAAUUGAUUUGGAGUUUGAUUCGGUCCGCACGAUGACUUGUUUGCCUGCUCAUGGCAGCCAAUCCGCGUUGUUGUAGAGUCUGAGUUAUACUUGAGCUUGGUGUUUGUCAAAUUGAAAAUUUUGCUCAAUUUCUUGAUGAAAUCCUUCUGUAACAACCCUAGGUUAGCUAAACCUUGUUUAAGCCUAAAUGAAGCAAUUAACAGCUAAUUAAACAAGUCAAGGGUCAACUUUUGCCACUAAGAGCUUAAAAGGUGAUUAGUCCAUAAUUUAAAAUUUUAUAUAAGAACCUGAAAUUUUGUCCAAGAGGUGUAGAACUCAUCUUCCCUAACAACUUUUGUUUUAGGCAUUUUGUUUGAAUCUGAGCAUAAAGCUUUCAAAUACUCGGAAUUAAAAUCAGUGGCAAUUUAAGAAAAACAUGAAAAACCCCAUAUUUGCAGUCCUUUUUCUCAAAAUUUCUAAUAUAAGCUCAAGUCAAACCUUAUAAGAAAGUUUUAGUGCUACGAGCCCUUAACAACUUUGAUUUUUGGAGCUAGGCCAAAACUUGCACAAAAGGUUUUCAAAAUUGAGGUCACACACAGCCAAUUUGGUCAAUCCAGCACAAUUCUUAAAUUUCUCUAAGUCUGACUUUUGGCACGUUCUAGUAAAGUUUGGAGAUUUCUAAGUUCAAAAUCAAACAGUUUUUGACCAAACACCCUUUGUAACUUUUGAACCUGGAUGUGAGCUCUACAUGUCGUAGAAAGGUAACUUUUCAAGUGCCGUUCAAAAAUCCGAAGUAAGGUCCCAAAGACCGGCCCUUCGCUUUGACCCGCGAAUCCCUCGCGCCCCUGCUUGUGCCAGAGCGCGUGCGUCGCACGCUCUGCUCACCACCCGCCGCAUGGCUCCCGCUCACCGGCACCGUGCCAUCACCCAACCCACGCCCGCGAGCUGACCCGACGAGCGCUGCCUCGCCCUAUUGCGUCGCCUGCCCGCCCCAUCCCUGCCCGAGCCCCGCUAUGCCCUAUCCCGGCACUGCAGUGCGCGCGCGCCCUGCUGCACGCACCCGACACCGGCCACCGCCACCUUCGCCCAACCGGCGCCCUGGACAGCGAUGCAACGGAACCCAGCCCCACGCAACGGCUCCCCCACUCACUACCCGACCUCAUCACCUCACCCGGCAGCCUCUUCUCGCACUCACUCCACCUCCCCAAGCCUCCUGUCUCCGAACCAAAACUCCUAGUGCCAUUUGCAAACAACAGAGCUCUAGCAUUUCCCUAUGUUCGCCAGAAAAAUCCUCCACGCUCCGUCCAUCUCCCUCCAAUAGCCCGCGCCUGAAGCUCCUCCACUUCCUCAGCCAUGCCCUCAACCACUCCCCGUCGUCCGCCGUCCACGGAGCCAUCGGAAAUCGUAGUUUUCCCCAACUCCAGGAACUCCACCCGCCGCCCCUUGCCUCACCGUGGCACCCCAUGCUCUAGCCAUCAUCAUCCCCAACCAAGUGCUCAAAUCGAACCUAGGUGAGGCCUGGUGCUCAUGCGCAUGCUUGUUCUUCUUGUUGGCCCGCUCACCGGCACCGUGCCAUCGCCCAACCCACGCCCGCGAGCUGACCCGAUGAGCGCCGCCUCGCCCUAUUGCAUUGCCUGCCCGCCCCAUCCCUGCCCGAGCCCCGCUAUGCCCUAUCCCGGCACUGCAGUGCGCACGCGCCCUGCUGCACGCACCCGACACCGGCCACCGCCGCCUUCGCCCAACCGACACCCUGGACAGCGAUGCAAUUGAACCCAGCCCCACGCAGUGGCUCUCCCACUCACUGCCCGGCCUCAUCACCUCACCCGGCAGCCUCUUCUUGCACUCACUCCACCUCCCCAAGCCUCCUGUCUCCGAACCAAAACUCCUAGUGCCAUUUUCAAACAACAGAGCUCCAGCAUUUCCCUAUGUUCGCCAGAAAAAUCCUCCACGCUCCGUCCAUCUCCCUCCAAUAGCCCGCGCCUGAAGCUCCUCCACUUCCUCAGCCACGCCCUCAACCACUCCCCGUCGUCCGCCGUCCACGGAGCCAUCGGAAAUCACAGUUUUCCCCAACUACAGGAACUCCACCCGCCGCCCCUUGCCUCACCGUGGCGCCCCAUGCUCCGGCCAUCAUCAUCCCCAACCAAGUGCUCAAAUCGAACCUAGGUGAGGCCUGGUGCUCAUGCGCAUGCUUGUUCUUCUUGUUGGUCGAGUUUCCACGGUCAAUUUUGGUCAUGUCGCCGGCCGGGCGCGGUCUCUCAUCGACGGGUAGGUUAGGGUUGUUUUCUCGGGGAGAUGAGGGCAGGAGGAGGUGCGCUAGACCUUGGGAUCAUUUUGGGGUAGUCACCGAUGAGGGGAAGGGCACAGCCGCGCUGGCAUGGGUGCGCCGCCGCCGGUCCUGCCAUGUUGUGGGCGUUCCUGUGUUCUGAUCUGGAGGUGGAAGGAGAUCAGGGACUUGUUCACGAGAGGAAAAGAAAGCCUAGGGUGUUAUUCAUGAAGUUCUGGAUUUAUGUUUAAGGGGGGAUCUGUCCAGGGGUGUAGGUGCAAAAAUCAGGGACCUUUGCAUGAUUAAACCGUAGACUUGAGGGCUAGAUUGCAAGUUUGCCUCGGUUUUCUUUAUUUCCUAGAUCUAAAAAUGCUGAAACUUUAAAAAGGCAUAGAAAAGUGUAGAAAAAUGCUAAAACUGCAAGAUAAAUUUUGUUAGACUCAAUAUUUUGUGUAGUUUCAUAUAAAAAUAAGUUUGCACAUGUCUCUAUUAGAAUUAAUGUUAUAUGAUUUAAUCCUUGUUUAAGCUAUUUUAAAUCAUAGAAAAUCACAGAAAAAUGCUAAAAAGGUAAUCCAACUCUCAAGUGCUUGUCUCAGAGAAUAGAAGCUUGGAAAAAUGAUUUGGAGCCUAGCUCAGAUGUUUAAGUCUCUAUUUAUUUUUAUAACUACAAUCUAAGAUUUAAAUUAUCUUUUGCACAAUAUUUAAUCCAGAGAGGAGAAAAAAUGUGAAACCACAUGGAGUGGAUCAGUGAUGAAGUAUAGUUCACAAGGAAAGUAUAAAACCUUAUCUGAAAGUAAAUAAAACCCACUCUCCUUUUUAGAUAAAGAUAAAUAGGAGUAAUAUAUGAGAAAUAUAGGUCCUUCACCACAAACUAUGAGAAAUUCACUAAAGGUUGUGUAUCACCCCUAUAACUCACUGUUAAUAUUUCAUGACCAGUUUCAUUAUGGUUUAUAUUUUAAAAUGUUUAAGUAUAUGCUACCUUAGGGUAAUAAAGUAAUUCUAAUUCUUUUUAUGCACCUCCAAUGGACCUAAAUUUUAUGCAGUAGCUUAUCUAUGACAAAGUUGAGUCUUUGUUAAAUUUUUGGCUUCAUAGCUUACUAUUUGAAGAUAGAAAUAAAAUCUGGAAGAUGGACCUAACUAAAUGGAAGAAAGAAACCUUGAGUAAUGAUAAAGGUAAUUUUUGGAAGAGGUACAAAAGAACAUUCAGAAAUAUGAUAACUUUCCACUCUGAAGUUUAAUAAAGUUAAGUUGUAUAUAUGUACACAAUCACCAUCACAUCAACCCUAGGUUUACACCAUAACGCACCUUACCUUAUGCAGAUAAAGAAGGUGUAGAACCUUGUUUAGGUGAAUGUGGUCAUAAUGUAAUUUUAUUCUUCAGUGCUAUUUUGUGUUUUGCAUCCCAUAUGAGAAAGCAUGAAAGUUGAACUUGAUGCAUUUGCAUUUCGUGUAGAGCUGAACCUCGCUGACGGGACAUACGAGCAAGCCGUAGUGGAUCUACAUCAAGUCGGAGCCGAGCCCGUACCGGAGCAAGCCGAGGACCAGUUCGCUAACUCCCCGUGUGAAGGCAAGCCCCGGAGCAUGAUUUCAUAUAUUUAAAUACUUGCAACACAAUGGAUUGCUUUGAUUGCGCAUUUACAUUAUAGGAGUUGAUUGAAACCGUAGAUGCAUGAAUUUAGUACCCUUGAUAUGAACACUAGUAUAUUAAGUCGAGUAGAUGCAAUGCUUAAUAGGACUCGGUAAAAGUCGAGUGAUUUCCUGUCACUCGCGAGUUAUAGGAGUUGAUUGCUUUACUUAUGUUGCAACUAUAAGGAUGAUGGAUGGGGCCGGCCUUAUGUUUAGUACUCAGUGGUUGGCCCUAUCUAUCUACAUGAAAUUGGACUAAGGUCGAGAUGUGAUAGUGUUCGCGAUCAAGUGUUUGAAAGUACUAAUCUCAUACCUAGUAUGGGAUGAGGAAGCCUAGUACCCGAUUGAACCGGGACGUGAGCAGAUCGUUCCACUGUCUCUGGAAACUGAGUUUUCCCCUGGUGCAUCAUGUGGUGAGAAGUGCAGUCAUAGAACGCCAGAGGCUAAGUCUAUGGAGCCUUGUACCAAGGGAAGUGGGCCCGACACGGGUCUGGGAAUUGAUGGGGAUGGCUGACAAAUGAAGUGACCCUUCGCAGUGUGCAGAUGUCGUGGGAUUAGGUUCGUUAUGCAUGGUUAAGAAACUCGAAUUGAUUCGUCUGCCUCUCAUAGUUUGGAACUGCUUGAUCGCUAUGCUACACUGAGUAAGAAUGAAAGAUGAUGAUGAUCUAAUAUGGUUACCUGUACUAAUUGCUUGGAAAACUAUGCUUAUUUAGUAUAUUGCUAACUUAGAUUAUUAAUUUAACGUAGAACUUGUGGCUAAAAUAUUGAAAGUAAGAACCUACACUAGUUGCUUUUGGCAAAAACAAACCUCCUCUAGCCAAAAAGCUUGCAUGUCUAGGUGUUGGUGGAAUAGUACCAUCGGUCGGUUAAGUCUUGUUGAGCGUAGUCGCUCAGCCUUGUUGUGGCACAUGUUUUCAGGUGAUGUUGAUGCCUCUAAGCUCGCUGCAAGUGGCACUUGGCCUCCCCAACUUCCUCCUAGUUGGACGGUUGAGUGGGAUCCUCCUCGAAUGGCGAGGAUCGGGAUCAUUGAUGUCAUCAUCGGAUUCGUUAUGAUAUCCUGCAGCGACGUUUAGCUUCCGCUUAGUUAUUUCAAUUGUUUGAGAACUCUGCAAACUUUGCUUGAAUUUUGAACUUGAGGUUGUAAUAUUUUAAUGCACUUAUUUAAUUAUGAUGGACUGUUGUAAUCUCUGUAACCACUCGCCUUCAUGCGAGUCUUGCUUUCACGAUCCUGAGGUAAGUGGUUUAUUGGAUGAAAUCUGAUGAACGACCGAAUUGACUUAAUUAAAGUACAUGAUCGCGUGUUAAGAGACUUAAGUGUGCUUUAGCCAAGUUAAUUUGGGUAGUUCUGCCACAGCUCCGUAGCUUGUCGAUGAAGGGUGACGUCGAGUUGCUUCUUCUCUAGGGCCUCUGCGAUGUAGUGGUGGAAACCUCCAUCGCCAUUGGCGAUGCAGACCCAGGAGCCGAAGACGAACAUCGCACCGACUUCAAACAUGAUCGUAGGCUUGAUGAUGAUUUGAGCCAUCGAACUUGCCUGGAGAAUUUUGGCGAUUUCCCCUACCUGGCGCGCCAGCUGUCAGUCUUUUGUACCCGGCAACCUAUCAAAGGAGUACCUGAGGUAGAGUUUUAGAUCGGCAACCCGCCUAGGGAGUACCCAAGGUGGUCUUUUGUGCGGUACGUGUCGUCGAGAAUCAAGGAGUCGAUGGUGACGCAAGGAACACGAUUUAGAUAGGUUUGGGCCGCUAGAUCACGUAAUACCCUACAUCCUAUAUGCAGAUUGUAUUGAUCUUGUUCUCUCUGUUGUUCUUUGUUGUUUGGAAGGGGUCCCUGCCCGCCCUUGUAUAGUCGGGGGAGCAGGGUUACAGGGCGGAUUGUGUAUGGGUCCUAGUCGAGUACGUUUACAGAGUCCUAACUCGGUAGAGUAGUUUCCUUCUGACCCGACUAGUCUUCGAGGAAUCCAUGAAGUCUAUGCUCCCUACAGAGUAGUCUUCAUGUCCGAGUAGGUUUCGGGUACAUUCCCUUCAGUGGGCCCGUACAAGUAUUCUGGUGAGCCUAGGGGUGCCUAGCCGACAAGCCCCUGAGUACUUUGUAGUCGAGAGGAAUAGCUCCGAGUACUUGAAGAUGUUGCCCGAGUUCCUCUUUGUGCUCCUUGAGUACUUGAUGCGGCUAACCUUCGAGUACUGGUACUGUCGCGUGACUGGAAGAUACUCUUAGCAGUCCCUGAUGUUUGCUUCGAGUAGUCUUUGCCUUGAAACUUUUUACAUGGUAGUGCAAUGACAAUCGCACUCCAUAUGGAGUAGUCCCCAAGCCUUAGGUUGAAUCAAAGAAUCAGGUUGAGGGUCAAACUUGUAAUUUCGCUUUGACUUAUUUAAGUCUUCAGAAAAAGAAAUCUUUAUCCAAUGGGUAUGGUAUACGCAGCCUCCGAGCACUUGGACGACUACUUGAAGUCAGUGAAGGGAUCAAUCUUUUGGUCAGAGUAACUGUUGGACAUUAUGGUGGUAAAUCUGAGUCGUAUCUGAUCAUUGCUUAAUUAAUGGGUGGAAUCCGGAGAUGUUGCUGAUAUAAUAGGGGGGGCCUAGCGCUAAUUAUUGGCACGCUUGUUUCAGCAGAUCUAUAAUUUGCACCCCUUUUUGCGACCCUAGCUGCUCCUGCUUGCGCCGCCGCUGCCUAUUGUUGCCCUCGCGUGAUCUUUAGGAGAGAAAUUGCUGCGGCCUUUUUCUCCCCCCCCCCCCUUUUUCCUUAAGAUUAGUUGAUGCGUGUCAAGAAUAUGGGCAAGAAACCUGAGAAGAUCUAGGGGAAGGCCCCUGUAACAACACUACCUUAAUUAGGUAUAGUUAAACUUGAGCAAGUCAAUAGUCACUAAGUCAAAGAGGUGAAAUGUCCAAUUUGCCCCUAAAAAGCUCAUUUUGGAAUUAAAUAGGAAACUUGAGUUUUUAUGUACAAACUUAAAUUUUUGCCUAAAUAGGAGUUGUAAAACUUUUAAAUUCAAACAACUUUUAUUAAUAACACUUUGGCUGAUUCGGAGUGAGAGAAGGUCAAAACUAAGUUUUAAAUCAGGAGUGCAUUAAAACCCUACAAAUGACCUAAGUCCUGGAAUUCAUGUUUUUCUUCAAAUUUGCAACCUGUUAUCUCAAUAUUCUGUAUCUAACCUCAAGUCUGGAAAACGUCCAAAGCGCGCAUCUUGGCGAACCUGUUCCUCCAAAAAUCUGAACUGUACUCAAGAAAAGUCCUUAAUAGACGUUGGAGUCCUAAGACCGAAUAACGUUUCCUUCAAUUACACUUUGGCCUGAUUCAAAUGGGAAGCUACUCAAAAUCUGAGCCAAAGUUGGCCAAAAUGCUAAAAAAACAGCAAAACCGAGAUCUGCCUAUGUCCCCGAAGGCCGACGUUCUGCCAAACUUUGUAACUCCAUAGUUUCAAAUUCAUCUCGUUUUCAAGAAAAUUCCUUUUGUAAAGUUUGGAGCUGGAUGUCAGGUCUACAAGUUUUACUUUUGGAGUUUCACGAGUUCUUUUAAAAAGUUUGGAGAAAAGGGCCCCAAAAACCAGCCCUUUUGGCUGCCUCAAAGGGCACCCCACUCAGCGCGCACCAAGAGCGCGCCCGCACAUUCGCCCGUGCGCCACCUGCCGCAUGGCCGCCGUCCACCGGUGAGCUCACCGUUGCCCAACUGGCCACCGCGACAAGACCGUCACGCGCCCGGCUGCUCAGUAGGCGAGCGCGCUUAUCCCACCCCUCGCGUCACGCAUCUCUUCGCUCCGUCCCAAGCAAGCUUCGCCUGCCGGAGGAUGCCACGCCGCCGCCUCGGACCGGCCAAGCUCCGACCGCCUAUCGCCACCCGAACAGCGACAACACCCACGCCUCGCUCCGCCAACCCCCAGUCGUGGCAAAGCUGCGCUUGCACGACCCGUUUUCCCCAAGGCCAAUGACCGUGAGAUCCUAUCCCGCAGUCUCCGCGCCCCGGCCAAUGGUGCCGCCGCCAAUGGAGCUCCAGCCCACAGCCCACCGAACCCUCUGAUCCUAUCCACCCGUGCCUGAAGCUCCGCCUCACUCCCCCUCACCUCCCUGGCCCUAUAUAAGAACUUAUGGCGCCACCUACGCUGCCCUCUGCUACUUCCAGCACUGCCGCUCCCCUAUUUUCCAGCACCGUUGCACGGGUCUCCUGUGGAGCCCCCACCUUCGCGCCACCCCGCACCUCGCUGACACCACCGCUCGCUCCGCCGCACCACCGUGCAUGUCUCCGACCGACUUGUUACCCUCACGGAGCCCCGCCGUCACCGAAACUUUGGCGGGACCCCGCCGCCGAAGCUACUUCUGUCCCCAAGCCGUUCCGCCACUGCCAAGCCUGCUCCGCCGCCCUAACCGCUACCAAUCGACCCUAGGUGAGCCCGCGCUCCUCCUCGGUCACUUGUUGCCCUACUCGAGCCUUACCUUGCCAGAAUUGGGCGAAGAUCGCCGCCGGCCGCCACGAGGACCUAUCUGUGUCAUUUAACUUCUUACAGGGGCCUUAGCGCAAGAACUAGGGACCCCUGCAGAAAUAAACCGUAGACCCGGGGGUUAGUUUGUAAGUUGUUUUUGGUUUAUUGUUUUAAAUCGGCAGAAAAUGGGAUAAACUUUGUAAAUGCACCAUAAAUCGUAGAAAAAUCAGAAAAAUGCAAAACCACUUUUGUUGAACUCAGUAAACUAUCUAGUUUCAUACAAAAAUAAUCUUGUCCAGAGCUGAGAAAAAUGUGAACCACUUGGAGUAGCUUAGUUUUGAAGUGUAGUUUGUAGGAAAAUUAUGGAACCUGGUGAGGAACAGAAAGAAACCCACCUUUCUUUAUAAAGCAUGAUAAAUAGGAGAAAAAUAUGGGAAAUAGAUGUGCUUCUCCAAAAAUCAUGAUAAAUUAACCAAAGUCUCUAUAACACACCUUCAAUCUACUAUUAAAUUUUCACCCUUAGAAUCACUGUAGGUUUGAGAUAAAAAUGGUUAAGUGCAUGCUACCCUUGGUCGUAAAAUACUUCUAAUUUUUUUUGUGGUAAACCAAUGGUUCCCAAAUUUUUAUAGUAACUCAUUCAUGACACAAGUAAGGUGCUAUAAUUUUCUCAGUACCAUAUGUUGCUGUUUGCUUGUGAAACCACAUUUUGGAUAGGAAAUCGGUUGAAGAGAAUAAAAGAAAUAUAAGUCCUAAUGCACCUAAUUGGUAAUUUUUGGAAGAGAUACAAAAAAAACAUUUGGAAGUAAAUACCUCUCCAAAUGAACCCUGAACAACCCCAAACACAACCCCACCUUCUUUAUGCAACUCUAAGUUGUAAGAAUCUUAUAUGUACACAAUCACCAUCAAAGUCAACCUCGAGUUUAAACCACAACCCACCUUACUUUAUGAAGUUAAUGAAAGUUAGAACCUUGUUUAGGUGAAUGUGGCCGAAAUGCAACUUUCUUUCCAGUAAUAAGUCAUGCCUUGCAUCAUUCGUACAAAAGCAUGGACAAAUCUGAACUCUAUGCAUGUGCAUGUCAUGUAGACGCUAAUAUCGCCGACGGAACCUACGAGCUCCACCAUAUGCUGGAAGAGGAACCCGUCGCAGAGCUACACCACGCGGAAGUUGAGCCCGAGCUAGAUCAAGACCCCGAAGACCCGCUAACUUUUCCUGAAGGCAAGCCCCAGUGCAUGUUUCCCUGAUUUAAAUUAUGCAAUAUGUUGAUGCUUAUGAUUGUGCAUUUAUGUUUUUAGGAGUUGGCUGAAACCGUAGAUGCAUGAACUUAGUACCUUGUUUUGAACACUAAUUGCUAAGGCCGAGUAGUUGCUGUGCUAAAAAGGACUCGGUAAAAGUCGAGUGAUUGUCUGUCACUCGCGAGUUAUAGGAGUUGUGUGAUUACUCUUUCUACAACUAUAAGGAUGACGGAUGGGACCGGGAAUGGUUCCGAUGUGGUGGUUUGCCUCGUUUGUCUAGCAAUGAACUUGCUAAGGUCGAAACUUGUCGGCGUUCAUGAUCAAGUAUUUGAAAGUACUAAUCUCAUACCUAGUAUGGGAUAGGGAAGCCUAGUACCUGAUUGAACUGGGGCGUGUCAUACCUCCCCUGCUGUCCUUGGAACGUCAUUCCCAUGGUGCAUCAUGUGGGUGCAAGUGCGGUCAUAGUAUGGCAAACGACGGGACUAUGGAGCAUUGCAUGCCAAAGGAAGUUUGGACCUGACACGUGCCUAAGGGAUCGACGGGGACGAUUGACAAAAGAAGCGACCCUACGCGGUGCGCGGAUGUCGUGAGAUUAGGUUCGCCAUGCAUGGUUAAGAAAUUCAAAUCGAUUCGUCUGGCUCUCAUAGUUUGGGACUACUUGAUCACUAUUCUGCACUGAGUAAAGAUGGAACAUGAUGAUGAUGUAAAUCUAGAUGCUUGUCUUUAAUUGUUUGGAAACAAUGCUUGCUUAGUAUAAGUUGCUAAUCUAGAUUGGGUAAUGGACUUAGAACAUGAACUAAAAUAUUGAAAGUAAGGACCAACUUUAGGUGUUUUGUCAAAAACAAACCCACAGCCAAAAAGCCUUGGAUGUCUAGAACUCGGUGGCGUAGUUACCAUCUGUCGGGUCAGUCUUGCUGAGUAUUAGUUGCUCAGCCUUGUUUGUGGCUUAACUUUUCAGGUAAUGUCGAUAGUGUGGCUGUUGGCACCACUUGGCCUACCCAGCUCCCUCCGGGCUGGAUAGUGGAGUGGGAUCCCUCCUCCGACGAUGAGGGCAGGGAUCAUUGAUGUCAUGAUCGGCUUUGUCAUGAUAUCGUGUAUCGAUGUUUAGUUUUCGGUUGUUUUACUCCGUCGUUGUUCACAACCUUGCAAACUUGUGUGGAUUUCAAAAACUCUGAUGUAAUAAAUUGUUGAACUAUGUUCAACUGAUGGGAAUGUUGUAUCUCUGUGCCCACUCACCUUCGUGUGAGCAAUGCCUCUCGAUCCUGAGUAAGUGGUUUAUCGGAUAAAAUCCGACGGACGACCAAGUUGACUUGCUUAAAGUGCAUGAUCGCGUGUCAAGCGACUCAAGUGCAUUUUAGUCAGGUUAAUUUGGGCGGUUCUGCCAUAACUUGCAUCAAAGCUCGAGGCAUGGUACGGAGAACAACAUACCUUAAAACACCCUUUUUGGAAUAAAACUUGCAAGAAACUAGUUGAAAAAUUCAUAAGUUCGUUAAGGAUGAACUUAGUACGAGAAGCCCUAGGGGAAUUUUUGGGAUAUUUAAGGUGGCUAGUAACUAUUGGUUAUUUAUACUAACUUCCAGCACUUUUCGCCCACGUUUAUACGUAUGCAGAGUUCCACAUCACGAGUAUGCGAAGGGUGAUAGGAAUUCGAUUCCAACGAGCCUAUCAUCACGGUUGUUUUCGCCCAUGUUUAUUACACGUGUGCAGGUUCCGUAUGUUAAAUCAUGCGAAGGGUGGUAUGGUUUGAUUCCAACGAGCCUAUCAUCACGGUUGUUCGCCCACGUCUAUUAUACAUGCGCAAGAUUCCGCAUCACGAGUAUGCGAAGGGUUAUAGGGUUCUAUUCCAAGGAACCUAUUUCCACGGUUGUUGCGCUGUCCAUGCAGCGUUAAACGCAUGGGUGUUGUUUCUAUAGUGAACGGUAAUGGUUGUGGACACUUUGAUGAGUGCUGGCACGAAAGGUUCAAGAUGUGAUGUGAUUUUCUGCAGGUACACUAACCAGUUUUGCGUACGAAGCGGUGAUUAGCAGUUCGACUAGCUAUUAUAGUGAGAGCCGUAUUGUUGCCUUGCCACCGGCACUAACUACGUAAGUCCAAAGCUUUUUGGCAAUUGUUUCGGUUGUGAGGUUGACUUGUAUGUGCAUGCAUUAUGAAAUAAAAAUUGCAACCUAAAAGAAUGAAGGUCGAUCUCGCCUAUAUACUAAAAGUUGCACCGCGAUAAGGACCUUCUAGCUGUCCUAUUUCAGCAAUGCAAGACUUGUUAAAUAUCUUUCGAGUUGUUCCAGAUGUUAAAUCUAGAAACUUUAUAUAAGGAAGUUGUGUUAAAUGUCCUCAAUGAAGUGCUGUUAAACUUUCAUAAAAUUUAACCCCCUAGGUUCAGAGUUAUGAUCAGAUUUGUAACCCCCUGGUUGGCUGAUAACACUGAGUGUACACCAGUUGGAGUUUUAAUUUUUCGACCACCUUGAGGACUUUUUAUGUUAGGCAUCUUUUAAUUAAAGUUUCUAAGCAUUUAAUAAAGAACUUGGUGGUAAACUUUCAGCUCCACUAGGUCUUUGGUUUGAGAGUUAUGCUCAUUUUACUUCAGCUCUAUUUUGGAAAAUUCCAGAAUGUACCACUUGAUAGAAACUUGAGCUUAUCACCCUGUUAAGUUUUGUUUUAGCUCUACCUUUGAAUACCAAACUUGUCACACACUACCUACAGAACAUGUUGGUAAAAUUUGAGGAAUUUUGGAUGAAUACUUGCUGAGUUAUGAGCUUUUCUCUAACUUGCAAGAAAUCUGUUUUGAUUUCCGAGUAUUGAUUCUGUUUCUCAUUUGUCCUUUUGUUACAGAUUGCUGACCCUGUGUAUGUUGUUGUUGGUGUGGACAGCACCUCACACUCAACGUGCCUCCACUACGAGGGUUUUCCUGCCAUACUGUGGGACACUUUGCGUUCGUUUGGGUACCCGUCACCGCCUGUUUACGCGGGACGUGGGUACCAGAAUCACGGGAUUCCCUGAAGUUGCGUGCACGUGAAGGUGCCCCCACCCCCUGACCAGCCACAGUGGCCACCUUUGGAGGUUGUGGCUGAGGGACACAUGUUGGAGGAUACGUGGGAGUUUGCAGCUUUGCAGGCACUGACACAGUUUUGCAAGGAGCACCCCCUUGAGAUUGUGUUAGACCCGAUUGGUUUGUUUCCUGCCAUGGAUAGGAGAGAUGCGGAUUGGUUGGACCACAUGGAGCACAUGGACUUGCUAGGUGUUUUGGACCCACAGCGCACGAUUUUUAUUUCAGCCCACUGCAUGAAUGUGUUCUACCGGAUGAUUGAGAUGCAGAGUAGGGCUAUGACCACCGUGAUUGGGAUGGCGGUGGCCAAUCAGGUUGCUCUCACCAUCGUGUAGAAUGGUAUGGUGGAUUUGUCACUUGAGUUGGUGCAGAAGGAUAUCCAGAUUGCUGAUAUGCAGACCUGGAUUUCUAACUUAAAGGAGGAGAUAGUGGACAUGUUGCAUGACAUGGAGUUGUUGGCCGAUCAGUUCUAUGAUGUGAACAUGGAGUUGGCUGAUGCUAAUGAGCAUCUACAGGAGCACCACGCUAAGCUUAAUGCUAUUCACGCCUUAGAGGUGCAGUAGGAUGAGCCUAUGGCUCAGGAGGAGGAGGAGCCUGAGGAGAUCGAGGUCUUUUCGAGCAUGAAUUUUGAGGAGGCCGCCCCGCAGCCCCAAGUUGGCGACGCUCCCUCUCCUGCACUUAGCUUUGCCUCAGUAGGCAACCUUGACGACUUCUAGAUGUAUCGACAUGUUGUGAGCAGUUUCUUUUAUUGUACUCCUCAGCGACCUAUAUUUUGGGCUAGUGAUGUAAUAGUUUAGCUUGAAUUGAGUAUCUGUGUGUUGAAAAAACUGAUUCCAUGUACGGACUUGCCAUUGCGAAGGGUUUGUGGUAAUGUAUUAAAAAUAUGGCAGAAAUUCAGUGGCUGUUUCUCCUCAGUUUUAACCCUGUCUCCACUCAUUUUUGAUCCAAGGUUUGAAUACCAAAAUUGUGCGGAAACUUGUGUUCUAACCGCUCGUAAAAUUUCAGCUCCUUUGGAUCUGUCAAACUCCCGUUAGAAUGAAAACUCCACCGCUCAGCUUGCUGAAAAUCAGCCCAGGCAGCAACUCGCUAAAUUGACUAAACAACCCCUUUCCUUCCUUUUCGGUCAGCAAGUGUAAAAUAGCAAUGGAUAUGUACGACAUGUCUUAACCCUUGGCUAAGGAUGAGAACCUUGGUAUACUUCGGAGACGAGAUAUGCACCUACUCAAUAAAGAUAUAAUUGUUGUUUUCGCACUAUCGGCAAGACCAAUGCUUAUGAUUCAGCACAUAGUUUUUCCUUGUGAUUAAGCGAACUUUUGGGAUUAUGUGACUAAUGGAAAGAUUAAUCUUGUAGAUGGUGCACAGCACACGCUUUGGCUCUGUUCCCAGUAGCAGCGAGCAGAGGCAGGUGCCUCCACCGCCUCCACCUCCGCCCACACUAGAGGCGAUCUUGGCCGCUCAAACUGAGCUACUGAGGCACAUAGCCCAAGGGCAGCAAUAGCAGCCUCAGGGAGGAAGAGCUCGUCAGCAACCUCGUGUUGCUCGCUAUGACGACUUCUUGGGGACACAACCUCCUCUGUUCCAUAAGACGGAGGAUCCGCUCGACGCCGACGCCUGGAUUCGUGCCAUCGAAUCCAAGUUCUCCCUCCUCACCGCACAUUGCCCGGAUGAGAACAAGGCUUAGUUCGCAGCACAGCAGCUGCGUGGUUCCACCCUCCUUUGGUGGGACCACUAUCACGCCAUGCAGCUAGCCGACCACGCCGUCAGCUGGGAGGAGUUCAAGAUGGUGUUCAGGGCCCAUCAUAUACCUGAGAGUCUCAUGGAGCACAAGCUCAAUGAGUUCCUAGCUCUCACCCAGGGAAGCCAUGAUGUCCUACAAUAUGCUCAGGUUUUCAAUGACCUGUGUCGUUACACAGGCUAUCAUGCAGACUCCGAUGAGAAGAAGAGGGACCGCUUCCGCAGAGGCUUGAGUCUUGAGCUCAAGGAAAGGCUGAAUCCCAUCAAAGUGGAUUCCUUCAAUGAGCAGGUGAACCUGGCAAUUUCCCAGGAAGAUUGCAUGAAGGCCCUCAAGGCCGACAUGAAGCGGAAGGCUCCAAUGCUGACACCCAGCCCAUCUACUCAGAAAUACAAGAUGGUUCCCCCACAGGCAUCUCGCAGGCCCGCUCAGCCUGGGAGAUGGGUUGCUCGACCCCCACCACAGGCAGCACCCCGUUUCCCCGGAUUCUAGCCACAGGGGCCAUGGCCUACCCUUCCAAUGCCGCCACGCCCUGCCACUAGAAACCGCUGUUUCACCUACGAGAAUAUAGGACACUUUGCCAAGGACUGCCCCCGCAACAAGAAUCAACGGCCUGGCCAGAGCAAUGUGAUGGGCAACAAAGGGAAGAAGCCCAGGGUGCAGGUCCAAUAGGGCAGGUUAAACUUCACCAACCUUGACAAACUUCCAGAAGGCGCACCAGUGAUGACGGGUACCUUCUCUAUCCAUAACCAACCCAUCCUUAUUCAGUUUGAUUCAGGAGCCUCUCAUAGUUUCAUCGGGGCUAGAACCAAUGCUAGGUGUGGGUUGAAUUUCUGUCACACCAAAGGGGCAUAUAUGAUCUCUACCCCGGGUGGGAAAGUGGCCUCAUACCAAAUGAGCUGCAAGGUACCUAUCAAAUUAGGAAGGACCCUUAUUAAGGAAAACCUCCUUAUCAUUGGUUUAGAAGGGAUCGAUGUUAUCUUGGGUAUGGAUUGGAUGACUCGACACCGAGUGGCAUUAGACAUCUCUACCCGAGCAGUCCACAUAAAUUCACCCACAUAUGGUAGCUCAACCAUACACUUACCCCACCGAGAGUGCAAAAAUUCUUGUGCCUAUCCCAUGACUAAAGCCCGAUUGGAGGACAUUCCAGUGGUAUACGAGUAUCCCGAUGUGUUUCCAGAUGAUUUGUCGGGUAUGCCACCGGAUAGAGAUAUCAAGUUUGCUAUUGAGUUGCAACCAGGCACCGCACCAAUUUCAAAGAGACCGUACCGGAUGCCACCCACAGAGCUGGCAGAGUUGAAGACUCAGUUACAUGAGUUGUUGGAAAAAGGUUUCAUUCGCCCAAGUACAUCACCUUGGGGCUGUCCAGCUUUGUUUGUGAAAAAGAAGGACGAGAGUCUGCAUAUGUGUGUGGACUACCGACCUCUCAAUGCGGUGACAAUAAAGAAUAAGUACCCAUUACCCCGCAUUGAUGUUUUGUUCAAUCAGUUAGCUGGAGCCAGAGUAUUUUCUAAGAUUGAUCAUCAUUCCAGCUACCAUCAAAUCAAGAUCCGACCGUGCGAUAUUCCCAAGACUGCUUUCUCUACCCGGUAUGGACUCUACGAGUACCUAGUCAUGUCAUUUGGGCUUACUAAUGCACCAACUUAUUUCAUGUAUCUCAUGAAUUCGGUGUUCAUGCCCGAACUUGACAAAUUUGUUGUGGUAUUCAUCAACGAUAUCCUGGUCUACUCAAAGAAUGAGGAAGAACAUGCAGAGCACCUUCACAUUGUUCUCCAACGUUUAAGGGAUCACCAACUAUAUGCCAAAUUCUCAAAGUGCGAGUUUUGGCUGGAUAGUGUUAAAUUCUUGGGACACACUAUAUCCAGUGACGGCAUAGCAGUAGACCCAAGCAAAGUUCAAGAGGUGAUGGACUGGAAGCCGCCCACUUCAGUUCAUCAAAUUCGAAGUUUUCUCGGUUUAGCAGGCUACUACCGGUGAUUCAUUCUUGACUUUUCAAAAAUAGCUAAGCCAAUGACUGAAUUGUUAAAGAAAGGAGUUAGGUUUGUGUGGAGCGACAAAUUUGAAGAAGCUUUCCACACAUUGAGUAGAUUGUUGACCUCCGCACCAGUUUUAGCUCAGCGAGACACCACUAAGCCGUUCAACGUUUAUUGCGAUGCCUCUAGCACUGGACUUGGAUGUGUUCUUAUGCAAGACAGCCGAGUCAUUGCCUAUGCCUCACGAGCGCUAUGGCCACAUGAGCUAAAUUAUCCUACUCAUGAUCUUGAAUUAGCAGUGAUCGUUCAUGCUCUGAAAAUGUGGAGGCAUUAUCUUAUGGGAACUCGUUGUAACAUCUAUACGGAUCACAAGAGUCUCAAGUAUAUCUUCACUCAAGCAAAUCUUAACAUGCGUCAGAGAAGAUGGUUGGAAUUGAUCAAGGACUAUGAUUUAGAAGUGCAUUAUCACCCAGGCAAAGCCAAUGUAGUGGCGGAUGCUCUCAGUCGCAAAACCCAUUGUAACUACUUGUCGGCAACCAACUUUGUCGAGACUUUAUGCCAUGAGAUGGCUAAGCUCAAUUUGGAAAUUAUCCCCCAUGGCACCUUAAGUCAUAUUUUCAUUGAGCCUACAUUGGAUGACCAAAUUGUCCUAGCGCAAUUGGAGGAUAAAGAAAUAAAACUUAUCAAGAAGAAACUCGUGCAGAAAGAUGAGGGAUAUAAGCACUUUCAACAGGAUUGGAAGGGAGUUGUACAUUAUGAAGCUCGGCUAGUUGUUCCAAAUAACCCUGAUCUUAAGAAACAGAUCAUGGACGAAGCACACCUUUCCAAGUUUUUGAUUCACCCUAGUAGUACCAAGAUGUACCAUGAUCUCCGGCAAAAUUUCUGGUGGAGUGGGAUGAAGCCAGAUAUUGCACGUUACAUCUCAGAAUGCGAUACUUGUCAACGAGUUAAAGCAAGCCACUUGAAGGUAGCUGGCACCUUGCAACCGCUGCCUAUUCCCUCAUGGAAGUGGGAGGACAUAAGCAUGGACUUUAUGGUCGGAUUACCUAAUACCUCUCGCAAGCAUGACUCCAUAUGGGUUAUAGUGGACCGACUUACUAAAACAGCGCAUUUCCUUCCGGUACACACCACUCACACCAUACAGAAAUAUGCAAAGCUAUAUCUUGACCGAAUUGUUUCCCUACAUGGUGUGCCAAAAAUGAUCAUCUCAGAUCGAGCUAGUCAGUUUGUAGCACACUUUUGGGAACAAUUACAGUCUUCGCUUGGCACUAAGCUAAUUCAUAGCUCCACAUAUCACCCCCACACAGAUGGACAAACUGAGAGGGUCAACCAGAUAUUGGAAGAUAUGCUACAUGCUUGUGUCAUUCACUACGACAAGAGCUGGGAUAAAUGUUUGCCCUUAGCAGAGUUUUCAUACAACAAUAGCUACCAAGCUAGCUUGAAAAUGGAACCUUUUGAAGCCUUGUAUGGACGUAGAUGUCAAACCCCGUUAAGUUGGUCACAACCAGGAGAAAGAAUGGUUUAUGGACCCGAUUUGGUAAUGGAGGCCGAAGAAAAAGUGAGAGUUAUCCGAGAAAACCUUAAGGCCGCCCAGUCCCAACAAAAGAGCUAUUCCGAUAAGAGGAGGAGACCUAUCCAAUUUGAAGUUGGGGAUUUUGUAUACCUCCGAGUAUCACCGACUAAGGGCAUAAAGCACUUCGGAGUAAGGGAAAGUUGGCUCCACGCUAUAUUGGUCCAUAUGAGAUUGUGGAAAUUUGUGGACCUGUAGCAUACCGAGUUAAACUCCUGGAGAAGAUUGCUAUGAUACACGAUGUUUUCCAUGUCUCGCAACUCAAAAAGUGUGUUCGAGUUCCAACAAAAAUUCUUACACCGGAAGAAUGGGAGAUCAAACCCGAUUUAUCUUACAAGGAGUAUCCUGUUAAGGUCCUCGACUGGAAAGAAAGACAUACUCAUAGACAAAUGGUGAAAAUGUUCAAAAUUCAGUGGAGUAAUCAUACGGAAGAUGAAGCGAUUUUCUUUUCCGUGGUUUUCUUUUCGUUCAGGGAGGUACGUUGCACAAGCCACACUAGUUCCUUUCUUCACUAGAAUCUCAGGGCGAGAUUCCUUUAAGGGGGGAGGCUGUAACAACUCUACCUUAAUUAGGUAUAGUUAAACUUGAGCAAGUCAUUAGUCACUAAGUCAAAGAGGUGAAAUGUCCAAUUUUCCCCUAAAAAGCUCAUUUUGGAGUUAAAUAGGAAACUUGAGUUUUCAUAUACAAACUUAAAGUUUUGCCUAAAUAGGAGUUGUAAAACUUUUAAAUUCAAACAACUUUUAUUAAUAACAUUUUGGCUUAUUCGGAGUAGGAGAAGGUCAAAAAUAAGUUUUAAAUCAGGAGUACAUUAAAACCCUACAAAUGACCUUAAGUCCUGGAAUUCGUAUUUUUCCUCAACUUUGCAACCUGUUAUCUCAUAAUUCUAUAUCUAACCUCAAGUCAGACCCUUAAUAGAAGUUGUAGUUCUUUGAGUGUGUUCCAACUUUGUUGCACUGACCCAGGUCCAAAUCGCAACCAAACUUGCUCAAAACUUGGUCAAAAUUGUGUAAAACAGUCAACUCAGCCUUUUUGGCAUUCCAGCGCUAAGUCUGGAAAACGCCCAGAGCGUGCAUCUUGGCGAACCUGUUCCUCCAAAAAUCUCAACUGAACUUAAAAAAAGUCCUUAAUAGAUGUUGGAUUCCUAAGACCGAAGAACUUUUCCUUCAAUUACACUUUGGCCUGAUUCAAACGGGAAGCUACUCAAAAUCUGAGCCAAAGUUGGCCAAAAUGCUGAAAAAAAUAGCAAAACUGAGAUCUGCCUAAGUCCCCGAAGGUCGGUGUUCCGCCAAACUUUGCAACUCCAUAGUUUCAAAUUUGUCUCGUUUUCAAGAAAACUCCUUUUUUAAAGUUUGAAGCCGGAUGUCAGGUCUACAAGUUUUACUUUUGGAGUUUCACAAGUUCUUUUGAAAAGUUUGGAAAAAGGCCCCCAAAACCGGCCCUUUUGGCUGCCUCAAAGGGCACCCCACUCAGCGCGCGCCCGGAGCGCGCCAGCACAUUCGCCCGUGCGCCGCCCGCCACGUGGCCACCAUCCACCAGCGAGCUCGCCGUCGCCCAACUGGCCUCCGCGACAAGAUCGCUCAUGCGCCCGGCUGCCCAGUAGGCGAGCGCGCUUAUCUCACCCCUGGUGUCACGCAUCUCUUUGCUCUGUCCCGAGCAAGCUUCGCCCGCCGCAGGACGCCACGCCGCCGCCUCGGACCGGCCAAGCUCCGACCGCCUAUCGUCGCCCAGACAGCAACCACACGCGUGCCUCGCUUCGCCAACCCCCAGCCGCGGCAAAGCUGUGCUUGCACGACUCAUUUUCCCCAAGGCGAAUGACUGGGAGAUCCUAUCCCAUGCUCUCUGCACCCCGACCAAUGGCCCCGCUACCAAUGGAGCUCCGACCCGCAGCCCACUGAGCCCACCAAUCCUAUCCGCCCGUGCCUGAAGCUCCGCCUUACUCCCCCGCACCUUCCUGGCCCUAUAUAAGGACUUAUAGCGCCGCCUAUGCCGCCCUCCGCUACUUCCAGCACCACCGCUCCCCUGUUUUCCAGCACCCCUGCACUGGUCUCCCAUGGAGCCCCCAACUCCGCGCCACCCCGCACCUCGAUGACACCACCGCUCGCUCCGCCGCACCAUCGCGCACGUCUCCAAGUGACUUGUUGCCCUCCCGGAGCCCCACCGUCGCCGGAACUUCACCGGGACCCUGCUGCUGAAGCCGCUUCAGUCCCUAAGCUGCUCCGCAUGUGCACAAUCACCAUCAAAGUCAACCUCAAGUUUAAAUCACAACCCACCUUACUUUAUGAAGUUAAUGAAAGUUAGAACCUUGUUUAGGUGAAUGUGGCCGAAAUGCAACUUUCUUUGCAGUAAUAAGUCAUGCCUUGCAUCAUUCGUACAAAAGCAUGGACAAAUCUAAACUCUUUGCAUGUGCAUGUCGUGUAGAAGCUAAUAUCACCGACGGAACCUACGAGCUCCACCCUACGGUGGAAGUGGAACCCGUCGCGGAGCUACACCACGCGGAAGUUGAGCCCGAGUUAGAUCAAGACCACGAAGACCCGCUAAUUUUUCCUGAAGGCAAGCCCAAGUGCAUGUUUCCCUUAUUUAAAUUAUGCAAUAUGUUGAUGCUUAUGAUUGUGCAUUUACGUUUGUAGGAGUUGGUUGAAACCUUAGAUGCAUGAACUUAGUACCUUGUUUUGAACACUAAUUGCUAAGGCUGAGUAGUUGCUACGCUAAAUAGGACUCGGUAAAAGUCGAGUGAUUGUCUGUUACUUGCGAGUUAUAGGAGUUGUGUGAUUACUCUUUCUACAACUAUAAGGAUGACGGAUGGGACCAGGAAUGGUUCCGAUGUGGUGGUUUGCCCCAUCUGUCUAGCAAUGAACUUGCUAAGGUCGAAACGUGUCGGCGUUCAUGAUCAAGUGUUUGAAAGUACUAAUCUCAUACCUAGUAUGGGAUAGGGAAGCCUAGUACCUGAUUGAACUGGAGCGUGUCAUACCCCCCUGCUAUCCUUAGAACGUCAUUCCCAUGGUGCAUCAUGUGGGUGCAAGUGCGGUCACAGUACGGCAGAGGCCGGGACUAUGGAGCAUUGCAUGCCAAAGGAAGUUUGGACCUGACACGUGCCUAAGGGAUCGACGGCGACGGAGAACAAAUGAAGCGACCCUUCACGGUGUGCGGAUAUCGUGAGAUUAGGUUCGCCAUGCAUGGUUAAUAAAUUCGAAUCGAUUCGUCUUCCUCUCACAGUUUGGGACUACUUGAUCGCUAUUCUACACUGAGUAGAGAUGGAACAUGAUGAUGAUGUAAAUCUUGAUGCUUGUCUUUAAUUGUUUGGAAACAAUGCUUGCUAAGUAUAAGUUGCUAAUCUAGAUUGGGUAAUGGACUUAGAACUUGAUCGAAAAUAUUGAAAGUAAGGACCAACUUUAGACAUUUUGGCAAAAACAAACCCACAGCCAAAAAGCCUUGCAUGUCUAGGAGUCGGUGGCGUAGUUACCACCUGUCGGGUCAGUCUUGCUGAGUAUUAGUUAUUCAGCCUUGUUUGUGGCUUAACUUUUCAAGUAAUGUUGAUAGUGUGGCUGCUUGCACCACUUGGCCUACCCAGCUCCUUCCGAGCUAGACAGUUGAGUGGGAUCCCUCCUGGGACGGUGAGGGUAGGGAUCAUUGAUGUCAUGAUCGGCUUCGUCAUGAUAUCAUGUAUCGACAUUUAGUUUUUGCUUGUUUUACUCCGUCGUUGUUCACAACCUUGCAAACUUGUGUGGAUUUCAAAAACUUUGAUGUAAUAAAUUGUUGAACUAUGUUAAUUGUAUGGGAAUGUUGUAAUCUCUGUACCCACUCACCUUCGUGUGAGCAAUGCCUCUUGAUCCUGAGUAAGUGGUUUAUUGGAUGAAAUCUGAUGGACGACCAAGUUGACUUGCUUAAAGUGCAUGAUCGCGUGUCAGGCGACUCAAGUGCAUUUUAGUCAGGUUAAUUUUGGCGGUUCCGCCACAACUGCGGCCACCAGCAAGUUGAGAUCCAAAUCAAAGAAGGGUUAGGAGCCCGAGUUGUCGGCGCCCAAAUGUGUCCUGAUGAACUAGACUGUGCCGCCACCUCCUGGUAUCACCUAGUAGCAUUCUGUGAUGAAGGCGUCGGCAGUUCAGGCCUUGGUUGAUGCAAAGCUUCUUCAACCAAGGGUUGAGCUUGAGUGGAAGCCCACAUAUAGGAAUGCAUGGCAAUUCAAAGAGCAUCCCAAGAAUACGGUGAUGCUGGCUCAUUUUGUGGAAAGAGGACUGGCUGUGCCUACUUCUGACUUCUUUAGGGGUAUUCUCGAGUACUAUAAUCUUUAGUUAGUCCACUUGAACCUGAAUGGAGUGCUGCAUAUGGCUAUCUUGUACACUCGUGCGAAGUGUACUUGGGUGUUCUGCCUAGUUUGGAUCUGUUUAGAAAAUUGUUUCGGUGUAAGCCACAACCCAGCGCGACUAGGACAUAAGUCUUUGGAGGGGCUGGGUUUCGGUGGAGGAACUCCAGUGCAUAUCUAGAGUAUGAUCUGCCUGAUUCCCAUAGUGAUUGGAAGAAGAGGUGGUUUUAUAUUGGCAAUCAUGAUCCUGUCUUGCUAGUAGUCACCGGCCAUGCUCCAAAAUAUGCAGACAACUGGGUGACUGAGCCCGAGGAUACCUCUGAGAUCGCCAAUUUGUUGGCGCAGAUUUCUGAGUUGAGAUCUUUGGGGUUGACUGGGAUCAAUGUAGCUGCCAAUUUCCUUAAGCGCAGAGUUGCAGCAGUGUGCUCACUCAGGCUUCGAGUAUACGGGUUUUGAUGACCCGUCACGUAUGUCUUCUGAAGACGUAUCUGACGACGACAUGGACGCAUUGUUGGGCAAGUUUAUCAGGAAUUAUCAAGGAGUGCCAGUACUCCCGGGAGUCCUUCAGUAGUUCGAUGGUUGGUAUGGACCCACAGAGGUAUUUUUGCUUCAUUUUGUGUAGUCGAAGACGUAGUCGGUUGAUUUUGUUGACUAGUAUUUUUCGUUUAACAAUGUUGUCUUGUGGUUUGUAGUCCCGAGUGAUGCUUGGUUUCUUGCCCACGCCUUCCGAGGGUAAAGAGGUAGCUGAGGUUAAUGCUGAAGAUGCACCUUCUACUCCUUCAGCUAAGAGAUGCCGAGUAGUACGAAAGAAACCUGCUACUCAGCAUGUUGCGACUUCCUCGGGUUUGAACCCCGAGGGGUCGCAGGGUACCAAGGUGUGUAGUCACGUGUUGCAUUUCAGUACUUUUGAGUUUCUUGUUGACUUAGUCAUAUUACUUGUAGAAUACUUACGAUAUUAGUCUGUGUGUUGAAAAGGCCACCGACUUGACCUUUGGUGAUGAUGAGGCUACUUCUGAUGAAGUAGUCACAAUUGCCAGAGAUGCAGCUACAAGUGUCGUGGCUAUUUAAGAGCCGCCCAUGGAGGAAGCGCCGUUAAACUCGGGGUCAGUAGCCCUCGAGCAGGUAGCCCCUGAGUUGGGAGCCCCCAUGUAGUUUACUGAGCCAUCAGGUGAUGAGGCCACUCUUCUGAGCUGGCAGAUGUUGUGAAGACACCGGGAGUGGCUGCUCACACCUUGUUGCCUGAGGAUAUUACCGGUGGUGAGUACGCGAUCUAUUCUGGUAGUUGUGCGUACGUAGUCUCAACCUUGGUUCUUUCAAGGCUUGGUGAAAGAGUAGAGGACCUUCCUCCUGUGGCCCCUGUGGUGCUAAGUAUCCAGCCGGCGGUAGUUGAGAAGAGGCAUGGUCGUCUGCCACCACGAUCAGCUCGGUAAGGGUUUGUGUAAUCUUUCCUUUUGAUGAUUUUUGUACUAUGUAGAUAGAUGAGAACCCCGUGACUUGAUCGAUCCAGGGAUGCUGAAGACAUUAUUCCCGUCGAGAUGGGGGCGGAGGCUGCUCCGUUGACUACCCUCUCUGGGCCCAUAGUCGACUUUACUAUGGAGGAUGCACCUGAGAUCGAAGACGCAAGUCGUUUAGGUGCUACUAUAUCCAUGCUACAGGAGGUUGGUGCUGGUGCCUUAGCACUGGUUGUUGCGAUAGAAGUAGGCGAAGUCGGUGCAACAGGUAUGUUACUAGAGUAUCGACGCUUUUGAAGGAGAACUCCUUUGUAUCCAAUAAUUAACCAUGUUUUUUUCUUGUUAGGGGUUGUUGUGGGCAAAGAUUAGGAGCCUCAAGUCGCCAAGAGCACUGGGGGUCCGGUACUCGAGCUGCCACCAGAGUUGGAGAUCAAGAGAGCUAUCCAGAGCUUUCAGGUGCGUAUAACCCAUUUUCUUUGACUAAUUGUUUUUUUACAAGUCUUGAUGCUUGUGUUGUGCUUAUUGUAGGAUCUGUAUGAUAGGGCUCAGAAAAAUACUCGGGCUCUUCAGGAGCACAGUGAAGCCGCACAGCGGGUAGCACAACUGGAGCAAGAGUGUUGCCAUCUUAUAGAUUCCCUGAGAGUUCACGAGGAGGCUGCAAAGUCUUUUGCAAUUGAAAGGAAUGAUCAUGAAGUCCUCCAGGAGCGAUUGGAGAGUCGCUAUAGGUCUUUGAACUAGAGAUAUCAGGGUGAGUACUCAUAGUUUUUGAGUAUGUUUGAUUAUAGUCGUAGAUUCUGAUCUGUGUGGUGUUUGGCGCAGAGCUCAAAAACAAAGAGGCCGCUGCGAGUAGCCAACUGCUUGAUUCGAGAAAUGCUCAUGAUCGGGUAGCCGAUGAGGCGGCCCACCUUAGGGCAGCAUUGGCUGAAACUCAGGCAGCCUUUGAGCAUGAUGGGGAUAGAAAGAAUCAGAAUGGAGUAAUGCUAGUCCCGCAGAGGCCAUGCUAGAACCGUGCAGAGGCUGGAAGGUGAGCUCCAAGAGUUGACUAGUGCUGCUUAGGAUGUAGUCAACACUAUUGCUCCACUCGAAGAUGAUGCUGAGCCUCGCUCGCUAGUCGAGAGACUAAGAGCUGCCCCGGGUAGAUUUGCUAGACUGUGUAAGAUUGUCUGCAAGCAGGUCCUUGCAGUGGUUAAGUCAUAUUACCCGAGGGCAAACUUGUCGGCAGCUGGCGAUGGAAUUUCCUGGAACUACACGGAGGAUGCCUAUGCGUAGUAUCUUGAGGAGGCGGAGCCUAUUGCGGCAAAGAUGACCGAGUUCGUAUCUUUGGAGGACCCUAGUCUUUUGAACUCGAGUUGUAUUUUUUUGUCAAAUACUUGUGGCUGUACUCAAACAAUUGUCUUGUAAAUCUUGCUCUGAAAUUCUAAUAUGAUCGAUGAUCUUUGGUUGACUUUGUAGUCGGGAAAAUAAAUCCGAGUAAUCGAGUAGUUGUAGUAUCCGAUGUGGUGUCCAAUUAUUGGAGUUGCUGUUGAGGGUACUAUGACUAUUAUUGCUUUGUACUUGAGAGGAUGCACGGGUGUACUGUUCACUUUUGUCCGCUGCGCUUAGUGCGGUCACGAGCGUGUAGUUAAAAUGUCUGCCUGGCCCUUGUCAGUGCCUCAGGCUGAUCGUUACGAGCGAGCAAUAACUGCGAGUAGUUGGUAGUUGCAGCCCUUUGGCUAUAAACGAGCCCCUGGGUACUCGACCAAGGUCAUGCCCUUCAGUACAGCAAUGGCUUGCUUCAGGUUGUUGUUGUUUGAUAGUAGAGAGCUUCCAAUGAACGGUGGUGCUAGAAGAUUCCUCGUAGAUUAGAGCCACCUUCUCUCCACACACUCUUGUGCUCGUAGGGAUAGCCGCGAUGCUAGAAGAAUCCUCGUAGGAGGGUUUGCUGCAUCCCUCAUCUUGCAACUCGCAAUCCAGCUCAGUCUGUGCUGGAACUCGCGGGUGAAGGAUGAUGAGCUCUACGGUCUUUAUCCGACUCCCUGAUGAGAGGUGGAGGUGUGGCAUACAGUAAGGAUCUGUGCACCGAAGCUGUCCAGGGAGCAGCUCAGGGAGUGCACUUCAUCUUCCUGGUGCUUUUCUUCCUGAUCCUACGUCGGGUAUUCAUCCUGUCGCCGUCGAGGGAGCGGCGGUGAAGGAAUUCCUGGUGUUGUCAGGGGAAAGGACCAGGGUAUGACUGCGUAUUGCACAGCUUCCUCGUGUGCAGGUCCUGCCUUUUGACACUGCUUGCACCUUGGUAGUCGAGCAAUCACCGGGCCUAUGUAUCCUUGUGAUGUAGUAAAAGCCUGGGACUUCUGUUCUAACUACUAGUAGGUAGUUGCUUGCAGUCGUUGUUGUGCAAUUGUGUUGUAUUUUGUAUACCCUAACUUCAUUGGGUAGUCGAAUGUAACUCUGUGGAGCUUUGUUAAUGCAAAGAAUGCAAUUAUGAAGUAAGCUUGAAUACUCCUUGUCUGAUGGUUGCGGUAGUCUUGUGCCUUUGAAGAGUAAAUGACUAGCGCCGUAGUCGUGGCUUCUUGUCGUAAGUGUUGUAGCCCAGUAAGUGAAAUGACUUGAGUCGUGGCUUUGUGAGGCCACUUAGUCUUGUAGAGAUGAAUUGGCAAGAGAGUGUUGAAACUCUGUGAAGCUGAAAAGCUUGAGUGGCAGUGAAUAGCCGACAAGUUGUGAUAACUCGAAGAGACUUGAUGAAAAUAAGUCAGAAGUGGAGCGCUGGGUCUCGCAAAGCUGGAGAGCUCGAGUGGCUAUGAAUAGCCGACGAUUUGUGAUAACUUGAAGAGACUUGAUGGAAUCAAGUCGAAAUCAGAGCGCUGGGGCUCGCAGAGCUCGAGUGGCUAUGAAUAGCCGAACGAAGGCAAAGUGUUUGCCAAAGAACUUUGUUGUUUAAUAGACUGUGGGUGAAAACCCAAGUACAUGUCAUGUAGUAUGCUAUUAGUAAUAGCGACACAGAUGCUCUAUAUUCCAAGAGUGUGAUAUUCCUUCACCUGAAAGUUCUUGUAGUCGGUACGAUCCAGGCCCUGUGACCUUGGAUAUGACGUAAGGACCUUCCCAUGGCGAGUUGAGUUUGCGCAGCCCUGAUGUGUCUUGGAUGUGUUUAAGGACCAUGUUACCCACAUUGAAGGAACAAAAUAGAUCCUGUUCUUCCUUGAGCGAAACAGCAACCUCCGACGGCUUCCCGUGUUCUUCAGUGGUCGUUUCAAGACGCAGGCCCACUAUAUUCAUGGCGACUCUUUCUUCAAUCCCUGAGGUACAUUUCCCAUCUUUCACCAUUCUUCUUGCAUUCUUGCUUUUUCUCAUCUGAUCUAGAAAUUUCCGCAUCCUCAUGAACUUAGGAAUAGGAUCACUAUUCCUAUAGACGACAAGCCCGGAUUUAUCUGCUUAGGCCCCAUGGGGAAUCCUGACCCAAUGGAUCUAAUCAACCUAGAAACCAAUAGAAUCCCCUUCAAGCUUGCAUCUAUGGAUCUUACCAACUGGAACCAAACCUUCAGAUCUUGGCUCGGCCAUACAGCAGGAUGGAAAAAUUGGUAUCUCAGGAUGGCAGCUUCGAAAAGGCCUCUUUGGGAGCAAUACAACAUCAGCCAAUGCAUCACCCUCUCCUUGUCAGACAUGGCCCAAAACGAACCCAUGCUCAUUGCCGCAUCGUAUUUCUGGUCAGAUGCCUUGAACUCUUUCUUGUUUGGUCAUGGGCCGAUGACUCCCACACUAGCCGAUGUUCUGAUGCUAACAGGUUUGGACAUCACCUCUGUUGAUAAUGCAUUCGCCCUUCCUGCAAAAGCUUCUCAUUAGUUGGAAACAAAGACCAUUGGCGGAUGGAAAGGCUACAUCAGCUGUCAUGCUAAAACUGGAACUAUCGAUGCCAGGGAACAUGUUGCCUUCCUGAAUAUGUGGCUGGACAAGUUCAUCUUCUGUGGACGAUCGGCUGGACCAACUACCAAUCUGCAAAUCUUGGCUAAAGCACUGUCGAUGGGGAAUUCAAUUCCCUUAGGAAAACACCUCCUUGGAUCAGUCUAUCACUUGCUACACUAGGUGUCAAUCAAGCUAUCGGCUGGACAACCCAUCAGCAACCUAGGCGGCCCUUGGUGGUUUAUCAACUUGUGGCUCAACCUACACAUGCAACACGUCUUGGGACAAGACAUCAAGAACAUGUCUUUCCUGAAAGAUCAGUCAGAGGACAAGGACCCUGAAACUCGCCGAUACACAUCUUAUGGUGAAGCCGUUUUUGUCUUCCCUGGUGACAAACAGUCUCCUUUCGAGGUGGCCGAUUUCUUCAGAUGCUUCUACAAUGGUCUUACCAACGAGGCAACAAUUUGGUAUGCUUAUGCCGAUGAAGACCCUCCUUUUGAACUACCCAUCAACUUCAAUUUUGCUACAGCUACAUUUAGCGCAGAAGACCUCGAAGUAAUCAUCAAGCCUGGAAUCCUUCCAGCCAACUUGUUUGCUGGGAAAGGUCAACACCCGACCUAUGAGUUUUAUCAUCCAUUGGCUGCAUCCCGCUAGCUCGCUUUUGGGCAAUUGCUGAUAAAACUUUUCUUUGCCGAUCUCGUGAAGCCUAGGGAAAAACUUUCCAGCCGCCUUGAGUACAAUGGAUUAAAGAGCCUAAUUCUGGAUGCCAACACCAUAAACUUAGAAUCAUGGAAGCUCGCCUCUUUUACUACCAGACCUUUCAAGUCAUGGUGGGGUCAGCAUCUCUUUUGCGUAUCGGCAGGAGUCUAUUGCCAACAGCUCAGCCCAAACUUCAUCGAUCCUGAUCGAGAGGUGACACUGUCGAUCUCACUAAUUCUUCUUCCUCUUUUUCAUAAAGGUUCCUUUCCCACUAACAUUUUCUCUCAUGUAGAAUGCUAACUAGAAACCUCCAACCAUGAGCCAAAGUGAAAAGCCGAUUUCUUACGCACCCGCAUCAGCAACUCCUCAUAUCGGCCAUAACGCUUCAUCUCUGGCAGAUAUAGCCACAGGUCGAUCUUUGAAACGCAACCCCUUCCUCAAAGAAGACGACUUGUAAGAAGCUUAUCCAAAAGCACUCCUCAUCGGCCGAAGCAAUCGACCCAUCGGCAGCGGCAUCACUUCUGAUAGAAGCUUUCCAGGUAAUUCCACUAUUAAGUUUCCUUAGAUAAAUUACAGAGCUAACUCUGUUUCUUUCAGAUAUCUGCACAUCCUAUACCAAAUCAACCUACUCUGGAAUCGACCAUGCUUCCGACCCCUCCAUCGACCGCUCAACAGGCCGAAGAGAUUCUAGGAACUGAACUUACUACGACCUUGCAACCUGAGGUACACAGUAUGCUUUGCUCUUGAUCUUCUCAACCUUUGUUGCUAAAAUCGGCCAGAUCUAUGUGCAGACCGAUCCAAACACAUCGGUCACUCUACCCGAACCAUCGGCUACGUCAACUCUAGAGGUAUAAUAUUGUCUGCUAUACUUGAAUUCAAGGCUUUCUAUUUUUUAUCAAAAAUAUUCUUAUGGAAUCUUCUUUUCCCCAGGAGAAUAUUCCAAGUAUCGUAUCAACCACGGCUCCAGAGCCGAUCAUUAUCCAAGAUUGUCCAGCCGACACGAUCCUAGAGGAUGAGCCACCUUCUAAGGAGCCGGUCCAUCAAGAACAUCCAUCCAAUGUAGCAGCACCAUCAACACAAGCUAAAGAGAUUCGUUGGAAGAUGGUAAACACUCCUCACAUUCACUAGCCGAUUUUCCACCAACUAGCAUCAUCGGCUUACACUUCAUUAAUCUUUUGUAGGCUCAGGACUCACCAGACAACAGCCUUUUCUCCUUCCAAAUCGAAGAACUUCCUGAAGAAGAUGAAGUCCUAUCACAUCCAUUGGCUCUGGGAUCCCUAUCUAAAGACGUGAAGACCAAACUUCGAAACAUAUUGGACUUCCUCAACCGGGACAUUGGCUAGCUGGUUGAAGACGCAGAACCGAUACGGAACAUCUUUUGUGGCCUCAAAGGCCCAAUUCCAGAAGAAAUAGAAGAGGCCCUGAUACCCGCAGCCUUCAUUGAGAAUCAGCAAGUUCCAGUGUUGAAGGCAUUACGUCGCUUAGCCGAUCGAUCCACAUAGGAGCAAUUGCUCAAGGACAAGGAGUCUCACAAGCUCCGUGCUGAGGAAAUUCACAAGAGGAUCCGCAUCUUAAGCAAUUUCCGUCCUGACAUCAUCGGCGAGAUCGAUCGGCUCAAGGCAAGGAGAGCAGCGCUGAUGAAAGAGCUGAAGGACAUUGAGGACGCCAUCACUGUUGAAGAAAACAAGCUUGCCCAACUUCCGGGUGCCAUCAAAAAAUUGGAACAAGAGAAGAAGCUGCAUGCUCAAUCGGCUUAUCGGCUACACAAGAGUAUAUAGCCGAUUUUUGGUUCAGCCAAUGCCGAUCGCAGAGAGAUCGAAGAGGCCAAUCAAAUUCACAUGCGUGCAAUAGAUGACAUCCGUACAAUCUUGGGACCGUUGUAACAAACUUUAUUUUAAUUUUUAUAUAUCUUCUGCACUUGAUGAUUAUCUUUUCGUGAUGAAAAUACUUUAAUGCUCAUACUGCAAUUGGCUGAAAUGCAAACUGACUGCCCUUCUGCUACUCUGUUUGACUCACCAACGGCUACCUCAUUCAAAGCAUUCCUUUUGACCGACUGUUCUGCGCUUCAAACAUUUCAGAUUCUUUCAAAACCGCCUUAUAAAUACAAUCACCAAUGCCCCUCUUGAAAGCAUUCAAAAAAUUGCACAAACUCUGUCCCUCCACAAGUUUCUCAAACCAGACCGAAUCCAAAUAACCAAGAUGGCUUUCUUUUCAUCAGUCAAUCAGGUACCACUCUACAAUCUUGUUCUCAAUCAAUUGUUCUGAAUCAAUUCUCAUCUGCAAUUUACGCUCUUUAUUCUCCCUUCUCCCAAGUGAACCCGGCGAACAAUCAACUUGAGGCGAUCAUCCAGAUCCUCAAAUCCAACGAGAAGCUCUCUCAAGCGAACAAAGAUCUGAUCCAGACCAAUCUUGAUCAAAUCAGAGAUUACAUUCCCUCGGAUGUCGAGCUGGUUUCAUCUGCAAUCAACUCCACAAGUUCAAGUUGGCAGGUGCGACAAUUGGCAACUCAAGCACGAGGCCUUCGGCUUUCCUCUUUGAUUCUCAAAAGCAACUGACUACUCUGGAAGCUAGAACGGAUCAGCUUCUGCAAGAACUGAACCAGAUCAACAGUGAGAUUGAUAUAACCACAACUCAACCGGGACUCCAUCCGGGCUUGCUUCACCAAAGGGAACAAGCAAUCGCUAAUCUUCAAAACGAAGACAACCAAGCUCGCCUGCGCGCGAUAAAAUUGAUCCAAGACUUCUUGGGUUUGAUGUAAUGUCUUGUUGUACCUCGAUAACCUAGAGAUUGCAGAUAUUAUUUGUUCUUGGGUUCGAUAAUAUGGCCAUGUACCAGCCGACAUACCAAACUAAAAUCGGCUUACUCGUAUCUCAUCGGCUAUCAGCGUGUCUGCUUUUCUCCUUUUUGCACUAAAGGCCAUACUCGCAGUAUCGGCUAUGACAGUCCGAAGCCUUAAGCCAUCAGCUAUGCAUCUACCCAUAUACUGGGGUAGUACUUCUUCAAGUAUUUCCCAUUCAAAGCUCUAGCGAAUUCUUUUCCUUCAAGUGUUUCUAUAAUAUAUGUGUUGCCUGGAGCACAACGACUCACCCGAUAUGGCCCUUCCAAUGUAGGCGACCAUUUUUCGUAUUUAGUAUCUUUAGACCCUAUUACAACACCAGUUUCCAGCCCAGAUCUCCCUGGGAAAAGUCUUUGACUUUGACCUUCUUAUCAUACCAUCUGGCCACUCUUUUUUUUUCCUUCAAUACUGAUCAAAGCCCUUAGCCAAUGACCAGCUAGAUCUUCCAACUCCCCUUUCAUCAGGAUUGAGUAAUUGUCGACUGUCAGUUGAUCUUGCAACGAUAUACGUCUUGAUCCUGUUUUCAAUUCCCAAAGCCAAAUCGUUUCAUGCCCAUAAACCAAGUGAUAAGGGGAUACUUUUGUAGCACCAGGUCAUCCGAUAUGCCCAUAAAGAUUCAUUUAGCGUAACAUGCCAACGUCUUGGUUGCUCUUCAAUUUUUCUUUUAAUUAACUUCAUAAUCCCCUUGUUGGAUGCUUCAGCCUGACCAUUUGCUUGAGCAUAAUACGAAGAAGAAUUCAAUAGUUUAAUUCCCAUACUGGCAGCAAAUUCCUCAAAUUCCCCUAAAGUGAACAUAGUCCCCUAAUCGGUUGUGAUAGUCUGAGGGAUACCGAACCGAUAGAUAAUGUGCUCUUUAACAAAGUUGAUCAUGCUUGCCGAUGUCACAUUCUUCAAAGGAAUUGCUUCAACCCAUUUUGUAAAGUAAUCUGUUGCUACCAAUAUGAACCUGUGACCCUUGCUAGAUGAUGGAUAAAUAUGGCCGAUUAAGUCAAUCCCCUAACUCCUGAAUGGCCACAGCUUAAUUAUAGGAUUCAUAGCCGAUGUUGGGGCUCUCAUCACGGUUCCAAACCUUUGGCAAUCCUUACAACCCUUGUAAUACUUGAAGCAAUCUUCAAGGAUAUUCGGCCAGUAGUACCCAUUAUUUCUAAUCAUCCAUUUCAUUUUAAAGGCCGAUUGAUGAGCCCCACAAACUCCCUCAUGAAUUUCGCCCAUCAAGCUUUUUGAUUCUUCAACACCAAGGCACUUGAGCAAGACCCCAUCAAUCGUCCGAUAAUAUAAAUCAUCUUCGAGUAACACAUAUUUCAUGGCCUGAAGACGUACUCGUCUGUCAGCCCUUUUGGAUGGAUCCUUUAAAUAAUCGGCUAUCCCCUUUCUCCAAUCGCCAAGCAUCGGCUCUAAGGCCGUAGCACCACGAAUUGGCUAGUACCCAGAAGCAUUUUGAGCGAGCUUGUUAGCCUCUUCAUUGUAAGAUCUAGGAAUAUGUUCAAUGGUUACGCUCUUGAAUUCCUUAAGUAACUGGAGGCACUUCUCAUGGUAGACUCUCAAAAUGUCAUCUCUACAUUCACAUCCUCUAGUUAGUUGAUUGACGACCAGCAUAGAAUCCCCAAAUAUUUCGACAGCAUCAACUUUAAUCUCUCUCAACAACUUGAUGCCUUUCAAAAUAGCUUGGUAUUCAACCUUAUUAUUGGUAGCAGUAGUAUCAAUCUGCAACGAAAACUCAUAGUUUGCCUCCCGUGGAGACACAAGCACUAUGCCGAUCCCUGAACCGACUCCACAUGAAGAUCCAUCAAAGAAUAAAGUCCAUGGAACUGGUUCCACAACAGCAACCUCCAGACCACAAUGCUGAACAACGAAAUCGGCCAUGACUUGCCCUUUAAUGGCUUUAGCUAAUUCGUACUUCAGGUCAAACUCUGAUAGAGCCAAAAUCCAUUUUCCAAUCCUCCCAUUCAAAAUCAACAGUGACAACAUAUACUUGACAACAUCAUCUUUGCACACGACGACGCAUUCAGCUGAUAACAAAUAAUGCCUAAGCUUAGUGCAGGAGAAAUACAACCACAAGCAUAGCCUUUCAACUGGAGAAUACCUGGUCUCUACAUCCAAGAGCCUCCUGCUCACGUAAUAAAUUACCCGUUCCUUUUCUUCAAACUCUUGAACAAGAGCCAAUCCGAUAGCACGCUCAUCAGCCGAUAAGUACAACUUGAACGGCUCAUGUUCCUGAGGAGGUACCAACACUGGAGGCGACAACAAGUAUCGCUUAAUAUCAUCUAACGCUUUUUGCUGUUCUACUCCCCAAACAAACUCUUGAUCAGCCUUCAAUUUUAACAAUGAACUAAACGGCUGAAUUCUUACAGAUAAGUUUGAUAUGAACCUUCGAAUGAAAUUAAUCUUGCCGAUCAAUGACUGAAGCUCGGUUUUAUUUUUCGAAGCAACAACCUUGUUAAUGGCACCAAUAAUCUUCUGACUAACUUUGAUGCCAUGUUCAUGUACCAUGAAACCCAAGAACUGCCCAGCUGAUACGCCAAAAGCACACUUAUUUGGAUUCAUCUUCAGUCCAUACUUCCUUGUGCACUUCAGAACCCUGUGUAGAUUAGCCAAAUGCUCAUGGUAUCCUUCUGAUUUAACCACGACAUCAUCAAUGUAAAUCUCCACUAUCUUGCCGAUGAGUUCAUGGAAAAUAUAAUUCAUGGCCCAUUGAUACGUAGCCCCAUCAUUCUUCAAUCCAAAAGUCAUGACGAUCCACUCAAACAAGCCGAUGUGCCUAGGACAUCUAAAGGCUAUUUUGGAAAUAUCUUCUUCAGCCAUAAAUAUCUGGUUAUACCCAGCAUUACCAUCCCUGAAACUAAUAACUCUAUGUCCUGCAGCAGCAUCUAUCAGCAUGUCGGCUACUGGCAUCGGAUAACCAUCCAUCAGCAUGGCUUUAGUGAGAUCCCUGAAAUCAAUACAAACUCCUAGAUUCCCAUUCUUCUUGUAUACAGGGACAACAUUAGAAAUCCAUUCAGCAUAACGACACUGCCUGAUGAAGUUAGCUUCAAUUAAUCUUGUAAUCUCAACUUUAAUGUCAGGUAACACUUUUGGAUUACAACGCCACGCAGGCUGCUGAUAUGGUUGAUACCCUAACUUUAUAGCAACCGACGUUCAACAAUAGAUCGAUUUAAACCAGGCAUUUCAUAAUAUUCCCAAGCAAAGCAGUCUUUAAACUCCCUAAGUAACUUAAUCAAUUCUUGCUUAUACUCAGGAUCUAACUUAGCACUAAUGUACAUCAGCCUUGGCUUGCUACCAUCUCCAAGAUCUACCUGCUCUAAUUCAUCGGCCGACGUAAACCCGUGCCAAGCUUCCCAUCAUCUUCAACGAACUCAUCCAUCAAGACGAUUCUUCCGAGCCGACUACUUGGAUCGACUGUAGUCCAAAAUCGGACACCUUCAAGAAAGUCGUAUCCCAGGCUUUGCCAGAUACACAACUUACUUGUUCAUAGCUCCACUGCAGGGCAUCAGUUGCGGCAAUGCUGAAAGAGGAAUCUCCGGGGAGACUACUACUGAAUCGCUGAUCCACUGGACAAGGCAUUGAUACAUCAUAGACGGGAUACAACAAUUGGCAUGAAUCCAAUCUCGACCUAAGAGCAUGUUAUAUGAUCCUUUACCAUUAAUGAUGAAAAAUGUGGUGGGUAGGGUCUUACUCCAAUUGUCAAGUCAACACAAAGUGCCUCCCGAGUUGGUGAGAUGUUUCCUUUAAAGUCUUUCAGCAUCAUAUCCAUUUUCGUCAAGUCUUCUUCCCUCUUUCCAAGCUUGUGAAACAUGGCAUAUGGCAUAAUAUUUACCGCCGCACCUCCAUCCACCAGCAGUUUGCUAACUGGCCUUCCAUUCACCUGUCCUUUGAGGAACAAAGCUUUUCAUCCUUAGGCUUCUCAAAGGUAGCCGGCAUCAGCUCUAAGGUUAACUGCGCCAUCCCUCGCUUUGCUUCCGAUAUUUCACUAUGAUCAGCUGGAGCCAUAAACUCCAUCGGUAGAACGAAGACGAUGUUGAUAUCUGCAGUAGAUUUAUGGUUAUCAUCCGCAUCAUUGGCUUUCGCUUUGACGCACCAUACUUGGGACCUGACUCCUUUCUUCUCUAAGGCACGUUUUUCUUCUUCUUCUUCUUGUUCCCACUGGCGCAAGCGCUGAACUCUCCUCUUCUGGGACUUGGUCAAACCUUCUGGGCACCAUCUAGGGUGCUUCACACCACCGUGCUGUGAUGCACGCUGCCACUCUGGUUCGCGACACAUCAGCUCUUCAUCAGGGAUUCUUUCAUUGGUCCUCUGCUCCAACCGAUUAGAUACACCAAUUCUGCCUUCCAGCCGAUCAUAUACAUUGACCUUGCCCCCCAGCCGAUCAUGCACUGGAAUACACCUAUCACCAUAAUCAGAUCUAUUUCUGAUGAUCGGCUUGCGAUUUCUAUCAUCAAAGCAUGGCCUCUUGAACGACCGGCUAUCUUGACACGACCCACUACACUCAGGGCAGUUAUCAGCUGAUGGUAGUUUGAUUCCUUCUUCCCAACAGUAUAUGAAGAACGGGCACCUCCAAUGACCUUCAUGAUUCUGAAGUCAAUACUUUGGUCUGAAUUUCACCCUUACCACCAAUUUCCACCAUGUUAGUUGGGAAAUGGUGCUGGUUGAUCUUCGUCGGCUUUGCUGGCUUUGUAGGAACUUCAAACUUGAGUCUUCCCUGCUCAAUAGCCGAUUGGAUCUGCUGACGGAAAACUUUGCACUCAUUUGUGUCAUGAGACAUAGCAUUAUGCCACUUGCAGUAUUUGAUCUUUUUGAGCUAUUUAGCCGACGGGAUAGUAUGAUAGGGCGACAAAUUGAUUUGCCCCUCUUGCAACAACAAAUCAAAGAUUUUGUCGGCUUUGGUAGUAUCAAACCCAAACUUUUUAGGCUCUUCCUUGCCAAAUGGACACAAAAAUGGUUUCUUGUUUUUGACCCACUUAGCCAAGCCAAUUUCCAUCUCUUCAUCUGAAUUGGAGUAUUGCACAUACGCAACCCUCUUCUGGAAGUUUCUCUUCUGCUCAUAAGGGCAUGCUUCCUGGUUUGACAUCCAAUGUACAAGCUGACUCAGACUUUCAAAUUCCUGCGAUGCAUAUUUUUCUUUGAUGUGUGGCAAGAGUCCUUGAAAGGCUACUUCAGCUAGCUGGCUGUCACUUAGGACCAAACUAUAACACUUGUUUCUAACUUCUCUCAAUGUUUGUAUAAAGCCAGCUACUGACUCAUCACUCCUCUGCCUCAAUCCAGUCAGAUCUGUGAGCUUCAUCUCGUGAACUCUGGCAAAGAAGUAUUUAUGAAAAUGCCUCUCCAGAUCGGCCUAGGAAAUAAUAGAAUUAGCUAGAAGUGUCGAACCACUGGAAGGCCGACCCAGACAAAGAUGACGAGAACAACCAAACCCUCAAUGCAUCCUGCGCAGCUGCUUCUCCACAUUGAAUAAUAAAUCGGUUGACGUGCUCUACCGUAGAGGUAUCAUCUUGUCCCAAGAACUUGGUGAAGUUAGGUACUUUAUACCGAUGGGGAAAAGGAAGCAAAUCAUAUUCAGGUGGAUACAACAUUCUGUACAUGUAGGUCUGCUGCUUAGGUUCAAACUGAUCUUGCAUUACCUCAGCUAUCUAUGCAGCCCAAUCUACCUGUUGGUGUGCAGUCUGUGGCUGUUGUGGUAUGACCGGUUGAAUCGUUAGCUGAAAAACCGAUGCUUGUUGCUACAGUUAUGGUAAAACUAUCGGAUGAGCAACCAAUGCUUGUUGCUGUAGUUGUGGCAAAACUAUCGGUUGAGCAGCUGAUGCUUGUUGCUGAAAUUGUGGCUGACAUAUCGGCUGAACUAUAGCGUGCCUGCCUCCUCAUUAUAUAAUACCAUCGUUGACCCGUCUUGAUGAGGCAUCAAAGUGUUGGCUCCCCCAUUGACUUCUGAAGUAUCUUGUUGUUGAUGCUGACUUGUUGGUUGAGGAGUCAACACCUGUGGCAUCUGUAUGUGAGACCUUGUGGAUGGGGUGAAUGACCCUGGAGGCACUCCAAACCCAGUGGUCGGGUUCCAUUCGAUUGGUGUUCCUGUUGUCCCCCAUUGCGCCGAUGAUGAAGUUAAUGACGAUGGAGUAGAAUAUUCUGGGAAAGUUUGGUUCACAAUCUGCGUCGGUAGAGGUGGUGCAACACUGGGACUCAGAGACGGCAUAACACCGUAACCUCCCCUUGACUGCAUCGGCUGAGAAACCGAAUGAGUCAUGCCAGAUGCCACCAUGAUAUUUCCAAUUAGCGCAUUUUUAGGGGAUUCAUAGGCUGGACCUCGAUAACCUUGAGGAACUCCCCCUAGUAAAGUGUUGACGAUGGUGUUGUGAACGGUGUUGGUCAUCAUUGAGGACUGAUUGAUCAACGCAUGAUGAACAACUUGGUCGAUCAUCUCUUGCAUCUUCCCUGGAUUUUCAUCAAUAGUGAUAUGACGAGGGACUAGAAAAUCAUGCUUCUUAACAGCCUCUCCCCUCUUGGUAAGGCUAUAUGAUCUCAAGUACGCCAAUUUAUACUCCUCCAUAGCUCUUGCCAGAUCACUUUUCUGAUCAUCCUUAAGAUCCUCUUCCAUAACCUCCAUGAUGUUUUUGUUUGAGAGCUCAGAAGGUUCCGGAAUAGACAUGUUGAAAAACUGCUCGUGGUCCCACUAGGCAUGCCAAAAGUGUGUUACGCAAAAAUCGGGCGAUGACCUUCGCGUACUAACACGCAAAACCUGAGAGAUCUGCUUUGCUCAAGUACAGGUUGUAACGCUCUCGAUCCAAGGCGUGCUAGUGAAUUUGACAUGCCCAUUGACAAGGACAAAGAAGACGUUAAAUUCGAGAGCGAAUCGGCUGGUGUUCCGAUUAGCUCCAAGGGGUCAUAAAUGGCUAGGUAGCCGAUGCAGAAAAAAACAAUCGGCUAGGUCAGCCGAUGUAUGCGUAAUCAAUACAAAGGAACUAUUGAAACACAACUUAAGCAAUGAUACGCGAACAACGCUUGAAAUAGAUCUAGUCGGCUAUAGGACAGUUCCUGAAUGAAAAAUAGGAUAAGAAGCCGAUCGGAAUCUAUUCCAAGCUAGAUAAUGGUGAUAAAAGCUAAAGCAACAAGAUUUAAACAAAUAAACUUGCAGUUCUAGCAAAUAUCGAUAACUUGAUGAAUAAAUCUAGACAAAACAACAGCGAUGCGCCAAAUGUUAAAGACUAGAAAUUACUCGAUAAACGUGGAACUUACAAUCUAGCCGGAGAUCAAGACGAUGCAGUCUUGCUAGCUUGGAAGAACUCGUGAAGAAAAAGAGAACUUUGGCGAAGUCGCCGACUUAAAAGUAAAUUACGAAUAAAUUAGAUUUGUUUGUUUGUGUGUGUACAUCUUUUUUCAGACCUUGCAGGGUCUCUAUUUAUAUCCUAAACUCAAAACUCCUAGUCCUGGUCGAUUACGAUGCAAUACAAUACCUAUAACAAACUUUCUAAACAAAAUGACUCAUACAAAAGUCGAAAACGAACUUAGCCUAUAUUAACCAACCCUAUAUCCACCAUCUUGCAACCUCCUCGCCGAUCAAGAUUCUUUUUUCCUUUUAUCAGUCAAAGCUCCAACACCUUCGAUUGGCUAGAACCCUCCUGCUUGCAUCGACAAGACCCUAUCAGCUCCCAUUGGCCAAAUCCUCCUACCUUUAUCGGCCAAACCUCUGUGAUUCCAUCGGCUGAACUAUUGUAACACCAUCAGCCGAUUUUACUAGCCAUUCCUCCUCUGUCACGCAUCAGCACCUUUGCUUCCCUUUGACACCAACUUUGAUACGUGUCAAAAAAUAGAGCCAACAAGGACAUAUGAGAGGAAAUAAACAGAGCAACUAUUCAUCAUUUCAACCAUGGAGAAUUAAAACAUUCUUACCGUGCAUAGGAAAGCAGUAAAUAUUUUUUAUCUUUUUAGUUUUUCAGAUUUUUAUUUGUUUUUAUCAUGCAUAUUCUGAAAGCGGUACAGAUACAAGUUACCUCUCUUGUGGGGGUCCUCCCCCAAGCUAGCUUCAAGCUCACUGCUGCUGGUUGGGGUUGUACCCCAUCCAACGAAAGUAAGACUAUAGCUCCUCCUCUUGUUUUAGUUGCUGAAGUGUACUUGACAAGCUGGAUACCUAGGCUUGGAACGCAAUAGUGUGAAACACGGGGUGACAUCCAAAUGGGCAAUGUUACAAGAACUUUCCCAAGUGGUUGUUUCCCCGAGCCCAAACUCACAGCAAAGAACAAUUAGAUUAGAAGAGUUUCCUUACUUCUUUCUCCUGAGUGGAAUCUGUUGAAAGAUCUUAAGAGCCAAUUCGGGGGAGGAGCGAAUGCCAUCGAUGGGCAACACUCCUCCCUCCUUUACCUUUUGCAGAGCUUAGGAGAACAAAUGGUCACAUUGUUGGGAUACGAGGUAGGCUACACUAGCGCAAAUCAAAAAAAUUCUACCGCGUAAACCAAGAAAACUACCGUAUAAGGAUCACGGGAUUACCACUCGACGCACUACUGCUGCGGAAGAUGUAGAUUCACGUCGAUGCAGCGAAGUCGAUCAACGUAGUCGUACGUAGUCGAUCACAUCGACGUCCAGCAGCUCGUCCAUGUGCAGCAAGAUCUCUCUCGUGCCGUGGCUCGUCGUCGGCUCGUCGUGGUUCGUCGGCGGCUCGUCGUGGCUCGUCGACGGCUCAUCCAAGUGCUGCAGGCGCAACACCUCCAAGGUAUCCACACGUGCAGGGAGGAAGCGUCGCAAGCCGGACUGCUAGAUCCGUGAGUUGCAACAGGCGAGGGCGUGGGAGGCGCGGCAGAUGUGUUUCACCAAAACGUGUAAACCCUAGGGCGCCCCCACCCCUCUAUUUAUAGAGGUUCCUAACGGGCCUCUGGGUCCGAGGCCCAUUAGUACUUCUAAUCUUAAUCCAACUCGGAUCACAUCCGAAUUGGGCUUCCAGCCCCUUAAGUGUGUGACCCUAUGGGUUCGGAUACGUAUAGACAUGGCCCGAGUACUCCUACUCAACCCAAUAGUCGGUAGCGGCCUCUAGCAAGACGUGCCAACUCCUAUAUGCACACGAAGAUCAUAUCAGACGAACCAUCACAACAUUAUAUACAUAAUAUUCCCUUUGUCUCACGAUAUUUGGUCUAGCUUCAAGCCGACCGCUCUUUCUCGAUCCUGUGAUUCGGAAUCCCUUUGUAGGUCAACUCUUAACCGUACGUAGCAUGGCCAUGCAUUUUCGGAUCCGAUCACUCGAGGGGCCCAGAGAUAUCACUCUCAAUCAGAGAGGGGCAAAUCCCAUCUUGAUUGACCAUGUCUUACAGCAUGCUUCUUGACAAACCCGAAAGCUACCUUUAUAACUACCCUGUUACGGCGUAGCGUUUGAUAGCCCCUAAGUAGGUCGAUCCACAUCUUGAAUACAUGCAACAAUCUCAGGUCUAAGGACAAAGCGUAUAUGUUGUUUAAAGAGAGAACUACUUCUCAUGUAUGCCAUGUGACAUAGGCAAGAACCCUUUCUUUGCCUCUUCCAUGCUGAACCGCUUCAACACUUUGUCAAUGUAAGUAUCUUGGCUUAAACCUAUAAGCCUUCUCGAUCUAUCUCUAUAGAUCUUAAUGCCUAGAAUAUAUGCCGCUUCCCCUAAGUCCUUCAUCGAAAAACUAUUUUUCAGUGAAGUCUUUAUGGACUCAAGCAUAGGAAUGUCAUUUCCAAUCAGUAAUAUGUCAUCCACAUAUAAGAUUAGAAAUACUACAGAGCUCCCACUAACCUUCUUGUAAACAUAAGACUCUUCUUCGUUCUUAGUGAAGUCAAACCCUUUGACCACUUCAUCAAAACAAAUGUUCCAACUCCUAGAUGCUUGCUUCAAUCCAUAAAUGGAUGUCUGAAGCUUGCAUACCUUUCUAGCAUUUUCGGAUCGACAAAACCCUCAGGCUGUAUCAUAUACACGUCCUUAGCAAGGUUUCCAUUUAGGAAAGCUGUCUUGACAUCCAUCUACCAUAUCUCGUAAUCGAAAUAUGCAGCUAUAGCUAGGAUAAUCCGAAUGGACUUAAGCAUCACUAUGGGUGAGAAGGUCUCGUCAUAGUCAACUCCUUGAACUUGUCGAAAACCUUUUGCGACAAGUCGUGCUUUAUAAAUGUGAACAUUUCCAUCCAUGUCCUUUUUCUUCUUAUAGAUCCACUUGCACUCUAUGGCUUUAACACCAUUAGGCGGGUCAACCAAGUUCCAAACUUGAUUGUCUCCCAUGGACUCUAUUUCGGAUUGCAUGGCACUCUGCCAUUUUUCGGAGUCUGGGUCCAUCAUUGCUUCUGCAUAUGUUGCAGGCUCAUCAUUGUCCAAUAAAAAUAUUUCCCACAUUUCGCGGAGCCUUGCCGACCUUCGUGGUUGUGGCGGUGCUUCUCUUGCCAUGGGUAUCUCAACUUGUUCUGCUACGUUAGCAUCACUCAUUGAUUCUUGCCCGAUUGGCUCAUCUUGAACUUCUUCAAGAUGCACUGUCUUUCCACUCUUUUCUCCUUUGAGAAACUCUUUCUCUAGGAAAACCCCGUUCCGAGCGACAAACACUUUGCCCUCUGACCGGUUGUAGAAAUAAUAUCCCAAAGUUUUCUUUGGAUAUCCCACAAAAAUGCACUUAUCCGACUUGGGUGUGAUCUUGUCCGACUGAAGUCGCUUGACAAACACUUCACAUCCCCAAAUCUUUAGAAAAGACAAACUAGGAACCUUUCCAGUCCACAUCUUAUAUGGUGUCUUAACUAUGGAUUUAGAUGGUACCCUAUUAAGUGUGAAAGCUGCUAAUUCUAGAGCGUAUCCCCAAAAUGACAACGGUAGGUCCGACUGUCUCAUCAUUGAUUGAACCAUGUCUAACAAAGUUCAAUUACGUCGCUCGAAUACACCGUUUCUCUGAGGUGUUCCAGGUGGCGUAAGUUGUGAAACAAUUCCGCAACUCUUUAGAUGAUUGCUAAACUCGUGGCUCAAGUACUCGCCUCCACGAUCAGAUCGUAAGGCCUUAAUUUUCUUACCACGCUAAUUUUCAACUUCAUUCUGAAAUUCCUUGAACUUUUCAAAGGUUUUAGACUUGUGCCUCAUCAAGUAGACAUAGCCAUAUCUACUAAAAUCAUCAGUGAAAAUUAUGAAGUAUUGGAAUCCUCUUCUAGCCGUCGUGCUCAUUGGUCCGCAUACAUCACUAUGUACGAGUUCCAACAAGUCUACUGCUCUCUCAGGAAAUCCUGUGAAAGACAUCUUGGUCAUUUUGCCUAGCAAGCAAGCCUCACAUGUCUCGUAUGAUUUAAAAUCAAACGAAGUUAGAAGUCCAUCAGAAUGGAGCUUCUUCAUGCGCUUUUCACUUAUAUGACCCAAACGACAAUGCCACAAGUAGGUAGGACUCAAAUCAUUAGGCCGAGGCCUUUUAGCACUUACGUUACAGACAGGUGAACCAUCAAGAUUUAAAACAAAUAAUCCAUUCACAAUGGGCGCAAAAGCCAUAAACAUAUCAUUCUUAGAGAUCACACAACCAUUGUUUUCACUCGCAAAUGAAUAACCAUCCUUCAUCAAGCAUGAAGAAGACAAAAUGUUUCGACUUAAACUAGGAAUGAAAUAAAAAUUAUUCAACUCCAUAAUAAAUCCUGACGGGAGGUGGAGUUGCAUCGUCCCAACGGUCAACGCAGCAACUCUUGCAUUAUUGCCCACGCGGAAAUCAACUUCUCCUCUUUCCACGCUUCUACUUCUUAUCAUUCCCUACAUCGAAUUGCAAAUAUGAGCAACCGAUUCGGUAUCAAAUACCCAAGAAUUAAUAAUUGUAUCAGCGAGAAAAAUGUUGUCUAUAACAUUAAAAACAAGCGUACCUGAGGUAGAAGUACUCUUACUUCCGCCAUUCUUCAACGAAGCUAGGUACUGCUUGUAGUUUCUCUUCGAGUGACCAGGUUCGUGACAAUAAAAGCACUCUUUAUCUAGAGCAGGUCCAGCUUUAGCCUUGGGCGCUGGGUUUGGCUUGGACACUCUAGCCUUACCCUUCUUCUUCCAAGAAUUGCCCUUCUUCUUGAAGGUAGGCUUGUUCUGUACAGCCAUCACAUGGCUGGUACUAGCGCUUUUCUUAAUGUCUACCUCUGCUGUCUUGAGCAUACCACACAGUUCAUUCAGACCCUUCUCCGUCCCAUGCAUAUGGUAGUUCGAGAUGAAGUUCCCAUAGCUAGGCGGAAGAGAUGAAACAAUGAAGUCAGUGGCCAACUCUUUGCCCAUUGGGAAGCCCAGCUUCUCCAAACGCUGAGUGUAACCAACCAUCUUGAUUACAUGUGGUCCUACUGCUGCGCCUUCUGCUAGCUUGCACUUCAGAAAGGCUUUGGACACAUUGAACCUUUCAGUCCUAGCCUGUGUCUGGAACAUGUCCUUGAGCGCCACGAUCAUAUCGUGUGCCUCAAGAUUUGUUUCGAACUGCAUCUGCAGCUCGGGUUCCAUGCAAGCAAGCAUAAGGCAGCUUACCUCAAGAUUAGCAUCAAAUGCCUUCUUGUAAGCAGCCUUAACGGCAGCAUAUUGUAACGACCGACCCCUAAACCUUCCCAGUUAGUUUUGAUCAGAGCCCUUGAUCAAAGUCAUCUGUCUUGUUUUCCCGCGCCGAGUGCUCAGCCUUCCGCCUGGUUCCGACCCCGGAGACCUGACCCCUCUCCGCUUCGUUCCUCUCCCGACCCCGGCAAGCACAGCCCACCAUCGGAUCCUGAUAAUCUUUCUCAACCAUCCGUUCUAUCCACCGGUGGACCCGCGAGAUCUUUUCCCAGAUCCUCCACGACAGCCGCACUCGAGUUGCAUGGCCGCCUCAGAGUCUUCCUGCCGCGUGGCUCGUCUUCUCCGACGCCCGCCGCUCAGUUUUGUCUCUAGCAAGCGACCGAGUGGGUUCUCGCGCCCCCUUCCCCAAUGGCAGCGGAAGCCCCUCUACACCCCUUUCUGCAGAGCCUCGCCUCCCGCGCCCAUCAUCACGCCGCCAGAUCCCGGCCCCAGAGCCCGAUGUCGCCCGUCUUUUCCGUCCCUUCAGCCACAGUCGCGCCGCCCGGUCGCCGCUACACGACGAUUCCCCCACCACCAACCCCGACCGCGGCCGCGACAGCUCCUUUCCCCCGCUCUGUCAGAAGCCGCCCGACAAUCUGUUGUUCCCCGCUCGCCCGCGCGCCCGCGUCUGCCUGUCUUCUCACCUGUGCGCCCUCGAUUCUAGUGCCAUUAAACCGGUCGCUUCUAUCAAAUCUUUCGCACGGCGACGCACGCUUUCCGCCAAAUCUCAACCACCAGUCUACCCGCUCCUACGCCGCCCUGACGGCAGAACGCAAUGAUCGCUGGCGCCACCCCCGGAGUUCUGUACCACCGCCCUCUUCGCUCAAUCGCCGCCCCGGCAGAGCACUCCAUUGCCUCUCCCCGGCCUUCGCGCCGCUUCCCUUCUCUCUCUCCCGCGCCGCUUCCUUUCCUCUGCUCCAGCAGCUAUAAAAGGAAUGCCCCCGUCGCCGGAGUUCCCUCCGCCAUUGUUGCCUUCAGCCUUCUCUCGCUCUCUGCUCAAGCUCCUAGCGCCACCCACCCAGUUCUUGAGGAGUUCUUCUCUCAGUUCUCUCUCAGUUUCUCCAAGUCACCCAGCAGCUUGCUCCUCCGUGCUGCGUAAAAGCUCUCUUGUGAUCUGCAAGAAGCACCGCCGCCGCCGUAGCUUUCCCAGUCUUAGCCCUUGUUCAAAGCUUAGUCCCUCCGCCCAAGUCUGCUUCUUCCCGACCCCAAGCUUUCCUUUCAGGAAGAAGGUGAGUUGCCGACCCCAGUCCACCUCGCCCGACCCCUCCUAUCUGCCCGACCCCGGUUUCGUCUCGCCCGACCCUAUCUGUUCCGCCAACCCUUAUAUCCGCCUCGCCCGAGGGUUCGGCUGUGGUCUUUUUCUUCAACCCGAGGGUGUAUGUGUAAAACUGGGGAACCCUUCAGCGCUUGCGUCUAAGGACCCCCAGUAUAUCACAUCCUCUGGUUCAAGGAUCAGAUCAUGAAUUCCUUUCCUACCCUUACCUCUUGAUCAUCAUCAGCUCUCUUGAACCACCAUAACCUCCUGCUCUUUGUCGCGAGUUUCUGGGCUCAGGCGAGCCAGUGUUGCUGUUGAAAUAGCUAUCUAUGCUAACCCUUGCAUUGCAUUCGUGUAGAGCUGCACCUCGCCGACGGCUUCUACGAGCUUCACCCGGUGCCAGAAGAAGAAGCUGUAGCCGAGCUCCUGCCCUCCGAAGCCGAAGUCGCCUCCGAAGUCGAGCAGUUCCCGUCCUCCUUGCUUGAAGGCAAGCCCCGGUUGCAUGAAAAUCCUACGUGUUUUGCCAGACUUGCGCAUGCCUUCUGUAACAUGCGUGUGCAUUUACGUAUAGGAGUUGUGUGAAACCCUAGAUGCAUGACUUAGUUGUCCCAAUGAUCUGAGCACUAGCUGUUGGACCGAGUAGUUGCAUUGCUUAACUAGGAGACGAUAAAAGUCGAGUGAUCUCCUGUCACUCGCGAGUUGUAGGAGUUGCAUGUUUACUCUCCUGUCAUAACCAUAAGGACGAUGGACGGGGCAGGGUUUUGGUAACUCUUUGGUGGUCGGAUGGUUGCCCCGUCUGUCUAUGAAAUCUUGCUAAGGCCCGACAGUGGUGGUGUUCGUGAUCAAGUGUUUGAAAGUACUAGCCUCAUACUUAGUAUGGGAUGAGGAAGCCUAGUACCUGAUUGAACCUAGACGUGAGCGGUCGCCCCAUUGUUCUUGGAACGGAGUUUCCCCUGCUGGUUGUCGCACGUGGUGGCAAGCGUGGUCACAGAACAGCAGAGGCCGGGUCUGUGGAACCUUGCACCAAAGGAAAUGGGCCUGACACGGGUUAGGGGAUUGAUGGGGAAGGCCGACACAGGAAGCGACCUCCGGGUGCGCGGAUGUCGUGAGGCUAGGUUCACCAUGCAUGGUUAAAGAACUCGAAUCGAUUCAUCUACCUCUCACAGUCUGAGAUUGCUUGAUCGCUAUGUCACCCUGAGUAAAUGAGGAAUCUGAUGAUGGCAAAUAUUUGUUGUUAUAUCUAUACCUCUUGUUUGGCUCUCUGAUUGCUUAGAAUAGGUUGCACAACCUAGACUGGUAAAUGAACCUAGAACCGGAGCUAAAACUUGAAAAUAGGGUUACUUAGUGAUUUUGGCAAACAAACCCCUCAGCCAAAAAGCCCUGCAUGUCUAGAAGGAGGAGUAGUUUACUCCUAUCGGUUAAGUCUUGUUGAGCUUAGUAGCUCAGCCUUGUUGUGGCUCCUGUUUUUCAGGUGAGGUUGUUGCGCCCGGCCCCUCUCUGGUUGGUGCUUGGCCGCCCCAGCUUCCGCCAGGCUAGACGGUCGAGUGGGAUCCUUCCUCGGACGGCGAGAAGAGGAACCAGUGAUGUCCCGGUUGGCCUCACCAGGGAUGUCCGACCCCGACGAAGUCUUCCGCUAGUGAUUUUACCCUUGUUGUUUUCCUUGAACCUUGCAAAAACUCUGAUGUUGGAUUUUAUGGCCGAAUUAAAUGGGUAAAACUUGUUUAACUCAGUGGACUCGUUGUAUUCUCUGUAACCACUCACCUUCGUGUGGGUUUGCUAAACUCGAUCCUGUUUAAGUGGUUAAAUCGGAGGAAAUCCGACGGCACUUCGUAUUAACUCGGUUUAGGCAGGAGUGUCGCAUGUUAGGCGGCUUAACCCUAUCUAAAUCAAGCUAAUCCGAAGUGGAUCCGCCACAGCUGGUAUCAGAGCCGUGUUUAGCAUUUCAGAGAACACAACCAGCCCUAAACACUUCUUUGAAAAGAUAAAAGUUGCAAGAAACUUUUGAAAACCUCGUACGAUCGAUAAGGAUGACUUAGUGCGAGAGGCCCUAGGGGAUUUUGGGGUUGUUUUAGGUGACUAAUAAGUAUUUGGUUAUUUUGCUAACUCUUCCAGCACUUCGCCACAUCUGUCAUACGUGUGCCGAGUUCCGCAUCGCGAGCAUGCGAGGGUUGAUAGGGAGUUCCAUUCAAAGGACCCUAUCUUCGCGGUUGUUUUCGUCCACGUCUAUCACACGUGCGCAGGUUCCGUAUGUGUUCCAUACGAAGGUUGGUACGGUUCGAUUCCAACGAACCUAUCAGCACGGUUUGUUCGCCACAUUUGUCAUACGUGUGCCGAUUUCGCAUCGCGAGUAUGCGAAGGGUUAUAUGGUUUCAUUCAAAGGGAACCUAUUUCCACGGUUGAGUGCUGUCCAUGCAGCCUUAAACGCAUGGGUGCCGUUCCUAUAGUGAGCGGUAAUGUUUGGGAACGCUUUCGUGGGUGCUGGCACGAAAGGUUCGUGUGUGGUGUUUUCUGCAGGUGCUAACCGCGUUCGUAUAGGAGACGUUACUAGAACCGACUAGUUAUUAUAGGGAGAGACGUAUGUGUUGCCUUGUCACCGGCGCUGACCGCGUAAGACCCAAAGUUCCGGGCAGUUGUUUUUGGUUAAGUGUGAGGUAGGCCGUGCAUGUGUCAUACCUAAAAAGCUGUAAUAUUUCCUUCUCAACAGCAACUUUGUUCGGAAGAGUUCUUUUGGAUCUAAGGAUUUCUAGUUUCUUUUAGUGCUCUCGGUUAAAACCGUAUGCUUCUCUAUCCGACCCCUGACCCUUGGAAUCUAUCUCACGUGGUUUCGGUUUCUUGGUCCCAGAUGGCUGUUCCCGGACAUAUCCUUUUUGGAGCGGACGGUACCUUCCAGUCGACGUGCCUGCAUUUCGAGGGGUUUCCCGCGAUUCUGUGGGAUACGCUGAAGUGGUUUGGGUACCAGUCCCCGCCCUUGUAUGCCGGGCGGUUAUAUCUGGAACAGGGCAUUCAGACGUGCCAAGUGCAAGCGUUGGUACCACCUCCCCCUGCACGGCCCGACUGGCCCUCUCUUGGCAUAAUAGCCUAUGGUCUCGCUCCGGAAGAUACAUGGGAGUCCACCGCCCUUCAGUUGCUCACCCAGUUCUAUCAGCUGCAUCCCGUGGAGAUCAUGCUCGACCCGAUCGGCCUCUUCCCCGUCAGGAACCGGCUGGACCCGGCAUGGCUUGACCGCGUCGGGAACAUCGAGGUGUUAGCCACCACCUGCGCCAUGGUCACCAUCUCCACCAACAUCCGGUGCAUGGCCGCUCUCUCCCGGUUGAUAGAGCUUCAGGGGAGAGCCAUGACCCUCUUCGCCUGGACGGCAGCAGAUACCCACGGGUACCUCCAGGCAGCAAGAAGAGAUAUGGUAGGCCAAACCUACCAGCUGAUCCAACGGGGCAUCCAGAUCCACGAUAUGCAAGAUCGGAUCUCCGAGCUAGAAGGAGAAGUCGCCGACCUCGUGGACGGCAUGAUAGAACUCUCGGAGGAGAAGAUGGAGGUGGAAAUGGAGUUGGCAGUUGCCAAUGCUCAUCUGGAGGAGCACCAAGCUUAGCUCGAAGAUAUGCAUGCCCUCAACAUGCAGCUCGAGGCUCAGGAGGACCCUGAGGAAGAUGUGGGAGCGUCCAGUAUGGACAUAGAGGAAGAUCGCGCCCCUUCUCCGACUCAUAGUGUCCGUUGGUAGAUUAAGGGUUCUCAGGGAACCAUCCUUUUUGUUGUACUCCUCGGCAGCCUAGAUUUUGGAAAGGUUGUAAUAGGUUAGCAUCGAGUUGAGUGCUCCCUGUGUUGAAACACCGUUGUAUAUAAAGUUAAUCCUGGUGCAUAGCUUUCUCAUCUUUGUAUGGUGUGGAUGCUGGGUUGAGUAAGUUGCGCCUUGACCACAUGCUGUGUUCUGAGGACUUGUUCUUUGGCCAACCCCAGCUUGUGAGACCGAGUGCGCCGACCCUUUGAGGCAGUUUCCGCCUCGUCCGACCCUUUUCAAGUAUGGACCGUGUCCGACCCCUUGGUUUGAGUUGGAUCAGAUCGUAGGAGUCUGUAUGUGGCAUGUGUUGCCUGAAGUGGAGUACCAGGUCAAGUAGAGGUUAUCUAUGCUGAGAAUGAGAGGAAUGUGCUUUCUCUAUGAGGACGUGUGUUGCACCAUUGGCAAGAGUCGCAUUAAGGGAUUUAAUUUAUACGUUCCAUUUGUUGGAGUACACCUAAGGUUAUGAAAUUAAUGGGGCGCUAACUCUUGCAGAUGGCGCACCGCACUAGGUCUGGUUCUGUGCCCAGCGGUAGCGAUCAACGACAGGAUCUUCCCCCGCCCCCGCCCCCAUCGCCAUUGGAGGCAAUCCUAGCAACUCAAACUGAGCUGCUAAGGCAUCUGGUGCAAGGACAACAACAACAGCCACAUGGUGGAAGAGCUCAGCCGCAGCCACACAUCGCACGGUAUGAGGAUUUUCUGGGGACACAGCCCCCUCUGUUCCAAAAGACACAAGAACCGCUCGAUGCCGACGCAUGGGUUCGUACGAUCGAAUCCAAGUUCGAGCUUCUCACCGCCCCAUGCCCCGACAACAACAAGGCGCGGUUUGCAGCUCAGCAGCUGCGUGGCUCCGCACGGCUUUGGUGGGAUCACUACCAUGCCAUGCUGCCGGCUGGCCACGUGGUCAGCUGGAACGAGUUCAAGACGGCGUUCAAAGCGCAUCACAUUCCAGAAGGUCUCCUAGAGCGCAAGCUCAACGAGUUUCUGGCCCUCACCAAAGGAACUCGGGAUGUGCUGCAUUACGCCCAAGCUUUCAAUGACCUAUGCCAUUAUGCUGGCUAUCAUGCGGACACAGACGAGAAGAAGCGGGAUAGAUUCCGUCGAGGACUGAGCUUGGAGCUCAGGGAAAGGUUGAACCCCAUCAAGGUGGACACCUACAAUGAGUUGGUCAACCUGGCCAUCUCUCAGGAGGACUGCAUGCAAGCUCUCAAGGCCGACCAGAAGAGGAAAGCCUCUGUGGCAUUUUCGAGUCCACCGACUCGAAGGUUCCGGAUGGUCCCUCCACAAGCCCCUGGCCGACCCCAGCAGUCAGAGAAAUGGAUCGCCCGACCCCCGCCUGCAACAACGCCUCGUUUUCCAGGCUUCCAACCGCAAGUGCCCCGGCCGACCCUGCCAACGCCACCUCGCCCGGCAGCCAGUAACCGUUGUUUUACCUGCGGCAAUGAAGGACAUUUCGCAAAGGACUGCCCCAGGAUCAAGAAUCAACAGCAAGGUCAGAACCCCAUGGCAGCCAGAGGAAGAAGGCCCAAGGUGCAAGUCCGACAAGGCCGACUCAACUACACCAGCUUGACCGAGCUCCCCAAAGGUGCGCCAGUAAUGACGGAUACUUUCCUUGUUUUAAAUCAAGCUGUUGUUGUGUUGUUUGAUUCGGGAGCCUCUCAUAGCUUUAUCGGGAGUAAGGCUAGGGAAAGAUGUGGGCUAAGUGUCGGUCACACUAAGGAACCCUAUGUGAUCGCCACUCCUGGAGGAAGGAUAACGUCGGAUCAGGUCGUUAUUCUUGUACCUCUCCAGCUAGGUCCCACCCUCUUCAAGGAAAAACUUAUCAUCCUUGACCUAGAAGGCAUAGAUGUCAUCCUUGGUAUGGAUUGGAUGGCCCGACAUCAAGUGGUUCUAAAUACAUCAGCCCGAUCCCUCUGUAUCAGCUCACCCUCCCAUGGCAGUUCUACCAUAUCCUUGACCCAUCCUGAGUCUGCGUUUCCUUGUGCCUACCCUCUAUCGGGAGUCCGUCUAGAAGACCUCCCGGUUAUCUGUGAGUACCCUGAUGUGUUUCCAGAACAUUUGCCGGGUAUGCCACCUGAUAGAGAAGUUGAGUUUUCCAUAGAGUUGAUUCCUGGCACAGCCCCUAUAUCUAAGAGACCCUAUCGGAUGCCACCCGCUGAGUUAGCCGUGUUGAAGACCCAAUUGCAUGAUCUGUUGGAAAAGGGCUUCAUUCGACCUAGUACAUCAUCUUGGGGUUGCCCUGCCCUGUUUGUGAAGAAGAAGGAUGGCAGUCUACGUAUGUGUGUGGAUUACCGACCCCUCAAUGCUGUGACAGUCAAGAACAAGUACCCACUGCCACGCAUUGAUGUCUUGUUCGAUCAGUUAGCCAGAGCAAAGGUGUUCUCCAAGAUCGAUCUUCAUUCUGGUUAUCACCAAAUAAAGAUUCGACCCUGCAACAUACACAAGACAGCUUUCUCUACCAGAUAUGGACUGUACGAGUACCUAGUCAUGUCCUUUGGACUCACCAAUGCACCCGCCUAUUUCAUGUACCUCAUGAACUCGGUGUUCAUGCCCGAGCUAGACAAGUUUGUAGUGGUGUUCAUUGAUGAUAUCCUAGUGUACUCGAAGAACGAAGAAGAGCAUGCCGACCAUCUUCGUAUAGUUCUCCAACGGCUAAGAGAUCACCAGCUCUAUGCCAAGUUCUCCAAGUGUGAGUUUUGGUUAGAUAGUGUCAAGUUUUUGGGACACACUAUCUCCAAGGAUGGUAUCGCCGUGGAUCCCAGUAAGGUGCAAGAAGUCAUGGAAUGGAAGUCUCCUGCCUCAGUACACCAGAUCAGGAGUUUCCUUGGAUUGGCAGGUUACUAUCGGCGUUUCAUACCGGAUUUCUCCAAGAUAGCUAAGCCGAUGACCGAGUUGCUGAAGAAGGAGGUCAAAUUUAUGUGGGACACCAAGUGUGAAGAGGCCUUCAAGACCCUGAAGCACUUGCUGACCACAGCCCCAGUUUUGGCUCAGCCCGACCUCUCUAGGUCGUAUGACGUAUACUGUGACGCCUCUGGCACUGGACUCGGAUGUGUUCUCAUGCAAGACACUCGAGUCAUUGCCUAUGCCUCACGUGCGUUACGACCUCAUGAGCUAAGCUACCCGACCCAUGACCUUGAGUUGGCAGCAGUGAUACAUGCCCUGAAGAUAUGGAGGCACUACCUAAUGGGAGCUCACUGCAACAUCUACACCGACCACAAGAGCCUCAAGUACAUCUUCACUCAAGCCGACCUCAACAUGCGUCAAAGAAGAUGGCUGGAGUUGAUAAAGGAUUAUGAAUUGGAAGUACACUAUCAUCCGGGCAAAGCCAAUGUGGUAGCCGAUGCCCUCAGUCGCAAACCCCAUUGCAACUGCUUGUUGUCAACAGCCUUCACCAAAACCUUGUGUCACGAGAUGGGAAAACUAAGUCUGGAGAUUAUUCCUCAAGGAACCCUUGGUCACAUCAUCCUUGACUCAGUUUUGGAAGACCAAAUUCGGUCAGCACAAGUAAAGGAUGAAGAAAUAAAAUGGAUCAUUAGUAAGAUCUCAGUAAAGGAUGAGGGGUAUAAGCAAUUCCGGCAGGACCAAACGGGAGGUGUGCAUUAUGGAAACCGACUAGUAGUACCCGCUGACCCCGAGCUGAAAAAGCAAAUCCUAGAUGAAGCUCAUCUUUCCAAGUUCUCAACCCAUCCUGGCAGCAAUAAGAUGUACCAUGAUCUUCGUCAAACCUUUUGGUGGAGUGGAAUGAAACCAGAAAUAGCUCGCUAUGUCUCAGAAUGUGACACCUGUCAACGUGUCAAGGCCAGUCAUUUGAAGGUAGCAGGAACCUUGCAGCCGCUACCUAUUCCCUCUUGGAAAUGGGAAGACAUCAGCAUGGACUUCAUAGUUGGGUUACCCCUUACAACACAACGAUAUGAUUCCAUCUGGGUUAUAGUGGACCGUCUGACCAAGACAGCACAUUUCCUUCCUAUUCGCACCACCUACACAGUCAAACAAUAUGCAGAGUUGUACCCCGACCGUAUAGUUUCCCUACAUGGUGUACCCAAGACCAUCGUCUCUGAUCGAGGAGUUCAGUUUGUGGCACGUUUUUGGGAGCACCUACAAGCAUCUAUGGGCACCAAGCUCAUCCGAAGCUCGACCUAUCAUCCUCAAACCGAUGGCCAAACCGAGAGAGUCAACCAGAUUCUUGAAGACAUGUUAAGAGCUUGUGUUAUCCACUAUGAUAAGAAUUGGGACAAGUGUCUGCCCUUAGCAGAAUUCUCCUACAAUAACAGCUACCAGGCCAGUUUGAAGAUGGCACCGUUCGAAGCCCUGUAUGGCCGGAGAUGUAGGACACCCUUGAACUGGUCCCAACCAGGGGAAAGACAGGUCUAUGGCCCUGACUUAGUGGCAGAAGCCGAAGAGCAAGUGAAGGUAAUUCAAGCUAAUCUCAAGGCGGCCCAAUCUCGACAGAAGAGUUACUCCGACCGGUGGAGAAGACCCCUGCAGUUCGACCUUGGUGAUCAUGUGUACCUUCGAGUAUCCCCGACCAAAGGAGUGCAACGGUUUGGAAUAAAAGGCAAGUUAGCUCCCCGCUAUGUUGGCCCUUAUGAGAUUGUGGAGAUAUGUGGACCCGUUGCUUACCGGAUCCAACUUCCAGAACAGCUAUCGGCCAUACAUGAUGUUGUCCAUGCGUCUCAACUGAAGAAAUGUGUCCGAGUUCCAACAGAGAUCUUAGAGCAAGAACAGCUUCAGGUAGAGCCCGACCUGACCUACGCUGAGUACCCAGAUCAAGUUCUUGACCAGAAGGAAAGGCACACCCGACGCCAAGUGGUAAAGAUGUACAAGAUCCUCUGGAGAAACCACACCAAAGAUGAAGCAACAUGGGAAACGGACGAGUAUUUGAACAAGCGUUUCCCAGGUUUUCUAUCUCACCAAGGAGGUAAAAACGUCAUCCUGCUUUUGAUGCCUGAAUCUCGGGACGAGAUUCUUUUUAAGAGGGGUAGGCUGUAACGACCGACCCCUAAACCUUCCCAGUUAGUUUUGAUCAGAGCCCUUGAUCAAAGUCAUCUGUCUUGUUUUCCCACGCCGAGUGCUCAGCCUUCCGCCUGGUUCCGACCCCGGAGACCUGACCCCUCUCUGCUUCGUUCCUCUCCCGACCCCGGCAAGCACAGCCCACCGUCGGAUCCUGAUAAUCUUUCUCAACCAUCCGUUCUAUCCACCGGUGGACCCGCGAGAUCUUUUCCCAGAUCCUCCGCGACAGCCGCACUCGAGUUGCAUGGCCGCCUCAGAGUCUUCCUGCCGCGUGGCUCGUCUUCUCCGACGCCCGCCGCUCAGUUUUGUCUCUGGCAAGCGACCGAGUGGGUUCUCGCGCCCCCUUCCCCAAUGGCAGCGGAAGCCCCUCUGCACCCCUUUCUGCAGAGCCUCGCCUCCCGCGCCCAUCAUCACGCCGCCAGAUCCCGGCCCCAGAGCCCAAUGUCGCCCGUCUUUUCCGUCCCUUCAGCCACAGUCGCGCCGCCCGGUCGCCGCUACACGACGAUUCCCCCACCGCCAACCCCGACCGCGGCCACGACAGCUCCUUACCCCCGCUCUGUCAAAAGCCGCCCGACAAUCUGUUGUUCCGCGCUCGCCCGCGCGCCCGCGUCUGCCUGUCUUCUCACCUGUGCGUCCUCGAUUCUAGCGCCGUUAAACCGGUCACUUCUAUCAAAUCUUCCGCACGGCGACGCACGCUUUCCGCCAAAUCUCAACCACCAGUCUACCCGCUCCUACGCCGCCCUGACGGCAGAACGCAAUGAUCGCUGGCGCCACCCCCGGAGUUCUGCACCACCGCCCUCUUCGCUCAAUCGCCGCCCCGGCAGAGCACUCCAUUGCCUCUCCCCGGCCUUCGCGCCGCUUCACUUCUCUCUCUCCCGCGCCGCUUCCUUUCCUCCGCUCCAGCAGCUAUAAAAGGAAUGCCCCCGUCGCCGGAGUUCCCUCCGCCAUUGUUGCCUUCAGCCUUCUCUCGCUCUCUGCUCAAGCUCCUAGCGCCACCCACCCAGUUCUUGAGGAGUUCUUCUCUCAGUUCUCUCUCAGUUUCUCCAAGUCACCCAGCAGCUUGCUCCUCCGUGCUGCGUAAAAGCUCUCUUGUGAUCUGCAAGAAGCACCGCCGCCGCCGUAGCUUUCCCAGUCUUAGCCCUUGUUCAAAGCUUAGUCCCUCCGCCCAAGUCUGCUUCUUCCCGACCCCAAGCUUUCCUUUCAGGAAGAAGGUGAGUUGCCGACCCCAGUCCGCCUCGCCCGACCCCUCCUAUCCGCCCGACCCCGGUUUCGUCUCGCCCGACCCUAUCUGUUCCGCCGACCCUUAUAUCCGCCUCGCCCGAGGGUUCGGCUGUGGUCUUUUUCUUCAACCCGAGGGUGUAUGUGUAAAACUGGGGAACCCUUCAGCGCUUGCGUCUAAGGACCCCCAGUAUAUCACAUCCUCUGGUUCAAGGAUCAGAUCAUGAAUUCCUUUCCUACCCUUAUCUCUUGAUCAUCAUCAGCUCUCUUGAACCACCAUAACCUCCUGCUCUUUGUCGUGAGUUUCUGGGCUCAGGCGAGCUAGUGUUGCUGUUGAAAUAGCUAUCUAUGCUAACCCUUGCAUUGCAUUCGUGUAGAGCUGCACCUCGCCGACGGCUUCUACGAGCUUCACCCGGCGCCAGAAGAAGAAGCUGUAGCCGAGCUCCUGCCCUCCGAAGCCGAAGUCGCCUCCGAAGUCGAGCAGUUCCCGUCCUCCUUGCUUGAAGGCAAGCCCCGGUUGCAUGAAAAUCCUACGUGUUUUGCCAGACUUGCGCAUGCCUUCUGUAACAUGCGUGUGCAUUUACGUAUAGGAGUUGUGUGAAACCCUAGAUGCAUGACUUAGUUGUCCCAAUGAUCUGAGCACUAGCUGUUGGACCGAGUAGUUGCAUUGCUUAACUAGGAGACGGUAAAAGUCGAGUGAUCUCCUGUCACUCGCGAGUUGUAGGAGUUGCAUGUUUACUCUCCUGUCAUAACCAUAAGGACGAUGGACGGGGCAGGGUUUUGGUAACUCUUUGGUGGUCGGAUGGUUGCCCCGUCUGUCUAUGAAAUCUUGCUAAGGCCCGACAGUGGUGGUGUUCGUGAUCAAGUGUUUGAAAGUACUAGCCUCAUACUUAGUAUGGGAUGAGGAAGCCUAGUACCUGAUUGAACCUAGACGUGAGCGGUCGCCCCAUUGUUCUUGGAACGGAGUUUCCCCUGCUGGUUGUCGCACGUGGUGGCAAGCGUGGUCACAGAACGGCAGAGGCCGGGUCUGUGGAACCUUGCACCAAAGGAAAUGGGCCUGACACGGGUUAGGGGAUUGAUGGGGAAGGCCGACACAGGAAGCGACCUCCGGGUGCGCGGAUGUCGUGAGGCUAGGUUCACCAUGCAUGGUUAAAGAACUCGAAUCGAUUCGUCUGCCUCUCACAGUCUGAGAUUGCUUGAUCGCUAUGUCACCCUGAGUAAAUGAGGAAUCUGAUGAUGGCAAAUGUUUGUUGUUAUAUCUAUACCUCUUGUUUGGCUCUCUGAUUGCUUAGAAUAGGUUGCACAACCUAGACUGGUAAAUGAACCUAGAACCGGAGCUAAAACUUGAAAAUAGGGUUACUUAGUGCUUUUGGCAAACAAACCCCUCAGCCAAAAAGCCCUGCAUGUCUAGAAGGAGGAGUAGUUUACUCCUAUCGGUUAAGUCUUGUUGAGCUUAGUAGCUCAGCCUUGUUGUGGCUCCUGUUUUUCAGGUGAGGUUGUUGCGCCCGGCCCCUCUCUGGUUGGUGCUUGGCCGCCCCAGCUUCCACCAGGCUGGACGGUCGAGUGGGAUCCUUCCUCGGACGGCGAGGAGAGGAACCAGUGAUGUCCCGGUUGGCCUCACCAGGGAUGUCCGACCCCGACGAAGUCUUCCGCUAGUGAUUUUACCCUUGUUGUUUUCCUUGAACCUUGCAAAAACUCUGAUGUUGGAUUUUAUGGCCGAAUUAAAUGGGUAAAACUUGUUUAACUCAGUGGACUCGUUGUAUUCUCUGUAACCACUCACCUUCGUGUGGGUUUGCUAAACUCGAUCCUGUUUAAGUGGUUAAAUCGGAGGAAAUCCGACGGCACUUCGUAUUAACUCGGUUUAGGCAGGAGUGUUGCAUGUUAGGCGGCUUAACCCUGCUUAAUCAAGCUAAUCCGAGGUGGUUCCGCCACACAUAUGCAUCAUCAGCAGGUACUGGUGGUAGUGGGGUGUCUAGAACAUCUCCCUUUUUAUCGGCCCUGAGAACAAUUCUCAGGUUACGGAUCCAAUCCGAGUAGUUUGUUCCAUUCAACUUGUCCUUCUCAAGAACCGAACGUAAAGCAAAUGGUGUGGUGUUGCUAGGUGCCAUUUAAUCUACAACAAAAGUAAUGCAAAAUACACUAAGACAAACGUAUCCAUGAUAGAGCAAAUCACAUUAAACUAUUUUAACAAAAUCUACUCCCACUAAAAUCAAUAUCCCUCUAUUGAUACUUAGUGAUUCAGGAUCCACAACUAACAAGUCUACUAGUGAGCUUUAGCAUCACCGCUAACAAACAAAGUAGAUCGGUAAGCAACUUUUGCUAAUCAUAUCACAUAUGACUCCUGUUGUUGGGUGACAUCUCCAUGUCUCGGCGCUCAACCUUUAUGCCCCAAGGUACUUAACCGUUAAGUUAACAUUGUUAAGCAAACCAACCCUUAUGCGUGUAAGUGUCCGACACAAACCCAUCUAAUCAAGGAAAACUAGUGGCACCCUAAUUUCAUAGACCCACCACUAAUUGUACAAGACAUGGGAUGGUGCAAGUUUUAGUUGGGAGGGCAUACUAACUUAAACUUUGUGAGGGAUCAUUCUACUUCUAACAACACAGCAUGCAUAAAGUAAAACAUAAACAGAAUAGCAUUCACACAGUUGUGACACAGUAUGGCCCGUUUUCAUAUGAUGAUCUCCAUCUCCAUAGAACCUAUUCACCAUGGUGAUCUCCAUCUCCAUGUUCCAUGUGCGCCAUCCUCCUGGUGAUGAGUCCUCCAAGAACUAGAACAUGCUAUUACGCCUAAUAGCUAGUAAAGAAACUAGUAAUGAAGAUUACAUAAUUGCUUGGAUCAUCACAGAUUGGUACGCAGACCAUUAAAUACAUUAAGGUGACAACACAUAUGGUUCCUGCCGUGUUGCCGUACGUGCGACACGCAGGUCACGAAUGAGUUACACACAUGCAUCGCAUACACAAAGGGGCCAUACUGAUCAUAAGAUACAUACAUCCUGCAAAAUAGAGUUAAGCAUCCUAACGUUCCAAACUUUGGAGGCCCGAAACUCCAUCUUUCAAGCCGAAUUUGGGAAAUCUAACUACGCUGAAAACGGCGAAGCGAUUGAAUUUCAUGCGUAACUUUUUCUGUAGAUCAAUUUUCAUAUAAAAUUCGCCCCGAUCCGAGAUCGUACCGAAAAGUUACGGCUGAUUUACCGAAACAUACGCACACGGCAAAAUCCCGACCCCGGCAGUAGAUCCCAUCUACUAUUGCACAUCUCAUGCGCCUGGCGUAUGAACCUGGAUUUCGAUUCGACCAAUCACAUUGAUCUUCGCUCACUGCAACUGGAAUUACGUGUAUCACUUAGCUCUGAUGGCGGAAACCCGACCGGUAGGAGUAUGUCGUUACACUACCAUAGCAGCAAGAACACGAAACCAGGACAUAGAUCAAAUUGAAAACUCGCAUAUCUCCAUAUGCACACAUCCCGAAUUCAAAACUAAACAGCUACGGCUCUGAUACCACUGUUGGGAUACGAGGUAGGCUAUACUAGCGCAAAUCAAAAAAUUUCUACCGCGUAAACAAGGAAAACUGCCGUAUAAGGAUCACAGGAUUACCACUCGACACACUACUGGUGCGGAAGAUGUAGCUUCGCGUCAAUGCAGCGAAGUCGAUCAACGUAGUCAUAUGUAGUCGAUCACGUCAACGUCCAGCCGCUCCUUAGCAGCUCAUCCACGUGUAGCAAGAUCUCCCUCGUGCCGCGGCUCGUCAUCGGCUCGUCGUGGUUCAUCGGCGGCUCGUCGUGGCUCGUCGGCGGCUCAUCCAAGUGCUGCAGGCGCAACACCUCCAAGGUAUCCACAUGUGCAGGGAGGAAGCGUCGCAAGCCGGACUGCUAGAUCCGUGAGUUGCAACAGGCGAGGGCGUGGGAGGCGCGGCAGAUGUGUUUUGCCAAAAAGUGUAAACCCUAGGGCGCCCCCACCCCUCUAUUUAUAGAGGUUCCUAACGGGCCUCUGGGUUCGAGGCCCAUUAGUACUUCUAAACCUAAUCCAACUCAGAUCACAUCCGAAUUGGGCUUCCAGCCCCUUAAGUGUGUGACCCUAUGGGUUCGAAUACGUAUAGACAUGGCCCGAGUACUCCUACUCGGCCCAAUAGUCGGUAGCGGCCUCUAGCAAGACGUGCCAACUCCUAUAUGCACACGAAGAUCAUAUCAGACAAACCAUCACAACAUUAUAUACAUGCUAUUCCCUUUGCCUCACGAUAUUUGGUCUAGCUUCAAGCCGACCACUCUUUCUCGAUCCUGUGAUUCGGAAUCCCUUUAUAGGUCAACUCUUAACCAUACGUAGCAUGGCCAUGCAUUUUCGGAUCCGAUCACUCGAGGGGCUCAGAGAUAUCACUCUCAAUCAGAGAGGGGCAAAUCCCAUCUUGAUUGACCAUGUCUCACAGCAUGCUUCUUGACAAACCCGAAAGCUACCUUUAUAACUACCCUGUUACGGCGUAGCGUUUGAUAGCCCCUAAGUAGGUUGAUCCACAUCUUGAAUACAUGCGACAAUCUCAGGUCUAAGGACAAAGCGUAUAUGUUGUUUAAAGAGAGAAUUACUUCUCGUGUUGGGUCAGUCCUAGCACAUGUCUCCACAUGUGCCCACAUUAUUAGUUCAACAUCUCCAUGUCCAUGACUUGUGAAAUAUAGUCAUCAACUAAUAUAUGUGCUAGUCUAAUAUUCAUGUGUGUCCUCACAUGAACUCCGACUAGGGACAACUUUAGAAUAACCAUACAAGUAAAGAGUUUCACACACAAUUCACAUAAUUGCAAAUCAAUUCAAGUAGCCUUUAAUGGAUAUUCAAGGAACACAAUAUAAAUCAUGAAUACAAAUGGAAUAUCAUCAUCUCUAUGAUUGCCUCUAGGGAAUACCUCCAACACACAUGAUGACCGGGGUGACGACUAGAAACCGUUGAGGCAAGUGAGACCUAAGAGUCAUGGACUCGGUCAAAUUGGAGAUUCGACAAACACGAAGUAGAUCUCAAUUGCUACCCCCCUUGGUACAAAAUUCCUUGCAAUCAUGCAAGAUCAUGCAAGAGAAGUUUGGCCUAAAUUUUGUUCUAGAAAUGGACUCAAAAGAUUUUUCAAACAGAAUCAACCCAGUUUUGUUUUCAGAAUUUUUAUGGAAAGGGAAAGUGGCCAGAAAAAUUCCAGCUUGCAAAUGUGGGAAAAAUCAAAUAUGCAAAUGCAAAUAUCAAAGAAAUCUAAAUGUUGGGAAGUAAAUUUGGAAUAACUACCGAUUUACUUGUCGGCAAGGACUCACCAAGUUUACGUCCGACGAGCAGGACUCUUCUACAAUGUCUUCAGCUCGAUCAUGUGGCGUCUGUUCCUGGAGAAGUGGCUGUAGAUGCUCGUUCCAAUUUUCGCCACACCUUCUUGAUAUUCUAAGGUUUCCUUUGUGUGGUCAGUGGCUUCUUGGACUUUCGGGGUUGUGAGUCGAAUUGCUACCAUGGCAUCAUACUCGUUCUUUGUUGCUCAAUAACCAUGAAGUUCUUCAUGAAUGAGAUGAGGCUGUCCAUUUCUGGGGGUGUCACUUCAACCUCCUUGAUACGAGUGUUGAUUCCCUGCUUGCUCUUGAUCAUAGAGCAUUGCUUCUUUCUCGGACGGAACUCGAACUUUUCCUCCUUGCCAUUAAUGUGGAGUCGGAUUACUUUGGCCCCCACAUCGAUGCAUGCAUCCUCGGUGCUAAGGAACGAGCAUCCAAGGAUGAGCGGUGAUUCCUUAUCGAUAUCCAUAUCAAGCACCAUGAAGUCGAUGGGCACGAAGCAAUCCCAGAUUUUCACCAGAAUGUCUUUGGCAAUUCCCACUGGGUACCGGACCGAUGAAUCGGCCAGCUACAGCCGCAUAAGAGUUGGAGACAAGUCUUUGUAAUUGAGGCAAUCAAAAACUACCUUCAGCAUGACGCUGACGCUAGCUCCAAGGUCGCAGAGGGCAUGGUCGAAGCGAUAUGUACCGAUCGUACAAGUGAUCGUGGGACACCCCAGAUCUUUCUUCUUCUCAGGAAGCCAGUUGAGUAUAGCUGUGCUACACUAUUCCGUAAGCUUUACCACCUCCGAAGUGGGCAUUGAUCGCUUGUUGCUGAGGAUGUCCUUGAGAUAUCGUGCAUAUGUGGGAACCUACAUCGCCUCCAGCGGUGGAACAUUGAUGUGGAUCUUUUGGAUCAUUUCCACAAAAAGGAGUGAAAUGCUCAUCCACGGACGACUUCCUAUUGCACUGGGGGAAUGGCAAGAUCUUGGUGUCAAAGAACUCAUGCGGUGUCAUUUUCCCCUCGGGCGCCUUCCUUCUUUCGGGCGCCUUUCUUACCUCAGCCAACUCCUCCAUGUUGGAGUGGCCUUCAUUGGAUGCCUCAACUUCUUUCGUGCCUUCCUUAUUCUUUCCUGCAUGGUUAGGAUAUGGUGGAUCGCGAGUGGUCUUACCCCUCUCGUGGUCACCGCACUAGCAUUCUCACGAGAAGACUCGAGUUGCCCCGGGAUAUUCCUGAUCUCAGCAGAAGGAACAGCACAUCCAGCUAAGCUAACUAGGUUUCUAGCAUCUUAUUAAAGCCUAGCUAGUUCUUGAAAGCAGAAGAAAGACCAUCAAGUUUUAUGUUGAGGCUCUCCAAGGUUUUCUCGUUGGCAGCUAACUUUUUAGUGAAGCUUUCAUUGAUCUUAGCUUGCCCAAAAAUGAGAUCUCUGAAGGAGGGUUGAUUAGGAUUGAAAGAAUUACCAUAGUUAUCUCCUUGGUAAGGGCAUUGCUGAUUCCACCCUUGGCCUCCUUGUGGAUGAUAUCCGUUGUUGUUGUCGUUCAUGUACAACACAUCCUCCUGAGUCUCGGGGCAGUUAUUCCCUGAGUGUCCAGUGUUUCCACAAACCUCACAUGUCAUGUGAGAAUCCAUAGCUUGGACGAUGUUGGACAUGGCAGCUUUCUUUUUGGUGUAGUAAUCCAAUCUGUUCAUGAGGAGGUCCAUCUUAGCGGUAAGCAUAUCCGCUUCCUUGAUGGAAUGCGUACCUCUCUAUCGGGGCUAGAGUCGUUCAUUGCUCCACCCUUGAUUAGAGACCAACUUCUCGAUCAAUAUUAUAGCAGCAUCAAUGGUAAGUGAGAAGAAGGCUCCUCUAGCAGCAGCAUUAACAUGGCCUCGAGCUGUCGGAGUCAACCUAUUGUAGAAGUUAUGAAGAAUGAGCCAAUUAUCCAUCCUGUGGUAAGGAUAGGCCAGGAUGUACUCCUAAAGACUUUCCCAUGCCUCGGGAAUUGACUCUAUAGCUGCUUACUGGAAACUCGAAAUCCUUCCAUGAAGGGCAUAGGUUUUUCCCAACGGAAAGAACUACCCGAGGAAUGCCGCUAAGCAUUUAUCCCACAUAUCAAAAUCUUUGAACGGCUUGCAUAGAACCAUUGCUUCACUCUCCCAAGGAGAGAAAAUAGGAACAGUCGGAGACGAAUAGCAUCUUAACUUACCCCUCUAAUGGUGAAGGUGCUGCAGAGCUCUAGGAACUGCUGUAGAUGGGCGCUCGCAUCCUCGUUGGCUUUCCCACAGAAUGGGCUAGCCUGCACCAUGGUAAUGAGACCCAUCUUAAUAUUGAAGCUUGCGUUCCCCGUGUCCACCUCUGGACCUUUCAGCACUUGAGAGGCUGAGGGAGCGGAGUGCUCAUGAAGAGUAUUUUGGACCAUCGCGUUUGAUGUAGAUGGUGCAAAGGAAGCUGGGUCGACUACUAAGAGACUAAUCUGAGGAGGAACGACACGAGAUCGUACCCUUCUCACAAGUGAAUCUGGAUUCUCAGUGAAAUUAGUCGGCAUGUCAAAACCAGUCAUACACUACUUAUCUUCACAUCAAAAAUAGAGAAGACAUAUCAAGGUUAGCUGCUUGAGUAAAGAUCUACCAACUAUGAAUACAAAAAUAUACAAAGUAAAAACUUUUAACCAGUGCCAUCCCUGGCAAUGGCGCUAGAAAUGCUUGUCGGUAUAUUUAAUGAUCAUGAAUAAAUCCGCAAGCGCACAGACAUACCGUUGUAGCAUUUCACCCAAGAGUAUUCACAAGGGUAUCGUAUUUCCCAAAGGAAGGCGGGUAAGUCAAAAGAGUUUACUAUGCAUAUGAGUAUACCAUAGAUGGAUAGAGACAAUACUCAAGACAGGGGUAAGAUAGAUAGAUAGAUAGAUAGAUAGAUAGAUAGAUAGAUAGAUAGAUAGAUAGAUAGAUAGAUAGAUAGAUAGAUAGAUAGAUAGAUAGAUAGUGUGACACACACAUGAUUCAUCUCAAGAUAACUAAGUUAAGGAGAAGGACUAAGAGUUAGCUCUAGGUUCAUAUGUACUUCCUAUAUACUUCACAGAUCAUACAAGCAUAGCAUACAUACACGUUGUAUAGAACUUAGGCCUAUGCACCCAAGCACACAUGGGGAGAUAAUACCUGUACUGGUUCCGCCCAACAAAGUUACUGCUAAUUUAUAAACUCCUACAGUGUACCCGAACAUGGAGGAUUACAAAAGACCAACAGGGCUAUCACCACCUGCGGCCUACCUUUGCGGCUCGUGGGGCAAACUCAUAUCCAAUGAAGCUAAGCAAUCCAAGCACCAUGCUUGCAUUGUUAACAACACUCCAGCCGACCCGAGCUAUUGUGACAAGGGCUGAAGCUGCCAUAGAAAUAACCACUAAACCGAUGUCGUAGCAUAGAUCAACUAAGGUAUACAAGGUAUAUAAGCACACAGAGUAUAACAUGUAGCAAGGCCUCAAGGCAUACAUGAGAGUAUAUAAGCCUAUACUACGAUAGCAAGGGUAUGCGACUAGCAUACGAGCGUAUAAGCCUAGCACAUCAGCAUAACAAGGGUAUACAACCAACUCAUGCAUAUGAGAACCAAGCACAACACUAUAUAAAGAAGAUGUGUACUUUGAGUAGAAUAAAGUCAACCUAGGAAAAAAAAGAUACAAAAGCCAUACCCUAGACUCCAAGGAGACCUAGAACCUGAAGUAGAGCUAUUCUAGCCUAACUCCACUAACUUGGAAACUAAGAGGGAGAGAGUGAAUCACUAGUUGUGUGUGUGUCCUAGAAUGGAGCCCCUCCCCUCAUAUUUAUAGGCUCCACGAGGCAGUUCUGGCACAGGAUCUUCGGGGAAUAUGCCAUAACCGACGUAAGGGAGUCACCAUCAGUCGCCAUGUGGAAGCUGACCAUGAGGGGAGGCAGAUGCGGUUCAGCCGAACCCCUGGUGGCCCCUCUUGUAACUGCCUUUGUGUGGUAGUCUAACAUGUGAGUCCCAAUGGUGGUUGUGUGCGUUAUCUGGUGGAUUGAAACGGUUGUGGUAGUUUGUGGGCCCUUCAAUCCAUGGGAUGCACACAUGGUGACCUCCCAUUGGCUAAAAGCGUGUUUCUUGGAUCCAUAGAGGAUGUUUUCUCCAUCCUUUUGUGCUCAUUCACCUGCAACCAAAUAUUCUCCAAGGACAAGUGGAACUACAUUAUUUGAAACCAAAUAUGUGUGUAAAAAAUGACGAUCCUCCUUUAUUUUUGAGUAUAUUGAUGGUCAUAUUUGGUACUUAAUGACCAUCAACAAUAAUAUGUAGCCGAUUUGUUGGCCAGAUGCUCUUACCAUUCUUUCCACCAUCGGACAAAGAGCCUUGAUGCGUAUCCCAUGAGACGUUUCCAUUCCGAUAGAAUAGGAGAAGGCAAUGAAGAGGUUAAGUUCUUAAUCUGUCAACUCAAAGGAUUGGUCCAAGCAAUCUCUUGCUCUCACUUUAUCUAUGAAGAAUAGGCUGAUUGGGACAAGCUAAAACCUUGUUGACGAGCAAAGACUCACGGAUGAUAAAAUUCAUAAGAAGGUUUCAGAGAUCGUCCUUGGUCAAAACCAAUAGGGAGUACGCAAGGGGAAAUGCUUGUCAACAAGAUGGAUGUGCUACGUUCAUCAAUACUAGAGGGGUGAUGACUGAAGAAAUCCGUUGUAGAAGAUUUUGAACAGAUCGGCUAUUGAUGAUGCUAUUAGUAAAACUCCAGGACAAGCCGUGCUGCUCACCAAAAGAUGUGCAUCUACGACGGAUGACUUUAUCCCCUUCAGUAUAGUUGGAUGGAAAAGUGUUUGCAGUCAUGUUUCUCCCAAAUGUCGAUGCAAUAUAAAUAUUGAGACAUAAUUGCAUAAACCACCAUGGACCACUGAUCGGGCAGACAGGAGAACCAGCUAGUAGUCUGACCGAUACGCGGUGCAUCAGAAAUAUGCAGCACCUAAUAAAUAUUGCCCAAGUGGGAGUUUCGCUACGAUUGACAGUUUUUCUGCGAAGCACUGCAUAUUUGGAGUUGGAACUAGAGUUGAUCCAUAGAAUACAAAAUUCUCUAACCACGUAUUUAGGAAGGCUGUAUGCUCCUUAUCGCUGACAGGUCUUGCAGUUUUGCUAUAAGUGGUGAUGUAUCUGCUCCAGUUCAUCAUAUCCCUUGUAUCCAAUUUGUGCUUGUUGAGGCUUUUAAGAUGGAAUGGAGAAACAGGGGAGGUGAUGUCAAGACCUGUCACCAUAUAAACAUCUAGCAAACUAGGAGCCAUCGGACCGUCCCCAAACAUGAAAGCAUUCAAUGCAUCAGACCAAAAGUAUAAAGCUGCGGCUAAAAGGGGGUCAUACUUUUCCAUCUCACACAAGGAAUGUUCUAUGCAAUGGCCGAUGCACAAUUCGUCCCAUUCUACUCUUUUAGCUACUGAUACCCUACGAUACCAUGUCCUCCAACCUCGAGUUUCACAUGACCAUGAGCUGAAACUAUCUUUCCAGUUAUCUAAAUCCAUGGAGGAUGUUCUGUAGGGAACUCUUUGGGUUUUAGCAUUAAUAAAGUCAGUAGGGUCUUCAUUGCCCAUAGGACCAACGAAGAAUGCACCAUUCAAAUCGCUAAGCGGAAUCAAAACAUGAUCUAUAAGUGCCUAGAAUGAAUUAAAAUUGAAAAGAGGGAUUGAGAGAUCCAACAAAAAGGAGAUCAGAUCUAAAAGGAUCAGGACAAGGUGAUGGCGUACAAUACCUCUGGAAUGAGGUUGGACGUGGCCAUUGGAGGUGGAUUUCGAAGCUUCAGUGCCCGUGGUGUUUGUUGAAGAUGAUCGCUCAUGUGGAUGUUUAGUUUUGAUUUAUGGCUACGGAAAGCUUGGUUGGCUUGGUAGAGAAGAUGACAGGAUGGGGCAGUUAUAUAAUAGAUUUUGGUCGGGUGAAUCCCGAAAAUCGAGGGAGGUGCCAUCGCGAAACUUAGGGAAAAAGAUCAUGAUUGCGGCAAUGACUCUUUUUGCUUCGGAAGGAUAUCAGCUCGGAACCUGUGAAGAUGCUGACAAGCGAAGAGAAUUUUGGAAAAUAAUAUUAUAUUCCAAAAUUAGGGAGCAUAUGUUGACAUCGGUUUUUUACCAGAGUUACUUGAUGAGCAUAAGGUUCUGAUAGCUGAUGAACUUGUAGAAGAAAAGUCUGUUGACGCCCGACGUUGACCAAGGCCAACCACGGACGACCGGAUUCUAGAAGCCGAUAGAAGACCAGGAGGAAUCCGAUCCAAAGCGAAAUCGACUCCACCAAAUAAGGGAAAGCGUGAAGAUUUAUUUUUAGUAGUUUUUAGAUUCAUUGUAACGGUUCAUGUCAUAACUGAUUAGGAUUUUAGCUUGCUCUAGGUAUAAAUAUAAACCCAUGAGCUAUGUAUCGAAUAAUCAUCAAUCAAUCAAUACAACCUUUUUUUUCAGCUCCACGCUGCCAAACCCUAGGACUAGAAGUAGAGUAGAAACCGGCGAGUUUCUUCUUGCGUGCAGGCCUGCAUUGGCUUCGAUCUCAGGCGAACUUGUAAGUACCAUCACCCGGUCAUUAUGUUAUCUAUAUUAGUCAUUAGAACUUUCUAGGCUUCGUCCAAUAUUCUAAUAUCUUAACGUAAGGCUAGUUAUCGAGUUGCUUAGAAUCAAACAUAACUUUUUAGCGUAAUGCUCAUAGUUAUUGAACAGCUUAGAUCUAAUCGUUCUCAUCGGUUUCCUGAUCUUGUUUAAGCGUUCACCAAUUAUCUAAUUCUAUCAGCUGGUUUGAUCUUGCAUGCUUUAAUUGCUGCCCCUCGUAUCGUUAGCCUUUGGAUAUUUAACGUCAGACUACUACUGUUGAGCUGAUCCUGUCUUGGUUGGGUCCAAUCCAUCCCUCUCAAGUAGUAGGAUGAUGUUAUCGAGCCGAUGGCUACUCGUGCGAGGCUUUGUUGCUAUGUGCUAAUCUUUUACCUUAACGGUUAAAUUAGUUUAAUAGAUUAAAGUUAAUAUCCUCUCAGCUAUACUAUUUUAGUUAAGUCCAAUCUAGCGGCUUAUGAUAUUAAUUAGAUUUGUUAGAUCUGUUAGUUUAAUUGAGUUUAAUUGGUGAGCACGGGGUAGAUAAGUUAAUUUUUAAUAGCUGUUGUUCUAUCCUGCAUGUACCUUAGCCUGUCGGCUCAUAUGGCUAUAUACCAUUAAUGAUUCUAUUUAUUUACACUACAUGAUUACACUGAAAAUCUAACUUUAAAGAUGUUUAUUCAAAAUAACGCCUAUCUAUGAGCUUGAAUGCUUUACCGCCUAUCGACUCAGAAAUUUAAUGUUUCCCUUAUCAAUUACAAGUCAAAUUGACUGGCACACCUUGCAUCUUCACGAGCCGAUUUGGAGCCUGCACUGGAGUUAAGCACAUCUCCUAGAUCCUCCGUGUUAUCAACGCAGAAGUCUGAAGUCCAGAUUUCCUCCGUGUUAUCAACGCAGAAGUCUGAAGUCCAGAUUUUGCGUCAACAAAAAUAUAGCUACGUUUAGCUUUUUUUUUAGUCAAAUCUUUUUAACUUUGACUAACAAUAUCUGUAAAAAUAAUUUAUUUCAAAUAGAAAACGUUAAAUAUUAUAAUAGUUUGACUAACAUUAUUAGUAUUUAUAAUUAUUUCUCUGUUCGUAGUUAAAAUUGAUUUGACUUCGGGAAAAAGUCUAAAUUUACCUAUAUUUCAAAGUCUAAAUGAUACCGGCAUCUAAGAUAAAAAAGAAUAAUAAAUUUCGUGAGGUCCUUGACCCGAUCCGGUCCACGCAAGGCGCGGCCAUUGGCCUUUGACAGCUAAACGAAACCCAGUACAAAAGAAUUCCUACCCCACGGGUCCCCUCGUCCACCGUCGAGUCGAUCCCUCCGCCUCGCCCAGUUGCCUUGCUCUCGUGCUCUCCACCCGCUUCCGCUUCCCCGCAAAACCCUAGCCCCGCCACAUGCACCGCGGCGGCGGCGACCGCUCCGGAGGCCGGUUUCAGCGGGGCCCCUCUCGCUGGUCCAGCGGCGGCGGAGGCGGCGGUGGCGGAGGAGGAGGUAGCCCACCCCACCGCUACUCCCGCGGCGGGGAGGAAGGCGGUGGCGGUGGCGGGAGGUUCCACCCGUACCGUGGCUCUUCCGACUAUUCUGGCGGCGGUGGCGGGGGUGGAGGGUACAGAGGCGGUGGCGGUGUGGACGACUUCGGCAAGCAGAGGCACCGGUACGGCGGCGGUAACCGAGGCGGAGGCCGUGGGGAUUUCCAAGGUUCGUUCCAAAAUCAUGUGGUCCUUUUGCUAGCUAUAUGCAAUUGUUGGGUUGUGCUGUAUCGAGAUGGCGAACUUGAGGUUGCUUAUGCGUGGGUGGCUAGGUUUUUGGUGCUGAUAGGGUGGCUGAUUUGUGAUCUCCUUAGUUUAUGGAUGCAAAUUCAAUCAACUUUCUUAGAAAUUCUUAGUAAAACUGACUUAAGUCGACAAAUCUCUACAAAACUCUGUGCAUAGCAUGAGACCAUUGCAAUGGUACUAGCAGCAUGCCAGCAUGUGCUGUAAUGACAAAACCACCCAUCGUUUUCAGAGUGGACGAGCUGUUGAGUGGUUUUGGAUAUAUAGUAUCCACAUUGUCCAGGUUUUCUGCAUGUGAAGGGAGGGACAGCCACAGUUCUAUUUUGAUGCAUGGCUAACUUUUGUAGCAGUGCGAGUUAGGAUUUCUCUCAGGUUUAUUCUUGAGAUAAUCUGUUGUAAAUUUGUAGGAACUUGGCAUGCAGAUUGGAUGGAUCUGUUCACUCCUUUGAUAUUUAACUAAUUAGAUUGUAGUAGGGGUAUCAAUUAUGGACUACUUUUACCAUUGGUCCCCAAACAUCUCAAAAUUCAGUUUAUGUUACUUGACUUUUCUUUAACUUUAAAUCUUGUUUUUCCAUUAAGAGUUAUAGAGCAAAAUAUAUUGGUAGAGAAAUGGUAGAAUUUAUUAUUCUAUGGUAGGAAUAACAUAUGACAAAGUGCUGUAUGUGAAUGAACUUCAGUGGACAAAGAUUUCUAAAUCCUAGUCAAACCCUUUUUUUUGCUAAUAUUGAUGUUGCUGUUAAAAUUUUCCUGCAGAUCAUGAUAGCAGAAGUAAUUAUGUCAAACUUUUUGUUGGCUCUGUUCCGAGGACAGCAACUGAAGAAGAUGUGAGUAUUACUUCCGUGCUACCAUCUCUUCUUUCUUGCAUAGUAAAUUCUUUAUGUUUCGAUAGCAUAUAUAUUUUUGUAACUUUAUUCUUCCUGAGCUAAUGAUAUAAUUUUGUUUGUACUCAUGUUAGUGUUGUGUUAUCAUUUAUCACUAUGACAAAACAAACUAGAGGCUUCAAACUUAGAAGUUCUCUAAGGUACCUUACAAGAUGCGAAAGCUUUGUUUGUCAUAUAUAUCAGCUCAUAAAUAUACAAAUUUAAAAUGAAAUAAAGGCAUCUAGCCAGUCAUUGCAUGCUCCUUUUUUUGGGGUCAUUGUCUUUUUGGCUAACAAGUGAUUGAAUUAAGCUAGUCAAAUACUCAUUUUUUUCUGCGUGAUGUUUUAUUGUUCUGUUAUUUAGUUUUUAAUUUAUUGUGUUCUUCAGUUUGUGAUAGAUUCUUGUGUCCUCAGGUCCGUCCUUUAUUUGAGGAACAUGGAGAUGUUCUUGAAGUUGCUUUAAUCAAGGAUAGGAAGACCGGUGAACAGCAAGGUGCACUAUGACUUUGUUUUUUCUUUUAUUAUCACAAUGCGAGUAUCUGUUUUGUUUUCAGGUUUCUGAGAGGUUGUAGGAGCAACAAGGUUGCAUCUUCUCUCAGUUAGAUUUGGCGGUUGUUGAUUUUCAUUUCCUUCGCUUCCAUUCUGUCCGUCUCCUGUGGAUUCAGUAGAAGACUAGAAUGGAAGCAACUAACUGUCCGCUGAUUACUGCAAUCUAACUAGCCUCAACUCUACUGCUACACAAGGCAGCCGAUUCAGUAGCAAAAACUGUGUUUAGAUGAUAUUGACCUUCUGGAUGUCCUGUGUCACACUAGCAAUGAGGGUGUAGUUUCACCAUUGCAUCUAUGUGCCUUGAUUGUGAUGCAAGAACAGAUAACCUUAUGAUGAAUCAAUACAAAACUUUCCAUCCUUUCCCUUUCAUGGUUUAAGAUUUUAUUAUCCAUGUAAUCAUGAAUUGCAUGGUGUGGAAUCCCUUAAUGUGAGUGAUUGAAUCCCAGAAAAAAAGUGAUUGGAUGAUGUGGUAUAGCUGCAUAUUGCUAUCACAAUUGAUGACAGCUGUUGUGGUGUUGAUGACCUUGUACUGUUUGGAAAUGAUCACACGUGUUGUGCAUUGUCAAUCUAGAUUCAUCUGAUUCGAUGGUGGUAAAGUGUCAUGGGUGGUAUGACAACCUGGUCCGUUGAAGAUGAUGAAUCUUGUGAGUUCUGGGUUUGACUGGAUAUUCUGGCUGUAUGCAACUCGUGCGUGUAAAUUUUGGAUGCGCUUAGUGUUUCCGUGACUGCAUGAUGUUGCUUGACACAGCUGUUAUAGUGAUGUUUUCUGUUCGCGAGAAAUAUCUACAAUGCAAACUUCGAAAAUAAUGAUUCCAGCUGUAUGGCAAGCUUGGUUUGAUAUGGUUGGCAAUGGUGUUUUUAAGUUAUGUAACUGAGUAACUGAGUGGAUGACACAUGAUGGUAUACCAGUGCUGUGUGUCUUGCAUCUAAUGUAAACAUGGACACUUACCGAAUGGGAAUUCAUCUGUCCUGUGUGAUGAUUCACUCCAAAGUUCUUGACUUGUAGAAACGUUAUCUUUGUAACUGCUGUCUAUGAAAGGCCAAUGUUUAGUAUUCUGAAUUGGAUCAUUUGACAUGCAUCUGAUGAGGACGCACCAGGGAAAGUCCUUGGGCCUGAACUAUAUUAUUGGUCUUUUGCUGUUGGAAUGGUUGUUGCUUAUGUUAUCAUAGGAAAAGUUGAUGUUGAAUACUGAUUCUAGGUCCAUUACUUAUUUUAUAAAUGUGCAUCUGGGUUUCAAAGCCUUUGCCAUACAUGAUUUUAUUGCCACCAUUAAAGUGAAACACUCUGCAGUAAGGUCAUAAGCAUAUGUAUCUCAUAAUUAUUUAAUAUUAACUCUAGCAUGGUUGAUACAGUAGAUGGGUGAAAUUGUUGCUCAUUAUUGUUGGUGUACUGUCAUGUUCAGCAACUAGUAAUGCCCUGACUUCUGACAGAUUAUGCUCAUUUAAUGGACUAACUUUAUACUUUGUACCUAGAGGGUAUACAUGCAUGCUAUCUGUUGCUGAUCGAGUUGACAUCAUACUUUGUUUUGAUUGUUUUUCGUCCCUACUUAUCCAUGUGUGUUGGAUGAAUAUCUUUCUAGAAAGCCUUUUGGGCCAUUGGUGAAUCUGCUUAUUAUAUGGUUUUCUUUCAAGACUGAUGUUCCGUGUAUUCUCUAGACUAUUGAGUGUGUAUCCUUCUAUUGUUUACCAUGCACCUUGCAGUCCUUUUUAUAUUUCUCCUUAAUGCAUGUUCAUGGGAUGCAGCUGUAAAAGCCUUCCAAUGGAGCACCAGAUAUAACCUUGUGAUCUUGCUUGUUCAAAGUUCUUGCCAUUUUGGUGGCCUGUUUUAUAUAUUUACUUACAACUCUAUAAGCUUGUGGUAUCUAGAUUAAUGACUAUAUUGUUGCUAUGUUUCACUUUAUCAGCUUAUUGUAGCUUGCCUUUCAGCAAUUGCUAUGCCAAUGGACUGCUGUCAAAAUAUGUUGUGUUAUUAUGAUGAUGGUAUUGAAUACACUGGGAGCAUGAAGCCCCUCUAAACCUUCUGUUGUUCAACCUUAGAACCUUUCUUGGCCUUGUUGAUGACGAGUCUCCUAUCACUAAAUAUUUGUUGUGUGUUCAGUGACGUGUGUGACUUCUCAUGUUAUGCACAAUUUUGGUGCAUGAUGUGCUUUGCUAAAGACCUGUUACUGUUUGCAGUUUAUGCACCAUUAUACUAAGUGCAGACUGAGUUAUGAUUAUACCACAGCUGAGGAGUUAUGGAUAUGCUCGUGCUUUCUAAUGUGUGAAUCACCACUUCUUAGAGCAACUUGUAGCUAGCGUGGUAAAUUCCUGUACCUGAUGUUCUAUAGGUGUAUGACUUCGAUAUCGAGGAGUGCUUGUGGGUGCUGCAAAUGCAGUAUAGCCCAAAUUGAGAUCGUGAUGAGUUCUGCGAAGAUAUUUUUUUAUACCCUCUUCAUGCUUUAAUUAAUGGUUACUUGAAUGAGGCUUGCUCCUGAAAUGUGGAACAGUCUAAGCUGUUUUUCUCGACUGUUUAAAAAAAAAGGAAAUGUUAUUUGCCUCUUUAAAUUCAACAUAUCUCCUUUCUGCCUGCUGUUUCUUGACUGCUAUUAUUUGCCUCCUGUUUACUGACUGCUAUUAUUGACUGAUAUUAUGGCAGAUAUAGUACAGAAAAUAGUAACUCUGAAUAAUCGGCAUUUUUACAUUUGCAGGUUGUUGUUUUGUUAAAUAUGCUACUUCGGAGGAGGCAGAUAGGGCCAUCAGGGGUCUUCACAACCAAUACACUUUACCUGGAGUAUGUACCUCAUUGUUGGCUAUUUGUUGCUCUGUUUCUUUAUUUGCUAAUUAUUGACUGUGAAUCUUUUUAUGUCAGGCGAUGGGUCCUGUUCAAGUUAGAUAUGCUGAUGGCGAAAGGGAACGACAUGGUAAUUCCCUGGUAUUUAGUAGUUUACUAUGUGACCUGUCUGCAUUUGAUGUUAUCGUUGGUUUUGAGGCAACCUUAACAGUCCUACCUGUUUUAGACUCAGAACCUCGCAAAAUUCUUUGAUUUUUGUAUGUAAAAUUUCAAAAUACUGCAUCUUCAACACUAAUGCCAGCUUCUCUAAGAUUUGCUCCAUACCUCUACAUGCAGCUUAUCACAAAGCACUUUAUUUGUUAUAGCAUGUACAGACAAAUUUAUUGUGUUCCCCUAAUCUUUAUAGGUUUUACAAUUACAUGUACGAUGGUUCUUCACUUUAGCAGUGAUUUUUAUUCUGAUUAUGCAUUCUUCUGUAUCUGAAAAAUAUCAUUUCACUUUUAGAAAUUCUUUGUUAUUUUGUUGUGUUCAUCUGGGUUAUAAAAUCAUAAUGACAGAGUAAAAUUUGCUUGGCCUGUUUGUUUUUCUUCUUGAGAUCUUUUGUUUGUCGUACUUAUUGGGUGAUUUCAUUGGUUUCUUUUAACAAAAUUGCUAGGGGCCAUUGAGCACAAAUUAUUUGUUGCGUCCCUCAAUAAGCAAGCAACUCCAAAGGAGAUUGAAGAGGUAAGUAUUUUGCACUUCUUAUUUUCCUUAAGAAAAAAGUCCAAAUUACUCCCUUCAAAUGUAGCAAAAGUCUAGACCACCCCCUAAACUAUGUUUUGGUUCAAUUUACCCCCUAAAUUAUGCUAUUUGGUUCAACUUACCCCAUAAUGCAAUUUGUCAUUUUUGUUUCUUCAUACAAAAAGUUGAAUUUUAAUUUGAGACUUUGCAGGGUGGUAGUAGACAUCAUAAUCUGUAUUAAAAAUAUUUUAUGAAUUUUUCAUCAUUAGUUUUUAUAUAAUUUUGUAUCUCAAGGAUAAAUUUUAUGAUUAAAUAUUGUACCCUGUCAAAAUAAUGAUAAAAAUUUCGUGAUAUAUUUUUUUAACAUGUCUUAUAAUGUCUGCUAUCAUCUUGCAAAAUUUGAACUUAACACUCCACUUGUGCAUGGAGAAACAAAAAAGACAAAUUGUGUUAGGGGGUAAAUUGAACCAAAUGGCAUAGUUUAGGGGGUAAAGUGAACCAAAAAAUAUUUUAGGGGGUUAUCUAGACUUUGGUUAUACUUGAGGGGAGUAAUUUGGACUUUUUCCUUUCCUUAAUGAUUUAGUGAUUUGCUUGUCGCUAUCCAUUACCAACCUGAGAUACCAUAUACUUAUCUGCAUGGAGGACAUUAUUAACACAAAUUUAGUAGCUUGCAUUUCUAAGAUUGAUGAUAAAUGCAUUUUCUUCAGUUAGGAAACAUGUAGAAAAAUGCACAUUGAACCAUAUCUAUGUUUAAUAUGUUUUUCAGAUCUUUGCUCCAUAUGGUCAUGUGGAAGAUGUUUACAUUAUGAGAGAUGGCAUGAGGCAGAGCCGAGGUUUGUGAAUGUCUGUUUGCUUUAAUAUUUAACUCUUUUCGUUACAACCUUUUGUUUUGACUUUCGACUUAUGUAAUGUAAAGGUUGUGGAUUUGUCAAAUUCUCAUCAAAAGAGCCAGCAGUGGCAGCUAUGAAUGCCCUUAGUGGGACUUACAUAAUGAGGGUAAAUUUCUGUGCCAAGCUGACAUAUUCUGUAUUUUGCUUUCUUGAUAUUUACGGCAUAUUUUCUGUGUUAGGGGUGCGAGCAACCAUUAGUCAUAAGAUUUGCUGAUCCUAAGAGGCCUAGACCUGGAGAAUCGAGGUGAUUAACAAACUUUGACUAUUUGCAUAGCCUAUUUUAUUUUAUUUACCUGAGAUAAUUAUCAUCAUCAUCAUUUCUGCUGUCUGAUUUGCCUUUCUGGUUAGGGGUGGCCCUGCAUUUGGAGGUCCUGGUUUCAGUCCUCGAUCAGAUGCAGCCCUUGUUAUCAGGUUUCAGUUUCUCUACUCACUCAGUUACUUAGUUUUGCACAAGGACAAUUAAAUUAGGUUAUUAAUGAGAUGAACCAUGUGUGGUCGUUCCCUUGCACAUAGAGGAGUUGCUGACACUUAUGGCUUUUACUGAAGUGCAUUUGCAAAACCAAAGAUUGUAAGUAGAAGCACUGACAAAAGAACACAUGCAGUAGCUCUGUAAUAAUCCACAAAGGAUGUUUGAUGUAGGGAUAGAUAAGGUAUGAUGGUAUAUAGACAACAAUGAAAUGUCAAAUACCUUUUUAUCUUUUUUUUUUGCCUUAUGAAUAUGAUGGUAUAUAGUUGAGAAGUAAUUUCAUCUGAGUUUGCUUCAAUUUUUUAUUAUCCAGGCCAACAGCCAAUCUUGAUGAACCAAGGGGUCGGCACAUGCCUUCUGACUCUUGGCGUCCAUCAAGUCCAAGGUCAAUGGCAUCUAAUCAAUACAAUAAUUUUGGAUCUGACAAUCCCUUGGCGCUUGGUGGUGCUGUAACAUCAGCAGAUACUGUGUGUUUCAAGUCAUUCCUUUGUUAUGGUUUUACUUUCUGUUAGUUCAUUUCCUAACCUUUUUUUUUUUACCAAAACAUGACAGGCUGGUUUUCGACCUCCGAUGUUUCCUGGAAAUGGCUCCUUAUCAACUCAGACAGCUGUGCCAACUUCAUCGCAUGUGGUACAACUUGGAAUAUUAUGAUUUACUUCAGUUUCAUGAUUUUCUUUCCAUCGAAAUUGUUAUAUCAUUGUGAUGGGGACUCUGCUUUUUAGGGCAUGAACCCUCCCAUGGUACAAGGGCAUCAUCUGGGAAGCCAACAGAUCCCACCCAUGCAAAAGCCACCUGGUCCACCACAGAACUUCCCCGUACAAUUGCAGAAUGCUCAGCAAGGACAGCCCCUGCAGGGAUCUAUUCAACAGAUUGGGCAGCUUCAGGUUCCGCAAUCCACAGGACCUGUUUCAUAUGGCCAGAAUAUGCCAUCUAUGCAAUUACCUGGCCAACCUCCAGCAUCACAGCCAUUGAUGCAACAGAAUGCUUCUCUAGGUGCUUUACAGGCUCCUUCAUCUGUACAGUCCAAUCCCAUGCAGGGCCAGCAGCAACUUCCCACCAGUGUUGCUCCCCAAAUGCUCCAGCAGUCAAUGCAGCAGAUGCCUUCACAAGCACCACAGUUGCUGCUUCAACAGCAGGCAGCUUUGCAGUCUAGUUACCAGUCUUCACAGCAAGCGAUUUAUCAGUUGCAGCAACAGCUGCAACUAAUGCAGCAGCAAACUAACCUAAAUCAGCAACCCCCAGCACAGGUUCCUAAACAGGUACUUUCCUCAUAGUUAAUUGAUUAGACCAGCGACAUAUGAUAUGAAACCACUCUGCAUAUGUGUUUCUCUUGUCACUGUCUUCCGUUGUCAUCAAUUAUAUAUGGUUUCUGUUUUUCCUUGGAUCUAUUACUACAGUUGAAAUGUAUUCAAAGAUUCUUCGUAAUUCUACAUUUCUGUCUGGACAGCCAGUGCAAUCCAGUACCUCUGGUGCUCCAGGUGCCAUUAUUCUGACAAAUAUUAAUGCAAUUCCACAGCAGGUUGGUUCACCUGCAGUGUCUUCAACCUGCAACUGGACAGAGCAUACGUCCCCUGAAGGUUUUAAGUACUACUACAAUAGCGUUACUCGUGAGAGUAAGGUGAGGAAUGGUGCUAAUCAUGUUAUAUUUUAGCACAUUUUGUGGUUUAUUCUUAUGAGCUAUUGUGUCCUGCAGUGGGAGAAGCCUGAAGAGUUUGUGCUGUAUGAGCAGCAGCAGCAGCAGCAGCAACAGCAGAAACUGCUUUUGCUUCAACAGCACCAACAAAAGAUUGCAGCACAGCAACUGCAGUCACCACCACAGGGUCAGUCUCUUCCAUCCAUGCAACCGAUUCAACAACUUUCCCAGGCACAAGGACAAACACAAAUGCCGAUGAAACAGCAGGUGCACAUGCAGUUCCUUCUAUCAUAGUUUUGGUUUGUGGGUUUCUUUUUAGCACGGGCGACAGUUCUAUAUAGGUAUUUUUUGGUUGUGUGCAAACAUGCUUGAAAUAUCAUUUUUCUCUUGGACAAACUGGGAUUGUCCAAAUGAACGUGCUUUUCUUUUUGUGUAGCAUUUUUUCACUAUAGUUCAUCCUACUAGAUUCAGUUAGAUUGCUUUUGAACUUCACGUAAGCUUUUAUUUUGCUAUCUUCUGUUUGUCACGCAGGAUGCAAAAGAGGAUAAGGAUGUAUCAGUUGUAUAAAUGAGCCAUCAGCUCUGUAUUUAGAUGCCCUUCUGGUGAAAUUAGGAUAGAAUCUGAGCUCUUGUUUACUUCACCCCCAACUCCCAACUUUGACACUAUGCAAAAAGAAGAUUCCCCAUCACAUCAAACUUGCGGUACAUGCAUGGAGUACUAAAUGUAGACGAAAUCAAAAACUAAUUGCACAGUUUUGUUGUACUUUGCGAGACGAAUCUUUUGAGCCUAAUUAGUCAAUGUUUGGACAAUAAUUCACAAAUACAAACGAAACGCUACAGUUGCGCAUUUAUGGCAAAAUGUCAAUUUUGCCACUCCCAAAUUGGGAACUAAACAAGGCCGAAGAUGCCAGAUUGCCAGUUUUGGAGCAUUUUGUCUUUGGUUUUGUUUUUCAUUUUGGGUAUGUAUUACAAUAAAUUUUACAAUGUCUGAAGUUGUGGAGCUCAAAACUUGCAUGCAGGAAUUAAAUUACUCUCAAUUACAGGCAGCUGGUUCCAUUGACCCCAGCAGGAUUCAGCAGGUAGUCUAGUCUGUUGCAUUAUUAAAUGUUCUCUUAGCACUGUGACUGCUUAUUCAUAUUUCCAGUCAAAUCACUUAUUUUGGUGACAUAAUUUUAGGGCAUUCAAGCUGCUCAAGAACGUGCUUGGAAAAGUUAGGGCAGCAGGUAGGAAUCACCCUCCUUCCCUAUUGUCACCGUACCCUUGAAUUGAAACAUGAAUGUGGUGCAUUUUUCUUAUGAUCGAUGAGUUGUGCUUAUACUUUGCUUGGAUUUUCGCUUCAUUCAGGUCAUGAUUACAAAGAGCUAGUCAAGACUCGGAAUUGAGCUGUCCCCGUGCUGUCCAUCUGUAACAACAGCUAGCCUGCAUAGCCAGGCGCCCAUCCCGAUCAGUGUAACUCUGGAUUUAGAUUAGACUGAUAUGUAGAUGGUAGAUCCUGUAUGUGUACAUCGUUGUGACCUAGGCCAUGUAUCCCUUGUUAGCGAUUCAUGUUCUCCAGCGGGUUGGUACUCCCACGCAGGAGCUGCCGGAGGUCGUUUCCUGGGUCCCAUUCGUUUGUGUUUUCCUUACCAUUGUGGCAUGAUUUGUGAUGUUCCGUGCGUCGUGGCAGUACAAUUGGCGCUGUGAUUGUUUUUGCUUGGUUCUGUGUUCUGUGCUGGCGUGCUGCUGAUACGAGGCACCGUGCAGGUCCAGCUGAUGUUGCACUCGCUCGCAGUCCAUUUCUGAAAUCAUGUGGGAACAUUUGAUGAUAGCGGCUUCAGUAUGUAGCGUCAUGGUUUACCUGCGUUGCGUGACGGGAACCUACGAAACUCAGGUCCCAACUCCCAAAUACACGUUGGGUUUCUGUCGGCCGUGGUGUGUGUACCAAAAUACACAGAAGGAUCAGCAAAAAUUGCACUUGGGAAUGGCAACUGCUGCUUUAAUGCAAGACCACAACACAUGCUCUUUUCCACGGCAGAACGCAAUGUACCACCUGAUAUCUUCAGUUAACGCUCAAUCCCGUAUCAUCCCAACUUUACUUUUGUACUACUAAUCUACUAUCACAAGGGACAAAUAGUAAAAUAAAAAAAAUCACAUCCAUUUGUUUCCUCUGCUCUUUUUUUUUCAUGGCUGUUUUUCUUAAGGCAGGGAGGUACCCACCUUAGCUCCCAGAAUUUUAGAUCAGAUAUCGAGUUAAAUCAUUUGAUUUAGGUAGAUAGAUUUCUUUGAAGUGAAUUAUAUGAAUAAUGCAAUUUUACAAUAUGUGACCCCUACCUGCGGGACGCAUUACACUUUCUCAAGAAUUUCUAGUUCGUCUGGAAUGGACCAACCAGACUGCAGGAUGAGGCACGAAAGAUUUUGAAUUAUGCAAUUUUACAAUAUGUGGUACCACCUGCAGCAUGCAUUACAUUUUCUCAAGAAUUUCUAGUUCAGCUGGAAUAGACCAAUCAGACUGCAGGAUGAGACAUGGAAGUUAUUCACACAGACCAAACUUGACAUGUCAAAGUUUGCGCAGCAUUAGCUAUGCUUCCGUGUCAAAGUUCAAACUAGGAACCUCGCAAGAAAAGGGGGAAACGAAAAAAAAAAAGUUUCAGACUGGAGAUGCGAACUCCACGUAACCAGCCUGUCGUGGCACAUUAGAUUAGAUUUAGAUUCAGGUAGUGCCUAAAAUUUAUGUCACAUCGAAUAUUCGGAGGUUAAUUAGGAGGACUAAAUAUGAGCUAAUUAUAAAACUAAUUACACAGAUGAAGGCUAAUUUACGAGACGAAUCUAUUAAGCCUAAUUAAUUCAUCAUUAGCACGUAUUUACUGUAGCAUCACAUUGUCAAAUCAUGAACUAAUUAGGCUUAAUAGAUUCGUCUCGCAAAUUAGUCUCCAUCUGUGCAAUUGGUUUGUAAUUAGUCUAUAUUUAAUACUCCUAAUUAGUAUCUAAACAUUCGAUGUGACAUAAAUUUUAGAAGGGACUAUAAAAACAAACACCCCCGUACCAUUUUCGUCACGUAAAUUGCAGCCAAAUGUUGUAAAGCAACGCUUGUGAACAUAUAUCCAACUUGUGAUGUGGGAGCACUGUGAAAGAGACCUGCCUGCAGUGGCCAACGAAAUAUUGAUGGCUCAAUAAUUGAGCAGUCUUGAGAUGAGUCCAAUAAUGUCUAUGACUCGAUCUGCACCGAUAAUACUUAGAAGGAACUAGAUUUUUCUAUCAACAAAAAUGAAAAUAAUUUAAAAUAAAAAAAGAAACCCAAAUCAGUUAAAACCAAAGAGAAUGAACAACUAGUGAGCUAUGCGAACUGAGCAAUGCUGACGUGCCUGUCGACAUCGAGUCGAGGCAUUAAUCACGGUGACUUCAUUAAUCUUGAGGACUUAUCAGAUCUUUCGGAGGUGCUUACGUGUUCGUAGAGACGAGUGUGCUUACGUGUUUGCCUGAAACAGCAGUGGACUUAAGAAUUGAAUUGAUCAUGGGCGAAGCUCACAAUAACUCCCUGUUUGCAUCUCCAGCUUGAAUGCGACCAUUGCACUAGAUCGGGGAUUAAUUCCCAUCUUAUCUUUUCAACUGUAAAGGGACUGAAGCGAGAAAAAUCUCCUUGAGCAGAUCCCUUUCCCUAAUCUCAUUUCCCCCUUCCCUCUCCCGGGAAUCCCACUUCUCCUCUCCUACCGCACGAUCCACAGGCCACCGAAUUUUUCUGGUUGUCCAAUCGACCCGCCGGCUGCCCCGACUUCCGCGCCACCACCGACCACCCUCCGCGCCACCGCCAGCCAUCCCCGAGCUCUGUGCUCGCCCUCCGCGCGCCGUCGCAGCUGUCCUCGAGCUCCGCAGGCCCGCCGCCGCCGCUCCGUACCGGCUGCCCUCGCGCGGGCCCGAUUGUCCCGAGCUCCGCACGCCCUGAGCUCCGUGUCGCGGCUCAGCUGCCCGCAACCCCAUCGUCGUGGUCGUGCCUUCGCCCCUCUACGCCACCCCUGGCUGUUUGACCCUCCGUGCCGGCCGUCCUGGCUCUCCUUGCUGCGCGGCUUGCUCCAUCCCGGCUGCCGUUGCUCCAACCGACCUGUGGGCUGUGGCCAGCCCGCGGGCUGUCGCCAGCGUCCGCUGCCGAGGGGCAUCUGGCCCAUCGACUGCUCCCCACGUCGUUGACUAGCAAGCACAAGGAGAGGAGGGAGAAAGGAUUAGCCCACUGACAGGCAAGCCCAACACGUCAGGAGAGAUGAAAAAGAGACGGUAACGCUACAGAAUAAACGGACGCCGACAUAUGUUGCAUUAACUAUUGUUUCUUUCCAUCGGACGUCGUCCGGGUGCUAGUAACGCUGAAAAGGAGAAAGGGAGAAGUGACCUGCUGUAGAUCAAUCUAGUAGCCGCUUAUAACUAAGAAGAAAAAAAAAGGGAAAGUGAAAGAAGAUGCUCUUAUAUAUGGCCGCAAAAUUGUAUGGGAUAUAUUGUUAUUGCGCUAUCUAUACCGAUAUGUGUAUUAUUGCAUCAGUAGCCGCCUAUAUUGUUGGACCAUGCUCUGAUUAUUUAUUUGCCUGGAGAAUGAAUCGGAAAACGCCGUAAGCUGCCACCUCAUUAAUUUAGCUGCGUAUCCGGGCCUACGCGGCAGUGAACUCUGCGCAGCCACACGGAAGCCUACCGCGCCGCCUGUACCCCCGCGCCCCCCGGCCCCCCCCCCCCCCCCCCCCCCCCCCCCCCCACACACACACACACACUUUGACCCUCCUCGUCUCCUCCCUCUCUCCGGAGAUAUUUCCUUCCAUUUUCCUUCUCUCCUUCCUCCCCACCUGCUCCGCUCCUUCGCUCGUGCUUGCUCUGCUCUGUGCUCCUCUUGCUUGGAUUCUCCCGAUCUGAGCGCCCCCUUACCGCCCAAAAAUCUUGAUCAUUAUCAGGCAGAUAGGUUCCCUGCUUAGCUCAGAUUUCUUUGUCCUCUUCUUCUUGCCUUGUUCCGCAGAUUUUGUGUCCAAUCGCUCCACGGUUUUGUACUUUCCGGUCUUGCCUGAUCUGCUGGUUCUUUUCCUGCUUCUUGUCCUUUUCUCCGUGUAAGAGCUCAGCUGUUGCUUCUUCCUCUUCAGCUUUCAUCAAAUUCGAUUCCAUUUCCGCUUUCGGGGGUAAAAAGUUUGUGCUUUCUGUUGUGUUGGUAGAGAUAGAGAGAGAGAGGGGGGGGGGGGGGGGCGAGCUGAUGAGACAUCAAACUUGGACUCCGAUUCUUGGCUUAAUUCGCUUCCCAUAGAUGAGAUCCUUGUGAGUUGUAAGGUCAAAUCCAUUCUCAGUAGUGAGCACCGAUGUCUCCUUCGGCUCUUCUACCUGCUCUCGCGGUUUUCCUCCUGUGCUGCUGGCCUCUAGCUCUCGCUUCCGUCGCUGAGACAGCCCUUUCGCGAGUUGCUUGCGGAGACGACCAAGUUGCCGUCUUGGAUGCCUCUGAUGGCCUCCUCAACCUGUCGGUCAAUGGGGUUCUGGUGCAGGACCGCGUUCUUGCCUGCCAGAAGCUCCGCUUGUACUUUGGGAGUGGUUGCCUCCGCUGCGGCGAGGUGUCGGAUGGGUGGAGGGGUGCGGUUAAGCAAUACUGUGGUGAAGGGAGCGAAUCCAGCCAGGGUAAGUUGGUUCAUGUUUCCUCCUAGUUGCUUGAGUCAGAUAAUAACUGAACAAUUGCUGUAGUACAUAACUGUGCAAAUUGGAGUUCGCGUCUGCAUCAAUAUUUCACUUUUAGGACUUGUAAUAAAGAAGAUAUGCCUAUGAUGUGCAUCUCUGGAACAAUGGUGCGGAUUUAGAAUGUAGGCCAUUUCAUUGCAGUGUUCAUUCUGUUAUGAUCCUACAGUGGGGUUUAAGCCCAUCUAACAAUUGUUCCCAUUUGUAUCUUCUGGUACGAGUCCAUGUUUGAAAAACAUUAAAAUGAUGAAUGUAAUCGAAAUGUAAUCGAUAUAUUUCUAGAUGACCAAUUGAAGUAUGUUAAGGCCUAAGUGUUUGUUUCAGGUACCCUCAUUUAGCAGCUGCAUUCUGACAUUCCUCAACAUUAUUAUUUUUGUUUUUUGUUUUUGAUGUGGCUAGCACAUUUUUAAGCUUGUAACAUGCAGAUGAAAAAGAACGUUUGCUCAAUCAUUUCUCCUCAUUGGUUUCUUAUCACCUGUAGCAACUUCGCAUCAAAAUGUACCAAGGAAGCUCUUGAGGCGGCCCACAGAAAAUGGCUCAAGAAAUAAUUCUGGCCCAUGUGGAAGCUUGGGUUUGCAUGAAAAUAAUCAGGACAACGGUGAUUCUUCAGAAAACGAUGAUCACUUCCUGGCCAUGCCUGGUGUGAUUCUCCUAUGCUGUGGUCUCAUGCUUCCAUGCUUCCAUGCUGAAAGAAAAGAAGCCAGCAGGCAUGAUACUGCAACUAUUCAGCGCAAUGCAAGUGAGUUAGUAUUAUUUGCGCUUCUUUACACCAGUUCCUGUUGUCUGUUCCCCUCAAUUUUUUUUAAGUGAACUCAAAAGGUUCUCUUAUUAUCUACUGAAGGGGUGCUUGAGUCUGAGUUGUUGUUGGCGAGUUGUGACCAAAAUUGGAGUAGGGAAACUUGAGCUGGAUGUUGUCUAGCUCACUUGCCCUCAUACAAGUUUUCUUGUGCUGUGUUAGGAAACAAAACUUUAUGACAGUUUUCCUUGAAAAAUUAAACUGGUGUACAUUUACGGUUUAGUUUCACUAAUUUAUCUUUUUCUACUGUCUUUCCCCUAUAUACAACAACAUCAAAGCCUGUCAAUCCCAAGCCUGUCUUUCCCCUAUAUGUUUGAAUAGAAAUUAGUCCUGAAGGUGCUAUUGUUGUUUGAAAAAUAGUUCUCUUCGAUAUGGGUUAGGCCAUUUGUUGCUAUAUAUUUAUUUUUUGUGAAGUUGUUGCAAAAUUUAAAUUUCACUGUCAUGUUUAUCAGGAAUUGAGCCCGAAUGAUAGUGUAUGGAAAAUUAGGGUUUGGUAACUUCAACCACUGCUACUUAUACAUUUGUAGAUACCAUGGUAACUCACUCUGCCUCCAUAGGUAUACCUAUAUUUAUUAAUAUUAGUGGCUUGUCAAGUAUCAUGAAUGGAAAUUGAACUAACACAUAAAUUAUACGUCUUUGUCGCUUUUCAAGAUAAGUGAUAUUUACCAGUUACCAGCCAAAACUCCUUCAACAGUUAACCUAGUAUGCCCAUUUUCAUAGUAGUCUAUCUAUAUACUGUCUUCCAAUUUGGUAGUUGUCUUGGAUGAGGUUGCAUGUACUAAGUUUCUUGAAAUUGAUAUGUAAUGGUUCAUAACAAAUAAGACAAGCUCUGUCCUGGUUCGCUAAUCUCCUGAUACUGUAAACCAUGUUAGCUUUGAUGUUACUGAAUCAGUUCUGAUGUGCACCCCUUUACUCCUUUUUUUCUACUAUUUGCAAUAUCAAUCUUGAAUAGUGGGAUGGUAAUGAAAUUAUAUAUCAUAUUGUAUACCACUGUAAAAAUGUUUGAACAUUGUCCUUAACGACAAGUUUGUCUUUUGAUCUUUUCAGUUGAAUCAGUUUCGUCUUAUGAAGUAAGCAUGUCGUCUGAGAAAGUCCCACCAACUCCGCAUCGGAUACCUCCAAGUCCUUCUAGAUUUGCACCAUCUCCGCAAGUAGCUAGAGUUGGAUCUGUCAACUUAAGCAUUCAGCAGAUCCUCAGGGCAACUCAGAACUUCUCACCAUCAUUUAAGUUAGGUGAAGGAGGAUUUGGGAUGGUCUACAGGGCUGUAUUGCCAGAUGGAACCGUUGUUGCAGUCAAGAGGGCUAAAAAGGUAUUGCAAUGCUAUCCCUUGUCUUAUUGCUCGUUACUACUUAAAUUGCAUAUUGUUCAUAUCUUGUUUCACUAUAUUAAGUUCAAUUGUAUUCAUCAUCAAAAUAUGUUGUUUGUUCAUGUUUAUUGCACUAUAUUUUGUUAAAUUUAGAACUUUGUAUGAUUUUAUUUGUACCCAGCUCAAUGGCCUGUAGAGUUUUGGUAAUAUGCCUAACUCUUGCAAUGAUCAAAAUAACAUGCUCUACUGUUCAUUACAGGAUCAAUUUGCAGGUCCUAGGGACGAGUUUAGCAAUGAAGUAGACUUGCUUGCUAAGAUAGACCACCGAAAUUUGGUGAGGUUACUGGGUUUUACUGAUAAAGGAAAUGAGCGUAUUAUCAUCACAGAAUAUGUUCCAAAUGGCACUCUAAGAGAACAUCUAGAUGGUAAAUUGUGCUUUUCAUUACGUUCUCUUCACUUCUAAGUCCUUUUUCAGAGCUUGUGCUUUCCAUUAUGUUGUCUUCACUUCUCAGUCCAUUUUGAGAGCUUAUGCUUUCCAUUUUGUUUUUCUUCUCAGUCUAUUUUAAGAGCUUGAAUAUUAAUGUAUUACUCCUUGUGCAGGUCAACAUGGCAGGGUCCUGGAUUUUAAUCAGCGCCUAGAAAUUGCAAUCGAUGUCGCUCAUGCACUUACUUAUCUCCAUCUGUAUGCAGGUUGGCUACAUGCUUAGUUGCAUAAAUACUGAGCUAUUUUUGUCAAAUAGUUUACAGCAUUUUGUCUCUGAAAAGGGCUAACAGAUGGACAAAGUAGUGCUUCGGUACCCAGUUCUUCAUUUUGGAAUGGCCAGUUAUUUUGAUGAGAGAUUUAAAACAUUUAGUUCAGGAAAAAAAUCUUCGAAUCCAUCAAAUCAUUGUGUUGUAUUAUACUGACUUAAAGAUAGCAUAGUUUUGUAAUUUUUGGCACUGGCCAACCAUUUUUUAUUUCAAUUUUUUUUUGUGAUAAUCUGGAAAGGGACUAAGAGAUUCUAUACUGUGAACAGAGAAGACGAUAAUUCAUCGUGAUGUGAAGUCAUCAAAUAUCCUACUAACGGAUAGCUAUCGUGCGAAGGUGUCUGACUUUGGAUUUGCAAGAAGUGGCCCUAGUGACACGGAGAAGACACACAUAUCAACAAAAGUGAAAGGCACCGCUGGUUACCUGGAUCCUGAAUACCUGAGAACAUACCAGCUAACUCCAAAGAGUGAUGUCUUCUCCUUCGGCAUAUUGCUUGUGGAAAUUCUUUCUGCUCGCCGACCUGUAGAGCUGAAGCGAACCCCUGAAGAGAGGAUCACUAUCAGAUGGGUAUGUGUGAGAAAUUUCUUUUGUUUCCUGUAUCGGCACAAUCUAUAUACAAGGUGUCAAAUUGAUCUAAAAUGGAACAUGUGACUCAGCUAUGGAGCAAGGCUAACAUCACAGUGGUCCUAGUAAGAUAGGUCUGCUCUUUAGAGUUUGGGGUUGCAAAAUAAAAUGUCGCAUACUUCAAGUUUUAAAAUUGAAUUAACACCAGGGCUUCAGGGGUUGAAAAAUGGACAUUUAUCCCUUUUGAUAUUUCUAAUUUAGUAAUGAUAUCACUUGUCUGUUUACAUUUUCACUAUCUUGGCAAUCCCUGAAAUAACUGAAUGCAUGAGACUUUUUGUUUGUGCUGGGUAUGCAGACUUUCAAGAAAUUUAAUGAAGGCAACAUGAGAGAGAUAUUGGACCCGUUGCUGGAAGAUCACGUGGAUGAUGAGGUGCUUGAGAAGCUCCUUAGCUUGGCGUUCCAAUGUGCUGCUCCGACGCGGGAUGACCGACCAACCAUGAAGGAAGUUGGGGAGCAGCUGUGGGAAAUCAGGAAAGAGUACGGAAAGAGCAUCAGGAAGGUGUGAAGAUCAUGGGCAACUUUACCUGUUUCUAGCUUCCCUUCAACCACAAGCCGAAUCAUGCUUAUUCAUUGCCCGUGACAUGUUUCUGACCUGACAGAUGUGGUCUGAACAAUGUACAGAUUUGAUACCACCAGCACCAAUUUGUAUCUCCUUGUCUAUCGGUUUGCGAUGUACUUUUCCUUGGAGUUACAGUUCUUUCAGUGAAUGUGUAUUUUGGGAGUCCUCACAUUUCUUGAUUCCCAUUGUUUUGGUAUUCUGAUGCAUGUAACCACACAACUGAAAAUGGUUUACCUAAGUACAGUACAUGGAGGAAUUGUGUAGUUACGGCCUUACGGCAGAAACUAAAUGAAUGUGUAUGGAGCAUUGUGUAAAAGGUACGUCGUAUAUUCGUAUACAUAUUAUUCUAAUGCAUUUUAAACAAUUAUGUGGCCAGGCAUGAAUAUGAUAUCACUGGUUGUCAUGAUGGUGACCGGAUGCCUUGCGUGUCUCGGGUCAGCGUGUGGCCGUGGGUUGAGAUUUCAUAGGCAGGAUUGUGGUUUUAGGGCGUGUUAGGUUAGGAGUCAAGUUAGACAUAAUAAAGUUAUCCCUCAUUAAAUGGGUUGGGUGUUUGGUUAGAAGUAAUGAAUGGUCCUAUUUUGUUGUUUGCUUAGGGAGACUGGGACGAGAUGAGAUGGAUGACGUUACUAUGGAUCUCGGUUGUCAUCCACUCUGAAGCUGUGGGGUCCAGUUGUUAGCAGCUCGAAACAGAGAACGGCUCGAUCUGCAUUGCUACCUAUCUUAGGCCAUGUUUAGUUCACCUCUAAAUUCCAACUUUAACACUAUGCAAAAAGAAGAUUCCCCAUCACAUCAAACUUGCGGUACAUGCAUGGAGUACUGAAUAUAGACGAAAUCAAAAAUUAAUUGCACAGUUUUGUUGUACUUUGCGAGACGAAUCUUUUGAGUCUAAUUAGUCAAUAUUUGAACAAUAAUUCACAAAUACAAACGAAACGUUACAGUUGCGCUACAGUAAUUUUGGUUGCCCAAAGUUGGGCAACUAAACAAGGCCUUAUUUUCUCUACACUGCUUGGCGGCCUACCCUGCGCUGGUGCCCUAGCCCGCAUCAAAGCCUGGCCUGGCUUGUGCCACCGGCCUGCCCCGUCCCACCGCUCAGCUUGCUUUGCCGCCCGCUAGCUCGGACCUCCGCCUCCUUGAUCUAGGCCUUGUUUACUUCCUAAGUUGGGAGUUGCAAAAUUGGCAUUUUGCCAUAAAUGCAACACUGUAGCGUUUCGUUUGUAUUUGCGAAUUAUUGUCCAAAUAUUGACUAAUUAGGCUCAAAAGAUUCGUCUCGCAAAGUACAACAAAACUGUGCAAUUAGUUUUUAAUUUCGUCUACAUUUAGUACUCCAUGCAUAUACCGCAAGUUUGAUGUGAUGGGGAAUCUUCUUUUUGCAUAGUGUCAAAGUUGGGAGUUUGGAGGGAAGUAAACAAGGGCCUACUCUGCAGCUACCCGUCCUGACAAGUCAAGCUCCUGCACUGCUGUCACGGUGGUCCCGCGUGACCGUUGCUCGCCUUGCCAUCACCCUUUCUCUAUGCCCCGGCUAGCUCCGCCUCGUCCCAUUCCUCGCAUCGCCGUCGCCAUAUGUAGCACCGCUUGGAGUUGGAGCUACGCACGUGCUCAGCUGCGAACUGUGCGAGAGAGCAGCCGCAAAAGGGUGGGACGACAGCUCCAGGAAAGCGGGAUGAGUGCGUGUCGGUGCGUCAGAGCACGGAGCGUGCAAGGGAGACGGAGAGGAACGAUGUCUGCAAGGAUGAGUCGGUCUGCGAGUUUUGGUAGAACCGAACCAUCAAUCUUUUUCGAGGAAUAUUUCAGUUUGAUGCCAUUCUGUACUAGCUAAUUUUUAACUAAACACAUGAGAAGAGGACAACUGUAUUCCAUUCCAUCCCUCCAUCUAAAUACACCACACCCUUGAGGUUAGGGUGACACAUAGGACCAUGCUUGGGAUAGGGUAACAUUUUGAUAUAACUGUGCAUUCAUUAACAAAGUUUUGGUCAAAUAUAUCGAAGUUUAGUUCGUAGGCCUAAGGAGAGAAUACACUUCUUUCUGAUCGAAGUGUGCACGAUUAAAAAAAAAGUGUGCACGAUUUCAAGUUUACUUUGUAGACCAUGAACAUUAAACUGCGUAGGAUAGAAAUUGAGAAUUUGAUCAUUGUCUAUUCUGUAUUGGUAAUUCGCUACCUAAAAUAUAGUAUUGGUAAUUCCUUCGUAUUUUUUUUAAAAAUAUAGAUGAAGUCUUUUGUCAAGACAUUUCGUCAUCUUUUCCUCGAGGAAGAAACUAGAAGUACAUCUUGUCGGUCCUAAGAAAAGAAAAAGAAAAAAAACAAAAAAAUGCCCAUGACGCAAUUGGCCUGCGAGAUCGUGUGUGCGUGUGUCUGGGGGGCAUGGGGUGCUGGGGUGUUGGGAUGGGUUUGAGGCGGUGGCACGGAAACCUAUCUGCCUUUCGGAUUCUGAAAACCCAAAUCUUAUUUGGCUCCUGAUUGAGGUUCGUGAAAAACAUCUCCACCAUUGAAUGCUGACCUCCACCCCCUCAACCUUAGCCUCCUGCCCGCGAGCUCCUGCACACGCCUCCGUUGCUCCUCUUGGCCCUGUGCCGCACUGCGCCACCAUCGGUCUCCUACCCGCGCCCACACCGUGUUGCCGCUCCUUCGUCCCAUGCGCUCGCAGCAGCUCCUCCCGGCUCCCGCACGCGCCGUCAUCUUUGCUUGCCGAUGCCACCGCUGGUCCUCAUGCGGCGCGCGCGCCGCUGCUCAUCAUGCCCGCCGAAGCCUGCACCGCGCAACUGUUGUACUAUUUGUGCUAUUUGAGUGGUGUUUUCGAUUCAAUUGUUACACUAACCCGCCACUUGGCAUGAGAAAUAAUCCUAUUAUUAUAUAUGUGUUGUAUUUUGAAGUCUAUUAUGUUUUGACAAGAAAUAUGACAUAAUCAGAUUGUUUUCAUACCACUACAAGAAAUCUUCUGAUCUAUGACGAACUAAAAAGUGUUAUAAACACAUUUUUACGUCAUAAACCGUGAAUUAUGAUGCUCAAGUGACGAAACUCGUUCUUCAUUAAUCGAGCAUCACAAACCGCGACUAGUGAUGUUCCUUAUUUCGGUGCAUCAUUGUAUAUAUAACGCCUACGAAACAUUAACAGAAACGUCAUAAAUUGGCUCCUACGGUUUUGCCACUAUACAGAAUCUGAUGUGGCAUGGUAAUUGUGACAAAUUAUUUGGUCAUAAAAUAAAUUUGACCCAUUUGUUAUUAGGUUGAGCCCUAAUUUGUUCCCAGGCUAAUGUUAUUCUGAUAGUCCAAAAUUGAUUCCAGUGGAUCCAUUUGUUAUUGUGUCAAGCUCAAAAUUUGUACUAUUUGUUUGCGGUCCUUUUAGUCCAAUUUAUGAAUGCAAUAUACUUUUGGCCCAAUUAUACGUGGACUAAGUCCACAUAUGGCGGACAUAAAUUUAACUAAUUGGGCCCGAGUAAUAAUUGGUUUCAUUUCAAUUCCGAUCCGGUUGGUAAAAUAAUAAGCACAAUACACAUAUUUAUGUAUAAAAUAAAACAAAUUAUUGUUCCCCAUCGAGACAACCACUACCAUAUUGUUAUCUUACAAAGAACAUAGAUUAACAAAACUGCAUCCAGAUCAUAAGCUCAAAAGACAAAGUAGAUCAAUGAUCUUAACCUCUUGCAGAUAUUAGCAGUUGAGGAAUGAGUGCUUCAGUGUCUUGUACUACCUUCUUCAAGUUCUCAAUCUCGGCUGGCUGCAAUUUGAGAUUUGAUUCUGAAUUUUCUGUCUUCUUCUUUAAGGUUGGUUGAUCAGGAGUUGCUACCAUAUCUUAUUCCUAACUUAUGCCAUGCCUACAACAAAGUAUUCUUCCAUGAAUUGAAUAAGUUGGCAUUGAUCUUACCUCUUACCUUAUUUCUGCGGGGCAUGUAGCUUCACCUUAUCUUAGGUGGUUGAGAGAUAGAACGGUUUCGUAGAGCACCAUUCACUUAUCCCUUGAUUAACUAUCAAUCCAGAGGUUUUGUAACGUUUUUCAAAAGAAAUCAAAGUUCGUCAAAUGAUACUCUCAAUCACUCAAUGUGUAUGAUUCCUCACCAAGGCAAGAUCUUGCCUUUCUAUCACAACCUACUCCUAAUAAGCUUAUAUGUAGAGCUGUAGGUAGGAAAAAAUGAAGGUAUACCUGUUCCUCAUGUAUUGCUAAGUCAAAGAUCAGAUCCUUUGGAGAAGCAAGUCAUACAACCUGAUCAAGAUGUGCAUGUGUGUGGAUGGUGGAUGGUAUAUGGACUCUUUUUUGUAUAAUCCUUAUCUCUCCUUUGCUUUUUUUCUUUUGAGACAUGGACUAUCUUUUGUUCUCUUUAUUUUUUUCAUCAUGCUUUCAUGAGCAUGUCCUUUAUUUUUUUUCAUAGCCCAAGUCUCUUUUGCAAGGAUAACUGUGGAGAGGGAGGUCAUAAAAUAACAUGGAGCUUUAUUUAUGGAUGGAUGAAAUGAUAUGAUUGCUAACUUCCAGUGUAGAUGCUUAGCAUAUGGUGGUGGCGUGUACAUGAUCUUCAUCAUGAGAGUAUGAAAAGCAUUUCACUAAGGGUCACAAUAAUUUGACAAAGCUCAAUGAGAGAACAAGUUGCAUAUGUGGAGGCUAUGUAAUAGGAUCAACAUAUGGCCUUGGAUAGGAAUUUCUCAUCAUUGAGGAACUUAUCAUUUUGUCAUUUUUGAAAAAUAAAAUUUCGGAUAUCAAGCAUGAUGUAGAACAAGAUCGUAGCAACUCUAUUUACUAUAUCAUAUCCCACAACAACCUAGACAUGGAUCAUGCUUUUUGCUACCCACAAGUUUCAAGCUAAGGUUUGAUCAUGGAAGCCAACAAACUCAAAACUUUGUAGAACACUAGGUUGUAACUAGGCAUAUGAGAGGAAAAUAAACAGAGCUAACUAUUCAUCAUUUCAACCAUGAAGAACUAAGGCAUUCUCACCACGCAUAGGAAAGCAGUAAGUAUUUUUGGUUUUUUUAGUUUUUUUCUGGUUUUUUAUUUUUUUAGCAUGCAUAUUCUGAAAGCGGUAAAGAUACAAGUUACCUCUUGUGGGGGUCCUUCCCCAAGCUAGCUUCAGGCUCACUGUCCCUAGUUUGGGUUGUACCCCGUCCAACAAAAGUAAGCCCUUAACUCCUCCUCCUGCUGCUUGUUGGUAUAUUUAACAAUCAUGAAUAAAUCCGCAAGUGCAUGGAUAUACUAUUAUAGCAUUUCACCCAAGAGUAUUCCCAAGGGUAUCGUAUUUUCCAAAGGAAGGCAGGUAGGUCAAAAGAGUUUACUAUGCAUUUGAGUAUAUCAUAAGAUGGAUAGAGACAAUACUCAAGGCAGGGGUAAGAUAAUGAUAGAUGAGUAGUGUGACACACACAAGAAUCAUCUCAAGGUAACUAAGCUAGGAAGAAGGACUAAGAGUUAGCUCUAGGUUCAUAUGUACUUCCUAUAUACUGCGCAGAUUAUACAAGCAUAACAUACAUAGACAUUGUAUAGGACUCAGGCCUAUGCAACUAGGCACACAUGGGGAGAAAGUACCCGUACCGGUUCUGCCCGGCAAAGUUACUACUAAUUUACAAACUCCUAUAGCGUAUCUGAACAUGGGGGAUUACAAAGGAUGGAUAGGGCUGUCACCACCUGCCGCCUACCCCUAGCAGCCUGUAGGGUAAAUUCAUAUCCAAUGAAGCUAAACGAUCCAAGGAUCUUGCUUGCAUUGUUAACAACACUCCAGUCAUCCCGAGCUAUUGUGACUAUGACUGAAGCUACCAUAAACAUGGCCAUUGAACCGAUGCCGUAGCAUAGAUCAACUAAGCUAUACAAGGUAUAUACGCACAUAGAGUAUAUACUGAAGCAUGGUCUCAAGGCAUACAUGAGAAUAUAUAAGCCUCUACUACAAUGGGAAGGGUAUACGACUAACAUACGAGCGUAUAUAAGCCUAGCACAUCAACAUAGCAAGGGUAUACAUCUAACUCAUGCAUAUAAGAACCAAGCACAACACUAUAUAAAAAAUAUGAAUACUUUGAAUAGAAUAAAGUCAACCUAGGAAUGUAAGAUACAAGAGCCAUACCCUAGACUUCAAGAAGACCUGGAACCUAAAGUAGAGCUACUUUAGCCUAACUCCACUAAGUUGGAAACUACGAGGGAGAGAGUGAUUCAACUUGUGGUGUGUGUAAGAAUGGAGGGGUUGCCUCUCUAUUUUAUAGGCUCCAAGAGGCGGUUCUGCUAGGGAAUCUUCAGGGAAUAUCCCAUAACCGACGUAGGGGCCCCAUCAACUGUCGCCACAUGGAAGCUAGAGAAGAGAGGAGGCAAGGGCGGUUCGGCUGAACCCUAGAUUCGGCCAACCCCCUGUGGGCUCGCCUCGCAAUCGCCUUUCUCUGUGUGACUGCCUAGUGGGUCCCAGUGGCGGUUGUGUGCGUUAUCCGGUGGAUUGAGACAAUUGUGGUAGUUUGUGGGCCCUUCAAUCCAUUGGAUGCACAUGUGGCAACCUCCCAUUGGUUAGAAGUGUGUUUCUUUGCUCCAUAGAAUGUGCUUUCUCCUUUCUUUUGUAUUAUUUCACCUGCAACCAAAUAUUCUCCAAGGAUAAGUGGAACUAAAUUAUUCGAAACCAAAUAUGUGUGUAAGAAAUGCCAAUCCUCCUUUAUUCUUGACUAUAUUGACACUCAUAUUUGGUACUUAAUGACUGUCAACAACUCCCCCAAGCUAGCCCUUUGCUCAUAUCGAGCAAAUGCUAAGACUUAGGUUGGUUGAUCAGUAGUUACUACUAUGUUGUAUUCCUAGCUUAUGCCAUGCCUACAAUAAAAUAUUCUACCAAGAACUAAAUAAGUAGCCAUUGAUCUUACCUCUUACCUUACUCCUGUGGGGCAUGUAGCUUCACCUUAUCUUGGGCGGUUGAGAGAUACAACGGUUUCAUAGAUCACUAUUCACUCAUCCUUUAAUCAGCUAUUAAUAUGGAGGUUUUGCAUAGUUUUUAAAAGAAAUCAAAGUUCCUCAAUGAUACUCUCGGAUCGCUCAAUGUGUAUGAUUCCUCACCAAGGCAUAGGACUGCCUUUCUUUCACAACCUACUCCUAAUAGGCUUAUAUUUGGAGCUGUAGGUAGCGAAUAAUGAAGGCAUACCUAUUCCUCAUAUAUUGCUAAGUCAAAGACCGGAUCCUUUGGAGAAGCAAGUCAUACAACCUGAUCAAGAUGUGAAUGUGUGUGGAUGGUGGAUGGUAUAUGGACUCCUUUUUGUAUGAUCUUUCUCUCUCCUUUCCUUUUUUUUUCUUUUGAGACAUGGGCUAUCUUUUGUUCUCUUUAUUUUUUUCAUCAUGCUUUCCUGAGCAUGUCCUUUAAUUUUUUUUGCAUAGCCCAAGUCUCUUUUGCAAGGAUAACUUUGGAGAGAGAGGUUAUAAAAUAUCAUGGAGCUUUAUUUGUGGAUGUAUGAAAUGAUAUGAUUGCUAACUUCUAAUGUAGAUGCUUAGCAUAUGAUGGUGGUGUGUACAUGAUCUUGAUCAUGGGAGUAUGAAAAGCAUCUCACUAAGGGUCACAAUAAUUUUACCAAGCUCAAUGAGAGAACAAGUUGCAUAUGUGGAGGCUAUGAAAUAGGAUCAACAUAUGGCCUUGGAUAGGAAUUUCUCAUCAUUGAGGAACUUAUCAUUUUGCCAUUUUCAAAAAAAUAAAAUUCCAGAUAUCAAGCAUGAUGUAGAACAAGAUCGUAGCAACUCUAUUUACUAUAUCAUAUCCCACAACAACCUAGACAUGGAUCAUGAUUUUUGCUUCCCACAAGUUUCAAGCUAAGGUUUGAUCAUGGAAGCCAACAAACUCAAAACUUUGUAGAACACUAGGUUGUAACUAGGCAUAUGAGAGGAAAUAAACAGAGCAACUAUUCAUCAUUUCAACCAUGAGGAAUUAAAACAUUGUUACCACGCAUAGGAAAGCAGUAAAUAUUUUUGGUCUUUUUUUAAUUUUUCAAAUUUUUAUUUAUUUUUAUGAUGUAUAUUCCGAAAACAGUAAAGAUACAAGUUAUCUCUCUUAUGGGGGUCCUCCCCCAAGUUAGCUUCAGGCUCACUAUCCCUGGUUGGGGUUGUACCCUGUCCAACCGAAAUAAGCCUGCAUAUAAGAUCAUAAACUCAUCGUUGUGCAUGGGCCUAACAUCCUCUCUUGGAAACAGAGUGAUGGCCAACGACUUGUGCGUCAAACGAAGAGUUGGAUUCUGAAUGUCAUUGCACCGAGGUGCAGAUUUUCCACAGACAAUCUGAUCGGAGAUUUCAACCCAAAAACCAUGUCAUGAAAAACUGCAGCAAGAUUUUUCAAUAGAACCGGUGCAACAAGGACCAAAACAAAGGUGACGGCUGAAUUCUCUCCAAGUAGGGUCUAAUGGAGUAGAUUGGAUGCGUUGGUUGCUAACAAAUCCGUCGGAAGUUCACGACCCGAAAAUGCAGUUGUCUCGCAUCCUUUAUGGAGCAGCAGCGAAAUGUUCCAAAACACACAAAACAUAAUCUAGGGUGUAAUGGAGUAGAUUGGAUGCGUUCGUUGCGAAAAAUCCGCUGGAAGUUCGCUACCCGAAAAUAGUGCAUUCGGGUACUGAAACGUACCUAUUUCGCAUCAUUUUUCGUGCACUAGUGAAAUGCUCGAAAACACUCCCAUGCAUGGUCUAGGGUCUAAUGGAGUAGAUUGUAUGUGUUUGUUGAGAAAAAAAAUCCAUUAGAAGUUUGCAACCCAAAAAUAGUGCACUCGAGUACCGAAAGGCAACGGUUUCGCAUCAUUUUUUGUGCAAUAGAGAAAUGCUCCAAAACACUCCCAAACAUGGUCUAGUUUCUAAUGGAGUAGAUUGUAUGCGUUGGUCGCGAACAAAUUGAUAUGAAGUUCGCUACCUGGAAACAAUGCAUUCAGGUACCGUAACACACCCAUUUUGCAUCGUUUUAUGUGCAGCAGCGAAAUGCUGCAAAACAAUGCCAAAUAUGGUCUAGGGUCUAAUGGAGUAGAUUGGAUACGUUCAUAGCGAACAAAUCCGUCGGAAGUUUGCUACAUGGAAACAGCGCAUUCGGGUACCAUAACCCACACGUUUCGCAUUGUUUUUUGAGUAGUAGCGAAAUGGCUACAAAUACCCCCAAACAUGGUCUAGGGUCUAAUGGAGUAUAUUGGAUGCGUUCGUUGCGAACAAAUCUGUCGGAAGUUCGUUACCUGGAAGAAGUGCAUUCGGGUACCGAAACACACUUGUUUCGCAUCCUUUUUCGAGCAGUAGUGAAAUGCUCCAAAACACACCCAAACAUGAUCUAGGGUGUAAUGGAGUAGCUUUGAUACGUUGGUUGCAAACAAAUCGGUUGGAAGUUCCCUACCAGGAAACAGUGCAUUCCUGUACCUUAACGCACCCAUUUCACAUCUUUUUUUGUGCAGUAGCCAAAUGCUGCAAAACAUUCCCGAACAUGAUCUAGGGUCUAAUGGAGUAGACUGGAUGCAUUCAUUGCAAACAAAUCGGUUGGAAGAUCGCUACCUGGAAACAAUGCAUUCGGCUCCAUAACCCACCCAUUUCGCAUCGUUUUUCGUGCAGUAGCAAAAUUCUCCAAAACACUCCCAAACAUGGACUAGCGUCUAAUGGAGUAAACUCGAUGCGUUUGUUUUGAAAAAAUGCGUUGGAAGUUCGCUACCCAAAAAUAGUGCAUUUAGGUACCGAAUCACACCUGUUUGGCACCAUUUUUCGUGCAGUAGCGAAAUGCUCCAAAACACUCCCAAGCGUGUUCUAGGUUCUAAUGGAGUAGAUUGGAUGUGUUCGCGAACAAAUCCAUCGGAAGUUCAUGACCUAAAAAAUGCACAUGUCUCGUAUCCUUUGUCGAGUAGUAGCGAAAUGCUCCGAAACAUACCCAAACAUGGUCUAGGUUGUAAUGGAGUAGAUUGGAUGCAUUCAUCGCGAAAAAUGGUUGCAUGUUUGCUACCUGAAAAAAAUGCAUUCGGGUACUGAAAAGUACCUGUUUCGCAUCAUUUUUUGUGCAGUAGUGAAAUGUUCCAAAACACUCCCAAGCAUGGUCUAGGGUCUAAUGGAGUAUAUUGCAUGCGUUCAUUGCGAAAAAAUCCAUCGGAAGUUCGCGACACGAAAACCAUGUAUUCGGGAACAAAAACGCAAUGGUUUCGCAUCAUUUUCCGUGCAGUAGAGAAAUCCUCCAAAACACUCCCAAGCAUAGUUUAGGGUCUAAUGGAGUAUAUUGGACACGUUCGUUGUGAACAAAUCUGUUGGAAGUAUGUGACCCGAAAACAGUGCAUUCGUGUACCGGAGCGCAACGGUUUCGCAUCAUUUUCCGUGCAAUAGCGAAACGCUCCAAAACACUCCCAAACAUGGUCUAGGGUCUAACGAAGUAGAUUGGAUGCGUUGGUUGCAAACAAAUUGGUUGGAAGUUCGCUACCUAGAAACAGAGCAUUCGGUUACCGUAACACACCCAUUUCGCAUCAUUUUUCGUGCAAUAGCAAAAGGCUACAAAACACUCCCAAAUAUGGUCUAGGGUCUAAUAAAGUAGAUUGGAUGCGUUGGUUGCGAACAAAUCCGUCGGAAGUUCGCAACCUAGAAAUAGUGCAUUCAGGUACUGAAACGCACGGUUUGGCAUCAUUUUUUGUGCUAUAGCAAAAUGCUCCAAAAUACUCCCAAUCAUGGUCUAGGGUCUAAUGGACUAGAUUGGAUGCGUUUGUCGCAAAAAAUGGUUGCAUGUUUGCUACUCGAAAAAAAGGCAUUCGGGUACUGAAAAGUACCUGUUUCGCAUCAUUUUUCGUGCAGUAGAAAAAUGCUCCAAACCACUGCCAAGCAUGGUCUAGGGUCUAAUGGAGUAUAUUGGAUGCAUUUAUUACGAACAAAUCCGUCAUAAGUUUACGACUCGAAAACGCACUUGUCUCGCCUCCUUUAUCGAGUAGUAGCGAAAUGUUCCAAAACACACCCAAACACGGUAUAGGGUGUAAUGUAGUAGAUUGGAUGCAUUCGUUGCGAACAAAUAUGUCAGAAGUUCGCUACCUGGAAACAUUGGUUUCAGGUACCCAAACACAUCUGUUUUGCAUCAUUUUUCAUGCAGUAGCGAAAUGCUCCAAAACACUCCUAAAUAUGAUCUAGGGUCUAAUGAAGUAGAUUGGAUGCGUUCGUUGCUAAAAAACCAGUCAGAAGUUCGUUACCCGUAAGUAGUGUAAUCGGGUUCCGAAAUGCACUUCUUCUGCAACCUUUUUCGAGCAAUAACGAAAUGCUCCAAAACACACCCAAACAUGGUCCAGGGUGUAAUGGAGUAAUAGGACGCAUUCGGGUACUGAGACACACCCGUUUCACAUCAUUUUUUGUGUAGUAACAGAAUGCUCCAAAACAAUCCCAAACAUAUACUAGGGUCUAAUGAAGUAGAUUGGAUGCAUUCGUUGCAAAAAACGUGUCAAAAGUUCUUUACCCGGAAGCAGUGCAUUCAGGUACCGAAACACACUUGUUUUGCACUCUUUUUCGACCAGUAGAGAAAUGCUCCUAAACACUCAUAAAUAUGGUCUAGGGUAUAAUGAAGUAGAUUGGAUGCGUUCGUUGCUAAAAGAAUCCGUCAGAAGUUUGUUACCCGAAAGCAGUGGAUUCGUGUACCGAAACGAACUUGUUUUGCAUCAUUUUUCAAGCAGUAGCGAAAUGCUCCAAUACACUGCCAAACAUUGUCUAGGGUCUAAUAGAGUAGAUUGUAUACGUUCGAUGUGAAAAAAUUCAUUGGAAGUUCGAUAAUUGGAAACAGUGCAUUCGUGUACCGAAACGCAACGGUUUCGCAUCAUUUUUCGUGUAAUAGUGAAACGCUCCAAAACACACCCAACCACAAUCUAAUAGAGUAGAUUGGAUGCGUUGGUUGUGAAAAAAUUGGUUGGAAGUUCGCUACCCGAAAACAGAGCAUUCAAGUACCAUAACACACCCAUUUCGCAUCAUUUUUCGUGCAGUAGCAAAAUGCUACAAAACACUCCCAAACAUGGCCUAGAGUCUAAUGGAGUAGAAUGGAUGCGUUUGUUGCGAACAAAUCCGUCGGAAGUUCGCAACCUAGAAACAGUGCAUUCAGGUACUGAAACGCACUGUUUGGCAUCGUUUUUUGUGUAGUAGUGAAAUGCUCCAUAACACUCCCAAACAUGGUGUAGGGUCUAAUGGAAUAUAUUGGAUACGUUCGUUGCGAACAAAUCCGUUGGAAGUUCGCUACCUAGAAACAGUGCAUUCAGGUACCGAAACGCACCCGUUUCGCAUCAUUUUUUGUGCAGUAGCGAAAUGCUCCAAAACACUCCUAAAUAUGAUUUGUGGUCUAAUGAAGUAGAUUGGAUACAAUCAUUGAAAAAAACUCGUCAAAAGUUCGUUACCCGGAACCAGUGUAUUCAGGUACCGAAACGCACUUCUUUUGCAUCAUUUUUUGAAUAGUAAUGAAAUGCUCGAAAACACACCCAUACAUGGUCUAGGGUGUAAUGGAGUAUAUUGGAUGCAUUCGUUGUGAACAAAUACGUCGGAAGUUCGCUACCCGAAAACAGUGCAUUGGGGUACUGAGACGCACCCAUUUCGCAUCAUUUUUUGAGCAGUAGCGGAAUGCCCCAAAACAAUCGCAAACAUCGACUAGGGUCUAAUUAAGUAGAUUGGAUGCAUUCGUUGCAAAAAAACCAGUCGGAAGUUCGUUACCCGGAAGCAGUGCAUUCAUGUAUCAAAACACACUUGUUUUGCAUCCUUUUUCGAGCAGUAGCGAAAUACUCCAAAACACACCCAAACAUGGUCUAGGGUGUAAUGGAGAAGAUUGGAUGCAUUCGUUGUGAUUAAAUCCGUCAGAACUUCGCUACCUGAAAAAAGUGCAUUCAGGUACCGAAACACACCCGUUUUGCAUCAUUUUUAUUGCAGUAGUGAAAUGCUAAAAAAGACUCCAAGAUAUUGUGUAGGGUCUAAUGGAGUAGAUUGGAUGCGUUCGUUGCAAAAAAAUCCUUCAGAAGUACGCUACCCAAAAACAGUGCAUUCGAGUACUAAGACGCACCCAUUUCGCAUCAUUUUUCGUGUAGUAGCGAAAUGCUCCAAAACAAUCCCAAACAUGGACUAGGGUCUAAUGAAGUAGAUUGGACGCGUUCAUUGCAAAAAACCCCGUCAGAAGUUCGUUACCCGAAAGCAGUGCAUUCAUGUACAGAAACACAACAAUUUCGCAUCAUUUUCCGUGUAGUAGCGAAACGCUCCAAAACACUCCCAAACAUGGUCUACAGUCGAACGGAGUAGAUUGGAUGCGUAGGUUGCGAACAAAUUGGUUGGAAGGUCGCCACCCGGAAACAAAGCAUUCAGGUAACGUAACACACCCAUUUCACAUCAUUUUUUGUGUAGUUGCAAAUGGCUACAAAACACUCCCAAACAUGGCCUAGGGUCUAAUCGAGUAGAAUGGAUGCGUUUGUUGCGAACAAAUCCGUCAGAAGUUCAUCACUCGAAAGCGUGCAUUCGUGUACAGAAACGCAACGGUUUUGCAUCAUUUUCCGUGCAGUAGCGAAACGCUCCAAAACACUCCCGAACAUGAUCUAGGGUCGAAUGGAGUAGAUUGGAUGCGUAGGUUGCGAACAAAUUGGUUGGAAGUUCGCUACGCGUAAGCAGAGCAUUCAGGCACCGUAACACACCCAUUUCGCAUCAUUUUUUGUGCAGUAGCAAUAUGCUAAAAAACACACCUAAACAUGGCCUAGUGUCUAAUGGAGUAGAAUGCAUACAUUUGUUGUGAACAAAUCCAUCGGAAGUUCGCAACCUAGAAACAGUGUAUUUGGGUACUGAAACGCACCGUUUGCAAUUGUUUUUUGUGCAGUACCGAAAUGCUCCAAAACACUCCCAAACAUGGUCUAGGGUCUAAUGGAGUAGAUUGGAUGCAUUUGUUGUAAACAAAUCCGUCGGAAGUUUGCAACCUGGAAACAGUGCAUUCGGGUACCGAAACGCACCCGUUUCACAUAUUUUUCGUGCGUUAGCAAAAUGCUCCAAACCACUCCUAAAUAUGAUCUAGGGUCUAAUGGAGUAGAUUGGAUACAUUCAUUGCAAAAAAAAACCCGUCAGAAGUUCGUUACCUGGAAGCAGUGUAUUCGGGUACCGAAACGCACUUCUUUUGCAUGCUUUUUCGAGCAGUAACGAAAUGCUCCAAAACACACCCAAACAUAGUUUAGGGUGUAAUGGAUUAAUAGGAUGCAUUCGAUGUGAACAAAUCUGUUGGAAGUUCGCUACACGAAAAGAGUGCAUUCGGGUACUGAGACGCACCCGUUUCUCAUCGUUUUUCGUGCAGUAGCGGAAUGCUCCAAAACAAUCCCAAACAUGGACUAGGGUCUAGUGAAGUAGAUUGGAUGCAUUCGUUGCAAAAGAACCAGUCAGAAGUUCAUUACCCAAAAGUAGUGCAUUCAGGUACCGAAACGCACAUGUUUUGCAUCCUUUUUCGAGCAGUAGCAGAAUGCUCCAAAACACAUGCAAACAUGGUCUAGGGUGUAAUGGAUAAGUUUUGAUGCAUUCGUUGCGAACAAGUCCAUCGGAAGUUUGCUACCUAGAAAAAGUGCAUUCAGGUACCGAAACGCACCCGUUUCACAUCAUAUUUAGUGCAGUAGCGAAAUGCUACAAAACACUCCCAAACAUUGUGUAUGGUCUAAUGGAGUAGAUUGGAUGCCUUCGUUGCAAAAAAAUCCUUCAAAAGUAUGCUACCCAAAAAACAGUGCAUUCGAAUACUGAGACGCACCCAUUUCGCAUCAUUUUUCGUGCAGUAGCGAAAUGCUCCAAAAUAAUCCAAAACAUAAACUAGGGUCUAAUGAAGUAGAUUGGAUGCGUUCAUUGCAAGAAAACCUGUCAGAAGUUCGUUACCUAAAAGCGGUGCAUUCAGGUAUCGAAACGCAGCCGUUUCGCAUCAUUUUUCGAGCAGCAGCGAAAUGCUCGAAAACACUAACAAACAUUGCCUCAGGUCUAAUAAAGUAAAUUGGAUGCAUUCAAUGCAAAAAAAUCUAUCGGAAUUUCGCUAUCCAGAAACAGUGCAUUCGUGUACCGAAACGCAACGGUUUCGCAUCAUUUUCCGUGCAGUAGCGAAACGCUCCAAAACACUCCCAAACAUGAUCUAGGGUCGAACGGAGUAGAUUGGAUGCAUAGGUUGCGAACAAAUUGGUUGGAAGUUCGCUACCUAGAGAUAGAGCAUUCAGGCACCGUAACACACCCAUUUCGCAUCAUUUUUUGUGCAGUAGCAAUAUGCUACAAAACACACCUAAACAUGGCCUAGUGUCUAAUGGAGUAGAAUGCAUACGUUUGUUGCGAACAGAUCCAUUGGAAGUUCGCAACCUAGAAACAGUGCAUUUGGGUACUGAAACGCACCAUUCGACAUUGUUUUUUGUGCAGUACCAAAAUGCUCCAAAACACUCCCAAACAUGGUCUAGGGUCUAAUGGAGUAGAUUGGAUGCAUUCGUUGCGAACAAAACCAUCGGAAGUUUGCUACCUAGAAACAGUGCAUUCGGUUACCGAAACGCACCCGUUUCGCAUCAUUUUUCGUGCAGUAGAGAAAUGCUCCAAACCACUCCCAAGCAUGGUCUAGGGUCUAAUGGAGUAGAUUCGAUGCGUUCGUUGCAAACAAAUCCGUUAGAAGUUUUCUACCUGGAAAUAGUGGAUUUAGGUAUCGUAACACAUCCAUUUCGCAUCAUCUUUCGUGCAGUAGCAAAAUGCUCCAAAACACUCCUAAAUAUGAUCUAGGGUCUAAUGAAGUAGAUUGGAUACGUUUGUUGCAAAAAAAAACCCGUCACAAGUUCGUUACCCGGAAGCAGUGUAUUCGGGUACCGAAACGCACUUCUUUUGCAUGCUUCUUCGAGUAGUAACAAAAUGCUCCAAAACACACCCAAACAUGGUCUAGGGUGUAAUGGUGUAAUCGGAUCCAUUCGUUGUGAACAAAUCCGUCGGAAGUUUGCUACCCGAAAACAGUGCAUUCAAGUACUGAGACGCACCCAUUUCGUAUUGUUUUUCGAGCAAUAGUGGAAUGCUCCAAAACAAUCCCAAACAUGGACUAGGGUCUAAUGAAGUACAUUCGAUGCAUUCGUUGCAAAAGAACCAGUCGGAAGUUCAUUACCCGGAAGUAGUGCAUUCAGGUACCGAAAUGCACAUGUUUUGCAUUCUUUUUCGAGCAGUAGCGAAAUGCUCAAAAACACACCCCAACAUGGUCUAGGGUAUAAUGGAUAAGAUUGGAUGCAUUCAAUGCGAACAAAUCCGACGGAAGUUCGCAAUCUAGAAAAAGUGCAUUCAGGGUGUGAAACACACCCAUUUCGCAUCAUUUUUAGUGUAGUAGCGAAUUGCUCCAAAAUACUCCCAAACAUUGUGUAGGGUGUAAUGGAGUAGAUUGGAUGUGUUCGUUGCGAAAAAAUCCUUUGGAAGUUCGCUACUUAAAAACAGUGUGUUUGGGUACUAAGACGCACCCAUUUUGCAUCGUUUUUCAUGUAGUAGCGAAAUGCUACAAAACAAUCCCAAAGAUGGACUAGAUUCUAGUGGUGUAGAUUGGAUGCAUUCUUUGGGGAAAAAAAACCAUUAGAACUUUGUUACCCGAAACUAGGGCAUUCAUGUACCGAAACACUCUUAUUUUGCAUCCUUUUUCGAGCAGUAGUGAAAUGCUCCAAACACACCCAAACAUGGUCUAGGGUGUAAUGGAGUACAUUGGACGCAUUCAUUGCGAACAAAUCCGUCGAAAGUUCGCUACCUGGAAACAUUGCAUUCAAAUAUCGAAACGCAGCUUUUUUGGUGCAGUAGCGAAAUGCUCCAAAACACUCCCAAACAAUGUGUAGGGUCUAAUGGAGGAGAUUGGAUGCGUUCGUUGCGAAAAAAAUCCUUCGGAAGUACACCAUCCGAAAAUAGUGCAUUCGGGUACUGAGACACGCCCAUUUCCCAUCGUUCUUCUUGCAGAAGAGAAAUGCUCCAAAACAAUCCCAAACAUGGACUAGGGUCUAAUGAAGUAGAUUGGAUGCGUUCGUUGGAAUAAAACCCGUCAGAAGUUCAUUACCUGAAAACAUUGCGUUCGGGUACUGAAACGCACCAGUUUCGCAUCAUUUUUCGAGCAGUAGCGAAAUGCUCCAAAACACUGCCAAACAUUGUCUAGGGUCUUACCCGGAAGCAGUGCAUUCGGGUACAGUGCUACUCGAAAAUAGUGCAUUUGAGUACUAAGACGCACCCAUUUUGCAUCAUUUUCGUGCAGUAGCGAAAUGCUCCAAAACAAUCCUAAACAUGGACUAGGGUCUAAUGAAGUAGAUUGCCUGCGUUCGUUGCAAAAAAACCCGUCAAAAGUUUAUUACUCGGAAGCAGUGCAUUCGGGUACAGUGCUACUCGAAAAUAGUGCAUUCGAAUACUGAGACGCACCCAUUUUGCAUCAUUAGCAAAAUGCUCCAAAACAAUCCUAAACAUGGACUAGGGUUUAAUGAAGUAGAUUGCGUGCGUUCGUUGCAAAAAACCCGUCAGAAGUUCGUUACCCGGAAGCAGUGCAUUCGGGUACCGAAAUGUACCUGUUUUGCAUCCUUUUUCGAGCAGUAGCGACAUGCUCCAAAUCACACCCUAACAUGGUAUGUAGUCUAAUGGAGUAGACUGCAUGCAUUCAUAGCUAAUAAAUCUGUCGGAAGUUCGCAACCUAGAAAUAGUGCAUUAUGGUACCGAAACAUACCCGUUUUGCAUCAUUUUUUUGUGCAGUAGCGAAAUACUCCGAAACACUCCCAAACAUGGUCUACGGUCUGAUGGAGUAGAUUGGAUGCGUUCGUUGUGAAAAAAUCCUUCGGAAGUUUGUUAUUUGAAAACAGUGCAUUCGGGUACUCAGACGCACCCGUUUCGCGUCAUUUUUCGUGCAGUAGCGAAAUGCUCCAAAACAAUCCCAAAGAUAGACUAGGGUCUAGAGGAGUAGAUUGGAUGCGUUCUUUGCAAAAAAAACUGUGGGAAGUUCGUUCCCCGGAAGCAGUGCAUUCAGGUACCGAAACACACUUGUUUUGCAUCCUUUUUCGAGUUGUAGCGAAAUGCUCCAAAACACACCCAUACAUGGUCUAGGGUGUAAUGGAGUAGAUGAGAUGCAUUCAUUGCGAACAAAAUCCUGCCGAAGUUUACAACCCGGAAACAAUGCAUUCAGGUGCCGAAACGCACCCGUUCGCAUCAUUUUUCGAGCAGUAGCAAAAUGCUCCAAAACAUUCCAAAACAUUGUCUAGGUAGAGUAGAUUGUUGGCGUUCGAUGUGAAAAAGUCUGUUGGAAGUUCUCUACCCUAAAAUAGUGCAUUCGGGUAUAGAAACGCACCCGUUUCGCAUCAUUUUUCAUGCAGUACCGAAAUGCUUCAAAAAAUCCCGAACAUGAUCCAGGUCUAAUGGAGUAGAUUGGAUGUGUUCGUUGCGAAAAAAUCCAUCGGAAGUUUGUUACCUAGAAGUAGUGCAUUCGGGUACCGAAACGCAUUGGUUUUGCAUCCUUUUUUGAGGAAAAGCGAAAUGCUCCAAAACACACCCAAACGUGGUCUAUAGUUUAAUGUAGUAGAUUGGAUGCAUUCGUUGCGAAUAAAUGUGUCAGAUGUUCGCUACCAGGAAAUAGUGCAUUCGGGUACCAAAAUGCUCCCGUUUCACAUCAUUUGUCGUGCAGUAGCAAAAUGCUGCAAAACACUCCCAAGCAUGUUCUAAGGUCUAACGAUGUAAAUUGGAUGCGUUCGUUGUGAAUAAUUCUGUCGGAAGUUCGUGACCUGAAAAUGCACUUGUCUCAAAACCUUUAUCAAGCAGUAUCGAAAUGGUCCAAAACACACCCAAACAUGGUCUACGGUGUAAUGGAGUAGAUUGGAUGUGUUCGUUGCGAAAAGACUGUUGGAAGUUCGCUACCCAGAAACACUGCAUUCGGGUACCCAAACGCACACGUUUCGCAUCAUUUAUCAUGCAGUAGUGAAAUGCUCCAAAACACUCCUAAGCAUGGUCUAGGGACUAAUGGAGUAGAUUGGAUGCAUUCGUUGCAAGAAAAUCCGGAGAAGUUCACAAUCUAUUUCUCAUCAUCUUUUGGUCAGUAGCGAGAUGCUCCAAAACACCCCAAAACAUUGUCUAGAGUCUAAUAAAGUAGAUUGGAGGCGUUCGAUUGGAAAAUAUCUGCUCGAAGUUUGCUACACUGAAACAGUGCAUUCAGGUAUGGAAACGGAACCAUUUUGCAUCAUUUUUUGUGUAGUAGCGAAAUGCUCUGAAACAAUCCCAAACUUGGUCUAGGGUCUAAUGGAGUAGAUUGGAUGUGUUCGUUGCAAAAAAAUUCGACGAAAGCUUGUUACCCAGAAGUAGUGCUAUCUGGUACCGAAACGCAAUUGUUUUGCAUCCUUUUUCGAGCAAUAGCGAAAUGCACCAAAACACACUCAAACAUGGUCUAGGGUUUAAUGUAGUAGAUUGGACGCAUUUGUUGGGAAUAAAUCUGUCGGAAGUUCGCUACCUGGAAACAGUACAUUCAGGUACCGAAACUCACCCAUUUCGUACCAUUUUUCCUGUAGUCGCAAUUUGCUCCAAAUCACAUCCAAACAUUGGGUAGGGUCUGAAGCAGUGGAUUGGAUGCGAACGUUGUGAAAAAAUCCUUCAAAAGUACGCUACCCGAAAACAGUGUAUUCGGGUACUGAGAUGCACCCAUUUUGCAUCGUUUUACAUGCAGCAGCGAAAUGCUCAAAAACAAUCCCAAACAUGGACUAAAAUCUAAUGAAGUAGACCGGAUGCGUUCGUUGCAAAAAAAACCUGUCAGAAGUUCAUUACUCGAAAGUAGUGCAUUCGGGCACCGAAACGCAACUCUUUCGCAUCAUUUUUCGAGCAGUAGUGAAAUGCUCCGAAACACUACCAAACAUUGUCUAGGGUCUAAUAGAGUAGAUUGGAUGCGUUCGAUGCAAAAAUAUCCAUCGGAAGUUUGCUAGUCGGAAACAGUGCAUUCGGGUACCGAAACACUCGCUUUUCACAUCAUUAUUCGUGCAGUAGCGAAAUGCUCCGAAACACUCCAAAGCAUGGUCUAGGGUGUAAUGGAGUAGAUUGGAUGCGUUUAUUGUGAACAAAUCCGUCGGAAGCUCGUGACCUGAAAGCGCACUUUUCUCCCAUCCUAUAUUGAGCGGUACCGAAAUGCUCCAAAACACACCCAAACAUGGUCUAGGGUGUAAUGGACUACAUUGGAUGCGUUCAUUGCGAAAGGGCUGCUCGAAGUUCGCUACUCAGAAAUAGUGCAUUCGUGUACACAAACGCACACGUUUCGCAUCAUUUUUCGUGUAGUAGUGAAAUGCUCCAAAACACUCCUAAGCAUGGUCUAGGGUCUAAUGGAGUAGAUUGGAUGCAUUCAUUGCGAGAAAAUCCGAAGAAGAUCACAACCCAAAAAUAGUGGAUUUGUGUACCGAGACGCACCUAUUUCUCAUCCUUUUUUGAUCAGUAGCGAAAUGCUCCAGAACACUCUGAAACAUUGUCUAGGGUCUAAUAGAGUAGAUGGAGGUGUUCAAUGCGAAAAAAUCAUAGUGGAUCCAGGUACCAAAACACAGCCAUUUUGCAUUGUUUUUCGUGCACUACCAAAGUGCAACAAAACACUCCCAAACAUCAUCUAGGGUAUAAUUGACUAUACUGGAUGCGUUCUUUGCGAAAGAAUCCGUCGGAAGUUCGCUACCCGGAAACCAUGCAUGUAGGUACCGAAACGCACUCAUUUCGCAUCAUUUUGGGUGUAUUAGCGAAUUGCUGCAAAACACUCCCAAACAUGGUCUAGGGUCUAAUGGAGUAGAUUGGAUGCCUUCGUUGCGAACAAAAUCCUGUAGAAGUUCACAACCCGAAAACAGUGCAUUCAUGUACAGAAACGCACCCAUUUCGCAUCAUUUUUCGAGCAGUUGUGAAAUGCUUCAAAACACUCCGAAACAUUGUCUAGGGCCAAUAGAAUAGAUUGGAUACAUUCGUUGCAAAAAAAUCUGUCAGAAGUUUGCUAUACCGAAACAGUGCAUUCGGGUAUGGAAACGCACCCGUUCCGCACCAUUUUUCGUGCAGUAGAGAAAUGCUCCAAAACAAUCCCAAACAUGGUCUAGAGUCUAAUGGAGUAGAUUGGAUGCGUUCGUUGUGGAAAAAUCCAUCAGAACUUUGUUACCUCGAAGCAAAGCAUUCGGGUACCGAAACGCACUUGUUUUGCAACCUUUUUUGAGCAGGAGCGAAAUGUUCCAAAACACACCCAAACUUGUUGCAUGUUGUAAUGGAGUAGCUUGGAUACAUUUGUUGCGAAAAAAUAUGUUAGAAGUUCGCUACUCAGAAACAGUGCAUUCAGGUACCCAAACACACUGUAUGGUAUCAUUUCUUGUGCAGUAGCGAAAUGCUACGAAGCACUCCCAAACAUGAUCUAGGGUCUAGUGUAGGUGACUGGUUGCAUUCGUUGCGAAAAAAUCCAUCAAAAAUUCGGUACUCGAAAACAGUGUAUCCAGGUACCGAAACGCACGCAUUUCGCAUCAUUUUUCAUGCGGUAGUGAAUUGCUGUGAAACACUCCCAAACAUGGUCUAGGGUCUAAUGGCAUAGGCUGGAUGCGUUCAUUGCAAACAUGUUAGUCAGAAGUUCGCUACCUAGAAACAUUGCAUUCGGGUACCGUAACGCACCCAUUUCACAUCGUUUUUGGUGCCGUAGCGAAAUGCUGCACAACACUCCCAAACUUGGUCUAUGGUCAAAUGGAGUAGGUUGGAUGCGUUCGUUGCAAACAAAUCCAUUGGGAGUUCGCAACCUAGAAACAGUGCAUUCAUUUACCAACACGCACCCAUUUCGCAUUGUUUUUCCGUGCAGUAGCGAAAUACUCCAAAACACUCCCAAGCAUGGUCUAGGGUCUAAUGGAGUAGAUUGGAUGCAUUCAAUGCGAGAAAAUCCGAAGAAGUUCACAACCCGAAAAUAGUUUAUUUGUGUACCGAGACGCACCUAUUUCUCAUCCUUUUUCAAUCAGUAGCGAAAUGCUCCAAAACACUCUGAAACAUUCUCUAGGGUCCAAUAGAGUAGAUUGGAGGCGUUCAAUACAAAAAAAUCAUAGUGGAUCUAGGUACCAAAACGCAACCAUUUCGCAUUGUUUUUCGUGCACUAGCAAAGUGCCAUGAAACACUCCCAAACAUCAUCUAGGGUAUAAUUGAGUAGACUGGAUGCGUUCUUUGCGAAAGAAUCCGUCGGAAGUUCGCUACCCGGAAACCAUGCAUGUAGGUACCGAAACGCACUCAUUUCGCAUCAUUUUGGGUGUAUUAGCGAAUUGCUGCAAAACACUCCCAAACAUGGUCUAGGGUCUAAUGGAGUAGAUUGGAUGCCUUCGUUGCGAAUAAAAUCCUGUAGAAGUUCACAACCCGAAAAUAGUGCAUUCAGGUACGGAAAUGCACCCAUUUCGCAUCAUUUUUCGAGCAAAUGUGAAAUGCUUCAAAACACUCCAAAACAUUGUCUAGGGCCAAUAGAGUAGAUUGGAUACAUUCUUUCAAACAAAUCUAUCAGAAGUUCGCUAUACCGAAUCAAUGCAUUCGGGUAUGGAAACGCACCCGUUUCGCACCAUUUUUCGUGCAGUAGCGAAAUGCUCCAAAACAAUCCCAAAAAUGGUCUAGAGUCUAAUGGAGUAGAUUGGAUGCGUUCUUUGUGGAAAAAUCCAUCGGAACUUUUUUAUCUCGAAGCAAAGCAUUUGGGUACUGAAACGCACUUGUUUUGCAACCUUUUUCGAGCAGGAGCGAAAUGUUCCAAAACACACCCAAACAUGUUGCAUGGUGUAAUGGAGUAGAAUUGAUACAUUCGUUGCUAAAGAAUACGUCGGAAGUUCGCUACUUGGAAAUAGUGCAUUCAGGUACCAAAACGCACUGUAUGGUAUCAUUUCUUGUGCAGUAGCGAAAUGCUACGAAGCACUCCCAAACAUGAUCUAGGGUCUAGUGUAGGUGACUGGUUACAUUCGUUGCGAAAAAAUCCGUCGAAAAUUCGCUACUCGGAAACAGUGUAUCCAGGUACCAAAACGCACGCAUUUUGCAUCGUUUUUCAUGUGGUAGCGAAUUGCUGUGAAACACUCCCAAACAUGGUCUAGGGUCUAAUGGCAUAGACUGGAUGCGUUCAUUGCAAACAUGUUAGUCGGAAGUUCGCUACCUAGAAACAUUGCAUUCGGGUACCAUAACGCACCCAUUUCACAUCGUUUUUGGUGCCGUAGCGAAAUGCUGCACAACACUCCCAAACUUGGUCUAUGGUCAAAUGGAGUAGGUUGGAUGCGUUCGUUGCAAACAAAUCCAUUGGAAGUUCGCAACCUAGAAAUAGUGCAUUCAUUUACCGAAAUGCACCUGUUUCGCAUUGUUUUUCCGUGCAGUAGUGAAAUGCUCCAAAACACUCCCAAGCAUGGUCUAGGGUCUAAUGGAGUAGAUUGGAUGCAUUCAUUGCGAGAAAAUCCGAAGAAGUUCACAACCCAAAAAUAGUGGAUUUGUGUACCGAGACGCACCUAUUUCUCAUCCUUUUUCAAUCAGUAGCGAAAUGCUCCAAAACACUCUGAAACAUUGUCUAGGGUCUAAUAGAGUAGAUUGAAGGCGUUCAAUGUGAAAAAAUCAUAGUGGAUCCAGGUACCAAAACGCAGCCAUUUCGCAUUGUUUUUCGUGCACUUGCAAAGUGCCACAAAACACUCCCAAACAUCAUCUAGGGUAUAAUUGAGUAGACUGGAUGCGUUCGUUGCGAAAGAAUCUGUCGGAAGUUUCCUACCCGGAAACCAUGCAUCUAGGUACCGAAACGCACUCAUUUCGCAUCGUUUUGGGUGUAUUAGCGAACUGCUGCAAAACACUCCCAAACAUGGUCUAGGGUCUAAUGGAGUAGAUUGGAUGCCUUCGUUGCGAACAAAAUCCUGUAGAAGUUCACAACCCGAAAACAGUGCAUUCAGGUAAGGAAACGCACCCGUUUCGCAUCAUUUUUCGAGCAGUUGUGAAAUGCUUCAAAACACUGUGAAACAUUGUCUAGGGCCAAUAGAGUAGAUUGGAUACAUUCGUUGCAAAAAAAUCUGUCAGAAGUUUGCUAUACCGAAACAGUGCAUUCGGGUAUGGAAACGCACCCGUUCCGCACCAUUUUUCGUGCAGUAGAGAAAUGCUCCAAAACAAUCCCAAACAUGGUCUAGAGUCUAAUGGAGUAGAUUGGAUGCGUUCAUUGCAAACAUAUCAGUCAGAAGUUCGCUAGCUAGAAACAUUGCAUUCGGGUACCGUAACGCACCCAUUUCAUAUCAUUUUUGGUGCCGUAGCGAAAUGCUGCACAACACUCCCAAACUACGUCUAGGAUCAAAUGGAGUAGAUUGGAUGCAUUCGUUGCAAAUAAGUUCGUUGGAAGUUCGCAACCUAGAAAUAGUGCAUUCAUGUAUCGAAACGCACCCGUUUCGUAUUGUUUUUUGGGCAGAAGCGAAACGCUACAAAACACUCCCAAACAUUGUCUAUGGUCAAUGAAGUAGAUAGGAUGCGUUCGUUGCGAAAAAAUCCAUUGGAAGUUUGCUACAUGGAAGCAGUGCAUUCGGGUACCGUAACGCACCCAUUUUAUAUCUUUUUUCGUGCAGUAGCAAAAUGCUGCACAACACUCCCAAACAUGGUCUAGGGUCAAAUGGAGUAGAUUGGAUGCGUUUGUUGAAAAAAAUCUGUUGGAAGUUUGCAACUCAGAAACAUUGCAUUCAGGUACUGAAACGCACCCGUUUCACAUUGUUUUUGUGCACUAGCGAAAUGCUCCAAAAUACUCCCAAACAUGGUCUGCAGUCUAAUGGAGUAGAUUGGAUACAUUCAUUGCGAAUAAAUCCAUCGCAAGUUCGCUAUCUCGAAAUAGUGAAAUCAGGUACGGAAAUGCACCCUUUCCGCUCAUUUCAUGCAGUAGCGAAAUGCUCCAAAAAAAUCCUAUACAUGUUCUAGGGUCUAAUGGAGUAGAUUGGAUACGUUCGUUGUGGAAAAAUUCGUCGGAACUUUGUUACUGUGGAAGCAAAGGAUUCGGGUACCAAAACGCACUUGUUUUGCAUCCUUUUUUGAUCAGUAACGAAAUGCUCCAAAACACACCCGAACAUGUUCCAGGAUGUAAUUGAGCAGACUCGAUGCGUUCGUUGUGAAAAAAUCCAUCCGAAGUUCGCUACCCGGAAAUAGUGUAUCGUGAUACUGAAAUGCACCCAUUUCGCAUCGUUUUUGGUGUGGUAGCGAAUUGCUGCAAAACACUCCCAAAUAUAGUCUAGUGUCUAAAUGGAGUAGAUUAGAUGUGUUCAUUGCAAACAUAUCGAUCGGAAGUUUGGUAACCAGAAACAGUGCAUUCCAAAGUUUGAAGUCGAAAAUCUCAUGAAUUUGUUACAAGAUUCCAUGAAUUUGGAGAAGGGCACAAGAAGGGGAUUUUUGGAAAAUCUUAAAAUCCAAUGUGCUUGUGCAUGGAUUUGCUAGGGGAUCAUCCAAGAUGUUCUUGCACAUGUCCUAGCAACGAUUUGCUCCAAGAAAAACACCCCAAAAUGUUGCCAAUCGUGAGAUCCAAAAAUUGACCCAAAACUGCUUCGAAAAUAGGAAAAAAGAUAAAUUUCAGAUCUUGAGAAGUAGAAACAAUUGAGCACGAAUUUGAUUCUUGGAUUACCUCACCAUGUCUGGUUACAAGCCACUCCUAAGCGCAAUCCAAGCUAGGAUGGCAAAAAGAUCAACACAAAGAUCCCUUCUUUCUCCCUCUCUCCCUCUACCACAGGCUCUCACAAAACAAAUGAGAAAACCCCCACCAAAACAACCAAAGGGAUGGCUGCCCCAAACAGCCCUCCUAUACAUAUAUAGGCAUUAGGCAAAAGUCCAAAAUGCCCUUACAUUAAGCAACAACCCAAAUACCCCCAAGGGGUAAAGUCGUCCAACUUUUUCUUCGUUCAUCGGAUGGACCGGGCACCUUCACAACUUCGCUUUGCCUCGACGCAACCUUCACGAUGGUGCCACGCAUCCUCCGACUCGAUACCGUUCGGCCGCACCGAACUCGCCCCCAGUUUUAAGGCCCAAACCGGCAAACCUGCCUGCGCGAGGGUUUUGAGGCCCAAACGACCCAAACCCUCUGCACACCCACCUGGCGUGACUCACCCCCGGUUUUGAGGUCAAACCGGUCAAACGCUCUGCACACCCUCCUGGCGUGACUCACCCCCGGUUUUGAGGUCAAACCGGUCAAACUCUCUUCCACGCCCCGCAAGGCGUGGCAAACCGAUGUCGACGCGUGUCCAGCCUCCGCCAAGCCUUCGAUGCCUCCAAAUCUUUCGCUCCUAGCUCCCGGGUCGCCUACUCAACUCGCCUCCAUCCCACUUGACUCGACCAACACUGUCUCCAUCACCAUCCGUAUACUCUUGCUCUUUCGUGCACCAUGUAGAUCGCCCAUGACUCCACCCGGACUCCUCAAGUCCCUCGAUCCAAGCCUACUUGUGUCCGCCCUUCACAACCCUAGUUCAUCGGCAUGGACCUUUCGCACUUGACCUUCACCUCAUGCCGUCGACCACCACGUCGCAUCCUACACCUGCACAUCACAAGCCAAAAAACACAACACACAACAUACGGUAUACUCAAAUACCACAACACAACUCACACAAUACACACCUCCAGUUAGCCGUUAGCAUAAUCAAGCAUAUAUGGAAUAUGGACUCAACUGGUAAAGCCUCAAAUCAUCUAGUCAAUGCACCCAUUGCACUUGUCAACUUGGUCUCUCAGUAAUAGCCUCAAAUCACAAAUAGACGAAGGCACUUGUCAACUUGGUCUCUCAGUAAAGCGCCCAUUUCGCAUCAUUUUUUGUGCAGUAGCAAAAUGCCACACAACACUCCAAAACAUGGUCUAGGCUCUAAUGGAGUAGAUUGGAUGCAUUUGUUGCAAACAAAUCCAUUGGAAGUUUGCAACCUAGAAAUAGUGCAUUCAGGUACCGAAAUGCACCCGUUUCACAUUGUUUUUCGUGUAGUAGCGAAAUGCUCCAAAACACUGCCAAACAUGGUCUACAGUCUCAUGGAGUAGAUUGGAUACAUUCGUUGCGACAAAAUCUGUUGAAAGUUCGCUAUCCCAAAACAUGCAUUCGGGUUCGGAGACGCACCUGUUCCACAUCGUUUUUCAUGUAGUAGCAAAAUGCUCCAAACAAGCCCAAACAUGGUCUAGGGUCUAAUGGAGUAGAUUGGAUGCGUUCAUUGCGAAAAAAUAUGUCGGAAAUUUGUUACCUUGAAGCAGUGCAUUCGGGCACCGAAACACACUUGUUUUGCAUCCUUUUUCGAGCAGCAGUGAAAUGCUCCAAAAUACAACCAAACAUGUUCCCUAGUGUAAUGGAGUAGAUCGGAAACAUUCCUUGCGAAAAAAUCCAUCGGAAGUUCGCUACUUGGAAACAGCGCAUUCAGGUACCGAAAUGCACCAUUUCGCAUCAUUUUUCGUGCAGUACCAAAAUGCUCCAAAAUAUUCACAAACAGGAUCUUAGGUCUAAUUGAGUAGAUUGGAUGCGUUCGUUGCGAAAAAAUACGUUGGAAGUUCGCUAUCUGGAAAUAGUUCAUUCGGGUACCGAAAUGCACCCGUUUCGCAUCAUAUUCCAUGCAGUAGCGAAUGCUCCAAAAGACUCCCAAACAUAGUCUAGGGUCUAAUGUAGUAGAUUGGAUGCAUUUAUCAUGAAAAAAUCCGUCGGAAGUUCGCUACCCGGAAACAGUGCAUUCGGGUACCGUAACGCACCCGUGUCACAUCAUUUUCCGUGUAGUAGUGAAAUGCUCCAAAAAAAACUCCCAAAAAUGGUCUAGGGUCCAAUGGAGUAGACUGGAUGCGUUAGUUGCGAAAAAAUCCAUUGGAAGUUUGUGUGGCGGAACCACCUCGGAUUAGCUUAGAUUAAGUAGGGUUAAGCCGCCUAACAUGCGACACUCCUGCCUAAACGGAGUUAAUACGAAGUGCCGUCGGAUUUCAUCCGAUUUAACCACUUAAACAGGAUCGAGUUCAGCAAACCCACACGAAGGUGAGUGGUUACAGAGAAUACAACAAGUCCACUGAGUUUAACAAGUUUUUACCCAUUUUAGUUCGGUCCAAAAAAAAAAUCCCACAUCGGAGUUUUACAAGUUUUCCAGAAAACAACGAAGAAAACACUAGCGGAAGACUUCGUCGGGGUCGGACAUCCCUGGUGAGGCCAACCGGGACAUCACUGGCUCCUCUCCUCGCCGUCCGAGGAAGGAUCCCACUCGACCGUCCAGCCUGGCGGGAGCUGGGGCGGCCAAGCAACAACCAGAGAGGGGUCGGAAGCAGCAACUUCACCGGAAAAACAAGAGCCACAACAAGGCUGAGCUACUAAGCUCAACAAGACUUAACCGAUAGGAGUAAGGACUACUCCUCCUUCUAGACAUGCAAGCUGUUUGGCUGAGGGGUUGGUUUGCCAAAGCACUAAGUAAAACCCUAUUUUCAAGUUUUAGCUUCGGUUCUAAGUUCAUUAACCGGUCUAGGUUUUGCAACCUAUUCUAAGCAAUCAUAGAACCAAACAAGAUGUGUAGAUAUAACAACAACAUUGCCAUCAUCAGAUUCCUCAUUUACUCAGGGUGACAUAGUGAUCAAGCAAUCUCAAACUGUGAGAGGCAGACGAAUCGAUUCGAGUUCUUUAACCAUGCAUGGUGAACCUAGCCUCACGACAUCCGCGCACCCGGAGGUUGCUUCCUGUGUCGGCCUUCCCCAUCAAUCCCCUAACCCGUGUCGGGCCCAUUUCCUUUGGUGCAAGGUUCCACAGACCCGGCCUCUGCCGUUCUGUGACCACGCUUGCCACCACGUGCGACAACCAGCAGGGGAAACUCCGUUCCAAGAACAAUGGGGCGACCGCUCACGUCUAGGUUCAAUCCGGUACUAGGCUUCCUCAUCCCAUACUAAGUAUGAGGCUAGUACUUUCAAACACUUGAUCACGAACACCACCACUGUCGGGCCUUAGCAAGAUUUCAUAGACAGACGGGGCAACCAUCCGACCACCAAAAAGUUACCAAACCCUGCCCCGUCCAUCGUCCUUAUAGUUAUAACAGGAGAGUAAACAUGCAACUCCUACAACUCGCGAGUGACAGGAAAUCACUCGACUUUUACCGUCUCCUGGUUAGGCAAUGCAGCUACUCGGUUCAACAGCUAGUGCUCAGAUCACUGGGAUAACUAAGUCAUGCAUCUAGGGUUUCACACAACUCCUAUACGUAAAUGCACAAGCAUGUUACAGAAGGCGGUCUGGCAAAACACGUAGGAUUUUCAUGCAACCGGGGCUUGCCUUCAAGCAAGGAGGACGGGAACUGCUCGACUUCAGGGGUGACUUCGACUUCUGCGGGCAGGAACUCGGCUACAGCUUCUUCUUCUGGCGCCGGGUGAAGCUCGUAGAAGCCGUCGGCGAGGUGCAGCUCUACACGAAUGCAAUGCAAGGGUUAGCUUAGAUAGUUAUUUCAACAGCAAUACUGGCUCGCCUGAGCCCAGAAACUCGCGACAAAGAGCAGGAGGUUAUGGUGGUCUGAGAGAGCUGAUGAUGAUCAAGAGGUAAGGGUAGGAAUGGAAUUAGUGGUCUGAUCCUUGAACUAGAGGAUGUGAUAAACUGGGGGUCCUUAGACGCAAGCGCUGAAGGGUUCCCAAGUUUUACACAUACACCCUCGAGUUGAAGAAAAAGAUCACAGCCAAGCCCUCGGGCGAGGCGGAUAAGGGUCGGCGGAUAGAAGGGGUCGGGCGAGACGGAACCGGGGUCGGGCGGAUAGGAGGGGUCGGGCGAGGCGGACUGGGGUCGGCAACUCACCUUCUUCCUGAAAGGAAAGCUCGGGGUCGAAAAGAAGCGGACUUCGGGCGGAGGAACUAAGGUUUGAACAGAAGCUAAGACCGGCAAUGCUCCGGCGGCGGCGCUGCUUCCUGCGGAUCACAAGAGAGCUUUUACACAGCACGGAGGAGCAAGCUGCGGGGUGACUUGGAGAAAACUGAGAGAGAACUGAGAGAAGAACUCCUCAAGGACUGGCUGGGUGGCGCUAUGAGCUUGAGCAGAGAGCGAGAGAAGGCUGAAGGCAACAAGGGCGGAGGGAACUCCGGCGACGGGGGCAUUCCUUUUAUAGCUGCUGGAGCAGAGGAAAGGAAACGGCGCGGAGAGAGAGAAGGGGAGCGGCGCGAAGGCCGGGGAGAGGCAAUGGAGUGCUCUGCCGGGGCGGCGAUUGAGCGAAGAGGGCGGUGGUGCAGAACUCCGGGGGUGACGCCAGCGAUCAUUGCGUUCUGCCGUCAGGGCGGCGUAGGAGCGGGUAGACUGGUGGUUGAGAUUUGGCGGAAAGCGGGCGUCGUCGUGCGGAAGAUUUGAUAGAAGCGACCGGUUUAACGACGCUAGCAUCGAGGGCGCACAGGUGAGAAGACAGGCGGACGCGGGCGCGGGGGAGAGCGCGGAACAACAGAUUGUCGGGCGGCUUCUGACAGAGCGAGGGAAAGGAACUGUCGCGGCCGCGGUCGGGGUUGGCGGUGAAGGAAUCGUCGUGUAGCGGCGACCGGGCGGCGCGACUGUGGCUGAAAGGGGCGGAAAAGACGGGCGACAUCGGGCUCUGGGGCUGGGAUCUGGCGGCGUGAUGAUGGGCGUGGGAGGCGAGGCUCUGCAGAAAGGGGUGCAGAGGGCUUUCGCUGCCAUUGGGGAAGGGGCGCGGGAACCCACUCGGUUGCUUGCCGGAGACAAAACUGAGCGGCGGCGUCGGAGAAGACGAGCCACGCGGCAGUAAGACUCUGAGGCGGCCAUGCAACUCGAGUGCGGCUGUCGCGGGGGAUCUGGAAAAGAUCUCACGGGUCCACCGGUGGAUAGAUCGGACGGGUGAGGAAGAUUAACAGAAUCCGGCGGUGGGCUGAGCUCGCCGGGGUCGGGAGAGGAGCGAAGCGGGAAGGGGUCGGAUCUCAGGGGUCGGGACCAGGCGGAUAGCUGAGCACUUAGGCGCGGUCAAGCAAGACAGAUGACUAGGAUCAAGGGUUUUGAUCAUACUAACACGGGAAGGUUUAGGGGUCGGUCGUUACAGCCUACCCCUCUUAAAAAGAAUCUCGUCCUGAGAUUCAGAGAUCAAGGGGUGUGCUGUCCUUACCUCCUUGAUGGGAUAGAAAACCUGGGAAAUGCUUGUUCAGAUAUUCGUCCGUUUCCCAUGUUGCUUCAUCCUCGGUGUGGUUUCUCCAGAGGAUCUUGUACAUCUUUACCACUUGGCGUCGGGUGUGCCUUUCCUUUUGGUCAAGAACUCGAUCUGGGUACUCGGCGUAGGUCAGGUCAGGUUCUACCUGAAGCUGUCCUUGCUCUAAGAUCUCUGCUGGAACUCGGACACAUUUCUUCAGUUGAGACACAUGGAAAACAUCAUGUAUGGCCGAUAGCUGUUCUGGGAGUUGGAUCCGGUAAGCAACGGGUCCACAUACCUCCACAAUCUCAUAAGGGCCAACAUAGCGGGGAGCUAACUUGCCUUUUAUUCCAAACCGCUGCACUCCUUUGGUCGGGGAGACUCGAAGGUACACAUGAUCACCAAGGUCGAACUGCAGGGGUCUUCUCCGCUGGUCGGAGUAACUCUUCUGUCGAGAUUGGGCAGCCUUGAGAUUUGCUUGAAUUACCUUCACUUGCUUUUCGGCUUCUGCCGCUAAGUCAGGGCCAUAGACCUGUCUUUCCCCUGGUUGGGACCAGUUCAAGGGUGUUCUGCAUCUUCGGCCAUACAGGGCCUCAAACGGUGCCAUCUUCAAACUGGCCUGAUAGCUGUUAUUGUAGGAGAAUUCUGCUAAGGGCAGACACUUGUCCCAGCUCUUAUCAUAGUGGAUAACACAAGCUCUUAACAUGUCUUCAAGAAUCUGGUUGACUCUCUCGGUUUGGCCAUCAGUUUGAGGAUGAUAGGUCGAGCUUCGGAUGAGCUUGGUGCCCAUAGAUGCUUGUAGCUGCUCCCAAAAGCGUGCCACAAACUGAACUCCUCGAUCAGAGACGAUGGUCUUGGGUACACCAUGUAGGGAAACUAUACGGUCGGGGUACAACUCUGCAUAUUGUUUGACUGUGUAGGUGGUGCGAAUAGGAAGGAAAUGUGCUGUCUUGGUCAGACGGUCCACUAUAACCCAGAUGGAAUCAUAUCGUUGUGUUGUAAGGGGUAACCCAACUAUGAAGUCCAUGCUGAUGUCUUCCCAUUUCCAAGAGGGAAUAGGUAGCGGCUGCAAGGUUCCUGCUACCUUCAAAUGACUGGCCUUGACACGUUGACAGGUGUCACAUUCUGAGACAUAGCGAGCUAUUUCUGGUUUCAUUCCACUCCACCAAAAGGUUUGACGAAGAUCAUGGUACAUCUUAUUGCUGCCAGGAUGGGUUGAGAACUUGGAAAGAUGAGCUUCAUCUAGGAUUUGCUUUUUCAGCUCGGGGUCAGCGGGUACUACUAGUCGGUUUCCAUAAUGCACACCUCCCGUUUGGUCCUGCCGGAAUUGCUUAUACCCCUCAUCCUUUACUGAGAUCUUACUGAUGAUCCAUUUUAUUUCUUCAUCCUUUACUUGUGCUGACCGAAUUUGGUCUUCCAAAACUGAGUCAAGGAUGAUGUGACCAAGGGUUCCUUGAGGAAUAAUCUCCAGACUUAGUUUUCCCAUCUCGUGACACAAGGUUUUGGUGAAGGCUGUUGACAACAAGCAGUUGCAAUGGGGUUUGCGACUGAGGGCAUCGGCUACCACAUUGGCUUUGCCAGGAUGAUAGUGUACUUCCAAUUCAUAAUCCUUUAUCAACUCCAGCCAUCUUCUUUGACGCAUGUUGAGGUCGGCUUGAGUGAAGAUGUACUUGAGGCUCUUGUGGUCGGUGUAGAUGUUGCAGUGAGCUCCCAUUAGGUAGUGCCUCCAUAUCUUCAGGGCAUGUAUCACUGCUGCCAACUCAAGGUCAUGUGUCAGGUAGCUUAGCUCAUGAGGUCGUAACGCACGUGAGGCGUAGGCAAUGACUCGAGUGUCUUGCAUGAGAACACAUCCGAGUCUAGUGCCAGAGGCGUCACAGUAUAUGUCAUACGGCCUAGAGGGGUCGGGCUGAGCCAAAACUGGGGCUGUGGUCAGCAAGUGCUUCAGGGUCUUGAAGGCCUCUUCACACUUGGUGUCCCACACAAAUUUGACCUCUUUCUUCAGCAACUCGGUCAUCGGCUUCGCUAUCUUGGAAAAAUCCGGUAUGAAACGCCGAUAGUAACCUGCCAGUCCAAGGAAACUCCUGAUCUGGUGCACUGAGGCAGGAGACUUCCAUUCCAUGACUUCUUGCACCUUACUGGGGUCUACGGCGAUACCGUCCUUGGAGAUAGUGUGUCCCAAAAACUUGACACUAUCUAACCAAAACUCACACUUGGAGAACUUGGCAUAGAGCUGGUGGUUUCUCAGCCAUUGGAGAAUUAUAUGAAGAUGGUCGGCAUGCUCUUCCUCGUUCUUCGAGUACACUAGGAUAUCAUCAAUGAACACCACUACAAACUUGUCCAGCUCGGGCAUAAACACCGAGUUCAUAAGGUACAUGAAAUAGGCGGGUGCAUUGGUGAGUCCAAAGGACAUGACUAGGUACUCGUACAGUCCAUAUCUGGUAGAGAAAUCUGUCUUGGGUAUGUUGCAGGGUCGAAUCUUUAUUUGGUGAUAACCAGAACGAAGAUCGAUCUUGGAGAACACUUUUGCUCCGGCUAACUGAUCGAACAAGACAUCAAUGCGUGGCAGCGGGUACUUGUUCUUGACUGUCACAGCAUUGAGGGGUCGGUAAUCCACACACAUACGUAGACUGCCAUCUUUCUUCUUCACAAACAGGGCAGGGCAACCCCAAGAUGAUGUACUGGGUCGAAUGAAGCCCUUUUCCAACAGAUCAUGCAACUGGGUCUUCAACACGGCUAACUCAGCGGGUGGCAUCCGAUAGGGUCUCUUAGAUAUCGGGGCUGUGCCCGAAAUCAACUCUAUGGAGAACUCAACUUCUCUAUCAGGUGGCAUACCCGGCAAAUCUUCUGGAAACACAUCAGGGUACUCACAGAUAACAGGGAGGUCUUCUAGACGGGCUCCCAAGAGAGGGUAAGCACAAGGAAGCGAAGACUCAGGAUGGGUCAAAGAUAUGGUAGAACUGCCAUGGGAGGGUGAGCUGAUGUAAAGAGAUCGGGUUGAUGUAUCUAGAACCACAUGAUGUCAGGCCAUCCAAUCCAUACCAAGGAUGAUAUCUAUGCCUUGUAGGUCAAGGAUGAUAAGGUUUUCCUUGAAGAGGGUGGGGCCUAGCUGGAGAGGUACAAGAAUAACAAUCUGAUCCGAUGUUACCCUUCCUCCAGGAGUGGCGAUCACAUAGGGUUCCUUAGUGUGACUAAUACUUAGCCCACAUCCUUCCCUAGCUUUACUCCCGAUAAAGCUAUGGGAAGCUCCCGAAUCAAACAACACAACAACAGCUUGAUUUAAAACAAGGAAAGUACCCGUCAUUACUGGCGCACCUUCGGGGAGCUCGGUCAAGCUGGUGUAGUUGAGUCGGCCUUGUCGGACUCGUACCUUGGGCCUUCUUCCUCUAGCUGCCAUGGGGUUCUGACCUUGCCGUUGAUUCUUGUUCCUGGGGCAGUCCUUUGCAAAAUGUCCUUCAUUGCCGCAGGUAAAACAACGGUUACUGGCUGCCGGGCGAGGUGGCGCUGGCAGGGUCGGCCAGGGCACUUGCGGUUGGAAGCCUGGAAAACGAGGCGUUGUUGCCGGUGGGGGUCGGGCUAUCCAUCUUCCUGACUGUUGGGGUUGGCCAGGGGCUUGUGGAGGAACCAUCCGGAACCUUCGAGUCGGCGGACUCGGAAAUGCCACAGAGGCUUUCCUCUUUUGGUCGGCCUUGAGGGCUUGCAUGCAGUCCUCCUGAGAGAUGGCCAGGUUGACCAACUCAUUGUAGGUGUCCACCUUGAUGGGGUUCAACCUUUCCCUGAGCUCCAAGCUCAGUCCUCGGCGGAAUCUGUCCCGCUUCUUCUCGUCUGUAUCCGCAUGAUAGCCAGCAUAACGGCAUAGGUCAUUGAAACCUUGGGCGUAAUGCAGCACAUCCCGAGUUCCUUGGGUGAGGGCCAGAAACUCGUUGAGCUUACGCUCCAGGAGGCCUUCUGGAAUGUGAUGCGCUUUGAACGCUGUCUUAAACUCGUUCCAACUGACCACGUGGCCAGCCGGCAGCAUGGCAUGGUAGUGGUCCCACCAAAGCCGUGCGGAGCCACGCAGCUGCUGGGCUGCAAACCGAGCCUUGUUGUUGUCGGGGCAUGGAGCGGUGAGGAGCUCGAACUUGGAUUCGAUCGUACGAACCCAAGCGUCAGCAUCGAGCGGUUCUUGUGUCUUUUGGAACAGAGGGGGCUGUGUCCCCAGAAAGUCCUCAUACCGUGCGAUAUGCGGCCGCGGCGGUGCUCUUCCACCAUGUGGCUGUUGUUGUUGUCCUUGCACCAGAUGCCUUAGCAACUCAGUUUGAGUUGCUAGGAUUGCCUCCAAUGGCGAUGGGGGCGGGGGCAGGGGAAGAUCCUGUCACUGAUCACUACCACUGGGCGCAGAACCAGACCUAGUGCGGUGCGCCAUCUGCAAGAGUUAACGCCCCAUCAAUUUCAUAACCUAGGUGUACUCCAACAAAUGGAACGUAUAACUUAAAUCCUUUAAUGCGACUCUUGCCAAUGGUGUAACACACGUCCUCAUAAGGAAAACACACUUUUCUCACUCUCAGAGUAGAUAACCUCUAUCUUGACCUGGUACUCAACUCCAGGCGAACAUGUCAUCUCCAACUCCUGUGUUCCACUUAAACUAAGGGGUCGGGCACGGUCUGUACUGGAAAAGGGUCGGACGAGGCGGAAACUGCCUCAAAGGGUCGGCGCACUCGGUUUCACAAGCUGGGGUCGGCCAACUAAUUAGGCUCCCCGAAAACAGCAUAUGGCGCAACUUACUUAACCUAGCCUCCACACCAUACAAAGAUGAGAAAGCUAUGCACCAGGGUUAACUUCAUAUACAACGGUAUUUCAACACAGGGAGCACUCAACUCGAGGCUAACCUAUUACAACUUUUCCAAAAUCUAGGCUGCCGAGGAGUACAACAAAAAGAUGGUUCCCUGAGAACCCUUAAGCUACCAAUGGACACUAUGAGUCGGAGAAGGGGCGCCGUCUUCCUCUAUAUCCAUGCUGGACGCUCCCUCAUCUUCCUCAGGGUCCUCCUGAGCUUCGAGCUGCAUGUUGAGGGCAUGCAUAUCUUCGAGCUCGGCUUGGUGCUCCUCCAGGUGGGCAUUGGCAACUGCCAACUCCAUUUCCACCUCCAUCUUUUCCUCCGAGAGCUCUAUCAUGCCGUCCACGAGGUCGGCGACUUCUCCUUCUAGCUCGGAGAUCCGAUCUUGCAUAUCGUGGAUCUGGAUACCACGUUGGAUCAGUUGGUAGGUUUGGCCUACCAUGUCUCUUCUUGCUGCCUGGAGGUAACCAUGGGUAUCUGCAGCCGUCUAGGCGAAGAGGGUCAUGGCUCUUCCCUGAAGCUCUAUCAACCGGUAGAGAGCGGCCAUGCACCGGAUGUUGGUGGAGAUGGUGACCAUGGCGCAGGUGGUGGCUAACACCUCGAUGUUCCCGACGCGGUCAAGCCAUGCCGGGUCCAGCCGGUUCCUGACGGGGAAGAGGCCGAUCGGGUCUAGCGUGAUCUCCACGGGAUGCAGCUGACAGAACUGGGUGAGCAACUGAAGAGCGGCGGACUCCCAUGUAUCUUCCGGAGCGAGACCAUAGGCUAUUAUGCCAAGAGAGGGCCAGUCGGGCCGUGCAAGGGGAGGUGGUACCAAAGCUUGCACUUGGCACGUCUGAACGCCCUGUUCCAGAUAUAACCGCCCGGCAUACAAGGGCGGGGAUUGGUACCCAAACCACUUCAGCGUAUCCCACAGAAUCGCGGGAAACCCCUCGAAAUGCAGGCACGUUGACUGGAAGGUACCGUCCGCUCCAAAAAGGACAUGUCCGGGAACAGCCAUCUGGAACCAAGAAAACCGAAAACCACGUGAGAUAACUCCAAGGGUCAGGGGUCGGAUAGAGAAGCAUACGGUUUUAACCGAGAGCACCAAAGAAACUAGAAAUCCUUAGAUCCAAAAGAACUCUUACGAGCAAGGUUACUGUUGAGAGGGAAACAUUACAGAUUUUUAGGUAUGACGCAUGCACGGCCUACCUUACUCUUAACCAAGAAAACAACUGCCCGAACUCGGGUCUUACGCGGUCAGUGCCGGUGACAAGGCAACAAUACGUCUCUCCCUAUAAUAACUAGUCGGUUCUGGUAACGUCUCCUAUGCGAACGCGGUUAGCAACCUGCAGAAAACACCACACACGAACCUUUCGUGCCAGCACCCACGAAAGCGUUCCCAAACAUUACCGCUCACUAUAGGAACGGCACCCAUGCAUUUAAGGCUGCAUGGACAACACUCAACCGUGGAAAUAGGUUCCCUUUGAUUGGAUCCGUAUAACCCUUCGCAUACUCGUGAUGCGGAAUCGGCACACGUAUGACAAACGUGGCGAAACAACCGUGCUGAUAGGUUCGUUGGAAUCGAACCGUACCAACCUUCGUAUGGAACACAUAUGGAACCUGCGCACGUGUAAUAGACGUGGGCGAAAACAACCGCGAAGAUAGGGUCCUUUGAAUGGAGCUCCCCAUCAACCCUCGCAUGCUCGCGAUGCGGAACUCGGCACACAUAUGAUAGACGUGGCGAAGUGCUGGAAGGGUUAGCAAAAUAACCAAUACUUAUUAGUCACCUAAAACAACCCCAAAAUCCCCUAGGGCCUCUCGCACUAAGUCAUCCUUAACGAUCUUACGAGAUUUUCAAAAGUUUCUUGCAACUUUUACCCUUUUCAAGGAAGUGUUUAGGGCUUGUUGGGUUCUCCGAAAUGCUAAACACGGCUCUGAUACCAGCUGUGGCGGAACCACCUCGGAUUAGCUUAGAUUAAGCAGGGUUAAGCCGCCUAACAUGCGACACUCCUGCCUAAACCGAGUUAAUACGAAGUGCCAUCGGAUUUCAUCCGAUUUAACCACUUAAACAGGAUCGAGUUCAGCAAACCCACACGAAGGUGAGUGGUUACAGAGAAUACAACAAGUCCACUGAGUUGAACAAGUUUUUACCCAUUUUAGUUCGGUCCAAAAAAAAAAUCCCACAUCGGAGUUUUACAAGUUUUCCAGAAAACAACGGAGAAAACACUAGCGGAAGACUUCGUCGGGGUCGGACAUCCCUGGUGAGGCCAACCGGGACAUCACUGGCUCCUCUCCUCGCCGUCCGAGGAAGGAUCCCACUCGACCGUCCAGCCUAGCAGGAGCUAGGGCGGCCAAGCACCCACCAGAGAGGGGUCGGAAGCAGCAACUUCACCUGAAAAACAGGAGCCACAACAAGGCUGAGCUACUAAGCUCAACAAGACUUAACCGAUAGGAGUAAGGACUACUCCUCCUUCUAGACAUGCAAGCUGUUUGGCUGAGGGGUUGGUUUGCCAAAGCACUAAGUAAAACCCUAUUUUCAAGUUUUAGCUCCGGUUCUAAGUUCAUUAACCGGUCUAGGUUUUGCAACCUAUUCUAAGCAAUCAUAGUACCAAACAAGAUGUGUAGAUAUAACAACAACAUUGCCAUCAUCAGAUUCCUCAUUUACUCAGGGUGACAUAGCGAUCAAGCAAUCUCAAACUGUGAGAGGCAGACGAAUCGAUUCGAGUUCUUUAACCAUGCAUGGUGAACCUAGCCUCACGACAUCCGCGCACCCGGAGGUUGCUUCCUGUGUCGGCCUUCCCCAUCAAUCCCCUAACCCGUGUCGGGCCCAUUUCCUUUGGUGCAAGGUUCCACAGACCCGGCCUCUGCCGUUCUGUGACCACGCUUGCCACCACGUGCGACAACCAACAGGGGAAACUCCGUUCCAAGAACAAUGGGGCGACCGCUCACGUCUAGGUUCAAUCCGGUACUAAGCUUCCUCAUCCCAUACUAAGUAUGAGGCUAGUACUUUCAAACACUUGAUCACGAACACCACCACUGUCGGGCCUUAGCAAGAUUUCAUAGACAGACGGGGCAACCAUCCGACCACCAAAAAGUUACCAAACCCUGCCCCGUCCAUCGUCCUUAUAGUUAUAACAGGAGAGUAAACAUGCAACUCCUACAACUCGCGAGUGACAGGAAAUCACUCGACUUUUACCGUCUCCUGGUUAGGCAAUGCAGCUACUCGGUCCAACAGCUAGUGCUCAGAUCACUGGGAUAACUAAGUCAUGCAUCUAGGGUUUCACACAACUCCUAUACGUAAAUGCACAACAUGUUACAGAAGGCAUGCACAAGUCUGGCAAAACACGUAGGAUUUUCAUGCAACCGGGGCUUGCCUUCAAGCAAGGAGGACGGGAACUGCUCGACUUCAGGGGUGACUUCGACUUCUGCGGGUCGGGCGAGGUGGACUGGGGUCGGCAACUCACCUUCUUCCUGAAAGGAAAGCUCGGGGUCG